rnacentral:lncRNA from 1 species
AUAAGUUUUGAUCCAAAGGAUUCUUGAAAAAUGGUAGUUGCUUCCCAUUAAUGGCUUCAAACACUAAAGACCCUCACCUUGAACCACCUUCCAAUGGCUCGUACUUGAUAACUAAUGGACAUCCAUGGAUCUAGCAAUAAGCAUCCAUAGAAUCCUAAAAGCUUACCAAGUAUUGGCCAUUCAAGGUGAUUCUAAGGGAUUAAAGCUGAAACUUGAAAUAUAAACCAUUAAUGAUACACAACUACCUUCAUUUAAAGCAAGGAAAACUCCCACCUUUGCAUCUGGAUCCUUUACCUAGCUUCCAUCACUCCAAGAAACGUGAAACUUAGCCACUCAUCCUUUGAAAAAUCAUCAUCAGAGGGUGUUUGGCUAGAGAGAAAGUGAAAAGAAAAUGAGAAGGAAAGGCAGAGAAACACUCGACUUUACAAAAUAUCUAAAACAUAAUAUCUAACAUAAUAUCUCUGAGAGGUUUUCCAACCCCUAUUAAUAGUUCCUAAACAAACCCUAAAGUCAUUUAUCUAUUACAAAAGGAGUAAAAAGGAAAAAUUACAAUUCUAGAGAAAAAAUCUUCGAAGGUCGAUGCGCAUAAAGUGAUUUUCGCACACCCUACGAAACUUUGGCACACCUUGCAAAAUUUUGGCAUACCUUGCCAAAACUUGGCACACCCUGCCAAAUUUUGGCAUACCCUGCCAAAUUGAUGAUUUUGCCUUGCGAAGUGCUUUGUUUUCCUCCAUCUUGCUACUGGUAGUUUUGGCAACCCCUUGCCAAGUUUGGCAAGGGGUUUUGAAGUGCUCCAAAGCUCGGACUCUUCAUGUGUUCCAAACUCUCCCUCAAUCUUGGCCUGUUUCAGUGAUCAAAAAGCUACCAAAGACAAUAAAACUUACCCAAAUUUGGUUAAUAACAUUUGCUAGGUCCUUAACAUGCCAAUUGGGAUAAAAGGUCUAACUACUACUCAAAAUUGCUUAAUACAAUUAAGUUUAAUCUUAUAAAAAUGCACUUUUUGAGUAGUAAUCAAUAUUCAUUUUGUUAUUAAUUUUAUUUCUUUUACUUAGUAUCACAUUAUUCACAUAUUGUUUUUCACUUUAGGAUUUAAAUAAAAGAAAUUCAUUUAUUCUAAUAUUGACAAUUUCCAUAAGCUAGUUCUUGAGGAUGAUACCCGAAGUACUACAAAAGCCGUAGUGAUUCUUUCUCUAGUUUGUCUUGACUAGAGCUACUAUGUAAAAAGGCUAAGUAUUUUGGUACAACAGAGAAGUUCGGUCAAGGGGAUACAAAUAAUGUGAGGAAAUGUAUGGACAAUAUGAGAAAUGGUACAAAUAAUAUGAGGAAAGGUACAAACAAUGUGAGAAAUGGUAUGAAAAAUGUAAGACAUGGUAUGAACAAUGUAAGAUAGGGUACAAAUAAUGUGAGAUAAAGUACGAAGAAUGUGAGAAAUUGUACGAAAAAUGUGGAAUAAAAAAGGUACGAACAAUGUGAGAAAUUGUGUGAACAAUGCAAGACAUGGUAUAAAUAAUGUGACAGAGUGGGUAUGAAAAAUUUGAAAUAGGAUACGAACAAUAUAAGGAAUGGUACAAACAACAUGAGAAAGGAUAUAAAGAAUAUGAGGAAUGAUAUGAAGAAUGUAAGACAUAGUAUGAAGAAUGUGAGAAAGGGUACAAACAAUGUAAGAAAGAAUAAAAAGAAUGUGAGACAAGGUACAAAUUGUAAGGAAACCUAGAUCACUCUAUUCCAUAUCCUAUAACUAGGUUAGAUGCGUACAAAAAAAUUUCUAAGCUUUUGUAAAUCAUAUGCAUAACAAAAAAAAACAUUUGAAAACUUUAACAAGAUUUUAAAACCAAAAGAGAAAAACUUUACUUUGAUUUGGAUAUUCUCAAAUCAAAUCCAUGUGGUGAAGUUAAAGGCUAAAGUAUCUAGAGGUCUCAAUGAAUCAAACACGAUCUUUGCACCCCAAAGGUGGGGUUUUUUUUUUUGUUUAAGAGGAUAGGCUAUUGCCAUCUACAAACUGGAUGAUAGAAUACAACUAUCUUAAAAACCCUAACCCUUAAGAAGGUAUUUAUAAGGUUCCCUAAUUAGGCUUAAGUGACUUAAGCUUACCAUGGACAUAGGUCACUUAAUUUGACUCAAAAUCGGUCCUAAUCAAUUAAUUGCAUGGCCCUAUUAGGUUAAUUGAUUAAUUAACCUAAUAGGGCCAUGUAAUUAAUCAAUUAACCUAAUUCAGAGGUUUUGUUCACUUAACUUCGUGUAACCUUACGUAAUUACCAAAGCACUCUUAUGCACAAAAUGUUAAUUAAGAGUUAAUCUAACUCUCAUGAACCAUGCCAUUAAGGCAUAUAAACUCGAGUGGGGACAACUAAGACCUAUAGGAUAAUAUUGACUCUUUCAUAAUCCAAUUUUUAAGUUAACUCAACAUUCCACUAUAGAAAAUUAAUUGCACCCCAUUAUCCUAUAUAUAAUGCAAUGAGACACCAAGUGCUAUGGAUUGUGACCCAUUAUCCACUAUAUAUAGUCUUCUCAUAAACUGGCUGGUCGUUCGUAGUUUAACAAGGUAAAAGAUAUCAUCAUUUUAAGAAUACCUUUCAAAUCCUUGAGUUACAUAUGAUCAAACGACUUGCUCUACCUCACUAAGAGCAUACGUCAAAUUCCAUUAAAGAAAUUACUACGUGCCCACAAAUUUUACGAUCACACAUCUUUAGGAUCACCCAAUGGAACACACUCUCUUAAAGUCCAUGAGAUAUCAUGGUGCCUCUAAUGAGAAUACCAAUUGUUAUUGGCUUCCAUCAACAGUGAUUCAAUCCAUAGUAAAUAUAUAUAUGAUCAACUUACGAUCUCAUACUAGGUCAAAGCCUCUACGAACUUUAACAUAAGUUCAACAUUCUAUUAAGGUUGAGAGACAAUACAGUAUAACAGCUUGGUGAAGUCAUGACUACAUGAUAGUCUUAAGUCAUGACUCACCAUAGGUCCUAUUCAAUAUUGUGCAAACUUACACACUAGUGCACUCACCAUGGGAACCCCAUCCCAAUGGCCAAGACCAAUCAUUCCUCCUAUUAAAAGGUAGCGCACUACAACUUCUAAUGGAUUACCUAGGCCCAUGAACUAGCUAUGAACAAGUAAUUUAUUUGUAAGGAACCCAUGACUUGGAUCUUCUAUGCAACUCCUAAUGCACUUAAGGCACGUUUAAUGCAAGAGAUGCAAACCUAAAUGCUUAUAAGGUAUAGCGUAUGAAAUGAAGAUAGAUAAAAGUGACUGGUAAUUUAUUAAUAAAUAAUAAAACUCAAAAGUUUAUUACAUCAUGUGAUGCUUUUAAAGAUUUUAUCAUAAGUCGAACAAUGUGAGACAUGGUACGAACAAUGUAAGAGAGUACAAAUAAUAUAAGAAAUGGUACAAACAAUGUUAGAAAAAAGUAUGAACAAUAUGAGACAAGAUAUGAAAAAUAUGAGGGAGGGUAUGAACAAUGUGAAGGAAGGUACAAACAAUGUGAGAGAGUAGGUAUGAAGAAUGCGAGGAAUAAUACAAAGAAUGUGAUGAAUGAUACGAAGAAUGUGAGACAAGGUAAGAAGAAUGUGGGAAAGCAUACGAACAAUAUGAGAAAGUGCACAAACAAUGUGAGAGAUGAUACGAACAAUAUAAGACAAUGUACAAAACUAUGUGAGAAAGAGUACGAAAGAAAUGGUAUGAAAAAAUAUGGAGAGUAUAAAGAAUAUGGGAUAUUAUACAAAUAAUGUGAGAAAAUGUAUGAUAAAUAUGAGACAUAGUAUGAAUAAUGUGAGAAAUGGCACGAACUAUGUGAGAUAAGCUAUGAAGAAUGUGAGAAAUGGUACAAAUAAUGUGAGAAAUGAUAUUCUUCAUACCAUUUUUCACAUUGUUUAUAUCCUCACUCAUGUACUUUUGUACAUUUUCUCACAUUCUUCAUACAUUGUCUCACAUACAAUAGAUAUUGUUUUAUAAUCCCUAAAUACAAAAAAUUAAAAAAAAAUGAUAUAAAAAUAGUGAAUUUUUUAAAAACCAAAUUGAUAACAAGUAUGGCUAAAUAAUGUACUUCUCUAGCUACUAUUUCUUUUUUUCUUUUAGUUUCUUCAUGGAUAUGAUGGACAAAGGCAAAGGAAAGAAAUUCAUCAUUGAUUUGAAUAAUGAAGACUUUGAUUAGUAAUAUGAUAGUAAUGCAAAAACCGAGUUUGACGAAAAACCCAUGCUAGUUUAAGAGAAUAUUUUGAAUGGUUUAAGACUUGAAGAUGUAUGGGAAAUGGAGUUCAGCUCAAUAGAUGAGGUAGAAGAAUUUUACAAUUUAUACGCUAAAGUUAAUGAAUUCGAUGUUAGAAAGAAUGAUGUUAAACGAGGUAAGAAUUAAAAUAUAGCAUCUCAUAAGUGGGUUUGCUCAAAAGAAGGAUAAAGACAAAUAGAGUGUUUGGAGAAUGAAAUCGAAAAUGAGAACAUAAGACAAUAACUAGAGUUGGUUGUGAGACAUCACUUUGUAUCGGGUUUAACAAACAAAUAAAUAAGUGCAUUAUGAAGGAGUUUAUGGUUGAUCAUAAUCAUCAUUUGGUGGAACCAAAAAUACCCAAUUCCUUCAAUCCCAAAGGGCCAUGAGGAAUGCAUAUAAAGGCUUAUUGAGCACAAUGCGUAGUAUUGGCAUGAGAACUAGACAAAUUAUGGAUUACAUAGUGUAACAAUCAGGUGGAUAUAUUAAUGUUGGCUUCACAAAAAAAGAUCUAUAUAACCAUGUUAAUGUUGAUUGUAGAGUUCAAAUAAGAAAUGGUGAUACAAAGGGUACUCUUUCUUACUUGAGUGGAAAGGCUUAAAUGGAUACAUCAUUUUAUUACAAGUACAAUGUUGAUAAAGACAAUCACCUAGCAAAUUUGUUUUGGGCAAAUUCUACAAGCAGACUGGAUUACACUUAUUUUGGAGAUGUGUUAGCUUUUAAUAGAACUUAUCAGACUAAUGCUAAUAGAAAAUUGUUGGUCAUACUAGUUGACAUUAACCAUCAUUGUCAAACUAUAGUGUUUAGAUGUGCAUUAUUGGUAAAUGAAAGUCUUUACACUUAUACAUGGAUUUUGGAGACAUUUUUGGAUGCAAUGAAUAACAAGAAGCUUUUUUUCAUUAUUAUAGUUUAUGACAAAGCAAUGCAUCAAGCCAUUAAGAGAAUAUUUCUAGAGUAUUAUCAUUGGUUAUGUGCUUAGCAUAUUCAACGCAAGACAUUCACUAAUGCCUAUGUCAAAGAUUUUACUUAUCAUUUUUCUAGGUACAUGUUCAUGGAAGGCACCAUUAAAGAAUUUGAAUGUGCACGGAGUGGCAUGGUGGAAAUAUGUAAUCUCCACGAGCAUAAUUGGGUGAUAGACAUAUAUGCUAAGUGUUCUAGAUAUGUAAAGGCUUAUUUAAAGGUGCAUUUUUUUGUAGGUAUGAAAGCACUCAAAUGUGUAAAAGGAUGAAUGCAUACUUGAAUCGUUUCCUUAAAAAUCAUUUGAAGUUGUUUGAGUUUUUGAAGUAUUUUGAUUGAGCACUCUCAUGUAUUCUUCAUAAUGAGGUAAAGACAAAGUUUGAGACACACGCUUCUUUACUUGUUCUAAAUACCAAACUCUAUGAAAUUGAGAAACAUGUAGAGAUUGUUUUCACUAGGCAAUUGUUUCUCAAAUUUAGGGAUGAGAUAAAGAAUGCAAAACUUUUUUUUCCUUAUUAGUGCAAAAAAUCAUGGAGGUUAUCGUGUCCAUACAUUGAUUGAAUUUAGAAGCUCUGACAAUUUCUUGAAAGUAUUUUAUGGUAAUUGUGAUUAGUUUAUGAAAUGUACUUGUAUGAUGUUUAAGUUAGUUAGUUUUCCAUAUCCCCACAUGAUUGUUGUGAUGAAGAUAGAUCACCUUGAAGAAAUAACUGAGAGUUGUAUCAUGAAAAGGUGGUCUAAGUUAGCAAAAGAAGGGGUUCAAGUUUACCAUGACAAUGAAAGUCAAAAGAUAUGGCUAACAUUAUACAAUAUGGUGUACUCGGCUCCAUGUGUUUACGAAUGUCUUAUUUUGCAUUUCAAUAGAAAAAAACUUUUAAAAAUGUUAGAUGUGAAAUUUAAAGACUCACUUGUCAAAUGGAAGAACUUAGUAAAAAUUCAUUCAAAAGGUUUAUGGGAAAUUUUGAAAGCUACAAAACACCAUGUUCAGGAUCUUGACAUUAUGAAGACCAAAAGUAAUCUAGGUACCUUAAGAGACAAAUUCCAAAAACCAAGGUGUUGUGGAAAAUGUAAGAAAAUAGGACACAUCAUUUUAAAAUGUUCAGUGUUCGUUAACAGUCACAAUGCACCCAUCCACAUUGAAGAUUUCAAUGAGGAAAUGGUAUGGUCAAACUCUUCAUUGAAUUCACUUUUAUAAUUAUUUUCACUUGGUUAAAUUGAUUGAAAAAAAAUUGAAUUAGUUUAUGUUAAUAUAUCACAACAUAGAACAUGGAACAAGACAUAAGACAAAUGAGUUUUAUCAAAAUGUAAGUUUAACAUUUUUUUAAUAAUUUUAAUUAUGACAUGCAAAAUAUUUUUUAUGAGAGUAAUUGAAAAAUUAAAUCAUCAUAGAGAACAGUUGAAACAUUCCACAAUGGUCUAGAAACAAACUUGUAUGAUUCAUGGCUUAGAUCCACCAAAUUACUUCACAAACCAAGAGUCGUAGAGUAACUUGCCUACAACAUAUUUCAUUUAUCUAUAUAUUGGGUGAAUUUCCUAAGCAUUUAAUAUCUAGUCAUAUGAAUUUCCUUUCAAAAUAUUAUGCAUAACUAUAAAUAUUUUCAAUGUAGGUUACCAUAAACCACUUCACAUCUAGAUUUUCGGGUUUGAGUUCUUCGUAUUAGAAUCAAUGAGUAAACUAGCUAUGAUGCAAAAAAACAACUAUUGCAUUUGUUCAUCAUACAAACAAAAAACAACUCUUGAUUAUAUCCCAUACUUUUCUUCUCUUACUUUUUUGCAUGAAUGUGAACUUUAUUUAGUAUUAUGACUUUCUCUCUAUUUUCAUCACCAAGCACUAUUUAAUUGCUAACUUGUGUCCAGUAAGUAUAGACUCUCAAUGGAUAGGGGUUGAAUUUGACUCUAUGUACUUCGAUCUUUGCAUAUGAUUGAUGACAUGCACUCUACAACCCCACCUAGCAUAGAAAAUGAGAAAGAAAAUUGUCUAAUUAAUAAAUAGAAAUAUUAUUUAGAACACGUUAUAUUUGAUAAAAUGGCUAUGCUUGCUUACCCAUUGUCUUGCUCAUGUACCCAAGUAGGCCUUUCAAUGAGCAAACUUGAUAAAUCCUUGUCAUGCCCAUUAGGAUUAAAAAAAUGAGUACACUCUUUGACCUAAUUCAUAUCAUUAUAUCUUUUUAUAAAAUAACAUGAUAAGUUAACAAUUGACACUAAAAAAAUAAUAAAAUUAAUUAAAAUAUAAGAUAUGUCAUUGUUUUCACAGAUGUAGUUCUCAUAUGGUUCCUUUCUCUUGAUGGCAAUGAGUAUAAAAUAUAAAUAUUGCGUUAUUCAAGAUUUAUUACUCACAAAUGCUAAUGAUUUGGACAUGUAUCAUGCAACAAAAUGUAUAUAUAAGCAAAACACACAUUUUAGAAUUGAUAAUUAUUUAUAAGUAUGAUCUGAAUACGAUUUUCAUAAAUAUGCUUUAUCACAAUCCUCCAUUUCAUUUAUCUAUUUGAUUAUGUGUAUAUUUUACUAGACCUUGACAAUUUUCUACCACUAUGCAAAAUCAUUUGCUUACAAAAAAAUCACAAUACUUAUUAGGUUACAUUUUUUACUUUAAUAAGAAAUAUAAUAUGAACAUACCGUAAAUGUAGUGGGUAGGUAGCAUCUCGUAGAUCGUAUUUAUUUGAAUUUCAUUUCAAAAUUUUUAAGUUUGCAUACAAAUAAAUUUAUGAUCUAAAAAAGAAACAAAAGAUAGUUAACAACAUUAGUUAUUUAACAAAAUUAAUAAGAAGUUGGUUUAUUCUUGUAGUUUUUACCACAUCUAGUAAUUCUUGUCUAGGUUCUAAAAUCAUGAAAUCAUUUUUAUGUGCAUGCUCAUAUUGAAAAUUAAAACGAAGUUCACUGCAAAAUUUAGGUAUUUAAUAAGUAUAACUUUCAUAAGAUGACUUGCAUAAAGUAUAUUCAAAAUAAUGAGUUUACAAGCCUUUUGUCUAAUGAAACAUCAAACACAUAAUACACAAUUAGAGAGUCAAGUAUACUUAAGGAAUGUGAAUCCUCCACAUUUAGCAAAAUGGACAUGGGCAUUGUAUAUAUUCAAAACAUUUCUAAUAAGCAUUAGUUAUUGUUCACUAUAUUAUUAAAUAUUUAAACAAAACAACAUCAAUGAAGUAAUUCACUAUAUUUUUUGAUCCAACAAUCAUGCUUUGGAAUUUCUUAGACAUUUUUAUCUUAAUUGAUUGAUGAAUGUAGGGUGACAACUUGGAUGUACUAGGCUUGUGCUCCAUUGUUGUAUGUGUUUUUCAACACAUGAAACAUCAACAAGAACUUAUCAUGUUCAUCAAUUUUAUAUUGAAUGUUCAUGAUGGAAGAAAUAUGUAACUAUGCCACCACAUGAGUCAUUUUCAUUCAAAUUUUCUUCUAGCACAACAUUACUCAUAGGAAGAAGCAAAUGUUUCAAUUCCAUAUAUAUUUUUUAAUUGCUAAAAGCUUAUUCUUUGCAUCUUUCAUCCAUAAGAGGAACAUUUGUUUGUAGGAUAUAUUUUUUCAAUUUCUCAAAAGUCUUCUCCAUACUUACCAAAAUUUCUUCAACCUAGUGACAAAAAAAUGUAAAAUAUUAGAACAAAAAAAAAGUUUGGGAUAUGGAACCUCAUGCACAUAAAUAUAGUAUAAAUAUGUACCUUGUUGUCACGAACUUAGUCUUUUCCUAAGCUCGUGCGACACUUAGAUAGGUUAAGACACUUGAUCUUGCUAAGUCAGUCUUACUCUUGAUGCUUAGCUUGCUAGGCUAAAAUGCUCACGACUUGGAAGCUUUAGAAGGCAUAUUAUGCAACUCUUGAAGAAUGGAAGCUUUUAUUGCUCAAAGGAAGCUUUACAAGUGCUUUGGAACUCACUUGCUUAGUGCUUUGGCCAAAUGAGGCUCUCACCUAUUUAUAGGCACCAAUGGAACUCUCUAGAACCUUGAAGGGUUCCUUACAAAUCAGGAAUAUUCUAGAACACCCUACACAAUUCUAUGUACAAGCCUAUGUAUAAGAAUAUACAAGGAAUAUCUAGAAUUCUCUAGAAAGCCUUAAACUUCUCUCAUGCUUUCCACCAUAGUGUAGAGAUGUAUGGACAUCUCUAGGCAUCUCUAGAACCUUCCACACUCUUCCCACCAAUGGCUAAGUGUAGGAGUCUCCAUAAGCCUCUUGGGCUCUAUAUAAACCCCUAGGGAGGUUGUGGACCCCAUAUUUCGGCUCAUGCGCUUCCACUCGAUGGCGAGCUUGCUUUUUAUUUGAAAAUUUGAUUUUAUUUAUUAGAAAAUGACUUGGAGUCACCACUUAUUUUUGUUUUAUUUUUAAAGGGUAAACAAAAUAAGAAAGAAAAACCCUGAGUGUGACUCAUUAUUUGGAAAAGGUGGUCUGUGAAAACCAAAAAUGGGCUCGGGGGUCAGGUUACUUAUCGAGAAGGUACGGCAAAGACCGUAGCACUCCUCUAAGUCCCUAAAAACGGGUCUCUACUAAUAAAAUGAAGCAAGUAUGGCGAUUGAUAAGCAAAUCAAUGGAUACCGAAUGAAAAUCAAAACAAAAUACUAGAAUGAAUAUGAGAGCCAAAGAACGUACCUGAGUGAUGACCUAAUUUAUUUCAUGGGAAGCAAAGGUUAGUAAACAAAUAUGGAAUAAUCAUGUGCAUAUCAUAGAAUAGAAUAAAUCAAUCACGCAUGGCAAUCAAAUCAACCAAUCAAUCAAUCAGUCAUAAAAUCACGUAUAUGGGGUCCCCACUAAAGCCCAAUUUAUUUUGCAUGAAUCAAUUCCAAUAACUCCAUUAUUCACAAUUACGAAAUUUAAUUCUUUCUUAUUUUAAAAAAUUUUUAAAAUCAUGGAAGUUAUGAAAAUUACUUGUCAGAAGAAAAAGUGGUGGCAAAAUUUUAUUGAAAAAUAGGUUUUUGGAACUUAAAAAUUCUAAGGAUGAAGAAAAACUUAGAGUUUAAAGACUAAAACCUGAAAAUUUAUUUGAAGAAAAGGAUUUGAAAAAUUAUUUUUAAAAAGUUAAAGAUAGUAAAAUGGAAAAAAAAAAAACACUUGUGUCAAAGAUGGCCAUGCAAAAAGUGUGGUCUCUUAUAGCUUCUCUUCCCUGUAGCAAACCCAUCUUCAAAAGUCAUCAUUCCAUCUUUUAGAUUUAUUUUUAGGUGGUCCGAUUGAACUGCUUAUUAGGAGAUGCAAGUGCGAUCAACUCCAUUUGAGUGGCAUUUGGCAAAGUCCUCAUGAGCUUUCAAUGCCAAGUCAUCAUCUUCCCAUUCAUCAUGGAAUGCGUGUGGACGGACAAAAUAAUUCUUUUUGGUUGCAUAAUAUAUUUCCUUUCUCCAUUCUUCGACACCUGGAAUCCUACACUUGCUAGCAAAUCAGUCCAUGUAUUCUAUCCGACAAUGACCAAUGCCACGUGUGUACCACUUAGGUGUGCCUGAAGCCUCAAGCAACAAGUACUAUGCCUCAACAUCUCUCAUCAUCUCCUCUUCCGAUGGGAGUCCAAUCCUACUAGAUAGAACCCCUGCUAUCCAUUUGCUUUGAAAUUCAUACAAGAUGAAGCCAAUACCCAUCAAUGGUAACCCAAUAAAGGAAAGCCAAGCUACUAAAGCCGGUGGAAAAGUGUGCUUGUAUAGUGGUCCAACACAAUUGUCUUCCAUAGUGAUAAUGUCAUUAGUGUCAAGAAAAGGGAAAUGAUACUUGUAUCCUGUGCAAUGCAGAAUAACAUCGGCAAAAAACCACACUCCCAUCAUUAAAUAUCAUAAAGCCGUCCCUGUGGAUGCUUUCUAUCUUUACCAUAGGAUGCAGCUUCAAAUUAUCAUAGCUAGACAUGUUUCCCAAGACUCCAACCUUGGCUGAUCUAGAUGCAAUGUGAACUUCUUUGGCAACUUGAGUAAUGUCCAUAAAGAUAUCAAGAUCACUUGAACCAACCCCUAUCAAAAUUACAACUAGAUCUCGAAAGGGGUCAGGAAUACGAUAAUUAUGGCUGUGCAUUUACUUCCCCGACCAUGCAUCAAUCCCCAAAAUUUCGGCAGUACGAGGCUUUGUGUUAUGCCCAUUGCAAACAACCACUACAUAAAAAGUCUCAUCAGCUAUCACACCAUUUUCCAUUCUAGACCUAACUCUCCACUUUCCAUUAACCAACCCAGCAUAAACCACAUUUGUCUCAAAGCGGACUAACUUAGUGAGCCCAAACGUAGUGGCAUAAUCAUUGAUAUAAAGAAAUACCUCUCGAUGACCUGGAAACCUGCUGGAGUCGUUGUAAGCUUGACCCUUAGAUAUGAAAGGGUAGUCUUGAAACCCUAUAGUCUCACUCCUCAUUACGACUUCGUAUCCAAGAAAGUCAAAACACCAAGAGUAGAGAGAAAUUAGCAAAAACAGAGCAAUGAAGGAAGAAAAUAGGAUGAAGUAUUAAGAGUUAUAGUUCAUCUCUUAGUUAGUGGGCUUGCAGAUGGGUGAAUUAAAAGGUUUUUUUUUUAUUAUUUAAAAUGUCACAGAGAAGGUAAAAUGGCAUUAAAUCAAAUUUCGAGCACAAACAGGAGCAACAGAGGGGCUAGCAACUAUGAAGAAUAAAACAUAAAUCAUCCAAAAGUCAAUAGCAGCGCAUCUCAAUAAUAGUGGAUGAAGAGAAAAAGCAAGAAGAAAAAAAAAACACAGUAGAAAACUCACUUCCGAGAAAAUGUUGGAGGCCUUUAUACUUUGCAAUCCAAGACUCCCUUGUUUGCUCCCCAAGCUCAAAGAACACAUGUCCAAAAAUCUCUCUCUGUCUAAAACAAAAAUGUCUCUCAAGCCUCAAAUAACACCCCCCCUCUCCAGCAAAACUUGUAUCUCCAGCUAAAAAAAAAAAAAAAAAAACCUCACCAUCCCCAGCAAAUAUCUCCCAAAAAGAGCAACCUAAAAGCACCUCCUCUCUCCACUCUCUGUAACUAUUUCCAAAAGAAAAACCUCUCUCUCCCUCUAACCCCCUAGAGCAAAACUUGUCUCUCUUUAAAAAUCUCCUCCCUUUGUAAUCAAAACUUUCUCUAAGCUUCACCCUAAAGCUCACUCUCUUCUUCUUCUGUACAGGUUGCCUUCCAUGGAUUUCUCACUUAGAACCCUCCCCCUUAGCUUGCUGCCUAAAUAACUCCCUCUCUCUACAGUUGGCUCUCCAAGCUAACCCCCUACAAAAACAUCUCCUCUUAAAAAAUAACCGAAGACGCUCAUUCCUAAAGCUUUCUACAGCUCAAAAAUAUCUCUUCCUCUUUUUGUAAAACUUUCUUUCCCCUGGCUCCCUCUCUAUUGUUUUUUUUUCUCAAGCUAACCCUCUCUCCUAAAAAUAUCUACCCUAAAAACAGCUAUGAAGACCUCCCUUCUCUCUUCCAGAUGACACUCCUCCUAACGAAAAACCUCUUUUCGAAUCUCCCUUUACAGGUGUCAACCUUCUAUUGGCUCCUCAAAAAGCACAUCUGAUUCCCUAGCAGCCAAUCAGGAGGCAACACAUGGCUCUUUGAGAGCUCUCCACCUGACAAAAGCUAGUUGUAGGAAUACCUCCCAAAAUGGGGGUCUACAAAUAUGCCCCUCUUCGGUAGAGCUCACGAGUGUAAGGAAUAUGAACACUGGAGUGAAACAGUGUGAAUAGUGAGUGGAAUAAAGUGAACUCUACCAAAGAAGCAAGGAGACCCCCAAAGGGACAUUGGUAAAACACAGACUCACUCAGACCAACAGACGAACACAAAGACUCUAAUCUUAAAAGAAAAAGAUGUCUCAAAGUGCCUCUGAAGUCGCACUAAGGACCCAGGCUCCCUCUAAGACAUCUCCAAAAGUGACUCGAAAGACCAUAUCAAAGAUGAGUAACGGUCGAACCACUCUAAAGUACAGAAAAGACUACACCCAAAUGAGACUGCCCUAUAUGAACUACAUAAGAAUGUCAAUUGUAGGGUGCCCAACAACAUGACCGAAGUAUGUGUCAUGAACUCAAAGGACUUUGUCAUGAGUAGUGGAAAGGGAAGUCUAAAAGAGCAUGAUAAGCAAAUAAUAAGCAUCAGGUGACCAAGUGAAGAGAAUGACUCUGAAUACCCAAAAUAGAGAAACAAUGGUGACUCAAAAUGUCUGGAUAAGUAUGCACAAUUGCUUUGAACGCCAAAACCGAAGACGUGACUCUGAAUGUCAUACUAAACAAAGACCCUGGACGUCAAACUGAACUGAUAGGAAGAAUGAAUGACCGAUUAAUAUGGGUGCGGUCCUGACUCAAACUAAACUCAAACUGAUAGGAAAAUGGUCGAUCUAUAUAGGUGCGGCCCCGAAAUUCUAAUUGAAACUGACAAAACGAUGAAUGACUGAUCGAUAUAGGUGCGGUCCCGAAAAACUCAAACUGACAUAGAAAUGAUAGGAAGAUGGCUGAUUGAUAUAGGUGCGGCCCCGACUCAAAUUGAACACGGAAGAUGAUCAAUCGAUAUAGGUACAGUCCUGAAAAGCUCAAAAUGACAUGGAAAUGAGAGGAAAAUGGCUGAUCAAUAUGGAUGCAGCCCCGAAAACUCAAUCUGUCAUGAAAAAUGACUGAUCAAUAUAGGUGUAGUCUUGAAAAACUCAAACUGAUAGGGAAACAUUAGGAAGAUGGCUGAUUGAUAUAGGUGCGACCCCGAAAAACUCAAACUGUCACGAAAAAUGACCGAUGGAUAUAGGCGCGUCCCGAAAAACUCAAACUAAUAUGGAAAUGAUAAGAAGAUGGCCGAUCGAUAAAAGUGCAGCCCUGAAAAACUCAAACUGACAUGGAAAUGAUAGGAAAAUGGUUGAUUGAUACGGGUGUGGCCCUGAAAACUCAAACUGUCACGAAAAUCACUGAUCGAUAUAGGUGCGGUCCUGAAAAACUCAAACUGACACGGAAAAUGAUUGAUCGAUAUAGGUGCGACCCCGACUCAAACUAAACACAUAAGAUGUGGUGACCGAUCGAUAUAGUUGCGGCCCCAACUCAAACUAAACACAGAAGAUGUGGUGACCGAUUGAUAUAGGUGCGGUCCCGACUCAAGCUGAACACAAACUAAUAGGAAGAUGGUUGAUCGAUAUAGGUGCGACCUCAACUCAAACUGAACACAAACUGAUAGGAAUAUGGCCGAUCAAUAUAGGUACGACCUCGAAAACUCAAAUUGACAUGAAAAAUGAUCGAUCGAUAUAGGUGCGAUCCCGACUCAAACUGAUAGACAUAUGGCCGAUCAAUAUAGGUGCAGCCCCGAAAACUCAAACUGACACGAAAAAUGACUGAUCGAUAUAGGUGCGGCCCCGACUCAAACUAAACACAAACUAAUAGGAAUAUAACCGAUCAAUAUAGGUGCGGCCUCGAAAAACUCAAACUGACACAAAAAAAUGACGAUAUAGGUGUGGCUCCAACUCAAACUGAUAGGAAUAUGAUCGAUCAAUAUAGGUGCGGCCCCCAAAAACUCAAACUGACAUGAAUAAUGAUCUGAUCAAGUAGCCCAAAGCCAGAGGAUACUAAGAUGACGAUGCAAGCAAACUCCAUUGGAGGGGAUAUACCCCGGUAUGACAACUCAUGAAGAUCGACAACUAGGUCAAAAGAUAAAGAAGCAUGUGAAAGGUUCGACGAUCUUAAAGAAUGAGGGUAUGCCCCAAUAUGUGAUUCACGGGGGUCAACAAUUAGAUCAAAAGGCGAAUAAAGCCUAUGGAAGGUCCGAUGAUCCCAAGUAAGAAGGGUAUGCUUCAGUAUGUGACUUGCGGGGGUCAACAACUAGAUCAAAAGGUGAAUGAAGCCUAUGGAAGGUUCGAUGAUCCCGGGUAAGGAGCGUAUGCCCUAGUAUGCAAUAAUGAACAAACAUAAAUGCAAAAUGCCUCCAAACUACUGUACUUUGAAAUAUGCUCAUCUAUCAUGUAAUGAAAAUGUCCAACCUCAGAUAAGUAAUGCCAAACAGGACCAUGUAUCGUGACACCAUGAUGACAAAACAAAACUAGCUGGUGAAUAACAACAAUAAUGGUUAGUGCUCAAAAUGCAAAGAGUAAACAAAUCAACACUCAACAUGCUAACUGUCAAAGUGAAAACAUCGUCACUAAUAAAUCAACAAUCUGUCAUGCCCUGCCAUCAUGGAAGAUGUUGAACCUAAAGUCUGAAAGAUGUAUGAAAACACAACCAAAGUGAUCGAGGACUGAUCUACGCCUCAUCCAAAUCGAGAUAGGGGUGAAGUUAGGUGUUACGGUGGGAUAUGUAGGAUAAAAGAAAGUGAUGAUCAGGCUCUGGUAUGAUAGAAGCAUGAAAGUAUCCAAAUUGAAAUGUCUAAGUACGAAAUAAAAGGUUGUAAGUAUCUGAGAUCAUCCAAGUAUGUCGAGAAGACUAAACCCAAGGUGUCAAUAACUCUAUAAUCUAUCAGAAGUAAUAAUCAUAAACAGAAAGUCAAGUCUUGAUAUCAAAACAUCCGACUAGAUGGCUAUGCUCCAAUAUGCAAUGAGGACAACAUGAAACAAUCCAAUGAUCUCCACAUCAUCUGGUAGAUGCUCCAAUGUAAAGAACUAAUCGAAUAUUCCUCCAAAAGAUGGACAUGCCCUAAUGUAAAGGAUCCAAUAGGGUGGCUAUGCUCCAAUGAAAAAUACUCUCCAUGCCAGCUAUGCCCCUGUAUAUUCGAGUCAUCAACUGCUAAAGAAGAUCAUGCCUGGUGUACGUCAACAAAUCAAUCCAUCUCUACUCCCGAUGCCAAAAAAGGGAAACAUCCCAACAUAAUCCAUAUGAAUCAGAAUCCCUAAGGCUCUAUGAAUGUGAAUGAAGUGGCUAUGCCCCAAUAUAAAUCAUCUGAAGUGACUAUGCUCCAAGAUAAAUCAAAUUCCAUUGCCAAUGAGACGACUAUGCCUCAAUAUGUGUCCUCAAAACAAGGUCAAUGUCAUUCCUCAAUGCUAAAAAUAGAAAUACUACUAUGAUCUCAAUCAUCCUAUGCUUUACAAAAAAAAAAAAAAAUAGAGUGGUUGUAUUUACUAUGCACAAUCUCUAAAGCAAUCAUAUCUCAAAAUAAACCAUCAUCUCAAAAAAACAACCAUCGAUGAGAGGAGUGUGUCUUAAUGCAGAAUAUCAAGUAGAGUGACUGUAUCUCCAAUAAAAGUGCUUUCUGAAAUGGUUAUGCCCCAGUGUAGGAUCAUCCUAAAAGAAACUACCAUCGAUGAGCGGGGUAUGCCCCAGUGUAGAUAACGUCACCUCUGAAAAUCCAUCACUGAUAAGAGGGGUAUGCCCUAGUGUAAAUCAUCAUCUUAAUUCCUCAUCCAUCAUGCACGAAGAAAUAAUCUCCAACAAACCUUGAGUAUUACCCACAUGUGAGCUGGCAAACACCAUGUGAAGUAAUGGCCUUAGGGUGGUCUUCAGACACGGGACAUAAUGUAGACCAAGGUAAUAGGGUGAAAGAAAUAAAAGGAAACUAGGCUCAAAGAUCCCAAUGAUAUAAUCCCCAUACCCCUCAUGCAGGAGAUGCAAUGCGUAGGAAACAUCAUGAGUCCUGGACCUAGGGGUUCCCACACGAAAAGGGAUGAUAAAUGAAUGAACUUAUCAAAUAAGCAAGUAUAAUGUGUGAAUGCUGAACCCAAGUCAAACAUCGAGCAAAAUGAGAAAAGAAAGAAAUCGAAUGAGGUAAAGUAAAAAUGGAGUGAUAAAACAAAGAUAGAAGAAAGUAAAGAGAUAGAAAAGUGAGUGAUUGUCAACCUGCAUCAAAGCAUGGAAAGUAGUCACAUCCAAAAUAGAUGGGAUGAUGGAUAGAGCAAGGAUCCAAAGAUACUAAAGAAAGGUUGCUCGCCUCUCUCACAAAAAUUGAGUGGGUGCCUCAUACUCUCACCCAAAAUAUACCAAGAUAGAAUCUCAUAAAGAAGCUCUCAUACAAACUCCCUCUAACACAUGAACUCAAUGAAGCAAAUUAGCACGUCCAUACACAUGCCCAAUGGAGAAUAAUAAAAUGAAUAAUGCACUAUUUUUUUUUCAAAUACUCUAAUCAAUAAUGAAUGAUCUCCCGUGAAAUACAUAGCCAAAUGAAUAAACCCUCCCCAUGUACUGAUGUAACUUGAAUCCUCACUAACAAGACAACCUCUCAAAAUAAGAUCUCUGAACCAUUGCUCAUAAGGCGGACAGGGGGAAGGAUGUGACAAUCCUCCAUGUAGUGACUUGUGAAAAACCACCACUCAAGGUGAAACAAGGAUAAUGUUGAGUAAUUAAUGAUGAAAGAAAAGACAGAGAAUGAAUAUCACAAGUGGUGAUAUGUGAUAUCAUAAAAUAGUGAUGAAAUGAUGACCAAGUGGAAAAUAUCACAAAUGAAGAUCGAGGAAUGAGGCCUGAAUAUGUAUGUCAAGUCUAAAACUCAUGACGUAUCCUAUCAUAGCAUGCAAGCACUACAGGGUCUCCAACCCGAUGUAAUAGGUAAAUGAGGUGAUGAAAGAAAAGGCUAUGUGCUCGUAUGAGGCUUAAUGGGAUAGUAAUGGGUAACUCUAUAUGCGAGAGUGAUAUGGUAAAUAAGCUCCCGAAAUGAUGGCCACCCAUCCUAUGACCGUAACCUCGAACAUCGUGCUUUAAAGAUCUCACAUGGUCAAUACUAAAGGCUGGCACCCGUCCAACAAAGUCAUGGUGACUCCUUUGAAAUCGUGUGAAAGUUCCCAUCGAUGCUCUGUGAUAAUCAUCAAUGUCCUCUGACAAUCACCUCACUCUAUCAUCAUAAUCUACUAACCAUCAUCUCAUAAAAUCACCAUCUCUAAUCAUCCCAACUCUUUGAAGUCAGGUGCAAUGGCUCAAAUCUGGAUGCUCCAUGACGUCUCAUCUACCUCAACAACAUCAUCAAGCAGUCAAACCACUCUCUCAUCAUGAUCCAUCUAUCAAUCGUGUAGAGCUCACCUCAGGUCAAACUAUCUCAGGCACUACAUGGUCAGAUCAAGGAAAUGAUGGAAAGAAAAGGCAAUGGUACUGUAGCAUGCUAAGGCGAACAAGGGUAGUAAAGUCAUGUAAUGGUACCAGGGGUGGUGUCAUGUCAAGCCCAAAAUGGUUAGGUCAUCAAGUCUAAAAAGUUAGGGUAGAGAUAUGGAUAUGGUGCUGCUUUGAUUAGAAGAUGAAACGAGUCGUAGUCUUGAGUUCACUAGUCGAUCCUCUAAUCCUAGGUCAACAGGCUCAAUAUCCUCCAUGAUAGGUCAGGCCCUAGCGAUCAUGAUGUAAGUGAAAGAUGUCUCAUAUCGAAAGAAUAACACACAUCAACACAUAAUAUGUAAAACAUACUCAUGAGUAGGAGAAGAACAUAUACUUAGGAUAAAAAGAUCAUGUCACUAAAAUGAACCAAUGAGUACAUCAUGUGUGAAAUGAUAAAGGACUAUAAAUGACUAGACUCUCAACAUGAACUAUAAACAAAGACCCUAAACCAAAACCGAACUCAACAAAAUAAAAGCAACUUUGAUGAACUGAAAAUUGGACUCAACAAAAUGGAAAAUGACUCUAAUGAUGACCAUAAUCAGAAUGAAAAGUGCUCUGAGUUGAACUGCUACCAAGUGAUGUACCCAUGCCGACUGAUCCAAGCCCUCAACCCGGGAUGUCCCAAAAUACCAUGCGACCAUCAAUACCAUCAAUAUCCAGAUCGAUCUACUGAAGAUUAGGAGGAGGAGGAACUACAUGUGUAGAUGUGUAGGCAGGGGAUUGGUGGUCACACUUGGCCCAGCCAGGUCGACCAACCUUGAAUCGGUCAAGUCCUGUAUCGCAUGAUGGAGCGUUGAACAAUGCUCAGUAUCGUGCCCCUAAAUCUAAUGAUAUAAGCAAUGCUCAUGUGAGAGGAAAUGAAGAGGAAUAGGAUGUGGCAAAGGACGUGGCACCAAAGGAACAAUCAAACCAGCGUCUCUGAGCUUCUCAAAAGCUCUAGUCAAAGUCAUGCCUAAUGGAGUGAACUAUCUCACGAGUCUCUGUGCAUAUGGUUUAGGUGGUAGGUGAGUAGUGGCUCUCGGAUGUGGUGGUCGUGGUUGCAUGCUGGUCUGAGCAAUGUAAAGCUCCUGAAUAUAAAUUGACUGAUACAGAUACUAGGGAUGAGAGAAAUGAGCUCUGACUGUAGGAGGCCUAUAAGGUGAGUGAUGCGUAGGCCUCUGAUGCUGAUAACUAAUAGCACCAACCUCUCCAGAUCUACUAGAUGAUCCAAUCGACUUCUUCUCCUUACUGUCAGGGAAAAUAAUAGUAUUUAUCCAUAAUCCUUGAGCAAUGGCCUCCUCAACACUAAAAUCUGCAUGAACUAGGCUCUUAAGAUCCUAAAAUGGGAUGCCCACAAGAUGCCUAGUGAACCUCGGCUGUAGGUUCCGAAGAACCAUAUCAAUCUAAUCCUGCUUCGUAGGUCGGUCUAUCAUACCAACCACUUUUUCCCUCCAAUGACUGACAAAGGAAGAAAUAGACUCGUCUGGCCUUUGUCUGGUGGCCUCCAACUCUUGUCUGGAUACAUUAAUGUCGGCACUGAAAGCGAAUUGAGUCAGGAACUCAUGAGCCACAUCUUCCUAGGUACGAAGUCUCGAAGGCUCAACUAAAGCAAACCAUCUCUGAGCUGCUCCCCUAAGUGACAUAGGGAAGAGGGCCACCAAUUGUGAAUCAUCUAUCCUAUGUGCUCUCAUUACUAUGCUGUAUAGCCUCAAAUGGGUCUUGGGAUAGCCAAUCCUGCUAUAACGCUCAAUAUCUGGCAUGCAAAACUUGGCGGGUAAGCUAGCCGCCAGUAUGCCAUCUCUAUCAUCCCAAGUCAAACCUCUAUCUUGCAAUCUGAUUUGUCUCAUCCUAGAAUCAAGCCUCUCAACCCUAGCCUCCUGCUCAGCCAAUCUAGUAUCAUUAAUAGUAGAAACCAUGGGAGGUGGCACUAUGACAGUAGGUAGUGGAAUGGUCUCAUAAAGAUUUGCCAGAUGGAAUGGAGUACCAAGUGAAACCCUAGAUGGUAGAGCUUGUGCUGUCUGAGAUUCAUGAUGAACCGUCUCAUCAGUGACCACACCAACUGGAUGAGGAUCCCGGUAAGAACUCUAUAUUUGAUCCAAACGUCUACUCACUUUGGCCAUGAACUCUUAAAUAGAAGCAAGUGUAGCAAUUAGCUCGUUUGACAUCUCAACUGAACUAUCUAAACUAUGAUUUGAAUAUGCUAUGAUCAAUCGACCUCCAACUCUCCUCUAAGAAUGUGACUCUAGACUUGACCAACUCCUAAACUGACUCCCUACAAUGCAAACAAAUGGAUGAAGGAUGCAAGAAAGAACCUGAUUCGACUCAUGGUAGCUUAGCUUUAAAGGCGUAUCAACAAAAUUUAUACCUUAAAUACUAUUACUAAAGUAGCCAAGCUACUAUAGCAUAGUGGUUCUAGGAUCGUUCACUGGGAAGGGUUUUCGCAAACACUAGUGAUAUUCAAAUUAGGAAAAUAGGUGCUUUUCUUAUGGAUGUUAGCUUUAAAAGAAGAUAUAAAUGUUUUAGAAAGAUUUAAACUAAUCUAAGCUAACAUUAAAGACUAAAAUGAAAAGGUGUAAAAACAAGUUUCUCAAAGAUAGGAUAGCUAUGCUCUGGCUCUUAUACAAAUUGGAAAUCUCAGGAUAGGCUCCUCACGUUGGGGUUGCAACUAUGGUGAUGCUUGCUUCCCGAACCGGUAUGGAUUUAGCAAAUCAAGUUUUAAUCCUUUAAAAUGACAAAACAGAUGGUAGUGAAUUUCAUCAAUGGUUAUUCACCUUAGACUUCCUUUGAAUGGCUCGUAAGAGAUAACUAAUGGUCUAAAGCUAAAAGCUNNNNNNNNNNNNNNNNNNNNNNNNNNNNNNNNNNNNNNNNNNNNNNNNNNNNNNNNNNNNNNNNNNNNNNNNNNNNNNNNNNNNNNNNNNNNNNNNNNNNNNNNNNNNNNNNNNNNNNNNNNNNNNNNNNNNNNNNNNNNNNNNNNNNNNNNNNNNNNNNNNNNNNNNNNNNNNNNNNNNNNNNNNNNNNNNNNNNNNNNNNNNNNNNNNNNNNNNNNNNNNNNNNNNNNNNNNNNNNNNNNNNNNNNNNNNNNNNNNNNNNNNNNNNNNNNNNNNNNNNNNNNNNNNNNNNNNNNNNNNNNNNNNNNNNNNNNNGAGGAAAGCCCUCAGAGGCUGUUUGGCUUCCAAGAAAAUAAAAUAGUAAAGAUAAAAGAGAGACGAGAGAGCUCUGUAUAUAUUCUAAGUGUAAAACGUAACCUAUGUUCUCUAUAUAUUCCAAGAGGUGAUUUCCACCCCUUAUAUAGUCUUUACAAAAGCAAAAGCUUGUGAUUGGUUAGUUACAAGGAUAAGAAAGGAAAUUACAUCACAAAAUACAAAGGAAAAUAUCUAAAGUGGAGUCGGCAAAAGCAGAGGAAAAUUCGCAACACGCAUGGGUUAUGCGAAUUUUGAAGGUGUUAUGCGAAAUUUUCGCAUAACCUAGAGCAGUUGGCUUCCGAAGACCAUAUCUUCCUCAUUUCAACUCCAAAUCGUACACGGUUUGAAGCUUUGGAUUCUUGACUUCCAGAGCUUUGAAAUGGUAUAUAGUAUGUAAAAAAUGGACUUCGGGAAGUGCUCCAAAAGUGAGCAAGAAUACUGCAGCUGCUGUCCUCUUUGCUUCUCUUCACUUUGCUUGCUUUUCCUCUUUUCCAUUGUUCUUUCCUUGCAUACUUUGAAAGACUUUGGCAAAGGGCUAUGGAGCUCCAAAGCUUGGUUCUUCAUGAAUUUGUGCUUCCAAAAGCUUUGCCAUAACUUGUCUAAGUAGCUCCUCCAUCAUUUGGCAUGCUUGAAUUGAUUCAUAAGCUGAUAAAAACAUGUAAACUUGCCACAAAAUGGUUAAAACCAAUUACUAAGGACCUUAAUGAAUUAAUUGGGUUAAAUGAAUAUGAUUACUACUCAAAGGUGCUUAAAACCAUUAUAAUUAGGUCUACAAAAUAACACUUUUUGGUAGUAAUCAGAACCCUAAAAGACAACUGUAUAACAUGUAAGCACAUGAUCCUGAGGUGGCAAUCCUAAAUCUGGAUGUAUAAUGAGAACUCUAGAGUCAUAAAGGUGUCCACUGUGAGAUGGCUACAAAUGUUACUAGAGAAUUCCUAUCAAUAAUCCAAGAUGAAAGAGGUGUGAGAAAUACACUAUCAUAAGAUCGAUACUCCAUCUAUAAACACAUAUCCUUAACUCAACCUUCAACUCGAGCUUCAUAAGAGAAAAAUAAUAAGGUGAUUAAGGCGACUAUCUCGAAAAAGAUGUGAAUGUGAAAUGUGCCUUUCACUUUUUCGUAAUAAAAAUAUAAGCAUCGAGUCGAAAAUCAAAUCAAGUAUCCAACAAAGAAUAAGGUACCGAGCCUGUGAUAGGUGUAUAGUGUAAAAAGAUGAACAUAUCUCAAAGUAUCAAGUAAGUGACAACAAAGUGAAAGGAUGUGUUGAGCCAAGAAAGGAAAAUGAAAGCCCUAAGGAGAAAACAUAGUAAACUCAACGAGUGAAAAGAACAAACUAAGGUGACAUGAUAAAGGUGAUCCAAUCAAUACUCAAACUCAUACCAAUCUCUAAGCACUCUCAACUGGAAACCAAAAGAGAAAACACUGGACCUAGGUGGUGACUAAGUGGCUCUGAAGGCUCUCAGAUGCACCCACAUGUGAGGAAGGAAUCCUAAUCAAAAUAUUUAAGCUCAUCCUACAAGGUCAAAGUGGCCCUAAAAGGAAAUGGGUAGACUUUAAAAGGUCCUUAGUAGAAGUGAUCGUACCCUCUAGCGAUACGCAACCCUUUGCACACCUUCAAAGAGACGGGGUGCUUCCAUGCAAAGUGGUCAUCACCUCCACACAUGCACUGCCUCAACAUCCCAGGGGUUUCCUAUGGUGAAAGCUCUCACAACUCUCAACACUUAGUGGUAAGCUAAGGUGCUCAAUGAAUGGUGUGGGUGCAUCCGAAAAUCCUAUGAAACUAAAAGAAAACACACUAGCCACACAAAUAUCCUAAAAUCUAGCUCUAGGCUAUACAAGUCUUCAAAGUUCAGACUCCAAUCAGUAUCAAUAUGUUGACCACCUCUAGAAUGCUCCCAAACAUAGAUAUAGCCCAUCGCUAAACCCUACUCUUAAUCACUAGCUCGGUCGAAAAGCAAACGAAGCAAAAAGUCUCAUAUCAAAUACCAGACCCUAGAAAACAAGGUCAACCGAGACUAGGGAAUUGGAGAUAAAGGGAUAAGUGUGUGUCCCACAUAGACAAGCAACUCAUGCAAUCACACGAAAUGAGAGAAGUCAUGCAACAAACAGUCAUGCAAAAUAAGUAUAUAUCAUCCAAAUCUACACACAAGCUAAUCGAGAAUAAUAUUUGGCAAUGAUAGCAUGCUCCAUGAUAAUCAAGAUAAUAUACAACUAAGAGAAUCAACCAUGUCAAAGUGAAUGAGAUAAGCAACAAGAAUAAUGUACAUGCCAAGGUGAGCAGAGUGAUCAUACAACAAGGAGAGUCAAUAUGUGAGGGUAAUCAAAUGGAUCAAUCAAUACAAUCAACAUGUUGAUGUCUCAAAUGAAUACCAUAACUAAUCAUGCAUCAAGGAUAGUGACAUCAAGAGCUCUCAAUGUGUGAUAAAAAAUCAAGCAAACAAAAACACAAAGAGAGAUAGGUACCCUCUGAUCGACCAAUCAAAUGCCAUAAUUGCCUCAACUUAUGUUCAAGCUUGACCCUCUAAUCGAUCACCAGUGGAGUUGCCAUUUUAUAGACCCCACAUUUCGACUCAUGCGCUUUCUCUCGAUGGUGAGCUCGCUUUUUAUUUGAAAAUUUGAUUUUAUUUAUUAGAAAAUGACUUGGAGUUGCCACUUAUUUUUCUUUUAUUUUUAAAGGGUAAACAAAAUAAGAAAGAAAAACCCUAAGUAUGACUCCUUAUUUGGAAAAGGUGGUCUAUAAAAACCAAAAAUGGGCUUGGGGGUCAGGUUACUUAUCAGGAAGGUACGGUAAAGACCGUAGCACCCCUUUAAGUCCCUAAAAUCGAGUCUCUACUAAUAAAAUGAAGCAAAUAUGACGAUUGAUAAGCAUAUCAAUGGAUACCGAAUGAAAAUCAAAACAAAAUACUCAAAUGAAUAUGAGAGGCAAAAAACGUACCUGAGUAAUGAACUGAUUUAUUUCAUGGGAAGCAAAGGUUAGUGAACAAACACAGAAUAAUCAUGUGCAUAUCAUAGAAUAGAAUAAAUCAAUCACGCAUGGCAAUCAAAUCAACCAAUCAAUCAAUCAAUCAUAAAAUCAUGUAUAUGGGGCCCCCACCAAAGCCCAAUUUAUUUUGCAUGAAUCAAUUCCAAUAACUCCAUUAUUCGCAAUUACGAAAUUUAAUUCUUACUUAUUUAAAAAAAAUUUAAAAUCAUGGAAGUUAUGAAAAUUACUUGUCAGAAGAAAAAGUGGCGGCAAAAUUUUAUUGAAAAAUAGGUUUUUGGAACUUAAAAAUUCUAAGGAUGAAGAAAAACUUGGAGUUUAAAGACUAAAACCCAGAAAUUUCUUUGAAGAAAAGGAUUUGAAAAAUUAUUUUUAAAAGGUUAAGGAUAGUAAAAUGGAAAAAAAAAAAAAAAAAAGGCACUUGUGUCAAAGGUGGCCAUGCAAAAGGUGUGGUCCCUUGUAGCUUCUCUUCCCUAUAGCCAACCCAUCUUCAAAAGUCAUCAUUCCAUCUUUUAGAUUUAUUUUUAGGUGGUCUGAUUGAACUGCUUAUUAGGAGAUGCAGGUGCGAUCAACUCCAUUUGAGCAACAUUUGGCAAAGUCCUCAUGAGCUUUCAAUGCCAAGUCCUCAUCUUCCUAUUCAUCACGGAAUGUGUGUGGAUGGACAAAAUAAUUCUUUUCAGUUGCAGAAUAUAUUUCCUUUCUCCAUUCUUUGACACUUGGAAUCCUAUACUAGCUAGCAAACCAGUCCAUGUAUUCUAUCUGACAAUGACCAAUGCCACGUGUGUACCACUUAGGUGUGCCUGAAGCCUCAAGCAAUAAGUACUAUGCCUCAACAUCUCUCAUCAUCUCCUCUUUCGAUGGGAGUCCAAUCUGACCAGAUAGAACCCUUGCUAUUCAUUUGCUUUGAAAUUAAUACAAGAUGAAGCCAAUACCCAUCAAUGGUAAACCCAACAAAGGAAAGCCAAGGUGCCAAAGCCGGUGGAAAAGUGUGCUUGUAUAGUGGUCCAACGCAAUUGUCUUCCACAGUGAUAAUGUCAUAUCGAGCCGUCUUAGUGGAUGCUUUCUAUCUUUACCAUAGGAUGCAACCUCAAAUUAUCAUAGCCAAACAUGUUUCCCAAGACUCCAACCUUGGUUGAUCUAGAUGCAAUGUGAACUUCUUUGGCAACUUGAGCAAUGUUCAUAGAGAUAUCAAGAGCACUUGAACCAACCCCUCUCAAAAUUACAACCAGAUCUCGAAAGGGGUCAGGAAUACGAUAAUUGUGGCUAUGCAUUUACUUCCCCGGCCAUGCAUUAAUCCCUAGAAUUUCGGUAGUACGAGGCUCUGUUUCGUGCCCAUUGCAAACAACCACUACAUAAAAAAUCUCAUAAGUUGUCACACCAUUUGCCACUUUAGACUUCGUUCUCCACUUUCCAUUAACCAACCCAACAUAAACCACCUCUGUCCCAAAGCAGACUUACUUAGUGAGCCCAAAUGUAGUGGCAUAAUCGUUGAUAUAAAGAAAGACCUCUCGAUGACCUGGAAACUUUCUAGAGUCGUUGUAGGGUUGACUCUUAGAUACGAAGGGGUAGUCUCAAAACCCCACAGUCUCACUCCUCAUUACGGCUUCAUACCCAAGAAAGUCCAAACACCAAGAACAGAGAUAAAGUAACAAAAACAGAGCAAUGAAGGAAGAAAAUAGGAUGAAGUAUUAAGAGUUAUACUUCAUCUCUUAGUUAGUGGGCUUAUAGAUGGGUGAAUUAAAAAGGUGUAGACCCUCAAUUUUUUCCCUCGACAUCGGCAUUUAUCCUUCGGGUGUCAUAUCCACCCAUUGUUUGCAUAUGGCACCACUAGGGCCUCUUUUGGGCUUAGUCGGUGUCCGAGCCUCGUGUGGGUUUGUCUGUGGUCCAUUGUGGUGCAUAUGUGGUUCAUUUUGGAGGGUCACCAUGGCCAUUUUCCUAUUCGUUCACAUAACGCUAUAGGAAGGAAGUGGGGUCAUCCCGAUGUUUUAGCUUAGUUGGAGUUUAUAGGGGCAUGUUGAGGUUCGGAGCACUUGGGCUUGUUUUGAUCAUAUCUCCCUCAUCCAAAUUUGGAAUCAAGAACCGUUUCUUUUUAUGGAUUCCUUAUUCUUCCAGAAACAUUCUAUAAAAUUUUCAAAAUUUUUUGCAACCGUUCGGCUGGUUGGCAGCCGGUUCAGCAGAUUCAGCCGGUUCAUCAAGUUAGCCGGUGUAGAACACUGAUUUUUGGUAAUUAUUUUGAUCAUAUCUCCCUCUUCCGAAAUCGGAAUCACACACCGUUUUUUUUCAUGGAUUCCUUAUCUACUAGGAACAUUAUGUCAAAUUCUCAGAAUUUUUUUCCAUUAGUUCAACCAGUUGGCAUCCGGUUCGGCCGGUUCAGCCGGUUCAUUGAGUCAGCUGAGGUAAAACACUAAUUCUCGUAAUUUUGAGGCCCAAAUCCUACAUGGCUCAAGCCCGUAAGCUCCAGAUCGGUUUUGGGCAAUGUUGUGGGUCCAUUUUGGGCCUUGGUUUGGGUUCUUUUCAGCCCACCACGAAUCCAUAUGGAUUCUUGGUGGUGAAGCAAGCUGAAAACUGAAGGGAGUGAGCUGGCCUCGUAAGUUUAAGAGAAGUAAUGAGGGAUGUGGUUCCCAUGCUGAUGAAAGGGAUUUUGAUGCUGAAGAGGAAGGAACCCAGGAGGCUUAAAUGCUAAGAGGGGUAUGAGUAUAAAAGGUGAGAGGAUAGGAGAGCAAAGGACAAGAGGGGACAUUUUGGAGAGGGGAAAUUUUGUCGGUGAGAAAAACAAAAGGUCAGUAGCAUCUUCUGAGUUGAGAGUGUGGGGGAAAGCUUCAGCACUGUGGUUUUUUUGAAGAGGAGAGUGACAGCAUCUCAAGUUUGGAAGUCAUCAUCGGCAUACACAGAUCAUAUUUGGUUGAGAUUCUGAGGUAAGCAUGCUGAAUUUUCUUUACUUACAAUUUUUCUUCCUCGUCUUCAUAUGCUUUUUCUCCUUCCUCAUCAUCUUUUCUUCCCUUUGAUAUGAAGAUUGUAUUGCUUGGGUGUGGAUAAUAAAGGCCACACAUGAUUGUUGUUGAUUGGUUAUGAAUGGUUUAGGAACUUUCUGACCGAAUUUGGGGUUUUUUAUUAACCGGCUGAACCGGUUCAACCGGUUCAGCACAAUAGCUGGCUGCCUCUGUCAGCCAUGAAGAACACCUGCCUUUCUUUGUUUGGUUCUCACUCAUCCGGGCUUGGAAUUGAGAACCGUUUCUUUUAUUUGCUUCCUUAAUCACUUAGGAACUUUCUGACUGAAUUUGAGGUUUUUUAUCAACCGGCUGAACCGGUUGGGAACCGGUUCAGCACAAUAGCUGGCUGCCACUGUCAGCCAUGAAGAACACCUAUCUUUCUUUGUCUGGUUCUCACUCAUCCGAGCUCGGAAUUCAGAACCGUUUUUUUUUUCUUCCUUAAUUACUUAGAAACUUUCUGACCGAAUUUGGGAUUUUUUAUCAAUUGGCUGAAUUAGUUGGGAACCGGUUCAACCUGUUCAGCACAAUAGCUGGCUGCCUCUGUCAGCCAUGAGGAACACUUGCUUUUCUUUGUCUGGUUCUCACUCAUCCGAGCUCGGAAUUGAGAACCGUUUCUUUUGUUUGCUUCCUUAAUCAAUUAGGAACUUUCUGAUCGAAUUUGGGAUUUUUUUAUCAACCAGCUGAACCGGUUGGGAACUGGUUCAACCGGUUCAGCACCAUAGUUGGCUGCCUCUGUCAACCAUGAGGAACACCUGCCUUUCUUUUGUUUGAAUCCUCACUCAUUUAGGAGUUUUUUAGAAAAAUUUGGGAAUUCUUCUCAAUAGGUUGUACUAGUUGAGAACUAGUUCAACCUAUUCUACUGGAGGACUUUAGGUAGCCCUCAAUUUUGGCAUUUUUCGAGCCCUUAUCCAUUGGGGCUCAAACCCAUUUGCUAUAGGGCACUUGUGAGCCAUCUUGAAGCUUUAAGUCAGUGUUUGAUUUUAGUUAGUAUGGGCAAUUUUGAAGUUAUGGGUGGUGUGGUCUAGAUGAGUCUAGUUCGAUUUGUAUGGCAUUUGGGGAGUCCCUUACCUCAUUUCAACCAACUAUCUUCCUUUUUGGCACAAGCUUUGAUGCUUGAUUUUGAAUACAUGUUGCGUGACUGACUCACCCUCUACUGUAGCACAUGGCUAGGGACUAUAGGUACGCAUCGUUGGUUUUGAUUGUUGAAUCAUAUGCAUGCAUGGUGCUUAAUCUUGAAUGUUUGUUAUGUGUUUAUCUACCUUUUAUGCAGCGCUUGGUUAGGGACCACAGGUACGCACCCAUUAUUUUGGUUGGUUGAAUUCAUAUGAAUGCCAAAUACCAACUAGGAUUGUGUGAUUCAUGACAUCUAUUUAGCCUAGGGUUUCAUCUUUGACCCAUAUGCUCCCACAUACCCAAUUCAUUAGUAGAGACCGAGUUCCGGGCCUAGAGGGGUGCUACCUCGCAUGAGGUACCUUCCCAAUGGGUAACCUGAUCCCCGGACCCAGAAUCUAGUUUUCGCAGACCGCUUUUUCCAUACUAGGGUCAUUAGGGGUUUUUGUUCUUACUUAAUUUUCCCCAUUUUAAAAAUAAAAAUAAAAAUUAAGUGGCGACUCCAUACAACACCGUUCCUCACCGAGGGCAGGUUUUUCAAAAUCGGAAAACUCAAGUUUUUCAUUCUUUCUUUUCUUUUAAAAGCGAGUCGCGCCGGUCCGGUGGAUCGGGUGAGGGUCCACAAAAGGUUUUUUUUAUUAUUUAAAAUGUCACAAAUGAGGUAAAAUGGGAUAAAAUCAAUUUCCGAGCACAAACAGGAGCAAUAGAGGGGCUAGAAGUUAUGAAGAAUAAAACAUAAAUCAUCCAAAAGUCAAUAGCAGUGCAUCUCAAUCAUAGUGGAUGAAGAGAAAAACCAAAAAGAAAAAAAAAAAAAACAAUGGAAAACUCACUUUUGAGAAAAUGUUGGAGGCCUUUAUACUUUGCAAUCCAAGACUCCCUUGUUUGCUCUCCAACCUCAAGGAACAUAGCUCCAAAAAUCUCUCUCUAUCUAAAACAAAAACGUCUCUCAAGCCUUAGAGAACACCACCCCCCCCCCCCUCUCUCAAGCAAAACUUGCAUCUCUAGCAAAAAAAAAAAAAAAAAAAACCUCACCAUCCCUAACAAAUAUCUCCCAAAAACAGCAACCCAAAAGCACCUCAUCUCUCCACUCUCUAUAACUAUCUCGAAAAGAAAAACCUUUAUAUCACUCUAAUCCUCUAGAGCAAAACCUGUCUCUCUCUAAAAAUCUUCUCCCUCUGUAAUCAAAACUUUCUCUAAGCUUCGCCCUAAAGCUCACUCUCUUUUCCUUCUGUACAGGUUGUCUUCCAUGGUUUUCUUGCUCAAAACCUUCCCCCCUAGCUUGUUGCCUAAACAACUUCCUCUUCCUUCAGCUGACUCUCCAAGCUAACCCCCUACAAAAAUAUCUUCUCUCAAAAAAUAACCAACGACGCUUCUUCCUAAAGCUCUCUGCAACUCAAAAAUAUCUCUCCACCUUUCUGUAAAACUUUCUUUCCCCCGACUCCCUCUCUGUUGUUGUUUUUUUUUUUUCAAGCUAACUCCAUCUCCUAAAAAUAUCUACCCCAAAAACGGCCAUGAAGACUUCCCUCCUUUCUGCCAGAAGACACUCCUCCUAAAGACAAAACCUCCUCCCGAAUCUCCCUUUAUAGGUGUCAGCCGUCUAUUGGCUCCUCAAAAAGCACAUCUGAUUCCCUAGCAGCCAAUCAAGAGGCAACACAUGGCACUUUGAGAGCUCUCCACCUAGCAAAAGCUAGCUACAGGAAUACCUCCCAAAAUGGGAGUCUAUAGAGACUCAUUUGAAGAAUCAUGCGACACUCUCCCUCACCUAAGCCACAGAUAUCCUCGUUGCUCAUUCUGCCCGAAACCACUUAAUCUACUCCUGAAACUACCAUAGUGCAUCUACUGGCUCCCAAUUGGCCUGGCUCUCUAGUAGUUCCUUCCAUUUCACCAAGUACUCUAUAGUAGGAGACACGCUUCGUUUCCCGAUGACUCGAUCUGCAUUGCUAUGUUCUACUUUUUUUUCAUAGAAGGUCACGACCGUUGUUGGUGCCCUUUUAGAUAACCCCCGACUUGAAUCAUCAUUGUAUUUGUAAUAUGGUUUUAAGAAACUUACGUGGAAUAUGAGAUGAAUCUUCAACCUUGGUUACUCAACUUUAUAGGACACCUUGCUGAUCUUCCCAAGUAUGGGGAAAGGUCCUUCAUACCUACUCACAAGGCCCUUAUGCACUAGUCUUAGUGACUUGAAUUGUUGAGGAAUGAGCUCGACAAGCACCAUGUCUCUAACCUUGUACUCUGUGUGACGUCGCUUCUUGUCAGCCCAUUUCUUCAUAUUCCUAGUGGGCUUGUCCAAGUAUUUGUGUGCUAUGUCAGCUUGCUCGUGCCACUCUUUCGCAAACUUGAAAGCCGCUAGACUUUUCCCUAUAUAGCCUAUCGUUAGUGUGUAAAGACUUAAUGGUUACUGCCCUAUGGCUAGCUCAAAUGGGCUUUUGUUGGUUGCCUCACUCCUUUGCAAUUUGUAUGAGAAUUGGGCUACAUCUAGCAAAUUAGCCCAAUCCUUCUGGUUGGCACUCACAAAGUGCCUCAAGUAUAGUUCUAGUAAGGCGUUCACCUUCUUAGUCUGUCCAUCUGUUUGUGGGCGAAAGCUUAUGGAGAAGUGAAAAUUCGAACCUAUAAGCUUGAAGAGAUUUGUCCAAAACUUCCUAAUGAAUCAUAGGUUAUGAUAACUAAUGAUAUAGUUAGGCAACCCUCAAUACUUGACCACGUGUUUUAAGAAUAACCUUGUCGUCUCCUUUGUAGUGCAGUCAAUAGGAGCUACUAUGAAGGUCGCAUACUUAAAGAACCUGUCUACUACUACUAUGAUAGAGUCGUCCUAUGACUUGGGUAGCCCGAUGAUGAAGUCCAUAGUGAUGCUCUCCCAUGGACGCUCUACUAUAGGUAGUGGUUCCAACAGGCCUCUAGGCUGUCGCUACUCCACCUUGUCUUGUUGGCACACAUAAAAAGUCCUCACAUAGGCCUCAACUUCAUCCCGUAUGUAAGGCCAAUAGUAAGUUUACUCAAGUAGUGCCCUUGUGCGUCAUUACCUAGGGUGCCCAACCCACUUGGUUUCAUGACACUCCUUAAUCAGGUUCUGCCUUAUGUUCUCCCACUUAGGCAUGUAGAGUCGUCUUUCUUUAGUGUAGAGUAGGUCGUCUUCCACCCAAAAUCGCUUAGUUUUCUCCUCAUGGGCCAAGACGAUGAGGCUCUUAUCCACUAGAUCAUGUCGUAGUCCAUUUCUCAGAAGAUCCAUUAUGUCCCCUUAGGGUUGGCUCGUCAUGGAUGCUAUCUCUGUCUUACGACUUAGGGCAUCAACCAUAUGAUUAGCGCUUCCUGGCUUAUACUCCAGCGUAUAGUCAAACUUGGCCAGGAAGUCUAGCCACCUAGCUUACUUAGGACUUAGUUUCUUCUAUGUUUGGAAGUAGCUAGUGGCAACAUUGUUAGUCUUCACUAUGAAGUGAGACCCUAGAAAAUAGUGCCUCCAGGUGCGUAAGCAAUGGACGAUGGCAAUCACCUCAUUUUCUUGCACAUUGUAGUGCCUCUCUGUGUCAUUUAGUUUGCGACUCUCGAAGGUUAUCAGAUGCCUAUCUUGCAUAAGGACUCCCCCAAUAGCAAAGUGUGAUGCAUCUGUGUGUACCUUAAAAAUCGUGAUGUGGUCGGGUAGUGCCAAUAUUGGCUCCUUAGUCAUAAUCUUUUUUAGAUCUUCAAAGGCUUGUUGACACCUUUCAUCGCACUCCCAUGCCUUGUUCUUCUUAAGAAGCUCAAUGAGUGGAGCUAACCUUGUCGAAUAACCCUUGUUGAACCACCAAUAAUAGUUAACCAAGCCAAGGACAGACCUUAGUUGAGGUGCCUUAGUAGGUGGAUCACAUUCCUGGAUGGCCUUCACCUUGCUAUCAUCCAUCAUCAACUUUCCAUCCUUGAUGCGAUGCCCUAAAAAGCUCACAUCCUCCUUAGUAAAAGAGCAUUUCUCAUUCUUUACAUAUAGCUUGUUCUACCUUAAGAUCUUAAAGACCUUCCUUAAAUGUUCCACAUGCUCCUCCAAGGUGCUACUGUAGAUGACUAUGUCAUCUAAGUAUACCACCACAAACUUGUUUAAAUAAGGAUGAAAUAUCUUAUUCAUGAAUAUGCAAAAUGUUGUUGGUGCCUUGGUGAGACCGAAAAACAUCACUAAGAACUCGUAUGAGCCAUACCGAGUCACGCAUGUAGUCUUCAGUUCAUCCCUUUCUUCAAUCCUCACUUGGUAAUAGCCUGAUCUCAAGUCCAACUUAGUGAAGUACCUUGCUUUACCAAGUUGAUCAAAGAGAUCAACAAUGAGUGGAAUGGGGUACUUGUUCUUUAUCGUCACCUUGUUAAAUGCCCGAUAGUCGAUGCACAUCCUUAGGAACCCAUCAUGCUUCUUUUGAAACAAGACUGAUACACCACAGGGAGCUUUAGAAGAUUGGAUGAAUCUUAUUUAUAGAAACUCCUUGAAUUGUCUCCUUAGCUCUUCCAACUUGGGCGGUGCCAUCUUAUAUGGCCCCAUAGUAGGGGACUUAGCUCCUGACUCCUACUCAAUUUUAUGGUCUUCUUUUCGUCGAGGUGGGAGUCUUUUAGGCAACUCAGGUGGCAUCACGUUCUUGAACUCAUCAAGGACUCCCUCGAUUUCCUUAGGCAUGGGCUUCCUCGAUCCAUCAUCCUUUUUCCUCCAUAAGGGUGGCCAAGUAAGUCAUCUCCUUCCUCUUUAACCCCUUCUUUACUUGCAUAGCUGAAAAUAUAGGGGUCUUAGGUGAACCUUUGGUGACCAUAGGGACCAUGCAUGACUUUUUCUAGUACCAUUUUAAAGUCUUCCAUGGGUGCUAUUGUGAAGUUGACCCUUCCUUCCCAUGAGCUAAUGUGCAUAGCCACCCCACGUGCUACUCCGUAUGAUCGCUUGGCAGUUGAAUUAAUUGCCUUGAGCCAACCUUCUUCCUCAAAUGCUUAGAGCUCCAGUCUCUUUGCCUCAUCCUCUGAGACAAAGUUAUGAGUGGCACCAAUGUCCACUAGGGCCUUGGUGGCCUUCUCAUUUACAAAGGCCUCUACAUAUAUUAACCCUUUACUUUGAGGCAUCUUAGGCACCGACUUGGCCUUGAGGAUGUUUAGGAGUUGUAAUAAUCCCACAUGAGCCUCGCCCUCCUUCUUUUUUUCCUCGAUCAUGGCAUUUAGGGUUUUCCUCUUGGGGUUGUCCCGCACCCAGUGUGGACUAUCACAUAGGAAGCACUUGGUCUUGGUCAUGAACUCUUUCCGUUUGUCCUUGCCCUUACCAUCCUUGCCACUAGACAUCUUGUUUGAUCCUUCCUUAAGAGUGUACCCCAUUGAUCCAUUGUCUUCCCACUUUUGGCAUGAUUACCCUUGGACUGUGGCAUAGGCUUAUAGGAGUCUCCCCUUUUGUAUUCUACCAAAGACUCCACUAUCGCCAUGGUCGUGGCAAGAUCUUGGAUACCACGUCUCUUCAACUCUUGCUCAGCCCAACUUUGCAAGUUGUUCAUGAAGUUGAAUAGUAGCUCCUCCUCAGACAUGUUGGGUAUCUCAAGCAUAAGUGUAGAGAACUUUUUGACAUACUCAUGGAUCGAGCAUGUGUACUUGAGACGUUUCAUGUUUUUCCUUGCUAGGUAAGCCACAUCCUUAAGGUAGAAUUGCCUUUUGAUUUCUCACUUAAAGGAAUCCCAUGUGUCUAUGGUGCACGUUCCUUUUUCUAUGUUGGCAAACCUUUGACACCACCAUAAAUUAGCAUUAUCGGUGAGGUAAAGGGUCAUGGUAUGUACUUUAGCGGCUUCAUUCGUUAGUAUUAUAGCCUUAAAGUAGAGCUCCAUGUGCAACAAGAAGUUGUCCAGCUCCUUAGCAUUCCUUUUGCCACUGAAUGUGUGUGGCUUGGGCACCUCCACCCUUGGUGCUUCAUGAGUGGCCAUGACUCAUGUUGAUAUGGCAAUCUUGUAGAUAGCUAGCUCUUGUUAAACUUCUUAGUCUUGGGUCUCCAUGCAUGCAACUAAGGAUUCCACUUUUGACUCUAUGACCUUGUCGUGGAAGGACAUGAACUCCUCGUGUGACAUUGGUUGACCUUGUGAGCCUAGCACCUCCUCACGAAGGUCUUGGAUCUUCUCCCUUAGAUCCUCUAAGCCCUUCUCCAUUCCUUUCUCGAUCAAGUCCUCUCUUUCCUAGGUGUCUGCCAUGGCUAGCUCUACCUUGGCUAGUUUUGCCUCCAUGUUGUCGAUGGCAUCACAAGAUUUAUCCUUCCUAUCCCUGCCCCAUACAGUAGGCUCGGUCUCCCUCCCAUGGGUUUGCUCACUAGCCUCUUCCACAUUGGAGCCCGACAUGCUUCCUUUACUAUGCCCGCUUCGUAACCGCACUCUGAUACCAACUGUCACUAACUUAGUCUUUUCCUAAGCUCGUGCAACACUUAGGCAAAUCAAGACACUUGAUCUUGCUAAGUCAGCCUUACUCCCGAUGCUUAGCUUGCUAGGCUAAGACACUCAAGACUUAGAAUCUUUAGGAGGCAUAGUAGGCAACUCUUGAAGAAUGAAAACUUUUAUUACUCAAAGGAAGCUUUACAAGUGCUUUGGAACUCACUUGCAUAGGGCCUUGGCCAAAUGAGGCUCUCAUCUAUUUAUAGGCACUAAUGGAACUCUCUGGAACCUUGGAGGGUUCCUUACAAAUUAGGAAUAUUUUAGAACACCCUACAUAAUUCUAUGUACAAGCCUAUGUAUAAGAAUAUGCAAAGAAUCUCUAGAAUUCUCUAGAAAGCCUUGGACUCCUCUCAUGCCUUUUGCCAUAGUGUAGAGAUGUGUGGGCAUCUCUAGGCAUCUCUAGAACCUUCCGCACUUUUCCCACCAAUGGCUAAGUGUAGGAGUCUCUAGAAGCUUCAUAGUCUCUAUAUAAACCCCUAGAAAGGCUCAUUUGAAGCAUCCUAUGACAUUGUGCCCUUUUUUUUUUUUAUCCAUCAACUUUGACAUUUUGUUUAUCAACACCUUCUAUAUUUUGUAUAUCAACAUCCUUAUAAUCAAAUUUUCUCUUAUCUUUCUCAAUCGCCUUUAUUUUUAUUUUUUGCACUAUUCUUUUUCUUCUCGUCAUCUCCCCACUCAUUUAUAAUGAAUCAUAAUGCAAAUUCAAACCUUUCUUUGUGGAACUGUGGUCUAGGUAGAAUAUUUACAAGUAAUAAAUUUCAAAAUAAUCUUUGAAUUGAAUAUACCACAAAUACUAUUAUUGUUAAAAAUAUCCUAAUAUUUCAAAUUUAUGAGAAGUAUAUUACCAUUGGAAAAAUAAAUAUCUUGAUAUCCCAUUGUUUUGUUUCUUGAAUUUAAAUUCAUUUAUGCUUCGUACAAGGAAGAAGAAUACUAUUUGGACCCAAUUUAUCUUUUUUUAUUUAUGUGAUGUCUUUAAGGAAAUGGAGGAAGAAAUGUUUGACAAGAACUUUCAUCAUUGAAUAUAACAAGGCAUCCACAACAAAUAGUACAAAACAAAUUUUAAAUUCAUUCACACAACCCCUAUCUUUCCGUAUUUGGUUUUCUAACAUCAACAAUGACAAUUUUCCCUUUCUAUCAUAAUACUAUUUGAAAUCAAUCUGUUUGCUUAUGCAUUUCUUUACAUCCAUUGGGGAUAAUUUAAUGGAAGUGUUAAACACACUUAAUGUGUAUGAAAAAGUGUCAAAAUUCUCUACCAAUCAAUGACAUAAACUACAAUCAAGUUUAGUACAUCGUAACCCUAAAAUACCUUCAAACCCCUGUUUCUUGUAUGAACCCCCUUUUGAUUAGGUUACAAAUGUUGAAGUACUUUAUGCACCUGAUUAGGCGAACAACAAGUGUCAAGAUUGCAAGCCAUACAUAUAAAUAUGCAUAUAAAUUUAAAAUUGAAAGAAAAUAUUAUCAAAUUUUUUUUUUACUUUUCAUACAUUUGUUGAGCUUGUACCCCCUUUUUCUUUUUUACAUAUUCAUUGGAUCAUUUCUUUUAUUUCACCAAGAACUUUUUUUUUUCUAGAACUAGAAACCUUUUUCCUUAUUCAACUUGGGAUAUCAUAUACACCCACAACCUAACAUGGUAGUUUUAAAAUUAAUUAGUUAAAAAGAAUGAAAUAAUCCCAAAAUUUGUAAAUGUAACAUGAUUGUGUUUUUGCUUGAAAGUAACCCAUUUUGAAAAAAAUGUAUUUCGCCAUUUCAAUUAUUUAUAUUUAAAUUAAAAAUUUUUUAAUUGAUGUCAUUUUUUCAAAAAGAGGACAAAAAAAAUUGGAAGUUAAAUUUUCGGAUUUAGAUUUUUAAUGAAUAUUUUAAUCAAAUAACCCUUUGUUUUAUAUCACAUAAUGUUUCUUCUUCAUUGUUCUUUAAUCCCUUGUAAUUUAUUUAUUUUUAUAUAUACAACCUAUUAAAUUUGAAAAUUUUAAUAAUUCUUGUAAUGCAUGCCUACAUGCUUAUCACAUGGACCUCUUCAUUUAUAUUAAUAGGGGAUCCAUUUGGUAUUUGAAAAUAGUUAAAGGGGCUUUGCUUGAGAAAAGCUUAGAGAUAAAAAGAAACAAUGUUUUCAGAACCCAACUAGUUAUUGAAUAAAAAAAGUUAUUAUUUCACGAUUUAGUGGUUGAACCAGAAUUUGAACCACAGCCAAACUGGUGACAUUAUAAAGAUAUAAAUUAUAUAUUAAAAAUAAAUUAUAAAAUUAUAAAAUUUAUUUUUCAUCUUUGAUAUUACCAAACUUAAAUCAUGAAUAAAUAUAAAUGUAUUACUAUUUUAAUUUUUAUAAAUAAAAUUUGUAUAACAUUCAUAUGUGAAGAAAUAUAUUAAAAUAGAAGAAAAUUCUUUUAUUCAUAAUUUAUUUUACUUAUAUUAUAUUAUUUUAGUUAUAUUAAAAAAAAUUAAAUAAUUAUGUUAAUUUAGGUUUAGUUUGCAUUUUUAAAAUUAUAAUCAUUAAUAACAAAGUGGUGAUAACCUAAACAUGAUUUAAAGGUCCAUGGUUCAAACCUUCGAUUCCUCAUUGUUUUCUUGGUCCCAUUAGGUGGGCUAGGCUUGGUAUAUGAUGGGCUAACCUUCCACCCAUGAUCCAACCUUUUAGUUGAUGAAAAAAGAAGUGUAACCUAGAACCGACAUACCAUGGUUUAAAGUUACAGUCGCGGUCAUUAACUUGGAGGGUCAUGAGGCACAUCGGUCUUGACAUCUCGACUUGAUAUCCAACGAUAUGAUAAAUAAGAUAAAUAGAAAUUAUAAAAUUAUUAAAUUAUAAAAUAUUAUAAUAAAUAUUAAAAAAAUAAAUAUAAUUAAGCAAACUUAAAAAAUUAAUAAAAUAAAAUAUUAUGAAAAUUAAAAUUGUUCGAUAAGUUUUUAAUAUUGAAAUUGAAACCAAAAACUCUUUAAUUACCAAACUCGAAUUAAAAAAUAAAGUAAAAUGUGAUGAUUUUUACCACACCUUAACAUUUAAAAAUUGAAACAAUAAAAUAACAUAUAUUAUUGAUACUAGCAUUUAAAACAAUAAAUAUAUUGUUGAUAAUGACAUUUAAAACAAUAAAAUAGCGCAUUAGACUUGCAUUCAAAUCUUCAAUUCUCAAACACCACCAACCCACCCAUGAAUAAAGAGAGAGAAGAUAACCCUAGCAAAAGUAGAGAGCUUCCUUUGCAACCCACACCCACUCCUACAUUGACGUUGGUGACAAUAUGGAGAUGAAGUAGGGAGAUGAGAGAUCGACACCCAAGAUUAUUGCUAAUGGAGGAGAUGGGGUCCAAAAAGGUGUUGUAGUCCACCCCGUGGUGAGGUUAGCGAAGAAAUGCCCUCUACCUUUUCUUCUCAUACACCUCAAAGACAAUCAAGACUUGGACUAAAAAACUUUUCAAAGACUUCAUUGGGGUCAUCUUCAUCAUCACGAGUCUUCAAUCAUGGGUCAUGAUUCUCGUGAAAUUUUUUUCUUUUGAAGAGUCAUUGAUUUUUCAAAAAAUUCUUAGUUAUGGUUGUUGUUUUGGUGUUUUCUUUUUCUCAAUUUUGGGUGUUGUUUUGCUAUGAUUUGGAAAGACAUUUGUUUGUGUUAAGUUUAACUAAAAAAAAAAUUAGUAACUUGGAUGAUUCGCCCAAGUUAACUUAGUAUCUCAAUUAAAUCAACUAGGUUUAAUCAAUUCCUGGCCAAGUCUUUACUUAAGAUGGUAUAGGGUAUCGAACUUGGCAUGGAAGGGGUUGAGGCGGAUACAACUUGGUCGAGUCAUACUAGACUGGAUCGAUACUUUGAACCAUGCGACAAACUGGUUCAUUGAUUCAAUAGUCCAACCAUUAGUCUAUCCGAUUCAAGGCCGAUUCAUUGUGUACUCCGACCCAAAGGCCAAGCUAGACCAGGCUCCAAUCGAUAAUCCGACUUGGUUUUGGUUAGAUUUUUUAAUUCAUCCAAACUCUUAGGAAGUUUCAAAUGUAAAUACCAAUAAUAAUAAUGGAAAAUAUAUCAUUAUUUUCUAAUAGUUAAAUUGCAUAUUAUAUAAUGGUAAGGCUUUAGAGGAAUCUUAAAUAUAAAAAACUAAUAUUACCAUCUCUAAUUUCUAAAAAUGAGAAAAAUGAAUUUUAUUUCCAACUACAAUAAAUUGUAUAGUUUGAUAAAUAUAUCAAAAAUGGGUGUCAUAUUCAUCUUAGGGUGUGUUUGGUAUGUAAGAAUGAUGAACGAGAAUGAAUAUUUUGUUUCAAUUCUUAUUUCCCCUUGAAUAGGAAUGAAUUUGGUGAUUCCAAUUCUUGUGUUUGCAUGCAUAUAGGAAUGUAAAGUUGGAAAAACAAUUUGUUUCCAUUUCAAUGUUAAGUAAAAAUGGGAAUGAAAUUAAAAAUAUAUAUAAAUAAAUUAUUAAUAAUAUUCAAACAUAUAGUUUAAAAUAAUUUAAAAAAAAAUGAUUUGUUUUUACUGAAUAAAAAGCUAUCUAUUUCAAUGUAUGAUUUAAAAACAAAAUUAUUUUUAAAAAAAUUUAUACCUAGUUAUUGUUAUUUAGAAACAAUUUUUAAAAAUAAAGUAAACUAGAAAAUUGUUAUUCCAAUUUUUUUUUCAUUGGAGAAAAUAAAUUUCAAAUCAAGUGAAACUUUGUAUUGAAUUUAUUAAUAAGUUUAAUAAUUUUAAAAAAUAAAAUAAAACUCAAAAAAUUUAUGUAACAAUUAUAACAAAAUAAUAGAUAUAAUUAACACUUUAAAUUAUUUAAUAAAUAUUGUAAUUUUUAAGAAUAAUUUAAUAUUUAAAAAACUAAUUAAUUAAUUAUAGAUUAAAUAAAAUAAUUCAAAAUGUCAUCUUCGUAAUUGAAUAAUAAAUAUAUGCAUAUAAUAUUUAAGAGCUUCAUGGAGCUCAUCAAAUGUAAUUGGGGUGUCAUGUGUUUGAAUGACAUAGACUAGUUCUUUGUAUUCGUCAACAAGACCAUAAAAGAUUUUCCCUGUGACAUUCUUUUCAUCCAUUGGGGCACCAAGGAGAGUAAGUUCAUUGGCGCAAGCUUUAAUGGUCCAUAGGAAGGUAGUGAUACUUUGCAAACCCUUGGUGGAAUUCUUAAGGUGGAUAUUGACUUGUUUAAUGUAGACAUGAGAUAGUUUGACACAGGUAUUGGCGAAGAUGAUCUAUGCUUCAUGAGAGGUUGUGGCAUAGGCAAUGAAUGGAAUUAUGGUGGGUGAAAUGGAGCCAAUAAGUGCAUUUAGGAUCAAUUAAUCUUGACAAAGCCAUGAAGAAUAGGCUGGGUUGGGUAUUACGGUGUUGUUGGUAAUGAGAGUGGUGGGUGGACACGUUAUGGUUCCAUCAAUAUAGCUAAGGAGGUCAAAGCCAAUAAAUAAUGUUUGCAAUUGAAACCUUUAUGAUAUGUAGUUGGUAGUGGUUAGUUUAAGUGGGGCUUGAGCAAAAUUAUUUAUUGAAAUGAGUGUUUGGUGUGACUCAUAGGUGUUGUGAAUAUUGAGAGUAGAAGUUGCAAAAGUGGUGGCGUCUUAGGUGGCCAUGAGGCUAUGAUGAUGGGGAGGAGCACUAGAUGGCUUUGGUAGAGAAAAAGAGGUAAGAAGGAAAAACAUGUGGUGGCUAGGGUUUUCAAGUCAAGAAGCUUGAAUGCUUUGGUGCCAUAUUAAAGAAUGAGAUUGGUAAAUUAUUGCAUUUUUUUUUCCUUUGAUUAUGAAGAAUAUACAUACAUGUACAAAGAAUAUAAAUCUAGAAAGUUUAUAAUUACCUAAAAUCAUAACCUAGAAUAUAACUAAUUUACAAUCAAUAGGUUAUUUAUAAAAGGAACAAAUUAUUUACAAAAGAAAACAAAUUAGUGAUUGAAAUAGAAUUUGUUAACUUCCUUUACUAGUGUCAAGUUCAACACUCCCCACAUCAAAAGGUGUAUUUGGAACCAUGUACAUAUCUUUAUUCUUGAAUUUCAUUAAUUAAGAUGUCCAUCAUCAAUCUGGAAAUUGUAAUGGAAAGCUUCAACAAGCAUCAAUAGUCUCCCAAUCUAUCACCAAUCAAAGUGCAAAUGGCACUAUACAAGGUUUGCUACCAUCAUACGACCUAAUAAUAAUAAUAUCUUACCAAAAAUUUAUUCAUUAAAAAAUUAUAUUGAAACAUUUCAAAAAAUUAAUUUACCAAAAUAAUAAUAAUAAUAACAAUAACUUACCAAAAAUUAUAUUGAAACAUUUCAAAAAAAUUAAUUUACCAAAAUAAUAAUAAUAAUAGUAAUAAUAAUAAUAAUAAUAUCUUGCCAAAAAUUUAUUCAUUAAAAAGUUAUAUUGAAACAUUUCAAAAAAAUUAAUUUACCAAAAUGAUAAUAAUAAUAAUAAUAAAUAUUAAUUAAUUAAUUAAUUAAAUAAAUAAAACAAAAAUUACCUUACCAAAAUUCAAGUCAAAAUGAAUAUGUAUCUAAAUUAACUAAUUUGAAAUGCACCUACAAUGCAACCAAGUGGACUAAGUUAAAGUGUAACUAAAUGGAUUGGAAUGAUCUGAAGUGUGACUAAGUGAGCUUGCAUAAAAGAUGCCUAGGUGUGCCUAAGUGGGUUUAAGUGUGUUCAAAUGGGCCAGGUGUGUCUAAAUGAGUUAGGGUGCGUCUAUGUGACCUAAACUAGGCGUGAAGAGUAGCCAAGUUCAUAGUGAGGGUCCUGAUGAGCCCCUUUACACAAGGGUCCCCAAAGAUGGCUUAGAAAAAGAAGUUGUAUGAGUGUCAAUAGGUUACCAAGGAUUGAUCACAAGGUAAAAGAGGAACAUAGGGUAGAAACUAGCAUUACAUGUGCUAAGAGGACAAAAUGGAGGGUCUACAAUAGAUUGAUCAACUUGCUUACCACCUCUUAAGGUAAAGGUUGCUUUGACUUCAUCCUUCUUAGUAGAACUUUCACUUGUCUCUCCAAUUUCAUAGACUCUACUUGGAUUUUAUUGGGGUUGUGAAGAGAAUUCUCUUUUUUAUUCCACUGUAUGCAUGCUUGUGAGUUUAGAAAUAGCAAGUUGCAUAUUAUCAAUUUGUUUGUGUGAGAUUGGUUUGCAAGCUAUCAAAUUUCUGAUUGAAAGAUGUCUCCACAUGGUCUAUUCUUUGGUUUACUUGGGUAUUGAUAUUCUUUUGAUCACCAAUAAAAUCUCCCAAAAUUUUACUCAAGUUUAUAGUAGCUAGCACAACCAAAGAAACUUGUUGUGGAAAGUCUUCCAUGGAUUGUUGGCUUUAUGAGUAUUGGCUUGAAGAAAAUUGUUCUUGUCCACAAUUCCAUGAGAUGUUCGGAUGAUUCUCAACAAGUCUUUCCCCCAUAGCUGGUAUUGUAGGAUAAUCACUCAGUUCAUGUUUUAUAGAUUGACAACUAGAACAUUGCUCCAUGUAAAUUGGAUUAUCAUAUAUCGCAUUCACCUCAUGAAAUACCUUAGCUUUAAGUUCCUCUAGCCUUCUUGUCAAAGCUAUCAUUUUAGCUUGUAGAUCAACAUUUUCAUUCAACAUAUACAUUCCUCCAUUUGAAUUGCUUUGAGACUUGGACUUGUGUAAAUCCCUUUCAUGUGGUUCAUCCCAUGACUUUGAUAUUUCAGCCACAUAAUUCAAAAAUUCAAGGGCUUCAUCGGGACUUUUGCUCAUAAAGUCACCUCCACACAUGGUUUAUAGCAAUUACUUCAUAGUUGGCGACAUACCCUCAUAGAAGUAAUUCACCAACAUCCAUGUGUCAAAACCAUAAUGAGGACAAGCAUUGACUACUUUCAUAUAUCUUUCCUAACAAGCAUAAAAAUUUUCAUUGUCCAAUGUCGCAAAGUUGGUAAUUUGCCUUUCAAGCCACUUGUGUGAUGUGUGUGAAAAAAUUUCUUCUAGAAGGUUGUUUGUAGUUCCAACCAUGACCUUAUACUUUGGGGCCUUAGUGAGUUGAACCACAACUUAGCGUUAUCCUUCAAUGUGAAUGGAAAAAGCUUCAAUCUCAUAAACUUCAUGGAUGUGUUUCCCUCAUGAAAUGUAUGACAUACUUCUUCAAAAUCCUUUAUAUGAAUGUAAGGAUUCUCAUUCUCCAUUCCAUGAAAUUGAGGAAAAAGUGGUACCAAGUGAGUUUUUAUCACAAUAGGCUCAUUAGGAAGAACUAUACAUGAUCUCAUGCCUAUCCUUUGAGGAUGCAUAUAUUCUCUCAUUGAUCUAGACAUGUGAGAAUUGCCAUUGUUUGGUCCUUGUUGAGUUUGUUGAUCUUGCCCUUGAUUUUCCAUUUCCUUAACAAUUGGAUCACAAACCAAAGAUGAUUAGUAAUGUAAGUUCUUUGUAAUCUCUCCCCCAAAAUGUAUUCUCAAUGUAGCAUGCAAUGGAAAGCCUACAAAACAAGCCAAGAAAAACAAAAACAAAAUAAAAAGAACAAAAGAGAAAAAUAAAAAGAAAAAUGAAAUUUGAAAGAAAACUAAGAUGAAAGUGGAGAAUUGGUAAAGAGAACUUCGCCAAUCUUGUGAUGUGGAUCACAAGGGUUAAUCCUCACCAAAAAAAUUUUCCUUAAUCACCUUGGCACCACCCUUGACAACGAUGCCAUUUUUGAUCGAUUGAUUUUUCAUCAUUUAUUGAAUCAAAAAAAAAAAAAAACUUAAUUCACUAUUCUAGAGUAGCUUGUACCAGAUCAAAAAUGGUUUUAGUAGUGGUUUUUAGGUAUUGUCCACUAGGGUGGAUUAUUCUCGGUAAUUAAGGCUUGAAUGAGAGGAUAAGAAAUGAUUAUGAUCAAGUGACAUUGAAUUGAAAAUUCAUAGUGAAAAAUCAAUUUGAUAGUGGUCUCAAAUUGAAAAGAAAAAUGAAAUGUAAAAUAGAAGAAAAUUAAUAGGAAAUGAAAUUCUCAGAGUUAGGAUUUUCUAAAAAAUAAUUUCCAUGGUGAAUAGAUGUUGAGAUCUAAUUUUCAUCAAGAUAAACUGAAAACCUAAAUUUUCAUCUAAACCGAUUUUUGAUUUAGCUUUAGGUUUAGAUCUAAUUUCUUUUCAAACUAGGUUAUUUAAUCCAAGAGAUCAAUUCAAAUCAUAUAUUCAAUUCAUCUUAAAUUUUCUUCUAAUGAUUCACACAAUGCAAUUAUUCAAUUUCUUCAAAUCUAGCUUUAAGAAUUUAAUGAAUCUACCUAGUUUGCAUUGUAGUAAUCAUUCAAGACAAUUUGAAGAGAAAAAUCCCCAAAAAUCAAUUAAUAAAUCAAUUGGAUCAAAUUACCUUUGUAAUUCAAGCUCAUUUAUCUAAUUCACCAUGGAUCUUGCCUCUAGAUGUUUUCUCCUAUGAGAAAAACGAGAUUUAGCCACUCAUGAUUGGAGAUUUGGUCUCACAAGGCAUGUUUGGUUGGUGAGAAAAUAAGAGAAAAUGAAGAAAAAUUAAGAAUUCUAUUGAGAGAGAAAAUCUGGAAAAUUUUGCAAUUAGAAAUGUUCGAAAAGUUCAUCUCAUGAGAAAAUCAAGUUUCUAUUUAUAGGCCAAGGUCAAGUGGACACUUGGCAUCAUCUAAGAGGUUUUCCGAAAACUUCUUCAUUAAGAAAUCUGGAGUUUAAUAAUAAAAUGGUCAUUUCGCACGAUUGUGCAAAAUAAAAAAUGCAACAACAACAAUUUACAUAUUCCUGGAGCAUUUCGCAUGAUUGUGCUAAGUUUUCGUAUGAUCAUGUGAAAUUAGCUUUGAAAUUCCCCUUGGCUUGCAACACAAAUCCACCUUCUGGUCCAUUUUGCAUGAUCAUGCGAAAUUUUUGUAUGAUCAUGCGAAAUUUUUGCAUGAUCAUGCGAAAUGGAAAUAUUAAUUUUUAAACUCUUUUUUGUCAUUUCUUCCAUUUCUUUCUUUUGAAUCCACCUCAACCACUUCCAAAUUAGCUCCAAAUCUUGGUCCAAGUGCAUUGAUUAUUCCUCAUCAUCCACAUUAUUUGCCCUUCCUCAAUUCCAUUUCUCUUUUGUCUCUCAAUGCUUCAAAAAUCACCUUGAAAUAUCUCCAAAACAUUAUAAAAACCAUUAGUAUCUCUUGCAAGGGCAACAAUGUAUUACUUGGGCAUAUUAGGCAUAAUUACUACUCAAAAGGUAUGGAAUUCAUGAGAAUUAUUAUUUAAAAUGUGUUGUUUUUGAGUAGUAAUCAGUUGACUUGAUGAUUAUUUUGUAUAUAUUUCACAUGCCUUAAUGUACAUUGAUUCUUGUUAUUAUAUGUGUUUGCAUAUAUCUACUUAUGUCUGUAUAUAUCUAUUUUGCAUGAUUGUGUGAUGCAUGGCUACCUUGAUUCUGCAUAAUGCAUGUUUUGCUUUUUUGUGUAGGAUACACGUUUAUCCCUCUAUCUCGAACUCCCUGGCCUUGAUCAAUUUUCUUCUUUUGAUCACACAUUUGGUGUGUGAGACUUGGUGCCUUAUUUGUUUCCCGAGUAAGCUAGUGUUUAAAAGUAGGGUCUAGUUGUGGGUUGUAUGUAUGUUUGGGAGCACUUAGAGCAUUGUCAUGACAUCAUCAACUUCUUGAGAUCAUCACCUUAGAGGAUUUAUCAGAAUCCUAUUCGGUCACCUCAUCCCUACUAUCAUCCCACUUUGCCACAUCAUCCUACCUCACCAUGUCAUCACUUUGCCACAUCCCUAGUGCCUUAACAUCAUCUUACGCUGCCAUAUCAUCCUUGUCGCUUUAUUCUUAUCAUAUCAGCACUCUACCUUAUCAUCUCAUUCUUAUUGUCAUCCCCACUUUGCCUCAUCGUCAUAUUUUAUCAUUUCACCCCACAUUUUUUUUAUGUCAUCAUUCUAUAUUGUUGCAACAUCAUGAUGCCUUAGAGAGCAUCACAACAUCAUUGACCUCAUGUUAGUGGAGGUCACCACAUCAUCUCCACUUAGAGUUUGAUCAUUGAAGACUUGUAUAACUUAUGACUAGAUUCAAGAUAAAUGUGUGACCACUGUGUUUAUUUUAAUUUUUUUGCUUUAGUUUAAGAGGUUGUUUAGAUGCACUUAUGCCACACACUAUACACAUUAGAUCAUCUUGUAUGUGUGUUAAGAGAGUUAACAUGUGCUAAACAAUAGAAAACCUUAACCAUUAGGAAACCACCUUAAGAUGUCAAGGAAGUGCACGUGUAGAGGUGAUGACAACCUUGCAUGGAAGCUCUUAGUCUCUUUGGAGGAGUGUAGGAGGUUAUGUACCAACAAUGGGUAUGAUUGCUCCUACUAGAUACCUUUGAUCCUACCUUUUAGAGCCAUCUUUACCUUGUAGAAUGAGAAUUAGAUCCGUGGACCUAGGUAUCUACCCACACGUAGGUGCAUUCAUGUAUAGGAAUUUGAUAACAACAAUUUUGCAUCAACAUUAGAGUUCCAUUAACAUAGAUUAGUUGUAUUAUCAUCCUCUUUACUCUUCAUUAGUUGGAUUCAGUUAGUCAAUCUUCUAGGUUAUACAUUGGUCGAUCUUAUAUAGCCUUCUUCCCUUUAGAAUUUUGUCAACUUGAAGAUGUCUUAUAUAGAAAGGAUUGAUUUUUCUAAAUGUAUUGUCAAUGUUUUAGGUUGUUGUACAUUAAGUGUAGCAUUCUAGGAUAUGUUAUUUGACAUUUUUCAACCUAAGUCUAGGGUUUUGUGUUCCGUGGGUCAUUGAUAGGUUCCUUAGGUAACUCAUGUUAGUUAGAUUUUUGAGGACCUAGCUAGCUUCUUCUAGGUGAGAUGGUGGGUUGUUUGUCAAAGUUGGUGAGACUAUUUAUUUUUGUUGCAUCAAAACUAGUUGUCUUGGUUAUUGAGUUUGUGUUAGUCUUGUAGUGUAGUUAGAGUUUGUAUUCCUUGUCAAGUGUUUUGACUUGUUAGUAUUUGUUUCUAUUAUGGAUGUACAUUGAUCAUUAGACUUGACCUUUUUCAUUGAAUAUAUGUUUGUAUCUUAUGGUGCAUGUGUUAGACUUUUGAUAUGACGCAUUAUUCACUUGCAUAUCACGAUUAUUGGGCCUAACCCAUCAUAGAGGAUACAAAGCCCAUUAACCUAGGACUAAAGGAUCGACUUAGGGAGUUUAAGAUUGCGGCUUAUUUUUCUUAUCAUCAGAGUUGUACCUUAUCCACUUCCAUUUACACUUUGAUCUUUACAUCUUAUCUAUCUUGAGCCUUGUAUAACAUUUACCCUUUGACACCAUCACAUGACCUUUGCAUCCCUUCUUAUCAUAACUUAUACAACAUCAUCUACAUAGACAUAGUUCCAAUCUAUUUAUUUGUUUUUUGUACUUGAGGUUGAUUUUAUGAGACAAGAAGAGUGGCUUACGAUGAGCAAAGUGGUCGAUUGUAUUAGAUCAUUAACUAUUCUAUGGUUGAGAGAAACAUCUUGACAUUGUUACAAAACAUCAAGAAUAGGAUAUUUAUGCAUAAUUUUAGAGGGAUGGAAUGCCUAAAUUUUGAUAUUGUACACCAAUCUUUAGUGUUGACCAUGCCAGAGUUUAAGAGCAUGAUGUUUGAGGUUUUGACGAAAGAAUGGGUGGCCAUCAUUUCAUGAGCCUAUUUAUAUAAUCACCUUUGUGUAUAAAGUUACCCUUUGCUAGCCAAUUGAGUCAUGCAUAUUUGACAUUUUGAUUCAUGACCUUGCUUACCUUGUUUCUCAUACCUAUGGUUAGGGCCUCUCGGCACAUUUUUGCUUAUAGAUAAGAUCACCUAGGUUGUGGGCUCCUCAGCUGAUUCAUCUUUUGCAUUCAUUAUGUUCAUCUUGAUCAUUUGUAUUAUUUCAUAUGUACCUUUUCUCAAUACUUAUUGUACCCAUUUGAUCAUCGUUCAUUAUUCUAUCAUUAUGAGUUCAUAUAUAUACAUAUGACUUAGCCUUCUUGUACAUAUAUUAAGAUUUGUAUAGGUUACCUUAGGAUCCUUGUACAUGAUUGCAUUGAUUCAUUGGUUUGAUUAUUGUUAAAAAGAAGAAAAAAGAAAAAUUAUGAUGUUAGUCUUUGUUGACGACUUGUGUGAUAGUUUUGAUCUUUUCAUUAUAUAUAUCCCUCUUAUCUAUACAUCAAGUUAUGAUUGAGUUGUGGGUUUUAUACCUAACUAUGACAUUUUGCUUCUCUUAUACUGAAUUACUCUUUUUAUUUAGAGUUUUAUUCUCAUUCAUCUUGGUUAUGUUUUUUUUUUUUUUUGCUUAUAUAUUGAGUUAUCAUUCAUUGACAUUAUCUGCUUUACCUCUAGCCAUUGUUCUAUUCCUUUGAUUCUUUUGAGCCUAUUCUAGAGUCUUACCCUUGUCAUUUCCAUUUCUUUGACUCAUUCAUAUGGAUGGUUGGUAUUUGUGUAGUUCUGAUCUUGGUUUUUUUUUUCUUUCUUUUCAUUCAUUCAUGGUAUGUAUCAUAGUGUAUUUUUUUCAUUCAUUCAGUUAUCUAUAUCAUUGAGCAUCUAUGAGGUCUAUAAUCUUUGAGUUUCUUUAUCUAUUACAUUGUGUAUGCCAAAGGCAUGGGGAUUGUAUCAUUAGGAUUAUCGAGAUUAGUUUCCAUUCGUUUCUUUUGCCCUAUUACCUUAGCCUACAUUUCAUCUUAGGUCUCAAGACAACCUUGAGACCAUGACAUUAUGCAUUAUGCUUGAUAGCUCACACGUGGGCGACAUUUGAGAUUGGUUGAAGAUCACUUAGAGCAUUAUGGAUGAGAAACUAUGAGAGGGUUUACACUGGGGCAUAACCUCUCAUCAAUUAUUGAUUUUUGAUAUGAUAGCUUAUACUAGGGCAUUGCCAUUUCAUUCCCUCUCAUGGAGCAUGAUAGAUCAGGAGUCACUCAGAUUCAUAUUGACAUAUAUCUAUUUUUUAGAUAUAGGAUAAAGUUUGAUUUUGAUUAAACAAUUUACACUAUGGCAUAUCCAUCUCAAGGAGUUUAUAUUGGGUUGUAGCUCUUUUAUUGGUGAUUAAUUUUUUAGAUAAUAGCUUAUAUUGAGGCAUAGUCACUUCAUUCCUUCUCAUGGAGCAUGAUAGAUAAGGAGUGACUUAGAUUCAUAUCAACAUAUAUCCAUUUUUUAGAUUUGGGAUUGAGUUUGAUUUUGAUUUGACAAUUUACACUAAGGCACAACCACCUCAAAGAGUUUAUACUGGUGUAUAACCCUCUCAUUGAUGAUUGAUUUUAGAGAUGAUAGCUUAUUCUAAGGCAUAACCACUUUAUUCCUUCUCAUGGAGUAUGAUGGAUUAGGAGUCGCUUGGAUUCAUAUCAACAUAUAUAUAUAUAUAUAUAUAUAUAUAUAUCUAUUUUUGAGAUCUAGGAUAGAGUUUGAUUUUGAUUUGACGAUUUAUACUAGGGAAUAGCCACCUUAGAGAGUUUAUACUAGGGCAUAACCCUCACAUCAAUGAUUGUUUUUUGAGAUGAUAUCUUGUACUAGGGCAUGCCUUCAUUCCCUCUCAUAGAGCAUGAUGGAUUAAGAGUCACAUGGAUUGAUAUCGACAUAUAUCCAUUUUUGAGAUAUGGGAUGGAGUUUGGUUUUGAUUUGACAAUUUAUACUAAGGCAUAACCACUAUGCUCGAUUCCCUACACUAGGACAUAUUUGUCUUCUAGAGGAGAUUUGAUACUCCCUUCACAUUAUAGUAUGAAGAUACUUUAGGGAGUAGAGAUCUAUCUUGAUGAGAUUGUGUAUGUUACAACAUAACCAUUCUAGAGAUUACCUUGCACCAAGGUUUGACAUUUCAAAUGUUACCUUAUAUACUAGGGCAUACACCUCUUAUCAGUGUUUGUUUUGAAGAUGAUUAAUUUGUUUUGGCCUUACCCAAUUUGACUCGAUAUAUUCAUGUUGGGGCAUAACCCACUCAGUUGGUGAUUGAUUAUUUUUCGAAAUGACAAUUUAUACUGAGCAUAACCACGGUUUGAAUCCUUACAUUGGGGCAUAGCCAUUUUCUUGGAAAUGAUCAGACAUUCUUUUCAUAUUGGAGUAUGAGAGAUGCUUGAGAGAUAUUGAUUUGAUGUCUUUUAUAUUGGGGCAUAACCAUUUAAGGGAGUAUUUAUACUGGGGCAUGACCAUCUUAUUGAUCUUCUAGCUAGGAUAUUGAAAUUCGGCCACUUGAUUGAGGUUUUUUAUGGGUUUAGAGAUCAUGACACCUUGGAUUCAGUUUUCUUACCAUACCUGGUCUGAUUUAGAUACCCUCUUACAUUUAUUUCAUACCAAAACACUCCAUUUUUGCUAUCUUCACACUUAUAUCUUGUAUUCAAUCCACCCAUCUCAUUCCAUCAUGACGUAUAAACUUAUUUUGCUUCCAAAUCAUAGGAGGAUGUAGACCAAUCAUGAGUUUCCUAGUCAAACUUUCAUGUGCAUUUUGGAUACUGAAUUUACCCUCUUCCAUGAUGGCAAGGCUUGACAAAUUGUCGAUUGUUUGUGAUAUUUUUCAUUUGAUAGUCUACAUGUCAUGGCAUGACUUGGUGCAUAUUUAGACUUAAAGCUUUAGUUAGCUUUGUUUUUGUCCAUCAUUCAAUUUUAUUUUGAUAACAUGGUCCUAAGACCCAUAGUCCUAUUUAGCUUUUCUAAUUGUGGAUUAGACAUUUUCAUCUUAUUGUUGAUGAGUGUAUCCUAUAGUACAUCGGUUGUUGUAUAACAUUUCGUAUCUUUUGUAUUUUCUUUUUUUAGUCUAAUGUUAGUUGUCUUUUAAUCUUUGGUAUUUUCUUAGUCAUCAUUUGAACCCUAAGUUGUACCAUUACUUCAUCUUUGCCUCACCCUCGAUCAACCUCAAGCCACACUUUUAGGUCAUUAUUCAACCCUCAGUCAAACCUUCGUGUAUCUUUAGGUUUUCUCAUAUUUCCUUAUCUAUCUUGCUCAUCGAUCAGCCUCAACUUUAUUGUUAGAUCAUCUCUUUAUCAUUUUAGAUGAACCUUGAGCUUUAUGGUUAAAUCCUCUCAUCGAUCACCCUCUAACACCAAGCUAUGCCUUUAAAUCAUCAUUUGGCUAAGAACCACAUUUUUAGUAUUAUCCUAAUCACUUUUUCACUCAUCGUGACUAUGCCUUACUAUUAAAGUUUGACCCAUUUUUUAAGUUUUUGUUAGUCACACCUAACUAUUUAACAUUUUAUGUCUCUAUUAGUACUGCACCCUAAUUGUCCAACAUUUUUAUGUUUUUCUAUUAGUGUCAUGCCCUGAUUGUCUGACACCUUUUAUGUUUCUUAAUAUCGUGCCCUACCUGUCUAAACUUUUUUAUGCUUCUUGUUAAAUUCGCACCUUGACUAUUCCAACUUUUUUAUAUUUUUUUUUAGUACUACACCUUGACUAUUUGACCUCAUUUAUGCUUUCUUAGAGUUGUGUCAUGACUGUUUGACCUUUAUGUUUCUUGUUAGUGUCAUGCUAUGACUAUUUGACCUUUUUAUGUCUCCUAUUAGAGUUGUGCCUUGAUUGUCUUACUUUUCAUGUCUUUUCUUACAUUGUGCUUUGAAUUGUCCAACUUUUCUAUGUCUUGUUUUUAGUGUCACACCCUAACUAUCCAACCAUCUUAUACUUAUUUCAUUAUCGUGCUUCAAUUGCCCGGCCUUUUAUGUCUUCUUUUAAUGUCGCAUCCUAACAGUCCAAUCUUUUUAUGUCUUUUUUAAUGCUACGCCUUGAUUGUCUCGCCCUUUAUGUCUUAUUUUAGUGUCGUGUUAUGACUAUUCAACCUUUCUAUGUCUCUUUCAUGUCACGCUUAGAUUGUUUAACCUUUUUAUGCUUCUCCCAUUGUCGUGCCCUAAUCGUCUAGCCUUACUAUAUCAUUUUUAAUGUCCAGCCUUGACUAUCCAACCUUCUUAUGCUUAUCUCAUUAUCGCAUUUCGACUGUUUGGCUUUCAUGUCUUUUUUAAGUAUUAUACCUUGACUGUUCGACCUCCUUUUUAUGUUUCUCUUAAUGUUGCACUCUAACUAUCUAGCUUCUUUAUGUUUCUUUUUUAGUGUUGUGCCUCAAUUGUCAGGCCUUCUUAUGCUUCUCAUAUUGCUGCACCUCGACUAUUCAACCUUUCUAUGUCUUUUUUUUUUUUUUGUGUCGCACCCUGACUAUCUGAUCUUCUUAUGUUUCUUUCAUUAUUGCACUUCUAUUAUUCUGUCUUUCUAUAUAUAUUUUUGAGUGUUUUGCCCUUACUAUUUGGACUUUUUAAGUUUCUUUUAGUGUUGCACCUUGAUUAUCCGACUUCUUUAUGUUUCUAUUUAGUGUCACACCCUAACUGUUUGGCCUCCUUAUAUUUUCUUAAUGUUGCACCUUAAUUGUCUGACUUUUUUAUGUCUUUGUUAGUGUCACAACCUAAUUAUCCAAACUUUUUUUUUUUUAUGUUUUCUAUUAAUGUCAUGCCUCGACUAUCUGACUUCUUUUAUGUUUUCUUAGUAUCGCGCCUUGACUAUUUGACUUCUUUUUGUCUCUAUUAGUGUCAUGCUUUGAUUGUCUAACUUUUUCAUGUUUUUCUAGAGCUAUCUUGACUAUCCUACCUUUUCAUGUUUUCCUAAAGUUGAGCCUUGACUGUCCAACUUUUAUUAUGUUUUCCUAGAGUCGCACCUCGAUUGUUGGGUCUUCUUUGUGUUUUCUCUAGUGUCCAUGUCCUGACUACCCGACCUCUUUUCAUUUUUAUUUUAUUAGCCUUGAGUUUUUUCUCUAAUCAUUAGUAUCCUCUUUUUUCUUCUUACCUCUCUUGUUCACCCAUUCAUUCCCCCCUUUGGAUACCAGGGUCCCUAGUGUUUCACAUAGAUAUUAUCACUACCCUGUUCAAAAGAGUUUCCCUUAAGAUCCACGUAGAUAUUACAUGUUUCUCCACUAAUAGAUCAAUGAGCACAUUUCAUAACCUUAGAGAGCUUGUGUCUUAUUAGGACAAAUUUGGUGAUCUUUCUUGUACUUUAGUAGAGUCCACUUCAUUUAGUUGGUUUAUACACUUACUUCACGUGUGAACUCUUUUGAAAAUGGGCAUAUUUGUAUAUCCCAAAAUUUGCCCUAAGCCCACUCUUACUUUUUAUUUUAUUUUAUUAUUUUAUUAUUAUUAUUUAUUUGAUUUUUACUUUAUUUUUUUCUUCUUUUCUUUUUCUUUUUUUGUUCCUUCCUUGUUUUUCACCUUUUUUUUCCCACAUGUGUGCAACUACAGAACCCUUCCCCUUCUUAUUUUUCCCUCUUUUUUUUUCUUCUUUCUUUUUUGUUUUUCUUUCUUUUCUUUCUUUUUCUCUCUUCUCUCUACCUACCCUCUUUUCCAAACCCAUCUUCAGCUGUCAGCUACCUUCCCUCUUUUUCACUUUUCUUAUUUCUUCUCAUUCUGUUUUUCUUAUUGUUACCCAUUUCUCUCUCUCACCUUGAAGGUCCAUAACCAUGCUUGCCUUAUACUCAACACUCUUACCACUAGACAGUCGCCAUCGACGAGCCAUUAUUUGUCUGUGAUCCCUUUUCUCUCUUUUCUUUAUUUUCUCUCUCUUUCUCUUAUAUCACUCAUUUUCUUUUAUUUAUUUAUUUAUUUAUUUAUUUAUUUAUUUAUUUAUUUAUUUAUUAUUAUUAUUAUUAUCCCAUUCUUUCCCCUUAUCCCUUAUUCCACAUUGCAUUCAUGAAACGAGUAAGAUGUCAUUUUUCAUUUUCUUAUUUCUUUAGUCAUUUUAUUUUUUAUUCCUAUAGUAAUUUUUCUUAAUUGUUGAGUUUGCUUGUUUGGACUUUAGAUAAUUUUGCUUGAAAUUUGCAUAUUAGAUGUUGAUCUUUUCUUGGAUUUUAAUAAAUUAAGUUAUCUAAAAAAUCUUCUUUUAAAAAAAUAAAAUAGGUCCAAUAAGACAUUUUCAUUAAAUAAGAUAAAUGGACCCAAAAAUUUCUUUUAAUAAAAAUAAGUUUUAGACAUCUUUUUUAGAUAAAAUAGUCCAAAAUUUUUAUUUUAAUAAAAGAAACAAUUCAUAAUUUUAAAAUAAAUAAAUAAAUAAAAUGUCCAAAAAUAUUUUUUCAAAUAAAAUAAACUAAAAAUAUAAGUAAAACAAUCCAAUAAUCUUGUUUUAAUGAAAUAACAGUUCAAAAAAUAUUCUUUUUAAUAGAGAAAGUUUUCUUGAUAGAAAGUUGAGAAAAAAGUUUUUUAAGGAAUAUAAAUUUUUUUAAAUAAAAAUUCAAAAAAUUGUUUUUAAUAAUAAACAUUCUAGAAAUUCAUUUGUUUAACAAAAUUUUCCAAAAAUAAAAAAUAAAAAAUUGAGUUUUAAAUAAAAUUGUCUAACAAAAAUAAUUUUAAUAAAAUCAUCCAAAAAUUGAAUUUUGAAUAAAAUUCUCUUUCCUUGAUAAGAAUGGGAUUAUAAAUCAUUUUUAUAAAGAAAGGUCUUACUAAUUUUUUUUUAAUAAGAAUAGGAUAAGUAAACCUUCAAAUCGAAUGAAAGACAUUUUUUUAAUAAAUUGGUAAACUAAUCUCUUUCUAGAUGAAAUCCAAAAAUUCUUUCUUAAUAAAAUUGGAAUCCUUGGGAAUAAAUUUGUGAAAUUCUUUCUCUAAAUAAAUUAGUAAUAAAGAAUCUUUUUCUAGGUAAAAUAAAAAUAUAUAUAUUUUUAAAAAAACUAGGUUGAGAUUCCUUCUUAUAAACUUGUAAAUAUCUUUCUUUAAGUUUGUAGAUUUUUUUUUUUUAAAUAAAUAAAGAUUGAAUCAAAACACUUUUUAAAAUAAAUUAGUAAAAUUCACCCCUUCUUAAUAAGGUAAACAAAAAUCAUUUCUUGUAAAUCAAAUAAAAUCUUUUGUAAUAAAUUGAAGCCUUGUGAAUAAAUAAAUUCAAAUCACUAAUUUGAAAUUGUUGUUAAUAUAAAUGAAUUAUUUGAAAUAAUAAAAUCUUUCUAAUAAAUUAUUUUGUGUAUUUCUUAUCUAUCAUUUUUUCAUAUCCUUAUAAUUUGCUUUUGCAUUAUUCCAUAUACAUGUAUUAUUUUUUUUCAAUAUCCAUGAUUAAUUAAUUAAUUAUCAUAAUUCCCUUUUAUAUGCUUAGUAAAAACCUUUUUAAGGCUUAAAACGGUGCUAUUAUGAUACCUUCCCAAUGGGUAACUUGACCUUUGGAUUCAGACUCAGUUUUUUCUUACACAUCUUGUGGACUUGCGUUUCUCACGUGCGCCCCCACUUGAUAAGUGAGACUCGCUUUUAUUUGUGAAAAAUUUUAUUUUUUGAAAAGUCAGAGUCGCCACUUAUUUUAUUUUAUUUUAAAGGGAAAAUAAAACAAGAAAUAAAACCCUGAAAAAUGACUCCAUAGUUUUUGGAAAACUCGAGUUUAGGUUCAGGGAUCAGGUUACUUGUUGGGAAGGUACCUCUAAAAAGGUAGCACCAUCUAAGCCCUACAAAGGUCUCUACUGACUAAGUUAAGGGAAAUGUGGCAAUUAAUUGAUUAAUUGAGGAUACCUAGGUAGACUAAGGUGAUUUCAAAAAAUAUAGCAUGCCAAACAAGAUCAAAUCACAAUAAAGGAGAGUUAGGAUGCAUACCUGAACCGUUUCUCUAACGUUUUCAUAAAACAUUAGAGUUAGCAUAGAAAUAUAACACACGACAUGUAUUUAAUCAUAGCAAAUCAAGCACACAUCUAAGCACCUAAAGAUCACAUCAAACAUAAAUGAAAUUCACAAUAACAUGCAUGUUCAUAAAAUUUCGAAAGAGCGUACCUGGAUAGCAUGCAUAUUUUAUAAGAUUCCUCAAAAAAAAAAAACCUAGAGUGGUUAGGACAAGUAUAUAUCAUAUAAAAUCUUUAUUAUGUCUAAUAUACAUUGCCAAAGCCAAAAUCGAGCUAAGAUAAAUCAAAUAACUCCAAAAAUAAUACCAAUUCAAGCAAGUAUUGAGUCAUCAGCACGCAUAUAAUAAAGGGAGCAUCAAAAAAAUAAUUUCUAAAAAAAUGUCUCGGAGUGGAAUUUAAUCACAAAAAAUUGUGGGAAACAACUCCUACACAUCUAGAACAAGAUACCAAAAUCCAAACACUCAUUCAAAUGUCAAAUUGCAGAAAAGAUGCUCAAAAGUUCCACAAAGUCUAGAUUAGAUAAGAAAAAAAAAGUGACAUGCAUAAACGAAUUUAAAAAUAAUAAUAAAUGAUCACAUAAAAUCAUACAAAAAAUCACACACAUAUUUCAAAAUGUCUAUAUCACAUAAAAAAUGAAUUCAAGGUCGGAUAGUACUCAAAAACAUUUUUAAAACACUUAAGCUAAUCAACUAUCUAUAAUUUAGCAUGCAUAGUAGGUACAACUUUUAAAAAUCAUAUCUCCCUCAAAAAAACAUAUUUUUAAAUAUUUUAUGUGUCCAAUAUCAAUUUUAAAAAGCCUAUAAUUGAGGAAAAAUAUUGAAUCAAAUUUAAAAAGCCAUCUGGUAUUUUAUUUUUGCAAAAAUAUCUUAGGUAUCCAGAACUGGGUGAAAAUGGAGCCCCCCUAAAGACUUGUUUAUAUCUUCUAUUCCAGAAUGGCUUUCUAACUCAAACGAAACUUUAAAUUCAAGUUUGAGAAAUGAGGAAAGUCAUACAAGUUUUGGAAAUAUUUUAAAAAUAUUAUAAAGUUGCUAAAAUGAAUUUUAAAUCUAAAGGGUCAGUGGCUGAGCGAAAACUUGGUAGCAAGGAAGAGGUUUGAAACAUUUUCUUAUGUAGGGGUUUCACCAAUUCCCCAAUUAGUAUACACAAAUUUAGCCUAGAAUAAUCCCAUUUAUUUGGGACCACAAGCUUUGAUUCGUAUUUUAUUCAAAACCAAGAUUUUUAUUGAAAACUGAGAAGGAUGCAAACCAAUCAAAAAAAUGAUUGCAUAUUAUUUUAAGAAAAUGAGAUUGCAAUUCUAAGGACUCUAAUUCAAUUUUUAAAAUACAUUUUUAUGAGGAACAUUUUGAGAAAAGUAUCUUAUUCUAAAAAAAAAUAUUUUGAAAAAAACAACAAAAUGUACAAGACAAAACAUCAGGCAAAACAAAAGAAAACAAAAUCACCAAGAAGAAUUUUUGACAACCCAAAAAAAAAAUUGAAGUCGUGAGAAUGGAGACCAAUCUUCACUAUUUUCCGAUGGCCUCUGAAAAGUAAAUUUUACCAAAGACUACCUAAGCAAUAAACUAUUCAAACUUAAAUGAAUUAAAUUAAUGACUAAUAUUAAAAAAAACAUAUCAAUUAAGAGUAAUAAUAACAAAUUAGCACGUGAUCGAUUAAACAUACAAACACACCUUAGACCAAUUCAAAUGGACCAAAUCAAAUCAAGGCAAACAAUAAUUUUCAAUUUAAGAAUUAAUUUUAUUAACGAACUAAUAUUAUGGAAAAUACCUAAAUUGAAUUGAUGAGGGAAGUUAAAUCAGAAUAAACUAAGGACAUUCACAUUUGAAUAUAGAAUUGAUUUUAUUAAUAACUUAAAAUUAUUAACACAUCUAAAAUAAUUAAAAUGAAUCAAUUUAAAUGAAAGCAAACUAAAAACAAAAUAUGAAUUCAAGGAAUCUACUCUCUAAAUAAACUUACAUUAUUAAAAUGAAAUCUAGGCUUAAAAAAAAUAUUUUUAACACUAAUUAAGGCAAGUCUAAAAUCAAAUAUUUAACACUUAAAUUAAUUAUUUUAACAAACAAAAAUUUUACAAGAGCACCUUAACCUAAAUUUAAAUAAAAACACUAACCAUAAUAUAUUUUAAAACGAGAUAUCUAACCUAUAGAAUUAAUCUAUUGACACAUGGAUAAAAAGACAACACAUAAAUAAAUAAUAUAAUUAAAAAAAACAAAAUAUGAAUUAAUGGAGUCAAUUUUCUAAAUAAACUUACAUUACAAAAAUGAAAUCUAAGCUUAAAAUGAAUUAAACACUAAUUAAAGUCAAUCUAAACUUAAAUUCUUAACACGCAUGAUCAAUUAUUUUAACAAACUAAAAUUUUACCUUAACCAAAAAUUAAAUUAUAAAAUUACCUGAGACUAAAUUUCUAACCUAUAAAAUUAAACUCAUAAUCAAAUGGAUAAGUUGAUAACACAUAGACAAAUAAAUAUGAAUGAAACGAAAUACGAACUCAUGGAAUUAAAUAAUUUUUUAUUUUUUAUUUUUAAUAAACUUACGUUACUAAAAUAAAUUUGAGCUUAACAAACAUUUUUAACACUAAUUAAGGCAAGUUUAAAAUAUAAUAUUUAACACAUAAAAAUCAAUCAUUUCAACAAACUAAAAUUUUACUUAAACCUAAAACCAAUUCAAAUGACCUAUGGACUUUUUUUAUCAUUUUUUUUUUAAGAAAAAAUGAAUUUUUAACUCAUAGGUUCAAUAUUGUUAACAAAUAAAUAUAUAAAUAGAUUACAAAGCAUUAAAUUGAUGGCAAACAAAUAAACAAAUAAUCAAUAAUUAAGUGAAUCAAGACUAAAUUGAAUAAAGAACAAAUUAUAUAUAUAUAUAUUCAAAGUAAAGCUACAUAAAAUUAUGUUUUCUAAUCUUUAAACACAUGCUGCCAUAUUUAAAGCAAUUCACGCUGGAGCUAGUAAUGUUGGUCAAACCACCCAAUACAAUAAUAAUUUCACUAAUAAUAAUAAUAAUAAUAAUAAUAAUCUAGAUGUGCAUUGUUAUUGAAAACACAUAUAAUAACAAUUCUAAUCUUUAAACUCAUGCUGCCAUAUCCAAACCAAUACAUCUAGUAAAAGUCAAACCACCCAAUGUAAUAAUAAUUCCACUUGAAAAAGUAAUCUAGACUUGCACUGUUACUAAAAACCCAUACUAAAAAAAAACAAAUAACGCACCUAGUUGGCUUACCAAACAACUUGGUGGUGUGUAGCUGCUUUCAUUUCUCCAACGGUGCUCGGGAACAAUGGCGUGCUGGUUGAUGGGAAAUGAUAUUAUCUUUCCUCAUCCAAUACGUUUUCAAGGAUGUGCGGAUGGAUGGGUUGUUGUCCAGAUGGUCCAUUCGGUGAGUUUAAAUGUCGUCUCCCUUCGCUCUGAAAACUCCCUGUCGAUCCCUUCAAACAGCCGUAUUUAUCACGUUCUCAAAAACUCUUCCUUUCGAUCCCUUCAAAUAGCCCCUCUCAUUCUGUAAAAAAAAAAAAAAAAUCUUCUUUUUGAUACCCUCUAACAACCCUUCUAUCUCUGUAAAACCCUCCCUCUCUUAUCCCAAAACGACAACCUAGUGAUGAUAAAAAAAAUCAACAACAGCCCGUUGAUAAAAAAAAAAAAAAUCAGUAGCAGCCCGAUGAUGAUAAAAAAUCAUAGCAGCAGCAAUCCGCUCUUCCUUUUUUUUUUUUUUUUUUUUUCUUUAUGGCAGCCUCCUCCACUCUGAAAAACUCCUUCCCGCUCAUUUUAAAAUGGCACCCUUCCUCCCCUUAUUACCGAUCACUUCAAAUAUCCUCCCUCCCACGUUGUCCUCCUCUCAUUUUUUCUCAAAACUCUGUCAAACUCCUCUCUCUCAAUCAAUCCGUGGUUCCUCUCAUUAGUCCCGUUGACUCUACCAACAUGGAAAAAAUCCCUCACCAGUCUAGAGAAAACCAGUAAUCUUCCGCAUCAGUCCAACAUGAUUAGAACCCUCUCAUUUUGAACCUAGCCUUCAUUCCAUUCCUAUACACACCGAACAUCUUCUUUUCACCUGCCAAAAUCAGCUUUGGUAAGUUUCUAAACCUUCCCAUCUCUCUCUUUCUUCCCUUUUUCGUAUCUGUCUUGGGUUGAAUGCUCUUUCAAAUCACGGUCGAAUCUCCCUUCCAUAGAACCAUGCAAUAAAAAUAGUAAAAACAAAAUCAUCCAAUUAAAUAGUAAUAAUAAUAAUAAUAAUAAUAAUAAUAAUAAUAAUAAAUAAAUAAAUAAUAAUAAAGAUGAUUAAUCAUAUACAUGUACAAGAUAACCAAAAUAUUAUUUCAUGAUAAAGAAACAUAACGUUAGUAUCUUAUAAUCUCCUAAAAAUAAAUAAAUAAAAGAACAAAUAAACUAAAACCCACUUAAAACAAAAAUCAAACAAAUAGAAUUCCAGAAGACAAACCUCAGUGUACUAAGCUUAAAGAACUACCCAAGGGAUUCUAAGUGGGCCUAAAGUGGUGCCUAAGUGGACCUAGGAUGCCUAAGUAGGCCUAGAGUGAUACAUAAGUGGGCCUAAGUGGGCUUAGAGUGGGCCUAAGUGUAUCUAAGUGAACCUAGGAUGCCUAAGUGAGCUUAAAGUGGUGCCUAAUGGGUUAGGCAUGUCUAAUGGGCCUAAGGUGUACUAAGUGAACCUAAGGUGCCUAAGUGGUGCCUAAGUGGGCCUAAGUCUAAAUAGGGCUGCCAAAAGUCACAAUGGGGUUAGGUAAAUCCCUCAACCAAAAUCUCUAAGGUGGCUUAGAAAAAAUACGCUACAUGAGUAGCAAUGGGCCACCACGAAAUUACUGUCAAGUAUCGAACAAAUACCUAAUAGGACACGUGUUAGGAGAACAAAAUGGAGGGUCUACACAUCUUUUCUUUAAAAAUGGAGUUACACUAAGGUUGUAUUUCUUAUUUUGUUCUCUUUAAAAAAAAACCAAAAAUAAGUAACGACUCAAACUUUAAAAAAAAAAAAAAAUCAGUUUUUUACAAUAAAAACAAGUCUCACCAUCAAGUAGAAACACACAUGACAAAUGUAGGUUCACAAUUAUAUUUAGACUUAAAAUAUAAUACAAUUACUAAAUCAACGAAUGUUGUAAGUUUUAAAAUCUUUAAUCAUAAAAUAUUCAAAGCACAAUGAAACAAAUAGUUUUCAAAAGAAAAAAAAUGUUUAAAAUGGAAAAUCUAACAAUAAAGACAAUGAAACAAGGUGAUAUGGUAGGAGUUAAAUAGAAAAUUCUUUUAUCCAUGAAUUUAUAGUUUAUUUAGUAGAAAAAAGUUCAAAAGAAAUAUUGCAUACAUUAAUGGAUUAAGUAGAUAAAAGGGAUUUAAGUAAUUUGAUAUUUAUGCUUUAGUUAGAUAACAUAAAAUAGAAAUUUGAUAUUAUUAGUUUCCAUACUGAGUUUAGAAAUCUAUCAAAUGGAUGUUAGAUUAUCUUUCUUUGAAUGCUUAUAUAAAUUAAGUGUAUAUGGGGCAAUCUAAAGGAUUUAUUGUUAUAGGACAAGAACACAAAGUUAGGGAUAGAUACAUUUAGCUAGGUUGGUUUUUAACCAAUCCAAGAAUCAAAUAGGAGUUCAUUGGUUUUAACUAAAGUACAACAAAUUUAUUUAUUUACUCAAACUAAUCCAACCUAAUAUCAGUUCGAUUCACUUUCGUUAACUCAAUUUAGACAAAAAUAUUAAGUCUAUAUGUUUUUUUUCCACAUUGAUCAUACAACCAAAAUGAUCAAAUUGUUUUAGAUAAAUUUUUUUUUAUAUACAAAUAAUACAAUUAAAAAUUUUAAAAAUAAUGUGUAGGAGUUGACCUGUAGGUUAUUUGCUUGUUGGGAGUAAGUCAAUGAGUAGUAUUAUUGACAUAUUGGGUGCUUGUGACUUGAAAUUAUAUUAUCAUCAUUAUUAAGUCUCAAAGUACAAGGAUUUUAAGUUUUGGAUCAUGCUUAUGCCAUAAGCAACUUUUAAUUUGUAAUAAAGCCAUACAAGUUAGGCUCCAAGCCUCCAACACCAAACUAUAGCACAGCUAAGUUGGCUUUGGAUGAGCAUAGUUUGACUCACAAAGUCCUAAGAUUCUCCACAACACUCCAAAAUCCAAGCAAUUAUAUUUAUCCCACUCCUCUACUACUUGGGUUUGUUUGCUAGUCCACUUUUGGUAAGUGAACUAGGUUGAAUCUUCCAUAAGCCAAGUACAUAAAGUAGUUUGAUCUCUAGUUUCACUGUACUACCAAAAUAGAGUAAUUCAAGUAAGAAGACUUCUAAAGAGAAUAGUCUAGAGGGCUACUACAAAUGAGAAUAGUCUUUUAAACAUAUGUAAUCGAUUGUGCAUUACUUAAGUAAGAAGACUUCUAAAGUUGGAUAAGUUGUUUAGAAUUUUUAAGAGGGAAUUUGUAAACAUCAUAGAAUUGAUUUUAGAGACAUUUACUAAGUUCUAUCAUGAUAAUAAAGUAUUAAGGAAAAACUGUACCACCAAAACCAAGUUGUAUUUGUUAAUAAUACUUACUACAUUUCUAUUAAGAAAGAAAUUAUCUAGUGGUAGAAGACAAGUUGAUCAUUUUAGUUUGUGAAGUUUUCACUACCCAAGCUAACAUCAAAAGCUAUAACAAGACAAAUCCCAAUAAGGUAAGAUAAAAGGCUACAUAGAAGGGACAUCUUGCUCCUUGUUGAAAACCUCAUUCAAUUGCAAAUCUACUACAUCAAGAAUGCUCCCUCUUCUAUAAUUUUCUCAUUCCCAAUGUACAACACUAUUAUUAUAGUUGCUCUACAUGUUUUUUUUUUUUUUUUGGUUAUAGCAAUAACUUCAUUGGUGUGUUAAAUUCUCUUAUAGGUAAUUCCUCAAACAUGUUGUCCUCAUUGUUGCUAUUAAGUCUUGUAGUAUGAAACUAAAAAUUAAAAUUCUUGUAAUUAAAAUCAAAUGGAAGCACAAGAAUUAAAAAAAGCAAACACAAGAGAAACACUCAAAUCCAAUUACAAAGAGUAGCAUCAAAUUUUCCAUAUCUACAAAAUUCAAAUGUUUAGAUUUCCAAAAAUGAAAAUAAUAAUAAUAAUAAGGUUCAUUGAGAGAAGACAUACAUCUACAAAACAUCAAGGUGUAAGGUUAAGAGAGAAGAAUUCAAUCCAUACCUGAUAUGGAGACAUGGAGUCGAACACAUUGACUAGAUUUGAAUAAUGGAAUUCAUCUAUGGGAACUUGUGUACCAUAAGAGGGUUGGUUUUUGGAGGCACUGGAAGGUGGUCGGAGUAAUGGUUGUGGCCAUUGAAAGGGCCAAUGGUGGUGGGAAGCCAUAGUCGCUGGUGAAGAGGAAGGUAGGUGAAUUGGAGACUUGGUAAAGAAGAUAAUGCAAGCUUGAUAAAAUUUCCUCCAUCUUUUCCUUCUCUCUUAUUUUCCUCACUAAUUUUUAAGGAAAAUAGUAGAAAAAAGAUUACAAUAUUUUCUUUAGUAUUUUCCUUUAUAUUUUUUUUUCUAUCAUAUUUUUCAUGUCACACAAACUAAGGAAAAUAACUUUCCACAUUUUUUUUUCCUUUCCUUUACAUUUUCUGAAAACUAAACACAACUUUUAUAAAUAAAAAUUAAGAAUUACAGUAAGAUUGUAUAUUCUUCCUCUUUCUUCCUGCAUUUCUACAUCCAAUACUCUAUUUUACAUCAUAUUUUUACUCCCUUCUUCAAUUAGCAUUCCUCCCUUUAUAUAGAGUUAUCUUCACACCAAUUCAUAAGAUUAGAAAGAUGAAUGAACAUUGGGGCAAGGUUGGACAACUGGUGGCAGCUAUUCAGGGCUAGAAGUCAACUUUUGCUCGACUUUUUGGGCAUGGGCAGCAACAUGUGGACCCCUCUUUAGCAUGAAAAUGGCUAGAACAUGUUAAGCUCUCUUAUUAGAUGAUGUGUCAACUAUAGGGCAAUCAUAGGGUGGGGAAUAUAUGGCAAUUAUGCACAAAAAAAAAAAAUGAAAAAUAGAAAAAUUGGUAUCCAAUUAUAUAGAAAGACAUCUUCCAACAUUUGAUAUAAAUAAAUAAAAAUUAAGAGAAAAAUAUUUUUUUUUUAAAACAUAUUAAACCUAAAAUAGGGACUUAAUAAUAAAAUCAAGUAAAAAGGUAAAAUUAAAACCAAAUAUUAAAUAUGAAUAUAGUUUAAAUAUUAAAAAUAUUAUUAUUUAGGUUUAAUCAUUGGGUUUGCUAGAGGAGUUUAUAUAUAUAUAUAUUUCUUUUUUUUUUUUUAUAAUCCUAUGUUGAUGAUAUUAAUGCAUUGAAUUUGAUGUUACCUAAAACAAAAUUAUAUUUCAUGUCCUCUAUUAUAAGUGGACAACCAUUCCUCAUGUUAGAUUUUAGAUAAAGAACGAAUAUUGAAGAUUGGAGUUGUAAGAAAUUAGGAGAUCCUAAUUUUAAAUAUGUAACAAAGUUCUAUAAUCACUUCAAUUCACGUUUAAAAGUAGUAUUUCUUUCUAAUAUGGGAGCAAACUUUUCUUUCUUUUUUAUAAAUUUCAUUUGAGAAUGAUUUUAAAAUAAAUAAAUAAAAGCCCUGCUAAAUAUUAAAAAAAGACACUUAUAAAAAUUAAUGAGGUGGAUGGUAAGGUCAAAUUCGGGAUAGCUUCAUAUUUUUUUGCUUUAAGUGAAAAUUAAAGUAAUAAUUUUUAAGAUGUUGUAAAAUUUUUAUUAAACAUAAAAGAACUUCUUGUGUAAACAAAAAUAGAAUUAUAGAAUUCUUAUAAGAAAUAACAUUUGUAUGACUUCUAUGUGAAACCUUUUUUUUAACUCUUAAAAGUCCAUCCAAAUAAGAUUAAAACAUAUUUGAAAAUCAUUUUUAAAAAUCCAAAAAUGACUUAAAAAUAAUUUCUGAACUUUUUUUAAAUUUACAUUUAAAUACUAAAUGAUUCUUUUAAAAAUCAUUUAUAAUGUCAAAAUAUUUUUUUAUGGAUAAAAAUAUUACAAAUAAAAAACGUUUUAAUCACAACUAAUUUAUUUUUAAUUCAUGAAAUUUCAUUUAUUGUUAUUUAUUUUUUGGGAUUUAAUUCUUUACAAUUAUUUUUGAGUGUUUAUAAAGUAUAAUUAGGUUAUGCCCAAAUUUAUUCCUUUAACUCUAUCCAUCAGAUAUAAGUAGCGUGAAAUUUUGGCCCGUCUCCACAUUUCUUCGCUUCUGACAUUGACAUGCACUGCUUCGUGAACUCCAAACACAACGGCUAAGGAUCGAAGAAAAUGAGACAAUGGUCAAUGAAUAAUUUAUUAAUUUAUUUCUUAAUUUAAUAGCAUUGAAAUGUCAACUGGAACAAAAUGAAAGCUUAAUUUAAUACCACUCAUGACAACUUUCCUGCCAACUUAACAUAUUGACUUGGACUUGGAGGGUUCGGUCAAUUGCGGCAGCUUAGUUAAUUGUUAGUGUCUUUUCUGUAAACCAUAAAUUUAAAUGAUCAACUCCUACGUUUUAAUUUAGAAAAGCCAGUGAUUUGUUUUUACUAGUUAUUUGAAUUUAAGGAAGGAGGAAAGGGUUUACUUUAAUAUAAAAUAAAAAAAAUAAAAAAUAAAAAAUGAGAGUUGAAAAGUAAUUAAAUCACUAAAAAAAAAAACAGAUUUGGAGUUCUUUCGGUGUGGGGUUAGACUCAAUUUGUACUCAUGCAAUGGAAAUGGACAAUUUUUUUUUUUCCUUUUCCUUUAUCUUGGUGUAGAUCUUGUAAUAUUUUAUAAAAAUAUAAACUAUAUGCCAAUUAUUUUAACUUUAGGAAAAAACACUUAUUCUAAUUUAAAAUAAGUAAAUAAAAAAAGAACUGAUUUUAUCUCAAUUGUAUAAGACUUCAGAAAAAUUAUCUUAUUUGCAAAAUAUUUUCAGAUGUAAAAGUAAAAAUUAAACAAACCAUUUGAUGAUCUUUUUCAUAAGUAUCCAUUUAGAUCAUACUCUAAUUUAAAAAUAUUAGAAUAAAUCAAUUACUCUAAACUAUAUCAUUUAUAAUUUUUUUGAUUAUUAAUAUGCCUUCCAAGGAAUUGGAAUAAAAUAUGGAUAAUUAAAAAAUGUCAACUAUCCCAUUUCUAACUUUUCUAAUACGACAUGAUAUUUUAUCAUGUUGAAUGAAGUGGGUAUGGCCAAAAAUUGUCAACACAAUAGAUAAAGAUAUAUCUAUUGUGGACAUGGCAUUCAGAGGCUUCUUAACAUUGUAUUGGGCUAUUUAAUGAGUUGUUCAUAUUGAAAUUAAUUAAGGUUGAAACAGGAACACAACAUCUUUAUAGAUUUUUAACAAUCCAAGAAAUUGACAUUAAUAAUCCCAAAUACAAUAUUCUGCUACUUAACAUUAUUCUUUUUAUCUUAAUUGAAGAGGAAUACUAACUUAGUCAAAUAGAAAAUAAAUCACGAAAGCUUAAUAAUACAAAUAUUCAGUGAAAUCUUUGGCAUGUUAUUUCUUUGCAGCUUCAACAUGGUGGCAUGUCGGAUGGAGGAGGCAGCAUUUGAGCUUCUGGGUGUUUACCAUUUUUCACUAUGAACGCAGUUUCCAUGCCCCAAGUCAGAUGGCGUUCUACAUGGCAGUGCAUGAACCAUACUCCUGCAACAGAGAAAAUAUACCAACAUUACACCUAACUUAAUUGUAAUAUUAAGAAAAAUUAUUUCAUUGGUAUGCAGGUUGGCAAUUUCAAGGGUUUUUUUCUUUAAUAGAGGACAUGAAUUCUUGUAACAUACCAGGAUUGGAUGCCUCGAAUCUGAUUGCAACCCAACCUUUCGAAGGAACAGAAAUGGUAUUCUGAAGAGGAGGAUCCACCAGAUUAUAGCGCAAAGGGUCCCUAUUUCCAUCGAAAUUCCCAAAUCCCCAUCCAACAACAUAGAAACUGUAUCCAUGGAGAUGCAUGGGGUGAUGUGUCUCUGCAAGCACGGCUGUCCCUUGAAAAAUAAUCUCCACUGUGGAGUUAUACUCGAGCACCCUUACUUCUGUUCCGCUACUCGGCAACUGAUAGGUUAAUGGAAGAUAAUCAUAUGUAAAAUCGAACACAAAUGAUGGAAAGCUAGGAAAGUUAUUUCCAUAUACACCACUGAUGUUAAAAUAGUAAGCUUCCAAUAUGUCAAUUGUAGGCAAAUCGAAGGUUAUGUUGUUUAUACUUGAGGAGAACCGCGUCCCAUUGGGCCCUGCACAUGAAUCAUUGACGCAUGGGUACGAGUUCAUAGAAAGAAUGUAAAACAGGUUAGUGCUCGUGCUCAAUGGGACAUUGCAAGGAUGUUCCGCAUCUGCUAAGCUUCGGAGGCCGGCCAUGACCUGAACCGAUGCAUUUGUGUCAUUGUAUGCAGGAAGAUAAGGCAAGGAGGGAGGUGAAGAUGGAGUGUAGUAUCCCCUGUACUGUACAAUAGCUGUGGUGGUUGUGUUAUCAUAAAAGUUUUGAUAUUGAGGGGCAACAGAAUAAGUUAUAGCCGCCAUGUAAUAUUGAUCUGGGCGUUGGUUAGCUUCUAGUAAGACAUCGUAGGUUUGGCCAGGAAAUAUUGUGAUAUAAUCUCGUGUCAAUGGUUUCGUGUAGCUACCAUCUGUUCCAACCACUGUCAUUUUAUGCUUGUCAAUGGCAAAGAAAAGAGCCUCGUGCAAGGCAGCAUUGAUUAUGCGAAGUAGAUAUGUCUUUCCAUGAUCCACCGUUAGCUUGAAUGUGCCUGCAAUUAGAAAGGGAAAGUUGUAUACUUAUGACUAGCCAAAAGAAAAAGAAAAAAUUUCCAUGAGGAUCCACCAAUUAUGAAGUGAUUGAUUGAUUAAGGGUGUAAAUUUGGCUCCAUAGUUCAAAAUUAUAUUUGGACUAGAUGUGUUAAAUCAUAGCUCUAUCAUCCUUAUAGCUAUAUUCCUCUUUCUUAGCAUUAAGCUUUAAAUAUGUUGAUGUUAAUAAGAAAAAGUAAUAUGGUUAACAUAUAAGAAAAUGAAAUCAUGUACAAUUUUAAAAUGGAAAGUUAAUCUUUGUACUUGAUUUUGAGCAUGGAUAUAGAUCACCGGGUUGUCCAUUUAUCAAUAAAGCAUCAGAGGGGUCGGGGUCGCCUCCGGUUGCAAGCCCUUCAUCUCGAACCGUAUUCACAUCACUCUUCCACCAUUCUCCUGCAUGUCAACAACUCCAGUAAUUUUAGAUUUUGCUUUGUUGGUUCAUUCAUAAUAUGUAAAUUAACCUUUAAAAAUAACAACACUUAUACCUAAUAUGAUGGGGACUUCUGCGUAAGGUUUGUGAAAAGGAUACUUGGUUCCAUUCUUGGGAUAGAUGAUUAUAGCUCCAUGAACAGUGGCUCGGGUCCAAUCACUGUGAGCAUGCCACCAUAAAGUGCCUUCCUCAGUGGAAAGGAUGAUCUUCUGGGUAAACUUUGACCCUGGCUGAAUUGGGCAUUGUGUGAUAUACUCGGGACCAUCCGUCCAUGGAUAUCUAGGCAUGGUCACCCCAUGCCUACAAAACCAUAACUAUACGUUAAAACUAGUACUAAUUUUCAAAGUAACAAAAUAUAGCAUGCAACAAACAUCAACUGUAUCUCAAUGGAACUGAAGCAAAUAACCCUAAAGUAUUGUUUUAAAUUUGACUUUAUUUUCAAAGCAAUAUAUUGCGGCCCCCUCUUAGAAAUAAAAGAAUGUAAGCCAUGUCUUUCUCUGUGACACACACAGGACCUACCAGUGAAUGGUGACGUUUUCUUUUCCUCUGUUAUAAACGUCGACAAUGAUUGUCUCUCCUUUCAUAGCAUAUAUAGUUGGUCCCGGAAAUUGUCCAUUUACUGUUAAGAUGUUCUUGGCGCUACAAAGCCUUGUAUAUGAAGCUUCCCUCACCUACAACCAAUUAAAAGUUAACCAUGCAAAUUCAUCCCAAAAGAAAUAUUACAUGCAUGAAUAGUUCCAUUGAUCCAUUCAUGUAAGUGUAUAACCAAUUAGAAAUCGAUGGCAUGCAUGAACGACUCAACGACACCCAUAGCAUACAUGAACAACUCAACAAUUCUAGGGUAAGAGGUCAUACGGUAAAAAUGAGAGCCAUACUACUCCUUAAAUAUCAUGAUUAGAAGGUGGCGUUAAGGCCAGAAUCACAUAUAGUAUUUACCACAAAAGUAAGCCGACGGGUUGAAGCUUGGCAAUGGAUGCCACCACCAAAAACUAGAAACGCUAAAAUUUGCAGGAGGAAAACCUUCAUGAUCAGCCACAUUUUCCUUGGAAUAAAAACCUCUUCUCUUCUCUUGUCCUAAACACAACUCCUUCAAUUCUCUUACUACUUUUGAUGUAUUUCUUUCACAUGUGAUUCAUUAUAUAGGCAUGGUAAUUCUCUCGGGAUACAAUACUUCCUCUCCACGUGUCAAUACAAGAGGAAGUAAUUUGAAUGUGUAUUGGUUUUCAAUGUUCUUUCAGGACGACUUCAAUGAGCAGGACCACUUCAAAAUAAUUAAUUAUGAUAUUUCUUACAUGAGCAGGACCACUUCAAAAUAAUUAAUUAUGAUAUUUCUUACAUGAGCAGGACCACUUCAAAAUAAUUAAUUAUGAUAUUUCUUACACGUUACCUAAACGUUAUUUCAGAAUAAAUUUAAAAUAUUCUUUCACAAGUCUUUUAUUGAUUAUUUCAACAAAUGUUAAUUAAUUAAAUAUAUGUAGAAUACUUUUAAAACUUUGACCUCCCGUAUGAGUACCCUUAUCAAGAUUAGUCAUGAAAGCUGUUUUUCAUUGACAAAUGCUUUUAAGAAUUAUUUUAAAACUGAUGACUUUGGUGGUUGGUGGCAAAGUUGUUUUUGUAUUGUUACUUGAUACAAUUAGUCAUUAUCAUUGUUUUCAUCUUAAUGGGACAAAGUUGUUUCCAUUUUUUUUAAAACUUGAGAAUUGAGAUUAUAAAAGACAAGAUGAUAAACUAAUCUGGCAUUUCAGAAUUUUCCAUAAAAAACACAAAACUAUAUUUUGGAAAAAGUUGAAAAUAGGAUACUAACAACCCCUUGUAGUAUUUUUUUUUUCUCAACAAAAAUCAAUUUAAUAGUAAUAAUAAUAAAUAAUUAUAGAUUUUUUUAUUUUAAAAAAGCUUAUUUUUCAAAACAAAUGCAAUCUAUAAUUUAUUUGUUCGAAUGAUAUGCAUAUCUUGAUUAAAUAAAUAAAUUAUGGAAAGAUUUAUAUAUUUUUAAAUUAUUUAUAAACAGAAAAAAUGAUGAAUAAAUUUUAACUAGAUCAAAUAAUAUUUGUAUAAUAAUGCCUUUAAACAUACGUUUUUUAUGAGUAUUUCAAAUAAACAUCUCAACAAAUAUUAUAUAAGAUGAUCAUUAAUUUCACUAUCUUCAUUUUAUUUAUGUUAUUCUUCUUUAUCCAAUGGAUUUAAUUAUGUGUUGUAAAAUGAAUAAGGACCUCUAUAGUUAUAAUCUCACCUAAAAAGUUGGGGAAGUUACCUCUACAUUAUGGUUCAUGCAUGAAAUAAAUUGUUUUUGUACUUCCAUCAUCAAAGAUGCAUGUAUGUUUAAGAAUGGCAAAAGAAUAUGAGGUCAAGAAAAAAAUGAAAAAAUUUUACAUGUUUUUUUUAAUUCAUUUCAUUCAUUUUUUUUUUCUAUUCUAUAUAAAAAUUCAAUAUAUAUAUAAUAUAACUUUUUAACUAAUUUUAAUUAUAUUUUUCUUUCAUAUUUUAUAUAAUAAAUCAAAAAAUUUUAAAAAGGACACUUUUUAAUAUUUCAACUAUAACAAGGUGGGCAUAGUUAAUUUAUAAUGUUAGGAUAUCCUAACAACCUAACCUUAAAAUUUUCUUAAAUAAAUAAUCACUUCACUAGUCAUAUAUUUUCUUAUUCCAUCAUAUUGUGAUUGGCACCAUAGUGUUUGUUAUACUUUGAAGCAUUUUGGUAUGGUUCUUAUCUCAUAAUGAGUCAUUUUUGAAGCAAACCCAACAUGCUUGAUAGAAAUCCUCUUCCUAAAUGAACCCCAAGGUUUCUUAUUUGUGAGUGUUGGUACAUUAAGUUAUAUAGUUUAAGAUUGAUAAUUUUGUUUCAUUCAUUUUGACUUAGGGCUUUUUUAGAUUAUGUCUCGCUCUCUUUUGAAAGCUCGAAGUUGUCGUGUGAUCAACUAGAAUAGCAAAGGUAAGUAUCGAAAGGUCUGGAAAGACAAAUUAGAGUUAGUUAAGGUUGGCACAAACAUCAAGUUCUUAAACUAAGUUAAAUGUUUUUUAAAAUAGUUUUAAAGAACUCCUUGAGUGCUCUAAUGCUGCAGAGAGCGCUUAAGCACUCCUUAGAGCACUCAAGUGUGAUAGAAUUCUCUAGAAUUUCAAAGCUUUGAUUUUCCAAAUUUUAAAAGCUUUAUUUUGGGAAAAUUCUAAAUCUGAUCCACCAGGAUCUUGGCCUAAUAAAUACCUUGCCUAAAGAGGAUUUUCUCUUUUUGAUGUUGAUGUUUCAAAAAACGUAAUUUGCCAUCUUGUUCCCAAAACAUUGAAAGAUGAUUGCCUUCGCUUUUACUAGGUUAAGAAAGAGAUUUGCAUCUCCACAAACACUAAAGUAAGAUUCACGAGAAGCACAAGUGGUGUUGUACUACAAAUGUGAAGUAUAGUAAAGGUGAUAGGGAGUAAGACUUAGGGAUAGUUUCCACUAGAUAAAACUGUGUACUAUACUUUCAAACAAUGGAUUUGUAGUUGGAUAUCUAUAAUUGGAUGUCUCUAACCCCAUGGAUUUUACAUUCGCAUGUUGUGUGGAUGGUUUUCCAUGUAAAAAAUCUUGUGUUCUUGUAUUGAAUAUUUUGAAGCUUUCCUAAGUCAAACGGAUUAAUUUAAAAUUGUUGGAAAGUUUGAAGUUUGAAAUUUGAAUUAUUCAAAUAUUUGUUGAUUUGAAUAAGUCAAAGAUUAGAAGUUAAUUUAUUUGUUUUAAAAUCUUAUCAGGUUAGGAGUUAUUUAUUCAAAUAAGGAUUGAAUAUCCACCAAGUUGUUGGAAUAAGGAUUCUAGUUUCCUCAGUUUUAAGGAUUUUUUUAAUCUUGGAGUCAACCUAUAAAUCCUGUUGUAUUUCGUAUUAAAAAAUAAUAAGAUUUUGGUGCUUUUUGUUUUUCUUUUUUUUUUCUACUCUGGCUUCAAAAAUAAUUAUUUUUUGAGCCUAAGAGGUUCAAACACCUAUUCACCCUCUCUAGAUGUUACCUAGACUAGAUCAACUAACUUUUAAUGAGGAAAACUCAAAUUACAAAAUUUGCACUUUCAGCCAACGCAGCUAGGUUUAGGUGGUGUUUAUUUUCUUGGUUUUUUACUAAAAACAAUUUAUUUUCAGAAUUUAGGUUGUUUGUUUUUCUAUUUUUUCAUGACUUAUUAUAAACUUUUUACUAAAUAGAAAAAGCCAAAAUAUAUAGCUUUUUCUAAAUAGAAAAAAAUAACAUAUUGGUUUUUCUUUACUUUUUAAUACUUAAUAGAAAUAAAAUACUAUAAAAACAAACAACCUAAUAUUUAACACUAUUAAGCAUUAAGGUUCUAUUUAGAAUUAAGUAAAAAAACAAACACCACCUUAGACAAAUUGAAGAGUAAAUAUCCUUUCAAAUCAACCAACUAGCCUUUCAUCCACAGAGACCUCCAAUUUAAAGAUCAUGAAAACCUCUCAAAGCAUUUCUUAAGAAAAAUAAGAGCAUUGGCUCACCCUAAGGGUUCCUUGGAGAGGCUUUGAUCUUAAUCUUCUCCAUGAGUUGUUGAAAGGGUCUUUAACAACUGGGAUUGGAUUGAAUGGAGCACUUAUAUGAACUAAAAAUGAAAAAUAUUAUAACUACUCAAAAGACAUUUUCACAGAAUUGCCAACCUGCAGAUCAUUUUUAGUUAAUCAAAUCUUAAAACAUUAGUCACAUCCAUGGACAAAAUUAAGUGAAGGCUAAGCACAGAUAGAAGAGAACCUUCAGGACGCUCUCCUUAGCUCUACCAAGCUAGCUAACAACCUUGAACAGAAUAUUGCUCGAGCAGUCAUGACUACUAUUAAAAGGAAAAAUCUAUAAAACAUAUGAAGAACAAAAGGCAUAAAAAGAAAAUAGAGGCUAAAAUAAAAUGGUUCAAUUUGGGAAUCAACUGCUACGCAAUAUGUGACUAAAUUCUCAGCUAGAUUCUUACGAGUUCUAACCCCCAAAAGCAUCAAAUGCAGAAGAAAACCCUGCAAAAGAGAAACCAGUAAGACAAUAACAAUAUGAUAGUUUUCAUCUCUACCUUUCAAGUUUGAGCAUCUUGUGCUGAUGCAUCCUCUCAAUGUAGAAGUGGCUUGCUUCAUGACAUCAGUAUUGUAAAAAGAAGAGGUGUAAGCUCACCGUAAUCUUUAAUAGUGAAGAAACUUGAAUUCUCAUCGGUAGUGCUGCACUAAAAUUAUGGUUGAUUGUCUUCUUUCUCAUCUUGUUGAUAUAGUAGAUGAACCCCACACUUCUUCACCCCAUAAGAUGGGCCAUAGACUUGGAAUGAAGCCUGAAUUUGACUCGGUUUAUUUAGCCAAUUGACGUGGCCAAUCCCAAUUCGAGAAAUUGGUUGAUACCCAAGCCACAUGUGAUCUGAUUUAAUGAAUCUGUGCCCUUCAUCCGAAGAAUUCUGGUGUUCUGGAUUGAUGGGAGCAAAAAGGUGACCAGUUUUACCUUGGAGUCAAAUUCAAAUGACAAAAUAUAUUACCAGGGCAAUCAUGGACAGCACCCUUAACUACAAAAAUAGCGCACACAGCCAAUCCCAUCAACCUAGUAUUACACCAAUUUGGAGGCAGAUGUACCAUUACUGUGGAGCCUAUACUCUGUUGGCUGAACCACUCAGGAAUUCAACUUCCAGGAACAAAAGUACUGGAUUCAAUAUGUGGAGUAUAUGGCACCAUCUGGGUCAUGAAAAUCAAUGUCAAGUUAUAUGGAAAUAAUGUAGGAGUAGUGCUCAAAGGAGUAUAAGAAUUAUUCCAUAGGAUUUAAUUGAUUUACUUUUACAAUAUGAUCAAGAGAGAGAGGAGAGAAACCUGGAUUGGGAAUUGAAAUCUUGGUAAUUUAUUUGCCAGACUUUGCAUUUCCUUUAAUGUAGCUGCCACAAAGUUGCUGCUUUCAUUCUCAGACAGUCCGAAGCAAUUAGAAAAUGUGAAUCGGAGGCCCCCACAUCCCUUGGAUCUGUAGACACUUGAUGGACACAAACUGUUUUCCAUAACUGUGCAAUCAUGGGCAUCUAUUUCUUCUAUACUUGAUGGAAGCUCUGGUAAUAAUUGAAGCCUCUUGUAAUAACCCAACCUAAAGCCUUUGAGCUCUGAAAGUUGAUUGAGGCUUGCAGGUAGAGUAACAAAAUUGUUUCUGCUCAGAUCUAAAUAUUCCAAUGAGCACAAAGAACUAAAGUAAUUGGGAAUUGCUCCUUCUAAUAUGUUGCAAUCACUUAGAUUUAACUUUCUUAGGGGUCUUCAACCAAAGAAAGAAUGCAGUUUGCAGACCCUCUAUUUUGUCCUCCUAGCACAUGUAUUAUUAGGUGUUUGUUCAGUACUUUACAACAAUUCUCUGGUGGCCCAUUACUACUCAUGUAGCUUAUCUUUUCUAAGUCACCUUUGAGACUUUAGUUGAGGGAUUUAUCUAACCUCAUUGUGACUCUUAGCAGCCCUAAUUUAGAUUUAGGUUUUUCCUUCCUUUUUAGAAUAGCUUUUAGGUGUACUUUUAGGAUAACACAUUUAAGCAUGUUUAGGUCACUUAGACAAUAUCCUGAUCACUUUAGGUCAUUUAGACACUGUCCUAAACAUCAUAAACACCUUCCAACUUGCACACAUUCACCCUAGGUCACUUGGACACUUUUUUCAUAAUAGGUCACUUGGACACUUGUUUAGGUUUGAUUUCUUGAUUGCUUGGUUCUUUAGGUUUGAUUUCUUGAUUGCUUGGUUCUUUAGGUUGGGAAUUUCGCACAUGAAGGGUCCGUUGGAUCGAACCAAGGUCAUGGUCCGGCACUUGCCGCCGAUGAUUUCGGAGGCCGCAUUUUUGGAACAAAUCGAUACCGUCUUCAAGGAGCGCUACACCUUGGUCAAGUUUUGUCCCGGGAAAAACAGCCAGCAGCGACAGUCCUAUUCUAGAGCCUACCUUGACUUCAAGAGGCCGGAGGACGUUAUUGAGUUUGCUGAGUUCUUUGAUGGGCAUGUUUUUGUUAAUGAGAAAGGUACUCAGUUUAAAACUAUUGUUGAGUAUGCUCCUUCACAACGCAUUCCAAAACAUUGGCCUAAAAAGGAUGGCCGUGAAGGGACAAUAUUUAAAGAUCCUGAGUACCUGGAGUCCCUUGAACUUCUUGCGAAGCCUUUUGAGAAUCUUCCCAGUGCAGAAAUACAAUUGGAGAGAAGAGAAGCAGAACGAGCUGGUGCUGUGAAGGACACUCCUAUAGUUAUGCCUCUAAUGGAUUUUGUCCGUCAGAAAAGAGCUGCCAAGGGUGUAUCCCAUCGUUAUCUAAUGGAAAACUAAGCAGAAGAGCCAGUGGGUCAUCAUCGGGAAAUCCAAGUCUGGGCUCAUCAAAAUGGGGUUCUGAAAAGAGAAGACUCUCCACCACAAUGUAUGUUUUACGGGAUGCUGCAAAGAACACAAGUGCAAAAGACAAGUCAACGUUCAUUCUGGUUCCAAAGCGAGCUGACCAGCUGCUGUCUGAUAAGUCUGUUAAUCUAGCUGCUGGAGGUGGAGCUGAAGCAUUGAAAGAGGAAAGUGGAGUUUCUGGAGCUGUUGAUGCUGGGAAGAAGAAAGUCCUCCUCCUGAAAGGAAAAGAGAGAGAAAUUUCUCAUCAUUUACAGCAGCAGAAUGUAACAUCUCCAGUAAAGAAUAUACUUGGUGCAAAUGCUCCCAAGCAGAAUCAGAGACGUGAAGGUAGUGGAAGGAUAAUCAGAAGCAUACUUUUAAACAAGGAUGCACGUCAAAGUCAAUCUUCUAUGUUCCAGUCGGAGCAACAGUCCCAAGCCUCUAACUUAGAGAAGGAGAAACGACCUCCUCGCCCUCCACAGCUGUACACACAGCCUGAAAUGCAAAGGAAGGUAAGGGACGCCGCGGCUGUUUGAUUCAAGGAGAGGAGGUAAGUAAAGGUUUUGAGUUUUGGUUUUAAAAAUUGAAAAAUUGGAAUUUUUUUAAUUAAGCUUUGAUUCAUCGUUUUAGACAAAAAAGUUAUGAUCUUUGUUUCAAUUUAGUUUUGAUUCUCAUAUUAGUUCGAAAAUGUUCAUUUUAUUUUCUUUUAUUGUUUUUGUUUUAGUUUGAUUCUUUGAUUUAGAUUUGAGAAGCUUGAAACUUUGUUUUUGUUUUGGUUUUGGUUCAUCAUGAUAGUUUUAUAAAGCUUGAUAUUUGUUUAAUUUUUGUUUGGAUUCUUUAUUUUAUUUUCAACAAGUUAGAAUUAUCUUAUAUUUGAGUGUUAUAUGGGUUGUUAUAUUUGAUUGAAUUGUUAGUUCUCUUUAUCUUUGAUACUUAUUUUGUAGGCACCUUAGGGAAUUCUUGAGUUUGAACUUUCUUUUAAAAAAUGUUUUUUUAUUAAAUUGACAUUUUGAGUUGAGUCAAAUUUUCUUUUUUCAAAAGUGAAUUUUUCCAUCAUAAGUUUGGCUCCUUGAUCCCAAAUGAAAGGUAGCCAAAAAGGGGAUCCAAUUUAGCUUUUCUCUUAUUUUCAAAAUCCUCUUAAGUUAGAAAUCAAAUCUCUAGUUUGUAUCUAUUGAUUAGGAUUUAACAAAUCAUUGGGUCCUUUUUUUUUUUUUACUUCCCUUAAAGUCAUUGCCAAAAGCAUUUAAAUCACCAAUAAAAGGUUUUAGAAAACAUUCAUUCUAGCUUUAGACAAAGAACAUAGCUUCUAUUAAAAUUAUGCAACUCAUUUCAUUUAAGUUGCAUUUCUCCUUUGUUGGUUUUUUUUUAUUUAAAAAGAAAUGAUUUUUAUUCACAUAGUUUUGGAGUUGUGCUCCCAAACUAAUGGGGAUAUACAGGUAAAACUUAUGAAAAUUGAAUGGGGACUUGAUGGAACCCCUACAUAAGAAAAUCUUUCAAAACUCUUCCUUGCUGCUCAUUUUCACUCAACCACUAACCCUUUAGCUUUAAAAUUCAUUUUAACAACUUCAUAAUAUUUUUUAAAAAAAUUCUGAAACUUGUAUGAUUUUCCUCACUUCUUGAACUUGAAUUUAAAAUUUCGUUUGAGUUAGAAAGUAAUUCUAGAAUAGAAGAUACAAAUGAGUCUUUAAGGGGGUUCUAUUUUCACCUAGUUCUGGACACUAGAAAUAUUUUUGUAAAAAUAAAAUAACAGAUGAAUUUUUAAAUUUAAUUCAAUAUUUUUUCUUAAUUUUAGACUUCUUGAAAUUGAUCUUAAACAUAUAAAAUAUUAAAAAAUAAUCAUUUUAGAGGGAGAUAUGAUUUUUCAAUUCAUAGAUGGAAUUUGGACAUUUGAUUAGUUGGAGUGUUUUAAAAAUAUUUUUGAGUAUUAUCUAACCUUGGAUUUAUGUUUCCUGUGAUAUAGAUACUUUGAACGAUGUGUGUGAUUUUUUGUAUGAGUUUAUCUUAUUAGUUCCACUUUCUUUUUCUUUUUUUUUAGCUAAUCUGGACUUUGUAGAACUUUUGGGGUGUCCUUGCUGCAACCUGUCAUUUGAAUGUGUGUUCGGUUUUUGGUAUGUUGUUCUAGAUGUGUAGGUGUUGUUUCCUGAAAUUUUUUGUGAUUAAAUUCCACUUCAAGACAUUUUUUAGAAAUUGUUUUGUGAUGAUCCCUUUACUAAUUGCAUGCUGAUGAUCUUGUACUUUGUCUAAAUUUGUUAUUUAUUUUUGGGGUUAUUUGACUUAUCUUGGCUCAAUUUUAGCUUUGGUACUGUAUAUUAGACAUAAUGAAUAUGUUAUAUAAUUUAUACUUGUCCUAACCACUCUAACAUUUUUGAAGGAAUCUUAUGAAUUAUGUAUAUUGUCCAGGUACGCUCUCUAUCAUUUACUUUUUGGAAUUUUAUGAACAUGCAUGUUGUUGUGAGCUUUAUUUAUGUUUGAUUCCAUCCUUGGUUGCCUAGAUGUCUGUUUAAUUUGCUCUGAUUAAAUACAUGUCGUAUGCUAUAUUUUUGUCCUAACUUUAAUGUCUUAUGAUAGCGCUUGAGAAGCAGUCCAGGUAUACAUCCUAACCUUCCUUUGCGAUUGUGAUUUGAUUUCUUUUUGGCAUGCUAGUUCUAAAAUCACCUUAGCCUACCUAGGUACCUUCAAUCAAUUGAUUAAUUUCCACUUUUCCCUCAACUUAGUCAAUAGAGACCUCUUUAGGGCUUAGAGGGGUGCUACCUCUUAGAGGUACCUUUCCAAUAGGUAACCUGAUCCCCAAACCAAGACUCGGGUUUUUCAAGACUUGUUUUUCCAAAACUAUGGAGUCACUUUUUUAGGGUUUUCUUUCUUAUUUUAUUUUUCCUUUUAAAAUCAAAUAAAAUAAGUGGCGACUCCAACUUUUCCAAAACUAAUUUUUCAUCAAUAAAAAUGAGUCUCACCGAUUGAGUGAGGACACACGUGAAAAAUAUGGGUCCACACAGUUGCAAACCCCCAAAGCAAGGAAUUUCUGCGGGCAACAAUUAGAAAGAGAUGAGUGAAUUCCUUAGCUUGGAUUCUAGUCCUUUACAUCCCUUAAAUGAUAAUACUUCAAGGUUUUCCAAAAGAGAAAUAGAGGGUGGUAGCUCUUUUAUAGUAGUUCUUACUACUUCAAGCUUCCCUAAACCUUGUAUGCUCCCCAAACCCUCUGGCAAAUUGUCUAGUUUUGAGCAACCAAAUAGAAUAAGAGUUUGAAGAGAUUUCAACUUACAAAUGCUAUGUGGAAGAAUUGCAAGGCUUUUGCAUUCUCUUAGAUUCAACAGAACAAGUCCACUUAGAUGUUGGAUUGAUGAAGGUAGCUCUUUUAUAGCAGUUCCAUCUAAGAAAAGUUCAAACAAACUCCCCCUAUUUUCCAAGACUUCUGGAAGCCCUUUAAGUUUUAAGCAAUCUGAGAGAAUAAGAAUUUCAAGGGAUCUCAACUUAUAAAUACAACUUGGUAAUGACUCAAGGUUUUAACAGUUCCUCAUAUUUAAUAGAACAAGUCCAGUCAGAUAUUCAAUCGACAAGGGAAAUCAUUUUAUUGCAGUGCCCUCCAAGGAAAGCUCUGAUAAAUGUUUCAUGCACCUUGGACCUCUGGAAACUUCUUGAGUUUCGAGCGCCCGGAGAGUAUAAUAAUUUCAAGAGAUUCCAUACAAAUGCUUCUUAGAAAACUCUUAAGAUUCUUGCAGCCUUCUAAAUUAAGACGAAACUUGCAAAGAUUAUAAUCAUAUACCUUGAAUCAUUUCCAAAGUUGUUCAACUCGACUGUAACUCAUAUUUAGCUCGAUAAGCUGCUCAGGAUGAAAAUUUAAUGGGAGGGAUUUCAGAGGCUAUCCAUGCCAAUAUAGACAUCUUAAGUUGUUCGAUAGAAAUUUGAAGUCUCUAGAAAGAAGCAAUUUAUAGUCUUUGAAUUGAUUGAGUUUAUUCAUCCUCGUGCAAGCACUAGAAUCAACACAUAACUCUUUCCAAGAAAAAUAUUCAAAGCUUCCACAUAGUCGCACGUUACAGACUGAGUAAUCUUAAUUUGUUCAUCUUCAUGAAGGCAUCAAAACUGACGUGUAGUUCCUUUGAUGCUGACAAGUCAAGGACUAUGCCUUCAACUACUUCAGUCCCCUGCAAUUAACUAGGAACAGAGUAUGAAUUGGAAAUUAAAAUCACAAAAUUCUAAAAGAAAAAGCACAGAAAACAUCAAACUAAUGACUUGUUUUUUUUUUUUUUUUAGGCAGUGUUCAAGGAAGUAAGUAUGAAGAUAAAAGAAAAUGCAUCUACUAAGACAGAAACUCAGGGAAAAGUUAGCAAAGGAUUCAAAUCAAAUAAUUCCCCCAACUUUAUAUCUGCCUUUACAUAAAUAUGCAAUACCUUAUUAAAAUUGUACAUAUAUGUGAGUUUCUCAAAUGAGUUGAAAUUAUACAAACUUCAUCUUCACCUAGAGCUUAUAUAUACAAAAAGGGAACACACACACUCACACAAAGUUCAUGUAUUUAGGUCUUACCGUGUUUCUAGUUAAUGCAUCACUGAUAUCUUCAUGAAUCCACAGUCUGCUAUGUUUUCUGGGAUAUUUAAAAGAUUCUUGCCAAACAAUUUUCCAACCCAUUUCUUGUAACAAAUCAUGCAUGCACUGUUAGAAAUUCAUAUGAUACAUUCAAUUCAAAAUUAACACUUGCAAGAUGAACUGAAUCUGUAAAAGACUAGGCAUAGUCUACUUACCUCCAACCAUUGAUUCAAGUUGCUGUAAUCGGUUUCCAAACCCUGAUGAUCUCCUAUGGAUGGUGUAUUACUGAAGAAAGAAAAAUGGUAGAUCACAAGUUUGGGACCAUAUGUAAAAUAUAUAUGCGUGGCUUCCCAUCAUACCACGUCUCUGCAGAUUUGCCACACCCUCCUUUAACGCAGCGGAAAAAAUGCGAUUAUGGUGGAGGACGUGGGUAUGACCACUUCAGAAUCACCCCUUCAUGGUGGUGAACGUGGAGAUGACAUGGGUGAUGAUAACAUUCUCCCACUUGGUCCACACCUUUAACUUAAUGUCCUAUCUUAAUCCAUCAAUUAUCCAUAUUAAGUAACAAAUACAUGAAUCAUGGUGAUAAGUCCUCUAUAUAACGAGUGUUAUCUUCCAUGUAUUACAGUGCAUUCAUUUCUUAACAUUUUACUUUAUGUGACAAUAUUAAUAUUACUUAAUGAAUAAACCCUAUGUUCAUUCUUGGUCCAAUGAAGUUGAAUUUUCUCAAAAUUAAAAGGUGCACAUCAAUAUGAGAAAACAUCAUAAUAAGAGUUUGUACAAUAAAAACUACAUAAGGGAACUAAGUCUCAUGUUCAUUACAUGAUCCUUGAAUUUCAACGGUGGCAUGCCCUUAGUCAAAGGAUCAACAAUCAUCAAUUCGGUGCUAAUGUGCUCAAUGACCACUUUAUUUUCUUUAACACGUUCUCUUAUAGCUAGAUACUUAAUGUUGAUGUGUUUGCUUCGACUUCCACUUUUAUUGUUCUUCGCCAUAAAGACUGCAGCUAAAUUGUCGCAAUAUAUACUCAAUGGCCUAGAUAUUGAAUCCAUAACUCUAAGUCUAGAAAUAAAACUCUUAAGCCAUACACCAUGUGAAGUAGCCUCAAAACAAGAUAUGAACUCAGCUUCCAUAGUAGAAGUAGCAGUCAUGGCCUGCUUAAUGCUCCUCCACGAUAUAGCUCCACCAGCCAAUAUAAAAAUGUAUCCAGAUGUUGAUUUACAUGAAUCAACACAGCCAGCAAAGUCUGAAUCUGAGUAGCCAACUACCUUUAAAUUGCUUGUUCGUCUGUACAUAAGCUUGUAAUCUUUGGUUCCUUGAAGAUGUCUCAUCACUUUCUUUGCAGCUUUCCAGUGGUCUAUACCUGAGUUACUCUGAUAUCGUCCUAACAUUCCAACAACAAAUGCAAUGUCAGGCCUUGUGCAUACCUGAGCAUACAUCAAACUUCCGAUUGCAUAAGCAUAUGGAAUGUUCUUCAUCUGUUUCCUCUCAAUAUCAUUUUUCGGGCAUUGGUUCAGAUUAAACCUAUCACCCUUCACUAUAGGAGAAACACUAGGUGAACAAUUCUUCAUCUGAAAUCUCUCUAAAACUUUAUUGAUAUAGGUUUCUUGAGACAAACCUAAGAUACCUUUAAAUCUGUCUCUAUGGAUCUUAAUGCCAAGGACAUAAGAUGCCUCACCCAUAUCCUUCAUGUCAAAAUUUUUAAAGAGGAAUUGUUUCACCUCAUGAAGUAAACCCUUAUCAUUGGUUGCAAGUAAGAUGUCAUCCACGUAUAAAACAAGAAAACAAACUUUACUCCCACUAACCUUAAGGUAUAUGCAUUGAUCCAUAACAUUUUCAACAAAACCAAAUGAAGAAAUUAUGUUAUGGAAUUUUAAAUACCAUUGGCGGGAUGCUUGUUUCAAACCGUAUAUGGAUUUCUUAAGCUUACAAACCAAUUGCUCACCAUCACUAGAGGGGAAUCCUUCAGGUUGUUUCAUGUAAACCUCCUCCUCUAGCUCUCCAUUAAGAAAUGUUGUUUUCACAUCCAUUUGUUGCAAUUAUAAAUCAAAGUGGGCUACUAAUGCCAAUAUAAUGCGCAAGGAAUCCUUUUUAGAUACAGGAGAAAAGGUUUCCGUGUAAUCGAUUCCUUCUUUUUGAGUGAACCCCUUUGCAACAAGUCUGGCCUUGUAUCUCUCAAUGUUGCCUAAUGAGUCUUUCUUUGUCUUAAAAACCCAUUUACAACCAAUGGUUUUUGCACCAUUAGGCAACUCAACAAGGUCCCAAACAUCGUUGCACUUCAUGGAACUCAUCUCAUCCUUCAUGGCAUUGUACCACAAUUCUGAUUCUUUACAACUCAUGGCUUGUGAAAGUGAUUCUAGAUCAUUUUCAGCUCCUAUAUUGUAGUCACAUUCCUGUAGAUACACUACAUAAUCAUUAGGAAUUUCUGACCUCUUAGUUCGAGCAGACCUUCUUAAGGUUGCACCAAUAUCUUUCGAGGAAGUAUGAGGUUCAACUUGUUGUUCAGAAGUGUUAGGCAACUCCUGAUCAACUUGGUCUAUUGGAAUGUUGUCAACAACUUGUGGAACUUCAAUGACUGGUUGAACUUCAUCAAUUGUUCGUUCAACACCCGUUUGUACUUGAGGGGUGUUAUGAAAAAUAAACAAUCUAUCGCUUGAAGUGGAAGGUUGAGACUCUAUAUGAUCAAUAUCAGAAACUAUGUUUCUAAAUUGAUCGCUCCCACCGACCAAGUCAUAUUCAAGAAAUUUAGCAUUUCUUGAUUCCACAAUCCUAGUGUUAUGAGAUGGACAAUUAAAUCUGUACCCCUUGGACUUUUCAGCAUAUCCAAUGACAUACCCACUAAUAGUCCUUGGGUCUAGUUUCUUCUCUUGUGGAUUAUAAAUUCUCACUUCAGACGAGCAUCCCCAAACGCGCAUAUGUCGCAAACUCGGUUUCCAACCUUUCAAUAACUCAAAUGGCAUUUUUGGGACAACCUUGGUUGGAACUCGGUUUAAUAUAUACACAGCUGUCUUAAGUGCUUCAAUCCACAAGAAUUUAGGAAGUUUUGAGCUACUAAGCAUACUCCUCACCAUGUCCAAUAAAGUUUGGUUUCUUCUUUUUGCUACACCAUUUUGGUCUCGAGAACCAGGCAUGGUGUAUUGGGCAACAAUCCCAUGCUCUUGAAGAAACUUCGCAAAUGGCCCGGGUGAUUGUCCAUCUUCCAAGUAUCUACCAUAAUAUUCUCCACCUCUAUCUGAUCUCACAAUCUUAAUUUGUUUACCAUAUUGUUUCUCUACUUCUGCCUUGAAGACUUUAAAGGCAUCUAAAGCUUCAUGUUUAUUAUGAAGUAUGUAGAGAUACAUGUAUCGUGAGAAAUCAUCUAUGAAAGAGAUGAAGUAUUUCUAACCAUGAGAGUCCAUGUCAAGACUACAUAUAUCAGUAUGUAUGAUCUCUAGUAUGGUGGAACUCCUAGUAGCACCUCUCUUUGACUUAUUGGUCUGCUUACCCUUAAUGCAGUCCACACAAGUCUCAAAGUCAGUAAAAUCUAGAGUACUAAGUACCCCAUCAUUCACCAAUUUUUUGAUUCUAUCUAUGAAGAUAUGACCUAAUCUCCGGUGCCACAAUGUAGAGGAAUCCUCUUUUACAACACAUUUCUUAAUGCCAAUUUGGACAUGUAAUGAAUUAUGAGCGGUAUCAUUUUGUAAUAAUAUACAAUAAAGACCAUCAAACAAGAUACCAUUCCCAACACAAUCAGAUUUAUAAAUCAAAUUGAAAGAUGUUUAUGAAAAAUGAAAGGAAUAUCCAAACGGUACAAGUCUAGAAACUGAAAUCAAGUUUCGUGAGAAACUUGGUACAUAAAAGGUCCUUUGCAAUUCCAAAAUAAAACCACCAUAUAAAGUUAAAUAACAUGUCCCUAUUGCUUCCACAUGCGAGCCCAUCUUGUUUCUGGAUAAGAUGAAUUGCUCAUUUUUCACUAGCUUUCUUAGGUUUUGCAUACCCUGCAAGGAAUUUGAAAUGUGGAUUGUAGAUCCAGAAUCAAUCCACCAUGUGUUGGUGUUUACAUUAACCAUAUUAGAUUCAUAGCAAACAAAUGAGGUAGGGUUACCUUUCUUCUCAAGCCAAUUUUGAAAUUUCAGACAUUUCUUCUUCAUGUGUCCUUUCUUUUUACAGAAAAAACACUUUUCGUCUUUCUUAAUGUCAGAUUUAGGAGAAAUUUGUUGCUUCCCUUUCUGACUGGCUUGAGAUUUUCCUUUCUUUCCUUUCCUUUGCGUCACCAGCAUGGCACUUUCUCCUUGUUCCAACAUUAACCUUCCUUCCUCUUGAACACGCAUGGUCAUCAAUUCAUUGAUUGACCACUUAUCCUUAUGUGUGUUGUAAGAGAUUUUGAAAGGUCCAUACUGAGGUGGAAGAGUGUUAAGGAUAAAGUGCACCAAGAAAUAUUAAGACAUUUCUACCUCGAGUUUCUUCAAUUGAGCCACAAUAUCCCUCAUCUCCAUGAUAUGUUCACGCACACCUCUUAUACCGGUGAGCUUCAGGGAUGUGAACUUCAUAAUUAGGGUGCUUGCCAAGGCUUUAUCUGAAGUGAUGAAUUGCUUGUCAAUAGCCUCUAGCAAUUCACGGACAUUCUCAUGUUGCUCGAUUGAACCACGUAUACCAGCACUAAUUUUUGUCUUAAUGUACAUCACGCUAAGGUGAUUAGAUUUCUCCCAGCGUUCGUAUAAUAAAAUUUGUUCAGGUGUGCUGGUAUCAAUGAUCUUAUGUGGUUCAUCUUUCCUUAUAGCAUAAUCUAUGUCCAUGCACCCUAAUUGAAGAAGAAUUCUCUCCUUCCAUAUCUUAAAGUUAUCUCCCCUAAGUUCGGGAACCUCAGAAUUAAUAUUAAAGGAUUUCAGAUUAUGAAAGGGUGCCUAAAUCCAUAUAAAACUUAAUCAAUUCAAAACCAAUAAAAAGUAAUUCAUGACCGGGCCAUUAGUUCAAUAAAAUUCUUAUUUAAUUCAUGGCCCAAUACACAAAGCCCUUGAUUUUGUAAAAAUGGGCCACUGCCCAUUCAUUUAACUAAUGAGCCCAAUUUCGUUAGUGGGCUUCAUUGGAAAUCCAAUCUCUCUCUAGGUUCUCCACACAAAACCCAUCUUCCUAAUUUUCAGCCACCCGUGGACUCCUUCAUCCCCAACAGUGCCAUGCAUGCCAUGGCCAACGGGAUGGGCUGCAUCCAUCGGAGUGUAGCCCGAUUCCCUCAUUCACAGGCUUGGAAUGGGGGCUGAAUGGUGCUCUGAAUUUUGUUGAAUGGUGCUCAGAAUGGGCGCCUUAAGCGCUUGAAACCAGCACUAGCAGCCACUGUGAACAACGCCUGAAUAUGGCACCUUCAGCUGUUGAAACUAGCACCAGCAGCGGCAUUUAAAUAGCACCUGAAUGGCGCUUGAAAUGGGCUGAAAAUAGCACCUGAAUGGGCGCCUGCAACCCUUGAAACUAGCACCAGCAGCGGCGUUUAAAUAGCACCUGAAUGGCGCUUGAAAUGGGCUAAAAAUAGCACCUGAAUGGGCGCCUGCAACCCUUGAAACUAGCACCAGCAGCAGUGCUUUAAUGGCGCCUACGCAGUGGUUGAAAAUACAGCCCAAAACAGCACCGAAAAUACGCUUUCAAAACGCCUUAAAAUGGCGGCAAUGAUCAGCGCCAUGAAGGCUUGUGAUAUGUGGUGGCAAGGCUGAAGCUAUUUGCCCUUUUAAAAGCAUGAUCAACUUAUAGAUAGUAUCUUACAGAGAAGAGAAACCAUUAAAAAAAAAACAAUUCUCUAGCAAAAUAGAUACCAAGGCAGAGGCAAGAUUUUCAAGCUCUGAUACCAAAUGUUAGAAAUUCAUAUGAUACAUUCAAUUCAAAAUUAACACUUGCAAGAUGAACUGAAUCUGUAAAAGACUAGGCAUAGUCUACAGCCAUUGAUUCAAGUUGCUGUAAUCGGUUUCCAAACCCUGAUGAUCUCCUAUGGAUGGUACUAAAGAAAGAAAAACGGUAGAUCACGAGUUCGGGACCAUAUGUAAAAUAUAUAUGCGUGGCUUCCCAUCAUACCACGUCUCUGCAGAUUUGCCACACCCUCCUUUAACGCAGCGGAAAAAAUGCAAUUAUGGUGGAGGACGUGGGUGUGACUACUUCAGACUCACCCCUUCAUGGUGGUGAACGUGGAGACGACAUGGGUGAUGAUAACAUGCACAACUUAUUAUCUGAAACAAUUAUGAGUGACUUAUCAACGAGAACCCUUAUUCCAAUAUCCGGAAAGAAACCACAACUCUCUAGUAUUUCUGUGAUAAAAUCUUUGUCCUUCAAUUUACAAAAGCAUGUAAUAUCGAGAAAUAUAUAUCUCUCUCUUUGUCAUCUAAUCCAUCAAAACCCAUUUUAAGCACAUUCUAAAUUUCCAUGUUGGGAAUUCUUUUUAGUUUGUCCAAUUCACUUUUCCAUUCAAGUAUGCUCUUGCUAUACAAAAAAGCACCCAAGACUUUAAGAGCUAAGGGAAGACCCUUACUAUAAUGUAUUACAUCAUAACAUAGCUGCAUAUAAUCUUCUCCAAGGUGGUUAUGUUUAAAGGCAUACUAACGAAAGAGUUGAAAAGCUUCACUAUCCUCUAAUCCCCUAACUUUAUAAAUUGUGCUGACUCCAUGGGUAACAAGCUAAUUCUUUCCCUGCUAGUUAUAAUAAUUCUACUUCCUGAACCAAACCAAUCAUGGUUUCCUGCUAAAUAUUCUAACUAUUCCAAGUUAUCCACAUCAUCAAGAACAAUAAGAACCUUCUUAGAGUGGGGUCUAUCCUUUACAAAAUUGAUUCUUGUAUUGGAAAUUCCUACAUUUAGAUUUCCAUCUUUCAGUGUAUUUGAGAGAAGUUUCACUUGUAAAUUAUCCAGACCACGUUUUUGUGAUCCUUCUCUAACAUUUGUAAGAAAACAACAACCUUCAAAUUGAGUGUAAAUUUUCUAUAAAUAGCUCUAGCAAUAGUUAUCUUACCUAUGCCACCCAUGCCCCAAAUUCCUACACUUCGAACAUUAUCCAACCCAAUACACAACGGUGAAUCCAUUGCCUUUAUGUGGGAAUCCAUUCCAACCAGCCCUUCAGCAUAGCUCAAGGAUGUACCAAUCAAUUUAUUAGAUAUAUCUAUGACAAGUUCCUCAAUAAGUAUAGAUUCAUGCUUGCAAAUUUUGAGGGAAAAAAAAACAAUCAUUUAAUGAAUUCAAGGAUCCAUUAAAAAAACAAAAGAAAAAUUAGAUAAAUCAUCAGUGAUUUAGUCUUGUUUUUGGCAACUUAAAAGUCAUAUGGCAAGCUUAUAUCUCAGAUUUUUUCUAGUGUAAGUGUGUGUGUGUGUAAGUGUGUGUGUGUGUGUGUGUGUGUGUGAGAGAGAGAGAGAGAGAGAGAGAGAGAACUGUAUUGCUAUCUAGACAGACAGACAAUCAAACUAGAUUAUAAUAGCAAGCAUCAGCCGCACUUCCUAGUAGUCUGCAUGAGGAACUUCUCAGAAGUGGUCAGGAUGGAAAUACUAGAAAAGCCAGUGGAUGCAUGUUUAAGACUGCAAUAGCAUUGAUUGACAGUAGGAUUACAAUUUCCAAGUUAAGCAUAUUGGCAGGCAAAAAUUCUCUUCCAAAUGGUUGAAAAAAUUAGGGAUUACCAUCCAAAAGGUUUUAGAAGCAUGACUAUCCAAUGGGGUUGGGGCACACUACUUAGGCAUGAAAGAGAGCAUGCCAAGGGGUCAUUGGAAAGGAUGAAAAAGCACUAAUUCAAGGUCAACUUACCAAUGGAAUAAAGCACACUAAGGGAAAAUAUGCUCAAGAUAAGGUAAAAGGUUUUACAGUGUAGUCAUAACAUUCUUGCUCAAUGUGAUAAGGACCGACCGAUGUGUAGCUUCGAACACCUUCUGCAGAAAGGAGGGAAAGAGUCAUUGAUAUUAUGGUCAAGUGGGUUGAAAUCACAAUUUGAUGAGGGUCGAGAAAAGUUCGAUGUGUUGGUGCAUUGGAUCCAAGUUAUUCCAUCUUCAUAAUUUUGAUCACAGCCAUGGAGAGAUUUCCUUGCAUAUGUGAGAUCAUGUUCAUCUAAACAUCAUUCAGUCACAGGCAGCAAAAUACAACUUAAUCCAUACAUGGGUUUAAGUCAAUCAUCUUGGAUCAAUCUCUCUAUUGAUCAUCCUAUGAUUUCCAAUUUUAUAUGGCUAUGCAAGCUUUAAAGUUUCAGCAUCAUUACAUCAUGCACCUAAAAGGCAAAGGAAAAAAAAAUUGCAGUUAAAAAUACCCAUCUAGAGAAUCCCAUCCAGAAAUAUUGGCAGCUUCAGUCAAAGCCACUCUCCACUUGAUCACUUUCUCCAUCUGCUCCUUAUAAACCUCUUCAUGCUUAGCAAAUGCUUGUGCAAAACUCCCUGUCUGUUUCCUCACAUGAGAGGGUUCCACAUUGUAGAAAACUGGUAAAGCUGCAUGUCCCAUCGCUUUGGUGCAGUCAAUAAUCUUGACAAGUUCCUCCAGACACCAUGUUGAAGAAGCAUAAUUUUCAGAGAAAACGAUGACGGAGAAUCUGGACUCUUCGAUUGCUUUUACAAGUGCUGGAGAGAUCUCUUGCCCUCUACUGAGCUUGUCAUCCAUGAAAGUCUUGACUCCUCUUUGACACAGAGCUCUAUGAAGAUGGUCAGUGAAGCUUUUGCCGGUGUCUUCCCCUCUGAAACUCAGGAACACGUCGUACUUCUAGAAGAUAAAGAAGCCAUUAAAUUGGAAAAUUCAUAGCUUAAUUGUGGGACAGAAUUAUAAAUGAGUCAGAAUGAAUAAAGACGAAACUGAACUGAAGAUAAAGAAAAUUAUAUAUGGCUUGACAUGCAAAUAGCAAAUCACCAUGUGCCCAGAAGUUUCUUGUGAUUUUCUUGUGAGCUGCCAUUGAAGUUUCGAUCUACUCUUUCAGUAAAGUGGUCAGACUACUUUGGAAUCAAAAGGCCAGCUUUUUAUAAUUUACAAAACAAGUUUGUUUGGGCCACUUAGCUUUAUCGUUGGGAAAGUUCUUCACAUCCAACUUUUUAUGUAGUUUUACCUUCUUUUUCAAAUUUUUCCGACCUGUCGCUUGGACAUUGGAGGGAAGUUUUCCGAAAAUUUGACCUUGAUACCUUAAUCAAACUCGAACUUUAAUACAAUGUUUUCAAAACAGGUUUUAAUAUUAAUAACAUUCAUUUCUUCAUUAUAUAUAUAUAUAUAGAUAUAUAUUAGUAUUUUAAAUUUUGUUAAAGAAAACAUCUAUAAUAUUUAAAUAUAAAAAUAUAUUGAAAAUGAAAGAAAAAUUGUAUUAUAUAAUAUUAUAUAUAUGUUCACUUAUAUUAUUUUUUGAAAUAACAUAUGUAAUUUAUUUUUUGUUUUUAUAAUUUUUAACAUCAACAAAAGAGUGACAGAGUGGUGAAACCAUUCUACACCUGUCGUCCAAGUUUAUUUUUCUUUAAAUUAGCCACUACAAUGAUGAAUCUAGCCCAGUUUGCCAAAAAAGAAAAUGACAUUUAACCGUUUGAUUCUUGAAGAACCGUUCAACUCCAUCGAUCCAAUCACCGGUUCAAACAGUUCAAAAUUGGUCCAAUAAAUAAACCUUUUAAAAGGAGAAAUCGAACCGGAAAUGUCACUUGGUGGUUGGAUCAAUUAGACCACUUGAUUUGGUUCAAUUUUCAAAAAAUAUUGCUUUAACAUGUAUGAUAAUCAAAACAUAGAAAAAAAAACUAUUUACUAAGAAACGAGAUUAUUAUAAAAUAAUUGAAAAUGUAAUUUAUUUUAAUGAUAUGAUAACUUGUAACUAGAUGAAACUUUGACCGGCAAAGAAAAAGAAAAAGAGCUUAAGGAAUUAGAAAAUAUUAUUUUUUUAUAUUAAACUUAUCUUUUUGUAAAAGCUCUCUACAAUUAACUAUAUGUUUUCAUAAAGCUUUAUUUAGGCUAUGUUACAUUCUUGGAAAUUAAAAAAAAAAAUGUAAGAAAAAUAAAAAAUACAAAAAAUUAAUAAAUUAUUUUUUUUCAUUAAUAUAAAUUAAAUAAUUUAAAAUAGCCCAUGCAUCAUCUGCUAAAGUGAAGCACAACAGCCUUAUAAUAGUGAUGUCACAUAGCAAUUCAUUAUUCAUUAUUUUGUUUUCCCUUUUCAAUGUGGAUUUUCUUAAAGCUAUUAAAAAAAAACACACAAUAUCAAGAUUUGAGUGUGGGUCUUUCACAAUAUCUUUUAUAGACUAAUAAUUAUAAAUUAAUUAAAAUAAAAUUAUUAUAAAUAAGUUAAUUUCAAUUAUCUUAUUAUGUAUCUUAUAUAGUGAUGAAAUAUAGAACAAAUAUAAAUUUAUAAAUAAAAUUAUUAACAUUUUCAAAAAAAAUAUAUAAAUAUAUAUAUCAAUAUAUUUUUUUUUAUAUCCUUUAAUAUAUCUAAACUUAAUGCAUUAUCAUUUUAUUAUUAAUAUUUCCCAAUUCGGUAUAUUAUUUUCUAAUAUUAAAAAUUUAUUAUACAUUUAUCAAUUUUUCUUAAAACAAUUUCAAUAUAUAUUAUUAUUUUUUCUAUCAUUUUUUGAGUUAUUUCUAACAUUUCAUGAGUUUUUAUCAAUUUCCAUCUCAUAUAUAUUUCAGAAUUUUCAUUGAUAUUUCUUUAUAUAACUAUAAACUCCAACUAAUGAUACAUCGGUAAAAAUCAAUAUUUUCAUUUUUACUUAACAAAAAUAAAAAAUUAUUCAAAUGAUGCGUAAGUUAAUGUGACCUCUUGAUGAGAAUGACAACAAAAACCAUGAGUCAUAGUUAGUGUACGUGUGUGGUAAAUUAACUUAGUGUUUGAUAAAAUAAUUAUUUAUCAUCAUUUAAAAUUAAAAAUAAAUUUAAAUAUUAAAUCAAAAUAAUUAACUUAUUUUAAAUACUAAAUUUGUUUAUUUUCUUUGUUCAUAUUUGGUGAUAAUCACGCUUUACUUUUAGAAUUCUUUUUUUUUUUAGUAAAUAUUUUGUAGUUAUUUUGUAGCUUCACAAUAGUACUUUUUAAUAUAAAUAUUUAACAAGCUUAAGUUUAUGAAGAUAAAUAUUAAUAAAAAUUAACGAGUUUAAAUAUAUCAAUAUAAUAACAUUAAAAAAAAAGUUGAUUUUACUAAAAUAAAAAUAAAAAUAAAAAUAAUUCAUCUUAAAAUUAAUUUCAAUAAUUUAGUCAUAAGGAUUAAGUUUUAUCAUACACUCUCUUAAUUAAUAAAUGGCAUAACUUCUUUCAACAACUUCUUCAUUCUACUUUUGAAAAAAUAAAUUAAAUUAAAUUAAAAAAAUUAAUGUGAUAUUUAAUUAUUUAUUUAUAUCUAAAAUUUAAAUAUAUUUGAAUUUGACUUAAAUCUAAAUAUAGUUUAAUAUCAUUAAGUGUUUAGACUUUUUUUUAUUAGUGUCUAAACAUUAUUAACUGCUAAAUUGUUUAUUUUUAUUAAUAUCAAAAUAUGUGAAGUGUUAAAAUUAUUUAUUUUUAGUUAAAAACAUUUAUAAAAGUAAUUUUUAUAUUUCUUCUUAUUUUAAUUUGAAAAGCUAUAAUUUAACAAAACAGUAAUUUAAUUAACACAUCUAAAAAUAUUAUAAUACAUUAUCAAAGUAAAAUUUUAUAAUGAUAAUUAUGUAAUUAGUAAAUUAUAUAUAUUAUUAUACAAUCCAUUGUUCCAUGUCAUAUAUUAUAGCAUAGUUGUGCAUACCCAUCAAUGCAUAGACAUAUAUCUUUUGAUAAUCUAUCAUGAAUGUCUUGUGGAUAUAAGUGACGUAUGUAGCUAUUAUAGUAUAAAGAUGGCGUAGGAAGUCCAUGUUUACUAGUUCAUAUUCAACCAUAGCAAUAGGGAAUAUAUUGCACAUUAUUUCCAUCUAAAAAAAAAGGUAGAAAAGACCUUAGAAAUGGAACUUUUAGAUAACACCUAAGGGUGGCAAUGACAUGAGUCUAAGAAAGAUCACCUCAAUCUCAAUCUUGUGUCAUUUAUAUUAUAUUAAAUGGGGUGAGAUUAGACAAAAUCAUAUUCGAACCUAUCUUGAGCUUGGUCCAAGGGCAACAAGGGUCUUUAAAAAAAUCAGCUUCAUUGUCAUUCUUAGGUACACAUCUAUACCAAUGAAAGUUUUUACAUCUAUUCAAAAAUUCAAUGUUCCCGAUGUUAAUUAACUUCACCAAACUACAUACACUUAAUAUGCAUGAAAAUGUGUCAAAAAUUCUCAACCAAUCAAUGACAUAAACUACAAUCAAGUUUAGUACAUCGUAACCCUAAAAUACCUCCAAACCCCAUUUCUUGUAGGACCCCCUUCUAAUUAGAUUGCAAGUGUUGAAGUACUUUAUACACCUAAUUAGGCGAAUAACAAGUGUCAAGAUAAGACUGUAAGCCAUACAUACAUAUAUAUAUAUAUAUAUAUAUAUAUAUAUAUGCAUAUAAAUUUAAAUUUGAAAAAAAAAAUAUUAUCAAAUUUUAAAAAGAUAAAUUUCAAUUUUUUAUUUAUUUAUUUAUUUAUUUAUUUAUUUUUUUUACGUUUGAUACAUUUUUUGACCUUGAACCCUUUUGUUUUACAUAUUCAUUGGAGCAUUUCUUUGACUUCCCCAAGAACUUUUUUUUUUCUAGGACUAAAAUUUUUUCCUUAUUCGACUUGGGAUAUAUAUACACCCACAACCUAACUUAAUAGUUUUAAAAUUAAUUAGUUAAAAAGAAUGAAAUAAUCCCAGAAUUUAUAAAUAUAACAAGAUUGUGUUUUUGCUUGAAAAGUAACCCAUUUUGACAUAAAUAUCUUUCACCAUUUCAAUUAUUUACAUUUAAAUUUUUUAAAAAAAAAUUAUGACAUUUUUGUCAAAAGGAGGACAAAAAAAUCAAAAGUUAAAUUUCUAGAUUUAGAUUUUUAAUGAAUAUUUUAAUCAAAUAACCCUUAGUUUUAUAUCACACAAUGUUUCUUCUUUAUUGUUCUUUAAUCCCUUUUAUUUAUUUUUUUUAUCAUACACAACCUAUUAAAUUUGAAAAUUUUAAUAAUUUCUUGUACUGCAUGUGCUUAUCACAUGAGCUUCUCUAUCUAUGCUAGCUAGGGAUCCAUUUGAUAAUUUCUUGUAGUGUCUACAUGUUUAUCACAUGGACCUCUUCAUUUAUAUUAAUAGGAGUCCAUUUGGUAUUUCAAAAAUAGUUAAAGGGGCUUUGCUUAAGAAAAGCUUAGAGAUCAAUUAGAAACAAUGUUUUUAGAACCCAACUAGUUAUUGAAUAAAAAAAGUUAUUGAUUCACGGUUUAGUAGUCGAACCAAUGUUUGAACCGUAGUCAAACUGGUAUCAUAAAUAUAUAAAUUAUAUAUUAAAAAUAAAUUAUAAAAUUAUAAAACUUAUUUUUCAUCUUUGAUAUUACCAAACUUAAAUCAUGAAUAAAUAUAAAUGUAUUAAUAUUUUAAAUUUUAUAAAUAAAAUUUGUAUAGCAUUCAUAUGUAAAGAAAUAUAUUUAAAUAGAAUAAAAUUCUUUUAUUCAUAAUUUAUUUUACUUAUAUUAUAUUAUUUAGUUAUAUUAAAAAAUUUAAAAUAGUUAUGUUAAUUUUGGUUUAGUUUGCAUUUUUUAAAUUAUAAUCAUUAAUAACAAAGUGGUUAUAGGCUAAACAUGAUGUAAAGGUCCAUGGUUUAAACCCUCGGUUCCUCAUUGUUUUCCUGGUCUCAUGAGGUGGGCUAGGCUUGGUAUGUGAAGGGCUAACCUUCCACCCAUGAACGAACCUUUUAGUUGAUGAAAAAAGAAGGCUAACCUAGAACUGACAGACCAUGGUUCAAAGUUGUGGUCACGGUCACUAACUUGGAGGGUCUUGAGACACAUCAAUCUUGACAUCUCAGCUUGAUAUCAGAUGAUAUGUAAAAUAAGAUAAAUAAAAAUUAUAAAAAUUAUAAUAAAUAUUAAAAACAAAUAAAUAUAAUUAAAUAAACUUAAAAAUUAAUAAAAUAAAAUAUUAUGAAAAUUAAAAUUGUUCAAUAAAUUUUUAAUAUUGAAAUUGAAAACAAAAACUCUUUAAUUACCAAACUCAAAUUAAAAAAUAAAAUAAAAUGUGAUGAUUUUUACCACACAUUAGCAUUUAAAAAUUGAAAAAAUAAAAUAAUAUAUAAUAUUGAUACUAGCAGUUAAAACAACAAAUAUAUUGUUGAUAAUGGCAUUUAAAACAAUAAAAUAGUGCAUUAGACCUGCAUUCAAAUCUUCAAUUCUCAAACACCGCCAACCCACCCAUGAAUAGAGAGAGAGAAGAGAACCCUAGCAAAAGUAGAGAGCUUACUCUGCAACCCACACCCACUCCCACGCCGACGUCGGCGACACUAUGGAGAUGAAGUAGAGAGAUAAGAGAUCAACACCCAAGAUCGUCGCUAAUGAAGGAGGAGGGGUCCACGAAGGUGUUGCAGUCCACCCUGUGGUGAGGCUAGCAAAGAAAUGCCCUCCACCUCCUCUUCUCAUACACCUCAAAGACAAUCACGGCUUGGACUAAAAAACUUUUCAAUGACUUCAUUGGGGUCAUCUUCUUCAUCAUGGGUCGUGAUUCUCAUGAAAAUUUUUUCCUUUGAAGAGUCAUUAUUUUAAAAAAAUUUAUCAGUUAUGGUUGUUGUUUUGGUGUUUUUUUUUUCUCAAUUUUGGGUGUUGUUUUGCUAUGAUUUAGAAGGACAUUUGUUUGUAUUGAGUUUAACUCAAAAAAAAUUUAGUAACUCGAAUGAUUUGCGCAAGUUAACUCAGUUUCUCAACUAAAUCAACUGAGUUUAAUCGAUUCUUGGCCGAGUCUUUACUUAAAAUGGCAUGGAGUAUCGGAUUUGGCGUGGAAGGGGUUGAGGCGGAUACAACUCGUCGAUACUUUGAAUCAUGCAACAGACUGGUUCAUUGACUCACUAGUCCAACUGUUAGUCUAUCCGAUUCAGGGCUGAUUCAUUGUGUACUCCAACUCAAAGGCCAAACUAGACCAGGCUUCGGUCGACAGUCCGGCUUGGUCCUGGUUAGAUUUUUUAAUUUAUCCAAACUUUUAAGAAACCUCAAAUGUAAAAAAAUAUUGAUAAUAAUAAUAAUAAUAAUAAUAAUAAUAAUAAUAAUAAUAAUAAUAAUAAUAUGUUUUUCAACUUUUGAAAAAGAAAAAAGGAAAAUAUAUUAUUAUUUUCUAAUAGUUAAAUUGCUUAUUAUAUAAUGGUAAAGCUUUAGAGGAAUCUUAAAUAUAAAAAACUAUUAUUACAAUCUCCAGCUUCUCAAAAUGAGAAAAUUGAAUUUUAUUUCCAACUAUAAUAAAUUGUAUAGAUUGAUAAAUAUAUAUAAAAAAAUGGGUUUCAUAUGCAUCUUAGGGUGUGUUUGGUAUAUAAGAAUGAUGAAUGAGAAUAAAUAUUUUGUUUCCAUUUUUAUUUCCUCUUGAAUAGGAAUGAAUUUGGUGAUUCUAAUUCUUGUGUUUGGAUGCAUAUAGGAAUGUAAAGUUGGAAUAACAAUUUGUUUCCAUUUUAAUGUUAUAAAAAUGAGAAUGAAAAUGGGAAAAAAGAAUACAUACGGUUUAAAAUAAUUUUUAAAAAAAAUUUUGAGAGUUUUUUCUGCUUAAUAUUAACAAUCUAUUUCGGUGCAUGAUUUUCAAUAAAAAUUGUGGACCCCGCAUUUUGGUUCAUGCGCUUUCACUCGAUGGCGAGCUCAAUUUUUAUUUAAAAAAUGAUUUUUAUUUAUUAAGAAAAUAACUUGGAGUCAUCACUUACUUUUGUUUUAUUUUUAAAAGAUAAACAAAAUAAGAAAGAAACCCUAAAUGUGACUCCUUAUUUUGGAAAAGGUGGUCUGUGAAAAACCGGAUCAAGCUUGGGGGUCAGGUUACUUAUCGGGAAUAUACGGUAAAGACCGUAACACCCCUCUAAGUCCCUAAAGUCGGGUCUCUACUAAUAAAAUGAAGUUGACAUGAUAAUUGAUGAGGAAAUCAAUGAAUACUCAAAGUGAUCAUGCACAUGUGAGAAUCAAAACACUCAAUAAAGAACGACCGAAAUGAGAGCGGGGCAUCAAACGAUCAAUGUGCUAUCAAGAGAGGGGGUUAGUGCACAAUUAAGGAAUAAUUUCAUGCAUGUCAUAGAGCAGAAUAAAUAAAUCAUUUAUGACCAUCGAAUCAACCAAUCAUAAAAUCCCGUAUGUGGGGACCCCCACCAAAGCCCGAUUUAUUCCAAUAAAUUCAUUAUUCGGAAUUAUAAAAUUUAAUUCAUGCUUAUUAAAAAUGUGAAAAUUAGGAAAUUAUUAAAAAAACAAUGAGGAUUUAUAAAAAAAAAUGUUUGCCAAAAGUAAAGAUGACAAUCAAUUUUAUUUUAUUAUUAUUAUUAUUAUUAUUAUUUAAAAAAAAAUAUUUAAAGUCAAGAAAAGAAGACAGAAAGAGAAAAUAAUAAUAAUAAUAAUAAUAAUGAAAAUAAUAAUGAUAAUAAUAAUAGAAAAAAAUAAAAAUGAAAAUAUGAAUAAAAAUAAAAAUAAAGUAAAGAUGCACGAUUAGUGGAAAAUGAUUAGAAUCAAUUUUUUGAAAACAAUGCAUGGGAAUGUAGGGGUGAGGCACGUGGGUUUCCGGAGUGGCCCACCAAAGGUGGCCAUGCAUGCCAGGCUAGAAAGGGAGAAUGGGUCCUGAAGGUGCCAUAGAAAUUGCCGCAUUCAUUGCCUCAGCCGUUGCUUCAACAUUCCAAACACCCACGUAUAAUAUAGAGCCAAAAUAUGUUGAUCAUCCGAUACAGAUAGCAUGCUGUUUGAGAAGUAAAUGGCAUUAGCUUGAAUUGUCGGCCAAGGAACAUCAAAAGCUUGUAUAGUUGAUGCCAUAUAAGUAUCAACCCUGGAGGAUAGACGUAGAGAGAAUGGCUUUGAAAGGUCUCUGACAAAGUCCUCAUAAUCACUUCGAUGGUCGGAAUUAAAGGAAUGAGUAUUGAAUAGGGCAAACAUUCCUUCUCUUCACUUAAUGUUGCAGGUGUCUCCACUGGGGCCUCUGUGACGGAAGCAGGUUCUUUUUUUCAGCUCAGUUUCAAACUCCUUUGCUGCUUGUUGAAAGCUUUUGGCAGUCUUUCCAAUGCUGCGGCCUACCUCCGGCAACUUCUUGGGGCCGAAAACGAGUGCUGCGACGCCGGCCAUGACGACAAGCUCCGGUACGCCGAGACCAAACAAGCAGGUACAGGUAAGACGCUUCUGGGUUCGGAUUCGGGUCUGGCUCCGAGCCACAACCAGAGACUUGGGGUUGAAAAAAAUUGGAGUCAGAAGAAGAGAAGGAGAGGGUUUGCGUGGGUUUUGGAAUUGAAGAGAGACAGAGGGCGGCCGCCAUUUUCUUCUUCUCUUCUCUUUCUCGUUUCCUUGCUCUGUUUGUUGACGAGUAUUUACCUCUCUAGAAUCACCCAGUACGAUUUGGAGGAUACUCGGCUACGCAUCAUUCCGCCGAGAAAUCCAAGCUCCGACACGGAUGUCUGCGCUGGCAUUGGUUCUGGGCAAAGACUUCAACUGCUAGCCCAUAGUGAGCAGCGUUUGUCUUUCCGAUCACCUCAUCCAGGUCCUUGAAUUUCAAAAUGAACUGCACUGGUAUAAGAAUCUUUUCUGUUGCUAUCAACAUAUUACCAUGGACAUUUGAGAAGUCGGUGGAUUGGAUAUAAUAGCUUUUAGAACCGAAUUUCCCACCUCUGACUCCUAAAAUUGCACCAGCUUCAAUACCAGAUUUUGUGUAACCAAGGAUCUGAUGAAAUUGCUGAUGAUUAACACAAGGUCCUUAUUCAACUCUUUUCUUAAAAGGAUCAUCAACUAUACGUUUUAGAGCAUAAACUCAUCAUUUUGCAUACGAAUAUGGGUGAUCCAUUACAGCAACACUGCCUCGGCGCCAAUUGACCCUAUGAAAGCAAGCUUUCUCACAUCCAUAUGACCAGAAAGAGUGCCCUAGCUAUAUGACCGAAGCCAGAACCCACAUUUAAAUCACCAAGAGGGAAUUUCGCUUUGUGAAAGCCCGUUUUAUAGUUUCUGAUCACCUCGCAUGGCUCUGUUUUAGAUCAUUAUUUCUUCUCCUUCUAAGAAUAGCUGUAACACGAUACCCUUAUGUCUGAGUAGAACAUCUGUUGGCUGACUUUUCUGGCAGAGACCUUCGUAUUUCCAUAUUAGAAAAUAGGCAAAGACAGUGGACAUCAAGAUCCUUAUGCUGUAAAGCAAGACUCCAUUUUUCCUGAGCAAAUCCCAACUACAUCAAACUUGGUGAACAGAAAACAGCCGACAUCGGGAUGAUUAAUAAUGAGACUCAGAUCGAAAUAACAUGGCGUGGAACUUCAGCCUGGAAACACUCUUUCCGGGGAACAUUACUCUCAUAAAGCCACCAGUGCUGCUUGUCUCAGGUAGUAAAAUGGGGAUCAAAACUUUCCACAACUAGUUCCAUGAGGGCAGAUAGGUGUGAAGGAUGAAAUUGCUUAAAAAACAAGAGUAAAAAUGAUAAGAUCCAAGAAAUAUUCAGGCAAAACCCCAUUUGAUGAAUAAUGAAUGAGCUCAAAACUGGUGGGACAAACGGGAAAUCUUCAAUACAACUAUUAAACAUCAAACUCAAACCCAAAAGAAGAAUCCCGCCAUUGCAGGGGAAAAGAUCAAGAGUAUAAGGGGAAAACAAAACAGAGCAUGUAUAGAUCGAUAAUCAUAUUCAACCAAAACAAUCUGUGGCCCUUGAUGUCCACAGAAAACCACAAAACGAUAUUCAUAGAUUAGCAGAGAAUGAAGUGGGACAUUAAGAAUCGAAAACGUACCGAGUGUUGGGCUUUGUGGAGCCUAGUUUUGUUUGAUCGGGUUUGACGACCCGACCCGAAUAAUAUUGCAUGGCUUUUUAAUGGGAGAUUUAUUGAGGCCUGUUGGACCCGUUUAGCCCAUUGUGGAACCACCUUUUGUAAUUAGGGUUUUUUUAGUGUGGUGGGAUUACCGUGUUAUAUAUAUAGAGAGAAUAUUGUAGCCGCUAGGUUGUACUCUGUAUUCUUCCCUAAUAAUAGUGAUAUCCCUACAACUCCGUGGAUGUAGGCAAAUUGCCGAACCACAUAAAUACUGUUUUGUGCGUGUGAUUGGUUUUCUUUGACGUGUGUUUUCUCUAAUUUUUGUUUCUCACGGGUUGGGAAUUCGGUUUAAUUCCCUACAACUGGUAUCAGAGCCUCGGGUUAGGUUUAAGUGGGAGCAAUGGCAGAGGAAGCAGGAAAGGCGUCUAGAAUAGAAAAGUUUGAUGGCACAGACUUUGCGUAUUGGAGGAUGCAGAUUGAAGAUUAUCUCUAUGGGAGGAAAUUGCAUCUGCCUCUUUUGGGGACAAAACCUGAGAGUAUGAAGGCUGAGGAAUGGGCGCUUCUUGAUAGACAGGUUCUAGGAGUUAUUAGGUUAACUCUGUCUAGGUUUGUUGCACAUAAUGUUGUAAAGGAGAAGACCACAACAGAUUUGAUGAAGGCUUUGUCCGGUAUGUAUGAAAAGCCGUCCACAAACAAUAAGGUGCAUCUGAUGAAGAAAUUGUUCAAUUUGAAGAUGGCAGAGAAUGCAUCAGUAGCACAACAUCUGAAUGAAUUUAAUACAAUCACAAAUCAAUUGUUGUGUGUAGAAAUUGAUUUUGAUGAUGAGAUUCGUGCUCUGAUCGUCUUGGCUUCUUUGCCAAACAGUUGGGAGGCAAUGAAGAUGGUAGUAAGUAAUUCUACGGGAAAGGAAAAUCUCAAGUACAAUGAUAUACGAGAUUUAAUUCUGCCUGAGGAGAUUCGCCGAAGAGAUGCAGGUGAAACCUCAAGAUCUGGUUCUACCCUAAACCUUGAGACAAGAGGCAAAGGUAAUGACAGAAAUUCAAAUUGGGGUAGAUCAAAUUCCAGAAAUUCUAAUCGGAACAGAAGCAAAUCUAGAUCAGGCCAACAAGUACAAUGCUGGAAUUGUGGGAAAACAGGUCACUUUAAAAGGCAAUGCAAAAGCCCUAAGAAGAAGAAUGAAGGUGAUUCUGCUAAUGCUGUAACAGAAAAGGUACAGGAUGCAUUACUUCUUGCAGUAGACAGUCCACUUGAUGAUUGGGUUUUGGAUUUAGGAGCUUCGUUUCAUACCACUCCACACCGAGAAAUCAUAUAGAAUUAUGUUGCAGGUGAUUUUGGUAAGGUGUAUUUGGCUGAUGGUUCAACCUUGGAUGUUGUGGGUCUGGGAGACGUCCGGAUAUCAUUGCCCAAUGGGUCUGUUUGGUUACUGGAGAAUGUUCGACAUAUUCCUAACCUGAGGAGGAAUCUGAUUUAUGUUGGACAACUUGAUGAUGAAGGACAUGCAAUACUAUUUGUUGGUGGUACUUGGAAGGUUACAAAGGGAGUUAGGGUAUUGGCUCGUGGAAAGAAGACUGGUACCCUGUAUAUGACCUCAUGUCCAAGAGACACAAUUGCAGUUGCUAAUGCAAGUACUGAUGCAAGCCUAUGGCACCGCAGACUUGGUCACAUGAGUGAGAAAGGGAUGAAGAUGUUGUUGUCAAAAGGAAAACUACCAGAAUUGAAGUCCAUUGAUUUUGACAUGUGUGAAAGUUGCAUCUUAGGAAAGCAAAAAAAGGUGAGCUUCUUGAAAUUGGCAGGACACCGAAGGCUGAAAAAUUGGAACUAGUACACACUGAUUUGUGGGGGCCUUCUCUGGUUGCAUCCCUAGGAGGUNNNNNNNNNNNNNNNNNNNNNNNNNNNNNNNNNNNNNNNNNNNNNNNNNNNNNNNNNNNNNNNNNNNNNNNNNNNNNNNNNNNNNNNNNNNNNNNNNNNNNNNNNNNNNNNNNNNNNNNNNNNNNNNNNNNNNNNNNNNNNNNNNNNNNNNNNNNNNNNNNNNNNNNNNNNNNNNNNNNNNNNNNNNNNNNNNNNNNNNNNNNNNNNNNNNNNNNNNNNNNNNNNNNNNNNNNNNNNNNNNNNNNNNNNNNNNNNNNNNNNNNNNNNNNNNNNNNNNNNNNNNNNNNNNNNNNNNNNNNNNNNNNNNNNNNNNNNNNNNNNNNNNNNNNNNNNNNNNNNNNNNNNNNNNNNNNNNNNNNNNNNNNNNNNNNNNNNNNNNNNNNNNNNNNNNNNNNNNNNNNNNNNNNNNNNNNNNNNNNNNNNNNNNNNNNNNNNNNNNNNNNNNNNNNNNNNNNNNNNNNNNNNNNNNNNNNNNNNNNNNNNNNNNNNNNNNNNNNNNNNNNNNNNNNNNNNNNNNNNNNNNNNNNNNNNNNNNNNNNNNNNNNNNNNNNNNNNNNNNNNNNNNNNNNNNNNNNNNNNNNNNNNNNNNNNNNNNNNNNNNNNNNNNNNNNNNNNNNNNNNNNNNNNNNNNNNNNNNNNNNNNNNNNNNNNNNNNNNNNNNNNNNNNNNNNNNNNNNNNNNNNNNNNNNNNNNNNNNNNNNNNNNNNNNNNNNNNNNNNNNNNNNNNNNNNNNNNNNNNNNNNNNNNNNNNNNNNNNNNNNNNNNNNNNNNNNNNNNNNNNNNNNNNNNNNNNNNNNNNNNNNNNNNNNNNNNNNNNNNNNNNNNNNNNNNNNNNNNNNNNNNNNNNNNNNNNNNNNNNNNNNNNNNNNNNNNNNNNNNNNNNNNNNNNNNNNNNNNNNNNNNNNNNNNNNNNNNNNNNNNNNNNNNNNNNNNNNNNNNNNNNNNNNNNNNNNNNNNNNNNNNNNNNNNNNNNNNNNNNNNNNNNNNNNNNNNNNNNNNNNNNNNNNNNNNNNNNNNNNNNNNNNNNNNNNNNNNNNNNNNNNNNNNNNNNNNNNNNNNNNNNNNNNNNNNNNNNNNNNNNNNNNNNNNNNNNNNNNNNNNNNNNNNNNNNNNNNNNNNNNNNNNNNNNNNNNNNNNNNNNNNNNNNNNNNNNNNNNNNNNNNNNNNNNNNNNNNNNNNNNNNNNNNNNNNNNNNNNNNNNNNNNNNNNNNNNNNNNNNNNNNNNNNNNNNNNNNNNNNNNNNNNNNNNNNNNNNNNNNNNNNNNNNNNNNNNNNNNNNNNNNNNNNNNNNNNNNNNNNNNNNNNNNNNNNNNNNNNNNNNNNNNNNNNNNNNNNNNNNNNNNNNNNNNNNNNNNNNNNNNNNNNNNNNNNNNNNNNNNNNNNNNNNNNNNNNNNNNNNNNNNNNNNNNNNNNNNNNNNNNNNNNNNNNNNNNNNNNNNNNNNNNNNNNNNNNNNNNNNNNNNNNNNNNNNNNNNNNNNNNNNNNNNNNNNNNNNNNNNNNNNNNNNNNNNNNNNNNNNNNNNNNNNNNNNNNNNNNNNNNNNNNNNNNNNNNNNNNNNNNNNNNNNNNNNNNNNNNNNNNNNNNNNNNNNNNNNNNNNNNNNNNNNCAGACAUGUUGACUAAGGGUGUCACUAUUGAGAAGUUGAAGCUGUGCGCAGCUUCAAUUGGUCUUCUAGCUUGAGGAUAGGAGGAUGAGUUGUAGGGAUGAGGGAUUGUUUCUUGGAGGAUAGCGGUUUGAUGUUGGUGAUUGAACUAGUCUCCAAGUGGGAGAUUUGUUGGGCUUUGUGGAGCCUAGUUUUGUUUGAUUCGGUUUGACGACCCGACCCGAAUAAUAUUGCAUGGCUUUUUAAUGGGAGAUUUAUUGAGGCAUGUUGGACCCGUUUAGCCCAUUGUGGAACCACCUUUUUUAAUUAGGGUUUUUUUUAGUGUGGUGGGGUUACCGUGUUAUAUAUAUAGAGAGAAUAUUGUAGCCGCUAGGUUGUACUCUGUAUUCUUCCCUGAUAAUAGUGAUAUCCCUGCAACUCCGUGGAUGUAGGCAAAUUGCCGAACCACGUAAAUACUGUCUUGUGCAUGUGAUUGUUUUUCUUUGGCAUGUGUUUUCUCUAAUUUUUGUUUCUCACGGGUUGGGAAUUCGGUUUAAUUCCCUACACCGAGCUCAAGGUGAUCUUCCCUGAUGAUCCACAACGCAACUUUCCUCUACUUUUUCUCCUCCUCUAAUUUUCCUCUGUAACCUUUCUUUCCCCUGUUUCAACUUUCCUUUGCCUUUUCUUUCCAACCACUCUCCUNNNNNNNNNNNNNNNNNNNNNNNNNNNNNNNNNNNNNNNNNNNNNNNNNNNNNNNNNNNNNNNNNNNNNNNNNNNNNNNNNNNNNNNNNNNNNNNNNNNNUAUGGCACCGCAGACUUGGUCACAUGAGUGAGAAAGGGAUGAAGAUGUUGUUGUCAAAAGGAAAACUACCAGAAUUGAAGUCCAUUGAUUUUGACAUGUGUGAAAGUUGCAUCUUAGGAAAGCAAAAAAAGGUGAGCUUCUUGAAAUUGGCAGGACACCGAAGGCUGAAAAAUUGGAACUAGUACACACUGAUUUGUGGGGGCCUUCUCUGGUUGCAUCCCUAGGAGGUUCAAGGUACUACAUCACUUUUAUUGAUGACUUAAGUAGAAAGGCAUGAGUUUAUUUUCUGAAAAAUAAAUCUGAUGUAUUUGAAACUUUUAAGAAGUGGAAGGCCAUGGUUGAGACAGAAACAGGUUUGAAAAUAAAAUGUUUGAGGUCAGAUAAUGGAGGAGAGUACAUAGAUGGAAGGUUCAGUAAGUAUUGUGCUGCACAGGGAAUUAGGAUGGAGAAGACCAUUCCUGGGACACCACAGCAGAAUGGUGUGGCUGAGCGCAUGAACAGAACUCUCAAUGAGCGUGCUAGAAGUAUGAGGUUGCAUGCUGGACUACCAAAAAAUUUUUGGGCUGAUGCUAUUAGCACUGCAGCUUACCUGAUAAACCGAGGACCAUCAAUUCCCAUGGAGUUCAGACUUCCUGAGGAGGUUUGGAGCGGUAAAGAGAUGAAGUUUUCACAUUUAAAAGUUUUUGGUUGUGUUUCUUAUGUUCAUAUUGAUUCUGAUGCUCGUAGUAAACUUGAUGCAAAGUCAAAAAUAUGUUUUUUCAUUGGCUAUGGUGAUGAGAAAUUUGGUUAUAGGUUUUGGGAUGAACAAAACAGGAAAAUCAUCAGAAGUAGAAAUGUGAUAUUUAAUGAACAGGUUAUGUACAAGGAUAGGUCAACUGUAGUGUCAGAUGUUACAGAGAUAGAUCAAAAGAAAUCUGAGUUUGUCAAAUUAGAUGAAUUGACUGAAAGUACUGUCCAAAAAGGGGGUAAAGAAGAUAAGGAGAAUGUAAAUUCACAGGUAGAUUUGAGUACACCUAUAGCUGAAGUUCGCAGAUCUUCCAGGAACAUUAGACCUCCGAAACGUUAUUCACCUGGUUUAAAUUAUCUCCUGUUGACUGAUGGUGGUGAGCCAGAGUGUUAUGAUGAAGCCUUGCAAGAUGAGAAUUCAAGCAAGUGGGAGUUAACCAUGAAGGAUGAGAUGGAUUCCCUAUUGGGGAAUCAGACAUGGGAACUGAUUGAAUUGCCAGUAGGAAAGAAGGCUUUGCACAACAAGUGGGUAUACAGAAUAAAGAAUGAGCAUGAUGGUAGCAAACGUUACAAGGCCAGAUUAGUUGUUAAAGGGUUCCAGCAGAAGGAAGGCAUUGACUACACAGAGAUAUUUUCUCCAGUUGUGAAGAUGUCAACAAUUAGACUUGUACUUGGAAUGGUGGCUGCAGAAAACUUACAUCUUGAGCAGUUAGAUGUGAAGACAACAUUCCUUCAUGGUGACUUGGAGGAAGACCUUUACAUGAUUCAACCAGAAGGGUUCAUUGUUCAGGGACAAGAGAAUCUAGUCUGCAAACUGAGAAAGAGCUUGUAUGGCCUUAAACAAGCUCCUAGACAGUGGUACAAGAAGUUUGACAAUUUUAUGCAUAGAAUUGGGUUCAAGAGAUGUGAAGCUGAUCAUUGUUGCUAUGUUAAGUCCUUUGACAAUUCUUACAUCAUAUUAUUGUUGUAUGUGGAUGAUAUGCUUAUUGUAGGGUCUGACAUUGAGAAGAUUAAUAAUCUGAAGAAGCAAUUGUCCAAACAGUUUGCAAUGAAGGAUUUGGGAGUUGCAAAGCAAAUCCUUGGUAUGAGAAUCAUUAGAGACAAGGCUAAUGGUACAUUGAAGCUUUCACAGUCAGAGUAUGUGAAGAAAGUUCUCAGCAAGUUCAACAUGAAUGAAGCUAAACCAAUGAGCACACCCUUGGGUAGUCAUUUCAAACUAAGCAAAGAACAGUCAUCGAAGACAGAUGAAGAAGGGGACCAUAUGAGCAAGGUGCCCUAUGCCUCAGCUAUUGGCAGCUUGAUGUAUGCUAUGGUGUGUACAAGGCCAGACAUUGCACAUGCAGUGGGAAUUGUGAGCAGAUUCAUGAGUAGGCCUGGAAAGCAGCAUUGGGAGGCAGUCAAGUGGAUUUUAAGAUAUCUGAAGGGUUCAUUAGAUACAUGUCUUUGCUUCACAGGUGCAAGUUUGAAACUGCAGGGUUAUGUAGAUGCUGAUUUUGCAGGUGAUAUUGAUAGUAGAAAGAGUACUACUGGGUUUGUUUUUACUCUAGGUGGUACAGCUAUAUCAUGGACUUCAAAUCUACAAAAGAUUGUUACUUUGUCUACUACAGAAGCUGAGUAUGUUGUAGCAACUGAAGCUGGAAAGGAGAUGAUUUGGCUACAUGGUUUCUUAGAUGAAUUGGGUAAGAAGUAGGAGAUGGGCAUUCUACACAGUGACAGUCAGAGUGCAAUUUUUCUUGCCAAAAAUUCGGCUUUUCAUUCAAAGUCGAAACAUAUACAAACAAAAUACCACUUUAUCCGUUAUCUUGUUGAGGAUAAACUGGUAAUACUUGAGAAGAUUUAUGGAUCUAAGAACCCUACAGACAUGUUGACUAAGGGUGUCACUAUUGAGAAGUUGAAGCUGUGCGCAGCUUCAAUUGGUCUUCUAGCUUGAGGAUAGGAGGAUGAGUUGUAGGGAUGAGGGAUUGUUUCUUGGAGGAUAGCGGUUUGAUGUUGGUGAUUGAACUAGUCUCCAAGUGGGAGAUUUGUUGGGCUUUGUGGAGCCUAGUUUUGUUUGAUUCGGUUUGACGACCCGACCCGAAUAAUAUUGCAUGGCUUUUUAAUGGGAGAUUUAUUGAGGCAUGUUGGACCCGUUUAGCCCAUUGUGGAACCACCUUUUUUAAUUAGGGUUUUUUUUAGUGUGGUGGGGUUACCGUGUUAUAUAUAUAGAGAGAAUAUUGUAGCCGCUAGGUUGUACUCUGUAUUCUUCCCUGAUAAUAGUGAUAUCCCUGCAACUCCGUGGAUGUAGGCAAAUUGCCGAACCACGUAAAUACUGUCUUGUGCAUGUGAUUGUUUUUCUUUGGCAUGUGUUUUCUCUAAUUUUUGUUUCUCACGGGUUGGGAAUUCGGUUUAAUUCCCUACACCGAGCUCAAGGUGAUCUUCCCUGAUGAUCCACAACGCAACUUUCCUCUACUUUUUCUCCUCCUCUAAUUUUCCUCUGUAACCUUUCUUUCCCCUGUUUCAACUUUCCUUUGCCUUUUCUUUCCAACCACUCUCCUGGUUCUCACUCUAGCUAGAGAACCCUCCUCCUGCCUCUAGCUUCUCUCUAAAAAUCUUCUCUAGCAGCCUUUUCCUUAGCUCCCCGAAAUCCCCUCCCAACCCAAAGCUCCCAAACUCCUCAAAAAAUAUCCCUCUACUCUCUACAGCCACCACCCUCUCUCCACUAACGGCCUGCCGCCCCUCUCAAAGCUCCAUGACCCCUAAAAAAUAUCUCCUAACCGAAAAUCCGCUCCCCUCUGAUUCUCUUGUCCAACUCCCAUUUCAUCUCCCAUCCACUAUUAUGAUUCUCUGAAGACCUCUUAGGAGUCGACACGUGGCUGACUCUAAUCCUAGCACCUGGCAAAAUGAACUGCAUGUAAAUGAGCCCCACAUGGGGGUCUAUAAAAUGUUUUUAAAAAAUUAUACCUAGUUAUUAUUCUUUAGAAACAAUUUUUAAAAAUAAAGUAAAAUACAAAAUUGUCAUUCCAUUUUUUUUUUCAUUUGAGAAAAUACAUUUCAAAUAAAGUGAACUUUGUAUUGAAUUUAUUAAUAAGUUUAAUAAUUUAAAACUCAAAAAAUAUAUGUAACAAUUAUAAAUAAAAAUAAUAGACAUAAUUAAUACUUUCAAUUUUUUAAUAAAUCUUGUAAUUUUUAAGAAUAAUUUAAUAUUUAAAAAACUAAUUAAUUAAUAUUAGAUUAAAUAAAACAAUUUAGAAUGUCAUCUUCGUAAUUGAGUGAUAAAUAUAUGCAUAUAAUGAAAAUUUUGGCUUAUUUAUACCUUACAAUUUUAAGGGCAAGGAAGUGAUCUAAUGCGAGUUGCUUAAUAUGAAAAGAUGCUUUAAAAUUUAAGAGCUUUUCAUGGAGCUCAUCAAAUGUAAUUGGGGUGUCAUGUGCUUGAAUGACAUAGACUAGUUCUUUGUAUUCGUCAACAAGGCCAUAAAAGAUUUUCUCCAUGGCAUCCUCUUCAUCCAUUAGGGCACCAAGGAGAGCAAGUUCAUUGGCACGAGCUUUAAUGGUAUGUAGGAAGGCAGUGAUGGUUUGCAAACCCCUGGUGAGAUUCUUAAGGUGGUUGUUGACUUUUUUAAUGUAGACAUGCGAUAGUUUGACAUAGGUAUUGGUGAAGAUGAUCUAUGUUUCACAAGAGGUUGUGGCACAAGCAAUGAAUGGAAGUAUGGUGGGUGAAACAGAGCCAAUAAGUUCAUUUAGGAUCAAUUGAUCUUGACGAAGCCAUGAAGAAUAGGUUGAGUUGGGUAUUACGGUGUCAUUGGCAAUGCGAGUGGUGGGUGGACAAGGUUUGGUUCUAUCAAUAUAGCUAAAUAGGUCAAAGCCAAUAAACAGUGUUUGGAAUCGAAACCUUUAUGAUAUGUAGUUGGUAGUGGUUAGUUUAAGUGGGGCUUGAGCAAAAACAUUUAUUGAGAUGAGUAUUUGGUGUGAUUCAUGGGUGUUGUGAAUAUUGAGAGUAGAAGUUGUAGAAGUGGUGGCAUCUUAGGUGGCCAUGAGGCUAUGAUGAUGGGGAGGAGCAUUAGAUGGCUUUGGCAGAGAAAAAGAGGUAAGGAAGAACAAGUGGUGGUGAGGGUUUUCAGGUCAAGAAGCUUGAAUGCUCUGAUGCCAUAUUGAAGAAUGAGAUAGGUAAAUUAAUUAUUGUGUUUUUUUUUCCUUUGAUUAUGAAGAAUAUAUAUAUACAUGUACAAAGAAUAUAAAUUUGGAAAGUUUCCUAAUUACCUAAAAUGAUAACCUAGAAUGUAACUAAUUUACGAUCACUACGUUAUUUAUAAAAGGAAACAAAUUAUCUAUAAAAGAAAACAAAUUAUCUACAAAAGAAAACAAAUUAGUGAUUGAUAGAGAAUAUGUUGACUUCCUUUAUUAGCGUCAAGUUCAACACUCCCCACAUCACGAGGUGUAUUUGGAACCAUGUACAUAUCUCUGUUCUUGAAUUUCAUUAAUUAAGAUGUCCAACUUUUUUGCCUUUCAAAGAAAUUUCUCCUUCUCAUCAAUCUGAAAAUUGUAAUGGAAAGCUUCAAAAAGCAUCAAUAGUCUCCCAGUCUAUCACCAAUCAGAGUGCAAAUGCCACUAUACAAGCUUUGCUACCAUCAUAUGACCUUUCUGUUGAAAUGAUGACAUUGCCCCUUGAUUUUUUACAAGUUAAAUUAUUCUAAAAGUGGUUAUGGACUCAGUUUAAGGAAAAGUACCGGAGCUAGGCAAGGGUUGCAAUGGGUCAUCACAGCGCUAAGAUCCUUAAUUAGGUUUUGCCAUUCCCAAUUCCACAAAUAUUGUGAUCCCAUACGAGUCUCCCACUUAGUCCAAUGCAUCAAUUAGCACAUAAUAAGACCCUAUGCUUAGAAAUUGUACAUGUGCAACAUUGUGAGUUUUGUGUUUGACAAAAAUAUGAAUUCUAGUUAAAACAAAAUCUCGUUAAGAAAACACCUCUCCAUUAGGGACAAGUGAAGUCAUUAAAAUGGAGAAACAAUUUUUUAUUUGCAAGCCUAUCAUAGAAUGCCCAUUUACGCAUAUCAUAUAUUUGCAAUGCCUAAUAUAAAAUUUAAUAAAACAAUAAUAAUAAUAUUUUUUUCAACUUUUGAAAAAGAAAAAGGAAAAUAUAUUAUGAUUUUUUAUUUCAGCUAUGAAUGGUAUUUUUUUUAGCAACUAAUUAAUAUCAUGCAAUAGAAAAACAAAGUUAAAAUUUGAGAUAAUAAAUAUAAUUAAAGUACAAAGAAAGUAACUUAUGGGGAGCGAAUUUCGCCUCUAGAUUGAAUAUAACUUUAUUUUUAUCAUUAAGUUAAUAGAUUGAAUAAUUUAUUAGUAAUAUCUUCUUUCUUUCUAAACUUUAUCGCGAUUUAUGGAAGUUUCUAAAAACCAAUGCCCAAAGCCCAGACUAUAAAAGGGAGACAAUCACUUGGAGAGAGGGGUUGUCUGUUUUUUGAGAGCCCAAUAAACACAAUGUCAUAAAUAGAAAGAGGCGGAAGAGGUGAUCUGGAGGAUCAAGAACCACGACCGUUCUUCUCUUUCAUUAUGGUUUUUGGCUCUAAGUCUGACACCGCCAUACCUUCCUGGCCUCUCAUUUCUAUACAUAUCCUUCCAUGCAUUCUUUGGCUCUAUUUGGUUUCCAAGAAAGUGGUCUAGGUCUCUUCCUUUUUCUUGAUUCAUCUUUGGUUUAAAACAAUUAGGAGUGAAGUAAAGUGUGUUCUUGAUUUAUUCUAGAUUUCUCUUUUUCAAACCUACGUUUUGAUCUUUUCUCUCCUGCUCUGUUUAGUUUCCAAGAAAGUGGUCUAGGCCUAAUAUGCAUUGUGUUUUCUUUCUUUUUUCUUAGUUUCUGUUUGGUUUUCUAGGAAAGUGAAGGAAAAUGAACUCUCUGCUAUCUUUUUCUUGGUUUAUCUUUGGUUUACCAAGCACAACGGUGAAGUAAAUGGGUUUUUUAUUUACGUUUGACUUCUCUUUUUCAAACCUCCGUUUCGAUCUUUCCUCUUCAGUUCUGUUUAGUUUCCAAGAAAGCAAUCUAGGUCUAAUAUGGAUCAUAGUUUCUUUCCUUUUCUUAGUUUUUGUUAGAGGUAUUCUUUUACUUGGUAUAUCUUUGGUUUACAAGAAACAGGAGUGAAGUAAAGUAGGUUCUUUAUUAUUAUUUUUUUUUGUACUUUGGUUUCUCGUUCUCAAACCUACGUUUUUAUCUUUCCUCUUCUGCUCUGUUUGGUUUCCAAGAAAGUGGUCUAGAUCCAAUAUGCACUGUGUUUUCUUUCUUUUUCUUGCUGUCUGUUUGAUUUACAAGAAAUAGGAAUGAAGUACAGUGCAUUCUUGAUUUUUGUUUGGUUUCGAAGAAAGUGAAGGAAAAUGAUGUAGUACUUGUUAUCGUUUUUUUUCUGGAUGCAGAACUUAAACAUCUUCAAUGUUCCUCACCCCCAAAUGCAUCAUACAACAUUUAGUUGUUCAAAGGUCAGAUGGAAAAUCUAUCUGUUCUUGUUGCCUACAUGUUUGUCUUCACAAAUCAUAGAUGACUUCAUUAGCAUGCAUAUGUAUGAGCUGACAUGAUAGUGCACAUGGCAUAUGUUGGAUUGGAAAAUACAUAUGUUUAUAUGUUUUCAUAGUGCUAGGAUAAACAUAUACCAAACAAACAAUUCUGUAAAUGAAAUAUCAUUUUAUUUAUUUUAAUUGUUGCUUAUAGAUAUGAUUUCAAUAUACUCAGAGACUCUUAUUUUCAGUCUUUUCUUUGGUGCCAAAUUAAGCUAGAGACCCACCCUCCAACUUGUCGCAUUAAAUGUAGGCACUCAAGUUUAAAAUAGGUUCCAAGUGUCAUUUUAUCCUUGUAUUUAUUUUCAGGACAAGUUAAUUAAAUUAAAUAUCAUUGUAUUUAUUUUAUUCAAAAUUAUUUGAUAUUAUUGUGAAGUCCAGACGACCAAUUAACUAACCCCCUAGGGAACCAAAUCUGAAAUUGCUUGUCCAUAUUUUUGUUCUCAUAUUCUAGGAAGUGAUGUAUAUUAAUAUUUCAUGGCUAUGUUGAGCAACUAUUUUAGACAUGUUGUUAGGAACCUUAGAUUACUUCGUUCCCAUGCCUUGGAUCAUGUAAGGUGCAUGCAAAUCUAUCCUAAACUCUCUAAAUCUAUUACAGUGAAUAAACAGGUAUUCAAAAUAAUAAGAAUACAAUAGAAAGCAUAGAUGUAGAGAAUAAAGCCACAUACCUUUGAUCUGAAUGUUCUUGGACCGAUUCUAAUUGAUGUAGAUAACCCCAAAGCUGUAGUAGAUCUCGUAAACACCAUGAUCUUCCGCUCGAUGACUCUUCCUUUUAUUUAAGCACUAAGAUAGUGGAGAUCUCAAGGGUGGAGGUUAGGGUUAUCUCUAAGACAUUGAAACCCUAACCCUUAAAGGGGUAUUUAUGGAUUUCCUACUAGGCUUAAGUGACUUAAGUCCACCAUGGGCUUGGGUUACUUAAUCUAACCCAUAAAGGUUGCUAAUUGAUUAAUUAACUAUACAAGACCUUAAUUAAUCAAUUAGCUCAAUCCAAAGAUGUUGCUCACUCAUCCCUAUGCAACAUUGCAUAAUUACCAAAACACCCUUAUACACAAAAGUGAACUAAAAACCCAUCCAACCCUCAUAACUAUGCCAUUAAGGAAUAUGAGCUCAGAGUGAGGACCAUUGGGACCCAUAAGAGUACUGAUUCCCUCAUAAUCAAAUUAUAAAAUUGAACAUCUCACUAUAGAGAGUCAACUGCUCUCUAGUAUGCUAUGUAAAUUACAACGAGACACCAAGUGCUCAGGUCCAUGACUUACUAUCCACUACAUGUAGACUCACCAUGAACUAAUGUCCAUAAUCUAACAAGACAGUACUAUCACCUAUCAAGAUUACCUUUCAAAUCCUUGAGUUACAGAUCCAACUUAUUAUGUGGUCAACUAACAUACUUUAGCUCCAAGGAGUAUACGACAAAUUCCACUAAAGGAAUUACUAUAGUCAUAGAUUUCAUGAUCAUAUUUCCUUUGGAUCACCCAAGGGGACACACUGUCUCAAUCCCAUGAGAUAUCAUGGUGCCUUUAUUGAGAAUACCUAUUGCCACCAGCCUCCAUCAACAAUGACCCAAUCCAUAGGGAUAUAUGACCACUUUAGGGUCUCGCCCAUAGGUCAAAACUUCCUGUUGAUUUGGGCAUAGGCUCAAUAUCCUCUCAAGGUUGAGAGUCCAUGCAGUUUAGUAGCUUGGUGAAUCAUGACAAUUAAUAGCCUUGUAUCAUGAUUCAUCGUAGGUCCUAUCUAGUGUGCAUCACAUACACUAGUACACUCAUCAUAGGAAACCCAUCUUGAUGGCCAAGACAAACCAUCCCUUCAAUUAGGAGGUGGUGCACUACAGUCUUAAUUGGAUUGCCCAAAUCCAUGAACCAACUGUGGACAACUUAUCUACUUAUAGGGAACCCAUGACUUGUAUCUUCUACGCAACUCCUAAUGUACCCAAGUCAUGUACAAUGUAAGAAACAUGUGUUGAAUACUCAAAUCAAUGUCAAUAUACCAAGGGGAUAGCAAGAGGAUAGUUAAGUAUAACUUUGUCACAUCAUGUCUUGCUUUUUGGGGCUCAAUCCCAACAAUGUGAACAUUGUAGGUUUAGGUUGAAUAUUUUUAUUCAAAAUCUGAAUUCAAAUGCAGAUUUAAGGAAGAAUAGGUUCUGUACUCCUUCUGAAUUAAUUCCUAAAAGAAAUGCCAAUAUGAAUAGGAUCCUUGAGAUAACUCAGAAACCCAUCUUUAUUUAGUCCAUGUGUAUAUAUAAUUACCCUUUCCAAGUGGUGCAAAUAGGUUGUGUUGAGAGAGAGAACAUGAGGAUUUUUGUAGAAGUAUGACAUGAGAGUGGGCUGUUGAGGAGGAUUCACGUGAGACUUAGAGGAUAAAAUCAAAAUUAGUGAAGUUGAGAGCAUCAGAACGUGGAGAACACCUAAGCUGAUUGUGGAAACGGUGGCAGUUGAUGUGAGCACUAGAUUUUUCUAGAAUUGAGGCUAUUUGGUGCACGAUUUGUGGAAAAAAAAAAAGUGGCAGAAUGUUCUAGAGAGUCACAUGGAUUCAGUGCAUGGUUUUGGCCUAGAGGGAAGAUGAUGAGAAGGUUUUAGAGAGGUGGCUGUUAGUGGACAAAUUUGAAUUUUUGAGGGAAUGCAAGAAUGGUCAGAUUUUUUAGAGGGAAGUCUCUAGAACUUUGGGGAGGUCUGAAUACAGUCGGGGAGGAAAAAUAGAGUGAACUGAAUUUUUCUUCAAGAGAGAAUAUAUAUUAUGCGACAUAAUUCUUUAGUGGAGAAACGUGCAGCUGAAUUCGGUCUUAAAGGAGGGAAAGAUGCAACCGAUUGAAGAGAGAUUAUACGGGAAAGGAAAAACUCAAGUACAAUGAUAUACGAGAUUUAAUUCUGGCUGAGGAGAUUCGCCGAAGAGAUGCAGACGAAACUUCAGGAUCUGGUUCUGCACUAAACCUUGAGACAAGAGGCAAAAGUAAUGACAGAAAUUCAAAUAAGGGUAGAUCAAAAUCCAGAAAUUCUAAUCAGAACAUAAGCAAAUGUAGAUCAGGCCAACAAGUAUAAUGCUGGAAUUGUGGAAAAACAGGUCACUUUAGAAGGCAAUGCAAAAGUCCAAAGAAGAAGAAUGAAGAUGAUUCUGCUAAUGCUGUAACAGAAUAGGUACAGGAUGCAUUACUUCUUGUAGUAGACAAUCCACUUGAUGAUUGAGUUUUGGAUUCAACAGCUUCGUUUCAUACCACUCCACACCGAGAAAUCAUACAGAAUUAUGUUGCAGGUGAUUUUGGUAAGGUGUAUUUGGCUGAUGGUUCAGUCUUGGAUGUUGUGGGUCUGGGAGACGUCCGGAUAUCGUUGCCCAAUGGGUCUGUUUGGUUAUUGGAGAAGGUUCGACAUAUUCCUGACCUGAGGAGGAAUCUGAUUUCUAUUGGACAACUUGAUGAUGAAGGACAUGCAAUACUAUUUAUUGGUGGUACUUGGAAGGUAACAAAGGGAGCUAGGGUAUUGGCUCGUGGAAAGAAGACUGGUACUUUGUAUAUGACCUCAUGUCCAAGAGACACAAUUGCAGUGGCUGAUGCAAGUACUGAUACAAGCCUAUGGCACCAUAAACUUGGUCACAUGAGUGAAAAAGGGAUGAAGAUGUUGUUGUCAAAAGGAAAACUACCAGAAUUGAAGUCCAUUGAUUUUGACAUGUGUGAAAGUUGCAUCUUAGGAAAGCAAAAAAAUGUGAGCUUCUUGAAAAUUGGCAGGACACUGAAGGCUGAAAAAUUGGAACUAGUACACAUUGAUUUGUGGGGGCCUUCUCCGGUUGCAUCCCUUGGAGGUUCAAGGUACUACAUCACUUUUAUUGAUGACUCAAGUAGAAAGGUAUGGGUUUAUUUUUUGAAAAAUAAAUCUGAUGUAUUUGAAACUUUUAAGAAGUGGAAGGCCAUGGUUGAGAAAGAAACAGGGUUGAAAGUAAAAUGUUUGAGGUCAGAUAAUGGAGGAGAGUACAUAGAUGGAGAGUUCAGUGAGUAUUGUGCUGCAUAGGGAAUUAGGAUGGAGAAGACCAUUCUUGGAACACCACAGCAGAAUGGUGUGGUUGAGUGCAUGAAUAGAACUCUCAAUGAGCGUGCUAGAAGUAUGAGGUUGCAUGCUGGACUACCAAAAACUUUUUGGGUUGAUGUUGUUAGCACUACAGCUUACCUGAUAAACUGAGGACCAUCAGUUCCCAUGGAGUUCAGACUUCCUGAGGAGGUUUGGAGCGGUAAAGAGGUGAAGUUUUCACAUUUAAAAGUUUUUGGUUGUGUUUCUUAUGUUCAUAUUGAUUAUGAUGCUCGUAGUAAACUUGAUGCAAAGUCAAAAAUAUGUUUUUUCAUUGGCUAUGGUGAUGAGAAAUUUGGCUAUAGGUUUUGGGAUGAACAAAAUAGGAAAAUCAUCAGAAGUAGAAAUGUGAUAUUUAAUGAAUAGGUUAUAUACAAGGAUAGGUCAACUAUAGUGUCAGAUGUUACAGAGAUAGAUCAAAAGAAAUCUGAGUUUGUCAACUUCGAUGAAUUGACUAAAAGUAUUGCCCAAAAAGGAGGUGAAGAAGAUAAGGAGAAUGUAAAUUCACAUGUAAAACUAAGUACACCUAUAGGUGAAGUUCGCAGAUCUUCCAGGAACAUUAGACCUCCGUAGCAUUAUUCACCUGUUUUAAAUUAUGUCCUGUUGACUAAUGGUGGUGAGCCAGAGUGUUAUGAUGAAGCCUUGCAAGAUGAGAAUUCAAGCAAAUGGGAGUUAGCCAUGAAGGAUGAGAUGGAUUCCUUGUUGGGGAAUCAAACAUGGGAACUGACUGAAUUGCUAGUAGGAAAGAAGGCUUUGCACAACAAGUGGGUAUACAAAAUAAAGAAUGAGCAUGAUGGUAGCAAACGUUACAAGGCCAGAUUAGUUAUUAAAGGGUUCCAGCAGAAGAAGGGCAUUGACUACAUAGAGAUAUUUUCUCCAGUUAUGAAGAUGUCAACAAUCAGACUUGUACAGGGAAUGGUGGUUGUAGAAAACUUACAUCUUGAGCAAUUAGAUGUGAAGACAGCAUUCUUUCAUGGUGACUUGGAGGAAGACCUUUACAUGAUUCAGCCAGAGGGGUUCAUUGUUCAGGGACAAGAGAAUCUAGUUUGCAAACUGAGAAAGAGCUUGUAUGGCCUUAAACAAGCUCCUAGACAGUGGUACAAGAAGUUUGACAAUUUUAUGCAUAGAAUUGGGUUCAAGAGAUGUGAAGUUGAUCACUGUUGCUAUGUUAAGUUUUUUGACAAUUCUUACAUGAUAUUACUGUUGUAUGUGGAUGAUAUGCUUAUUGUAGGGUCUGACAUUGAGGAGAUUAAUAAUCUGAAGAAGCAAUUGUCCAAGCAGUUUACAAUGAAGGAUUUGGGAGCUACAAAGCAAAUCCUUGGUAUGAGAAUCAUUAGAGACAAGGCUAAUAGUACAUUUGCUUCACAGGUGCAAGUUUGAAACUGUGGGGUUAUGUAGAUGCUGAUUUUGCUGGUGAUAUUGAUAGUAGAAAGAGUACUAUUGGGUUUGUUUUUACUCUAGGUGGUACAACUAUAUCAUGGGCUUCAAAUCUAUAGAAGAUUGUUACUUUGUCUACUACAGAAGCUGAAUAUGUUGCAGCAACUGAAGUUGGAAAGGAGAUGAUUUGGCUACAUGGUUUCUUAGAUGAAUUGGGUAAGAAGCAAGAGAUGGGCAUUCUACACAGUGAUAGUCAGAGUGCAAUUUUUCUUGCCAAAAAAUCGGCUUUUCAUUCAAAGUCGAAGCAUAUACAAACAAAAUACCACUUUAGCCGUUACCUUGUUGAAGAUAAACUGGUAAUACUUGAGAAGAUUUGUGGAUCUAAGAACCCGGUAGACAUGUUGACUAAGGGUGUCACUAUUGAGAAGUUGAAGUUGUGCGCAACUUCAAUUGGUCUUCUAGCUUGAGGACAGGAGGAUGAGUUGCAGGGAUGAGGGAUUGUUUUUUGGAGUAUAGCGGUUUGAUGUUGGUGAUUGAACUAGUCUCCAAGUGGGAGAUUUGUUGGGCUUUGUGGAGCCUAGUUUUGUUUGAUCCGGUUUGACGAUCUGACCCAAAUAAUAUUGCAUGGCUUUUUAAUGGGAGAUUUAUUGAGGAUUGUUGGACUCAUUUAGCCCAUUGCGGAACUACCUUUUGUAAUUAGGGUUUUUUUGUGUGGUGUGGUUGCCGUGUUAUAGAGAGAGAGCAAAUAUUGUAGUUGUUGUGGUUGUACUCUAUAUUCUUCCUUGAUAAUAGUGAUAUCCCUGCAACUUCGUGGAUGUAGGCAAAUUACUGAACCACGUAAAUACUGUCUUGUGCGUGUGAUUGUUUUUCUUCGGUUUAAUUCCCUACACAUAAUUCACCAAGCAAUCCACAUUUAAUCAUUUAGUUUCCUAAAUAUCAAAUUCUAACAACACUCAUGUGUAGCCCAAAUUGUCCACACCCAACCUAAACUAACAUGUAUUCAAAAAAAUCAUGAAUAAAGUGAAAAUAUUGGCAAUAAACAUUAGAAUUAAGGAAUCGAAUAUUAUACUUGGAACUAAAAUGACAACACUAAACAUGUAGAAGAAAAAAAUAAUACAUAUGAACAAGGCACCAUAACUUGUCAUCAAGAGCCACUAAAAACACUUAUUGCUGGUUAUACAUCUACUUUUCUAUAUGUAGCAUUUACUAAAAAAAUCAACAAGCAUCAACAUUAUCCCGUAACCCAUUGUGUAUUAUUUACUACAACUGCCAUUAUUCCAUAACAUAUAUCUAGAUAUAGUAAUCAUAGUCAGCCUCUAUUCAUUCUCUAAUUUUGAUAAAAGCAUGUCACAAACAGCCGUGAGUUUCAAAAUCAACAAACCAAUUUCAUCUAUUAGCCUUAACUUCAUCAAUGAAUAACUUAAAAAUCAUUAAUAAACUAAUUCAAAUGGUAAAGAUUCAUUGAGACUUACCUUCAUGUCCAACUGUUGUGGUGAAGAAUAAAUGAAGAAAAACACCAAGUUUGGCAGCACAAUAUGGAAAUAAUGCAUGCUUGAGAUUCAGAUCAAUGCAAAAUCCGAGUUCAUCUAUGGAGAUCCGAUGCACAUAGAAACCGGGAUAACCUUCGAGAUACAAGUAUAGAGAGUGAAGACGAUGAAGAGAUUCACGUCUCUUCUUUCAGAACUUGUGCACGAUCGUGAAGAUGAUGGAGGUCAAUCAAUCAUGGAGGUUCAGGAAUCGGGAUGCCAAUGCUGCCGUGAAGAAGAUGUUCAUGAAGGUCUAGAAUGACGAGAACCUUGACUCUAACGAGAAGCUCUAUAAAUUCUUUGAAUCGGUGCAUGUGAUGAUCUUCUACAGAAAGAAGAUCUUUGAACUCUCUUCCAAAAAACGCCCAGAAACAGAGACUCUCUGUGUCAGUUUUCCUUUCCUCUCUCCUCCUCCGAAGUCUCUAGAACGGCCCUCUUUAUUCUUUCUGGCGUGAUCUUUAUAUUCCCGAUGCAUGGCAGUUAGAGAACGUGACUGGCAUGCUCCCUUGCAUGGCUUAUGGUGAUCUCUCUCACGCGCAGGAGUUAUGGUUCUAAACCGGUCAGUUUCAAAUCCAAGGCGAUGCAAGAAGGGCCCAAUGUGGAGGACCACGAAGAGGAGAUGACCUAUUCAUGAAAUAUUAAAAAUAAAUUAUCGUAUUUUAUGUUUCAAAAUGUAUAUUUAAUGACAAUAUUAAAAAAAUUAUUUUAAAUUAUGGUUUAUGAAACAAAAAGAAAGAAUAUCACUUGUAUAUACAUCUUUUUAUUUACUUUUAUUGUGUGUUUUUAUUUUAAUUUUAAUUUUUAGAGAUAGAAAAUGGGUAGAUGAUUAGAGAUAUAAGAAUGGUGUGAUGCUUGAAUGGAAUAUUAAAAAAUAUGGGUGAUGUAGACUUAAAUAAUGUGGUCUUGAAAUGCAUGGGGUUAUGAUGGCUAGGUGGAUAGAUCAUGGAUGAUCAUAUGAAAAAUGAAAAAAUAUGUUUAUUGUUAAAAUCUACAAAUACAAUAGAGAUAAUAUGUUUGUUAUCAAUAAAAACUAACUUAUUUUCGUAUUAUUUAAGCAUAGAUUUAAUAAUAAUGUAAAAACUCAAACUCUUAUAUUAAUUUACAAUUUGUGAGAUAUUUUCAAUAUGUUUAAAACUUAUUUUUUAUUUUGUCAUUUGAAGUAUAAUUUAAUAGUCGUAAUAAACUUGAAUUUUUAAUUUUAAUUUAUGGUUCAUGAAAUAUUGGGAAGAAGAUUAUUUAAGCAUAUACAAAAAAAAAAAACUUAAAACAUGUAUUGAGUAAUCAUAAUACAUUAAUUUUUAAUUUUGCUCAUUUAACCAUCUUCAUUAAUAUUUGAUGCUAACAAAAUAGUUGGAUCAAAUUAAAUCAUAUCCGUGAAAAAUCAUUUCUUAAAUCAAUACCAAUCCUUCAUUGUACAUUUUUAAGAAAAUAAAAUCUAUUAUCAAUUAUUCCAAAUUACGAAUUUAUCUUAUGGCAUCAAAGGUUUUAAAAGUUCUAAACAAGCCUAAAUAUGUUAUAAAUCAAUCAAAACAAAGUCCUAAACUAAUAUAUUUGUUUUUUUUUCUUUUCAUUUCUUUUAUUUUUUUCACAUUCAAUUGUUUUUCAUAUUCUUCUUAUAUUUUAAAACAAAAUAAUUUCUUUAAAUAAUAAAUUAUAAAAUGAUUUUUUCACCAAAAGUAGAUUAUGUAAAAUGAUUUUAUUAUAUUCAAUGUUUUAAUAUGAAAUUCAUAACUCGAUUUUUUUAAAUAAAAAUUAUUAUUAAAAUUUUAAAAUAAACAAUAUUUAAUUGAAAUGGUUUUUUUUAUAUUAGACCAUCAUUAAGGACUGAAAAACACGUUAGACCACAAUUACCCACUAAAGCAUCAAAGGAUGUAGGAGGGCAAUCCUAGGUGGAAUGUGCCAAGAGGACAAAAUAGAAGGUUUACACCAUUGUGUCUUGUAAGCCAAAGAUAAACCAAGAAAAGGGGAGUAGAGAGUUCAUUUUCCUUCACUUUCUUGGAAAACAAAAUAGAAACCAAGAAAAAAGAAAGAAAACACAACACAUAUUAGACCUAAACCACUUUCUUGGAAAUUAAACAAGAGUUGGAGAGAAAAGAUCAAAACGUAGGUUUGAAACAAAUAAAUCAAAAAUAAAUCAAGAACCCACUUUACUUCACUCUUGAUUCUUGUAAACCAAAGAUAAAUCAAGAAAAAGAAAGAGACCUAGACAACUUUCUUAGAAACCAAACAGGGUCUAUGGGGAAAGAUGUAGCUUUGAAAAACAGAAUCGGAGAGCGAGAGAAUGCAUGGAAGGAUAUGUAUAGAAAAGAGAGGCCAUUAUUCUAAGAGGAAGGUAAAGACGGUCUUAGAUUCAGAGCCAAAAACCAUAAUGAAAGAGAAGAAUGGUUGUGUUUCUUGAUCCUCCGAAUCAACUCAAAUAUAUGAUAUGCAUAAAUGGGCAUUCUAUGAUAGCAAAUGAAAUAUUGUUUCUCCACAUCUAUGGGCAUUCUACAAUGUUAGGAUUAAUUUUCUAUACUAAGAAGUGCAUGAUAUAUACACCAAGGAAAUACUAGACCCAAGUAGUAGCUGGAAUCAUUUAACAAAUAAAAAUGACUUGAACAUGAAGAUAGGCAUAUGCUAGAGUACUUGAGGAGUUCUUUAAAACUGUUAUAAAAAACAUUUAACUCAGUUUAAGAACUUGGCAUUCGCACCAACCUUAACAAACUCUAAUUUUCCUUUCUCAUACCUUUCUAUGCUUACCUUUAUUAUUCCAAUUGACCACACGACAACUUCGAGUUUUCAAAGGAGAGCGACACAUAAUCUAAAAAAGCCCUAAGUCAAAAUAAAUGAAACAAAAUUAUCAAUCUUAAACUAUAUAACUUAAUGUACCAACACUCACAAAUAAGAAACCUUGGGGUUCAUUUAACAAGAGGGAUUUCUAUCAAGCAUGUUGGGUUUGCUUCGAAAAUGACUUAUUAUGAGAUGAGAAUCAUACCAAAAUGCUUCAAAGUAUAACAAAUACUAUGGUGCCAAUCACAAUAUGGUGGAAUAAGAAAAUAUAUGACUAGUGAAGUGCUUAUUUAUUUAAGAAAAUUUUAAGGUUAGGUUGUUAGGAUGUCCUAGCAUUAUAAAUUAAUUAUAAAGAAGUCAUUAAGGAAACCAAGGGAAUUGGUUGAACUGCUGGAGUGCAAUAUAUUAUUAAUCCUUCAUCUGGUCUGUCAUUGGGUUCAGCCACCCUUAGCUAAUGCUUGUCAGAAACCCUUGGUGAAUCAUGCAUAUAAGAAACAUAGAAUCAACCUAGAACAAUAAUUUACCAAUCUCAUUCUUCAAUAUGACAUCAGAGCAUUCAAGCUUCUUGACCUAAAAAACCUCACCACCACUUGUUCUUCCUUCUUACCUCUUUUUCUAUGCCAAAGCCAUCUAAUGCUCCUCCCCAUCAUCAUAGCCUCAUGGCCACCUAAGAUGUCACCACUUCUAUUACUUCUACUCUCAAUAUUCACAACACCCAUGAGUCACACCAAAUACUCACCUCAAUAAAUGUUUUUGUUCGAGCCCCACUUAAACUAACCACUACCAACUACAUAUCAUAAAGAUUUCAAUUCCAAACACUAUUUAUUGGCUUUGACCUCCUUAGCUAUAUUGAUAGAACCAAACCUUGUCCACCCACCACUCUCACUGCCAACGACACUGUAAUACCCAACCCAACCUAUUCUUCAUGGCUUCGUCAAGAUCAAUUGAUCCUAAAUGCACUUAUUGGCUCCGUUUCACCCACCAUAAUUCCAUUCAUUGCCUAUGCCACAACCUUUCGUGAAGCAUAGAUCAUCUUCACCAAUACCUAUGUCAAACAAUCACAUGUCUACAUUAAACAAGUCAACAACCACCUAAAGAAUCACACCAAGGGUUUGCAAAGCAUCACUACCUUCAUACAUACUAUUAAAGCACGUGCCAAUGAACUUGCUCUCCUUGGUGCCCUAAUGGAUGAAGACCCAUGAUGAAGAAAUGCUCCAAUGAAUAUGUAAAACAAAAUGGUACAAGCUCAAAAAAUGUAUCAAAGGCAAAAAAAAUUGAAAUUUAUCUUUUUAAAAUUUGAUAAUAUUUUCUUUCAAUUUCAAAUUUAUAUGCAUAUGUAUAUGUAUGGCUUGCAAUCUUAUCUUGACACUUGUUGUUCGCCUAAUUAGGUGUAUAAAGUACUUCAACGUUUGCAACCUAAUCAUAAGGGGGUCUUACAAGAAAUGGGGUUUGGAGGUAUUUUAGGGUUACGAUGUACUAAACUUGAUUGUAGUUUAUGUCAUUGAUUGGUUGAGAAUUUUGACACUUUUUCACAAUUAUUAAGUGUGUGUAGUCUGGUGAAGUUAAUUAACAUCGGGAACAUUGAAUUUUUUAAUAGAUGUAAAAACUUUCAUUAGUAUAGAUGCGUACCUAAGAAUGACAAUGAGGCUGAUUUUUUUAAAGACCCUUCUUGCCCUCGGACCAAGUUCAAGACAGGUUCGAAUAUAAUUUUGUCUUAUCUCACCCCAUUUAAUAUAAAUAAAUGACAUAAGAUUGAGAUUGAGGUGAUCCUUCUUAGACUCAUCUCAUUGUCACCCUUAGGUUUUAUCUAAAAGUUCCAUUUCUAAGGUCUUUUCUACCUUUCUUUUAGAUGGAAAUAAUGUGCAAUAUAUUCUCUAUUGCUAUGGUUGAGUGAGAACUAGUAAACCCAGAGCCUCUUCCUAUGCCAUCUUUAUACUAUAAUAGCUACAUACUUCACUUAGAGUCCACGAGACAUUCAUGAUAGAUUAUCAAAAGAUAUAUGUCUAUGCACUGAUGGGUAUGCACAACUAUGCUAUAAUAUAUGACAUGGAACAAUGGAUUGUACAAUAAUAUAAUUUACUAGUUACAUAAUUAUCAUUAUAAAAUUUUUACUUUGUCAAUGUAUCAUAAUAUUUUUAGAUGUGCUAAUUAAAUUACCAUUUUGUUAAAUUAUAACUUUUCAAAUCAAAAUAAGAAGAAAUAUAAAAAUUGCUUUUAUAAAUGUUUUUAACCAAAAAUAAAUAAAUUUAACACUUCACAUAUUUUGAUAUUAAUAAAAAUAAACAAUUUAACCGUUAAUAAUAUUUAGACACUAAUAAAAAAAAAUAGUUUGAACACUGAAUGAUAUUAGGCUGUAUUUAGAUUUAAGUUAAAUUCAAGUAUAUUUAAAUUUUAGACAUAAAUAAAUAAAUAUCACGUUAAUUUUUUAAUUUAAUUUAAUUUAUUUUUUCAAAAGUAGAAUGAAGAAGUUGUUAAAAGAAGUUAAGUCAUUUAUUAAUUAAGAGAGUGUAUGAUAAAACUUAAUCCUUAUUACUUAAUUAUUGAAAUUAAUUUUAAGAUGAAUUAUUUUUAUUUUUAUUUUGGUAAAAUCAACUUAAUUUUUUAAAAGUUAUUAUAUUAAUAUAUUUAAACUCAUUAAUUUCUCUUAAUAUUUAUCUUCAUAAACUUAAGCUUGUUAAACAUUUAUAUUAAAAAGUACUAUUGUGAACCUACAAAAUAACUACAAAAUAUUUACUAAAAAAAAAAAAGAAUUCUAAAAAUAAAGCAUGGUUAUCACCAAAUAUGAACAAAGAGAAUAAAAAAAAAAAUAGUAUUUAGAAUAAGUUAAUUAUUUUGAUUUAAUUUUAAAUUUUAAAUGAUGAUAAAUAAUUAUUUUAUCAAACACUAAGUUAAUUUGCCACACACAUCCAGUAACUAUGACUCAUGGUUGUUGUUGUCAUUCUCAUCAGGAGGUCGCAUUAAUUUAAGCACCAUUUGAAUAAUUUUCUUUCUUAUGUUAGAUAAGAAUGAAAAUAUUGAUUUUUACCAAUAUAUCAUUAGUUGGAGUUUAUAGAUAUAUAAAGAAAUAUCAAUGAAAAUUCUAAAAUAUAUGUAUAUGAGAUGGAAAUUGACAAAACCUCAUGAAAUGUUGGAAAUAACUCAAAAAAUGAUAGAAAAAUAUUAAUGUAUAUAUUGAUAUUGUUUUAAGAAAAAUUGAUAAAUGUAUAAUAAAUUUGAAAUAUUAGACAAUAAUAUACCGAAUUGGGAAACAUUAAUACUAAAAUGAUAAUGCAUUAAGUUUAGAUAUAUUGAAGGAUAUAAAAAAUAUAUUGAUAUAUAUAUUUAUAUUUUUUAUUUGAAAAUGUUAAUAAUUUUAUUUAUAAAUUUAUAUUUGUCCUAUAUUUAAUCACUAUAUAAGAGACAUAAUAAGAUAAUUAAAAUUAACUUAUUUAUAAUAAUUUUAUUUUAAUUAAUAUAUAAUUAUUAGUAUAUAAAAGAUAUUGUGAAAGACCCACGCUCAAAUCUUGAUAUUGUGUGUUUUUUUAAUAGCUUUAAGAAAAUCCACAUUGAAAAGGGAAAACAAAAUAAUGAAUAAUGAAUUGCUAUGUGACAUCACUAUUAUAAGGUUGUUGUGCUUCACUUUGGCAAAUGAUGCAUGGGCUAUCUUUGGUUGAUCAAAGGCCCACUACCAUGAUUAAAAUUUUUGAAAAACUUAGGUAUCUUAAUUAUUUAUUUUAUAUUAAUGAAAAAAUAAUUUAUUAAUCUUAUCUAUUUUUUAUUUUUCUUACCAUUUUUUUUUUUAAAUUUCCAAGAAUGUAACAUAGCCUAAAUAAAGCUUUAUGAAAACAUAUAGUUAAUUAUAGAGAGCUUUUACACAAAGCUAAGUUUAAUAUAAAAGAUAAUAUCUUCUAAUUCCUUAAGAUCUGUUUCUUUUUCUUUGCCUGUCAAAGUUUCAUCUAGUUACAAGUUAUCAUAUCAUUAAAAUAGAUUACAUUUUCUAUUAUUUUAUAAUAAUCUCAUUUCUUGGUAAAUAGUUUUUUUUUCCUAUGUUUUGAUUAUCAUAAAUGUUAAAGCAAUAUUUUUUGAAAAUUGAAACAAAUCAAUUGGUCUAAUUGAUCCAACCACCAAGCGACAUUAUGGUUUUUGGCUCUAAGUCUAACACCGCCUUACCUUCCUGGCCUCUCAUUUCUAUACAUAUCCUUCCAUGCAUUCUCUGGCUCUCCCAUUCUCUUUUUCAAAGCUGCAUCUUUCCUAAUGGCUCUAUUUGGUUUCCAAGAAAGUGGUCUAGGUCUCUUUCUUUUUCUUGAUUUAUCUUUGGUUUAAAAGAAUUAGGAGUGAAGUAAAGUGUGUUCUUGAUUUAUGCUAGAUUUCUCUUUUUCAAACCUACGUUUUGAUCUUUUCUCUCCUGCUCUGUUUAGUUUCCAAGAAAGUGGUCUAGGUCUAAUAUGCGCUGUGUUUUCUUUCUUUUUUCUUAGUUUCUGUUUGGUUUUCCAAGAAAGUGAAGGAAAAUGAACUCUCUGCUCUCUUUUUCUUGGUUUAUCGAUCUUUGGUUUACCAGGCACAACGGUGAAGUAAAGGGGUUCUUGAUUCACGUUUGACUUCUCUUUUUCAAACCUCCGUUUCGAUCUUUCCUCUUCGGUUCGGUUUAGUUUCCAAGAAAGCGGUCUAGGUUUAAUAUGGAUCAUAGUUUCUUUCCUUUUCUUGGUUUUUGUUAGGGUUUUUCUUUUACUUGGUAUAUCUUUGGUUUACAAGAAACAAGAGUGAAGUAAAGUAGGUUCUUUAUUUAUUUAUUUUUUUUGUACUUUGGUUUCUCGUUCUCAAACCUACGUUUUUAUCUUUCCUCUUCUGCUCUAUUUGGUUUCCAAGAAAGUGGUCUAGAUCCAAUAUGCACUGUGUUUUCUUUCUUUUUCUUGCUGUCUGUUUGAUUUACAAGAAGUAGGAAUGAAGUACAGUGCAUUCUUGAUUUUUGUUUGGUUUCGAAGAAAGUGAAGGAAAAUGAUGUAUUACUUGUUAUCGUUUUUUUCUCGAUGCAGAACUUAAACAUCUUCAAUGUUCCUCACCCCCAAAUGCAUCAUACAACAUUCAGUUGUUCAAAGGUCAGAUGGAAAAUCUAUCUGUUCUUGUUGCCUGCAUGUUUGUCUUCACAAAUCAUAGAUGACUUCAUUAGCAUGCAUAUGUAUGAGCUGACAUGAUAGUGCACAUGGCAUAUGUUGGAUUGGAAAAUACAUAUGUCUAUAUGUUUUCAUAGUUAGGAUAAACAUAUACCAAACAAACAAUUCUGUAAAUGAAAUAUCAUUGUAUUUAUUUUAAUUGUUGCUUAUAGAUAUGAUUUCAAUAUACUCAGAGACUCUUAUUUUCAGUCUUUUCUUUGGUGUCAAAUUAAGCUGGAGACCCACCCUCCAACUUGUCUUAGCAUUCAAUGUAGGCACUCAAGUUUAAAAUAGGUUCCAAGUGUCAUUUUAUCAUUGUAUUUAUUUUCAGGUCAAGUUAAUUAAAUGAAAUAUCAUUGUAUUCAUUUUAUCCAGAAUUAUUUGAUAUUAUUGCGAAGUCCAGACGACCAAUUAACUAACCCCCUAGGGAACCAAAUCUGAAAUUACUUGUCCAUAUUUUUGUUCUCAUAUUCUAGGAAGUGAUGUAUAUUAAUAUUUCAUGGCUAUGUUGAGCAACUAUUUUAGACAUGUUGUUGGGAACCUUAGAUUACUUCGUUCCCAUGCCUUGGAUCAUGUAAGGUGCAUGCAAAUCUAUCCUAAACUCUCUAAAUCUAUUACAGCGAAUAAAUAGGUAUUCAAAAACAAUAAGAAUACAAUAGAAAGCAUAGAUGUAGAGAAUAAAGCCACAUACCUUUGAUCUGAAUGUUCUCGGAUCGAUUCCAAUUGAUGUAGAUAACCCCAAAGUUGUAGUAGAUCUCGUAAACACCAUGAUCUUCCGCUUGAUGACUCCUCCUUGUAUUUAAGCACUGAGAUAGUGGAGAUCUCAAGGGUGGAGGCUAGGGUUCUCUCUAAGACAUUGAAACCCUAACCCCUAAAGGGGUAUUUAUAGGUUUCCUACUAGACUUAAGUGACUUAAGUCCACCAUGGGGGGCUUGGGUCACUUAAUCUAACCCAAAAAGGUUGCUAAUUGAUUAAUUAACUAUACAAGACCUUAAUUAAUCAAUUAGCCCAAUCCAAAUAUGCUGCUCACUCAUCCCUAUGCAACAUUGGAUAAUUACCAAAACACCCUUAUACACAAAAGUGAACUAAAAACCCAUCCAACCCUCAUAAACUACGCCAUUAAGGAAUAUGAGCUCAUAGUGGGGACCACUGGGACCCAUAGGUACUGACUCCCUCAUAAUCAAAUUAUAAAAUUGACUCAACAUCCCACUACAGAGAGUCAACUACUCUCUAGUACUCUAUGUAAAUUACGAGACACCAAGUGCUCAGGUCCAUGACCUACUAUCCACUACAUGUAGACUCACCAUGAACUAAUAUCCAUAAUCUAACAAGGCAGUGCUAUUACCUAUCAAGAUUACCUUUCAAAUCCUUGAGUUACAGAUCCAACUUAUUAUGUGGUCAACUAACAUACUCUAGCUCCAAUGAGUACAUGUCAAAUUCCACUAUAGGAAUUACUAUAGUCACAAAUUUCAUGAUCACAUUUCCUUUGGAUCACCCAAGGGGACACACUGUCUCAAUCCCAUGAGAUAUCAUGGUACCUUUAUUGAGAAUAUCUAUUGUCACCAGCCUCCAUCAAUAACGACCCAAUCCAUAGGGAUAUAUGACCACUUUAGGGUCUCACCCAUAGGUCAAAACUUCCUGUUGAUUUGGGCAUAGGCUCAAUAUCCUCUCAAGGUUGAGAGUCCAUGCAAUUUAGUAGCUUGGUGAAUCAUGACAAUUAAUAGCCUUGCAUCAUGAUUCAUCAUAGGUCCUGUCUAGUGUGCAUCACAUACACUAGUACACUCAUCAUAGGAAACUCAUCUUGAUGGCCUAGACAAACCAUCCCUUCAAUUAGGAGGUGGUGCACUACAGUCUCAAUUGGUUUGCCCAAAUCCAUAAACAAACUGUGGACAACUUAUCUACUUAUAGGGAACCCAUGACUUGUAUCUUGUACGCAACUCCUAAUGUACCCAAGUCAUGUACAAUAUAAGAAACAUGAGUUGAAUACUCAAAUUAAUGUCAAUAUACCAAGGGGAUAGCAAGAGGAUAGUUAAGUCUAACUUUGUCACAGCAUGUCUUGCUUUUUGGGGCUCAAUCCCAACAAUGUGUGAACAUUGUAGGUUUAGGUUGAAUAUUUUUAUUCAAAAUCUGAAUUCAGAUGCAGAUUUAAGGAAGGUUCUGUACUCUUGUUGAAUUAAUUCCUAAAAGAAAUGUCAGUAUGAAUAGGAUCCUUGAGAUAACUCAGAAACCCAUCUUUAUUUAGUCCAUGUGUAUAUAUAAUUACCCUUUCCAAGUGGUGCAAAUGGGCUGUGAUGAGAGAGAGAACAUGAGGAUUUCUGUAGAAGUAGGGCAUGAGAGUGGGCAGUUGAGGAGGAUUCACGUGAGACUUAGAGGACAAAAUCAGAAUUAGUGAAGUUGAGAGCAUCGGAACGUGGAGAACACCUAAGCUGAUUGUGGAAACGGUGGCAGUUGAUGUGAGCACUAGAUUUUUCUAGAAUUGAGGCUAUUUGGUGCACGGUUUGUGGAAAAAAAGGUGGCAGAAUGUUCUAGAGAGUCACAUGGAUUCAGUGCAUGGUUUUGGCUUGGAGGGAAGAUGAUGAGAAGGUUUUAGAGAGGUGGCUGUUAGUGGACAAAUUUGAAUUUGAGGGAAUGAAAGAAUGGUCAGAUUUUUUAGAGGGAAGUCUCUAGAACUUUGGGGAGGUCUGAAUACAGUCGGGGAGGAAAAAUAGAGUGAACUGAAUUUUUCUUCAAGAGAGAAUAUAUAUUAUGCGACAUAAUUCUUUAGUGGAGAAACGUGCAGCUGAAUUCGGUCUUAAAGGAGGGAAAGAUGUAGCCGAGUGAAGAGAGAUUAUAGGAGAAUUGAGGGCACGGAUCAGCUUGGAAAAUUGAGAGAACAAUCAGAAUUUUGGGAAGAAAAGUUGAACACAGAAUGGUUGUUAUUGGUUGAGAGCAUGAGAUUCUUGGGGAGGCAAGCUGAUUGUGUAUGACUGUUAAUGGUGGAGAGGUAAGUUGAUAGUGCAUGGCUGUGGGGAGAAAAGCAACAAGCAUAUGAUCACACCAUCAGAUUUUGAAACCACCAGAUUGCUAGCAUAAGCAUGCAUCAGGUUGCUGAAUUUUGAGAAUUUGCAUAAGCUUGUGAAGAACAACACCACGAGCUGAAUUUUGGAGAAUACACACUAGCCGAACUGAUGAAGAAGGCAUGCAUAGCUGCAUAGAGAAGGAGACCACCCACCAGGUUGCUGAUUGAAGCAACACGCAUCAGCCACUGAAGAUACCAUCAACAUGCAUCAGCCAUUGAAAACACCAUCAGCAUGAAUCAGGUUUUAAAGAGAUACAUCACUGAACUUUGAAGAGGAUUUUGAGGUAAGCUGCUGAAUUUUUUUUUUAGUUUUUGAUUUCAUCUUCUUCAGCUUUUUCUUCUUCUUCUUCUUCUUCUUUUGCAUCUUUUGAAUAUGAGAUUUUACCAUGCUUGGGUGUGGUUAUUGGAGGCCACACAGAUUGUUGAAUCUGAUUGAGAUAUGCUUCUCUUUUUAAUUAUGAAUUCAUGUUGAAAAUUGGAUCAUGAUGUGUUCUCUUUUUAGUUGUGAUUUCAUGUGGAAAUUUGUUUGUGAUGCUCUCUAUCUGUGGCUGUGAAUUCAUUAGCAUUGUUGGCAAUUUAGUUUCUAUUAAUCUUUGUUAGAAUCUCAAAUCAUUUUUCUUAAAAUCUUCUCAUGUUCAUCACCUAAUUCAAGCCUUUGGAGACCACAUGAAAUAAGACUUUGUGUGAAAUUAAUUUUUUGAUUUUGUUUUCUUUGCUUUGAUCUCAAUUUGGUUGUUUGGUUUUGUGAUGAUCAACUUGUUCACUUGCAGCCAUGAUGCCACUAUGAACACACAAAUAUCAGCCACACUUUCACUUUCAUCACACACAACUCAGCAUGCUUCACUCACUUUCAGCACACACCACUUUGUUUCCUGAGGAAUUUUCUUCUUUUACUUGUGUGAUUAUUUGUGUUUGUUAGUGAUUUCAAAAUGCUUAUCAAUCUACCUUUCUAAAAAUCAAUUCUCAAAUUUUCAAAUUCAUCUUAGACAUUGUUAGGUUAUGAAAAUUAAUUUUUCAAAAUCAUGCAACCACUUUAUUUCGGUAUGCAUUCUUACUUUGGUUUUCAAUGAUUUUCAAUUUUCUUACACUUAAUAAAAUUCACAACUCUAAAAUAAUGGAGUAAUUCAUGGCCUUCAUGAGCUUCAUCAUGAUUAUUAAGGGUUUAGGGAAGUGUGGAUCAAUUCAUGAAAAUUAAAUUAGGCCUUGGUGAAGCCCAACAUUCUAAGUCUCCAAAACAACCCCUUAAGCUAUGAGUCUAUGACCUUCAAGAUAUUAAAUUGAGUUUGGACACUUUAGAAAUUAUCAAAAAAUCUUUUUCAUGAUUGGAUGAAUUUUUUAAUCUUCUUGAAAAAGUUGGAGAAAUUUUAUUUUGAACAAAAAUAAUCUCCAAGCUAAUAAGUAAAAUCAGUUUUUUCAGAAGGUCUAGAUUCAAUUCAAUUUUUGAUACAUGACAUGUUUCUAUAAAAUUAAAUUGGUUUUAGAGGUUUUUUAAUUUAUUUUGAUAUUUUUCUCAUAUUUUGGACUUCUCAAAUAGAAUUUUAGGCUUUUAUUUCACUCAAAAAUAACUUUCUAUGUAUGAGAAAUAAACCCAUCUUUUUGUGUAUUGUGCUAACUCUAAUCUGUAGAUGUUGAAUGUUUAAUUAAAUUUUUGAAUUGAUGAAUAUAUUUUUUUAAUAUCCUAAAUAUUUUUCAUGUAAUCUAGACAUCUCAAAUAAAUUGUAAAAUUUUUAGUUUGAUUUUAUCACACUCUUAAGAUAGUUUUCCAAAUUCACCUUUGCAUAUAAUCAUAUUCUUCCUUAUUUUUGAAUGAUCAAAUGUUUGAUUAAAUAUGGGAUAGAUGGGGUAUAAUUAGGAUUCUUGGACACUUGGGCUCUAUUCUAGAUCAUUAAGGAUGAUGCACAAUUUUUAUUUUUUAUUUUUGGAUUUAAUAUCACCUCUAGCUAUUUUUUACGGAUUUAUUUUGUGCAUGUAUAUGUUAUGUCUUGUUUUAUGAGUGAUCCCAAGUUUAAUUAAAUGUAGGGUAAUUCAAGUAUAAUUAAGUUUCUUGGUCACUUGGGUUUAUUCAAAACUCUUUAAGGAUGAUGUACAAUUUUUGUUUUGAUGAAAUAUCACUUCCAAAUAUUUCUUACGGAUUUAUAAAAGCAUGCCACUAUUAUGACAGUUGUGUAAUUUGUAUGUUUUUAUUUAUUCAACAUCUUUCCACAUAUUUUUGAAUUUCUUUGAUCCUUCAUAUGUAUUGUGGACAUGUUGUACAUAUUUGAUAAACCUUCUUGUCUUUGCUUUGUUUCAUGAUCUCAUAUUUAAUUUAGUUUUGAAAAAUUAUUAGUUUGGUUGCUCUAUUGAUAUUAUGUUUGGUUUAAUUAUCUUAAAAAUCAUUAGGUUGAUUUUUUUUUUAAUCUCAUGCUUAGUUUAGUUUUUAAACAUUAUUAGUUUGGUUGCUUUGUGGAUAUUACUCAUAGUUUAGUUUCUAUUAAAAAUCAUUAGUUUGGUAAUUCUGUUGAUCUCGUGUUUUGUUCAAUUUUUAAAAGUUAUUGGUUUAAUAACUUUGCUGAUAUUAUGCUUAGUUUAGUUUCUUUGAAAAAUCAUUAGUUUGGUUAUUCUUUUUAUCUCAUACUUAAUUUAGCUUUUAAAUAUUAUUAGUUUUGUUGUUUUGUUGAUAUUAUGUUUAGUUUAGUUUCUUUGAAAAAUCAUUAGUUUGGUUAUUCUUUUCAUCUCAUGCUUAAUUUAGCUUUUAAAUAUUAUUAGUUUUAUUGCUUUGUUGAUAUUAUGCUUAGUUUAGUUUCUUUUAAAAAUCAUUAGUUUGGUUAUUCCAUUAAUCUUAUUUUUAGUUUAGUUUUUAAAAAAUUAUUGCUUUAGUCGCUUUGUUGAUAUUAUACUGGGUAUAUUCUUUUAAAAAUCAUUAGUUUGGUUAUUCCAUUAAUCUUAUUUUUAGUUUAGUUUUUAAAAAAUUAUUGCUUUAGUCGCUUUGUUGAUAUUAUACUGGGUAUAUUCUUUUAAAAAUCAUUAGUUUGGUUCUUCAACCAGUGAAUGCAAAGUCUCCAUGUAUUUCUCAAUGCUAGGUCCCUUUGCAUCCACAACACACAUUGCACUUAUCAUUUCAUCAAGCUUUUCAGUAGCUUCAUCUAAUUUAUUUUUUCUAAAAUGCUUCCUAGAUGAUUCUAAGACGUCACAACUCUUCUCAAGAUCAUCACGAUCAAAACUUUGUGAAGGUAAACCGGGAUAUAGCAUAGUUAAUGUCUUUCUCUAAAUUAAAACGUGGAGCAACACGAGAGCUCCCCGUUACUAGCACACCUUCAAAUAAACUUUCUAGCUCUUCAACAAUAGCCAAUGGCCUACUCAAAAAAUAUUUUGCUUUUGGAUGGUUCUAUUAUUCAUGAUUUCAACUCAUUAUUUAUAUUUAUAGAAUAUAAGAGCUAAAAGAAAAUAUUGCUCACCUUCACAUAGUUUUCCCACCUCUCAUUAGGCCAAUUGAAUGUUUUUGUUGAUUCGUAACCAUGUCAUGUUGCCUCAAUCAAUCUCUUCCUUAUUAAAUAUUGUUUUUUCAUAUAAUCCCACCCAUUCCUACACUGUUUAAUAUUAAAACCAACUCAUGUUCGCUUCUUCAUUUCUUCUAUAAUCCUAGCCCAUGCAAUAGGUUUCAAUGUUCCUCCCAAUCUAAAGCCCAUAUUUGCUUUUUGAGACAAAGCUCAAUAAAAUUUUCCCUAGUCGUAGGAUCACUCCAAUUUGCUUUAGGCUGUUACCCAUCUAUAAAAAUAAUGCUAAUUAGGGAUAUUGAAAUGAUAUUUAUAAUAUUCUAAGAUAAGCUAAUAAAAAGGGAAAUUGAAAUUUAAACAUCAAGCAUGAUAAUAUAAUUUAAACACAUAAAAUAACAUGAGGAUAUUCCAAAUUUUUUAAACACAUUUUUAUUCUAAAAGGCAUCAUAGAAGUGCAUUUGAAUACUUUUUGAAAACUAUUUUUUAUAUACUUGAAAGUACAUGUUUCAACCACUUUUUACAUUAUUUCAAUAUUAAUAUAAUUAGUAUAAAUCUACAAAUGUUCCCAGUGAUCUCACCUGCCCACAAAAAUGCCUAUUUUCGACUCCAACAAAUCACAAUUUCCCAUUAAUUUUUUUCAUUUAAAAACCCUUAAAAAAUAAAUUAAAGGAAAAAAAAAAAAAAAAGUGAACAAAAGUUGUACCCACCAAGCCUUUUGUAUAAAAUUGGGGACUAAAAAUGAAGACUUUAGGGUGGUAGUAGCGCAGGGUGAUUCAUCAAGGAGUUGUCAAUCAACACUUUUGAUCUCAUGUUUGGUGCCCAUGACACACCCUAAGGCCUUUGAAUGCUAGGAAUAUUCAUAGAAAAAAUUCAAGAUAUUGGUUUCAUACUAUAUUCUCACCAAAUCUCAAUUAAUAGACCAAUAACUAAAAAAUUAGCCUUCAAUCAAUGUAUUAGUUGGGGCAUGAGAAAAAAUUUAGGAAAAAUUUAAACAUAUAAAAUAAUAAUCCCACUUACAAAAGAAUGAGCACAAAAUAUAGAAUAAUAGGUCGGAUAUGAAAUGUACUUGUGAUCAUAUUUUUUAUUAAGUAUUGAUUCAACAAGGGUUCAAUAAAAUUUAUGAGGAUACUUUUUGGGUUUUAAAUAUGAUGUAAAGUGUAUUUAACCCUAAUAAUGAUAUCUACAUGGACAUUGUUCCAAUCUGUUUAUUUGUUCUUUGUACUUGAGGUUGAUUUUAUGAGAGAAGAAGGGUGGCUUACAAUGAGCAAGGUAGUCGAUUGCACAAGAUCAUUAACUAUUCUAUGGUUGAGAGAAGCAUCUUGAGGUUGUUAUAGAGCAUCAAGAAUGGGAUAUUUAUGCAUGAUUUCAGAGUGAUGGAAUGUCUACAUUUUGAUAUUGUGCACCAAUCUUUAGUGUCGAUCAUGCAAGAAUUUAACUCAUAGGAUCAAUAUUACUAACAAAUAAAUAAAUAAAUAAAUUACAAAACAUUAAAUUGAUGGCAAACAAAUAAACAAACAAACAAACAAAUAAUCAAUAAUUAAGUGAAUCAAGACUAAAUUGAAUAAAGAACAAAUUAUAUUUAUAUUUUUUCAAAGUAAAGCUACAUAAAAUUAUGUUUUCUUCUAAAUGUAAUAAAAUAAGUUAUAAUCUUUAAACACAUGCUGCCAUAUUUAAAGCAAUUCACGCUAGAGCUAGUAUUGUUGGUCAAACCACCCAAUACAAUAAUAAUUCCACUAAUAAUAAUAAUAAUCUAGACGUGCACGCACUGUUACUGAAAACCCAUAUAAUAACAAUUCUAAUCUUUAAACUCAUGCUGCUAUAUCAAAACCAAUACAUCUAGUAAAAGUCAAACCACCCAAUAUAAUAAUAAUUCCACUUGAAAAAAGUAAUCUAGACUUGCACUAUUACUGAAAACCCAUACAUAGAAAAAACAAAUAACUCACCUAGCUGGCUUACCAAACAACCUGGUGGUGUGUAGCUGUUUUCACUUCUCUAACGGUGCUCGGGAACAAUGGCGUGCUGGUUGAUGGGAAAUGAUUGAUUUUUUUUUUUAUUCCUCAGCUAAUACAUUUUCAAGGAUGCGCGGAUGGAUGGGUUGUUGUCCAUAUGGUCCCGUCAGUGAGUUUAAAUGUCGUCUCUCUUCCCUUUGAAAACUCUCUACCGAUCCAUUCAGACAACCGUAUUUCUCACGCUCUCAAAAACUCUUCCUUUCGAUCCCUUCAAACAGCCCCUCUCAUGCUGUAAAAAAUUUUCCUUUUUGAUACCCUCUCAUAGCCUUUCUAUCUCUAUAAAACCCUCCAUCUCUUAUCCCAAAAUGGAAGCCUGGUGAUGAUAAAAAAAAAUCAAGAACAGCCCGUUGAUAAUAAAAAAUCAGUAGCAGCCCGGUGAUGAUAAAAAAUCAUAGCAGCAGCAAUCCACUCUUCCUUUUUUUUUUUUUUUGUUCUUUAUGGCAGCCUCCUCCACUCUGAAAAACUCCUUCCCACUCAUUUUAAAAUGGCACCCUUCCUCCCAAACUCUCUUAUUACGGAUCACUUCAAAUAUCCUCCCUCCUACGUUGUACUCCUCUCAUUUUUUCUCAAAACUCCGUCAGACUCGUCUCUCUCAGUCAAUCCGUGGUUCCUCCAAUCAGUCCUGUUGACUUUACCAACAUGGAAAAAAAACCCCUCACCAGUCUGGAGAAAACCCGUAAUCUUUCGCGUCAAUCCAACAUGAUUAGAACCCUCUCCUUUUGAACCUAGCCUUCAUUCAUCCCUAUACACACCGAACAUCUUCUUUUCACCUGCCAAAAUCAGUUUUGGUAAGUUUCUAAACCUUCCCAUCUCUCUCUUUCUUCCCUUUUUCAUAUCCGUCUUGGGUUGAAUGCUCUUUCAAAUCACGGCUAAAUCUCUCUUCCAUAGAACCAUGCAAUAAAAAUAAUAAAAACAAAAUCAUCCAAUUUAAAAAAUAAAAAAAUAAAAAAUAAAAUAAAAAUAAAAAUAAAUAAAUAAUAAUAAUAAUAAUAAUAAUAAUAAUAAAAAUGAUUAAUCAUAUACAUGUAUAAGAUAACCAAAAUAUUAUUUCAUGAUAAAGAAACAUAACGUUAGUAUCAUAUAAUAUCCUAAAAUAAAUAAAUAAAAGAACAAAUAAAUAAAUAAACAAAUAAACUAAAACCUACUUAAAACAAAAAUCAAACAAAUAGAAUUCCAAAUGACAAACCUUAGUGUACUAAGCUUAAAGAACUACCUAAGGGAUUCUAAGUGGACCUAAAGUGGUGCCUAGGGUGGUGCCUAACAGACCUAGGAUGCGUAAAUGGGCCUAGAGUGGUGCCUAAUGGGCCUAAGUGUAUCUAAGUGAACCUAAGGUGCCUAAGUGGGCCUAUGGUAGUGCCUAAGUGGGCUUAAAGUGGUGCCUAAUGGGUCAGGUGUGUUUAAUGGGCCUAGGGCGGUGCCUAAUGGGCUAGGUGUGUCUAAUGGGCCAAGUGUGUCUAAUGGGCUUAAGGUGUACUAAGUGAACCUAAGGUGCCUAAGUGGGCUUAGGGUGGUGCCUAAAUGGGCUUAAAGUGGUGUCUAAUGGGCCUAGGGUGUACUAAGUGGGCCUAAGGUGGUGCCUAAUGGGCCAGGUGUGUCUAAGUGGGCCUAAGGUGGUGUCUAAUGGGCCAGGUGUGUCUAAGUGGGCCUAAAAUGUACUAAGUGAACCUAAGGUGCCUAAAUGGGCCUAGGGUGGUGCAUAAGUGGGCCUAGGAUGCCUAAGUGGGCUUAAAGUGGUGCCUAAUGGGCCAGGUGUGUCUAAUGGGCUUAGGGUGUACUAAGUGGGUCUAGGGUGGUGCUUAAUGGGCCAUGUGUGUCUAAGUGGGCCUAAGGUGGUGCCUAAUUGGGCUUAAAGUGGUGCCUAAUGGGUCAGGUGUGUCUAAGUGGGCCUAAGGUGUACUAAGUGAACCUAAGGUGCCUAAGUUCGCCUAGGGUGGUGCCUAAAUGGGCCUAGGAUACCUAAGUGGGCUUAAAGUGGUGCUUAAUGGGCCAGGUGUGUCUAAUGGGUUUAGGGUGUACUAAGUGGGCCUAGGGUGGUGCCUAAUGGGCCAGAUGUGUCUAAGUGGGCCUAAAGUGGUGCCUAAGUGGGCUUGAAGUGGUGCCUAAUGGGCCAGGUGUGUCUAAGUGGGCCUAAGGUGUACUUAGUGAACCUAAGGUGACUAAGUGAGCCUACGGUGGUGCUUAAGUAUGCCUAAGUCUAAAUAGGGUUGCCAAGAAUGGGUUAAGUAAAUCCCUUAGCCAAUGUCUCCAAGGUGGCUUAGAAAAAAUACGCUACAUGAGUAGCAAUGGGCCACUUGGAAAUUGUUGUAAAGUAUCAAACAAAUAUCUAAUAAGACAUGUGCUAGGAGAACAAAAUGGAGGGUCUAAAAAUAUGCCCCUCUUUUGUAGAGAUCAUGAGUGUAGGGAAUGUGAGUAAAAAUAAGAAUAAUGAGCAGAACAAAGUGAACUAUACCGAACAACUAAAAAAAAAGGACCAGAGAUUUUGUCCAAGCACAUGAUGAGAGUAAGCUCAAAACACGGGGUCGCAAUCACAAAGAUGGAACAACUCUAUGUUGUGAGCUCAAGGCUCUACGCAGAAAAUGAUGACUCUGGGUCAUAGAAGAGAAACACCUUUGGGUGGUGAGCUUUGGGCUCUCUAUGGAAAAGAAAUGACUCUGGGUCAUAAAUGAAAAUGGACUCUAAGUUGAGAGCUCUAGGCUCUAAAUGGAAAAGAAAUGAAUUUGGGUCAUAAAUGAAAAAAUCGACUCUAGGUCGAGAGCUCUGGGCUCUAAAUGGAAAAAAAAUGACUCUAGGUCAUAAAUGAAAAUCAACUUUGAGUUGAGAGCUCAAGGCUCUAAAUGGAAAAGAAAUGAUUCUAGGUCAUAAAUGAAAAAUGACUCUAGGUCGAGAGCUCUGCGCUCUAAAUGGAAAAGAAAUGACUUUGGGUCAUAAAUGAAAUCGACUCUGGGUCAAGAACUCUGGGCUUUAAAUGGAAAAGAAAUGACUCUGGGUCAUAAAAGAAAAAUGACUCUAGGUUAAGAGCUCUAGGCUCUAAAUGAAAAAGAAAUGACUCUAGGUCAUAAAUGAAAAUGACUCUAGGUCAAGAGCUCUAGGCUCUAAAGGAAAAAGAAAUGACUUUGGGUCAUAAAUGAAAAUCAACUCUGGGUCGAGACCUCUAGGCUCUAAAUUGAAAAUAAAUGACUUUGGGUCAUAAAUGAAAAACGACUUUAGGUCGAGAGCUCUAGGCUCUAAAUGGAAAAGAAAUGACUCUGGCUUAUAAAUGAAAAAACGACUCUAGGUCGAGAGCUCUUGGCUCUAAAUGGAAAAGAAAUGACUCUGGGUCAUAGAUGAAAAUUGACUCUAGGUCAAGAGCUCUCGGCUCUAAAUGGAAAAGAAAUGACUCUAAGUCAUAAAAGAAAAACGACUCUAAGUCGAGAGCUCUAGGCUCUAAAUGAAAAAGAAAUGACUCUGGGUCAUAAAUGAAAAAUGACUCUAGGUCGAGAGCUUUGAGCUCUAAAUGAAAAAGAAAUGACUCUAAAUCAUAAAUAAAAAUCAACUCUGGGUCGAGAGCUAUGGGCUCUAAAUGGAAAAGAAAUUACUCUGCGUCAUAAAUGAAAAAUCGACUCUAGGUCGAGAGUUCAAGGCUCUAAAUGGAAAAGAAAUGACUCUGGGUCAUAAAUGAAAAAAAAUUGACUUUGGGUUGAAAGCUCUAGGCUUUAAAUGGAAAAGAAAUGACUCUAGGUCAUAAAUGAAAAUUUGACUUUAGGUCGAGAGCUCUGGGCCCUAAAUGGAAAAGAAAUGACUCUGGGUCAUAAAUUAAAAACGACUCUAGGUCGAAACCUCUAAAUAUAAAAAGAAAUGACUUUGGGUCAUAAAUGAAAAACAACUCUAGGUCGAGAGCUCUAGGCUCUAAAUGGAAAAGAAAUGACUCUGGGUCAUAAAUGAAGAAUCGAAUCUAGGUUGAGAGCUUUGGGAUCUAAAUGAAAAAGAAAUGACUCUGGUCAUAAAUGAAAAUCGUCUCUAGGUCGAGAGCUCUCAACUCUAAAUGGAAAAGAAAUGACUCUGGGUCAUAAAUGAAAAAUCAACUCUAGGUCGAGAGCUCUAGGCUCUAAAUGGAAAAGAAAUGACUUUGGGUCAUAAAUGAAGAAUCGAAUCUAGUUCGAGAGCUCUAGGCUCUAAAGGAAAAGAAAUGAUUCUGGGUCAUAAAUGAAAAUCAACUCUAGGUCGAGAGCUUUGGGCUCUAAAUGGAAAAGAAAUGGCGACCAACUUGGAAGUGGAUAGGAAGGAAAUUGGCUCAAAUCCGUAUACUCGAAAUGUCGAGGGUCGGACUACUGAACUUGUAAGGAGAAAUAUGCCCCAAUAUCUAGGGUGCUCACACUCCUGAAACAACCAGUGAAUCAAUCAUCCGUCGAAAUCACUGGGUCAGAAACUGAUGCAUCAUGGCAAACCUCUGAAAAAAUCUGAACUGAAAGAACUCUCUAUGUCUCAAUAGUUGCUCUAUCGACGGAUCUCGAAAGGUACAUCUCAGAGUAUGUAUCGAAACUCAUCUAAAAGCAUAUCUUGAAGUGCACAAAAAAUAUUACUCAUCUAGAUAACCUAAUUCGCAAUGUAACAAUGACGAAAGCAAUCUAUCUCAUGAGCAUCUGGCUAAAAGAUCCACCCAUGCUCCUCGGGUGGAGCUUGAUGUGAUCCAUCUCUAUCUCAACAAAUCCAUGUAAGGAGGUCCUGAUACAGUCAAUCAUCGAAAGCCCUAUACUAGUACUCAAUCUAAAACCAAGUUGGUCAUUGUCCCAAUCUCAAGAAUACUUAAAGAAAAUGAGGAAAUAUGCCCCAGUAAAAGAUCUGAUGUCAAGGUCAUGAGAUAAAUAAACAACACCUAUUAUCCAUCGUCAUACCACCGCGCAAACAAAAUAUCAUCAAGGAGAGGGGAAUAUGCCCCAGUAUGGAUAUUUGAUGUCGAAAUCAUAAGGUAAACAACCAACAAUAAUCAUUCAUCUAUGCACAAUCUCAUCAAAGAGAGGGAAAUAUGCCCCAAUAUGGAUAUUUGGUACACAAUAAAAAACAUGACAUCGUCAACCAAACAUCUGUCAACAUCAAUCAAUCUCCUCAUAACAUCAAUCAAACAUCUCAAUGAUCAAGAUCAAGGAUAGCCACAUAACCCAACCACGACUAAGGAUCUCAUAGCAAAGGGAAAAUAUGCCACAGUGUGGAUAUCUGAUGCACAGCAAAAGGAUGAAUCCAAUAUCAUCAAUGGACUGUCUCCAACUCAAAAAUCCAAUAAACAUUAAUAUACCAAGCAGGAGAGAGAAACUAAAUGCUUCCAAAAGUAUCUCACAUAAGAGAAAGCAUGGUAACGACUAACUUCAACCAAUCUACAAAAGUCUGUCCAAGUGAAGACUAUCAAAGAUAACGUCUGAUCUCAUGGCCUUAAGGUGGUCUUAAGACACGAGAUGUAACGUAAGCCAAGGUGAGAAGACAAAGAAAUGAAAGAAAACUAGGAUCAAAUACCCAAUGAUCAAACCCAUACCCUCGUGUAUAGUGUACAACGCAUAGGAAAAUCUCAUGAUCAUGUGAACUUAAAAGCGGUCGAUGGGAACAUCGAUGGUGAAAUGAGAAAGGAGGAGAAGUGGUCAAGCCAUCAACAAGUCAUGUAAAUGAUGUGAAGAAAAGUGUCGAAUCGGGAAAGUAUAUAGGUGUUGGAAUGGCAUGAAAAAGGGAAUAAAUAGUGGGAAAGAAGUGAUGGAAAAUCAAAUCAAGGUAGUGAGAAAGUAAAAAGGAAUAAUGAGCAACACAUAUUAGUACAACAAGGUAAACCGUAUCACUCAUGAUGGAGUAGUAAAGAAGACACUGAUUCGGGGACCUUAGUGAAAGGUUAAUCAACUCUCAUACCUAUAAAGUAAAACAACUCUGAUCCUGGAAACAAGGGAUCUCAUAAAACUAAAAAAAAAAACCUCACGAAAAACUCUCAUCCCUCAAAUUGCUUAAUGAGAGUGACUCAUGAAGUGAAAAAGUCCUCAUGGAAAACUCGCACAAACCCUCAAUGAUAAAUCCAGUAAUCAACCCUCGAAUAACAACGCAUGCUUGAUGGAAUAGGAUAUCAAGUACAAACACAUCACUGUGCUCUUUGUUUCUUUCUUUUUUGUAUUUUUUUCUGUAUAUCCAGGUCAUCAAUAAAUCAUACUCCAAUGAGAAACUAAAAGGAAUGAAUAAACUCUCUCAAAUCACUGAUGAACACACAAAACCCUAUCCUAUGAAGGCAAUCUCUCAAACUAAAGUCUUCGAAUCAAUGCCAGAUGAUGGAAUGAAGAGAGUGAUAUGACUACCCUAUAUGCAUCAAUAUGUGAAGAAUCAACAUUCCCAGUGAAGAGAAUAUGCAGUGUAACGACCAAUAAUGAAAGCCAAGAUAAAGAUGAAAAUGUGAAAAUAGUCGAAUGUAACAAACGGGGUGGUGAGGUGAUAAUAGAAAAGGUGAGAAAGAUAAGCUCAUAAAUCCAAAGCUCAUGAGACUGUCCUAGCAAAGCAUGACUAUACAUCAAAGGACCCUAACCCGGGUGUAUAAAUAAGAAGUAGGGCUAUAGAAAAGAAAAAGGUUAUAACAUACCACGUGAGGCUCGAUGGGCUAGCAAUAGUCUAAUAUAUAGAUAGGGGUGAUAAAGUGUAAGACUAACUGAAAUGAUGGCCACCCAUCCUGCGACCAUGGUCUCAAACGUAAUACUUGUUCAACUGAUCCACAUUGGUAGGCUCUGAAAAUUGGUUUCCAUCUAAGUCGUCAACCAUGCAGCUCCUUCUGGAGUCAACUCUCGAAUAACAUGAGGCCCACUCAACCUAGGUCUGAACUUCCCUCUAGGGUCUCCAACUAAACUCUCUGAGAAUCCUCAAAACAAAUCCCCUUUCUGUAAUGGUCUAGGCUUAACUCGUUUCCUGAAAGCACGAGCCAUCUUUCUCUGAUAGGCCUGAACAUGAUCUGCUGCUCUCAAUCUCUUCUCAUCUAAAAGGUUAAGUUGAUCAAAUCUAACCUAAGCCCACUCUAUCUAAAAAAUUUGCUGCUCGAGAGCUACUCUCAAUGAACCCAUCUCUGUCUCGACUUGAAAAACAACCUCCAUACCAUACACUAGAGAGUAAGGUGUAGCUCCCGUAGAGGUGCAAAAAGAGGUACGGUAUGCCCAUAAUGGGAAAGAGAGUUUCUCUUACCAAUCUCAAGAAGUCUCAACCAUCUUCCUCAAAAUCUUCUUUAUGUUCUUAUUUGCGACCUCUACUGCCCUAUUAGUCUGUGGCCUAUAUGCAAAAGAUCCAUGAUGUCGGAUGCCAUAUUUCUACAGCAAAGUGUCAACCUCAGCACGAAAGUGUACCCCUCUGUCUGAAAUAAACUCAUGUGGCACCCUAUAACAAUAGAUGAUGUGUGAUCUGAUGAAACUGGCGACUCUAGCAGAUGUCAACCUUGCAUGUGAUGUAGUUUCCACCCACUUGGUGAAAUAAUCUAUGGAAACUAGGAUAAACUCAUGACCAUUGGAAUAUUUUGGUGAAAUCUUACUAAUAAUAUCAAUACCCAAUACUGAAAACGGCCAUGGCGAGGUCAAAGCAUGUAACUCUAAUGGUGGUGCAUGAAUGAGAUCACCAUGAAUCUGGCACUCGGGACAUCUUUGAACAAACUGAUAGCAAUCUAUCUUCAUAGUCAACCAAAAGUAAUUUGUCCUCAUAAUCUUACGGGCCAACAUAUGUCCUCCCAUGUGUGGACCACAAACUCCUGCAUGAACCUGUCUCAUCACUUGAUAUGCAGAGGCUCAAUCUAAACAUAAUAAAAGCAUACCAUUAGUUGAUUGCCUAUAUAGAGUCUCUCUGCAAAUCACAAAUCUACUGACCAACUGCCUCAUUGCCCUCUGAUCCUUGGCCGUGGCAGCCUCUGGGUAUGUGCCAAAUCUAAGAAGCUGAUAAAUGUCAUGAUACCAAGGUAGAUCAUCCCAGGCCUUUAUCUCGCCAAUCAGACAAUAGUAAGCGGGUGCAAACCUUGACUCAAUCAACAAUGGACGUAUAACCACAUCAGUUGGAAUGUCUACAGAAGAAACUAAGUAGCUAAGGCAUCGACAAACUGGUUUUGCGCUCGAGGUAGACGAGUAUAUCUCAAGUCCUCAAAUCUCCCAAUUAGUAACUCUAAAUAAGCAUGAUAUUGCCUAAGCUUUACAUCCCUAGUCUUCCAAUCUCCUUAAAUCUGUCUAAGUACCAGAUUGGAGUCACCAAAUACCUCCAUCUAUCUAAUUUCAAGCUCCAGUGCAGUCUCUAAACCAAGGAUACAAGCCUCAUACUCAACUAUGUUGUUCAUGGCGGGAUGUUGGUCUGAAAACGCCAAGCGAACUGACCUCGGAAUAUGAUCACCUUGGGAGGAUAUCAACAAAAUACCUAUCCCAAACCUUGAGUGGUUGGAUGCACCAUCAAAGUGCAUGCGCCAACCUGAUAAGUUAGUCAUAGCAAUGAACUCUUCAUCUGGAAAAUUAUCGUCAACUGGUCUAUUCUUAGAUAUCGGUAAUGAGGCCAAGUGAUCGACGACAAUACUUCCCUUAAUAGACUUCUGAAAAAUAUACUGAAUAUCAAACAAUGUUAGAAGUACGAGACAUCUCAUCAAUCCACCAGUCAAUGCGGGUCUAUCAAACAGAUACCUUAACGGAUCUAGCCGAGAAAUCAAACACACCGAAUACUCAGUCAUGUAAUGCCUCAAUCUCCUGGUGGCCUAAACUAACGCUAAGCAGAGGUGCUCAAUCAUAACAUAUCUCAUAUCAUACUCCAAUAUCCUCUUACUCAAAUAGUAAAUAGCUCGCUUCUUCCCGGAGUCAUCGAGUUGAGCUAGCAUGCAUCCCAAGUCGAUGUUUGAAAGUGACAAAUAUAGAAGAAGUGGAUGUCUUGGCAUAGGAGGCACUAAAACAGGAGGAGAAAGCAAGUACUCCUUGAUAUUCUCGAAUGCAAUCUAACAGUAAUCAUUCCAAACUGUUGGCUGAUUCUUCCUCAAAAGACGAAAGAUGAGCUCACAUAUUGAUUUCGUGCCCAACUGGUGUAUAUCCUGUUGAUUAGUGCUCAAUCAACUGGUGUACCUUGAUUUCGGUCCUCAGACGGGAGUAAUCAAAAAAAUUUAUAACCUAUUUCACCAUGUACUAAGAUAGCCUCAGCUAGCAUAACAUAGUGGCUCUAGGAUCGUUCACUAGGAUGGGUUUUCAAAUUACAACUGAUAUUAAUUCAAAGCUGAAUUGAUGCUUUUUCAUUUCAAGGUUAGCAUUAAAAGAAAACAUAAAGAUGUUUGAAAAGGUUGGUUUUAAAGUGAAACCAAUAGAGUAACGGAAAUUACUUACAAAGAAAAGUGUUUCUUGGAGUUUUUGGAUCACUAGGCUUAGGUUCCUAUUACAAAAAGAGAGUUAUGGUCACUUGAAUCUUUUCCUCGCAUUGGGGAUUUAACAUAGAGUUAUUUCUCGAAUCGGUGUGGUAUAGAUGCUUCCCCUUAAUGGGUUCAAACACUAAAUCCCUCUCACUGAUGCAUCUUGUAAUGGUUCAUACCUCUCACCUAGUAUUGGCCAUUCAAGGUGAUCCUUAACCUUGGAUUACCCGUCAAAAGCUCGCAAGAGAUAACUAAUGGAUGUCUCCUUGGAGUCCAAAAGCUUACCAAGUGUUGGCUAUUCUAGAAAAUCCUACCUUUAAACCACCUCCCAAAGGCUCGCAAGAGAUAAACUAGUGUAUCUCAAUGGACAGAGACCACUUGCCUUACCAAGUGUUGGCCCAGGUGAUUUUAAGGCGUUUUAAGUUAACUAAAAACAUAGAAACCAUUAACGAGUCACUCUUUCUCUUCAUUAAAAACUGAAACAACAAAACUUCCAAUUUUUGCAUUUGGAACCUUACCUGACUUUCUUCACUCCAAGAGACAAAAAGUCUAGCCACUCAUCCUCUGUGGCCUCAGCGGAUGUUUGGCUAGGAAGAAAAUGAAAACAAAAAUGUGAAGGAAAAGCAGAGCAAGUGCUUUGUAAAAUAUAUUUCUUAUUAUGAUCCUCCUCUCGUGGAUUUCAUAUUUACAUUGGUUUAGAGAUAUAUAUAGAAGAUAUUUUCUAAGAAAUAUCCAGAGAGACAUUUUUAACCUCCCUUUAGAUAUUCUAAAUAUCCCAAUAAUAUCUUUAGCUGAUUACAAGGAGAAAAUAGAAAUUUACACAAAAUAUCUUGAGAAAAAAUCUAACUGAGUCGAUCGCAAAUAUCUGAUAUUACACAGGUGGAUUUCGCAAGUUCUAAUGCAACUUGUGAAAAUUUCACAAGUUGAAAUUGUCCAUUUCGCAAGUUAAAUUUGUGAUUUCACAACUUGGAGGUGAUUUCACAACUUGGAGAUGAUUUCGCAACUUGAUUCACAGCUGCGAAAAUGGAAUUUGAACUUGCGAAGUGGCACACGUGUGCCUAUAGGUGGUUUCGCAAGUUGAUUUCGCAGUUGCAAAAUUUUCGCUUAGCUUGGUGCGAUUGUCUUCAAAUGACCAUAACUUCUUCGUUUCAGCUCCGAUUCGUACACCGUUUGAAGUGUUGGACUCCUACACUUCCCGAAAUUCGAAAUGAUAUAUAGUAUGUAUAAAAUGGACUCCAUAAAAUUCUCAAAAUGUGUCCUAAAGCUGCUCUCCUCUUGAAUUUCUUCAUGUUAGAUUCCUCUCUGUUUUUCCUCCUUGUAUUCUUGAUUUAGCUUUGGAAAAGGACUACAAAGCUCCAAAGCUUGGAUUCUUCAUGUAAAUGACUUCCAUUUGCUUUGCCAUGGACUAUACAAAGAUCUCCCUCAUUUUUGGAUUGCUUUGGUGAUCAAAAAGCUAUCAAAAACACCAAAACUUAACACAAUUUGAUUAGAAAGGAUUGCAAGAGUCCUUAACAUGUCAAUUGAGUUAAAAGGUAACAACUACUACUCAAAAGUGUUUAAAAGAGUUUACCAACUAUAAAAUAGCACUUUUUGAGUAGUAAUCACAUAUGUCUGUCAAUCUGGCUAUGAAACAACUGAUAUACUAUAACCUGCCCAGAAAACCCUUGAUCUCUUUCUCAGUCCUCGGCACAGGCAUGUCAAGUAUGGCUUUGAUCUUAUCUGGGUCAACCUCUAUACCCUGGUCACUGACCAUAUGCCCCAACAAUUUCCUAGAAGUCACUCCAAAGGUGCACUUCUUGGGAUUCAACCUCGAUCUGAAUUUCCGAAUCCUCUCAAAGAAUCUCUCUAGAGUCGCUAGGUGAUCUGCUCUGCUUCAGGAUUUCACAAUCAUAUCAUCCACAUAAACUUUCACAUCCCUAUGCAUCAUGUCAUGAAACAAAGUCAUAGCAACUUUAUGAUAAAUAGCUCCUGCAUUUUUCAACCCAAAUGGCAUAACUCUAUUACAGUAGGUACCCCACUCGGUAAUGAAGGUUAUCUUUUGCAUAUCCUCUGGAGCCAUCAAAAUCUUAUUAUACCCCAAAAUCCAUCCAUGAAGGACAACAUCGAAUGCCCUACAGUAUUAUCAACUAACAGAUCAAUGUGUGGGAGAGGAAAAUCAUCCUUAGGGCUGACUUUAUUAAGGUCUCUGAAAUCGACACAAACUCUAACAUUGCCAUCCUUUUUGGGAACUGGGACGACAUUAGCCAACCAUUUUGGAUACUCAACCACUGAUAUAAACCAAACACUAAGUUGUUUCUGAAUCUCCUCUUUCACCUGUAGACUCCAACGUGGGUGUAAUCAUCUCAAUUUCUGCUUAACUGGUCUGACAUAUGGCAAGAUAGGCAGAUGGUGUUAGACUAUAGAGGGAUCUAGACCCGGCAUGUCCUCAUAAGACCAGGCAAAAACAUCUAAGUAUGACCUAAGUAAAUGAAUAAGUCUAUCCCUCUCGUCUGUAGACAGGGGUGAACCAAUCUUCAACUCUUUAGGAUGAUCCUCUAUGCCAAAAUCAAUAGUCUCAACAUCCCCUAUAGCAGGUGAAACUCUCUUAUCUAUGGGAUCUGAGUCGUGAUCAGAAAAGUCUCUAUCUGCAUCAGGCUACAUGAUCUCAUCAUCUAUAUCAAGUAUCUGUGGAGUGAGUGAAUAGGGUGCAGAUAUAUAAAUACUAUCAUAAGAGACAGGAAAAUACUCGAAAAUACUCAAAUCCAUAGAUAGGGAAUCAUAAACAUUGUCAGAGCAGGAAAUGAAUCCCGAUAAAAUGUCAAAUGAAAGAGGUGGGUCCAAAAAGUCGAACGCUCCCUCAAUAAAGCCAAAAGUGUCCUCAAACUCAACAUCACCAACUAUAACAUCCUUCAUAAGCUUUGGAGCAAGAACUGUCUAGGUCUUCUCGGCAACCUCGAUAGCAGACAUCCCAAACAGAUCGAAAGGUGAAGCAGACUCAGGCUUAACCACCUCGACAAUCUGACUCAUACUCAUAUCCAUCUCAUCCCGAUACCCGUAAAGAGGAAUAACUCCAUCAGUCACCCUAGUAGGCUCAAAGUCUACUCCAUAAUUAGUAGUCUCAUCUGGAAAGCUCAAUGAUAAGAAACUGGCUUGACCUGGUGACGAAGAAGCAAUCAUCACUAAAACUGGUGCACCAGAAGUCUCAUCUCCUAACUGUAAAUGGUGAAACUGAUGAUGAAGCUCAUCCAUUCUCUCUAAAUCAGUCACAGUGCUAGAAUCCCCCAUAUGAGGAUGAACCUCUGGUCCUGUGGCAAAGUAAUCUGCUAAGCUCAUCCUAUAAGGACAGACAUGAUAAUCUAAUGGUGUGGAAGUUAGACGGGUUCUCACUCUCUCCCGGUGCAAACAUGCCAUAUACCUAUAAUCAGCCUCUGUAGGAACAAACCCAAGCCCAAAUGGUGUAUCAUGAUCGACAGUAGCCACAAACUCCAUGGGUCCAUGUUGGCGUCGUCCCAACCCCAAACUAGGCAUAAAAGACAUACCCCUCAUCAUGUCGAGUACCACCAUACUGCUAUGCUGAUCAAAUGACAUAGCUACGAGAUCUUUGCAGAAGUCCUUAACCUCGAGAGUCUACACCUCAUCAAAUGUAAACCUGGUAAAAAAUAGGUCAUCCUCACUACGACUUAUCUGAAGCACCAGCUUGGAUAAGGCAAACAUAUCUCUAGGAGACUGUAUUAUGAUGACCUACCCGUCAUGUAUAAACUUCACCUUUUGAUGAAGGGAAGAUGGAAUAGCCCCGACCUUAUGAAUCCAUGGUCGGCCUAGAAGCAGGUUAAAUGAUGUGGGAAUCCUCAAAACCUGGAAUAGGAUGGGGAAUGUAGCCAAACCAAUCAACAGCUCUAUCAUCAAAGUACCCAUGACCUCCAUCUUAGUACUAUCAUAUGCUUUGACCGUCUGUGUAGAGGGACCGGAGUCUGAAGGUGCAUAACCAAGGGAAAUAGUAGUAGCUAAUGGGCAGACGUUCAAGGCCGAGCCAUUGUCCAAUAGGACAGAUGAAACUCUGUGGCCUGAACAACCAACUGUAAUAUAUAGAGGGUGUGUAUGGUCUGAACCAUUUGGUGGCAAGUCAUCAUCUGAAAACACAAUACAUAUGGCCCCAUCGGCCAUCAUCAUAUGAAUCAACCUCUUCGGGGUAGUAGUGGUCUCCAUGCGUAUUUGGCUCAAAGCCCGAAUCAAUGCAUCUCUAUGAGUACUAGAAGAUGCUAGCAAACUCCAAAUAGAUAUGCAAGCCUGUGUACUCUGUAACUGCCUCAGUAUCUCAUCAUCCUCUCUCCUAACCUCCCCAUGAGAGACUGCACCAUCAAAUGGCCUGGCUACUAGAGGUGGGGGUUGAGCUACUCUCCCACUACGGGUCACAAUCUGCACAUCUCUCCCCUCCAUAUCAUCAUCAUCUAGUCGUAGGAUAAUUGGGAUGGAUAAGCCUUGACAUACCGUAGCUGACGAUAUAGUAGGAGUCAACUCAAACGGUACCCAAUCUGAAAUCAAGAUGAACGGAGUAGAAGUUUGAGAACCCACUGUGUCAACCUCAUAACCAUCAUCCAAAACAAUCGGCUCUAGCAAUCCAUCAUCCUAACUCAUCAUGUGUAUGUUGUCAUCCUCUACAAAAUCUAUGUGAUGGAUACCGCCCGGGGAUGGUGGCACUGCAUGCAUAGAGUGAGUCGGUAGAGGGUUCGUGGUUACACUUGGCUGCCCCAAGUUAACCAAACCCUGAUCUAUCAAGUCCUAUAUAGCAUGUCUCAAGGUGACACAAUGAUUCGUGUCAUGCCCUGGACCAUGAUGGUAGGAACAAUGCAGAUCCAUCCUAAAGCGUGGUGGCACGGGCUGGGGUACAGGCCUAGGUGCCAAAUGAGUCAAUAAACCACCCUCCAUGAGCAUCUGGAAAGUUCGACUCAAAGGCAUACCUAGCUAGGAGAACUACCGUGUAGGACUCUAGAAGGACGAUCAACAAUCUGGGCGAUCUUCUCCCUCCAUCAGGAGAUAAAUGAAGUCACUGACUCAUUUGGUCCCUAUCUCAAGGCCUCUAACUCUUUCCUCAAGACAUCAAUGAUAGUAUUAAACGUGAACUAUCUCAAAAAUUCUUAGGUCAAGUUAUCCCAAUCCUACGUCGUGAAGUGUCUAAAGAAGCAAACCAACGCUAUGCUGCACCACUCAAGGACAUGGGAAAAAGCAUAAUCAAGUGGGCCUCAUCUAACCCGUGGGCCCUCAUCACACUACUGUAUAGCCUCAAAUGAAUCUUAGGGCAACCUAUGCCCGUAUACCUCUCAAUCUCUGGCAUCCUGAAUUGGGCUAGUAAACUAGCUACCGGUGCUCCAUCAAAAUCAUCCCAACUGAUAUCUCCUUCCGAAACCCUCAUCCAUCUCAUCCUCUGCUUGAGUCUAUCCAUAUGAGCAUGUGCAUCCUCUGAGGCCUAAAUGGGUGCUAUGACAGGAAGUGGGGUAGCAUCAAUCUGACUAUGUAAAACAUACGGUGUCGGGUGUGGAACCGACUAACUGAGUGGAGGGGGUGGUGGUGCCGUAGAGUCAUACUGUGCACUAUCUUGUGCGGGGCCUGCUGCCCAUCUAUCCUCUGGCCAAGGCCAACUAUAGAAAUAUAACACACGACAUGUAUUUAAUCAUAGCAAAUCAAGCACACAUCUAAGCACCUAAAGAUCACAUCAAACAUAAAUUAAAUUCAUAAUAACAUGCAUGUUCAUAAAAUUUUGAAAAGUAAGUGAUAGAGAGCGUACCUAGAUAGCAUGCAUAAUUUAUAAGAUUCCUAAAAAUAAAAUCUAGAGUGGUUAGGACAAGUAUAUAUCAUAUAACAUCUUUAUUAUGUCUAUAUAUACAUUGCCAAAGCCAAAAUCGAGCUAAGAAAAAUCAAAUGCCUCCAAAAAUAAUACUAAUUCAAGCAAGUACUGAGUCAUCAGCACGCAUAUAAUAAAGGGAGCAUCACAAAAAUAAUUUCUAAAAAAAUGUCUUGGAGUGGAAUUUAAUCACAAAAAAUUGUGGGAAACAACUCCUACACAUCUAGAACAAGAUACCAAAAUCCAAACACUCAUUCAAAUGUCAAAUUGCAGCAAAGACGCCCAAAAGUUCCACAAAGUCUAUAUUAGAUAAGAAAAAAAAAGUGACAUGCAUAGACGAAUUUAAAAAAAAUAAUAAAUGAUCACAUAAAAUCAUAAAAAAAUCACACACAUAUUUCAAAAUUUCUAUAUCAAUAAAAAAUGAAUCUAAGGUUGGAUAGUACUUGAAAACAUUUUUAAAACACUCAAGCUAAUCAAAUGUCCAGAAUUCAGCAUGCAUAGUAGGUACGAAUUUGAAAAAUCAUAUCUCCAUCAAAAAGGCAUAUUUUUUAAUAUUUUAUGUGUCCAAUAUCAAUUUCAAGAAGCCUAUAACUGAGAAAAAAUAUUGAAUCAAAUUUAAACUGGUAUUUUAUUUUUGCAAAAAUCUCUUGGGUGUCUAGAAUUGGGUGAAAACGAAGCCCCCCUAAAGACUUGUUUAUAUCUUCUAUUCUAGAAUGACUUUCUAACUCAAACAAAACUUUAAAUUCAAGUUUGAGAAAUGAGGAAAGUCAUACAAGUUUUGGAAAUAUUUUAAAAAUAUUCUAAAGUUGCUAAAAUGACUUUUAAAUCUAAAGGGUCAGUGGCUGAGCAAAAACUUGGUAGCAAGGAAGAGGUUUGAAACAUUUUCUUAUGUAGGGGUUUCAUCAAUUCCCCAAUUGGUAUACACAAGUUUAGCCUAGAAUCAUCCCAUUUAUUUGGGACCACAAACUUUGAUUCGUGUUUUGUUCAAAACCAAAAUUUUCAUUGAAAACUGAGAAGGAUGCAAACCGAUCAAAAAAAUGAUUGCAUAUUAUUUUAAGAAAAUGAGUUUCAAUUCUAAGGACUCUAAAUGAAUUUUUAAAAUAGAUUUUAAUGAGGAACAUUUUGAGAAAAGUAUCUUAUUCUAAAAAAAAGAAAUUAUUUUGAAAAAAACAACAAAAUGUAUGAGACAAAAUAUCAGGCAAAACAAAAGAAAACAAAAUCACCAAGUAGAAUUUUCGAUAACCCAAAAAAAAAUUGAAGUGGUGAGAAUGGAGACCAAUCUUCACUAUUUUCCGAUGGCCUCCGAAAAGUAAAUUUUACCAGAGACUACCUAAGCAAUAAACUAUUCAAACUUAAACCAAUUAAAUUAAUGACUAAUGUUCAAAAAACAUAUCAAUUAACAGUAAUAAUAACAAAUUAGCACGUGAUUGAUUAAACAUACAAACACAUCUUAGACCAAUUAAAAUGGCCUAAAUCAAAUCAAGGCAAACAAUAAUUUUCAAUUUAAGAAUUAAUUUAUUAACUAACUAAUAUUAUGGAAAAUACCUAAACUGAAUCGAUGAGGGAAGCUAAAUCAGAAUAAACUAAAAACAGUCACCUGUGAAUAUAGAAUUGAUUUAAUUAAUAACUUAAAAUUAUAAACACACCUAAAAUAAUUAAAAUGAAUCAAUUUAAAUGAAAGCAAACUAAAAACAAAAUAUGAAUUUAGGGAAUCUACUCUCUAAAUAAACUUACAUUAUUAAAAUGAAAUCAAGGCUUAAAAAAAAAAUAUUUUCAACACUAAUUUAGGCAAGUCUAAAAUCAAAUAUUUAACACUUAAGAUUAAUUAUUUUAACAAACAAAAAUUUUAUAAGAGCACCUAAACCUAAAGUUAAAUAAAAACAUUAACCAUAAUAUAUUUUAAAACGAGAUCUCUAACCUAUAGAAUUAAUCUUAUUGACAUAUGGAUAAAUAGACAACACAUAAAUAAAUAAUAUAAUUAAAAAAACAAAAUAUGAAUUAAUGGAAUCAAUUUUCUAAAUAUACUUGCAUUAUAAAAAUGAAAUCUAAACUUAAAAUGAAUUAAACACUAAUUAAAUCCAAUCUAAACUUAAAUUCUUAACACACAUGAUCAAUUAUUUUUAAAAACUAAAAUUUUACCUUAACCAAAAAUCAAAUUAUAAAAUUACCUGAGACUAAAUUGCUAACCUAUAAAAUUAAACUCAUAAUCAAAUGGAUAAGUUGAUAACACAUAGACAAAUAAAUAUGAAUGAAACAAAAUAUGAAUGAAACGAAAUACGAACUCAUGGAAUUAAAUAAUUUUUUAUUUUUAAUAAACUUACGUUAUUAAAAUAAAUUUGAGCUUAACAAACAUUUUUAACACUAAUUAAGGCAAGUUUAAAAUAUAAUACUUAACACAUAAAAAUCAAUCAUUUCAACAAACUAAAAUUUUACUUAAACCUAAAACCAAUUCAAAUAACCUACAAUAGGUUUUUUAUUUUUUUUUUAAAGAAAAAAUAAAUUUUUAACUCAUAGGAUCAAUAUUACUAAGAAAUAAAUAAAUAAAAAGAUUACAAAGGAUUAAAUUGAUGGCAAACAAAUAAAAAAAUAAACAAAUAAUCAAUAAUUAAGUGAAUCAAGACUAAAUUGAAUAAAGAACAAAUUAUAUAUAUAUUUUUUCAAAGUAAAGCUACAUAAAAUUAUGUUUUCUAAAUUUAAUAUAAUAAAUUCUAAUCUUUAAACACAUGCUGCCAUAUUUAAAGCAAUUCACGUUGGAGCUAGUAAUGUUGGUCAAACCACCCAAUACAAUAAUAAUUCCACUAAAUAAUAAUAAUAAUAAUAAUCUAGACGUGUACUGUUAUUGAAAACCCAUAUAAUAACAAUUAUAAUCGUUAAACUCAUGUUGCCAUAUCAAAACCAAUACAUCUAGUAAAAGUCAAACCACCCAAUAUAAUAAUAAUUCCACUUGAAAAAAGUAAUCUGGACUUGCACUGUUAUUAAAACCCAUAUAAUAAUAAUUCUAAUCUUUAAACUCGUGCAACCAUAUCAAAACCAAUACAUGUUGGAGCUAGUAAAAGUCAAACCACCCAAUAUAAGAAUAAUUCCACUUGAAAAAAGUAAUCUAGACUUGCACUGUUACUAGAAACCCAUACAUAGAAAAAAACAAAUAACUCACCUAGCUGGCUUACCAAACAACCUAGUGGUGUGUAGCUAUUUUCACUUCUCUAAGGGUGCUUGGGAACAAUGGUGUGUUGGUUGAUGGGAAAUGACCGAUUUUUUUUUAUUCAUCAACCAAUACAUUUUCAAGGAUGCGCGGAUGGAUGGGUUGUUGUCCAGAUGGUCCCAUCAGUGUGUUUAAAUGUCGUCUCCCUUCGCUUUGAAAACUCUCUACUGAUCCCUUCAAACAGCCGUAUUUCUCAUGCUCUCAAAAACUCUUCCUUUCGAUCUCUUCAAAUAACCCCUCUCAUGUUGUAAAAAAAAUGUUCUUUUUGAUACCCUCUAAUAGCCCUUCUAUCUCUGUAAAACCCUCACUCUCUUAUCCCAAAAGGGUAGCCUAGUGAUGAUAAAAAAAAAAUCAACAACAGCCCGUUGAUAAAAAAAAAAAAAUCAGUAGCAGCCCGAUGAUGAUAAAAAAUCAUAGUAGCAACAGUCCGCUUUUCCUUUCUUUUUCUUUUUUUUCUUUAUGGCAGCCUCCUCCACUCUGAAAAAAUCCUUCCCGUUUCUUUUAAAAUGACACCCUUCCUCCCAAACUCUCUUAUUACCGAUCACUUCAAAUAUCCUCCCUCCCACAUUGUCCUCAUCUCAUUUUUUCUCAAAACUCCAUCAAACUCCUCUCUCUCAGUCAAUCCGUGGUUCUUCCCAUCAGUCCCGUUGACUCUACCAACAUGGAAAAAACCCCUUACCAGUCUGGAGAAAACCCGCAAUCUUCCGCAUCAGUCCAACAUGAUUAGAACCCUCUCCUUUUGAACCUAGCCUUCAUUUCAUCCCUAUACACACCGAACAUCUUCUUUUCACCUACCAAAAUCAGCUUUGUUAAGUUUCUAAACCUUCCCAUCUCUCUCUUUCUUCCCUUUUUCAUAUCCAUCUUGGGUUGAAUGCUCUUUCAAAUCACGGUUGAAUCUUCCUUUCAUAUAACCAUGCAAUAAAAAUAAUAAAAACAAAAUCAUCCAAUUAAAACUAAUAAUAAUAAUAAUAAUAAUAAUAAUAAUAAUAAUAAUAAUAAAUAAAUAAUAAUAAUAAUAAAGAUGAUUAAUCAUAUACAUGUACAAGAUAACCAAAAUAUUAUUUCAUGAUAAAGAAACGUAACAUUAGUAUCAUAUAAUCUCCUAAAAAUAAAUAAUAAAUAAAUAAAAGAACAAAUAAAUAAAUAAAUAAACAAAUAAACUAAAACCCACUUAAAACAAAAAUCAAACAAAUAGAAUUCCAGAAGACAAACCUUAGUGUACUAAGCUUAAAGAACUACCCAAUGGAUUCUAAGUGGUGCCUAAGUGGGCCUAGGGUGGUGCCUAAGUGGGCUUAAAGUGGUGCCUAAUAGGCCAGGUGUGUCUAAUGGGCCUAGGGUAUACUAAGUGGGCCUAUGAUGGUGCCUAAUGGGCCAGGUGUGUCUAAGUGGGCCUAAGGUGUACUAAGUGAACAUAAGGUGCCUAAGUGGGCUUAGGGUGGUGCCUAAGUGGGCUUAAAGUGGUGCCUAAUGGGCCAGGUGUGUCUAAGUGGGCCUAAGGUGUACUAAGUGAACCUAAGGUGCCUAAGUGGGCCUAAGUCUAAAUAGGUCUGCCAAGAGUCACAAUGGGGUUAGGUAAAUCCCUCAACUAAAGUCUCCAAGGUGGCUUAGAAAAAAUACGCUACACGAGUAGCAAUGGGCCACUAGGAAAUUGCUGUAAAGUAUCGAACAAAUACGUAAUAAUAGGACAUGUGCUAGGAGAACAAAAUGGGGGGUCUACACAUCUUUUCUUUAAAAAUGGAGUUACACUAGGGCUUUAUUUCUUAUUUUGUUCUCUUUUAAAAACAAACAAAAAUAAGUAACGAGUCAAACUUAAAAAAAAAAUAUUAGUUUUUUACAAUAAAAACAAGUUUCACCAUCAAGUAGAAACACACAUGACAAAUGCAAGUUCACAAUUGUAUUUAUACUUAAAAUAUAAUACAAUUACUAAAUCAACGAAUGUUAUAAGUUUUUAAAUCUUUGAUCAUAAAAGACUCAAAGCACAAUGAAACAAAUAGUUUUCAAAAGGAAAAAAAAUGUUUAAAAUGGAAAAUCUAACAAUAAAGACAAUGAAACAAGGUGAUAUGGUAGGAGUUAAAUAGAAAAAUCUUUUAUCCAUGAAUUUAUAGUUUAUUUAGUAGAAAAAAGUUCAAAAGAAAUAUUGCAUACAUUAAUGGAUUAAGUAGAUAAAAGUGAUUUAAGUAAUUUGAUAUUUAUGCUUUAGUUAGAUAACAUCAAAUAAAAAUUUGAUACUAUUAGUUUCCAUACUGAGUUUAGAAAUCUAUCAAAUGGAUGUUAAGAUUAUCUUUCUUUGAAUGGUUAUAUAAAUUAAGAGUAUAUGGGGCAAUCUAAAGGAUUUAUUGUUAUAGGAUAAGAACACAAAGUUAGGGAUAGAUACAUUUAGCUAGGUUGGUUUUUAACCAAUCUAAGAAUCAAAUAAGAGUUCAUUGGUUUUAACUUAAGUACAACAAAUUUAUUUAUUUACUCAAACUAAUCCAACUUAAUAUUAGUUCGAUUCACUUUAGUUAACUCAAUUUAGACAAAACUAUUAAGUCUAUAUGUUUUUUUUUCCAUAUUGAUCAUACAACCAAAAUGAUCAAAUUAUUUUAGAUAAAAAUAUUUUUUUUACAAAUAAUACAGUUAAAAAUUUUAAAAAUAAUGUGUAGGAGCAUACCUAUAGGUUAUUUGCUUGUUGGGAGUAAGUCAAUGAGUAGUAUUAUUGACAUAUUGGGUGCUUGUGACUUGAAAUUAUAUUAUCAUCAUUAUUAAGUCUCAAAGUACAAGGAUUUUAAGUUUUAGAUCAUGCUUAUGCCAUAAGCAACUUUUAAUCUGUAAUAAAUCCAUACAAGUUAGGCUCCAACACCAAACUGUAGCCCAGCUAAGUUGGCUUUGGAUGAGCAUAGUUUGACUCACAAAGUCCCAAGGUUCUCCACAACACUCCAAAAUCUAGGCAAUUAUAUUUAUCCUACUCCUCUACUACUUGGGUUUGUUUGCUAGUUCACUUUUGGUAAGUGAUCUAGGUUGAAUCUUCCAUAAGCCAAAUGCAUAAAGUAGUUUGAUCUCUAGUUUCACUGUACUACCAAAAUAGAGUAAUUCAAGUAAGAAGACUUCUAAAGAGAAUAGUCUAGAGGGCUACUACAAAUGAGAAUAGUCUUUUGAACAUAUGUAAUCGAUUGUGCAUUACUUAAGUAAGAAGGCUUCUAAAGUUGGAUAAGUUGUUUAGAAUUUUUAAGAGGGAAUUUGUAAACAUCAUAGAAUUGAUUUUAGAGACAUUUACCACUAUCAUGAUAAUAAAGUAUUAAGGAAAAACUGUACCACCAAAACCAAGUUGUAUUUGUUAAUAAUACUUACUACAUUUCUAUUAAGAAAGAAACUAUCUAGUGGUAGAAGACAAGUUGAUAGUUUUAGUUUGUAAAGUUUUCACUACCCAAGCUAACAUCAAAAGCUAUAACAAGACAAAUCCCAAUAAGUUAAGAUAAAAGGCUACAUAGAAGGGACAUCUUGCUCCUUGUUGAAAAUCUCAUUCAAUUGCAAAUCUACUACAUCAAGAAUGCUCCCUCUUCUAUAAUUUUCUCAUACCCAAUCCACAACACUAUUAUUAUAGUUGUUCUACAUGUUUUUUUUUUUUUUUUGUGGCUUUCUAAGUUAAUUUUUCUUUGGUUAUAGUAAUAACUUCAUUGGUGUGUUAAAUUCUCUUAUAGGUAAUUCCUCAAAUAUGUUGUCCUCAUUGUUGCUAUUAAGUCUUGUAGUAUGAAACGAAAAAUUAAAAUUCUUGUAUUUAAAAUCAAAUGGAAGCACAAUAAUUAAAAAAGGCAAACACAAGAGAAACACUCAAAUCCAAUUACAAAGAGUAGCAUCAAAGUUUCCAUAUCUACAAAAUUCAAGUGUUUACAUUUCCAAAAAUGAAAAUAAUAAUAAUAAUAAGGUUCAUUGAGAGAAGACAUACAUCUACAAAACAUCAAGGUGUAAGGUUAAGAGAGAAGAAUUCAAUCCAUACUUGAUAUGGAGACAUGGAGUGGAACACAUUGACAAGAUUUGAAGAAUGCAAUUCAUCUAUGGGAACUUGUGUACCAUAAGAGGGUUGGUUUUUGGAGGCAUUGGAAGGUGGUCAGAGUAAUGGUGGUGGCCAUUGAAAGGGUCAAUGGUGGUGGGAAGCCAUAGCCGCUAGUGAAGAGGAAGUUAGGUGAAUUGGAGACUCGGUGAAGAAGAUAAUGCGAGCUUGAUUCCUCCAUCUCUUCCUUCUCUCUUAUUUUCCUCACUAAUUUUUAAGGAAAGUAGUAGGGAAAAUAUUACAAUAUUUUCUUUAGUAUUUUCCUUUAUAUUUUUUUUCCAUCAUAUUUUUCAUUUCACACAAACAAAGGAAAAUAACUUUCCACAAUUUUUUUUUUCCUUUCCCUAGCAUUUUCUGAAAACUAAACACAACUUUUAUAAAUAAAAAUGAAGAAUUACAGUAAGAUUGUAUAUUCUUCCUCUUUCUUCCUGCAUUUCUACAUCCAUUACUCUAUUUUACAUCAUAUUUUUACUCCCUUCUUAAAUCAGCAUUCCUCCCUUUAUAUAGAGUUAUCUUCACACCAAUUCAUUCGAUUAGAAAGAUGAAUGAACCUUGGGGCAAGGUUGGACAACUGGUGGCAGCUUGUCAAGGCUAGAAGUCAACUUUUGCUCGACUUUUUGGGCAUGGGCAGCAACAUGUGGACCCCUCUUUAGCAUGAAAAUGGCUAGAACAUGUUAAGCUCUCUUAUUAGAUGAUGUGUCAACUAUAGGGCAAUCAUAGGGUGGGGAAUAUAAGGCAAUUAUGCACACAAAAAAAAGAAAAAAACCAAAUAUUAAAUAUGAAUAUAGUUUAAAUAUGAAAAAUAUUAUUAUUUAGGUUUAAUAAUUGGGUUUGCUAGAGGAGUUUAUAUAUAUAUUAGUUUCUUCUUCUUCUUUUUAUUUAAUCCUAUCUAUGUUGAUGAUAUUAAUGCAUUGAAUUUGAUGUUACCUAAAACAAAAUUAUAUUUCAUGUCCUCUAUUAUAAGUGGACAACCAUUCCUUAUGUUAGAUUUUAGAUAAAGAAUGAAUAUUGAAGAUUGGAGUUGUAAGAAAUUAGGAGAGAAAUUAGGAGAUCCUAAUUUUAAAUAUGUAACAAAGUUCUAUAAUCACUUCAAUUCACGUUUAAAAAUAGUAUUUCUUUCUAAUAUGGGAGCAAACUUUUUCUUUCUUUUUUUGUAAAUUUCAUUUGGGAAUAAUUUAAAAAUAAAUAAAUAAAAGCCCUGCUAAAUAUUAAAAAAAAAAAAAAGACAGUCUUAUAAAAAUUAAUUAGGUGGAUGGAAAGGUCAAAUUCGGGAUAGCUUCAUAUUUUUUUGCUUUAAGUGAAAAUUAAAAUCAAAAUUAAAGUAAUAAUUUUUAAGAUGUUGUAAAAGUUUUAUUAAACAUAAAAGAACUUCAUGUGUAAACAAAAAUAGAAUUAUAGAACAUAAAAGAACUUCAUGUGUAAACAAAAAUAGAAUUAUAGAAUUCUUAUAAGAAAUAACAUUUUUAUGACUUCUAUGUGAAACUUUUUUUAACUCUUAAAAGUCAAUCCAAAUAAAAUUUAAAUAUAUUUGAAAAUCAUUUUUAAAAAUGCAAAAAUCACUUAAAAAUAAUUUCUGAACUUUUUUUUAUUUACAUUUAAAUACUAAAUGAUUCUUUUAAAAAUCAUUUAUAAUGUCAAAAUAUUUUUUUAUGGAUAAAAAUAUUACAAAUAAAAAACAUUUUAAUCACAAUUAAUUUAUUUUUAAUUCAUGAAAUUUCAUUUAUUGUUAUUUAUUUUUUGGGAUUUAAUUCUUUACAAUUAUUUUUUAGUGUUUAUAAAGUAUAAUUAGGUUAUGCCCAAAUUCAUUCCUUUAACUCUAUCCAUUAGAUAUAAGUAGCGUGAAAUUUUGGUCUGUCUCCACAUUUUUUCGCUUCUGACAUUGUCAUGCACUGCUUCGUGAACUCCAAACAGAACGGCUAAGGAUCGAAGAAAAUGAGACAAUGGUCAAUGAAUAAUUUCUUAAUUUAAUAGCAUUGAAAUGUCAGCUGGAACAAAAUGAAAGUUUAAUUAUUUAAUCUUUUUUGGCACAUCACCGCCAACUUAACAUAUUGACUUGGACUUGGAGGGUUCGGUCAAUUGCAGCAGCUUAGUUAAUUGUAAGUGUCUUUUCUCUAAACCAUAAAUUCAAAUGAUCACCUCCUACGUUUUAAUUUAUAAAAGCGAGUGAUUUGUUUUUACUAGUUAUUUGAAUUUAAGAAAGGAGGAAAGGGUUUACUUUAAUAUAAAAUAAAAAAAUAAAAAAUAAAAAAUGAGAGUUGAAAAGUAAUGAAAUCACUAAAAAAACAGAUUUGGAGUUCUUUCGGUGUGGGGUUAGACUGUUAGACUUAAUUUGUACUCAUGCAAUGGAAAUGGACAAUUUUUUUUUUUCCUUUUCCUUUAUCUUGGUGUAGAUCUUGUAAUAUUUUAUAAAAAUAUAAACUAUAUGCCAAUUAUUUUAACUUUAGGAAAAAACACUUAUUCUAAUUUAAAAUAAGUAAAUAAAAAAAGAACUGAUUUUAUCUCAAUUGUAUAAGACUUCAUAAAAAUUAUCUUAUUUGCAAAAUAUUUUCAGAUGUAAAAGUAAAAAUUAAACAAACCAUUUGAUGAUAUUUUUCAUCAGUAUCCAUUUAGAUCAUACGCUAAUUUUAAAAUAUUAGAAUAAAUCAAUUACUCUAAACUAUAUCAUUUAUAAUUUUUUUGAUUAUUAAUAUGAUACCUAACCUUCCAAGGAAUUGGAAUAAAAUAUGGAUAAUUAAAAAAUGUCAACUAUCCCAUUUCAAACUUUUCUAAUACAACAUGAUAUUUUAUCAUGUUGAAUGAAGUGGGUAUGGUCAAAAGUUGUCAACACAAUAGAUAAAGAUAUAUCUAUUGUGGACAUGGCAUUCAGAGGCUUCUUAACAUUGUAUUGGUCUAUUUAAUGAGUUGUUCAUAUUGAAAUUAAUUAAGGUUGAAACAGGAACACAACAUCUUUAUAGACUUUUAACAAUCCAAGAAAUUGACAUUAAUAAUCCCAAAUACAAUAUUCUGCUACUUAACAUUAUUCUUUUUAUCUUAAUUGAAGAGGAAUACUAACUUAGUCAAAUAUAAAAUAAAUCACGAAAGCUUAAUAAUACAAAUAUUCAGUGAAAUCUUUGGCAUGUUAUUUCCUUGCAGCUUCAACAUGGUGGCAUGUCGGAUGGAGGAGGCAGCAUUUGAGCUUCUGGGUGUUUACCAUUUUUCACUAUGAACGCAGUUUCCAUGCCCCAAGUCAAAUGGCGUUCUACAUGGCAAUGCAUGAACCAUACUCCUGCAACAGAGAAAAUAUACCAACAUUACACCUAACUUAAUUGUAAUAUUAAGAAAAAUUAUUUCAUUGGUAUGCAGGUUGGCAGUUUCAAGGGUUUUUUUCUUUAAUAGAGGACAUGAAUGCUUGCAACAUACCAGGAUUGGAUGCCUCGAAUCUGAUUGCAACCCAACCUUUCGAAGGAACAGAAAUGGUAUUCUGAAGAGGAGGAUCCACCAGAUUAUAGCGCAAAGGGUCCCUAUUUCCAUCGAAAUUCCCAAAUCCCCAUCCAACAACAUAGAAACUGUAUCCAUGGAGAUGCAUGGGGUGGUGUGUCUCUGCAAGCACGGCUGUCCCUUGAAAAAUAAUCUCCACUGUGGAGUUAUACUCGAGCACCCUUACUUCUGUUCCGCUACUCGGCAACUGAUAGGUUAAUGGAAGAUAAUCAUAUGUAAAAUCGAACACAAAUGAUGGAAAGCUAGGAAAGUUAUUUCCAUAUACACCACUGAUGUUAAAAUAGUAAGCUUCCAAUAUGUCAAUUGUAGGCAAAUCGAAGGUUAUGUUGUUUAUACUUGAGGAGAACCGCGUCCCAUUGGGCCCUGCACAUGAAUCAUUGACGCAUGGGUACGAGUUCAUAGAAAGAGUGUAAAACAGGUUAGUGCUUGUGCUCAAUGGGACAUUGCAAGGAUGUUCCACAUCUGCUAAGCUUCGGAGGCCGGCCAUGACCUGAACCGAUGCAUUUGUGUCAUUGUAUGCAGGAAGAUAAGGCAAGGAGAGAGGUGAAGAUGGAGUGUAGUAUCCCCUAUACUGUACAAUAGCUGUGGUGGUUGUGUUAUCAUAAAAGUUUUGAUAUUUAGGGGCAACAGAAUAAGUUAUAGCCGCCAUGUAAUAGUGAUCUGGGCGUUGGUUAGCUUCAAGUAAGACAUCGUAGGUUUGGCCAGGAAAUAUUGUGAUAUAAUCUCGUGUCAAUGGUUUCGUGUAGCUACCAUCUGUUCCAACCACUGUCAUUUUAUGCUUGUCAAUGGCGAAGAAAAGAGCCUCGUGCAAGGCAGCAUUGAUUAUGCGAAGUAGAUAUGUCUUUCCAUGAUCCACCGUUAGCUUGAAUGUGCCUACAAUUAGAAAGGGAAAGUUGUAUACUUAUGACUAGCCAAAAGAAAAAGAAAAAGUUUCCAUGAGGAUCCACCAAUUAUGAAGUGAUUGAUUGAUUAAGGGUGUAAAUUUGGCUCCAUAGUUCAAAAUUAUAUUUGGACUAGAUGUGUUAAAUCAUGGCUGUAUCAUCCUUAUAGCUAUAUUCCUCUUUCUUAGCAUUAAGCUUUAAAUAUGUUGAUGUUAAUAAGAAAAAUUAAUAUGGUUAACAUAUAAGAAAAUGAAAUCAUGUACAAUUUUAAAAUGGAAAGUUAAUCUUUGUACUUGAUUUUGAGCAUGGAUAUAGAUCACCGGGUUGUCCAUUUAUCAAUAAAGCAUCAGAGGGGUCGGGGUCGCCUCCGGUUGCAAGCCCUUCAUCUCGAACCGUAUUCACAUCACUCUUCCACCAUUCUCCUGCAUGUCAACAACUCCAGUAAUUUUAGAUUUUGCUUUUUUAGUUCAUUCAUAAUAUGUAAAUUAACCUUUAAAAAUAACAACACUUAUACCUAAUAUGAUGGGGACUUCUGCGUAAGGUUUGUGAAAAGGAUACUUGGUUCCAUUCUUGGGAUAGAUGAUUAUAGCUCCAUGAACAGUGGCUCGGGUCCAAUCACUAUGAGCAUGCCACCAUAAAGUGCCUUCCUCAGUGGAAAGGAUGAUCUUCUGGGUAAACUUUGACCCUGGCUGAAUUGGGCAUUGUGUGAUAUACUCGGGACCAUCCGUCCAUGGAUAUCUAGGCAUGGUCACCCCAUGCCUACAAAACCAUAACUAUACGUUAAAACUAGUACUAAUUUUCAAAGUAACAAAAUAUAGCAUGCAACAAACAUCAACUGUAUCUCAAUGGAACUGAAGCAAAUAACCCUAAAGUAUUGUUUUAAAUUUGACUUUAUUUUCAAAGCAAUAUAUUGCGGCCCCCUCUUAGAAAUAAAAGAAUGUAAGCCAUGUCUUUCUCUGUGACACACAUAGGACCUACCAGUGAAUGGUGAUGUUUUCUUUUCCUCUGUUAUAAACGUCGACAAUGAUUGUCUCUCCUUUCAUAGCAUAUAUAGUUGGUCCCGGAAAUUGUCCAUUUACUGUUAAGAUGUUCUUGGCGCUACAAAGCCUUGUAUAUGAAGCUUCCCUCACCUACAACCAAUUAAAAGUUAACCAUGCAAACUCAUCCCAAAAGAAAUAUUACAUGCAUGAAUAGUUCCAUUGAUCCAUUCAUGUAAGUGUAUAACCAAUUAGAAAUCGAUGGCAUGCAUGAACGACUCAACGACACCCAUAGCAUACAUGAACAACUCAACAACACUAGGGUAAGAGGUCAUACGGUAAAAAUGAGAGCCAUACUACUCCUUAAAUAUUAUGAUUAGAAGGUGGCGUUAAGGCCAGAAUCACAUAUAGUAUUUACCACAAAAGUAAGCCGACGGGUUGAAGCUUGGCAAUGGAUGCCACCACCAAAAACUAGAAACGCUAAAAUUUGCAGGAGGAAAACCUUCAUGAUCAGCCACAUUUUCCUUGGAAUAAAAACCUCUUCUCUUCUCUUGUCCUAAACACAACUCCUUCAAUUCUCUUACUACUUUUGAUGUAUUUCUUUCACAUGUGAUUCAUUAUAUAGGCAUGGUAAUUCUCUCGGGAUACAAUACUUCCUCUCCACGUGUCAAUACAAGAGGAAGUAAUUUGAAUGUGUAUUGGUUUUCAAUGUUCUUUCAGGACGACUUCAAUGAGCAGGACCACUUCAAAAAAAUUAAUUAUGAUAUUUCUUACAUGAGCAGGACCACUUCAAAAUAAUUAAUUAUGAUAUUUCUUACAUGAGCAGGACCACUUCAAAAUAAUUAAUUAUGAUAUUUCUUACACGUUACCUAAACGUUAUUUCAGAAUAAAUUUAAAAUAUUCUUUCACAAGUCUUUUAUUGAUUAUUUCAACAAAUGUUAAUUAAUUAAAUAUAUGUAGAAUACUUUUAAAACUUUGACCUCCCGUAUGAGUACCCUUAUCAAGAUUAGUCAUGAAAGCUGUUUUUCAUUGACAAAUGCUUUUAAGAAUUAUUUUAAAACUGAUGACUUUGGUGGUUGGUGGCAAAGUUGUUUUUGUAUUGUUACUUGAUACAAUUAGUCAUUAUCAUUGUUUUCAUCUUAAUGGGACAAAGUUGUUUCCAUUCUUUUUUAAACUUGAGAAUUGAGAUUAUAAAAGACAAGAUGAUAAACUAAUCUGGCAUUUCAGAAUUUUCCAUAAAAAACACAAAAAUAUAUUUUGUAAAAAGUUGAAAAUAGGAUACUAACAGCCCCUUGUAGUAUUUUUUUUUUCUCAACAAAAAUCAAUUUAAUAGUAAUAAUAAUAAAUAAUUAUAGAUUUUUUUAUUUAAAAAAAGCUUAUUUUUCAAAACAAAUGCAAUCUAUAAUUUAUUUGUUCGAAUGAUAUGUAUAUCUUGAUUAAAUAAAUAAAUUAUGGAAGGAUUUAUAUAUUUUUAAAUUAUUUAUAAACAGAACAAAUGAUGAAUAAAUUUUAACUAGAUCAAAUAAUAGUUGUAUAAUAAUGGCUUUAACAUACGUUUUUUUAUGAGUAAUACCAAAUAAACAUCUCAACAAAUAUUAUAUAAGAUGAUCGCUAAUUUCACUAUCUUCAUUUUAUUUAUGUUAUUCUUCUUUAUUCAGUGGAUUUAAUUAUGUGUUGUUAAAUGAAUAAGGACCUCUAUAGUUAUAAUCUCACCUGAAAAGUUGGGGAAGUUAUCUCUACAUUAUGGUUCAUCCAUGCAUCAAAUAAAUUAUUUUUGUACUUCCAUCAUCAGAGAUGCAUGUAUGUCUAAGAAUGGCAAAAGAAUCUAUGAGGUCAAGAAAAAAAUGAAAAAAUUUUAUAUGUUUUUUUUAAUUCAUUUCAUUUUUUUUUUCUAAUCUAUAUAAAAAUUCAAUAUAUAUAUAACUUUUUAACUAAUUUUAAUUAUGUUUUUCUUUCAUAUUUUAUAUAAUAAAUCAAAAAUUAUAAAAAAGGACAUUUUUUAAUAUUUCAACUAUAACAAGGUGGGCAUAGUUAAUUUAUAAUGUUAGGAUAUCCUAACAACCUAACCUUAAAAUUUUCUUAAAUAAAUAAUCACUUCACUAGUCAUAUAUUUUCUUAUUCCAUCAUAUUGUGAUUAGCACCAUAGUGUUUGUUAUAUUUUGAAGCAUUUUGGUAUGAUUCUUAUCUCAUAAUAAGUCAUUUUUGAAGCAAACCCAACAUGCUUGAUAGAAAUCCUCUUCCUAAAUGAACCCCAAGGUUUCUUAUUUGAGAGUGUUGGUACAUUAAGUUAUAUAGUUUAAGAUUGAUAAUUUUGUUUCACUCAUUUUGACUUAGGGAUUUUUUAGAUUAUGUCUCGCUCUCUUUUGAAAACUCGAAGUUGUCGUGUGAUCAACUAGAAUAACAAAGGUAAGUAUCGAAAGGUCUGGAAAGACAAAUUAGAGUUAGUUAAGGUUGGCACAAACGUCAAGUUCUUAAACUGAGUUAAAUGUUUUUUAAAACGGGUUUAAAGAACUCCUUGAGUGCUCUAAUGCUGCAGAGAGCGCUUAUGCAGUCCUUAGAGCACUCAAGUGUGAUAGAAUUCUCUAGAAUUUCAAAGCUUUGAUUUUCCAACUUUUAAAAGCUUUAUUUUGGGAAAAUUCUAAAUCUGAUCCACCAGGAUCUUGGCCUAAUAAAUACCUUGCCUAAAGAGGAUUUUCUCUUUUUGAUGUUGAUGUUUCAAAAAACCUAAUUUGUCAUCUUGUUCCCAAAACUCUGAAAGAUGAUUGUCUUUGCUUUUACUAGGUUGAGAAAGAGAUUUGCAUCUCCACAAACACUAAAGUAAGAUUCACGAGAAGCACAAGUGGUGUUGCACUACAAAUGUGAAGUAUAGUAGAGGUGAUAGGGAGUAAGACUUAGGGAUAGUUUCCACUAGAUAAAACUGUGUACUAUACUUUCGAACAAUGGAUUUGUAAUUGGAUAUCUAUAAUUGGAUGUCUCUAACCCCAUGGAUUUUACAUCCGCAUGUUGUGUGACUUGUUUUCCAUGUAAAAAAUCUUGCAUUCUUGUAUUGAAUAUUUUUAAGCUUUCCUAAGUCAAACGGAUUAAUUUAAAAUUGUUGGAAAGUUUGAAGUUUGAAAUUUGAAUUAUUCAAAUAUUUGUUGAUUUGAAUAAGUCAGAGAUUAGAAGUUAAUUUAUUUGUUUUAAAAUCUUAUCAGAUUAGGAGUUAUUUAUUCAAAUAAGGAUUCUAGUUUCCUAAGUUUUAAGGAUUUUUGAAUCCUGGAGUCAACCUAUAAAUCCUGUUGUAUUUCGUAUUACAAAAUAAUAAGAUUUUGGUGCUUUCUGUUUUUCUUUUUUUUUUUUCUACUCCGGCAUCAAAAAUAAUUAUUUUUUGAGCCUAAGAGGUUCAAACACCUAUUCACCCUCUCUAGAUGUUACCUAGACUAGAUCAACUAACUUUUAAUGAGGAAAACUCAAAUUACAGAAUUUGCACUUUCAGCCAACGCAGCUAGGCUUAGGUGGUGUUUGUUUUUUUGGCUUUUUACUAAAAGCAAUUUGUUUUCAAAAUUUAGAUUGUUUGUUUUUCUAUUUUUUCAUGACUUAUUAUAAACUUUUUACUAAAUAGAAAAAGCCAAAAUAUGUAGCUUUUUCUAAAUAGAAAAAAAUAACAUAUUGGUUUUUCUUUACUUUUUAAUACUUAAUAGAAAUAAAAUACUACAAAAACAAACAACCUAAUAUUUAACACUAUUAAGCAUUAAGGUUCUAUUUAGAAUUAAGUAAAAAAACAAACACCGCCUUAGAUAAAUUGAAGAGUAAAUAUCCUUUCAAAUCAACCAACUAGCCUUUCAUCCACGGAGACCUUCUCCAAUUUAAAGAUCAUGAAAACCUCUCAAAGCAUUUCGUAAGAAAAAUAAGAACAUUGGCUCACCCUAAGGGUUCCUUGAAGAGGCUUUGAUCUAAAUCUUCUCCAUGAGUUGUUGAAAGGGUCUUUAACAACUACGAUUGGACUGGAUGGAACACUUAUAUGAACUAAAAAUGAUAAAUAUUAUAACUACUCAAAAAACAUUUUCACAGAAUUGCCAACCUGCAGAUUAUUUUUAGUUAACCAGAUCUUAAAACAUUAGUCACAUCCAUGGCCAAAAUUAAGUGAAGGCUUAGCAUAAAAAAUAUGAAGAACAAGAAGCAUAAAAAGUAAAUAUAGGCUAAAAUAAAAUGUCUUAUAUGAGCAGCUCCAAAUGAUAGCUACUUUGAACCAAUUUACCUCUAAAUAUGGUUUCUAAUUUAACUAAAGUCACAUCUUCAAAAUGAGAUUUUAAAAUUUGAACAGAGAUAUUUAUUUAUUUUAUUGGAGUUGGAUUUGAAUGUUUGAAUUGACCCAAUUUCAUAAAUUAUUAUUUAUAUAUUUUAUUGGAGUUGAAUUUAAAUGUUUGGAUUAACCCAAUUCAAUAAAUAAUUAUUUAUUGGGUUUGCGUUUGGGUACCCAAGUGGACUAAGCCAACCUAAUAAAGAUAAGGGAAAAGUUUUUGGGAACUUUAAAACUGCUCUAAAACUAUUACGAAAAUAUAAAUAGUGUGAAUCUCCAACUUUCUCCCGAUGAGAAAAUAGAAAAGAAAAUAAUUAUUCUUUCUAAGACAAAGUCCCUUCUUGAAUUUUGUUUCCCUAUUUUUUCUAUAAAAAUGAGAGUCAAGAUUUUUAUGCCAUGAAAAUAGAGUAAUUCUUAUAUUUGUAGUUUUAUUCUUAAAAAAUAAUCUGAAAUUGAGACUUUCAGGCAUUUUAAAAGAUAAUCUGAAAUUUCUUUCAAUAUAUAAGCCUUGUACGCGAUGUUGGUUGACUAUUAUGAUAGUAAAUUCGGGAGGAUGCUUGCAUGUAAAAAUUUUAUUUUAUUUUAUUUUUAAUCAUGAAGCACAUUUUAUGGAUUAUGAUUUAUAAUACUGCAUCAAUGGUCAUGAACAUUGCAAUUAUGAUUUUUUUUGAGAUGUUUAAAUGGACGUGAAAGAUAAGAAAUAGAUUUUCUAUUAAGAUAUUUGAAUGGAGAUGAAAGCAUGGGUAUAGGUUUGUACCAAGGAAAUGGACAUAUGAUUAAAAUAAACCUGAUACAGUUACUCUAUAAGAAUGGAUCCUGUUUCUAACCUUUUAACACACAAAUUUGGAAACCUAAACCUAUGGAUUGUUUCUUUCCUAUAAUGGAAUCCUAUAUUCCUUCUCAAAGCAGCGCUGACUUUUCCCUUCCUACCAACUUCAAAGAGAAAAUCUUGACUAAUCUUGAUAAAGGUUUAUUUUAUCUAUACAUGCGAGGUCAAAGUUUUAAAAGUAUUCUACACAUAUUUUAAAUUUAUUCUAAAAUAAUGUGUUUGAUUAAUUUCUUGGUCAAUUCUCAAAGUCAAACUUGUGUUUUGAAUUAGAAAAUUCAAGAGAUUCUAAGAAACUCGUCUUCUACGAUUGAAGCUGAGCUGUGAGAAAUAUUCACAAUUGUUAGCACUCUUCAGGCAUUUGGUUUAUUUAAAUUUUGGUAAGUAAUCAAAUAUCAUACACAACCUGCUCUUUGAAGUGGUCCUGGAAGAACAUUCAAAUUACUUCGCUUAUAUUGAUACGCGGCGAGGAAUUGUUGAUACCCAAGCCACAUGUGAUCUGAUUUAAUGAAUGAAUCUGUGCCCUUCAUCCGAAGAAUUCUGGUGUUCUGGAUUGAUGGGAGCAAAAAGGUGACCAGUUUUACCUAGAGUCAAAUUCAAAUGACAAAAUAUAUUACCAGGGCAAUCAUGGACAGCACCCUUAACUACAAAAAUAGCACACACAGCCAAUCCCAUCAACCUAGUAUUACACCAAUUUGGAGGCAGAUGUACCAUAUUACUGUGGAGCCUAUACUCUGUUGGCUGAACCACUCAGGAAUUCAACUUCCAGGAACGAAAGUACUGGAUUCAAUAUGUGGAGUAUAUGGCACCAUCUGGGUCAUGAAAAUCAAUGUCAAGUUAUAUGGAAAUAAUGUAGGAGUAGUGCUCAAAGGAGUAUAAGAAUUAUUCCAUAGGAUUUAAUUGAUUUACUUUUACAAUAUGAUCAAGAGAGAGAGGAGAGAAACCUGAAUUGGGAAUUGAAAUCUUGGUAAUUUAUUUGCCAGACUUUGCAUUUCCCUUAAUGUAGCUGCCACAAAGUUGCUGCUUUCAUUCUCAGACAGUCUGAAGCAAUUAGAAAAUGUGAAUCGGAGGCCCCCACAUUCCUUGGAUCUGUAGACACUUGAUGGACACAAAAUGUUUUCCAUAACUGUGCAAUCAUGGGCAUCUAUUUCUUCUAUACUUGAUGGAAGCUCUGGUAAUAAUUGAAGCCUCUUGCAAUAACCCAACCUAAAGCCUUUGAGCUGUGAAAGUUGAUUGAGGCUUGCAGGUAGAGUAACAAAAUGGUUUCUACUCAGAUCUAAAUAUUCCAAUGAGCACAAAGAACUAAAGUAAUUGGGAAUUGCUCCUUCCAAUAUGUUGCAAUCACUUAGAUUUAACUUUCUUAGGGAUCUUAAACAAAAAAAGAAUGCAGUUUGUAGACCCUCUAUUUUGUCCUCCUAGCACAUGUAUUAUUAGGUGUUUGUUUAAUACUUUACAACACUUCUCUAGUGGCCCAUUACUAUUCAUGUAGCUUAUCUUUUCUAAGUCACAUUUGAGACUUUGGUUGAGGGAUUUAUCUAACCUCAUUGUGACUCUUAAUAGCCCUAAUUUAGACUUAGGUUUUUCCUUCCUUUUUAGGAUAGCUUUUAGGUGCACUUUUAGGAUAGCACACUUAGGCAUGUUUAGGUCACUUAGACAAUGUUCUGAUCACUUUAGGUCAUUUAGACACUGUCCUAAACAUCCUAGACACCUUCCAACUUGCACACAUUCACCCUAAGUCACUUGGGCACUUUUUUCAUAAUAGGUCACUUGGACACUUGUUUAGGUUUGAUUUCUUGAUUGCUUGGUUCUUUAGGUUUCGGUGAGUAUUGGCCUGUUUUUUUACUUUUGAUUGCAUGAGAUGGUCUUUUGAUACUUAAUCAUGUGAGUUUGAUGUUUCGAUUUUCAUUAUUAUCAAUUGCAUUAGAUUGGCAUUUCAUUUCUUUUGAUUGCAUGCGUUUGGUACUUGUAUUCAUAUUUUUGUUUAUUUAUUUAAAUUUGCAUGAGAUUGAUUCCUUUAUUUUUAUUUUGCAUGAAUUAAUAUUUUGAUUCUCCUAUAUAUGCAUGUGAUUGUGCAAUUUCCAAUUUUAUUCCUAAUUUUAUUUUUUAAUUACUAUUGCAUGAUUUCAACGCCCCUUAUUAUUUUUUUUACUUUGGCAUUAGGAUUUGAUCACUUACCAAACAAGACACGGCUGCAUCCUUCAGGUAAUCUCCAAGUAAUCCACACAUAUAUGCACUUCCCAUAUCCACAUGCAUUCAAAAUGGAAGCAGAAUAUUGAAUGAGGGAGAGGCUGCCAUAGAAGAUCCCCACUUCCCAUAAAAAGAUCUCUACAGGCUGGCUGUACUAAGCGGAAUUUUGGGCACAUAAAUAAAGACAUAAGAACAGGGAAAAGGGUAGACAACCAGCAUAAGAAUGGAGAGAGAAAGAGGCUCUCUCAACUCUCCAAGUCUCAACACCACACCACCGUAUAAGUGAAACGCAAAGGCCCUUUUGUUCUCUCUCUACGUUGGUUUGAUUUUCUCUGUCUAGCUUCCGCAUGCAUGUCGAUUGUGGAUCGAAUUCGAAGGUGGGGCACCGAACCCACCUUGAUCGAUGCCUAAAGAGAUGUGAUUUCUAGGAGUUUUUCAAAUCUUUCUACCGUUUGGGGCAUUGAAUCUGCGAAGUGUCGCCUGGUUUUCGUCAAUUCUGAUAGGGGUUCUGGGUUGGGAAUUUCGCACAUGAAGGGUCCGUUGGAUCGAACCAAGGUCAUGGUCCGGCACUUGCCGCCGAUGAUUUUGGAGGCCGCGUUUUUGGAACAAAUCAAUACCGUCUUCAAGGGGCGCUACACCUUGGUCAAGUUUCGUCCCGGGAAAAACAGCCAGCAAAGACAGUCCUAUUCUAGAGCCUACCUUGACUUCAAGAGGCCGGAGGACGUUAUUGAGUUUGCUGAGUUCUUUGAUGGGCAUGUUUUUGUUAAUGAGAAAGGUACUCAGUUUAAAACUAUUGUUGAGUAUGCUCCUUCACAACGCAUUCCAAAACAUUGGCCUAAAAAGGAUAGCCGUGAAGGGACAAUAUUUAAAGAUCCUGAGUACCUGGAGUUCCUUGAACUUCUUGCGAAGCCUUUUGAGAAUCUUCCCAGUGCAGAAAUACAAUUGGAGAGAAGAGAAGCAGAACGAGCUGGUGCUGUGAAGGACACUCCUAUAGUUAUGCCUCUAAUGGAUUUUGUCCGUCAGAAAAGAGCUUCCAAGGGUGUAUCCCAUCGUUAUCUAAUGGAAAACUAAGCAGAAGAGCCAGUGGGUCAUCAUCUGGAAAUCCAAGUCUGGGCUCAUCAAAACGGGGUUCUGGAAAGAGAAGACUCUCCACCACAAUGUAUGUUUUACGGGAUGCUGCAAAGAACACAAGUGCAAAAGACAAGUCAACGUUCAGUCUGGUUCCAAAGCGAGAUGACCAGCUGCUGUCUGAUAAGUCUGUUAAUCUAGCUGCUGGAGGUGGAGCUGAAGCAUUGAAAGAGGAAAGUGGAGUUUCUGGAGCUGUUGAUGCUGGGAAGAAGAAAGUCCUCCUCCUGAAAGGAAAAGAGAGAGAAAUUUCUCAUCAUUUACAGCAGCAGAAUGUAACAUCUCCAGUAAAGAAUAUACUUGGUGCAAAUUCUCCCAAGCAGAAUCAGAGACGUGAAGGUAGUGGAAGGAUAAUCAGAAGCAUACUUUUAAACAAGGAUGCACGUCAAAGUCAAUCUUCUAUGUUCCAGUCGGGGCAACAGUCCCAAGCCUCUAACUUAGAGAAGGAGAAACGACCUCCUCGCCCUCCACAGCUGUACACACAGCCUGCAAUGCAAAGGAAGGUGAGGGACGCCGCUGUUUGAUUCAAGGAGAGGAGGUAAGUAAAGGUUUUGAGUUUUGGUUUUAAAAAUUGAAAAAUUGGAAUUUUGUUAAUUAAGCUUUGAUUCAUCGUUUUAGACAAAAAAAGUUAUGAUCUUUGUUUCAAUUUAGUUUUGAUUCUCAUAUUAGUUCGAAAAUGUUCAUUUUAUUUUCUUUUAUUGUUUUUGUUUUAGUUUGAUUCUUUGAUUUAGAUCGGAGAAGCUUGAAACUUUGUUUUUGUUUUGGUUUUGGCUCAUCAUGAUAGUUGUAUAAAGCUUGAUAUUUGUUUAAUUUUUGUUUGGAUUCUUUAUUUUAUUUUCAAUAAGUUAGAAUUAUGUUAUAUUUGAGUGUUAUAUGGGUUGUUAUAUUUGAUUGAAUUGUUAGUUCUCUUUAUCUUUGAUACUUAUUUUGUAGGCACCUUAGGGAAUUCUUGAGUUUGAACUUUCUUUUAAAAAAUGUUUUUUAUUAAAUUGACAUUUUGAGUUGAGUCAAAUUUUCUUUUUUCAAAAAUGAAUUUUUCCAUCAUAAGUUUGGCUCCUUGAUCCCAAAUGAAAGGUAGCCAAAAAGGGGAUCCAAUUUAGCUUUUCUCUUAUUUACAAAAUCCUCUUAAGUUAGAAAUCAAAUCUCUAUUUUGUGUUUAUUGAUUAGGAUUUAACAAAUCAUUGGGUCCUUUUUUUUUUUUACUUCCCUUAAAGUCAUUGCCAAAAGCAUUUAAAUCACCAAUAAAAGGUUUUAGAAAACAUUAAUUCUAGCUUUAGGCAAAGAACACAGCUUCUAUUAAAAUUAUGCAACUCAUUUCAUUUAAGUUGCAUUUCUCCUUUGUUGGUUUUUUCUUUUUUUAAAAAAAUGAUUUUUAUUCACAUAGUUUUGGAGUUGUGCUCCCAAACUAAUGGGGAUAUACAGGUAAAACUUAUGAAAAUUGAAUGGGGACUUGAUGGAACCCCUACAUAAGAAAAUCUUUCAAAACUCUUCCUUGCUGCUCAUUUUCACUCAACCACUAACCCUUUAGCUUUAAAAUUUGUUUUAACAAACUUCAUAAUAUUUUUAAAAAAAUUCUGAAACUUGUAUGAUUUUCCUCACUUCUUGAACUUGAAUUUAAAAUUUCGUUUGAGUUAGAAAGUAAUUCUAGAAUAGAAGAUACAAAUGAGUCUUUAGGGGGGUUCUAUUUUCACCUAGUUCUGGACACUAGAAAUACUUUUGUAAAAAUAAAAUAAUAGAUGACUUUUUAAAUUUUGAUUCAAUAUUUUCCCUUAAUUUUAGACUUCUUGAAAUUGAUCUUAAACAUAUAAAAUAUUAAAAAAUAAUCAUUAUAGAGGGAGAUGUGAUUUUUCAAAGUCAUAGAUGGAAUUUGGACAUUUGAUUAGUUGGAGUGUUUUAAAAAUAUUUUUGAGUAUUAUCUAACCUUGGAUUUAUGUUUUCUAUGAUAUAGAUACUUUGAACGAUGUGUGUGAUUUUUUGUAUGAGUUUAUCUUAUUAGUUCCACUUUCCUUCUUUUUUUUUUUUACCUAAUCUAGACUUUGUAGAACUUUUGGGGUGUCCUUGCUGCAAUCUGUCAUUUGAAUGAGUGUUCGGUUUUUGGUAUGUUGUUCUAGAUGUGUAGGUGUUGUUUCUUGAAAUUUUUUGUGAUUAAAUUCCACUCCAAGACAUUUUUAGAAAUUGUUUUGUGAUGCUCCCUUUACUAAUUGCAUGCUGAUGAUCUUGUACUUUGUCUAAAUUUGUUAUUUAUUUUUGGGGUCAUUUGACUUAUCUUGGCUCAAUUUUGGCUUUGGUACUGUACAUUAGACAUAAUGAAUAUGUUAUAUAAUUUAUACUUGUCCUAACCACUCUAACAUUUUUUGAGGAAUCUUAUAAAUUAUAUAUACUGUCCAGGUACGCUCUCUAUCACUUACUUUUUGAAAUUUUAUGAACAUGCAUGUUGUUGUGAGCUUUAUUUAUGUUUGAUUCCAUCCUUGGUUGCGUAGAUGUCUAUUCGAUUUGCUCUGAUUAAAUACAUGUCGUAUGCUAUAUUUUUGUCCUAACUUUAAUGUCUUAUGAUGGCGCUUGAGAAGCAGUCCAGGUACACAUCCUAACAUUUCUUUGCGAUUGUGAUUUGAUUUCUUUUUGGCAUGCUAGUUCUAAAAUCACCUUAGCCUACCUAGGUACCUUCAAUCAAUUGAUUAAUUUCCACUUUUCCCUCGACUUAGUCAAAAGAGACCUCUUUAGGGCUUAGAGGGGUCCUACCUCUUAGAGGUACCUUUCCAAUAGGUAACCUGAUCCCCAGACCAAGACUUGGGUUUUUCAAGACUUGCUUUUCCAAAACUAUGGAGUCACUUCUUUAGGGUUUGCUUUCUUGUUUUAUUUUUCAUUUUAAAAUCAAAUAAAAUAAGUGGUGACUCAAACUUUUCCAAAACUAAUUUUUCAUCAAUAAAAAUGAGUCUCACCGAUUGAGUGGGGACGCACGUGAAAAAUAUGGGUCCACACAGUUGCAAACCCCCAAAGCAAGGAAUUUCUGCGGGCAACAACUGAAAAGAGAUGAGUGAAUUCAUUAGCUUGGAUUCUAGUCCUUUACAUCCCUUAAAUGAUAAUACUUCAAGGUUUUCCAAAAGAGAAAUAGAGGGUGGCAACUCUUUUAUAGUAGUUCUUGCUGCUUCGAGCUUCUCUAAACCUUGUAUGCUCCCCAAACCCUCUAGCAAAUUUUCUAGUUUUGAGCAACCAAACAGAAUAAGAGUUUGAAGAGAUUUCAACUUACAAAUGCUAUGUGGAAGAAUUGCAAGGCUUUUGCAUUCUCUUAGAUUCAACAGAACAAGUCCAUUUAGAUGUUGGAUUGAUGAAGGUAGCUCUUUUAUAGCAGUUCCAUCUAAGAAAAGUUCAAACAAACUCCCCCUAUUUUCCAAGACUUCUGGAAGCCCUUUAAGUUUUAAGCAAUCUGAGAGAAUAAGAAUUUCAAGGGAUCUCAACUUAUAAAUACAACUUGGUAAUGACUCAAGGUUUUAACAGUUCCUCAUAUUUAACAGAACAAGUCCAGUAAGAUAUUCAAUCGACAAGGGAAAUCAUUUUAUUGCAGUGCCCUCCAAGGAAAGCUCUGAUAAAUGUUUCAUGCACCCUUGGACCUCUAGAAACUUCUUGAGUUUCGAGCACCCGGAGAGUAUAAUAAUUUCAAGAGAUUCCAUACAAAUGCUUCUUAGAAAACUCAUAAGAUUCUUGCAGCCUUCUAAAUUAAGACGAAACUUGCAAAGAUUAUAAUCAUAUACCUUGAAUCAUUUCCAAAGUUGUUCAACUCGAUUGUAACUCAUAUUUAGCUCGACAAGCUACUCAGGAUGAAAAUUUAAUGGGAGGAAUUUCAGAGGCUAUCCAUACCAAUAUAGACAUCUUAAGUUGUUCGAUAGAAAUUUGAAGUCUCUAGAAAGAAGCAAUUUAUAGUCUUUGAAUUGAUUGAGUUUAUUCAUCCUCGUGCAAGCAUUAGAAUCAACACAUAACUCUUUCCAAGAAAAAUAUUCAAAGCUUCCACAUAGUCGCACGUUACAGACUGAGUAAUCUUAAUUUGUUCAUCUUCAUGAAGGCAUCAAAACUGACGUGUAGUUCCUUUGAUGCUGACAAGUCAAGGACUAUGCCUUCAACUACUUCAGUCCCUUGCAAUUAACCAGGAACAGAGUAUGAAUUGGAAAUUAAAAUCACAAAAUUCUAAAAGAAAAAGCACAAAAAGAUCAAACUAAUGACUUGUUCUCUUUUUUUUUAGGCAGUGUUCAAGGAAGCAAGUAUGAAGAUAAAAGAAAAUGCAUCUACUUAGACAGAAACUCAGGGAAAAGUUAGCAAAGGAUUCAAAUCAAAUAAUUCCCCCAUCUUUAUAUCUGCCUUUGCAUAAAUAUGCAAUACCUUAUUAAAAUUGUACAUAUAUGUGUGUUUCUCAAAUGAGUUGAAAUUAUCCAAACUUCAUCUUCACCUAGAGCUUAUAUAUACAAAAAGGGAACACACACUCACACAAAGUUCAUGUAUUUAGGUCUUACCGUGUUUCUAGUUAAUGCAUCACUGACAUCUUCAUGAAUCCACAGUCUGCUGUGUUUUAUGGGAUAUUUAAGAGAUUCUUGCCAAACAAUUUUCCAACCCAUUUCUUGUAACAAAUCAUGCAUGCACAACUUAUUAUCUGAAACAAUUAUGAGUGACUUAUCAACAAGAACCCUUAUUCCAAUAUCCAGAAAGAAACCACAACUCUCUAGUAUUUCUGUGAUAAAAUCUUUGUCCUCCAAUUUACAGAAGCAUGUAAUAUCGAGAAAUAUAUAUCUCUCUCUUUGUCAUCUAAUCCAUCAAAACCCAUUUUAAGCACAUUCUAAAUUUCCAUGUUGGGAAUUCUUUUUAGUUUGUCCAAUUCACUUUUCCAUUCAAGUAUGCUCUUGCUAUACAAAAAAGCACCCAAGACUUUAAGAGCUAAUGGAAGACCCUUACUAUAAUGUAUUACAUCAUUGCAUAGCUGCAUAUAAUCUUCUCCAAGGUGGUUAUGUUUAAAGGCAUACUAACAAAAGAGUUGAAAAGCUUCACUAUCCUCUAAUCCCCUAACUUUAUAAAUUGCGCUGACUCCAUGUGUAACAAGCAAAUGCUUUUCUCUGCUAGUUAUAAUAAUUCUACUUCCUGAACCAAACCAAUCAUGGUUUCCUGCUGAAUAUUCUAACUAUUCCAAGUUAUCCACAUCAUCAAGAACAAUAAGAACCUUCUUAGAGUGGAGUCUAUCCUUUACAAAAUUGAUUCUUGUAUUGGAAAUUCCUACAUUUAGAUUUCCAUCUUUCAAUGUAUUUGAGAGAAGUUCCACUUGUAAAUUAUCCAGACCACGUUUUUGUGAUCUUUCUCUGACAUUUGCAAGAAAACAACAACCUUCAAAUUGAGUGUAAAUUUUCUCAUAAAUAGCUCUAGCAAUAGUUAUCUUACCUAUGCCACCCAUGCCCCAAAUUCCUACACUUCGAACAUUAUCCAACCCAAUACACAACGGUGAAUCCAUUGCCUUUAUGUGGGAAUCCAUUCCAACCAGCCCUUCAGCAUAGCUCAAGGAUGUACCAAUCAAUUUAUUAGAUAUAUCUGUGACAAGUUCCUCAAUAAGUAUAGAUUCAUGCUUGCAAAUUUUGAGGGAAAAAAAACAAUCAUUUAAUGAAUUCAAGGAUCCAUUAAAAAAACAAAAGAAAAAUUAGAUAAAUCAUCAGUGAUUUAGUCUUGUUUUUGGCAACUUAAAAGUCAUAUGGCAAGCUUAUAUCUAAGAUUUUUUCCAGUGUAAGUGUGUGUGUGUAUGUGUGUGUGUGUGAGAGAGAGAGAGAGAGAACUGUAUUGCUAUCUAGACAGAGACAAUCAAACUAGAUUAUAAUAGCAAGCAUCAGCCGCACUUCCUAGUAGUCUGCAUGAGGAACUUCUCAGAAGUGGUCAGGAUGGAAAUACUAGAAAAGCCAGUGGAUGCAUGUUUAAGACUGCAAUAGCAUUGAUUGACAGUAGGAUUACAAUUUCCAAGUUAAGCAUAUUGGCAGGCAAAAAUUCUCUUCCAAAUGGUUGAAAAAAUUAGGGAUUACCAUCCAAAAGGUUUUAGAAGCAUGACUAUCCAAUGGGGUUGGGGCACACUACUUAGGCAUGAAAGAGAGCAUGCCAAGGAGUCAUUGGAAAGGAUGAAAAAGCACUAAUUCAAGGUCAACUUACCAAUGGAAUAAAGCACACUAAGGGCAAAUAUGCUCAAGAUAGGGUAAAAGGUUUUACAGUGUAGUCAUAACAUUCUUGCUCAAUGUGAUUAGGACCGACCGAUGUGUAGCUUCGAACACCUUCUGCAGAAAGGAGGGAAAGGGUCAUUGAUAUUAUGGUCAAGUGGGUUGAAAUCACAAUUUGAUGAGGGUCGAGAAAAGCUCGAUAUGUUGGUGCAUUGGAUCCAAGUUAUUCCGUCUUCAUAAUUUUGAUCACAGCCAUGAAGAGAUUUCCUUGCAUAUGUGAGAUCAUGUUCAUCUAAACAUCAUUCAGUCACAGGCAGCAAAAUACAACUUAAUCCAUACAUGGGUUUAAGUCAAUCAUCUUGGAUCAAUCUCUCUAUUGAUCAUCCUAUGAUUUCCAAUUUUAUAUGGCUAUGCAAGCUUUAAAGUUUCAGCAUCAUUACAUCAUACACCUAAAAGGCAAAGGAAAAAAAAAUUGCAGUUAAAAAUACCCAUCUCGAGAAUCCCAUCCAGAAAUAUUGGCAGCUUCAGUCAAAGCCACUCUCCACUUGAUCACUUUCUCCAUCUGCUCCUUAUAAACCUCUUCAUGCUUAGCAAAUGCUUGUGCAAAACUCCCUGUCUGUUUCCUCACAUGAGAGGGAUCCACAUUGUAGAAAACUGGUAAAGCUGCAUGUCCCAUCACUUUGGUGCAGUCAAUAAUCUUGACAAGUUCCUCCAGACACCAUGUUGAAGAAGCAUAAUUUUCAGAGAAAACGAUGACGGAGAAUCUGGACUCUUCGAUUGCUUUUACAAGUGCUGGAGAGAUCUCUUGCCCUCUACUGAGCUUGUCAUCCAUGAAAGUCUUGACUCCUCUUUGAAACAGAGCUCUAUGAAGAUGGUCAGUGAAGCUUUUGCCGGUGUCUUCCCCUCUGAAACUCAGGAACACGUCGUACUUCCAUUGAUGUGUAGAAGAUGAAGAUGAAGAUAAAGAAGCCAUUAAAUUGGAAAAUUGAUAGCUUAAUUGUGGGACAGAAUUAUAAGUGAGUCAGAGAAUGAAUAAAGACUAAACUGAACUGAAGAAAAUUAUAUAUGGCUUGACAUGCAAAUAGCAAAUCACUAUGUGCCCAGAAGUUUCUUGUGAUUUUCUUGUGUGCUGCCAUUGAAUUUCGAUCUACUUUCAGUAAAGUGGUCAGACUACUUCGGAAUCAAAAGGCCAGCUUUUUAUAAUUUACAAAAUAAGUUUGUUUGAGCCGCUUAGCUUUAUCGUUGGGAAAGUUCUUCACGUCCAACUUUUUAAUAAUUUCUAUGCUAGCUAGGGAUCCAUUUGAUAAUUUCUUGUAGUGUCUACAUGUUUAUCACAUGGACAUCUUCAUUUAUAUUAAUAGGAGUCCAUUUGGUAUUUCAAAAAUAGUUAAAGGGGCUUUGCUUAAGAAAAGCUUAGAGAUCAAUUAGAAACACUGUUUUUAGAACCCAACUAGCUAUUGAAUCAAAAAAGUUAUUGAUUCAUGAUCGAACCAAUGUUUGAAGCACAGUCAAAUUGGUAUAAAUAUAAAUAUAUAAAUUAUAUAUUAAAAAUAAAUUAUAAAAUUAUAAAACUUAUUUUUCAUCUUUGAUAUUACCAAACUUAAAUCAUGAAUAAAUAUAAAUGUAAAUGUAUUAAUAUUUUAAAUUUUAUAAAUAAAAUUUGUAUAGCAUUCAUAUGUAAAGAAAUAUAUUUAAAUAGAAUAACAUUCUUUUAUUCAUAAUUUAUUUUACUUAUAUUAUAUUAUUUAGUUAUAUUAAAAAAUUUAAAAUAAUUAUGUUAAUUUUAGUUUAGUUUGCAUUUUUUAAAUUAUAAUCAUUAAUAACAAAGUGGUUAUAACCUAAACAUGAUGUAAAGGUCCAUGGUUUAAACCCUCGGUUCCUCAUUGUUUUAUUGGUCUCAUUAGGUGGGCUAGGCUUGGUAUGUGAAGGACUAACCUUCCACCCAUGAACCAACCUUUUAGUUGAUGAAAAAAAAAGGCUAACCUAGAACUGACAGGCCAUGGUUCAAAGUUGUGGUCGCGGUCACUAACUUGGAGGGUCCUAAAACACAUCAGUCUUGACAUCUCAGCUUGAUAUCAGAUGAUAUGUAAAAUAAGAUAAAUAAAAAUUAUAAAAUUAUAAUAAAUAUUAAAAACAAAUAAAUAUAAUUAAAUAAACUUAAAAAUUAAUAAAAUAAAAUAUUAUGAAAAUUAAAAUUGUUCAAUAAAUUUUUAAUAUUGAAAUUGAAAAUAAAAACUCUUUAAUUACCAAACUCAAAUUAAAAAAUAAAAUAAAAUAUGAUGAUUUUUACCACACAUUAGCAUUUAAAAAUUGAAACAAUAAAAUAAUAUAUAUUAUUGAUACUAGCAUUUAAAACAACAAAUAUAUUGUUGAUAAUGGCAUUUAAAACAAUAAAAUAGUGCAUUAGACCUGCAUUCAAAUCUUCAAUUCUCAAACACCGCCAACCCACCCAUGAAUAGAGAGAGAGAAGAGAACCCUAGCAAAAGUAGAGAGCUUCCUCUGCAACCCACACCCACUCCCACGCCGACGUCGGCGACACUACGGAGAUGAAGUAGAGAAAUAAGAGAUCAACACCCAAGAUCGUCGCUAAUGAAGGAGGAGGGGUCCACGAAGGUGUUGCAGUCCACCCUGUGGUGAGGCUAGCAAAGAAAUGCCCUCCACCUCCUCUUCUCAUACACCUCAAAGACAAUCACGGCUUGGACUAAAAAACUUUUCAAUGACUUCAUUGGGGUCAUCUUCUUCAUCAUGGGUCUUCAAUCAUGGGUCGUGAUUCUCAUGAAAAUUUUUUCCUUUGAAGAGUCAUUAUUUUAAAAAAAUUUAUCAGUUAUGGUUGUUGUUUUGGUGUUUUUUUUUCUCAAUUUUGGGUGUUGUUUUGCUAUGAUUUAGAGGGACAUUUGUUUGUAUUGAGUUUAACUCAAAAAAAAAUUAGUAACUCGAAUGAUUUGCGCAAGUUAACUCAGUAUCUCAACUAAAUCAACUGAGUUUAAUCGAUUCUUGGCCGAGUCUUUACUUCAAAUGGCAUGGAGUAUCGGAUUUGGCGUGGAAGGGGUUGAGGCGGAUACAACUCGUCGAUACUUUGAACCAUGCAACAGACUGGUUCAUUGACUCACUAGUCCAACUGUUAGUCUAUCCGAUUCAAGGCGGAUUCAUUGUGUACUCCAACUCAAAGGCCAAACUAGACCAGGCUUCAGUCGACAGUCCGGCUUGGUCCUGGUUAGAUUUUUUAAUUUAUCCAAACUUUUAAGAAACCUCAAAUGUAAAAAAAUAUUGAUAAUAAUAAUAAUAAUAAUAUGUUUUUCAACUUUUGAAAAAGAAAAAAGGAAAAUAUAUUAUUAUUUUCUAAUAGUUAAAUUGCAUAUCAUGUAAUGGUAAAGCUUUAGAGGAAUCUUAAAUAUAAAAAACUAUUAUUACCAUCUCCAGUUUCUCAAAAUGAGAAAAUUGAAUUUUAUUUCCAACUACAAUAAAUUGUAUAGAUUGAUAAAUAUAUAUAUAUAUAUAUAUAUAUAUAUAUGGGUUUUAUAUGCAUCUUAGGGUGUGCUUGGUAUAUAAGAAUGAUGAAUGAUAAUGAAUAUUUUAUUUCCAUUUUUAUUUCCUCUUGAAUAGGAAUGAAUUUGGUGAUUCUAAUUCUUGUGUUUGGAUGCAUAUAGGAAUGUAAAGUUGGAAUAACAAUUUGUUUCCAUUUUAAUGUUAUAAAAAUGGGAAUGAAAAUGGAAAAAAAAAAUUAUUAUCAAUAAUAUUCAUACAUAGGGUUUAAAAUUUUUUUUUUUUUAAUUUUGAGAGUUUUUUCUGCUUAAUAGUAACAAUCUAUUUCGGUGUAUGAUUUAAAAAAAAAAUUAAAAAUUAUACCUAGUUAUUAUUCUUUAGAAACAAUUUUUAAAAAUAAAGUAAAAUACAGAAUUGUCAUUCCAUUUUUUUUUUCAUUUGAGAAAAUACAUUUCAAAUCAAGUGAACUUUGUAUUGAAUUUAUUAAUAAGUUUAAUAAUUUAAAACUCAAAAAAUAUAUGUAAUGAUUAUAAAAAACUAAUUAAUUAAUAUUAGAUUAAAUAAAACAAUUCAGAAUGUCAUCUUCGUAAUUGAGUAAUAAAUAUAUGCAUAUAAUGAAAAUUUUGGCUUAUACCUUACAAUUUUAAGGGCAAGAAAGUGAUCUAAUGCGGGUUGCUUAGUAUGAAAGGAUGCUUUAAAAUUUAAGAGCUUUUUAUGGAGCUCAUCAAAUGUAAUUGGGGUGUCAUGUGCUUGAACGACAUAGACUAGUUCUUUGUAUUCGUCAACAAGGCCAUAAAAGAUUUUCUCCAUGGCAUCCUCUUCAUCCAUUAGGGCACCAAGGAGAGUAAGUUCAUUGGCACGGGCUUUAAUGGUAUGUAGGAAGGCAGUCAUGCUUUGCAAACCCCUGGUGUGAUUCUUAAGGUGGUUGUUGACUUGUUUAAUGUAGACAUGUGAUAGUUUGACAUAGGUAUUGGUGAAGAUGAUUUAUGCUUCACAAGAGGUUGUGGCACAAGCAAUGAAUGGAAGUAUGGUGGGUGAAACAGAGCCAAUAAGUUCAUUUAGGAUCAAUUGAUCUUGACGAAGCCAUGAAGAAUAGGCUGAGUUGGGUAUUACAGUGUCAUUGGCAAUGAGAGUGGUGGGUGGACAAGGUUUGGUUCUAUCAAUAUAGCUAAGGAGGUCAAAGCCAAUAAACAGUGUUUGGAAUUGAAACCUUUAUGAUAUGUAGUUGGUAGUGGUUAGUUUAAGUGGGGCUUGAGCAAAAACAUUUAUUGAGAUGAGUAUUUGGUGUGAUUCAUGGGUGUUGUGAAUCUUGAGAGUAGAAGUUGUAGAAGUGGUGGCAUCUUAGGUGGCCAUGAGGCUAUGAUGAUGGGGAGGAGCAUUAGAUAGCUUUGGCAGAGAAAAAGAGAUAAGGAAAAACAACUGGUAGUGAGGGUUUUCAGGUCAAGAAGCUUGAAUGCUCUAAUGCCAUAUUAAAGAAUGAGAAGCUAAAUUAUUGCGUUUUUUUUCCUUUGAUUAUGAAGAAUAUAUAUAUAUAUACAUAUACAAAGAAUAUAAAUUUGGAAAUUUUCCUAAUUACCUAAAAUGAUAACCUAGAAUAAAACUAAUUUACAGUCAAUACGUUAUUUAUAAAAGGAAAAAAAUUAUCUAUAAAAGAAAACAAAUUAUCUACAAAAGAAAACAAAAUAGUGAUUGAAAGAGAAUAUGUUAACUUCCUUUAUUAGCGACAAGUUCAACACUCCCCACAUCACGAGGUGUAUUUGGAACCAUGUACAUAUCUCUGUUCUUGAAUUUCAUUAAUUAAGAUGUCCAACUUUUUUGCCUUUCAAAGAAAUUUCUCCUUCUCGUUAAUUUGAAAAUUGUAAUGGAAAGCUUCAAAAAGCAUCAAUAGUCUCCCAAUCUAUCACCAAUCAAACUACAAAUGCCACUAUACAAGGUUUGCUACCAUCAUAUGACCUUUUUGUUGAAAUGAUGACAUUGCCCUUUGUAUAGUGGUGUAACAUGCUGAUUACUACUCAAAAAGUACUUUUUUAUAGCUUGAAACUAACUGUUUUAAACACUUUUAAGUAGUAGUUAAUACCUUUUAAUUUAAUUGGCACAUUAAGGAACCUAGCAAAGGUUACUAAUCAGUUUUUGACAAGUUUUGAUGUUUUUGGUAACUAUUUGAUCAUUGAAACAAGCUAAGAAUGAGGGAGAAUUUUGUGAAAUCCAUGGCAAUGCAAGUUGAAGCUCAAAUACAUUAAGAAUCCGAGCUUUGGAGCACUACAUAGCCCUUUGUCAAGCUAAUCAGAGAUGCAAGGAAGAAAACCAAAGGAAAAAGUCCAACAGUCAGCAUUUUUGCAUGGCUAUGUGAAAAUUUUGCAUAGCAUGCGAAAUCAAGAGGAGGAGUAGUUGUAGGACUGAGAGCAAGACUGAGUGAAAGACAAUUUCGCAUGGCUGUGCAAAUUUUGCACACCAUGGGAAACCACAAGAGCCAGCCAAAGAAAUUUAGCACAUCAUGCGAAAUUUCUCAUGGUAUGCGAAAUCUUCCUGUGCACCGACUCCGUUAGAUUUUUAUCUUCAGAUAUUUUGUGUAAUUUCCUAGUUUCUCCGUGUAACCAACCUAGAUAUUUUCUUUUAUAUCUUUUUAUAUAUCUUUUAGGUAACAUCAUAUAUAGAGGAGAAGACAAAGGGAGAAGAGAGAUGGUUUUUUUCAUUUGAACACUUGUAAAAAUUCUCAAAGUAAGAAAUAUACAGAGUUUUUGCUCUGUCUUCCCUUCUCAUUUUGUUUUCACUUUUCUUUCUAUCCAAACAACCUCUGAGGAUGAUUUCUCAGGGGAUGAGUGGCUAGGUUUUACAUUUCUUGGAGUGAUGGAAGCUAGGUGAAGGACCUGAAUGUAAAGGUGAGAGUUGUCCUUGCUUUAAAUGAAAGUAGUUGUUGACCAUUAAUGGUUUUUAUUUCAAGGUUUAGCUUUAAGUCCCUUAAAAGCACCUUGAAUGGCCAAUACUUGGUAACCUUUUCGGAUUCUAUGGAUGCUUAUUACUAGAUCCAUGGAUGUCUAUUAUUUAUCAUUUACGAGCCAUUGGAAGGUGGUUCAAGGUGAGGGUCUUUAGUAUUUGAAGCCAUUAAUGGGAAGCAACUAUCAUUUUUCAUGAACCCUUUGGAUCAAAUCUUAAUUUCUAAAUACUAAACUGGUUCGGGAGAUAACCAUCCUUUAUGUUAUAGUCCCCAAUGCGAGGAGAAGAUCCAGAAUCUCCCCCUUUGCCUAAGGAAUCCGAUCCUAGUGACCUAAAGCUCCAAGAGACUUUUUCUUUAUAGUUAACUUCAGUUAUUAUUUUUGCUUAACUUAAAAGCAAUCUUUGCAACCACAAUUCUAUUUUCUUUAAAAGCUAAUUUUCAUAAGGAAAAACACCAUUUUAUUUCCUCCACUAAAGUCAAUUGUACGAUGAAAACCCAUCCCUGUGGACGAUCCUAAAGUCGCUAUACUAUGUUAGCUAUGCUACCCUAGUGUAAGGUGAUUUAGGUUUUAUAAAUUUUGUUGAUAACACCCGUCUAGGCCAGAAUCAAAUGGCACGACUGCAAUGGGGACAAAUCAAAUGGCGCCGCUGUCAGGGAUGGUGCCAAAGUACAUUGACAUGACUUUUGGUGAACACUUGUGAUCUUCAUCACAAGGUUGGUGAUUUUUUUUCUUUUACUAAUUCUUUUUCUUUGUCUAUAUUCUAGCUUAUCUUUUAUUUAAUUAUUAGCUAACCUUAACUUUUUCCUAGAAUUGUAUUUCUUUUGUUUUCUUUGUUUUUGUUUCAGUGAUAUCUAGUUGUGCAUGCCCUAUUGGAUAAGAGAUAUUGAGGGAAGACUUGUGAAGAUUGAAACUUCUCAAGAAGCUGAGUUGGAAGUAUUCUUGAACAUCAUGGAUGUUCCAUCUGAAGAUUAGAAUAGCUAACAUGGUCAAGAGAAUAAUUUCAAUGCAUACCGAUCCAUGAGGGACCGCAUGCAUCCACCUCGUAUGAUAAUCUGACCUCACAUUGUGCCACUCCUACCUACUUUCCAUGGCAUGGAAAGUGAGAAUCCCUACUCGCAUAUUAAGGAAUUCGAGGAGGUUUGUAAUACAUUCCAAGAAGGAGGAGCUUCAAUUGACUUGAUGAGGCUCAAGCUAUUUCCUUUCACCUUGAAGGAUAAGGCCAAGAUUUGGCUUAAUUCUCUAAGGCCAAGGAGUAUCCGAACUUGGACUGAUUUACAAGCCGAUUUUCUUAAGAAUUUCUUCCCUACUCAUAAGACCAAUGGUUUGAAAAGACAAAUUUCGAACUUCUCAGCUAAAGAGAAUAAGAAAUUUUAUGAGUGUUGGGAGAGGUACAUGGAAGCUAUUAAUGCUUGUCCUCGCCAUGGCUUUGACACAUGGCUCUUAGUGAGCUAUUUUUAUGAUGGUGGGAUGUAUGUUUUGAAUGAAGAAAUUAACAUGAAGGCAAAGGUUGCAGCUAUGGCAAGGAGAUUGGAAGAGCUAGAAAUGAAGAAGGUACAAGAAGUGCAAGCCAUUUCUAAGACAUCAGUGCAGGUUAUGCCUUAUUCCAUUUGUCAAUCUUAUGAGCAACUUGGUGGAGGAAUGUCCUACCAUUCCAGCAGUGAGAGAUGUUUGGUGAUCAAGCAAAUGUUAUUGGUCAAUUCAAGCCCAAUAACAAUGCUUCAUAUGGCAACACCUACAAUUCAAAUUGGAGGAACCAUCCAAAUUUCUCUUGGAAACCAAAGCCACCUCAAUACACACAACCUACUCAAGCACCUCAGCAAGCCUUGAAUCUUGAACAAGCAAUUGUGAACCUUAGCAAGGUUGUGGGAGACUUUGUGGGAGAUUCGAAGUCCAUCAAUGCUCAAUUGAAUAAGAGAAUUGACAAUGUGGAGAGUACAUUGAACAAAAUGAUGGAUGGAAUGCAAAAUGAUCUAUCUCAAAAAAUAGACAAUGUCCAAUACGCAAUCUCAAGGCUUACCAACCUCAACACAGUGCAAGAGAAAGGAAAGUUUCCUUCUCAACCUCAUCAAAAUCCCAAGGGUAUCCACGAAGUGGAGGCUCAAGAGGGAGAAUCUUCAAAGGUAAGGGAAGUCAAAGCAGUUAUCACCUUGAGGAGUGGUAAAGAAGUUGAUCAGCCCACAUCCAAGCGAAAGCAUGAUGAAAAGAGUGCAGAAGAAAAAGAAAAGAGUGAGGAAAUGAAAGGAAAGAGAAAAAGGAAAAGUACAAAGAAAGAUGACCAUGAUUCUAGUGUGGAUGAAGAACCCGAGAGGAUAGUCAUCAAGGAAGAUAUGACGAAGAAACACAUGCCUCCACCUUUCCCCUAAACUUUGCAUGGAAAAAAGAGAACCAAUAAUGCAUCAGAAAUUUUUGAAGUAUUGAGGCAAGUGAAGGUCAAUAUCCCUUUCCUAGACAUGAUCAAACAAGUGUCGACAUAUGCAAAAUUCUUGAAGGACUUGUGCACUGUAAAGAGAGGGUUGAAUGUGAACAAGAAAGCCUUCUUGAUUGAGCAAGUGAGUGCCAUCAUACAGUAUAAGUCACCAGUGAAGUACAAAGAUCCAGGUUGCCCUACCAUCUCAAUGAGUAUUGGAGGGACUUGUGUAGAGAAAGCUUUGUUGGACUUGGGAGCAAGUGUGAAUUUGCUACCUUACUCUGUCUACAAGCAGUUGGGACUUGGAAAGUUAAAGUCAACAUCCAUCACUCUAUCUCUGGCAGAUAAAUCACUGAAGAUUCCAAGAGGGAUGAUCGAAGAUGUCUUGGUUCAAGUUGACAAAUUCUACUAUCCAGUGGAUUUUGUUGUUCUUGAUACAGAUUCGGUUGUCAAAGGAACUAAUUAUGUUCCUAUCAUACUUGGAAGACCAUUCCUAGCUAAAUCAAAUGCAAUCAUCAAUUGUAGGAAUGGAGUCAUGCAACUCACGUUUGGCAGCAUGACAUUAGAGCUCAACAUUUUCCAUUUGUACAAGAAGCAUAUCCAUCUGGAAGAAGAAGAAGAAGGUCCAGAGGAAGUGUGCAUGAUUGACACUUUAGUGGAAGAGCAUUGUGAUUAGAGAAUGCAAGAGGAUUUGAUUGAGAGUUUUGGGGAUCUUGAUGAAAGGUUACCUAAACCCUCAGAUUUGCUUGCUAUCCUACCCCCAUGGAGGAGGAGAUAAGAAAUUCUACCCUUAUUUAAUGAGGAGGAGACACAAAGAGCUACUAGGGAGGAGCCCCCAAAGCUUAUUCUUAAGCCACUACCCACAGAGUUGAAGUAUGCAUACUUGGAAGAAGACAAGAAGUGCCCUAUUGUUAUAUCUUCAGCUCUUACCAUUCAUCAGGAGGAUUGUCUACUUGAAGUCCUUAGAAGAUGUAAGAAGACAAUAGGGUGGCAAAUUUCUGAUUUGAAAGGGAUCAGCUCUUUAGUCUGCACCCAUCAUAUUUACAUGGAGGAUGAAGCUAAGCCAGUUCGUCAACCUCAGAGAAGGUUCAACCCUCACAUGCAAGAGGUGGUGUGAGUUGAAGUUCUGAAGCUACUUCAGGCCGGUAUUAUUUACCCCAUAUCAAAUAGCCCAUGGGUGAGCCCUACUCAAGUUGUGCCAAAGAAGUCUAGGAUCACGGUGGUGCGAAAUGAUAAGGGAGAAAAUGUCUCUACACGCCUCACUACAAGUUGGAGGGUGUGUAUCGAUUAUAGGAGGUUGAAUGCGGUGACAAGGAAAGACCAUUUCCCAUUGCCCUUUAUUGAUCAAGUGCUUGAGAGGGUCUCAGGGCAUCAUUUUUAUUGUUUCUUGGAUGACUACUCUGGGUACUUUCAGAUAGAAAUUGAUGUUGAAGACCAGGAGAAUACCACUUUCACGUGCCCAUUUGGAACCUAUGCAUACAGGAGAAUGCCUUUCGGCUUAUGCAAUGCACCCGUAACUUUCCAAAGAUGCAUGUUAAGCAUUUUCAGUGAUAUGCUGGUGCAUAUUAUGGAAGUCUUUAUGGAUGAUAUCACCAUAUAUGGAAGUGCAUUUGAUGAAUGCUUGGUCAACCUAGAAACUGUUCUAAACUGAUGCAUUGAGAAAGACUUAGUGCUUAACAGGGAGAAGUGUCAUUUCAUGGUACACCAAGGGAUUGUCCUUGGGCACAUCAUCUCCAAGCAAGACAUUGAAGUUGACAAAGCAAAGGUUGAACUCAUUGUUAAGUUGACAUCCCCAACAAAUGUCAAAGGAGUAAGACAAUUCCUUGGCCAUGUCGGGUUCUAUAGGAGGUUUAUCAAGGAUUUCUCUAAGCUUGCAAUGCCUCUUUGUGAACUAUUGGUGAAGGAUGCUAAAUUCAUAUGGGAUGAUAGAUGCCAAAGUAGUUUUGAAGAAUUGAAGCUAUUUCUGACAACCGCACCAAUAGUGAGGGCUUCCAACUGGCAACUGCCCUUUGAGGUAAUGUGUGAUGCCAGUGACUUUCCUAUAGGAGCUAUUCUUGGGCAAAGAGAAGAUGGAAAACCCUAUGUGAUCAAUGAUUACUACUCAAAAAGUGUUAUUUGAUAGCUUUUAAUUAAUCCUUUUUAACACUUUUGAGUAGUAGUUUAGGCCUUUUAACUCAAUUGGCAUGUUAAGGAUCCUUUAAAGCAAUUUUGAUCACUUUGUGCAAGUUUUAGUGUUUUUGAUAGUAUUUUGAUCACCAAAGCAAGUCAAGAAUGAGGAGAGCUAUGAGGAAUCUUGGGCAAAGCUUAGAAUUCAAUUGCCAAUAGUGAAUCCGGAUUGCAAGGAGAAAAAGCGAAGAGGAUCAGUCAUGGAGCAUAUUCUUGAUGACAGUCGUAGCAGCCACUUUUGGAGCACUUUCUGAAGUCCAAAUGAUGCAAGCUAUAUACCAUUUCAAAGCUCAGGAAGUCAACACUCCAAUUCUUCAAACGGUGUGCAAUUCGGAAUUGAAACGAAGAAGUUGUAGCCAUUACAAGCCAGACACUCUAAAGUGUUGCGGAAUCAGCCAUGUGUUGCGAGAAUUUCGCAGCACUUUUGUACAGUAAGGUGUUUCUCCUUCUAACGAUGCACGAACCAUGCCGCGAGAAGGGAGCUGGAAACCUCAAGAUGGAAGCCAACUUUGCAGCCUAGUGAAGAUAGCUCAGUCUUGCAAGAUAAUUUCGCAGCCCUCUUGGGUGUCUGCGAAAUUUAGCAGGCCUCAUUUUUCACCUGCGAAAUGGCUCCUGAAGCCUCCCGAAGCUUGCUACCGACAUUGGGAGAUAUUUUCCAUUAGAUUUUUGUUGUCUAAAUCCCAAAAUACUCCUUGUAAACCACCAAUUACAUGAUUCCUUAGUUUUUAAGUUAGUAAAAAGACCAAAUAUCUUUGUAACAAUUAGUUUUAUAUUUUGUUGAUAUAUAUACCUCUCGGGAGCCUGUUCUCGGAGAGGAGUUCCUUCUGUAAACGUUUGGUAAGCAAGUAAAGUCUUGUCUUUCUACUGCCUUACCUUCUCACUUUGUAUUUUCAUUUUAUUUCUAAGUUAUGAAUUCUCUGAGGAGUUUUCCCCAGAGAAUGAGUAACUAAACCUCCAAUUCCUUGGAGCUAAGGUUGCCGGGGAAGGUUCCAAGUGCAAGAAUGCAAAGCUCUGUGGUUUUAGCUAGUAAUGAAGAGGAAGUGAAAUCCUUUAGUGAUUUCAAUGUUUUUAGUUAACUUAAAACACCUUAGAGUCACCUGGGCCAACACUUGGUAAGGCAAGUGAUUUCCAACCGUGGAAAUGCACUAGUUUACCCCUUGCGAGCCUCUGGUAGGUGACUUCAAGGUAGGAUUUUCUGGAAUUACCAACACUUGGUAAGCUUUUGGACUCCUAGGAGACAUCCAUUAGUUAUCUCUUACGAGUUUGUGAAGGGGAAUCCAAGGUUAAAAAUCACCUUGAAUGGUAAGUGCUCGUGAGAGGCAUGAACCAUUGCAAGUUGUAUCAGUGAGAGAAUUAAAGUGAAAUCUAAUUGAAGGAGUCUCUGUACAUCACCGGUUAGAGAAUUGACUCUAAGUUGAAUCUCUAAUGCGAGGAAAUGAACCAUCUGACCGGAGCUAUGUCUUUUGNNNNNNNNNNNNNNNNNNNNNNNNNNNNNNNNNNNNNNNNNNNNNNNNNNNNNNNNNNNNNNNNNNNNNNNNNNNNNNNNNNNNNNNNNNNNNNNNNNNNNNNNNNNNNNNNNNNNNNNNNNNNNNNNNNNNNNNNNNNNNNNNNNNNNNNNNNNNNNNNNNNNNNNNNNNNNNNNNNNNNNNNNNNNNNNNNNNNNNNNNNNNNNNNNNNNNNNNNNNNNNNNNNNNNNNNNNNNNNNNNNNNNNNNNNNNNNNNNNNNNNNNNNNNNNNNNNNNNNNNNNNNNNNNNNNNNNNNNNNNNNNNNNNNNNNNNNNNNNNNNNNNNNNNNNNNNNNNNNNNNNNNNNNNNNNNNNNNNNNNNNNNNNNNNNNNNNNNNNNNNNNNNNNNNNNNNNNNNNNNNNNNNNNNNNNNNNNNNNNNNNNNNNNNNNNNNNNNNNNNNNNNNNNNNNNNNNNNNNNNNNNNNNNNNNNNNNNNNNNNNNNNNNNNNNNNNNNNNNNNNNNNNNNNNNNNNNNNNNNNNNNNNNNNNNNNNNNNNNNNNNNNNNNNNNNNNNNNNNNNNNNNNNNNNNNNNNNNNNNNNNNNNNNNNNNNNNNNNNNNNNNNNNNNNNNNNNNNNNNNNNNNNNNNNNNNNNNNNNNNNNNNNNNNNNNNNNNNNNNNNNNNNNNNNNNNNNNNNNNNNNNNNNNNNNNNNNNNNNNNNNNNNNNNNNNNNNNNNNNNNNNNNNNNNNNNNNNNNNNNNNNNNNNNNNNNNNNNNNNNNNNNNNNNNNNNNNNNNNNNNNNNNNNNNNNNNNNNNNNNNNNNNNNNNNNNNNNNNNNNNNNNNNNNNNNNNNNNNNNNNNNNNNNNNNNNNNNNNNNNNNNNNNNNNNNNNNNNNNNNNNNNNNNNNNNNNNNNNNNNNNNNNNNNNNNNNNNNNNNNNNNNNNNNNNNNNNNNNNNNNNNNNNNNNNNNNNNNNNNNNNNNNNNNNNNNNNNNNNNNNNNNNNNNNNNNNNNNNNNNNNNNNNNNNNNNNNNNNNNNNNNNNNNNNNNNNNNNNNNNNNNNNNNNNNNNNNNNNNNNNNNNNNNNNNNNNNNNNNNNNNNNNNNNNNNNNNNNNNNNNNNNNNNNNNNNNNNNNNNNNNNNNNNNNNNNNNNNNNNNNNNNNNNNNNNNNNNNNNNNNNNNNNNNNNNNNNNNNNNNNNNNNNNNNNNNNNNNNNNNNNNNNNNNNNNNNNNNNNNNNNNNNNNNNNNNNNNNNNNNNNNNNNNNNNNNNNNNNNNNNNNNNNNNNNNNNNNNNNNNNNNNNNNNNNNNNNNNNNNNNNNNNNNNNNNNNNNNNNNNNNNNNNNNNNNNNNNNNNNNNNNNNNNNNNNNNNNNNNNNNNNNNNNNNNNNNNNNNNNNNNNNNNNNNNNNNNNNNNNNNNNNNNNNNNNNNNNNNNNNNNNNNNNNNNNNNNNNNNNNNNNNNNNNNNNNNNNNNNNNNNNNNNNNNNNNNNNNNNNNNNNNNNNNNNNNNNNNNNNNNNNNNNNNNNNNNNNNNNNNNNNNNNNNNNNNNNNNNNNNNNNNNNNNNNNNNNNNNNNNNNNNNNNNNNNNNNNNNNNNNNNNNNNNNNNNNNNNNNNNNNNNNNNNNNNNNNNNNNNNNNNNNNNNNNNNNNNNNNNNNNNNNNNNNNNNNNNNNNNNNNNNNNNNNNNNNNNNNNNNNNNNNNNNNNNNNNNNNNNNNNNNNNNNNNNNNNNNNNNNNNNNNNNNNNNNNNNNNNNNNNNNNNNNNNNNNNNNNNNNNNNNNNNNNNNNNNNNNNNNNNNNNNNNNNNNNNNNNNNNNNNNNNNNNNNNNNNNNNCCUUGGUUUUGGUGGGGGGGGCUGGGGGAAAGCCAUUAUAGGGUUGGGGUAGGCCCUUUUCUUAAAACCAAUUGUUUUUGGGAGAGUGGGUAGCCCCUGGGUUUUUCCAAGGGGUUUCAGAGCGGGGGUCAGGGUUUCAACCCCCAGGGUGUAGUGGGGGGGGGGGGGGGCGAUUGUUGGCAGAUCGAAGGGUUGGCCGUGUCCAUCAAUUCCCCUUGUGUUCGUCGUGGGCACUUGGGUGAAUGCACUAUAAGGCUAGGGUAUGCGCCUUCCCUAAAAGCAAUUGCUUUUAGGAGAGUUGGUAGCGCCUGAGGUCCUACACAAGCAAUUAUAUUUGUCCUACUCCUCUACUAUUUGGGAUUGUUUUCCAGUCCACUUUUGGUAAGUGAUCUAGGUUGAAGCUUCCAUAAGCCAAUACUUAAACUAGUUUGAUCUCUAGUUUCACUGUACUACAAAAAUAGAGUAAUUCAAGUGGAAAGAACCAAUAGCGCAUGCAUGACAAGUUUUGUUGUCGAUGAGCUUUACAAAUAGUUNNNNNNNNNNNNNNNNNNNNNNNNNNNNNNNNNNNNNNNNNNNNNNNNNNNNNNNNNNNNNNNNNNNNNNNNNNNNNNNNNNNNNNNNNNNNNNNNNNNNAUGAGUACUAAACUCCAUUCCUUGAGCUAAGUUGCCGGGGAAGUUCCAAGUGCAAGAAUGCAAAGCUCUGUGGUUUUAGCUAGUAAUGAAGAGGAAGUGAAAUCCUUUAGUGAUUUCAAUGUUUUUAGUUAACUUAAAACACCUUAGAGUCACCUGGGCCAACACUUGGUAAGGCAAGUGAUUUCCAACCGUGGAAAUGCACUAGUUUACCCCUUGCGAGCCUCUGGUAGGUGACUUCAAGGUAGGAUUUUCUGGAAUUACCAACACUUGGUAAGCUUUUGGACUCCUAGGAGACAUCCAUUAGUUAUCUCUUACGAGUUUGUGAAGGGGAAUCCAAGGUUAAAAAUCACCUUGAAUGGUAAGUGCUCGUGAGAGGCAUGAACCAUUGCAAGUUGUAUCAGUGAGAGAAUUAAAGUGAAAUCUAAUUGAAGGAGUCUCUGUACAUCACCGGUUAGAGAAUUGACUCUAAGUUGAAUCUCUAAUGCGAGGAAAUGAACCAUCUGACCGGAGCUAUGUCUUUUGCAUGAGGAACCACCCCAGUGAACCUAAAUCUCCAAGGAAUGCUUUUCUUCCUAAAUUAUUCCAAACUUCUGUUAAGUUAGUUAGUUUAAAUCUCAACAAUUACAAAUCAAAGUUUGUGUUUUAUUCCUUAAGCUAACCGUGAAAUGAAACAAGACCAAUUCACUUGGAAUUGGUAUCAUUGAUUGCUUGCAAAUCAUUCCCAGUGAACGAUCCUAGAGCCACUAUACUAUAGUAGCUUUGUAUUUGCUACCCUAGUGUAUGGUGUUAUAGGUAUAAAUUUUGUUGAUCACUUCCUCAAUCAAGGAGCACCAGCUGGACACGAAUCAGCUGAGACACCAAUUAGGCAUGAAUCAAUCUACUAUGCGAGCAAGACAUUGAAUGAGGCUCAAAGAAACUACACAACUACUGAGAAAGAAUUGUUAGCUAUAGUUUUUACCUUGGAUAAGUUUCAUGCUUACUUGGUGGGGUCUUUCAUUGUGGUUUUCACUGAUCACUCUGCUUUGAAGUAUUUGUUCACUAAGCAAGAUGCUAAAGCAAAGAUGAUUAGAUGGAUUCUCUUACUUCAAGAGUUCAAUCUCCAUAUCAAAGACAAGAAAUGAGUGGAGAAUAUGGUAGCAGGCCACCUUUCAAGGCUAGCUAUCGCACAUAAUUCCCAUGGUUUGCCCAUUAAUGAUGAUUUUCCAGAGGAGUCCCUCAUGUAGGUGGAAGUUGCUCCUUGGAAUGCUCACAUUCCGAACUACUUAGUCACAAGAAAAGUUCCAAGUGAGUGGAAAGCACAAGAUAAGAAGCACUUCUUUACAAAAAUUCACUCCUACUAUUGGGAAGAGUCGUUUCUAUUCAAGUAUUGUGCAGAUCAGAUAAUAAGGAAGUGCGUUCCUGAAGAAGAGCAAGAGAGGAUCCUCACUCAUUAAUUUGUUUUUGCAUUAUUCCAUGUACUUGUAUUAUUCUUUUUUUCAGUAUCCAUGAUUAAUUAAUUAAUUGUCAUAAUUCCCUUUUAUGUGCUUAGUAAUAACCUUUUUAAGGCUUAAAAAUGUGCUACUAUGGUACCUCCCAAUAGAUAACUAACCUCUAGAUUCAAACUUGGUUUUUGCCAACAUGUCUUUCCUUUAAAAAUGGAGUUACACAAGGGUUUUAUUUCUUAUUUUGUUUUCUUUUAAAAAUAAACAAAAAUAAAUGAUAACUCCAACUUUAAAAAAAAAAAAAAAUCAGUUUUUUACAAUAAAAACAAAUCUCAUCGUCAAGUAGGAACGUACAUGAAAAAUACGGGUUCACAAUUGUAUUUCUUAGACUUAAAAUAUAAUACGAUUACUAAAUCAACGAAUGUUGUAAGUUUUUAAAUCUUUGAUCAUAAAAGAUUCAAAGUACAAUGAAACAAAUAGUUUUCAAAAGAAAAAAAAAAUAAUGUGUAGGAGCAGACUUAUGGGUUAUUUGCUUGUUAGGAGUAAGUCAAUGAGUAGUAUUAUUGACAUAUUAAGUGCUUGUGACUUGAAAUUAGAUUAUCAUUAUUAUUAAGUCCCAAAAUACAAGGAUUUUAAAUUUUAGAUUAUGCUUAUGCUAUAAGCAACUUUUAAUUUGUAAUGAAGCCAUAGGAGUUAGGCUUCAAGCCUCCAACACCAAACUGUAGCCCAGCUAAAUUGGCUUUGGAUGAGCAUUGUUUGACUCACAAAGUCCCAAGAUUCUCCAAAACACUCCAAAAUCCAAGCUGUUGGCAGAUCGAAGGGUUGCCCGCGUCCAUCAACUCCCCUUGUGUUCGUCGUGGGUGCUUGGGUGAAUGCACUAUAAGGCUAGGGUAUGCGCCUUUCCUAAAAGCAAUUGCUUUUAGGAGAGUUGGUAGCACCUGAGGUCUUACAAGUGGUAUCAGAGCCGAGGUCACGGGUUCAAACCCCAAGGUGUAGUUGGGGGGGGGGGGGGCGAUUGUUGGCAGAUCGAAGGGUUGGCCGUGUCCAUCAAUUCCCCUUGUGUUCGUCGUGGGCACUUGGGUGAAUGCACUAUAAGGCUAGGGUAUGCGCCUUCCCUAAAAGCAAUUGCUUUUAGGAGAGUUGGUAGCGCCUGAGGUCCUACACAAGCAAUUAUAUUUGUCCUACUCCUCUACUAUUUGGGAUUGUUUUCCAGUCCACUUUUGGUAAGUGAUCUAGGUUGAAGCUUCCAUAAGCCAAUACUUAAACUAGUUUGAUCUCUAGUUUCACUGUACUACAAAAAUAGAGUAAUUCAAGUGGAAAGAACCAAUAGCGCAUGCAUGACAAGUUUUGUUGUCGAUGAGCUUUACAAAUAGUUUGUGGAGACCCUUUUCUAGUAUAAUUUGAGACAAUUGCUAGUGGGGUUGCCUAUGAACUAUUGUCCCAGGCUAGUUAGGUUGUUAAACAAUGCAAAUUGAAGAUUUGGGGGCCAAAUGAAAGUAACCAAGUUUAAAGUUGAUGGAAUUACUUAUUAGCUCAAUAUAGAGGCUUAUCUGAAGCACUUUCUCAGUACAAUGCUUCAAGUGGAUUAACUACAUGCAUGCACAAAAGACUUCCAAAAGAAAGGAAAUUUCGUAAGAAUAAUAAAGAGAGCUACUACAAAAUAGAAUAGUCUCUGAACAUAUGUAAUCGAUUGUGCAUUAAUUAAGUAAGAAGACUUCUAAAGUUGGAUAAGUUGUUUAGAAUUUUUAAGAGGGAAUUUGUAAACAUCACAUAAUUGAUCUAACAGACGUUUACCAAGUUCUAUCAUGAUAAUAAAGUAUUGAGGAAAAACUAUACCACCAAAACCAAAUUGUAUUUUCUAAUAAUACUUACUACAUUUCUAUUAAGAAAGAAAAUAUCUAGUGGUAGAGGACAAGUUGAUAGUUUUAGUUUGUGAAUUUUUCACUGCCCAAGCUAACAUCAAAAGAUAUAACAAGACAAAUCCCAUUAAAAUAAGACAAAAGGCUACACAAAAUGGACAUCUUGCUCUUGGUUGAAAAUCACAUUCAAUUGCAAAUCUACCACAUCAAGAAUGCUCCAUUUUUUGUAAUUUUCUCAUACGCAAUCCACAACACUAUUAUUAUAGUUGCUCUACAUGGCUUUUUCUUUUUUUUUUUUGGCUUUCUAGGUUAAUUUUUCUUUGGUUAUAGCUAUAGCUUCAUUGGUCUGUUAAUUCUCUUAUAGGUAAUUCCUCAAACAUGUUGUCCUCAUUGUUGCUAUUAAGUCUUGCAGUAUGAAACGAAAAAUUAAAAUUCUUGUAUUUAAAAUCAAAUGGAAGCACAAGAAUUAAAAAAUGCAAACACAAGAGAAACACUUAAAUCCAAUUACAAAUAGUAGCAUCAAAUUUUCCAUAUCCACAAAAGUCAAGUGUUUAUAUUUCCAAAAAUGAAAAGAAAAAAAGGUUCAUUAAGAGAAGGCCUACAUCUACAAAACAUCAAGGUGUAAGGUUAAGAUAGAGGAAUUCAAUCCAUACCUAAUACAGAGACAUGGAUUCGAACACAUUGACUAGAUUUGAAGAAUGCGAUUCAUCCAUAAGAACUUGUGUAUCAGAAGAGGGUUGGUUUUUGGAGGCACUGGAAGGUGGUUUGAGUAAUGGUGGUGGCUAUUGAAAGGGUCGAUGGUGGUUGGAAGCCAUAAAAGAGGAAGUUAGGUGAAUUGGAGACUUGAUGAAGAAGAUAAUGCAAGCUUUAUAAAAUUUCCUCAAACUUUUCCCUUUCUCUAUCUUGUUUUCCUCACUAAUUUUUAAGGAAAGUAGUAGGGAAAAUACUACGAUAUUUUCUUUAGUAUUUUCCUUUAUACUUUUUUCCAUCAUAUUUUUCAUGUCACCCAAACUAAGGAAAAUAACUUUCUACAAUUUUUUUUUUCCCUUUCCCUUGCAUUUUCUAAAAACUAAACACGUCCUUUAUAAAUAAAAAUUAAGAAUUACAGUAAGACGGUAUAUUCUUCCUCCUUAUUCCUACAUUUCUAAAUCCACUACUCUAUUUUACAUCAUAUUUUUACUCUCUUCUUCAAUCAACAUUCUUCCCUUUAUAUAGAGUUAUUUUCACACCAAUUCAUAAGAUAAGAAAGAUGAAUGAACCUUGGGGCAAGGUUGGACAGCUGGUGGUAGCUAAUCAAGGCUAGAAGUCAACUUUUGCUCGACUUUUUAGGCGUGGGCAGCAAUGUGUGGACCCCUCUUUAGCAUGAAAAUGACUAGAACAUGUUAAGCUCUCUUAUUAGAUGAUGUGUCAACCAUAGGGCAAUCAUCAUAGGGUGGGGAAUAUAUGGUAAUUAUACAAAAAAAAAAGGGAAAGUUUGGCUAUUAUCCUCUCAUAUGAAAAUAUUAUUAAAAUCAAAACCUAACUAUUCUUAUUUCAAAUUAACAACUUUAUUCCCAAAAAUAUUUGGGUCUUCAUGCACUCUUGGCCGAUGUGUUUUUUAAUGUAAAAAAUGUCCUCCCUUUGCCAAGUAAAACUCCAACUAACCCUGCCCACAUGAGAAAAGAAAAAGGCAAAGUUCUUUUUUCUUCAUUUUCUUCAUUGAGCACUGAACCAAACAAAAAAAAUUCCCCAUCUCCUACUCUCCCUAUCAGAAACCCAACGUUAUUUGGAUGCAUUGUUUUUUGAAAUUAUUAUUAUUUAUUUUGAUUUUGUAAAAACAUUGUAAAUUAAAUUUAUAUAAUAUUAAUUAAAUUUUAAACAUAAUUCAAUAUAUAAUAUUAAUUAAAUUUAAUAAAAUUCUUAUUGAAAAUAAAAUUAGUUUUGUAUUUAAACAAUAAAUAGCUUUUAGUAAAAUAGGAAUGGUAAUAUUAUAUUACAAUCACAAAUUUAUAAGCUUUUUUUUUUUUUUUUAAUUUUGUUUACUAAAAAUAUAAGCUUCAAAUUAAAUAAAACUUAAUGUGGUUGAUUUAUUAACAAGUCUAAAUAAUUUUAAAAUCAAAUAGUUAACCAAUUAAUACCAUAAAUUUUUGGAUAAAAAUUGAUUUAUUUUAUUAUUUUUUUAUGAACAUAGUUAUAUCAUUAUAAUUUCUUUAAUUAGAAAAAUAGACUUGAAAUCAAACAAUAUUUUUUGUUGAAUUUAUUUAUUUUAAAUAAUACUAUUAAUCAUUUUUAUUUUUAAAAUAUUAUUAUUAAUUUUUAAUAAAAAAAUCAAUUAUAUCCAUAUUUCCAUAAUAAAGGGUAAAAUGGUAUAACUUUUGUAAAAAAAAUAUAUAUAUAAAUGAGACAAUUGUCUUUUGGACCCGGAUAGACUCAAAAAAUAGGAUUUGGCUCAUGAAAGUUGCAUAAUUAAUGAGAAGAAUAUAAAAUAUGAAGAGAUCAAUAUACCAUUCAAAACUAUUUUCUAUCAUAAUGUUUGAAAACUUUUUUAUCUUAAUUUUUUUAAUAAUUAUUCUGAAAAUUUAUUAUUUUUAGAAAACUAUUUUUUUAAAAAAAUAUAUUAAAAAAAUAUAUCAUUUAAAAAUAAAUAAAUUUGACAUAUUUUCAGUUAUUUUUUAUAUACAUAAUUUAAAUAUAUUUUCUAAGAUGUUUGAUUUUUAAAUAAUAAUAAUUUUUUUUUAUUUUUUAUUUGGAAACUGGUGUAUUUUUUUUCAAAUCACUAAAUUAUAUUAAAUUUUAUUGAGGUUUGCAAAAGAAAUAAAAUUUAAAUUAAUGUUUUUCUAUUUUUUUUGUUUUCAUAGUCAAUAAAGGUCAUUUUUGAAAAAAUAAAAAAUUCAUAUCCUUCUUCUCAAUUUUCACAUUUUCUCUAGAUCUUGAGCUUAAAUAGUGAACUUAUAUAGAUCAAAGCUUAAUUUUUGGGUCCAAUUAGGUCCGAAACACAAUUAUCCCUACAUAAAUUUGUGAUUGUAAUAUAAUAUUACCAUUCCUAUUUUACUAAAAACUAUUUAUUGUUUAAAUACAAAACUAAUUUUAUUUUCAAUAAGAAUUUUAUUAAAUUUAAUUAAUAUUAUAUAUUGAAUUAUGUUUAAAAUUUAAUUAAUAUUAUAUAAAUUUAAUUUACAAUGUUUUUACAAAAUCAAAAUAAAUAAUAAUAAUUUUAAAAAACAAUGCAUCCAAAUAACGUUGGGUUUCACGAAGUUGGGUUUCUGAUAGGGAGAAUAGGAGAUGGGGAAUUUUUUUUGUUUGGUCGAGUGCUCAAUGGAGAAAAUGAAGAAAAAAGAACGUUGGAGUUUUGUUUUGCCUUUUUUUUUUUCUCAUGUCGGCAGGUUAGCUGGAGUCUUGCGUGGCAAAGGGAGGACAUUUUUGACAUUAAAAAACACAUCAGCCAAGAGUGCAUGAAGACCCAAAUAUUUUUCGGAAUAAAGUUGUUAAUUUGAAAUAAGAAUAAUUAGGUUUUGAUUUUAAUAAUAUUUUCAUAUGAGAGGAUACUAGCCAAACUUUCCCAAAAAAAAAUAAUAAUCGUAUCCUAUUAUAUAGAAAGACAUCUUCCAACAUUUGAUAUAAAUAUGUAAAAAUUAAGAGAAAAAUAUUUUUUUUUUAAAAAAACAUAUUAAACUUAAAAAUAGGGACUUAAUAAUAAAAUAAAGUAAAAAGGUAAAAUUAAAACCAAAUGGUAAAUAUGAAUAUAGUUUAAAUAUUAAAAAUAUUAUUAUUUAGGUUAAUUUAAUCAUUGGGUUUGCUAGAGGAGUUUAUAUAUAUAUAAGUUUUUUCUUUUUUUAAUUCUAUCUAUAUUGUUGAUAUUAACUAAAGUGAACUUGUUAUCAAUAAAUUCAGUUUAAUAACGUUAGUUAAUAUCAACAAGUUAUUUUUAGCUAAAUAAAAAAAAAUCAAAUAUUUUACCUUUUUUUUAUUCAACCAAAAAAUAAACACCAUCUAAAAUUUUGGAUAAUAGAAAUGUUUUGACUAUAAACAAAUUUUAUGUGGACCGCUAUCAAAUACCAUGCACAGGGAGAAAUCUAGAUCCUCACAUGCUCUUUGAUUCUAAUGCAUUGAAUUUGAAUGUUACCUACAAUAAAAUUAUAUUUCAUGUCCUCUAUUAUAAGUGGACAACCAUUCCUUAUGUUAGAUUUUAGAUAAUGAACGAAUAUUGAAGAUUAGAGUUGUAAGAAAUUAAGAGAGAAAUUAGGAGAUCCUAAUUUUAAACAUGUAACAAAGUUCUAUAAUCACUUCAAUCCACGUUUAAAAAUUGUAUUUAUUUUUAAUAUGGGAGCAAACUUUUUCUUUCUUUCUUAUAAAUUUCAUUUGGGAGUGAUUUAAAAAUAAAUAAAUAAAAGCCCUUCUAAAUAUUAAAAAAAUACUUUCUUAUAUAAAUUAAUUAAGUGGAUGGUAAAGUCAAAUUUGAAAUAGCUUCAUACUUUUUGCUUUAACCGAAAAUUAAAAUCAAAAUUAAAGUAAUAAUUUUUAAGGGGUAAUGUUGAUGUUAUAAAAUUUUUAUUAAACAUGAAAGAACUUCUUAUCUAAACAAAAAUCAAAUUAUAAAAUUCUCAUAAGAAAUAACAUUUUUAUGACUUAUAUAUGAAACCUUUUUUAAAAGUUAUAAGUUUUAAAAAAAAUAUUAAUAAUAAUUAAAUAAGUAUAACAACUUUUAUUCAACUUGAUCUUUUUUUUUAACUAUUGAGAGUCAAUCCAAAUAAAAUUUAAAUAUAUUUGAAAAUCACUUUUAAAAAUCCAAAAAAAAUCACUUAAAAAUAAUUUAUAAACAUUUUUCAAAUUUUACGUUUAAAUAAAUUUUUUUUUAUGGAUAAAAACAUUACAAAUAAAAAACAUUUUAAUCACAAUUAAUUUGUUUUUUAAUUCAUGAAAUUUCAUUUAUUGUUAUUUGUUUUUUGGGAUUUAAUUCUUUACAAUUAUUUUUUAGUGUUUAUAAAGUAUAAUUAGGUCAUGCCCAAAUUUAUUCCUUUGACUCUAUCUAUUAAGUAUAGGUAGCGUGAAAUUUUGGCCUCUCUCCACCUUUUUUCGCUUCUAACAUUGUCAUGCACUGCUUCGUCAACUCCAGCCACAACUACUGAUGAAUGAUGAUAGAAGAAAAAGAGAAAUGGUCAAUGAAUAAUUUAUUAAUUUAGUUUAUUUCUUAAUUCAAUAGCAUUGGAAUGUCAGCUGGAAUAUUCCAAGUACGUAAAACGAAAGUUUAAUUAUUUAAUCUUUUUUAGCACACCACUCAUGACUCUACAACUUAAAAUAUAGCAUUGGUCAAUUGCAACAGCUUAGUUAAUUGUUAAGUAUCUUUUCUCUAAACCAUAAAUUCAAAUGAUCAAGCUCUACGUUUUAAUUUACAAAAACCAGUGAUUUGUUUUACUAGUUAUUUUAGUUUAAGGAAGCAGAAAAGGGUUUACUUUAAUAUAAAAUUAAAAAAUAAAAAAUAAAAAAUAAUAAAUGGGAGUUGAAAAGUAAUCAAAUCACCGAUUUGGAGUUUUUUCAGUGUGAGGUUAAACUCAAUUUGUGCCCAUGCAAUGGAAAUGGGUAAAUUUUUUCCUUCUCCUUUAUUUUGGUGUAAAUCUUGUGAUAUUAUUAUUAAAAUAGAAGGUAAAAAUAUAAAUUAUAUAUUAUGGACCUUGCAUUUAUGCUCAUGCGCUUCCAUUCAGUGGCGAACUCGCUUUUUAUUUUGAAAAUGAUUUAUUGUUUAGAAAAUGAUUUGCAGUCGUCACUUAUUUUUAUUUUAUUUAAAGGGAAAACAAAAUAAGAAAGAAAACCCUAAAUGUGACUCCUUAUUUAGAAAAAAUGAUCUGUGAAAAAUCAAAUAUGGGCUCGGGGGUCAGGUUACUCAUUAGAAAGGUAUGGUAAAGACCGUAACACCCCUCUAAGUCCCUAAAAACGGGUUUCUACUAAUGAGAUGAAGCAGACGUGUCAAUUGAUUGAUUAAACAUGGAUACCGAAUAAAUAUCAAUCAUAAACAGAAUAAAUGAAUGAACAAGAGGGGCAAAAAGUGUACCUUAGUGAUGAGCUAAUUUGUUUUAUGGCAACAAAGGUUAGUAAACAGACACAGAAUAAUCGCAUACAAGCCAUAGAGUGGAAUAAGUCAAUCAUGUAUAGCAAUCAAUGAGAAAAUCACAUAUGUUGGGUUCCACCAAAACCUGAUUUAUUUUAGCGCUAUUAUUUGGAAUUACAUAAUUAAAUUCAUACUUAUUUUUAAAAGAUCAAGAAAGAUUUGAAAAUUGUCUGUCAAAUAAAAGAAAUGGAAGCAACUUUUAUUCAAAAAGAAAAAAAAAGGAUUUUAUUGACUUUAAGAUUACUAAGAAAAAAUAAAUAAAUAAAAAUAUAAAAUAAAAUAAAAUAAAACUUUUUGAAAAUAAGAUUUUUAAAAAUCAAUUUUUGAAAGAAAAGAUGAAGAACUUAAUAAAUGAAGCAUCCAAGUGCGUUUUAAGAAUGGCCCACCCAAAGGUGCCCAUGCAUGCCAUGCAAGAAUGGGUGCUAGGGUGGAAAUAAUGCUUGCAGAAACAGGGUUCUCAUUCCAUCUUCUCUGCUCAUGCCAUAUGAGAAUCCGAGUUUCUUUGAAAUCAUAAGACCCAGAACCCCUCCCUUCCUUCUGGUAAUAACUAUCAAAUGUAUAUGAGGCAUGGUUCUUCACAUUGUUGGGCUGGUAACAGUCCUCUCCUGGUUGAACCUCUGAGCAAUUUGCUCUUCCCGGUCCACAAACCUAGUCUACGGCAGCCUACAGGGUCGAAAUCUCAAUCUGGGUGUGAAGAUUCACAGCCACGAGAGCGAUGUAUAGUGCCUCAACCUCCAGGAGCAGCAAUGGGUUCAUUGAUGAUGCGCACGACAUCAAGACCAGCAAUAGCUCUAGCAUCCUUUGUUGCCUGGCGCUGAGAGUCACUGAAGUAAGCAGGGACAAUGACAACUGCCUUAUCCACUAUUGAACCAAGGUAGACUUCAGCAAUCUCACGCAUCUUUGAGAGGACCAUAGAUGAAAUCUCUUCAGCGGUAAAUUUUUUCUCUUCUUCUUUGUAAGUGACCACAAUUGUGGGUUUGUCAGACGCUUUGCAUCAAACACAAUGUUGACAGGGUUCAUAGCGACCUGGUUCUUUGCAGCAUCUCCGAUCAACCGCUCCGUAUUAGUGAAAUCAACGUAAGAUGGCAUUGUUCUGUUGCCCUGGUCAUUCGCAAUGAAAUCAACGUAAGAUGGCAUCGUACUGAGCUGGUGACCUCUUAGCUAUAGUUGAUGCAUUGAUCUCUAGCAAAGAGACUUGGUCGUGUAGCUGCCCAUUGGUCUCACUUCUGAAGACGGGACAUGCCUUUUCUAUCACGAAAGCAGCUGCAUCCCCACAAAUCCCAGACUUACCCUGUUGACCUGAAGCAAAAGCUUGCAAGGGAUCCUUAAAUAUAAAUAAUCCCCAGCUCGAUCUGGGUGGAUGUUAGCUGCUCGGAGCGCAUGAGUAACAAUUUCCUUGUCUCAGUUUUCACCGCCUAUACCCAUUAUUCGUUGAAUAGUUUGCCUAAGAUCAUUAACAGAAACUACAUUUGGAGCAGCUUGACCAUAGGUAUCAGCAAGCACACUAUCCGUUGUCACCCUAGAUAUAGAAAGGCUCUUUGGGGACUUGUGCAUUUAUAGGAGCUUCAGCUGUAGCAGUAGGAUUAUGAGCGGGAGCAAGAGUGGGAAUAGGAAUUGGUUCAGGACUGGAGAGUUGUGGAACGACAUAUUUUCAUUAUUAGAGAUAGUUUAUUAUGCACGAGAAUUGAAGUUAGUGAAUAGGGAUGAUGUGAUAGCAUUUGCGAAAUGAGAGAUACGGAAUGAGGGUGGUGGUGUUGGUGUUCAUGGGAUCUUUCAAACCAAAGCUUACAGAUAUCGCCAUUAAAAUAAUCAAUCAUGUUGGAAUCUGCAGUAGCCAAGUUCAUUCAAUUCUGAGGAGACGAAACCACAGGAAAGGGCAAUCUGACUCAAGAGCAUUCAGAUCAAGUGUGGAAAGCGCACAUGCAUCUGCCUGAGCCCUCAGUGACCCAUUUUCUAUAUCACAACCACUAAGAGAAGAGCCGUUCCCUUCAUUCAAAUUUGAUUUCCCCUUUUACUUUUCAAAUUUCAUUCAGCUUUUUCCCUCUGAAAGCACUUCCAUAAUCAAAUCAUCAUCAUCCCAUUUUCUGCUCUUUUCAUUGGCAUCCCCUGUGAACUUCCUCUAGCACAGAGCUUACCCAUUUUUGGCCUCCCAAAAAUCUCCACCCAUAUAAAACGUUGGUGAAGCAGUUACCCAAAAACAUGAGUGUUUCUUUGAGCAAAAACAAAUGGUGAAAGAAAAAUAGAGAAUGGAGGAAGACAACAAACAUGAAAAAUAGAAAUCCAAUGAAUCCACAUCAGGAUCGAUCAAUGGGCUCGUGGAGAAAAACAUAAACAGAUUCAAAGCAAAGAUGCAACCAACAACUCAAGAUGCCCCACAGUGGACACGAUAUAAAACCUCACAUGUUUUUCGAACCAGAGAGAAAGAAUCAGCAACUAUCUUUCCUCCCUCUCUUCUGCAAAACUUUCUCUCAGUCUCCAUCUUCCAGAUAGCUUGCCCUCCAAGAAAACCUCCAAAAAUCUCUGUAACCAAGACACCACCCCCCCGCCCACCAAAAAAAAAAACAUACACGCUCCUCUUCGGAAUCUUCUAUAACACGUGUCAACCGCUUAUUGCUCCUCCAAACCACUAGCGAACCACAAAGCAACACAUGGCUAUUCAAAAUUGUGACACCUAGCCAAAAUAAGUUGCAUGAAAAUGAGCCCCAAAACGGAUCUACAUAUGCCGAUUAUCUUAACUUUAGGAAAAAGCACUUAUUUUAAUUUUAAAUAAAUAAAUAAAAAAUAAUGUAUUUUAUCUCAAUUGUAUAAGACUUCAUAAAAAUUAUCUGUAAAAUAUUUUCAGAUGUAAAAGUAAAAAUUAAACAAACCAUUUCAAAACCCCAGCUGUCUUCAACACAUUUGGACCGUUAAAACUUUAACCUGAAGGAACUUGUAUACUAUAUUGUUAUAAAUGACCCAAUUCAAUAAUUAAGAUUAAUUUUUUUAAAUAAUUAAAAUUAUAAUACCUUGCUAUAUUAUAGAUUUGUUUACGUUAUAGUACUGGGGACGUUGUAACUUGUAAGUGGGUGAAAUUUGGUUUCAAAGGUCCCGGUUGGGGUGCAUGACUGUUAAUAUUUAUUAUUAUAAUAAAAUUUAUUUUUAUUAUAUUAUAAAAAUAAAGAAUGAUUUUUUUUCCAGACUGAACGGAGAAUCUAUAUAACCCAAUAGAAAGUUGCAACGUGUCAACGAACAUGCUGACCAAAACCUUCAUCCGAGUGCAUAGACGUUAGAGGAAACCGCCGAACAGGUCCAUUCGCCAGGCAAGUGGGUCCUACCCCGAUCAAACAGUCCAUCGCCGUCAUCUUCGACCCAAACCACCAUACAAAAAUUCAAUAAAAUUAAGACUUUAUCACCCAACAAAAGCCCACAAGUCCCAAUCGCCAUCACAAGUAUCCAUUUAGAUGAUGGUCUAAUUUUAAAAUAUUAAAAUAAGUCGAUUACUCUAACUUAUAUCAUUUAUAAUUUUUUUAAUUAUCAAUAUGAUACCUAACCUUCUACGGAAUUGGAAUAAAAUAUGGGUCAGUCAAAAUAUGUCCAAUCAAGAUAAUUUUAAACUAUCCCAUUUCAAACUUUUCUAAUACAACAUGAUAUUUUAUCAUGUCCAAAGAAAUUGGAAUGGCCAAAAGUUAUCAAAUCAAGAUAUAUCUAUUGUGGACAUGGCAUUGGGAGGCUUCUUAACAUUGUACUGGUCUGUUUAAUGAGUUGUUCAUAUUGAAAUUAAUUCCAUAAUCAAAGACAGCCAUGGCAAAUUCCACCAUAGCAUAGACUUUUAACAAUCCCAGACACAAUAUUCUACAACUUUACAUUAUCUUGAUUGAAGAUAAUCAUAUUAUUUCAUUAACAAUCCAAGAAAUUCCAUUAUCAAACAAAAAAUAAAUCAUGAAAGCUGAAUAAUGCAAAUAUUCAAUGAAAUCUUUGGCAUGUUAUUUCUUUGCAGCUUCAACAUGGUGGCAUGUCUGACGGAGGAGGCAGCAUUUGAGCUUCCGGGUGUUUACCAUUUUUCACUAUGAACGCAGUUUCCAUGCCCCAAGUCAGAUGGCGUUCUACAUGGCAGUGCAUGAACCACACUCCUGCAGCAGAGAAAAUAUACCAACAUCACACCUAACUUAAUUGUAAUAUUAAGAAAAAUUAUUUCCUUGGUAUGCAAGUUGGUAGUUUCAAGGGUUUUUUAUUUUUUUUUAUUUUUAAUAGAGGACAUGAGUGCUUGCAACAUACCAGGGUUGGAUGCCUCGAAUCUGAUUGCAGCCCAACCAUUCGCAGGAACAGAGAUGGUAUUCUGAAAGGGAGGAUCCACCAGGUUAUAGCGCAAAGGGUCCCUAUUUUCAUCGAAAUUCCCAAAUCCCCACCCAACAACAUAGAAACUGUGUCCAUGGAGAUGUAUGGGGUGAAAUGUCCCAGCAACCAAGUUUGUCCCUUGAAAAACAAUCUCCACUGUCGAGUUAUACUCCAACACCCUUACUUCUGUUCCGGUGCUCGGUAACUGAUAGAGUAAUGGAAGAUAAUCAGCUGUAAAAUCGAACACCAGUGGUGGAACACUAGGAAACUUAUCUCCAUAUACACCACUGAUGUUAUAAUAGUAAGCUUCCAGUAUGUCAACUGUAGGGGUAUGGAAGCUUAUGUUGUUUAUACUUGCGGCAGACCGCGUCCCAUUGGCCCCUUCACAUGAAUUAUUGACGCAUGGGUACGAGUUUACAGAAACAGUGUAAAUUAGUUUAGUGCUCGUGCUCAAUGGGACAUUGCAAGGAUGUUCCACAUCUGCUAAGCUUCGGAGGCUGGCCAUGACCUGAACCGAUGCAUUUGUGUCAUUGUAUGCAGGAAAAUGAGGCAAGGAGGGAGGUGAAGAUGGAGUGUAGUAUCCCCUGUAUUGUACAAUAGCUGUGGUGGUUGUGUUAUCAUAAAAUCUAUUACCAGCUAUCGGGACUUCGGCAUAAGUUUUAGCCGCCAUGUAAUAGUGAUCUGGGCGUCGGUUAGCUUUUAGUAAGACAUCAUAGGUUUGGCCAGGAAAUAUUGUGAUAUAAUCUCGUGUCAAUGGUUUCGUGUAGCUACCAUCUGUUCCAACCACUGUUAUUUUAUGCUUGGCAAUGGAGAAGAAGAGAGCCUCUUGCAAGGCAGCAUUGAUUAUGCGAAGCAGAUAAGUUUUUCCAUGAUCCACCGUUAGCUUGAAUGUGCCUGCAAUUAGAAAGGGAAAGUUGUAUACUUAUGACUAGCCAAAAGAAAAAGAAAAAGUUUCCAUAGUUCAAAAUUAUAUUUGGACUAGCCUUUUGUCAUAUGUUAAAUCAUGGCUCUACCAUCCUCAUAGUUAUAUUCCUCUUUCUUAGCAUUAAGCUUUAAAUAUGUUGAUGUUAAUAAGAAAAAAGUAAUAUGGUCAACAUACAAGAAAAUGAAAUCGCGUACAAUUUUAAAAUGGGAAGUUAAACUUAAUUUGGACCUGAUUUUGAGCAUGGAAGUAGAUCACCGGGUUGUCCAUUUAUCAAUAAAGAAUUAGAGGCAUUGGCGUCGGCUCCAGUUGCAAGCGCUUCAUCUCGAACCUCAUUCACAUCUUUCUUCCACCAUUGUCCUGCAUUUCAACAACUUCAAUAAUUUUAGAUUUUGCAUUGCUGGUUAAUUCAUAAUAUGUAAAUUAACAUUUAAAAGUAAUAACAUUUAUACCUAAUAUGAUGAGAACUUCUGCAUUCGGUUUGUGAAAAGGAUACUUGGUUCCAUUCUUGGGAUAGACAAUUAUAGCUCCAUGAACGGUGGCUCGAGUCCAAUCACUAUGAGCAUGCCACCAUAGAGUGCCUUCCUCAAAGGAAAGGAUGAUCUUCUGUCUAAACUUUGACCCUGGUUGAAUUGGGCAUUGUGUGAUAUACUCAGGACCAUCUGUCCAUGGAUAUUUAGGCAUGGUCACCCCAUGCCUGCAAAACCAUAAUUGUACGUUAAUGCUAGUACUAAUUUUCAGACUAACAAAAGAUGACAUGCAACAACAUAUUAUCAUAGUAACAAGAGGCAUCAACGGUAUUUCAAUGGAUUUGAAGCAAAAAAAACCCUAAAGUAUUGUUUUAAAUUUGGCUCUAUUUGCAAAGCAAUAUAUUGUAGCCCCCUCUUAGAAAUAAAAGAAUGUAUGCCAUGCAAGCACGUUGUCACCGCUCUUUCUUUGAGACAUGCACGGGACCUACCAAUGAAUGGUGAUGUUUUCUUUUCCCUUGUUAUAAACAUCAACAAAGAUCGUCUCUUCUUUCAUAGCAUAUAUAGUUGGUCCUGGAAAUUGUCCAUUUACUGUUAAGAUGUUUUUGGUGCUACAAAGCCUUGUAUAUGAAGCUUCUCUCACCUGCAACCAAUUAAAAGUUAACCAUGCAACCUCAUCUCAAAAGAAAUAUUACAUGCAUGAAUAGUUGCAUCGAUCCAUUCACACAAGUGUAUAACCAAUUAGAAAUUGAUAGCAUGUAUGAACAACUCAACGACACUAGGGUAAGGGGUCAUGCAUGCCAUGGAAAAUGAGUCAUAUUACUCCCAAAAUAUUAUGAUCAGAAGGUGGCAUUAAGGCUAGAAUUAUAUAUAGUAUUUACCACAAAAGUAAGCCCACGGGUUGAAGCUUGGCAAUGAAUGUCACCACCAAAAACUAGAAACGCUAAAAUUUGCAAGAGGAAAACCUUGAUGAUCAGCCGCAUCUUCUUUGGAAUAAAAGCCUCUUCCCUUGUCCUAAACACAACUCCAAUUUUCUUGCUAUUUCUAAUGGCACGACUUUUGCUGUCCUUCUUUCAAAUAUGAUUCAUUAUAUAGUCAUGAUAAUUCUCUCGGGAUACAAUACUUCCUCUCCACGUUUCAAUAUAAAAGGAAGUGAUUUGAAUGUGCAUUGAUUUUUAAUGUUCUUGUCAAUAUAAUAAUGAUCACUUACCAAAUUAACAUAAUGCAAAUGCCUGAAGAGAGCUAACAAUUGUGAAAAAUUCUUACAAGUUACUUACACGUUAUUUUAGACUAAAUUUAAAAUAUUAAUUCUUUCACAAGUCUUUUAUUGAUUAUUUCAAGAAAUGUUAGUUAAGACAUGAAAACUUUGACCUCAGCAUAUAAAUACAUGAAAACUGUGUUUCUUAUACAAUUAGUCGUUCUUGUUUUCGUGUUACUUAAGAAGAUUACUACUGGAGAACCGAUGAUUUUGGUGGUUGAGGGCAAAGUUGUUUUCGUCUUGUUACUUAAUACAAUUAGUCAUGAUCAUUGUUUUCGUCUAAAUGGGACAAAGUUGUUUCCCAAUUUGGUAUUUCAGAAUUUUUCAGGAAAAACACAAAAAUAUAUUUUAUAGAAAGUUGAAAAUAGGAUACAACAACCCUAUGUAUGUUGCGAAUCACUUAAACAUCUAUUGGGAUUCAUAGUAUCUUUUUUCUUAACAAAAAGCAAUUUAAUAAUAAUAAUAAAUAAUUUUUAAAACAAAUGCAAUCUAUAAUUUAUUUGUUCGUAUGAUAUGUAUAUCUUGAUAAAAAUGGUUUUAGUUGGCUUACAAAAACUAUUAUCUAAAAAAAAAAAGUAAAAUAAGAAAGAAUUCAAACUUCCUUGUUGAUUUAUUGUACCAUAUAUAUAUAUAUUUAAAUUAUUUAUAAACACAAAAAAAUGAUGAAUAAAUUUUAAGACCCUAAAAAUUUGAUGAAAUUAAUUUAAACUCACUUUUUUUCUCCUAUUUUUUCUCAUAUUUCCUUUUAAACUUUUGGAAUAAAUUCCCUACUAUUUGUGGAGCUUUAAUAUAAUUUUUUUCUCUAUAUGAUAGAUAGUUAUGAAACAAUCGGUUAAAUUGUGUUUCUAUUUUUUAAAUAUGAUUAUUUAAAAAUUGUGUUCCUAUUUUUAAAUAUAAUUUUUAAAAAUAUAAUUUUUCUAUUUUUUCUCUAUAUGAUUAUUUUCCCCUUAUUUUCAAAAUUGUGUUUCUAUUUUUUAAAUAUGAAAAUUACUAUUUUGAUUUCAAAACAAUAAGUCAUUUUUAACAGAUAUUUUAGAACAUAGUUUUGCAGAUAUAUUAAUUGUGAGGCUCGAAAAUCAAAGACAUCAUGAUCAUUUUACUUGUCAAACCUAAGAGCCCAACAUAUAAAUGACCUUAACUACCAAAUCCAACAAGUAAUUAGUUGACAACUUCCUCAAAUUUAUUCAUAACAAUGAUUAGAGCAUAAAUGAAAAAAAAUUAUAAAUUUCUAAUCCAAAACUAAUUAAAAAUAUCUAAAUAAUAAUAAAUUCAAAUAUCAUCCCAAAUACUUUAAAGAGUUUUAGAAAUCAAUAUUAAAUUCAAUCUUAAUUUAAAACUCCUAAAUAAUUAAUUGUGAAGUAGAUUUCAAAAGAAACACCUUUAUAUCUCAAUUUCCUCUUAUUAAUAUCACUUGUACAUAAAAAGUGAGACAAUAGAUAAGAGUGAACUUAAAACUCAAUUAGGAAAAAUAGUUCAAUAAGAAGGAUAAAGUAUAGUACAAACUUAAAUCCUAUUAAGAUAUCACAUCUUUAUUAAAAAAAUUGAAAAGUAGGAGUUCAUUUAAUUCAAUAAUUAAAUUCAUUUAAUUCAAUAAUUAAAUUCAUUUUCUUCAAAAAAUUAUGCAAUUUCACAUCUUUAUAAAAAAAAUUAUAAACAAAUACGAAAAAAAAUUAUAAUAACAUUGUGCUCAGAAUUGGUAGUCUCACUUCUUUUUUUUUUUCCUAUUUUUCGGUUCCCCAUUUUUUGAUGCAGCCCCCUCACAGCCACCUUGGUCAACGCGCGGUUGGUGCAGCCCACUCACAGCCACUUUGGUCAACUCUCACAUUUUGUUUUAGCCGUUGCAAACAUGGAUUGAAAUUUCGUUUUAUUGGCGAUAUUUUGAAUCGGAUAUUGGACAGCCCCGAUUUUGAGCACAGAACGGGGAGAAUAUCGAAAAAAAUAUCGGGAAAAUCCGCGCGAGUUUGGAACCAAUAAAUUGGAGAUAAAAUCGUAAGUGAAGCGACAAACGGGGCAACCGGAAAGAAUUGAAAAAAUUGUCAAUUUUUCUGCCACUUUUUUUUUUUAAAUUCCCAAAUUUGAAUUUUUGAUAAUAACCCACUUAUGUAUAUCCCAAUUUUAUUUUUACAUGCUCAACUUUAUCCUUAGAUUUUAAAUUUCAACCACAAUUUUUUUUUAUCCACUCAUCAUUUAAUUAUUAAUUUUUAUUAUUUUAUUAAUAUUACUUUUAUUAUUAUUAUUAUCAUUAUAUUUUAUUUUAUUUUUAUUUUUAUUUCUUUUUAUUUUCUCACUUCUCUCUCCUCUCUCCUCACCUACCCAACCAACUUUCUUUUUAACCUCACCAACCCCCAUCCCCUCAUGUGACAUGCACUCUCAUUUCUUCUUUGUUCUUCUUUUAUUUUUAUUUUUAUUUUUUUAUUAUAUUUUUUCCCUCCCAUUCUCUCCUUUCUUCCCUUUGGUCGGCCCCCAUUUUUCCCUCCCAUUUUCUCCAUUCCCAAGAACGGUGGGCCACCCCCGUUUCUCCUUCUCUCUCCAUUCUUCCUCUGAUUCCCUCAUUUCUCUUCUUCUUAACCGCACACUACCUCUUCCAAUAGCAAAACCAACACCACUCCCACACGGCCGACUGACCCCCUUAUUUCUUUUUCCCCAUUUUUCAUUUCAUUUUCUCUACCUAAACACCCACACAAUAGCCGACGGCCCUCCUCAUUCCUCUCUUCCUUUUUUUUUCUAUUUUUCUGUUUCCCCUCCCAAUGCACCUACACGGGCCCUCAUUUUUUUGCUCCAUUUUUUUCUCCUCUCUCCCUUUCUUCACUCCCACACGACCAGAGUCUCCCAUUUCUUCUUCACUCAUUUGCUGAUUAAUUUAGAAUAUUUGGAUUAUAUCAAUUAUAUAUUAUUUAUUUGGAAUUGGGUCUAUUGUUAAUUAGUUAUGUGUUUGGAUUUAUUGAAUUGAACUUGAGAUAUUAUUUCCUUUGGUCAUGUAUAUUAUUGAUGUGGGCUUGUUAAUUGAUAUGAAUUUUGGGCCCACAAUAUAGACAAGAUUUGUGGGAUGACUUGAAUAUUUGAUAUGGGCUUGAUCAAUUUGAAUUAUUUAAUUUGGACAUGGGACAAUUGUGAUAUACAUUGAAUUAGGCUUGGAUUAUGGAAUAUUAAAUUUAGGUCUAAUGAUAUUUAUCUUAAUUUAUCAUGUUUUGGGUUUGAUUAAUUGAGCUUAUAUUUUGACUAUUAAUUUGAAAACUUUAUAUUAGGGUGUAUGAUAUGUGGGAUACUUUUGUUGGGUUAUAUUUGUUAAUUUGAGCCCAUUUUUAAUUGGUGAAAUUUAUUGGACUAAUUUAAAGUUUGAAUUUGGGCUUGAAUAAUUAUUUUGGACUCUAUUUUUGAAUAUUUACAUUUAGGCUAUUUUUGUCUUUGCAUAGACCCAUUAUGCAAUUUUGCUGGCUAUGUACGGAUUUAUAACACGUGGGAUAAAAUUUCAUGGAAGAAAGUGAGAAUUAAAAAGCCGUACGAAGACAUCGAGCUUGUAAGUUUAUUUUGGUACAUAUUUUAUUUCCCACUUUUAUUUAGUUUUAUUUUUAUUAGUUCUUUAGUUUUAUUUUUAUUAGUUCUUGUAAAUAUUCAUUUAUAUAUAUUUAUUGAGUGUGUACAGAAUUGAACGUCGAACAAAAUAGAAAUUUUGUUUGAAUGAGAGGAAAAAUUCGGUAAAUAUGUUUUAAUAAAAUAAUAAUUUUAAAAUAUUCUUUUUAAUAAAAUAAUUUUUUUUAUUUAAAAAAUUUCAGAAAAAUGCAUUUAGAAAAAUCCAAAAGAAUUGUUUUUAAUAGAAUUUAAAAAAUUGUUUUUAAUAAUGAUUGUCCAAAAAUUUCUUUGUUUAAUAAAAUUUGUCCAAAAAUUGUUUUGUAAAUAAAGUUGUCCCAAAAAUUAUUUUUUAAUGAAAUUGUCCAAAAAAAUGUUUUUUUUAAAUAAAUUAUUUUUCCUUAAUUAAAAUGGGAUUAAAAGUAUUUUUUAGAAAUAGAAAUUUUUUUUUUCUUUUUAAUUAAAAUUUAUUUUGAAAAUAAAGUUAUGUCUUUUUAAAUAAUUUAUAUAAAUCAAUUUUUUUAAAAAUGAAAAUGAAUCAAAAUACUUUUGUAAAUAAAAUUGUAAAAAUUCAUUAUUUUUCUAAUAAAAACAAGUAAAAAUAAUUUUUGUGCCCAAAUUGAAAUUUUGUAAUAAAUUCUUUUGAUACAAUAAGUGCAAAAAACUUUUUUAUUUAUUUAUUAUUGAAUACAAAUGAAAUUGAGAAAAUAAAUUGAUUUCUUUUUGUAAAUAAAUAAAUUGAAAUCAUUAAUUCAAAAUCAUUUCUAAUAAAAUUCUUUAAAAUUUCUUGAAAACUAUUUUUUAGUUCAAUAAAUCAUUUUGCAUAAUUCUCUUAUUAUUUAUUUUGUAUAUUUUUGUAAUUAGAUUUCAUCAUUAUUUUUGUGUAUAUUGAUUUUCACUAUGACUUGUACAUAUUCAUUUGCUUGAUUAUUUUUCUUGGUAUCCAUAAUUAAUUAAUUGAUUGUCACAAUUACCCUAAUUUGUUUAGUAGAGACCGUAUGUAUACGAGUUUAGAGAGGUGCUACAACUCACCACCGUACCUUCCCAAAAGGUAACUUGACCCCCGGACCCAGACUCGAUUUUUCAUAGACAUGUUUUUCCUUCAGGAGUUACACUUAGGGGGUGUUUGAUACACGGGAAUAGGAAGUGAGAAUAGACAUCUCAUUCAUUUUCUCCCUUAUUCCUAUGUUUGGAUAAAUGUUAAGAAGGCGGAAAUGAAAUAAAAAAUUAUUCCGGCAGAAAUCAAAUCUAACUUAUGAGUCGGAUUUGCAUUCAUUAAAAGUAGGUGGUAUUCUGAUUCAUUAAACCUAUUUGAUAAUAUAAAAUAACCUAAAUUACUAUUUUACCCUCUUAUCUUGUUCUUCAAACCCGAUGUUUAUCUUCUUUGCAAAGGUAGAGAUCCAUUCAUCAUCCACUUCUUAUCUUCUUUGCAAAGCUAGAGACCCACUCAUUAUCCAAUUCUCUGCAACAAGUGAUUCUUCCAAAUUGAAUCAAUUAAACCUUCCACGAUAUUUAAAAAAAAAAAUCAAUUUCUAAUUUAUAGGGUUUUGGAUGUUCAUUUUGAUUGUUGGAUCUAGGAUUCGUCAUUGUUUGCUGCAACUAGGUUAUGAAAACUCUCUUCUACAUCUUUGAUCAGGUUUACCUUAUUUUCUCUUUCUUCUUCUACUUCUUUAUAUAUGUUUCUUCUUCUCUAUAAAUCGAUUAAUUUUUUUUUAUUAAUUUAUGUUUGGAAUCUUUGAUGUUUCUUUAUCUUGUAUUAAUGGAAACUGGAGAGAAAAAUUGAAAUGGUUGGAAAAAGAUUUUUCGAUUUCACGUGUUUACAAUAUUGAAAAUUUUUAAUGGUUAGGAAAAAAAUAAAAAGAAAAAAACAAACAAAAACAAAACUUUUGGUUUUUUUUUCCCCUUUUUUUAUUAUUAUCGGCGUCUUCCUUUCCUAGUUAAAGCUAUGGAUUCUGUCGUCUCACAGAAAAUCUGCUGCGUUUCCGAAUUUAAAUAUUAUAAUAAAUAAUUUUUUUUUUAAAAUAUAAUUUUAUAACUACAUGACAAAUUAUUCAAAUUUUUAAUAAAAAUAAUAAUUGAAUAUUUGUGCAUUAGGGUUAUACGAUUUUUUAUGGUUAAUUUUUUAUUUAUUGAGUAUAUAUAUAUUUUUUAGUCUUAUUAUUUAAUAACAAAAAACAUCUCAAAUUUUAUUUUUUUAAAAUAAAAGUAAAAAUAAAAAAAUAUUUUAAAUUAUAUGUAAGGAUAUUAUUGUAAAUUUAUUUCCUUUUUCAUUUCCAUUCCUAUUAUUAUCAAACAUUGGAAUGAAAACAAAUAAUCAUUCCAAUCUUGCAUUCCUAAGUUCAUCCAAAUGCUAGAAAUGGAAUCAUAAAAUUCAUUCCAUUCCACUAAGAAAUAGGAAAGGAAACAAAAUAUUAUUUCCAUUCCCUAUUCCGACGUACCAAACACCCCCUUAGGGUUUUUCUUUCUUAUUUUAUUUUUUUACUUAAAAAAUAAAACAAAACUAAGUGGUGACUCCAAGUCUUUUUAAAAAAAAAAAAUCAAGUUUUCACAAAAUAAAUAUAAAAGCAAGUUUCGUCAUCGAGUGGGAACACAUCAAGUGAAAUGCAGGGUCCAUACCCGUGUUUUUAUAUUAUCAUUUUAUUUUAUAUUAUCCUUUUAUUUUUAACACUUUUCAUAUUUAUCUCAUUAAUCCUAUUUUUAAAAAUUAUUAUCACUUCACUUUUAAUUUUUUUUAUAUUUAUCCUUUCAAAUUUAUUUAAUUUUAACUGUUUUUAGUUUAAAAUAUUAAAAAUAUAAUUUUACCAAAAAAAAAUUGCCAUAAUAUAAAAAAUUAAGAAAUUUCUAAUAUUUUAUAAAUGAAAAUUAAUUAUAAAAGAUAAAUUAUUAUUAAUUUUAAUUAUGUAAAUAAAUUAAUGUUAAUAGAAAAAGUUGUUACCACUUAUUUUUAAUAAAAUUUUAGAAAUUAAAUCUUAAAAAAAUAUUUUAUAUAAAUUAAUUUAAUUUUUCAUUUAAAAUGUAAUAAAAUAUGUUUUAAUAAAAGUAUUUUAAAAUUUUUUAAAUAAAUACUGUCUUCAACAAGAUGGGUUCCCUUCAUCUAACAAUAUGAUGGAACCACAUCGAUAUUCAUUUUAGUAUUAAGGACUAUUGCAAUGUCGUAUGUAUUAUAUUUAUGUAUAAAUUGUUUUUAUUUAAUAAAAUCAAAUAUUUCUUAACUCAAUUCUAAUUUUAUAUACUUCAAAAAUUCAUAUUUAUUAUUCUUAAAAUCCAAGUAUUGAAUCUACUGAUACAUCUCUACCUACCAAUGUUUUUCUUCUUGAUCAUAUCUAUGUCAAUUACACUCACAAAAUAACUUUAAAAUGUGUAUUAUUUCUUAUUUUAUCAUUUUUUUUGAAUUUUUCCAAGCAUUCCUAUGAAUUUUGAAUAAUUUUCGCUCCAUCAAUAUUUGUGAAAAAAUAUCUACCAAUAUUUUCGAUAUAUCUAUAAAAUCGAAGUACCAAUAUAUCCAUAAUUAUCAAUAUUUUCAUCAUUGGUUGCAACACACUUAUAGCCAUAGACCAUUCAUAGUCAACGCAUGGUCAACCCUUGACAUUUUUUGCCAUUGCAAUGACUAGUCAACAUAAUUUUUUGUUGUCAAACAUGUUUUCUUGGUUUUUUAUUAUGGAAAAUAGAAAAAUGUUCUUAAAAAUAGUUACCAAAUAGGCCUUAUGUGACAAGACUACUACUAUUCUACUAAUUAUAAUAAUAAUGGAACCACAACUACACACAUUACGGUAUGUUAUGAUCAUUAGAAAAUUUUGAGGAAGAAAAUGCCAAGAAAAAAAAAACAAAGAGAAAAAUAAAAGAUAAAAAAUAAAAACAAAAUUUUAAAUAAAUUAAUAAAUUAUUUUUUAUAUGUUACUUAAAAUUUAUUUUAUUUAUUUUUAUAAUAAAAAUUAAAUAAUUUUAAAUUAUAAUUUUUUAAUUAAAUUUAAUUAUAUUUAAUUGUAUUUUAUAUUUUUUUUCCAAUGAAAAUAAGCACAAGAAAGUAAUUUUCUUUAACAUUUUUUUUUCUUUUCUUACAACUAGACAUAACUUUAAUAAUACUCUUUGAUAACCUAUAGAAAGUGGUUGCUCUCUCCGUUAAUUUUCAGUAAAAUGUUAGAGGGAAAGUUUGUCCAACCCAUGAGUCUAUGCAUUAGGUUACUUUUUAUUUGGGUAUUCUCUAAGUCCAAAUAUAUAUAGCAUUAGGGCUUUGCUAUAUCGAGAAAAAAGGAGAUUGAGAAAAGAAAAGAAAAUUAGGAUUGUUUUUCUGGACACUAUUCUAGGGCUCAAAGGUGAAGUUAUAGGUUCUUUUGUUAACCUUGUUGAGGAAGUCCUUUUGGUAUGAUUUCUUCAUAAUCUUUUUCAGUUCAUUGUUUUCUAUGGUGAUGGAUUCAUAUAUAUAUAUAUAUAUAUAUAUAAGUUUUUAAAGUAAAGAAACCAGCGAGGACUUAAUUAUUUGUACCCCCAUUUUGUUAAAGUAGAAGAAAUUUUCUCCGUAAUUUUUUACCUCCAUUUGAAGGGUUUUUCCACGUUAUAUUUGGAUUCCCUUUUUUUUGUUGAAUAUUCUUGGAUUAUUAUUGUUCAUACUUGUUAGGUUGUUAUUAUUUUUGAGAAGUUGUUAUAAUUGUAGAAGAAUUGUUUUACCCUAUGUAGACGAAUACUCUAGAUUUCCUUUUUAACUUCCCAACACGUGGUAUUAGAGCUUGGUUAUGGGAACUCUUAUUAUUGAAAGGGAUGGAAAUAGAAGGGCACUUAACCUCCAUGAUAAAACUUAACAAUUCAAAUUGGGUUAUGUGGAAGUCUAUGAUGGACAAUUUUCUCACUAUCAAAGAUUUUUGAUAUACUCUUACAAGCAAAAAAGCCAGGCCUAAAGAUAUUUUUGAUUUGGAAUGGAAUAAGAUGAAAAAAAAAGGCAAUUGUCUAUAUUAGGCAAUGGAUUGAUACAUUCUCACAUCAUCAUGUGUCAAAUGAAACAAAUGCCUAUAAUCGCUAGAAGAAAUUAAAAUCAAUGUUUGAACAAAAAACUAGUAGGAAUAAAAUUUCCUUAUUAAAGAAGUUAGUGAACAUGGAGUUAAAGGAACAUUAAUGAAAAAUCACUUGAAUGCUUUUCAAAGUAUUUUAAAUCAGUUGGCUACUAUGAAAAUGGUUGUGGAUGAUGAGAUGCAAGCCUCUUUGUUGCUUUGUUCACUAUUAGACAAUUGAGUAACUUUUGUUGUGACCAUUAGUAACUCUAUUCCGAAUGGUGCAUUAUCUAUGGAGAUUGUAAAGGAAAAUUUGUUCAAUGAAAAGACAAAAAUGAAGGUUUAUGACACAAAAAAUGCAUAUAUCCUCAUCACAAAAAGUAAAUGAAGAAAUAAGAAUAGAGGACAGAAAGCUUAUGACAAGUUCGAGGGAAGAUCCCAAUCCAAAGAUAAAAUAAAAUGUUUCCAUCUUGUGGAAAAAAAUGGCAUAUGAAAAGGAAUUGUCGAAUUUGGAAAAGAGAACUAAAUAGGCAAAAUCAAGAAAGAUAAGAUGAUAAAAAAGUCACAACUUCUGUAUCCAACAUUGAUAAAGUUUUAAUACUCUUAGAUGAGUGUUUAAAUGUUGAUAAGUAAUGAGUUGAAGAGGGUCAGUGGCCAAGUGUAAACUAGUAGCAAGGAAGUGUUUUGGAAAUUUUAUGUAGGGGUUUCACCAAUUCCCCAAGUGAUAUACACAAAUUUAGCCUAAAAUUAUCCUAUUUGUUUGGGAUCACAAGCUUGGAUUCGUGUCUUAUUCAAAACCAUAAUUUUUAUUGAAAACCGAGAAAGAUGCAAACCGAUCAAGACAUAGUUGCAUAUUAUUUUUUAAAAAAAAUGAGAUUUUGAUUCUAAGGACUCUAAAUGAAUUAUUUUUAAAAUAUAAUUUUCAAAGGGAUCUUUUGAGAAAAGUAUUUUAUUUUAAAAUAAAAGAAAUUAAUUUGAAAACAAUCAAAAUAUAAUAAAAGAAAAUUUUCUUAAUAGAAACUUUAGAUAAAUGUUUUUAGAGGAAUCUCAAAAAAAAAAAAAUUAAUAAAAAUUCAACAAAUUGUUUUUAAUAACAAUCUAUCUAGAAAUUCAACAAAUUCAUUUGUUUGACAAAAUUUUCCAAAAAAAAAAAAAAUUGAUUUUUAAAUAAAAUUGUCCAAAAAGUUGAUUUAAUAAAAUUGUUCUCUUUCCUUGAUAAGAAUGGGAUUAAAAGUAAUUUUUAUAAAUAAAGGUCUUAAAGAAUUUUUUUUAAUAAGAAUAGGAUAAGUAAACCUUUAAAUUGAACUAAAAGACACUUUUUUAAUAAAUUGGUAAACUAAUCUCUUUCUACAUGAAAUCCAAAAAUUCUUUCUUAAUAAAAUUAGAAUCCUUGGGAAUAAAUUUGUCAAAUUCUUUCUCUAAAUAAAUUAGUAAUAAAGAAUCUUUUUCUAGGUAAAAUAAAAUAAUAUAUAUAUAUAUAUAUAUAUAUAUAUAUAUAUAUAUAUAUAUUAAAUAAAAUUGGGUUGAAAUUCCUUCUUAUAAACUUGUAAAUAUCUUUCUUUAAGUUUGUAGAAUUUUUUUAUAAAAUAAAUAAAGAUUGAAUCAAAACACUUUUUAAAACAAAUUAGUAAAAUUCACUCAUCUUCUUAAUAAGGUAAACAAAAAUCAUUUCUUCUAAAUCAAAUCAAAUCUUUUGUGAUAAAUUGAAGCCUUGUGAAUUAAUAAAUUCAAAUCACUAAUUUGAAAUUGUUGUUAAUAUAAAUGAAUUCUUUGAAAAUUUCUGGAAAUUGUAUUAUGAUAUUUGAAUAAUAAAAAAUUUUUAAUAAAUUAUUUUGUGCAUUUCUUAUGUAUCAUUUUUUUCAUAUCCUUAUAAUUUGUUUUUGUGUUAUUCCAUGUACUUGUACUAUUCUUUUUUUUAGUAUCUAUAAUUAAUUAAUUCUCAUAAUUCCCUUUUACAUACUUAGUAGAAACUUUUUUAAGUCUUAAAAGGGUGUUAUUAUGGUACCUUCCUAAUAGGUAACCUGACCUUUAGAUUCAAACUCGAUUUUUGCAAACACGUUUUUUCUUUAAAAAAUGAGUUACACUAAGGAUUUAUUUCUUUUCUUUUUUUCUUUUGAAAAUAAAUGACUUCAACUUUUCAAAAAAAAAAAAAUCAGUUUUUUACAAUAAAAACAAGUCUCACCGUGAAGUAGGGACAGACAUGAAAAAUGUGGGUUCCCAAUUGUAUUUCUUAGACUUAAAAUAUAAUAUAAUUAUUAAAUCAACGAAUGUUAUAAGUUAAUUUUCAAAUCUUUGAUCAUAAAAGAUUCAAAGUACAAAGGAACAAAUAGUUUUCAAAAGAAAAAAAAAUGUUUAAAAUGGAAAAUCUAACAAUAAAGACAAUGGAACAAGGUGAUACAGUAGGAGUUAAAUCAAGAAAUCUUUUAUCCAUGAAUUUAUAGUUUAUUUAGUAGAAAAAAGUUCAAAAGAAAUAUUGCAUACAUUAAUGGAUUAAGUAGAUAAAAUGGAUUUAAGUAAUUUGAUAUUUAUGCUAUAGUUAGAUAACAUCAAACAAAAAUUUGAUAUUAAUAGUUUCCAUACUAAGUUUAUAAAUCUAUCGAAUGGAUGUUAAUAUUAUCUUUCUUUGAAUGGUUGUAUAAAUUAAGAGUAUAUGGGGAAACCUAAAGGAUUUAUUGUUCUAGGACAAGAACACAAAGCUAGGGAUAGAUACAUUUAGCUGAGUUAGUUUCCAACCAAUCCAAGAAUCAAAUAGGAGUUGAUUGAUUUUAACUAAAGUACAACAAACUUAUUUAUGGACUCAAACUAAUCCAACUUAAUAUCAGUUCUAUUCAAUUUAGCUAACUCAAUUUAGACAAAAAAUAUUGAGUCUAUGUUUUUUUCUCCACAUUGACCAUACAACCAAAAUGAUCAAAUUGUUUUAGAUAAAAAUAAAUUUUUUUACAAAUAAUACAAUUAAAAUUUUUAAAAAUAAUGUGUAAGAGCAAACCUAUGGGUUAUUUGCUUGUUAGGAGUAAGUCAAUGAGUAGUAUUAUUGACAUAUUGGGUGCUUGUGACUUGAAAUUAUAUUAUCAUCAUUAUUAAGUCCCAAAGUACAAGAAUUUUAAAUUUUAGAUCAUGCUUAUGCCAUAGCAACUUUUAAUUUGUAAUAAAGCCAUGGGAGUUAGGCUCUAAGUCUCCAACACCAAAUUAUAGCCCAACUAAUUAAGUUGGCUUUGGAUGAGCAUGGUUUGACUCACAAAGUCCCAAGAUUCUCCACAACACUUCAAAAUCCAAGCAUUUAUAUAUAUCCCACUCUACCACUUGGGUUUGUUUGCCAGUCCACUUUUGAUAAGCGAUCUAGGUUGAGGCUUCCAUAAGUCAAAUACUUAAACUAGUUUGAUCUCUAGUUUCACUAUACUACCAAAAUAGAGUAAUUUAAGUAUAAAGAACCAAUGGUGCAUGCAUGACAAGUUUUGUUGUCGAGAAGGUUUACAAAUAGUUUGUGGAAACCCUUGUCCAAUAUAAUUUGAGACAGCUGCUAGUGGGGUUGCCUAUGAACUAUUAUCCAAGGCUAGUCGGGCUUAUCUAUCAAACAAUGCAAAUUAAAGAUUUGGGGGCCAAAUGAAAGUAACCAAGUUUGAAGUUGAUGGAAUUACUUAGCUCAAUAUAAAGGCUUAUCUCAUGCACCUUCUCAUUACAAUGCUUCAAGUGGAUUAACUACAUGCAUGCACUAAAGACUUCCACAACAAAGGAAAUUUUGCAAGAAUAAUCUAGUGAGCUAUUGCAAAAGAGAAUAGUUUUCUGAACAUAUGUAAUCGAUUGUGCAUUAAUUAAGUAAAAAGGCUUCUAAAGUUGGCUAAAUUGUUUAGAAUUUUUAAGAGAGAAUUUGUGAACAUCAUAGAAUUGAUCUAAGAGACAUUUACCAAGUUCUAUCAUGAUAAUAAUGUAUUGAGGAAAAACUGUACCACCAAAACCAAGUUGUAUUGGCUAACAAUACUUAUUAUAUUUCUAUUAAGAAAGAAACUAUCUAGUGGUAGAGGACAAGUUGAUAGUUUUAAUUCAUGAAGUUUUCACUACUUGACCUAACAUCAAAAGCUAUAACAAGACAAAUCUCAAUAUGGUAAGAUAAAAUGCUACAUAGAAGGACCAUCUUGCUCCUUAUUGAAAAUCUCAUUCAAUUGCAAAUCUACUACAUCAAGAUUGCUCCCUCUUUUGUAAUUUUCUCAUACCUAAUCCACAACACUAUUAUUAUAGUUGUUUUGCAUGACUUUUCUUUUUCUUUUUCUUUUUCUUUCUUUUUUUUUUUUUUUUGGCUUUCUAGGUUAAUUUCUCUUUGGUUAUAGCAAUAGCUUUAUUUGUGUGCUAAAUUCCCUUAUACCUCAACCAUGUCGUCCUCAUUGUUGCUAUUAAGUCUUUCAAUAUGAAACGAAAAAUUAAAAUUCUUGUAUUUAAAAUCGAAUGGAAGUACAAGAAUUAAAAAAAGCAAACACAAGAGAAACACUCAAAUCCAAUUACAAAGAGUAGCAUCAAAUUUUCCAUAUCUACAAAAUUCGGGUGUUUAGAUUUCCAAAAAUGAAAAAAUAAAUAAAUAAAUAAGGUUGAUUGAGAGAAGACCUGCAUCUACAAAAUAUCAAGGUGUGAGGUUAAGAGAGAGGAAAUCAAUCCAUACCUGAUAUGAAGACAUGGAUUCAAACACAUUGACUAGAUUUGAAGAAUGCAAUUCAACCAUGGGAACUUGUGUACUAGAAGAGGGUUGGUUUUUGGAGGCACUGGAAGGUGGUUGGAGUAAUGGUGGUGGCUGUUGAAAUGGUCGAUGGUGAUGGGAAGCCAUAGCUGCUAUUGAAGAGAAAGUUAGGUGAAUUGAAGACUCAGUGAAGAAGAUAAUGUGAGCUUGAUAAAAUUUCCUCCAACUUUUUCUUCUCUUUCUCUCUUAUUUUCCUCAUUAAUUUUUAAGGAAAGUAGUAGGGAAAAUAUUACAAUAUUUUCUUUAGUAUUUUCCUUCAUUUUUUUCCAUCAUUUUUUUCAUGUCACCCAAACUAAGGAAAAUAACUUUCCACAAUAUUUUUUUUUCCUUACCCUUGCAUUUUCUGAAUACUAAACACAACCUUUAUAGAUAAAAAUUAAGAAUUACAACAAGAUUAUAUAUUCUUCCUCUUUAUUCCUGCAUUUCUACAAUCUACUACUAUAUUUUACAUCAUAUUUUUACUCCUUUCUUCAAUUAGUAUUCCUCCCUUUAGAUAUAGUUAUCUUCACACCAAUUCAUAAGAUAAAAAAGAUGAAUGAACCUUGGGGCAAGGUUGGACUGCUAGUGGCAACUAGUCAAGGCUUGAAGUCAACUUUUGCUUGACUUUUUGGGCAUGGGCCAACGUGUUGACCCCUCUUUAGCAUGAAAAUGGAUAAGACAUGUUAAGCUUUUGUAGACCCUCCAUUUUGUCCCUUUAGCACAUGUCUUUAAGUUCACUUCCAGUGAUCCACAAUGGUUUUUUGAUGGCCUAUUACUACUCGUGUAGCUUACCUUUUCUGAACCACUUUGGAGACUUUGAUUGAAGGGCUUAUCCGACUCCACUUUAUGACAUUGGUUGCCCUUCAAGUCUGGAUUACGCUUCACUUAGGUGCACUUUAGGUUAGACUUAGUUAGACCCACCUAGUCUCACCCUAGGCCCGUAUAGGUAUAUAUGACCCAUUAGGCACCACCUUAGACCCAUUUAAACACCUUAGGCCCGUUUAGGUUCACCUAGGCUCGUUUAGACACCUUAAGCCCACUUAGGCACACUUGGCCCAUUAGACAUUUUUAACGUGAUUUGUAUGGUUGCAUGACUCAUUUAUCUUAUUUACUUAUUUAUUUUUAUUUUUAUUAUUAUCAAUUACUUUUAUUUAAUCAUUUAUUUUAUUUUUAUUUAGUUAUUUAUUUAUUUAUUUUAAUUUAUUUUUAUUGUUAUCAAUCACUUUUAUUUUUUAUAGUUAUUUUAUUAUUUUUUAUUUAUUUGUUUAUUAUCUUGUUAUUUGUUCAUUUAUUAUUAUUUUAUCAUUCAUCGAUUUAUUUAUUUAUUUAUUUUUAUUCAUUUAUUUAAUUUAAUAAUCUAAAGUUUUUCUGGAAAAAUGGAGAAGUUUUAUGGAAAAGGCAGGACUCUUUACGUGAUAUGCAUGGAUUCAUUUUUUAAAUUUAAAAGGAGUUUUUUCUGGUGGAUGAGACAUAAAAUUCGGAGAGAGGAGGACUCCUCACGUAGAAGGGCUGCCAACUGCUAUAAAAGCACAGGCAGAUGGGUUUUUUGGGGUGGAUUCUGAGAUUGUUUUUUAGAGGGAGAGAAGAAGAGAGUACGGAGAAAGGGAAGAGGAACUUUUCUGGACUUUGGGGGAAGAACUUUUCAAGAUUUUUGGAAGAGGACGCAGCUCUUUGAAGUCAAUCAUUAUUUCUUAAGGGGAGGUUCUUCCAGGUAUCUAAGGGUGUAUGUUUGUCUUGCUGAAUAUAUUCGCAUAUGUGCAUGCUCUGUUCUGGUUUUCACUCUAAUCUUUUAAUUUUUUAUUUUUUUUGUACAUAUUGAUGCAUGGGCAUUUUUUUUUGAAAUGGAUAUUUGUCAUAUCUCUCUACUUGUCCUAUCUAUAAUCAAGCCCAUGGACAGCCUAAGGAAAUGUGGGUUAUCUGUUUACCCAUCCUUUGUCCUCUUACCUCUGUUUUUCUUGGUUUAUCUUUUCUAUAUUUCUGUAUCUCUAUUCCUUCCCUCUCCCUUCUAUUGGUGUUUUGGGCUAUGGGGACCAUGAUGGCAUGAAUAUUCUAAGAAAGGCGAAAACGUUAUAAAGACUGUGCACAAUAGAGUUGUUUAGGGGUUGGACGGAUGGAGGCUGCCAUCGUUUCUGGAUGUUCUCAGUUGAUGACUCUUCCAGGAAGUGGCCCAGUUGACAGAUGCAGUAACCCCAGAGCAGGGUUUUGAUUUCCCUUAGAUGUCCCCAAGCCGUUGGAUUGACCAAAUGCAUGAAUCCAAGAGAGUUAUUCAGAUUCUGAAAUUAUUCUGCUGCCAUACGUUUAAAUCCGGUGAUGUUUUUGGUGCCUCCUGAAGCCGUUGUAGAGGAUUUAGAAGUGUUAGAAUGCCUGGGAUGGGAAGCUGUCAUAAUUGAUGAAUGUCAAUGCCCGAGAAUUUCAUCACAUUUUGCAGAAUAUAGGAUGCUUGUGGCUGAUUUAAGGCUUCUUCUUUCAGUGGUCAGAUAAAGGAGAGGACAUUGGAAUUUGUGAAUCUGCUAUCAUUUCUUGACUCUGGCAAUGAUGUAAAUAGCAGCAAUGUUUUGAAAACUGGCUACAAUGAGAGUGUUAGUAAAUUAAAGGAGAGGCUGUCACAGCUUAUUGCAUAUGAUUGCAAGUCAGAUUCUUCUAGAUUUGUUGAGUAUUGGGUUCCUAUUCCAUUAUCUAAUGUUCAACUUGAGCAAUAUCGUGGUACUCUACUUUCAAACACUACGUCACUUUGCUCAUGUUCAAAGAAUGAUCCUGUUGGGGCUCUCCGUGAUGUUCUUAUAUCUACUCCAAAGUGUUGUGAUCAUCCUUUCAUCGUGGAUUUGUCUCUGCAAAGCUUUCUAACUAAAGGUCUUCCAGAGAUCGAGUACUUGGAUGUUGGAAUAGAUGCAACUGGCAAGCUUCAGCUCCUUGACAGAAUGAUUUCUGAGAUAAAAAUCGAGGUUUAAGAGUGCUGAUCCUUUUUCAGUCGAUUGGUGGCUCUGGAAGAAAUUCCAUUGGAGAUAUUUUAGAUGAUUUUCUACGUCAAAGAUUUAGGCCAGAUAUCUCACAAAGCCUGCCAUAGAUUCAGUUACAGCAGCCUUCAACACUAUCAUCCCUAUUAUAUCAACACCAUCACCAACAAGUAAAUCUAUUGAAUUUAUCAUUGAAUUGGAAAUGGAACUGUUGCUAUGGUUCAUAUCAGUAGGUUCACUGCAUUCCGAAAGUGCCGGUUCGAAGUGGCUCUGUAGGUCAUCGAAGAGAAAAUUGAAUUUCUAAGAUCGGAAAUAGCUGUCGGGAAGACCUUUGAGACAUCUGAGCAGGUGACUAUGGGAUUGAAAUCAGAUACCUUUACCAAGUUGACCAAGCAAGAUGUGGUUUCCGGAAAAGAUGGAACACCAUCUGAUUCAACGUCUUCUCUGUCCUCUUCUGGGGAUGCUACUGCUAAUAUCAAAGGUGAGACUGAUCAAGAGUCAGUUACAGAGAGUACAAUCAGACAAUGGAAUGGUUUAUUACCUAUCUGGCUAUAAUCCGUAUGCUAGUGGGACUCUUAUGGGUGUUGAUGGGCAAUGCGUCAGUCAACCUCCUUACUUUUCAUCAGGAUAUCUUCAGCAGCCUGUUCCUUAUGGGACAGAAGCUGUACCGUGUUAUACAUGGGAUUUGACUUAUGUUGGAGAUGCUAAAAAUGGAACUAAUGUUAAUUUUGGGAAUGUGAAGUCUGGUUCACGUCCUACUGCUUCAGCGAAGACAAACAACUUUCCCUCCAUGAAAGCAAAUGGCACUGUUGCUAAUAAAUAUUCGUUACCUUUUGAUUCCAAGCCGCGUCAAUCUGCUGCACCAUCUAACUUCUCAAAGUCUCUGUUCCACAGCCAACCUCUCAAACCAUUGAACAAGGCGUCUCAUUUAGGUUCUGAUUUCCCAGCAGGCUUGGCAAAAGGGUUCAAUCCAAUCAACAAGUUCUCAUCAUUUACGUCGACGUCAACAGAAGCCACCAAGUCAGCAGCACCAGAUCUUGAUAAAGAAUGAUGCUUUUCGUCAGCUUCAGCUGACAUCUGACCUAAGUAGUCAAGUAAAGGCUGCGUUUGGAGGGGAACGCCAUAACGAAAUUCUGAAUUCACGAGUUUCUGGCCAGUUUCAACUUUCUGAGUUGCAGAAUCAAUUCCAGCAGAACUCUUCUGAAGACCGCUCUAGAGGCGCUCAAUUGCACUUCCUACCAUCUGGAACGCAGGUUGUGUUUAUCAGCGUCUCAAAAUUCACAAUAAAUUCAACGAUUGUUACAUCCACGGUAGUCGGUUGCGGAGUCUCAAAAUGAUUUUAGUCACCUAUCUAUUGGAGAACAAACAGAAUCUGUACUGCAUGGUCAAUGGCAUCCUCAAUCACAAGGUAGGCCUCACAUAUAUAUCAAGCAACUUGUGGUAUGAUCAACGUGCCCAAGAGGAUGCCAAGCGACUCAACUUUGAGAUUCUUAUGGGGGCAGAAAAACUCGAGUGCUGAAGAACAGCGAGUUCAGUUGGAGACAUCAAAUCAAUCUCUGCAGUUAGAAGCAGACAGGCUGGUGCAGAAAAUAGCAAUGAAAGAUCAAGAAUUUUCAAAGAGGCACGAGGAAUUAGAGAAACUUUAGAUCCAUAUGCACGAUAAGCACUUGCGAUUUGUUCGAGUUGAGGCCACUCUCCAGAACGCAGUAUCAUAGAGAGAGGAAGGAGACCCCAUGGCAGGAACUAUAAACUCAACGGAAAAUAUGUAUGAGGAAAGGAAAGAUGAAAUGAAACAAAUAAUUGCUAAAGCAUGAUCUGAUGCAGAACCGAAACUGGGAGAUGGGCCGAACAGCCGCACCGUGGAGGAUAAUGAAUUAUCCUCUUUGCCUGAUGACUUGCAUCUGUGGAAAAGCCAAAAAAUACAGAUGCUAUAGAUAGACGUAGAGCGCUCAUGAUUCAAAAGAACCAUCCCGAACAUGCACUGAAACCAAGGAGAAUAUGUCCAGACUUUGAAUCACUUUGUCUCAUGGUGCAAAGGCCUCAAGAUUCUCACCCUUGAUUUCUUCCACCUGGAUGAUUCCUCCUCACCAUGUAUCUUGGCCUUAAAUAAUGACUGUAGGAAAGCUCAGUUUGGUACAUGAGGAUAAUUGGUUCUGAAAUAGUGGAUCCGCUCAUGCAAGUUUUAUGGGGAAUUUUAGAUGUGAGAGCAGCACAACAUGCAGAGUCCUAAACUUAGUUCCAAAGGAUUACGGGUAAUGGAGAACUCGUAAACUUUAACAAGAAUCUCAAUUAAAGAAGUUGAUGUGGGAGGCUUGCAUUGACAAUAACGGAUUGUUCUCGAUUUUCCUUAAUUGCCUAUUUUACUAUCUUAGCUGGAUGAUUACUGAAUCCUCAGUUUUUGAUUCGAGAAAUGCAAGGAAAAACACCGGGUUCGGAGUUUCAGCAAUGGGAAUGCAGUGUAAAGUUCGACCUCUCAGCAUAAUCUUGCAAGGGUUAUUCUAUACCCGUGAGAUACCUCGAGCAUUCUUGAUAGGAGCAGAUACAAACCUGCUUAACUAAGUUGGUCCUCUUUAUUUUGAACCACAUAACUUCGGCUGCAACUGUACCAGAAAGCAAUAGAGUGGAGGAGACUCUCACCCUGGAGUGUAUUCAGCAUGGAUACAGGAAGACGGAAGCCACAACAUUCUACUUUGAUCUUCAGGUUUCCCCUGUCCAUGAAGUUCUGUUUGAAAAAUAAGGUGCAUAAGCUCAUUGGAGAGUGCUUAAGUUUUGAGGAUGGAAGUGCUUCAACAGAUGGGAGAAAGAGUACGUUGUUUAAAAGGUGAAAUUUGAGGACCGAAAACCCAGUUGUUUGCAUAUGGUCCUAUCAUGGCUUCUUUGAGAAAUAUUUUAGCAUUCCUUGAACCCAAUGCCCUCUCCCAGACGAAGCUUCAAGCAGCAGACAAUCAGAAAUCAAAGGAUAUGGAAGUGGAUGUGAGGAACAUUCUGCAUCAGGUGGUAAUUCCUCUGUUUUCUGUGCGCAUGUUCUGCACAGCUACCCUGCAGCACAUGUGAUUCCUCCCUGUUUUCCCUCUUGUUUUCAACAAUUGGUAUUCAAAAAUCUAGUUUUCAAAUGAUUAAUUUUCUUUAAAUUUUUCCAUGGAAAUUUUAGGUCCCUAAAAUCUUUUUUAAUAAAUUUGCUGUCAAAUUUCCUUUCAACGUGCCUUUUUUUUUUUUUCUUGAUUUUCUUGAUUUUUAAUAAGCAUGAACAAAUUUCAUGGUUCUAAAUGACGGGACUGAUUGAAUCAAUUCGUGCAAAAGCAAUUUAGACCUUGGUGGGGGGUCCGACAUUCUUGAUAUCUUCUCUGAUAUUGAUUCAAAAGAGCGGAUUGUUCGAUAUUUGGUUGAUUUCAAUUGUUCUCUAUGAUAUGUAUGAGAAUUGUUUAUACUUGUUAUUGAGCUAACCUUGUUUUCCAUAGAGGCGUUUAGCUUGCUACCCAGGUAUGCUCUUUCUCUCUCUCACUCACUUUCAAAAAUUCUACGAACAUGUAUGCUAUUGAAGAUCAUAUCCAUGUUUGAUGUAAUCCUUGGGUGCUUAGACGUAUGUUUGAUUUGCUUGGAAUAAAAUGCAUGUUGUGUACUAUAUUUCCAAACUAACCUUUGAUUUUUUUUAUGGUGUUUAGGAAGCAGUUUAGGUACGCACCCUAACUCUCCUUUAUUGUGACUUGAUCUUGCUUGGUAUGCUAUUUUUUGAAAUCACCCCAGUCUACCUAGGUACUCCCAAUUAAUCAAUUAAUUGCCCCAUUUCCAUCAACUUAGUCAUUAGAGACCUCUUUAAGGCUUAGAGGGGUGCUACCUCUUAAAGGUACCUUCCCAAUUGGUAACCUAAUCCCUAGACCUAGACUCGGGUUUUUCAAAGACACGCUUUUCCAAAAAUUAUGGAGUUACUUCUUCAGAGUUUUUCUUUCUUGUUUUAUUUUCCCUUUUAAAAUAAAAUAAAAUGAGUGGUGACUCCAAUUUUUCCAAAACUAAUUUUUAUCACAAAUAAAAGCGAGUCUCGCCGAUCGGGUAGGGGCGCGCAUGAAAAACGCAGGUGCACAACUUUCUUAUUAGAUGAUGUGUCAACCAUACUAGAUAAUGUGUCAACCAUACGACAAUCAUAGGGUGGGGAAUAUAUGGUAAUUAUGCAAAAAAAAAAAAAAAAUUGGCAUCCAAUUGUAUAGAAAGACAUCUUCCAACAUUUGAUAUAAAUCUGUAAAAAUUAAGAGAAAAAUAUUUUUUUUUUUUUAAAAAAAAAAACAUAUUGAACCUAAAAAUAGGGACCUAGUAAUAAAAUAAAGUAAAAAGGUAAAAUUAAAACCAAAUAUUAAGUAUGAAUGUAUUUUAAGUAAUAAAAAUAUUAUUAUUUAGGUUUAAUCAUUGGGUUUGCUAGAAGAGUUUAUAUAAAGUAAAAAGGUAAAAUUAAAACCAAAUAUUAAAUAUGAAUGUAGUUUAAGUAUUAAAAAUAUUAUUAUUUGGGUUUAAUAAUUGGAUUUUCUAGAGGAGUUUAUAUAUAUAUUAGUUUUUUUCUUUUUUUAAUCAUAUCCCUAUUGUUGAUACUAAUUAAAGUAAACUUAUUAUCAAUAGAUUAAGUUUAGUAAUAUUGGUUGAUAUCAACAGGUUAUUUUUAACUAAAUAGAAAAAAUCAAAUAUCUUAACUUUUUCUAUUCAAUCAAAAAACAAACACCAUCUAAAAUUUUAGAUAAUAGAAAUACUUUAACUUGAAACAAAUUUCAUAUGGACCACUAUCAAAUACCAUGCAUAUGGAGAAAUUUGGAUCCUCACUUGCUCUUUGAUUCUAAUGCAUUGAAUUUGACGUUACCUAAAACAAAAUUAUAUUUUAUGUCCUCUAUUAUGAGUGGACAAUCAUUCCUUGUGUUAGAUUUUAGAUAAUUAAUGAAUAUUGAAUAUUGGAGUUGUAAGAAAUUAGGAGAGAAAUUAGGAGAUCCUAAUUUUAAAUAUGUAACAAAGUUCUAUAAUCACUUCAAUCCACGUUUAAAAAUUGUAUUUCUUUCUAAUAUGGGAGCAAACUUUUUCUUUCUUUCUUAUAAAUUUCAUUUGGGAGUGAUUUAAAAAUAAAUAAAUAAAAGCCCUUCUAAAUAUUUAAAAAAAACUUUCUUAUAAAAAUUAAUUAAGUAGAUGGUAAAGUCAAAUUCGAAAUAGCUUCAUAAUUUUUGCUUUAACCGAAAAUUAAAAUCAAAAUUAAAGUAAUAAUUUUUAAGGGAUAAUGUUGAUGUUGUAAAAGUUUUAUUAAACAUGAAAGAAAGUUUGAUAUAAACAAAAAUAGAAUUAUAAAAUUCUGAUAAGAAAUAACAUUUUUAUGACUUCUAUAUGAAACCUUUUUUGAAAGUUAUAAGUUUUAAAAAAACAAUAACAAUAGUAAUAAUAAUUAAAUAGGUAUAAAAACUUUUAUUCAACUUUUUUUUUUUUAACUCUUAAAAGUCAAUCCAAAAAAAAUUUAAUAUAUUUGAAAAUCACUUUUAAAAAUCCAAAAAAUCACUUAAAAAUAAUUUAUGAAUUUUUUUAAAAUUUACAUUUAAAUACUAAAUGAUUCUUUUUAAAAUCAUUUAUAAUGUCAAAAUAUUUUUUUUAUGGAUAAAAAAACAUUACAAAUAAAAAAACAUUUUAAUCACAAUUAAUUUAUUUUUAAUUCAUGAAAUUUCAUGCAUUGUUAUUUAUUUUUUGGGAUUUAAUUCUUUACAAUUACUUAUGAGUGUUUAUAAAGUAUAAUUAGGCUAUGCCCAAAUUUAUUCCUUUUAACUCUAUCUAUUAGGUAGAGGUAGCGUGAAAUUUUGGCCUCUUUCCAGUUUUCUCCGCUUCUGACAUUGUCAUGCACUGCUUAGUCUACUCUAACUAUUGACGAUAGAAGAAAAUGAGACAAUAGUCAAUGAAAAAUUUAUUAAUUUAUUUCUUAAUUCAGCUGGAAGAAAAAGUUUAAUUAUUUAAUCUUUUUUAGCACACCACUCAUGACUGUACAACUUAAGUUAUUGACUUGGACUUGGAGUGUUCGGUCAAUUGCGGCAGCUUAGUUAAUUGUUAAGUGUCUUUUCUCUAAACCAUAAAUUCAAAUGAUCAAGUCCAAUUUAAUUUACAAAGACCAGUGAUUUGUUCUUACUAGUUAUUUUAAUUUAUGGAAGCAGGAAAGGGUUUACUUUAAUGUAAAAUAAAAUAAAAAUAAAAAAACGAAGGGAGUUAAAAGGUAAUCAAAUCAUGCAAUGGAAAUGGGCAAUUGUUUUGUUUUUUAUCUUUAGAUCUUGUGAUAUUGUUACUAAAAUAGAAGGUAAAAAAAUAAAUUAUAUACCAAUUAUUUUAACUUUAGGAAAAAGUGUUUAUUUUAAUUUAAAAUAAAUAAAUAAAUAAAAAGUGAUUUUAUUUUAACUAUAUAAGACUUCAUAAAAAUUAUCUUAUUUGUAAAAUAUUUUCAAAUGUAAAAGUAAAAAAUUAAACAAAUCGUUUGAUCACAAGUAUCCAUUUAGAUCCUAAUUUAAUUUUAAAAUAUUAGAAUAAUUCAAUUACUCUAAAUACUACCAUUUAUAAUUUUUUUAAUUAUUAAUAUGAUACUUUACCUUCCACGAAUAAAAUAUGGAUAAGUCAAAAAAAUGUCCAAUCAAGAUAAUUUUAAACUAUCCCAUUUCAAACUUUUUGAUGUUUGAUCAUGUUGAAUGAAAUUGGAAUGGGCAAAAGUUGUCAAAUCAAGUUAUAUGUAUUGUGGACAUGGCCUUCGGGGGCUUAUUAGGCAUUGUACUAGUCUAUUUAAUAAUCCCAGACACAAUAUUCUACAACUUACAUUAUUCUUCUUAUCUUAAUUGAAGAGGAAUACUAACUUAGUCAACAAUUAUUUUGAACAGAAAAUAAAUCAUGGAAGCUAAAUAAUAUGAAUUUUCAGUGAAAUCAUUGGCAUGUUAUUUCUUUGCAGCUUCAACAUGGUGGCAUGUUGGAUGGAGGAGGCAGCAUUUGAGCUUCUGGGUGUUUACCAUUUUUCACUAUGAGUGCAGUGUUCAUGCCCCAAGUCUGAUGGCGUUCUAUAUGGCAGUGUAUGAACCACACUCCUGCAAUACAGAAAAUAUACCAACAUUACACCUAACUUAAUUGUAAUAUUAAGAAAAAUUAUUUCCUUGGUAUGCAGGUUGACAGUUUCAAGGGUUUUUUCUUUUUUUUAAUAAAGGACAUGAGUGUAUGCAACAUACCAGGGUUGGAUGCCUUGAAUCUGAUUGCAGCCCAACCAUUCUUAGGAACAGAGACGGUAUUCUGAAAGGGAGGAUCCACCAAAUUAUAGCGCAAAGGGUCACUAUUUUCAUCGAAAUUCCCAAAUCCCCAUCCAACAACAUAGAAACUAUGUCCAUGGAGAUGCAUGGGGUGGUAUGUCCCUGCAACCACGUUUGACCCUUGAAAAACAAUCUCCACUGUGGAGUUAUACUCUAACACCCUUACUUCUGUUGCGCUGCUCGGCAACUCAUAGACUAAUGGAAGAUAAUCAGCUGUAAAAUCGAACACCAAUGGUGGAACGCUAGGAAAUUUAUCUUCAUACACACCACUGAUAUUAUAAUAGUAAGCUUCUAGUAUGUCAGUUAAAGGGGAAUGGAAGCUUAUGUUGUUUAUACUUGCGGCGAACCGCGUCCCAUUGGGCCCUGCACAUGAAUUAUUGAUGCAUGGGUACGAGUUUACAGAAACAACGUAAAUCAGUUUAGUGCUCACGCUCAAUGGGACAUUACACGGAUGUUCUGCAUCUGCUAAGCUUCGAAGGUUGGCCAUGACCUGAACCGAUGCAUUUGUGUCAUUGUAUGCAGGAAAAUGAGGCAAGGAAGGAAGUGAAGAUGGAGUGUAGUAUCCCUUGUACUGUACAAUAGCUGUGGUGGUUGUGUUAUCAUAAAAAUUACGAUAUUUCGGGGCAAUGGAAUAAGUUAUAGCCGCCAUGUAAUAGUGAUCCGGGCGUUGGUUGGCUUCUAAUAAGACAUCAAAGGUUUGGCCAGGAAAUAUUGUGAUAUAAUCUUGUGUCAAUGGUUUCGUGUAGCUACCAUCUGUUCCAACCACUGUCAUUUUAUGCUUGGCAAUGGAGAAGAAGAGAGCCUCGUGCAAGGCAACAUUGAUUAUGCGAAGUAGAUAGGUCUUUCCAUGAUCCACCGUUAGCUUGAAUGUGCCUGCAAUUAGAAAGGGAAAGUUGUAUACUUAUGACUAGCCAAAAGGAAAAGAAAAAUUUUCCAUGAGGAUCCACCAAUUAUUAAGUGAUUGAUUGAUCAGGGGUGUAAAUUUGGCUCCAUAGUUCAAAAUUAUAUUGGGACUAGCCUUUUCUUAUGUGUUAAAUCAUGGCUUUACUAUAUUUCUCUUUAUUAGCAUUAAGCUUUAAAUAUGUUGAUGUUAAUAAGAAAAAGUAAUACGGUUAACAUACAAGAAAAUGAAAUCGUGUACAAUUUUAAAAUGGGAAGUUAAACUUUGUACCUGAUUUUGAGCAUGGAUAUAGAUCACCGGGCUGUCCAUUUAUCAAUAAAGAAUCAGAGGGAUUGGGGUCAGCUCCAGUUGCAAGCCCUUCAUCUCGAACCGCAUUCACAUCACUCUUCCACCAUUGUCCUGCAUUUCAACAACUCCAAUAAUUUAAGAUUUUGUUUUGCUAGUUAAUUCAUAAUAUGUAAAUUAACCUUUAAAGGUAACAACACUUAUACCUAAUAUGAUAGGAACUUCUGCGUUAGGUUUGUGAAAAGGAUACUUGGUUCCAUUCUUAGGAUAGAUGAUUAUAGCUCCAUGAACGGUGGCUCGAGUCCAAUCACUAUGAGCAUGCCACCAUAAAGUGCCUUCCUCAAAGGAAAGGAUGAUCUUCUGGCUAAACUUUGACCCUGGCUUAAUUGGGCAUUGUGUGAUAUACUCGGUACCAUCUGUCCAUGGAUAUCUAGGCAUGGUCACCCCAUGCCUGCAAAACCAUAACUAAACGUUAAAACUAAUACUAAUUUUCAGACUAACAAAAGAUGGCAUGCAACAACGUAUUAUUAUAGUAACAAGAGGCAUCAACUGUAUUUCAAUGGAACUAAAGCAAAUAGCCCUAAAGUAUUGUUUUAAAUUUGACUUUAAUGGCAAAGCAAUAUAUUACAACCCCCUCUUAGAAAUAAAAAAAAUGUACGCCAUGCAAGCAUGUUGUCGCCGCUCUUUCUCUGAGACAUGCACAGGACCUACCAGUGAAUGGUGAGGUUUUCUUUUCCCCUGUUAUAAACAUCAACAAUGAUCGUCUCUCCUUUUAUAGCAUAUAUAGUUGGUCCCGGAAAUUUUCCAUUUACUGUCAAGAUGUUCUUGGUGCUACAAAGCCUUGUAUAUGAAGUUUCCCUCACCUGCAACCAAUUAAAAGUUAACCAUGCAAUCUCAUCCCAAAAGAAAUAUUACAUGCAUAAAUAGUUGCAUCGAUCCAUUCACGCAAGUGUAUAACUAAUUAGAAAUUGAUAGCAUGCAUGAACAACUCAACGACACUAGGGUAAGGGGUCAUGCGAUGGAAAAUGAAAGCCAUAUUGCUCCCUAAAUAUUAUGAUCAGAAGGUAGCGUUAAGGCCAGAAUUAUAUAUAGUAUUUACCACAAAAGUAUGCCGAUCGGUUGAAGCUUGGCAAUGAAUGCCACCACCAAAAAGUAGAAACACUAAAAUUUGCAAGUGGAAAACCUUCAUGAUCAGCCACAUCUUCUUCGGAAUAAAAGCCUCUUUCUCUUGUCCUAAACACAACUCCUUCCUUCAAUUUUCUUACUAUUGUUGUAUUUCUUUCAUAUAUGUUUCAUUAUAUAGUCAUGAUAAUUCUCUCGGGAUACAAUACUUCCUCUCCACGUGUCAAUAUAAGAGGAAGUGAUUUAACUGUAUUACAACUUUGUCAAUAAUGAUAGUUGAUCACUUACCAAAUGCCUGAAGAAAGCUAACAAUUGUGAAAAUUUCUUACAAGUUACACAUUAUUUUAGAAUAAAUUUAAAAUAUUCUUUCACGACUCUUUAUUCUUUCACAACCCUUAUCAGGAUUGGUCAUGCAACUGUUUUUCAUAGACAACUACUUUUAAGAAUUAUUUUUGUAAACAUUAUUUAGCAAACCCAUAUUAUUAGUCUCACUUGUUUACGUGUUGCUUAAGACAAUUAAUGGUGCUGAACCAAUGAUUGUGAUGGUUGGGGCCAAGUUGUUUUCAUCUUGUCACUUAAUACAAUUAGUCAUGAUCAUUGUUUUCUUCUAAAUGGGACAAAGUUGUUUUCAAAUUUUUUUCAAACUUGAGAAUUGAGAUUAUAAAAGACAUGAUGACGAUAAGCUGAUUUGGUAUUUCAGAAUUUUCCAUAAAAAACACAAAAAUAUAUUUUGUAAAAAGUUGAAAAUAGAAUACGAAUAACCCUUUGUCUGUUGUGAAUCACUUAAAACAUCUAUUGGGAGUCAUAGUAUCUUUUUUUUCUCAACAAAAAGCAAUUUAAUAAUAAUAAUAAUAAUAAUAAAUAAUUAUAGACUUAAAAAAAAUACUUUUCAAAACAAAUGCAAUCUAUAAUUUAUUUGUUUGUAUGAUAUAUAUAUCUUGAUUAAAAUGGUUUUAGCUGGCUUACAAAAACUGUUAUCUAAAAAAAGAAAAGAAAAAGGAAAAGUAAAAUAAGAAAUAAUGCAAACUUCCUUGUUUGGUUUAUUGUACCAUAUACGAAGAAAAAUCAUUAUAUAAAUAAAUUAUGAAAAUAUUUAUAUAAAUUUAAAUUAUUUAUAAACAGAAAAAUGAUGAAUAAAUUUUAAGACGUGUAAAAAUUUGAUCAAGUUAAUUUAAACCUUUUUUUUUCACCUUUUUUCUUCUAUUUUUUCUCACAUUUCUUUUUAAACUUUUGGAAUAAACUCCCUACUAUUUAUGGAGCUUUAAUAUAAAUUUUUUCUCGGUAUAAUGCAUAAUUAUGCAAUAUUUUGAAUGUAUAUUUUUACCUUAACAAGAAACUUCUCUUGAAAAUGAAGAUUAUUUUCGCCUUAUUUUCAAAAUUGUGUUUCUAUUUUUUAAAUCUGAAAAUUACCAUUUUAAUUUCAAAACAAUGAGCCAUUUUUAAAAGAUAUUUUAGAAAAUAGUUUUUUAGAUAUAUUAAUCAUGACACUCAAAGAUCAAAGACACCUUGGUCAUUUCAUUUGUCAAACCCAAGAGUCCAACACAUGAAUGACCUUAACUAACAAAUCCAACAAGUAAUUAGUUAACAACUCCCUCAAAUUGAUUCAUAACAAUGAUUAGAGUAUAAAUAAAUAAACAAAUUAUAAAUUUCUAACCCAAAACUAAUUAAAAAUAUCUAAAUAAUGAAUUCAAAGAUCAUCCCAAACACUUUAAAGAGUUUUAGAAAUCAAUACUAAAUUCAAUAUUAAUUUAAAACUCCUAAAUAAUUAAUUAUAAAGAAAAUUUCAAAAGAAACACCCUUCUUAUCUUGAUUUUUUUUCAUUAAUAUCACUUGUACCUAACAAGUGAAAUAAUAUAGAAGGGUGAACUUAAAACUCGGUUAGGAAAAAUAGUUCAAUAAGAAGGAUCAAGUAUAGUACGAAGUUAAAUCCAAGAUUUGAAAUAUCAAUCAACAUAGACAUAUUGGUACUUGAAUUUUAUAGAUAUAUAAAAAAUAUUGAAGAAAUAUCGAUGGAUAUUUUGACAAAAAUAUUGGUGAGGCGAAAAAUUAUUCAAAAUUCAUGACAAUAUUUGGAAAAAUUCCAAAAAAAAUGAUAAAAAUAAAUAAAAAUACACAUAUUAAAGUUAUUUUCUAAGUAUAAUUGACAUAGAUAUGGUCAAAGAGAAAAAUAUUAGUAAGGAUAUAUCGGUCUUAAUAAUUUAUUAUUUAUCUAAUCAAAUUAAUUAAAAUUUAUAAAAUAUUAGAACUCAUUAUUAUUUUUUUAUUUUAGUAUUUUUUGAAUAAAUUUAUAUUUUUAAUAUUUUAAAAUAAAAAAUUCAAAAUUAAAUAAAAUUAAAAGGAUAAAUAUAAAAAAUUUAAAAGUAAAGUGAUAGUAAUUUUUUAAAAUAGGAUUAAUGAUAUAAAUGAUGAUAUAUUUAAUAUUAAAACUAUAAUUUAUUUAAUUCAGAUGCAUUCAAUAAUGUAAAAUAAAUUAUGAUAUAUAUAUAUAUAUAUAUGAUUUUUUUAGUAUUUAUAUUUUUUAUAUUUAAUUAUCAUAUAAAUGAUAUUAAAAAUACUUGUUAAGAAAAUUAUAAUGAUGGCUUUUAUAUAUGUAUUAAUCAAUUAAAUAAAAUUUAAAAUAAAAUAAUUAAAAUUUAUUUAUUUAUUCUUUUAAUAAUGAACUUUAACAUAUUUAUCAUCAACAUAUAUUAACAAAUGAAAACUUGGCCCAAUGAUAACUAGGCUUGAACCCAAGCCUUUUGGCAUGGGUUCUCAAAUCCCUCCAACACCAACGACAUGAAAUUUGAAGGGGCCUGACGCACGUUGACCAGAGUUAGUUGAAGGGCUUGGUGCGUUGAUUGGUGUUUGACUUACCAAAAAUCGAUAGAUGCCGAUAUUUCAAUGAUAUUCUAGAAAAAUCGCCGAAAGAUCGCCCAAGCAACUUUUGGCAUAGAAUAUCGUGUCGACCUCCUCCAAUAAGCGACAACAUUUCAAAUCAUGGUUAAAUUGUAACGACCCGUACCCAACCAUAUAGAUAUUGUCCUCUUUGGGCCCAAGGUGGCCCUCACGGUUUUAAAACGCGUCUACUUGGUUAAGAGGAGUCUCUACAUAUAUAGCGCCAGGAACAUUCUCCCCUAUCCGAUGUGGACAUCACAAACACCCCCCCAUGCAGACACAACAUCCUCGUUGUGCCCCAUGGGAUUGCGGGGCCAAGUAGACAAACACCGCUUACGGGGCCAAACAAACUCCCACACUGAGGUUGGGAAUCGGCUCUGAUACCACUUGUAGGACCUCAGGCGCUACCAACUCUCCUAAAAACAAUUGCUUGUAGGAAAGGCGCAUACCCUAGCCUUAUAGUGCAUUCACCCAAGCGCCCACGGGCGAACACAAGGGGAGUUGAUGGACGCAGCCAAUCCUCUGAUCUGCCAACGAUCUCCCCCCCAGCGACACCCUUGGGGUUCAAACCCAUGACCUCGGCACUGAUACCAUUUGUAACGACCCACACCCAACCAUAUAGAUAUUGUCCGCUUUGGGCCCAAGGGGGCCCUCACGGUUUUAAAACGCGUCUACUUGGUUAAGAGGAGUCUCUACAUAUAUAGCGUCAAGAACAUUCUCCCCUNNNNNNNNNNNNNNNNNNNNNNNNNNNNNNNNNNNNNNNNNNNNNNNNNNNNNNNNNNNNNNNNNNNNNNNNNNNNNNNNNNNNNNNNNNNNNNNNNNNNAUAGGUUUACAAGAAGAAGCUUCUUUCUCAAAUUUAGGACAUGAAAUAUAAAGUUAAAUGGGCCAAUUCUCUAAAGGCAAGGCUUUGCUCCCUAAAGGUCUUUAUGUUCUUGACAAUGUACAUGAUCAAAAUAUACUUGAAUACUUAGUUGGAAGCCAUGAUUGGUUUGGACAAGGAAGUAGAAUCAUUUAUCACAACUAGGGAUAAGCGUUUAUUAAUGUCACAUGGAGUGAGGGUCUAUGAGGUUAAGAAAUUAGUUCAUACUGAAGCUAUUGAGUUUCUUAGACGUUAUGCCUCAAAACAACAAAUUGCUAUUGACGAAUUUAUGGAGCUUUCCAACAAUAUAACAACAUAUGCUCAAGGGCUUCCAUUAGUUUUUAAAGUCUCAGGAUCUUUUUUAUUUAUCAUGAGCAAACCAUCACAAACACCCCCCCCCCCCAUGCAGACACAACGUCCUCAUUGUGCCCCAUGGGAUUGCAGGGCUAAACAGACAAACACCCCUUACGGAGCCAAACAAACCCCCACACAGGGGUCGGGGAUCGGCUCUGAUACCAUUCUGUCUACUUUGUGCUGCUUUCAAUCUUUCCUUAAUUAAAGAGACCUUUUCAACAAUCAACUGCACAAGUUCAGGCCCCAAAAGUUUCUUCUCUCCAAUAUCAUCCCAACAAACAGGAGAUCGACAUCUCCUACCAUACAACGCCUUAAAAGGUGUCAUCCCAAUGCUAGCUUGAAAGCUAUUAUUAUAGGCAAACUCCACUAGGGGCAAAUAAUCAUCUCAAUUACCUUUUAGGUCCAAAGCAUAAGCUCUCGACAAAUCUUCCAAGUCCUGAAUUACCCUCUCUGAUUGACCAUCAGUCUGCAAAUGAAAAGCAGUACUAAAACUUAACUUAGUACCUAAUGCUUUCUGUAAACUAUGCCAAAAUCUGGAAGUGAAACGAGGAUCUCUAUCAGAUACUAUAGAAACAAGUACACCAUGCAUUCUCACAAUCUCCUUAAUAUAAAGAGAAGUCAAACGGUUCAUAGAAAAAUUAACUUUCAUAGGCAGAAAAUGAGCAGACUUUGUCAAUUGAUCAACAAUCACCCAAAUUGCAUUAUUACCUUCUAAAGUCCUUGGUAACCUAGUCACAAAAUCCGUAGUAAUAUGUUCCCAUUUCCACUCGGGAAUAGAAAGUGGUUGCAAAAACCCUGCUGGUCGUUGAUGCUCAGCUUUCACUUGUUGACACACCAAACACUGAGCCACAAAUUGCGCAAUAUCUCGCUUCAUUCCUGACCACCAAUAAUUAUGUCUCAAAUCUUUGUACAUCUUUGUCCCUCUUGGGCGGAUCGCAAACCUAGAACAAUGAGCUUCCUCCAAAAGCUCUCUCCUUAAGUCUCCAUCAUUUGGGACACAAAGUCUAGUCCUAAACCUCAAAAUCCCAUCAUCUGAUAAAACAAAAUCAGGCUUACUGCCUUUUUUUAACAUCUUCCAUAAGUUGCACUAAAUUCAAAUCAUUCUUUUGUAGGGCCUUAAUUCUCACAACUAAGUCUGACUGCACUCUAAAUUUUGCCACAAGAGCUCCCGAGUCCAAAACUCUGAUAUGAACUUGUAAACUCCUCAAAUCUCUCAAUAAUUGCCUCUGACAACCUCUAAUAGUUGCUAAGGAACCAACAGAUUUCCUGCUUAAAGCGUCAGCCACAACAUUCGCUUUCCCUGGGUGAUAUUGAAUAAUGCAGUCAUAGUCUUUAAGUAGUUCAAUCCACCUCCUCUAUCUCAUGUUCAACUCCUUUUGGGAAAAUAAAUACUUCAAGCUCUUAUGAUCUGUGAAUAUCUCACAAGCUUCACCAAAAAGAAAAUGUCUCCAGAUCUUAAGUGCAAAAACCAUUGCAGCAACAUUCUCCUCUAUCCGAUGUGGGACAUCACAAACGCCUUUUAAAGCCGUGAGGGCCCCCUUGGGUCCAAAGCGGACAAUAUCUACACAGUUGGGAGCAUGUCGUUACAAAUGGUAUCAAAGCCGAUCCCCGACCCCGAUGUGGGGGUUUGUUUGGCCCUAUAAGGGGUGUUUGUCUAUUUGACCCCGCAAUCCCAUGGGACACAAUGAGAACAUUGUGUCUACAUGGGGGGUGUUUGUGAUGUCUCACAUCGGAUAGGGGAGAAUGUUCUUGGUGCUAUAUAUGUAGAGGCUCCUCUUCACCAAGUAGACGCGUUUUAAAGCCGUGAGGGCCCCCUUGGGUCCAAAGCGGACAAUAUCUACACAGUUGGGAGCCGGUCGUUACAUAAAUCCUAGGAGAUAUCACAUAUUUAAAAAAAAAAAUGAUAAUUAGGAGUUCAUUUAAUUCAAUAGUUAAAUUCACUUUCUUCAAAAAAUUACACAUUUUCAAUUUAAAGAUAAAACUAAAUAAUAUACUUUUCAUACUUAAAUUAUAUUUAAAAAAAAUUAUAAACAAACAUUUUACCCUGACUCAUUAAUAAUAACAUUGUGCUCAAAUAGUAGAACUUGUAUUAAGUGGCUAUAUGAUCAAACCAACUUUUACUAUUUAGUAAAAAAAAACUCUUAAAGAUUUUUUUUUAAAAAAAAAAAAAUUAUUUCAAACCAUGUAUAGUUUGAGAGGUUUUUUUUAAUGAAAAUUAAAAAAUAUUUUAAGCUAUAUGUAUAGUUAUUAUCAUCAAUUUUAUUAUCCAUUCUCAUUCUCAUUAUUACCUAACAUUGAAAUGGAAACAAACAUUCAUUUUGACUUUACAUUCCUCGAAGCUUUCAAACAUAAGAAUUGAAAUGGAUAGAUUUAUUACUAAUCAAGGAAAAAUAGGAAUUGAAAUAAAGGGCAUGUUUGGUAAUUGCUUUUGAAAACAAUUUUUGAGAAAAAAAAAUUUUAAUUGUUCAAUAUCUUGUGAAAAAAAAUGUCUAUUUGGGAACUUGAAAUGUUUUUAACCCACUUCUAUGGUUUUACAUAUGUUUUAAAUAUAAUUUUUAUUUAUAGUGUUUUAUUUUUUAUCAUUCCUCAUAUUUAUAUUAUUAUUUUUUAAAAUAGCCCUCAAAAAAAUAACUUAAAAUAAUUAAAAGAUGUUAUCUAAAAACAUCCUAUUAAUAAUUUUUAAAAGCAAAAAACUAUUUUCUAUUUUUUGAUUGUCAAACAUGGUUUCUUGUUUUUUGUUCUAAAGAAUAGGAAAUUGUUUUAAAAAAUGAUUACCAAAAAGAUCUAUCCAUUCUCAUUCCUCAUUCCCAUGUACCAAAUAUGACCUUAAUGACUUAUAUUUUAGUCAGUUUUAUAUUGAUAUACAAAGAAAAAUCAUGCUUCAACUAAAUGCAUAUGAACUAAUAUUAGAAAAAUCACUUUUAGUAGGGUUGAAAGAAAAUAAGUUAAUAUUAAAUAGUUGAACAUUUGCUCAAUUGAGAAGUGUUUCUAAAUUUCAAAAGUAAUAUUUGUAGGAAAACUUGGGAUUACCUUUUUGGAAUACCCAAUAUCCAAAAAAAACUAAUUGUUUCACUGUUUAAUUCUUUACCCUAAGUCAUGAAUGGAACCACACUAAAAUCAAGAAUCACUUUGUUCCACAACACAGUCUUUCACCUUCUUUUUUAGAGAACUUUUCUUCCUGAGUUCUCUCUAUCUUUCUCUUCUAGAGAAAAGUUUAUUGGGGUGAUUUUUGGGCAAUUUCUAAUAGUUUUCAACUCUCAAAACUGCUCCACCCUUGAUCUCUUAUUUGGUUGGAUUGGGUUAGGUCACCCCGACUUGAGCACCCACCCAACUCUAACAAUAUUUAAGUAUUCAAUAAAGUAGAUGAUUGAAUUACUAUGAACAAGUAUAAUGAUCAAAACAAAAAUUUUACUCUUUUUUAUUUUAAUAUAAAAUCCAACCUCUAAUUGAACAAAUCAUUAACCAUUUAAAAAAUAUUCUUAAUAUCUUCAUUUUCUUUUUGUAUUUUUGAAAGUUCAUUUUUAUUUUAACUAGAUCAAAUAAUAUUUGUAUAAUAAUGCCUUUAAUCUACAUUUUUUAUGAGUAAUACCAAAUAAACAUCUCAACAAAUAUUAUAUAAGAUGAUCAUUAAUUUCACUAUCUUCAUUUUAUUCAUGUUAUUCUUCUUUAUCUAGUGGAUUUAAUUAUGAGUUGUAAAAUGAACAAGGACCUCUAUAGUUAUAAUCUCACCUAAAAAGUUGGGGAAGCUAUCUCUAAAUUUAUGGUUCAUGCAUGAAAUAAAUUGUUUUUGUACUUGCAUCAUCAAAGAUGCAUGCAUUUAUUUUUGCUUUUUAACUAAUUUUAAUUAUAUUUUUCUUUCAUAUUUUCUAUAAUAAAUAAAUAAAUAAACAUUUUUUAAUAUUUCAACUAUAACGAGCUGGGCAUAAUUAACUUAAACUAAGUCAAAUGUUUUUUAAAACAAUUUUAAAGAACUCCUUGAGUGCUCUAGUGCUACAGAGAGCACUUAAGCACUCCCUAGAGCACUCAAGUGUGAUAAAAUUCUCUAGAAUUCUGAAGCUUUGAUUUUUCAACUUUUAAAAGCUUUAUUUUGGGAAAAUUCUAAAUUCGAUCCACCAAGAUCUUGGCCCUAUAAAUACCUUGCACAAAGAGGAUUUUCUCUUUUUGAUGCAAAUAUUUCAAAAAACCUAAUUUGCCUUCUUGUUCCCAAAACUCUAAAAGAUGAUUGUCUUCACUUUUACUAGGUGGAGAAAGAGAUUCGCAUCUCUACAAACCCUAAAGUAAGAUUCACUAGGAGCAUAAGUGGUGUUGUACUACAAAUGUGAAGUAUGGUAGAGGUGAUGGGAAGUAAGACUUAGGGAUAGCUUCCACUAGAUAAAACUGUGUACUAUACUUUCGAAUAGUGGAUUUGUAAUUGGAUGUCUUUGACCCCAUGAAUUUUACAUCUGCAUGUUGUGUGAGUGGUUUUCCAUGUAAUAAAUCUUGCAUUCUUGUAUUGAAUAUUUUUAGGCUUUCCUAAAUCAAAAGGGUUAAUUUAAAAUAAUUAAUUUUUGAGCCUAAGAGGUUUAAAAUGUUACCUAAAAUGGAUCAACUAACUUUCAAUGAGGAAAACUCAAAUUACAGAAUUUGCACUUUCAGCCAACACAGCUAGGCUUAGACAAACUGCAGAGUAAAUAUCCUUACAAAUCAACCAACUAGCCUUUCAUCCAUGGAGGGCUUCUCCAAUUUAAAGAUCAUGAAAACCUCUCAAAGCAUUUCUAAAGAAAAAUAAGAGCAUUGGCUCACCCUAAGGGUUCCUUGGAGAGGCUUUGAUCUUAAUCUUUCCCAUGAGUUGUUGAAAGGGUCUUUAACAACUUGGAUUGGAUUGGAUGGAGCACUUAUAUGAACUAAAAAUGAUAAAUAUUAUAACUACUCAAAAGACAUUUUCACAGAAUUGCCAACCUGCAGAUCAUUUAGUUAACCAAAUCUUAAAACGUUAGUCACAUCCAUGGCCAAAAUUAAGCGAAGGCUAAACAUAGAUAGAAGAGAAUUAUCAGGACGCUCUCCUUAGCUUUACCGAGCUAGCUAACAACCUUGAACAGAAUAUUGCUCGAGCAGUCCAUGACUACUAUUAAAAGGAAAAACUUAACCUAUAAAAAAUAUGAAGAACAAGAAGCAUAAAAAGAAAAUAUAGGCUAAAAUACAAUGGUUCGAUUUGGGAAUCAACUGCUACGCAAUAUGUGACUAAAUUCUCAGCUAGAUUCUUACGAGUUCUAACCCCCAAAAGCAUCAAAUGCAGAAGAAAACCCUACAAAAGAGAAACCAGUAAGACAAUAACAAUAUGAUAGUUUCAUCCUCUCUACCUUUCAAGUUUGAGCAUCUUGUGCUGAUGCAUCCUCUCAAUGUAGAAGUGGCUUGCUACAUGACAUCAGUAUUGUAAAAAGAAGAUGUGUAAGCUCACCGUAAUCUUUAAUAGUGAAGAAACUUGAAUUCUCAUCGGUAGUGCUGCACUAAAAUUCUGGUUGAUUGUCUUCUUUCUCAUCUUGUUGAUAUAGUAGAUGAACCCCACACUUCUUCACACUACUACAAAAAUUGAAAUUAAUGACGCUUUAUUUUAUGACGCUUUCUAAAAGCGUCAUUAUUGAGGGUAUACAAUGACGCUUAUAAGAAGUGUCAUAGUUGUAUUAUUUAUCUUGAUACUUAUUAUAAGUGUCAUUAUUUGAUGUCAUCUUUUUCCUUAUAACUGUGUAUAUAAUGACGCUUAUAAGAAGCGUCAUAGUUUUAUUAUUUACCUUGACACUUAUUAUAAGCAUCAUUAUUUGAUGGGUAUGUAAUGACGUUCCUGAGAAGUGUCAUAGUUGUAUUGACUUUUAAAAUUUUUGUUUUUAAGUUAACUUAUACAAAUUUUGAUAUUAGAAUUUUAUUCUAUAAAUUAAUUAUGGUAAAUUGACAUUAAUAUUAAUGACAUAAAGUUGCUACAUUAAGGUUUUUUUUUAAAAAUUUGGAUAUAAAUAAAAUAAAAUCCUAAUAAAUUAUUUUUUUAUUGUUUGAUAUUAAUUUUUUUUAUAGUUUGUAUCAAUACAAUCUAUUUUCAUAAACUAUUUUUCAUUUUUAUUAAAUUAGAAAUUAUCUUAUAUUUCAUUUAAAAAUAAUUUGUUAAUUUAUUUGUAGACCACAAAAAAAUGGCCUAUUUUGAGCACUUGUUCGAGCCUUGGGCCACAUUUAUUGGGUUUAACCCUUUUAUUUGAGAAGGUUUUAUAGUUAAUGAAUAUAAAUUUGAAAUUAUUUAACUAAAAUGAAAUAAAUUAAUAUUUAAAUUAAUUUAAUGAUGAUUAGACUCACAAUAAAACUAAAUGCAAUAAGAAUAUUUAUAAAAACUUUCUAAUAUUUAUGGGAAUUAAGCUCAUUCUAUUAAAUUAGUUUUUUUUUUAAAUAUCAAUAUUCAAAUUAAACCAACAUCAACCUAAAAUAUCAAAUAAUUAAACAAUAUAAAUUCAUUAUGAGUUCAAUAUAUAAAAAUUAUUAUUGGAAGAUGAAAUAAAGAAUACUAUUUUAAUUUAUUGAAAAAUGACAUGCAUGGUAUUUUAGAAUUUGUUAUAAAGUCUCCAUUGAAAACCCUAACUUUUGGAAGACAAGAAAGAAAGGAGAGAGCCACCGUUUUUAGUGAGAAAGAAGAGAAGAGAGAAAAAUGCAAGUUUUUCUCAUCAUGCCCAGAUUUCAUCAAAGGUCUGAUCCCACUUCGUCCGUGGUCCGAUCGAGCUUAAAUUUGGAGGAGAGUUUCGUGACUCAUUUAUCUUCAAUCUGAACGGUGAAGAUCGGAUUUGGAGUUUCGGAAAGUCAUUAGAAAGAAAGAGGAGAAGAGAGAAAAACGUAGGUUUUUCUCAUCAUGCCCAGAUUUCAUCAAAUGUCCGAUCCCGCUUCGUCCGUGGUCCGAUCGAGUUGAAAUUUGAAGGAGAGGUUCGUGGCUCAUGUAUCUUCAAUAUGAACGGUGGAGAUCGGAUUUUGAGUUUCGGACAGUCAUUAGAGAGAAAGAGGAGAAGAGAGAAAAACGUAGGUUUUUCUCAUCAUGCCCAGAUUUCAUCAAAGGUCUGAUCCCACUUCGUCCGUGGUCCGAUUGAGUUGAAAUUUGAAGGAGAGGUUCGUGGCUCAUGUAUCUUCAAUAUGAACGGUGGAGAUCGGAUUUGGAGUUUCGGACAGUCAUUAGAGAGAAAGAGGAGAAGAGAGAAAAACAAUGGUUUUUUACAUCAUGCCCAGAUUUCAUCAAAGGUCCGAUGCCGCUUUUUUCAUGGUCUGAUUGAGCUGAAAUUUGGAGGAGAGGUUCAUAAGUCAUUAAUCUUAAAUUUGAACGGUGACGAUCGGAUUUUGAGUUUUGGAAAGUCAUUUUUCAGCCAAAAACAAAACCUUUAUUUUAUCAAAGAUGGCGCUUCCUGAAAGUGUCAUUGUUGCCUAAGACAUACAAUGACAGAGGCGAAGAGGACGCUUUAGAGAAGCGUCAUCUGUUACCUUUCUUGACGCUUAAAAAACGUCAUUGUUUCCCAUUUUUCUUGUAGUGUCACCCCAUAAGAUGGGCCAUAGACUUGGAAUGAAGCCUGAAUUUGACUCAGUUUAUUUAGCCAAUUGGCGUGGCCAAUCCCAAUUCGAGAAAUUGGUUGAUACCCAAGCCACAUGUGAUCUGAUUUAAUGAAUCUGUGCCCUUUAUCCGAAGAAUUCUGGUGUUCUGGAUUGAUGGGAGCAAAAAGGUGACCAGUUUUACCUUACAGUCAAAUUCAAAUGACAAAAUAUAUUACCAGGGCAAUCAUGGACAGCACCCUUAACUACAAAAAUGGCGCACACAGCCAAUCCCAUCAACCUAGCAUUACACCGAUUUGAAGGCAUAUGUACCGUUACUGUGGAGCCUAUACUCUAUUGGCUAAACCACUCAGGAAUUCAACUUCCAGGAACAAAAGUGCUAGAUUCAAUAUGUGGAGUAUAUGGCACCAUCUGGGUCAUGAAAAUCAAUGUCAAGUUAUAUGGAAAUAAUGUAGGAGUAGUGCUCAAAGGAUUUAAUUGAUUAUUCCAUAGGAUUUAAUUGAUUUACUUUUACAAUAUGAUCAAGAGAGAGAUGAGAGAAACCUGGAUUGGGAAUUGAAAUCUUAGUAAUUUAUUUGCCAGACUUUGCAUUUCCCUUAAUGUAGCUGCCACAAAGUUGCUGCUUUCAUUCUCAGACAGUCUGAAGCAAUUAGAAAAUGCGAAUUGGGGGCCCCCACAUUCCUUGGAUCUGUAGACACUUGAUGGACACAAAAUGUUUUCCAGGACUGUGCAGUCAUGGGCAUCUAUUUCUUCUAUACUUGAUGGAAGCUCUGGUAAUGAUUGAAGCCUCUUGCAAUAACCCAACCUAAGGCCUUUGAGCUGUGAAAGUUGAUUGAGGCUUGCAGGUAGAGUAACAAGAUUGUUUCUACUCAGAUCUAAAUAUUCCAAUGAGCAGAGAGAGCUAAAGUCACUAGGAAUUGCUCCUUCCAAUAUGUUGUAAUCACUUAGAUUUAACUUUCUUAGGGAUCUUAAACCAAAGAAAGAAGGCAGUUGCAAAACCCCAGAGCGUGGAAUUUCUGUGGGCAACAACUGGAAAGAGAGGAGUCAAUCCCUUGGCUUGGAUUCUAGUCCUUUAAAUCCCUCAAAUGAUAAUACUUCAAGGUUUUCCAAAAGAGAAAUAAAGGGUGGCAGCUCUUUUAUAGCAAUUCCAGCUGCUUCAAGCUUCUCUAAACCUUGUAGGCUCCCCAAACCCUCUGACAAAUUGUCUAGUUUUGAGCAACCAUAUAGAAUAAGAGAAUGAAGAGAUUUCAACUUACAAAUGCCAUGUGGAAGAAUUGCAAGGCUUUUGCAUUCUCUCAGAUUCAACAGAACAAGUCCACUUAGAUGUUGGAUUGAUGAAGGUAGUUCUUUUAUAGUAGUUCCAUCUAAAAAGAGUUCCAACAAACUCCCCAUAUUUUCCAAGCCCUCUAGAAGCUCUUUGAGUUUUAAGCAAUCUGAGAGAAUAAGAAUUUCAAGGGAUCUCAACUUAUAAAUGCAUCUUGGUAAUGACUCAAGGUUUUGGCAGUUCCUUGUUAUUAGCUACACGUUCACCACUCUGAAGUGGUCCAACACCUGACCACGUCCUCCACCAGAUCUCGCAUCCGCUGCAGUUAAGGAGCAUGUUCCAUAAACUGCUCAUAGUGGUGGCAAAAUAAGGAACAACGUGGUUUGAUGGGACGCCACAGUUAUAUAGAUUAGUCUUGGUCCCAAACUCCUCUCUCUCUGCUUUUUUUCCUUUAGUAAUACACCAUCUCAUAAGACAGAUCAAAGCUUGGAAAUCUGAGACUUCACCAACUACAAUUCAGAAACAAUGGCUGGAGGUAAGUAGAUGAUCCUAAAUUUUUUUUUGAAAAUGAUUUUUAUGGCAGAAGUUUUAUAUGCUUGGAUUGAAUAUAUUGCACGUAAAUUCUUUCAUUUGGUAUCAAAGUCGUUCAAUCUUGUCUCUACCUUGUAUUGAUUUUGCUUGAGAUACUUUGUUAUAUUUUAUGAUCUCUCAACUACUGCUACUGCCACUAUAAUAUUUUUUUUUUUGCUAAAUUCGGCUCUAGACAGUGAGCCUCCACCCAAUCUAUGAGCCCAAGAAAUGCUCCUUGGUCACUGUCCUUUCUAGGUAGUCAUGCACUGCAUCUACCACCAUGUCGCCAUCUCUUAUCGGACUCGGCAUUGGCAUCAAGGACCUAGAAUCCAUCACCAAUGGGGUGGCCAAACCUCCAUUUUGCUCCACCACUUGGACCGUCCACAUAUAUGUUCCAUCUCCGAAGCAAACGACCUCACACACUCCUUCAUUUCGGAAGUGAUGACAACAAAAAUCGGCCCAUCUGCGGCCAUCCCUUCCCAUUUAGAACCCGGCCGUCGCCGACGCCGGUAUAGGGGCCUUCCCUUUCGAAUCGAAAGCGAUCUCUGGUAACUUGGAUUACUUCCGAGGCGUGGAAAGGCUCACGGGCGAACUCCCAGUGGAGCUCGCGUAGAGGCAGGAAUGGAGGAAUCGGGGCUGCACUCUGGUGGAAGCAGCCCGUCCCGUUUGUGGUGGCUAUUGACGCCAUUGCGGCCAGCCAUAUUAAUCUGGCUAGUGAUAACAAAAGCUGAUGGUGUUGACGCCGCGCGUGGAAGCACCGCGUGUAGUAAGGGCUUUACCUGCCGUGUGAUGCAGGCAACUCCAAUGGCUUGGACUGCAGCCAAUGAUGGUACAGUCCACGUGGGUGGCAGUGAACAUGUCGCUAUCGAUGUCGAUGCAGUCCACGUAGGUCGUGGCGUGCAUGGCGAUGUUGGUGAUGAAGCAAUCCACGAGGUGACGGAAAAUUAGGAUGGUGGGUUCAGUACAGGUGUUAUUAAUUUGUUGAACCUAGAGAGAGAUUGGGUUUCCACUUAAGCCCACUAAAGUUUUGGGCCUUGAUAUAAGUGGCUUUUGGGCCAUUAGGCUUAAUGCAUGGCCAAUGGCCCAUUUUACAAAAUAAAGGGGCUUUAAGUGUUGGGCCAUGGGUUAAAUGUGAAAUUUGGGCCAAUUUAGGCUCUUAUGGCCUGAUUGUAAUAAAUUUUGUAUGGACUUAGGUAGCCAAUCACAAUCUGAAAUCCUUUUAAAUUAAUUUUAAAUUAUUAUGUGAUUUUUAUACAUGCAAAUUAAAUUAUUUUGUUCUAAUUUAUAUGUUUGUAUGUGUAAAAAUGUAGCCUAAAUUUGAAUUAGAUAAAUUAAAGUUGUAGCUUUAAUUGCAUGCAAUUGUUGUCUAAAUUUGUGAUAAAUAUAUUAAUUUUAUAUCAUAUAAUGUCUAGUGAACAAUAUAAUUUUAAAUAAUUAAAGAAUAGCCACAACAUCCUUAAUUAUAUAAAAUUAUAUAUUAAGUAAAUAGGGAUCACAUUAUGGACAUUAAUUGUAAUUAAUUAAAUAAAUAUGACGAUUUUACCCCAUAGGGAUUUCAUUAUGUUUAUAUAAUUAAUUAGUAUAAAAUAUUAAUAUUAAUUUUUCCUAAUUUACCCACAGGAGUUAGGAAGAAUUAAUUUAAUAGGUUUAUCAUGAAGCCUAUAGAUAGAAAAUAUCAAACUAUUCAUAAUAAAUUUUACUAAUUCAGUAAAAAUAGUUUGAUAAAAUAUAUCAUAAAGUUAAUGAAUUUGAUUGAAUUAAAGAUUUAGCCCACAGGCAAUUUUUAAUAAAAAUUAGAUUCAAUUUUUUAAGCGUGUUUUACAUUAGUAAAACAUGAAUUUAAUUAAAGUCUUAAAUAUUAAUAAGCUUGUAAUAUUUUGUGCAGUUUUACCUAGCAUAUCUAAUAUUCAUUGUGAGGUUCCCGAACUCAGGGGAGAUAACUUUAAGAUAUGGAAGGAGAGAAUUCUUCUUCAAUUAGGGUGCAUGGACAUAGACUAUGCCAUAAGGAAAGACGAACCACAUAAGAUCACUGAUACCAGCACACCUAAUGAAAUUCUAUUGUACGAACGCUGGGAGAAAUCUAAUCGCCUCAGUGUGAUGUACAUUAAGACAAAAAUUAGCUGGUAUACGUGGUUCAAUCGAGCAACAUGAGAAUGUCCCCGAAUUGCUAAAGGCUAUUGACGAGCAAUUCGUCACUUCAGAUAAAACCUUGGCAAGCACCCUAAUUAUGAAGUUCACAUCCCUGAAGCUCACCGGUAUAGGAGGUGUACGCGAACACAUUAUGGAGAUGAGGGACAUAAUGGCUCAAUUAAAGAAGCUUGAGAUAAAAAUGUUUGAAUCCUUCUUGGUGCACUUUAUCCUUAACACUCUUCCGCCUCAGUAUGGACCUUUCAAAAUCUCUUACAACACACAUAAGGAUAAGUGGUCUAUCAAUGAAUUGAUGACCAUGUGUGUUCAAGAGGAAGGAAGGUUAAUGAUGGAACAAGGAGAAAGUGUUAUGCUGGUAACGCAAAAGAAAGGAAAGAAAGGAAAAUCUCAAGCCAGUCAAAAAGGGAAACAACAAAUUCCUCCCAAAUCUGACAUUAAGAAAGACGAAAAGUGUUUCUUCUGUAAAAAGAAAGGACAUGUGAAGAAAAAAUGUCUGAAAUUCUAGAAAUGUCUUAAGAAGAAAGGUAACCCUACCUCAUUUGUUUGUUAUGAAUCUAAUAUGGUUAAUGUAAAUAUCAACAAAUGGUGGAUCGAUUCUAGAUAUACAAUCCACAUUUCAAAUUCCUUGUAGAGUAUGCAAAAUCUAAGGAAACCAGUGAGUCCGAAAACAAGAUGGGUUCGCAUGUGGAAGCCAUAGGGACAUGUUAUUUAACUUUAAAUGGUGGUUUGUUUUGGAAUUGCGAAUGACCUUUUAUGUACCAAGUUUCUCACAAAACUUGAUUUCAGUUUCUAGACUUGUACCAUUUGGAUAUUCUUUUCAUUUUUCAGAAACAUCUUUCAGUUUGAUUUAUAAAUCUUAUUGUGUUGGGAAUGGUAUUUUGUCUGAUGGUCUUUAUUGUAUAUUCUUACAAAAUGAUACCACUUAUAAUUCAUUAUAUGUCCAAACUGGCAUUAAGAGAUGUGUUAUUAAUGAGGAUUCCUCUACAUUGUGGCACCGGAGAUUAGGUCAUAUCUCCAUAUAUAAAAUCAAAAGGUUGGUAAAUGAUGGGGUGCUUAGUACUCUAGAUUUUACUAACUUUGAGACUUGUAUGGACUGCAUUAAGGGAAAGCAGACCAACAAGUCAAAGAGAGGUGCUACUAAGAGUUCCGCCAUACUAGAGAUCAUACAUACUGAUAUAUGUAGUCUAGACAUGGACUCUCAUGGUCAGAAAUACUUCAUCUCUUUCAUAGAUGAUUUCUCACGAUACAUAUAUCUCUACAUACUUCAUAACAAAAAUGAAGCAUUAGAUGCCUUUAAGGUUUUCAAGGCAGAAGUGGAGAAACAAUGUGGUAAACAAAUUAAGAUCGUGAGAUCAGAUAGAGGUGGAGAAUAUUAUGGUAGAUACUUGGAAGAUGGACAAGCACCUAGGCCAUUUGCGAAGUUUCUUCAAGAGCGUGGGAUUGUUGCCUAAUACACCAUGUCUGGUUCUCCAGACCAAAAUGGUAUAGCAGAAAGAAGAAACUAAACUUUAUUGGACAUGGUGAGGAGUAUGCUUAGCAGCUCAAAACUUCCUAAAUUCUUGUGGACUAAAGCACUUAAGACAGCAAUGUAUAUAUUAAACCGAGUUCCAACCCAGGCUGUCCCAAAGACGCCAUUUGAGUUAUGAAAAUGUUGGAAAUCGAGUUUGCGACAUAUGCACGUUUGGGAAUGCUCAUCUGAAGUGAGAAUUUAUAAUCCACAAGAGAAGAAACUGGACCCAAGGACUAUUAGUGGGUAUUUCAUUGGAUAUGUUGAAAAGUCUAAGGGGUACAGAUUUUACUGUCCAUCUCACAACACUAGGAUUGUGGAAUCAAGAAAUGCUAAAUCUCUUGAAUAUGACUUGGUCAGUGGGAACGAUCAAUUCAGAAACAUAGUUUUUUAUAUUGAUCAUACAAAGUCUCAACCUUCCACUUCAAGUGAUAGAUUGUUUGUUGUUCAUAACACCCCUCAAGUUCAAACGGGUGUAGAACGAACAAUCGUUGAAGUUCAACCAGUCAUUGAAGUUCCACAAGGUGUUGACAACAUUAUAGUAGAUCAAGUUGAUCAGGAAUUUCCUGACACUUCUAAACAAUAAGUUGAAUCUCAUACUUCCUUAGAAGAUAUUGGUGCAACCUUAAGAAGGUCUACUCGAACUAAGAGGUCAGCAAUUCCUAGUGAUUAUGUAGUGUAUCAACAAGAAUCUGACUACAAUAUAGGAGCCAAAAAUGAUCCCGAAUCCUUUUCACAAGCCAUGAGUUGCAAAGAAUCAAAAUUGUGGUACAAUGUCAUGAAGGAUGAGAUGAGUUCCAUGAGGUGCAACGAUGUUUGGGACCUUGUUGAGUUGCCUAAUGGUGCAAAAGUCAUUGGUUGUAAAUGGGUUUUUAAGACAAAGAAAGACUCAUUAGGCAACAUUGAGAGAUACAAGGUCAAACUUGUUGCAAAAGGGUUCACUCAGAAAGAAGGAAUCGAGUACACAGAAACCUUUUCUCCUAUAUCUAAGAAAGAUUCCUUGCGCAUUAUAUUGGCAUUAGUAGCCCACUUUGAUUUGGAAUUGCAACAAAUGGAUGUGAAAACUGUAUUUCUUAAUGGAGAACUAGAGGAGGAGGUUUACAUGAAACAACAUGAAGGAUUCCCCUCUAGUGAUGGUGAGCAAUUGGUUUGCAAGCUUAAGAAAUCCAUAUAUAGUUUAAAACAAGCAUCCCACCAAUGGUAUUUAAAAUUCCAUAACAUAAUUUCUUCAUUUGGUUUUGUAGAAAAUGUUAUGGAUCAAUGCAUAUACCUUAAGGUCAGUGGGAGUAAAGUUUGUUUUCUUGUUUUAUAUGUGAAUGACAUCUUACUUGCAACCAAUGAUAAGGGUUUAUUUCAUGAGAUGAAACAAUUCCUCUCUAAAAAUUUUGACAUGAAAGAUAUGGGUGAGGCAUCUUAUGUCAUUGGAAUUAAGAUCCAUAGAGACAAAUUUCAAGGUAUCUUAGGUCUAUCAUAGGGAACCUAUAUCAAUAAAGUUUUAGAGAGAUUUCGGAUGAAGGAUUGUUCACCUAGUGUUUCCCCUAUAGUGAAGGGAGAUAGGUUCAAUCUGAACCAAUGCCCGAAAAACAAUUUAGAGGUAUUUGGCUACUCAGAUUCAAACUUUGCUGGUUGUGUUGAUUCACGUAAAUCAACAUCUGGACACAUUUUUAUAUUGGUCGAGGGAGCUAUAUCUUGGAGGAGCAUUAAGCAACCCUUGACUGCUACUUCUACUAUGGAAGUUGAGUUCAUAUCUUGUUUUGAGGAUACUUCACAUGGUGUAUGGCUUAAGAGUUUCAUUUUUGGGCUUAGAAUUAUGGAUUCAAUUUCUAGGCCAUUGAGUAUAUAUUGCGACAAUUCAGCUACAGUCUUUAUGGCAAAGAACAAUAAAAGUGGAAGUCGAAGCAAGCACAUCGACAUUAAGUAUCUAGCCAUAAGAAAAUGUGUUAAAGAAAAGAAAGUGGUUAUUGAGCACAUUAGCACUAAAUUGAUGAUCGUUGAUCCUUUGACUAAGGGCAUGCCACCGUUGAAAUUCAAGGAUCAUGUAGUAAACAUGGGACUUAGUUCCCUCAUAUAGUUUCUAUUGUACAAACUCUUAUUAUGAUGUUUUCUCAUAUUAAUGUGCACCUUUAUUUAAUUUUGAGAAAAUUCAACUUCAUUGGACCAAGAAUGAACAUAGGGUUUAUUCAUUAAGUAAUAUUUCCACAUAAAGAAUAAUGUUAAGAAAUUAAUACAUUGUAAUACAUGGAAGGUAACACUUGUUAUAUAGAGGACUUAUCGCCAUGAUUCAUGUAUUUGUUACUUAAUGCGGAUAAUUGAUGGACUAAGAUAGGACAUUAGGUUAAAGGUGUGGACCAAGUGGGAGAAUGUUGUUAGCUACACUUUCACCACUCUAAAGUGGUCCAACACCUGACCACGUCCUCCACCAGAUCUCGUGUCCACUGCAGUUAAGGAGCAUGUUCCACAAACUGCUCAUAGUGGUAGCAAAAUCAGGAACAACGUGGUUUGAUGGGAAGCCACAGUUAUAUAGAUUAGUCUUGGUCCUGAACUCCUCUCACUCUGCUGUUUUUCCUUCAGUAAUACACCAUCUCAUAAGAGAGAUCAAAGCUUGGAAAUCUGAGACUUCACCAACUACAAUUCAGAAACAAUGGCUGGAGGUAAGUAGAUUAUCCUAAAUUUUUUUCAGAAAUGAUUUUUAUGGUAAAAGUUUCAUAUGCUUAGAUUGAAUAUAUUGCAUGUAAAUUUUUUCAUUCCUCAUAUUUAAUAGAACAAGUCCAGUCAAAUAUUCAAUCGAUAAUCACUUUCUCAUUUUUUUUAAAAAAAAAAAUCUGGUGGCUUUUUAAAAAAAAAUUCGGGUUAUAAAAUUACAACAUGGGAUUGCAAAAGCAUAAACUAAUAGCACAAACUAAAUUGGAUUAACCUAAGUAGCUCAAGAAACUUAUAAACCAAAAGCUAUUAUUUAUGAGUGCAUAAAAUAACACAAUCAAAACAACCUAAACAUGAUAAAUUAAAUAAUACCAUAUAACCUAAACCAAUCAAAAGUAAAACAUGGGAUUUUAUAAUAACUAGAAAUUUCUAAAGGAAUAAGGCUAAAAUCAAUAAAAGGAGUAAAUGUUAGAACUGUCAAACAUAAAUUAAAUAUCAUGUGAUCUCAAGAUAAUAUCUAAAACUCCUAAGGCAAAUAGGCUAAAAGAAAACAAUAAAAUGUUAGAUGUUAAAACUAUCAAACUUUUACAAGAUAAGAUUUUUUUUUUUUUUUUUGAAAAAAAAAUGCUCAUAGAGAACAUUCUAGUAACAUGAGACCUAGCAUGACAAAAGCAAGUAAAUACUAAAUUUACUAAACUUUAUAAGAUGAAAAAUUAUAAAAUAUGCAGUGUAUUCCAAUCACAAGAAGCUAUGAACAAUGAAUAAGUAAAUAAGCAAAUAAAAUAAUCUGAAAAAAAAAAACAAAAAAAACAAACAAACAAACUGGAUAAGAUAAGGAUUUAAAUAUCAUGGCUAAAUACAAGAAUAAAUUUUAGGAUUGUAAACUAUUCAAAAUGAGACUUUUAAAAUGCACGGCAAACAAUCAGUACAUGAAGUUUAAAAUAAACAGUGAUGAUUUCUAUCUCUAGCUUUGAUUCCAAAAACCCAAUAAUCUUAACAAAUAAAAAUCUAUAAAAAAAAUUUAAAAAAAAAAAAAACAAAUUUCAAAAAUCUUACCUCCCAAAUACCUCCAAAAUUCUCUUAGAUCAUGGCUUCAAUAUGCGCAUUAUCAUAGACUAAGCCACUCUUCAGAAAAUGUGCUUCAAGAUCUCCUUUUCUCGGGUUGAAAACCUUCUUCUUCGAGAAUGCUAAAUGAGAAAAUUGUUCUCCCUCCUCUAAGUUGGAUCUUUUUUUUUUUUCUUCAUGAAAACUCAAUAUCCCCCUUUCAAAAUCACCAACCUAUCUCUCUUAAAGAAAAGUGUUCCCCCUUCUCCCAAAAAACCACUAGCCGGUUUUUUCUCUCUUUUUUUAAAAAAAAAAUAUAAAAAAUUGGAUGGUAUUCUUUAUGGCUAAACGGUGCACUUGAUCUCUUAAAAAUCUGCUGCUUGUGCUUUGGAGGAAAGAUCCCCCAAUGGUGUGUGGUAGAGGCUCUUAAAAUGCAUGGAUUCUAGCCCCUCCAAUGGUGAAUGUUGUAAACCCUUAAUUUUGCCCUUCUAGCACAUGUCCUAUUAGAUACUAGUUCGAUACUUUAUAGUAGUUCCUUGAUGGCCCAUAGCUACUCACAUUACUUACCUUUCUUGAGCCACCUCGGAAACUCUGGUUGAUGGAUUGCCUAGCCCCUUAUUGUGACCCUUGGCAGUUUUAAUUUAGACUUAAGCUUUUCUUUCUUUUUUAGGAUAGUUCUUAGGCAUGUUUAGGUCACUUAGACAAUAUCCCAAUCACUUUAAGACACCUAGUUCAUUAGGCACCCACUUAGGCCCACUUCGUUCGCCCUAGCGCACUAGGACACACCCUAGGUCACCUUUAGAUGUUUUUGCAUGGUUUGCAUGGUUGCAUGACUCGUAUUUUUGCAUAGUUGCGUGGCUCGUGUUUUUGCAUGGUUGCAUGACUCAUAUUCUUUUGGUGGUUACAUAGCUCGUAUGGCUUGCAUGUAGUUGAUUUUUUUUAUUUUUUGUUUUUAAUUAUUUUUUAUUUUUUAUUUUUUUAUUUUUUUUAUUUUUUAGGUGCGUGAUUUAAAUUUCUUUUGAUUUUCAAUUUCAUGAUAUUUAUUGAUUUUAAUCUUUAUUUUAUUUUAUCUUUAUUUUAUUUUUAUUUCUAUUUGUAUCUUUAUUUUAUUUCUUGCAUGAGAAAACGGUUGCCGGCUAUUUGGGGGGAAGAUCACCAAAAUUUUAGAGGAAGGAAAGUGACAGUUGCAUUAUUUUAUAAAGUUACCUCCACCAUGCAUAUAAGGAAAACACGGCCAUAAGGAAAAGGAAGAGGUUGCUGCCCAUAGAAGAAUAUAUGGAAAAUUUCCAUACAAAAAGGAUUUUUUAGAGAGACGCAAUCUCCAUGGACGGACAGAUACAUGGAAAGAAAGGCGAGAUUUUAUGAUUUUCUAAUUAGAGGCACGAAUAGCAAGGGGAUUCGAUACCGAGAUCUGGCACUAAAAGGAAGGCAUGCAUUGCAUAAAAAGGAUUUUUUUUUUUUUGGGGAAAGGGGUGAUCGUCUGGAGGAAAAGCACAAAGGAAUUGGAGAAGAGAGCAAUUGCAACCAAGGCUGCCUAGGUAUGCUUCUCGUCACUCUUGGAAUUCUUACCCAUAUUCGAUUUCUCCGUGCGUUUGUUUUUUACUAUUUAAUAUACUGUUGAUUGGUGUGGACGAAAAGGGCCACAAAUUGAUUUGUUGAGAUUGGUUACUCACUUGUUUGCCCUGUUUUGGAUUCUGAUUCUCUUAUGUGUCAUUGAUGUCGUCUGAAAUUCAUGACUCCAUGCCUGAAUUUGAUCAUGUUCUUUUUUGUUUAAAUCCCAUUCUGCAUUUUGCUCUCUGUCCUUAGCCCACAGAUUUAAUAUUUGAAGUGGAGCUAUUUAUGUUUAUUGACCAAAGUCUUCCGCUCUCUUCUUCUCCGGGUUUUACAUCUUUUUUUAUUUGUUCUCUAUCCCUCCUCCUAUACGGUAUUUGAUUACUACCAAAAAGUGCUAUUUUGUAGACCUAAUUAUAAUGGUUUUAAGCACCUUUGAGUAGUAAUCAUAUUCAUUUAACCCAAUUAAUUCAUUAAGGUCCUUAGUAAUUGGUUUUAACCAUUUUGUGGCAAGUUUACAUGUUUAUAUCAGCUUAUGAAUCAAUUCAAGCAUGCCAAAUGAUGGAGGAGCUUCUUGGACAAGUUAAAGCAAGCUUUUAGCUACACCAAAGCAAGCCAACAAAAGGAGAAAAGCAAAGAGAAGCAAAGAGAAGCAAAAAGAAGCAAAGAGGAAAACAGAGGACAGCAGCUGCAGUCUUCUUUGGCACUUUUGGAGCACUUCCCGAAGUCCAUUUUCUACAUGCUAUAUACCAUUUUAAAGCUCAGAAGUCAAGAAUCCAACGGUUCAAACCAUGUACGAUUUGGAGCUGAAAUGAGAAAGAUAUGGCCUUCGGAGACACUGCAUCAGCUGAGGACAUUUCGCACACCACUGUGCANNNNNNNNNNNNNNNNNNNNNNNNNNNNNNNNNNNNNNNNNNNNNNNNNNNNNNNNNNNNNNNNNNNNNNNNNNNNNNNNNNNNNNNNNNNNNNNNNNNNUUUUUAUUUGUUCUCUAUCCCUCCUCCUAUACGGUAUUUGAUUACUACCAAAAAGUGCUAUUUUGUAGACCUAAUUAUAAUGGUUUUAAGCACCUUUGAGUAGUAAUCAUAUUCAUUUAACCCAAUUAAUUCAUUAAGGUCCUUAGUAAUUGGUUUUAACCAUUUUGUGGCAAGUUUACAUGUUUAUAUCAGCUUAUGAAUCAAUUCAAGCAUGCCAAAUGAUGGAGGAGCUUCUUGGACAAGUUAAAGCAAGCUUUUAGCUACACCAAAGCAAGCCAACAAAAGGAGAAAAGCAAAGAGAAGCAAAGAGAAGCAAAAAGAAGCAAAGAGGAAAACAGAGGACAGCAGCUGCAGUCUUCUUUGGCACUUUUGGAGCACUUCCCGAAGUCCAUUUUCUACAUGCUAUAUACCAUUUUAAAGCUCAGAAAGUCAAGAAUCCAACGGUUCAAACCAUGUACGAUUUGGAGCUGAAAUGAGAAAGAUAUGGCCUUCGGAAGACAACUGCAUCAAGCUGAGGGACAAUUUCGCACACCACUGUGCAAGGUGCGAAUUCCUCAGUCCACUGUGCGAAAAUUUCGCACACCUCAAAUCAAAGUGCGAAAUUGGAACUCCAACGUGCGAAUUUUCCCCUAUUUCUGCCGACUCCACACGAGAUCUUUUCUUUUAGAUAUUUUUGUAUAAAUUUCCAUUCUUCUCCUUGUAAUCCACCACUCAUGUAAUUUCUUAGCUAGGAAGGUUGGAAAAACUUCUCUAUAUAUAUUCCCUUGCAUCCAUUGUAAAAAAUAUCGAUCAAUAUAUAGAAUAUACAGAGCCUUGCUCUAUUUUUCUCUCUUCUCCUGUUCUUCCCCAUUUCUAUUUUCUUAGUAGCCAAACAGCCUCUGAGGGCUUUUCCUCAAAGGAUGAUUGGCUAAAACUUUUAGUUUCUCAAAGUAUGGAUGUUAUGUGAUGGCUUGGAUGCAAUCCCAUGGAAAUUUCUCGCACCCGGAAGGUAAGGUAGUCGUUUUUCAUUAAUGGUUCAUUAAUGCAAAGUUUGGUUUUUAUUUCCUUUUGAAAACUUCCAACGGCCAAUACUUGAUAAGCUUUUGGAUUUCUAUCCAUUAGUUAUCUCCUACGAGCUAUUGGAAGGUGAGGUUUUCAAUUCCAAGUUUUGCAUUAAUCCGUUAGAACCAAUUUCAAUGGCCAUUGAAAGGUGAGUUUAUCACCUGGAAUGACUUUGAGUUGCCAAUAUUUGGUAAGCUUUUGGCUUUAGACCAUUAGUUAUCUCUUACGAGCCAUUCAAAGGAAGUCUAAGGUGAAUAACCAUUGAUGAAAUUCACUACCAUCUGUUUUGCCAUUUUAAAGGAUUAAAACUUGAUUUGCUAAAUCCAUACCGGUUCGGGAAGCAAGCAUCACCAUAGUUGCAACCCCAACGCAAGGAGCCUAUCCUGAGAUUUCCAAUUUGCAUAAGAGUCAGAGCAUAGCUAUCCUAUCUUUGGGAAACUUGUUUUUACACCCUUUCAUUUUAGUUUUUAAUGUUAGCUUAGAUUAGUUUAAAUCUUUCUAAAAAAUUUACAUCUUCUUUUAAAGCUAACAUCCAUAAGAAAAUCACCUAUUUUCCUAAUUUGAAUAUCACUUGUGUUUGCGAAAACCCUUCCUAGUGAACGAUCCUAGAACCACUAUGCUAUAGUAGCUUGGCUACUUUAGUAAUAGUAUUCAAGGUAUAAAUUUUGUUGAUACGCCUUUAAAGCUAAGCUACCAUGAGUCGAAUCAGUAUUUGAAUCUAUUUGAGGUGCUUACAGUGUGUUUGAAGAAAUGUCCAGAGAUGAAGAUUUGAUUAAUUCCUUACCUUCCUGUUUUGGAUCAAUUGGGUUUUAUGAUGAAGUGUUGGUUCUCUUUGAGCAAAGGCUAGAUGUGGUUCUGUUACUUUCUUUGGAUUCUGCGUUUCAUGAAAUUAUGGCCUAUGGUGAAUCGGGAUACUUGAAAAAGGAGCAUCGGGUCAUGAGUUUUUAAUUGAAUUCCCUGAUUUCAGUUUAUACUAAGAUUGGAAAGAUAGAUUUCGGGAGAAGUUAUUGGUGUUCAGAAUCACUUUGUCUAGGCAUAAGGAUUUUUUUUGGAAAGCUUUGAAGCCUUAUAUCAGUUCUAUACCAGGAAUUCCUUUCCUGUGUUGUGCUAAAGCAUUCCUCUAAUUUAUGCAUUUGAUGUGACCAAUUUUCUUAUGAAGACAAGAUCACCGCGCUGCUGACAUCCUCAUGCCAAGGCACUUCGAAUGUUUCUUGAAAACUCAAGUGAGAGCUUCUUUGGCUACAUAUUUGCCUUUGAUCGACGAAAAUCAUCUGCUCAGGCUAUAGUUUCCCUCCAAGAAAACCAGCUUGCUUGGAAUUUAUUUAGAGAAGUUAUUCUAUAAAACAUCAGUUAGAUCAGCGAUGAAUACUCAGAAUUUGAAUUCAGUUAGCUUGCAGUCGAUAUCCAAAACCAACUCCGCUUUGAUACCCAAUCAGUCGAAUUUGCACAGUGCACAAGUUGUACGUAUGAAGCCACAAUCAGCCAGUCAAUAAGAACAGGACCCAUCAAGUCAGUAGCACUAGAUUUUGAUAAAGAAUGAUCGCUUUCGGUCAGCUUCAGUCGAUGUCUGAUCUAAACAGUCAAGUAAAGGCUGAGCCUGGAGGAGAGGAGAGCACCAUAAUGAAAUUUUGAAUUCACAAGUUUCUGACCAGUCCCAACUUUCUGAGUUGCAGAAUCAAUUCCAGCAGAACUCUUCUGAAGACCAUUCUAGAGGUGCUCAGUUACACUUUUUACCCUCUGGGACGCAGGAUAUACGUUCAUCAGCGGCCUCAUCGACACCAUGUUCAGACUAAUGAUGCAGUCUAGGAAGUACAGUUGUCAGAUGCUGGCUGUUCAAGUCAGUACCAAUAAAGACUGCUUUGUAAAAAUUUGGAAAGAAAGGAUUUAUGUUCAAAGCAUAGAACGUUCUGGUCGUGUUUGGGAUGCAAAAUUGAGGAUUAAAGAGGGCUGCAGAAAUGGUAAACAGUUUGACUUUCUGGUGAAGUUUAUGGUCAUCUCGCUGUCGAUAAUAAAUCCUCUAUGCUGGAACGAAUCCAAAUAUUUGCUCAUGAGGACAAAAUCCAUAGGAAACUACUUCAUCACUGGUCCAAUGUAUGUGUAUGACUCAAAUUGGGAUGAGUCAGAUUGGGUCACUGAUGGAGGAUGACUUCAACAUGAAUGGUGAUAGCUCUGUCCAGCUUCUUGUUGCUGCACAUGCUGUUAAUAAUGCUCAAGCCAUUAUUAUGGCUCUUUUGGAGGAGUAUGAGAAUAUUCUUGAUAAAAGGCCUAGGUGAAUUCUAUGCUAGGAAGGCAAUGGACAAGUCUGUGAUGUUGAACUGCAACAAGGUUCACCAAGCAUGCAUGGAAAGGGAAAUUAUUUCAAUGCUUGAUCAUCUGUCCCUUCCAAUGUUGUACUCCCCUUUUCAGGUUCUAUGUUGCAGAGAUCGUGAUUGGCUUGGAAUAUCUUCACUGUUUAGGAAUGGUUUAUCGAGAUUUGAAGCCUGAAAACGUGAUACUGCAAAAUGAAGGUCCAUGGUAUGAGCUAUUGGUCAUUCCUCUACGGUUUGAGCUUCUUUGUUCAACUAUAAUCCCCAUAUUUAUAAAGGUAUCUUUGGAUCUUGUGAAGAGCUUAUAUGCAAAGUUCAUUGAUUGGGAUAACCAGAUGAUUGACCCAGAAAGGAGUACUCCAUCCCAUGUAACAAAUACGACAAUAAAUAAGGACUUGGGGCAGGUUGAGCAUAUUUUUUGAUUGAUAACACUGGAGCUCUUACUGAGAGUAGAAUGUUCUUUAGAAGAUGCUGUAUUGGAGGCAUUUUCUAUGGAAAUGAGAGUGGGGAUGCUUUGAAAGAUGUGGAGUUGCUGAAUGCUGUUUCCAGUGGUUCUUCUUAUGAUAUUCAAUUUGUUACAGUUAUGGCAAUAUGUAAUACAGUUAUACCUGUGGAAAGCAAAACUGGAGCAAUCUCACACGAGGCACAAUCUCAAGAUGAAGAUGCUUUUGUUCAGGCUGCUGCUUGCUUGCAUACGGUUUUUGUCAAUAAGAAUGCAAAUACUCUUGAAAUCAAUUUCAACGCUUCAAUAAUUCAGUAUGAAGUAUUAGACACUCUAGAGUUCAUUUCUGAUAGGAAAAGAAUCUCAGCUAUGGUGAAAGAUUGCCAGAAUAGAAAGAUUUUUCUUUUGUCAAAAGAAGCAGAUGAAGUCAUCAAACCUGAUGCAUGUGCUGGAUAACAAACACGAACUUUUACUGAAGCUAUUACAUCUUGUGUCCUAAAGUUUAUUGAGGAUCUGUUGAACAUUGAUAAUGAAUUGGAUGAUGAAGACAUCACUAUCGAAAAGGUUCUACUUCCGAACACAAAGACUCUCAUCUGCAGCUUGCAUUGUCUUUUCCAAAGUUGUAAUGUAACAAAAAGGGAAAUCAGUAUAUCCUGGAGAAACAGAGCUUAGAAUUUUCAAAUUGUUGUCAAAAUAUAUAUAGGAUCCAUUGCAAGAAAGGAAAUUCAUUGAUGAUUUGCUCCCCUUUUUUAGGAAAGAAAGCUCAGAAUUCUGAUGCAUGUGUAGAAGCUUUGCAACUUAUUCGAGAUAUUAUACCAGUUUCAGGGGGUGAAACUUCUCCGAAAAUCUUGAAUGUCGUUUCUCCUAUGCUAAUUUCUGCUGGACUAGAUAUACGUUUGGUUAUUUGUGGCCUUCUUGGUGAUCUUGCUGAAACUGACCCUUAGAUACUCUCUGUGGCAAAUCUCAUAAAUGAAUUGAAUGUGACCUCUGUUAUGGAAACGAAUGGCCCGGAUCAUGACACCAUAGUUUAUGAUUAGGAAAAGAUUAUCAUGGAGUUCUUUAAUAAUAUCUCAGAGAAUCAGGCACUGGUCAUUUUGUCGCGUUGUAUAUAUGACAUGUCAUCCAAUGAACUGAUCUUAAGGCAUAAUGCAUAUAGGUCAUUGGUCUCUUCUGCUGAAUUCUCCGUCCAAACUCUUAGACUUGAAGUGAAGAGUGACCGUGAAAUGUUUGAAGCAAUAGUAACGUCCAUAGCUAAUGGUUACUUGGACUGAAGCAUGCAUUCAGCGCAUGAUAAAAAAAUUCCUUUUGGAACUGGCAAUAUGUUGGGCAUAGAGUUUGCCAAGAGAGGUUCUGAAACUGUUGAGGUGGCUCUCUAAAUUUGAUUGAAUGCGAGACUCAUAAGAAUGCUGUAAGAGCAACCAGAAAGCAGGCAGAAAAACCACAUACACGCAGCUCUAAAUCAAGUCGCUGCAUUCGUGAUUAAAGGAAGUUACAGGCACCUGGUCAGGGAAUGGACGAGUUGUGGACCCCGCAUUUCGGCUCAAUGCGUUUCCCACUCGAAUGGCGAGCUCAAUUUUUAUUUAAAAAAUGAUUUUUAUUGAUUAUUUGAAAAUGACUUGGAGUCGCCACUUAUUUUUGUUUUAUUUUUAAAAGGGUAAACAAAAUAAGAAAGAAAAACCCUAAGUGCGACUCCUUAUUUGGAAAAGGUGAUCUACGAAAAACCGGAUCAGGUUCGGGGGUCAGGUUACUUAUUAGGAAGGUACGGUAAAGACCGUAGCACCCCUCUAAGUCCCUAAAGUCGGGUCUCUACUAAUAGAAUGAAGCUGGUGUGGCAAUGAUGAGGAAAUCAAUAAAUACUCAAAUCAAUCAUGCACAUAUGAGUAUCAAAACAUGCGUAUAGCAAGACCAGAAUAAGAAUAGAUGCAUACCUGGGCAACGAUCUUCAAUGCGCUAUCAAGAAGUGAGAUUAGUGCACAAUUAAGGAAUAAUAGCACGCAUGUCAGAGAGCAGGAUGAAUAAAUCAUGUAUGAUAAUCAAGUCAAUCAAUCAGAUCAAUCAAUAGAUCAUAAGAUCAUGUAUGUGGGGCCCCCACCAAAGCCCGUUUAUUUUGCAUGAAUUAAUUCCAAUAACUCCAUUACUUGGAAUUACGAAAUCAAAUCUAUGCUUAUUUUAAAACGCUUUAAAAUCGUGAAAAAUUCGAAAGUGGCUCGCCGAAAAGAAGAUGGCGGCCAAAUUUUAUUGAAAAUGGGAUUUUGAGUCCUAAAAACUCUAAGGAUGAAAGCUUUGGAGACUUGAAGUUAUUUAAAAACCGGAAUUUAGGAAAUUAUUUACAAAAUGAAGUUUGGAAACAAACUUUUUCAAAAUCAAAGAGGUAUGGGGAAGUGAAAGAUGACAAGUAACCCCUUGGUUGCAUGCUAAAGGUAGCCAUGCAGGACGCUAUUUUGACACGCUUACUUUCCAAAUUUGAAGCAUCCAAAAGCUUAGGCAGAGUCUCAGCCUGAUUUGCUCCAGCUCCUAACGGUUCAAAUCAAUUCCUACCGAAGGCAUAGACUCGACCAUCAGCAGAGAAGCAGAGUGCGCCAUAGUCCAGCAACAAUUCAUGUAACCUUGACACCCGACAGAGUAGACACAUAAGCUGGUCUCAGCUGAACAUGUGUAUUCCCUAGUCCACACUGUCCAUGAAGUCCCCAAUCAAAUGUGGAUAAUUGAUAGCAUCUGUGAUUACUGUACUAUGCCGACCUCCACAAGCAAACUCUUUCACAUGACUUCCAAGGACUUUAGAAAUGCUCUCCGGUGAAAUCAAGCUUCUUUGAUGAACUAAUGAUGACCUGUCUUUUCCAUAAGCACGUGGAUUGGAGCAAGGCAUGAGAUGAGAAGAGAGACACCAGCUUUGUUCCAGGAUCCAAACCCUGCUGCCCUUAGGACCUGUGAUGGUACAGAAGCACUUGAAACAACCUCAAAGCCUGGAUAAGGGAACUUUGGAUUCGGUAAGAAACCCGUUUCUUAACAACUCACUUAUCCUUGACCGACUACCUGGCUCGGGGUGCAACCACCAUAGGCAAAAUGAAGCUUCCUUUGGCCACUUCAACAACUGAGAGGGAAGAACUCAACGCUUCAAACAAGACAUAGCGCCACUCUUUUCUUUUCUCGAGCUAAGUGAGUGGGAUAACUCAAAAAGGGAUGACACCCAAUCGGUAAAUAUCCGGAAGCACAGGAAAUCUGAGCACCAGAAAUUCCAUAUCAGUUUCAUAAAUCUGGCAGCCAGUGCAAAAGGAAGGACUUGAAACCGGAUCUCCCGACCAAUGCACAAAAGAAUUGCUGACUGGUUGCUCACGCUAUGAAUCACAGCAAUACUAAGUUACCGUCGUGUGCCACCUUUGAGGGUGCGUUCUUGGCUGCUGAUUUUACACCGUCCUUGGACUCAUGUGUUCUUUGGUGUUCUCGUCAUCAGUUCUUCUAUCUUCCGUGCUCUCAACAGACAAAAGGGAGCCCACAGAUGAACCAAGAUGAGGCCCUAUACUGGAUUCACUUUUAGAUAGUUUGCUUCCAGAGCAAGAUCCAUCCAACAAUUUAGUUGAAGAAAUUCUCAACCCAUCAAAGCCACUUGGUUCAUUCACUAUUUUAUUGGCAGAGUUUGUCUUCCACACAUCCAUAAUGUUAACUUCUGCAUCUUAUCGAAGCCAAUAAUCAGCAUCAAUAUCAAUAUCAGGAACAAUUUUCAGGAUUCCUCCGAUAAACUCCUAUGAUGCAGUAAGAUCAGAACACAUUUGAAUACCAUCUUGAGGUUCAAGUUCCUUCCUGUUGCCAUCGGCAAUGACGGCCUUUGUUGAUGAGUUCUCAUUAGACCCUGAACCUGAUGCAAAAGGAAAGCUCAAAGGAGGCCGCGUCCCAUUCAUCUUCACAAAUUUUUCCUCAAAUUGACUGACGAGGUAGACAUUGAUUGGGCUCAUUGUGCUUCUAAGGACUAUAUGAUAUCUUCUCUGUAAAUAGUCACCAGCUUCGUCAGGAUCUGGAACUUCCAGAAUGGUCCCAUGUGGAUGUUCCCAGGUGAAGAUAUAUUGUCAGUAUGGUACAGCCAGGUCUGAUGAAGCUCUCAAUUCAUUAAACUUUGCUAGUCCAAAUCGAGGGGAAGAUACUCUUUGGCCCCAGGACGAAUCAUUAACCAGUAGUUGUUCUACUCACCUCACUGCAUUCAACAAAGAUCUUUCUUCCUCUCUUCGAUAAACACUCAUACUCAAGACACCACCUCUAUAGGUCACUCUUCCAUGCAUGCAACAAAAUAGGAUAUGGAAUGAAUGGGGCUCCGAAGCUAACUACAACUUGAACGUGGGAUUUAGUGACUGAAUGAAUGAGCUAAACACGUUCAGGUUCAUGGGAGGUGGAGGACAGGAAUAUAGUAGGGUAUUGGGAGAAAAGAAAAUGGGUAUAGUUGUGGUUAGAGAGAGAAAAGGUGGUGGAAGGAUAUGAAGGUGUAGGGAUAUGGGUAUGAUAGCAAGGCGGUGAGAUGAGGUGAUAAUGAGUGUAAAUAGGCUUAGAGAGAAAGGCGAAUAAAUAUGGUGGGGAGUAGACUGUUGACAAUGGGUAUGUAUGAGUCCUAUGCCCGUGGGUAUGGUGAGAGAUGAACUGCAAGUGAUGGGCAUGAUGUGGUGUGGGGUGGAUUAGUGGGAUGACAGUAUACAAAGAGAGCGUGGUGUAGAGAGAGAAUGCAAGAUGAUGAGUGCAUGUGUAGAUAUGGGUGUGAAAUGAUGUAAAUUUGAAAAAGAUGACAAGCUAAAUAUGUGAAUGGAGAUCCGAGAGAGAGUACAGUGAUGGGUAUGAACAAACGAAGUGGUGAUAGAAUGAAUAAGAAAUUAAGCAUGCAUGUGGUUAGUAUGAGACAUGGGUAUGAAAGGCAGAGUAGAGAGAGAAAAAAAAAGUGGUGAGGGAAUAAUGAGCGAGAAAUGGUGGGUUGGAUACAUAGUAUAUGGGUUGGAUACAUAGUAUAUGGGUUGGAUGGACGUGAAGUAUGGCAGCCAAUAGGUUUAACAUCCCGAACUCCUCAUCUCUGGUUCAUGUUUUUCAAUUUCUUCGGGCUUUCCUGGCAUUUUCUCAUGGUGAUAGCCCUAUAGAUUUCAUCCGUGUCAGCAUGCAAAGACUUAGGUCUAAAACCACGAGCACCAUCACAUACCACACCACCCUCAUUCAUGAUUAAUCCCAUUUUUAUACCCUUCUCCUCUUGAAAACUAACUCAUCUCGGUACAGGAAAGCACAAGGACCAAACCAACAUGAUCAUGCACCUCAUAAUACCCUUCUCUUCUUGAAAACUGACUCAUCUCGGUACAAGAAAGCACAAGGACCAAACCAACAUCAUCAUGCACCUCAUAAUACCCUUCUUCAUCAUGCGAAAGUGGAAGAUCUGAUGCAUGAUACGGAUGGGUCCCAAAAACAGAGGAAUAUAACCAGAACAGAGUACAGCAGAUGGGAACCAAAUGAGUUCAUACAAGUCUCAUUUCCCAUACCCUCAAUGAGCUCGGAUAUAAAAUCAGUUCAAGAAAAAUAAAAAUAAAAUAAAAUAAAAAAAAAUAAAAAAUUCAAAAACGAGUUUUGAAACGAAAACAAAGGUGGGAAUCUCAUGAGAGAUCUCAAAACAGGGGACAUGGAAACGGGAUAGAAAUCAAGCAAAAGGGUGAGUAGAAGCAAGCUCAAGAUCCCAAAAACCAACGAAAAUAAUCAGUAAACACCUUCAAACAUCCAGAUAGAACCUCAUUUGAUAUUCAGAUAUCAUCAUGAAAGGGGCAUGAACAUGUAAAAAUAAACAUAGCUAUGGAAAUCAUACUUGAGUCUCCUUUUUCUAGCAAGUGGAGUCACCCACCUCACGGCAGCUCAAGUCCUCCUUCCUCCAGAAAAUUUCUCCCAAAACUCCCAAGCUCUCUCUGCCCUCCUCCACCCUAAAAGAUCUCUGCAGCCCUCUCUAAAAUGGAAAAGCACCACCUGAAAAGCCCUCCACCUCCAGCACCCACCUGCAGCUGGCCUGCUACCCCUCAACAACCUGCAGCUUUUUGCAGAUUCCUCCUUGCCAGGUGUCAAACUCUCACUCGCUCCUCAAUUCCACCAUCUGUUUCUAUGACCACCAACCACGAGGCGACACGUGGCUCCUUGAGAGCCCUCCACCUGCAAAGAAUUAUAACCUGUAGAGAUGCAAAGGAAUGAGCCCCAAAUGGGGGUCUACAAAUAUGCCCCUCUUCGGUAGAGUUCAUGAGUGUAAGGAAUAUAAAUACUGAAGUGAAAGGUAAGUGUGAAUAGUGAGUGGAAAGAAGUGAACUCUACCGAAGAACCAAGGAGACCCCCAUAGGGACACGAGUGAGAUGUGAACUCACUCAGGCCAAAAGACAAACACAAAGGCUCUAAUCCUAAAAGAGAAAGAUGGGUGCCUCCAAAUGCCUCCGAAGCCACACUAAAGAUCCAAGCUCCCUCUAAAACGUCUCCAAAAGUGACCCGAAGAUCGAUGUCAAAGGUGAGUAACGGUCGAACCACCCUGGAGUACGAACAAGAAUGCGUCUAAAGGAGACUGCCCUAUGUGGACUACGAGAUGAAUAGGCGAUAAGCACAGGGUAACGAGGUGAGGAGAGUGAGAAUAAGUGCAAAUCCAUGAAGGUGAGACAUGCAAUGCCAGAGAAUAUGAACGCUAGGAGCUGUGACUCUGCAUGACAAGACUGACUCUAAACGCUAAACUAAAAAAUAAGAAAAUAAAGCUCUACAAGCCAAACCAAAAAAGCUAACUCUAAAUGCUAAACCGAGAAAAUAACAGCUCUGGAAGCCAAACCAAAAAAACUAACUCUAAACACUAAACUAGAAAAUAUGAAAAUAAAGCUCUGGAAGCCAACCAAAAAGAUAACUCUAAACACUAAACUAGAAAAUAAGAAAAUAAAGCUCUGGAAGCCAACCAAAAAGCGAACUCUAACCGCUAAAAUCGAAGGCCCAUAGGUGAAGACCUACGGUGGUGAUAAUAACUGAAACAAAGGCUCAUGGAUGAAAAUCCAUGAUGGUGAAUCUGAAAUGCCCAUAGAUGUCUGAUCUAUGGUGGUGAAAUCUGAAAUGCCCACAGAUAAAAAUCUAUGGUGGUGAUAAUCUCGAAAUGCCCAAGGAUGAAAAUCCAUGGUGGUGAUAUAAUCUAAAAAGCCCAAGGAUGAAAAUCCAUGGUGGUGAUAUAAUCUCAAAAGCUCAAGGACGAAAAUCCAUGGUGGUGAUAUAAUCUCAAAAGCCCAAGGAUGAAAAUCCAUGGUGGUGAUAAUCUCGAAAUGCCCAAGGAUGAAAAUCCAUGGUGGUGAUAUAAUCUCAAAAGCCCAAUGAUGAAAAUCCAUGGUGGUGAUAUAAUCUCAAAAGCCCAAGGAUGAAAAUCCAUGGUGGUGAUAUAAUCUCAAAAGCCCAAGGAUGAAAAUCCAUGGUGGUGAUAUAAUCUCAAAAGCCCAAGGACGAAAAUCCAUGGUGGUGAUAUAAUCUCAAAAGCCCAAGGAUGAAAAUCCAUGGUGGUGAUAAUCUCGAAAUGCCCAAGGAUGAAAAUCCAUGGUGGUGAUAUAAUCUCAAAAGCCCAAGGAUGAAAAUCCAUGGUGGUGAUAUAAUCUCAAAGCCCAAGGAUGAAAAUCCAUGGUGGUGAUAUAACUGAAAUGCCCAUAGAUGAAAAUCUAUGGUGGUGAUAAAUCUGAAUCAAAUGCUCAUAGAUGAAAAUCUAUGAUGGUGAUAAUAACUGAAAAGCCCAUAGAUGAAAAUCUAUGGUGGUGAAAAUCUGAGUGAAGGGGGAUGUCCUAAACAAGAUGACAAUAGGGGGAUGCCCUAUACAAGAUGACAGAAGGGGGAUGCCCUAAACAAGGUGACAGUAGGGGGACGCCCUAGGUGAUAACUCAUAAAGAUCAGCAAAUGGAUCUGACAACCAUGAAAUCAACACGAGACAUGGCAAACCCAAAGAGAGGGAAAUGCCCCAAGUCAAGCGCUAAAGGGGUAUGCCCUAGUAUGACGACUCACAAAGAUCAAGAAAUAGAUCGAGCAGUGAGAAAGUACACAAAAGACCUGAUGAACUCAAGGAUGGGGGGUAUGCCCCAGUGUGACGACCCAUAAAGAUCAAGAAGUAGAUCGAGUAGUGAGAGAAUCUGCAAAAGAUCCGAUGAACUCAAGGAUGGGGGUAUGCCCCAGUGUGACGACCCAUAAAGAUCAAGAAAUAGACUGAGCAGUGAGAGAAUCUGCAAAAUAUCCGAUGAACUCAAGGAUGGGGGUAUGCCCCAGUGUAGGAUAGUAACUAACAUAAGACACGGAAUCUCACCAUACAGGACACUCUGGGAUAUGCUCAAUGAUGAUGCAAUGCAAAAGAUAUACACAGCCUCAAUGAACAAACGCUAAAACAAGUCCAAACAUCACUGAAACUAUGCUGACAAAGCAAAACUAAAAUAAUGGAUCACACAAACGCUGACCAAAACUCUAGGUCUGAAAUGUAAGCAAAUCAAAACACGACAUGUCAACUAUCAAUAUGAGUACAUCAUCACAAGUGCAUCAACAAUCUAAUAGGUCCUACCAUCAUGGGAGAUGUUGAACCUAAUGUCUAAAGGCAUGUGAAAACUCAACCAGAAAGCUCAAGACUAGCCCAUAUCUUCCCCUGAUCAAGAGAAAGGGAUAAGGUCAUGUAAGACGAUGAAAUAUGUGGGCUCAAAAGAUGUAAGGCUCUGAUAAGAUGGGUGCAGGUAUAACAGUGUCCAAUGUAGGAUGUAUAGGUGUGUAACAAAGGAAAGUGGGUACCCAAAUCAAACUAGGUAUGCUGAGGAGACUGAGCCCAGGGUAUCAAUGACUCCAUGAUCCAUCGAAAGUCGCAACCAUGAACACGAAAUGGAGUCUCAAUGUCAAAAUCAGCAAGGUGGCUAUGCCCCAGUGUGACUGCGUCAUCUCGAAAUGGAUAAGCUCUCAGUACAAGAUAAACUCUGGGAAGUAUGUGUCCGACAUAAACUGUCAUCUCACAAAAUCAUCAUCGAUGAGUAGGCUAUGCUCCAGUGUAAGCAUCUCCAAAUCAAACAUCAAUGAGAGGAGUACAACCAAUCAUACCUCAUCUGAUCAAAAUAAAUCUCCGCUCCUCAAAGUCAUCGUGGUAAUAUGAAGAGAAUAUCUGAUCUCCUCUAAAGAAAGAGCAUGUCUCGAUGUGAACUGGUGUCUCUGAGAUCAACCUCUGAUGAAAGGGUUAUGCCCCAGUAUAGGGCAAACCCUGGAAUGACUAAACUCUACUGCAUGCUCUCAUCAGUGCCCGUGUCCUGAUCCAAUCAUCUAAAAAAAUGUCAACAAUGAUGAGAAGGCUAUGCUCUCGUGAUCACAUCAAAGAAAUCAACCAAUCAUAUCCCGUACUCCAAUGUGAAAUGAAUCUAAACACCUCCGAGGAACAGUUAUACCUAAAAAACCAUCAUCGACCGAAAGGGGUAUGCCCCUGUGUAAAGUACACCAGAUGAAAUGCGCCAAUCAUGUCUCAUGCUCCAAUGUGAAGAAAAAUGACAUCUGAUAUCCUCCGGGGAAUGGACAUGGCUCAAAAAUCCGUCAUCAACUGAGAAUAGUAUGCCUCGACAUAAUGGUCAUCCGAUAAUAAAACUCUCUGAGAUGGCUAUGCCCCAGUGUAAGGUCAUACCAUAACUCCCGGUCUGUCACAAUCAGAAUGCUCUCGAAUCAAUCUCAAGUAUCGCUCACAUAAGAGCUAUCAAACAUAAUGUGUGAUGUCAUGGCCUCAGGGUGGUCUUAAGACACGGGACGUAACGUAGGCUAGGGUGAUAGGGUGAUAGAAAUGAAGGGAAACUAGGCCCAAAUACCCAAUGAUCAAAACUCAUGCCCUCAUGUAUAAAAUGCAACAUGUAUAGAAAAUAUCGUGAGCCAUGGACCUGAAGAUGCCUACUGUGAACAUGGUAACAAUGAUGAUGCAAUGAAGAAAAAUCGAACUGAUGACUAGAUGUAUAAUGAUGGCGCGAAGAGGGUAUCAAACCCGAAAAUGAGGUCACUGUAAGAAUGGAAUAAGGGGUGGAAUGAAAAUGAUGAAACAAAAGUGAAAACGAGGAUGAUGAUGAAGCAUAGAAUACGAGAACAAGUGAUGAUCUGCUCAAAUCAAAUAUGAAAGGAAGUCACGUUAAUAACGAACACAAUGAUGGAAUGGACAAUGACCCAGAGCUCCUAAGAGAAGGCCACUCAUCUCGCUCUCAAAACAUACAACAAAAUGAAUACGAAGAAUGAAAGGUCCCGAGGAGCUCACAUACGAACUCCCAUGAAUAGACAUAUCCAACAAAGCGACCCCUCGAACACUAAUAUACACAUACUCAAUGAUAGAGAAUAAUACACACAUGUGCCUCUUUUCUUUUUCUCUUUUUUUUUUUUUUUUUUUUUUUUUUUUUUUUUUUUACAUAUAUACAAAUAUACAUGCUCUGAACGCAAACCAAGAAAGAUCUAAAGACGGGAUCAAAAAUGAAUAAACAUGCCCUCAAAUAUCAAUAUAUCACAAACUCUCUCUAAUGAUGUGACCCUCUCAAGCCAAGGAUCCAUAGAUCAACGUCCGUAGGAUAGAUAGUGGAAAAUGACAUGACUACCCUCCACGUGAUGAACUGAGGAUGAUCACCACUCGGGGCGGGAGAAGAUGAAGCGGAACAAACGAUAGAUAUAAUAAAGAAGAGGAUGAAGAACCAACGAGAUGUGAUGAAAUGAAAUGAUGCAAUGAUAGGAAAAGAUAAUGAGAAAGAUGUGCCCCUCGGUCCAAGGCUCAUGAAACUCCUAAACAAUGCAUGCAUACACUGAAGGGCCCCUAUCCCGGUGUAGAAGGUGAGCAAGGCUAUAAGAAAUAAAAGGCUAUGACGCUCAUGCGAGGCUCAAAGGGCUAGCAAUGGUCAAGAUGUCAAUAAAGGUAAUAGGGUGUGAGCUAACCGAAAUGAAGGCCACCCAUCCUACGACCACAGUCUCAAACAUCGUGCUAUCAAGCCCUCAAAUGAUCAAUACUAAAGAUCGAUGUCCAUCUGACAUAACCACAUCAACCCUCUAGAAUCAUGCAUCAAACCGUACUCCGAGUGCUCCAUAAUAAUCUCAAAGAUGAUCUUCUCAAAGCAAAGUGAACGGUGAUCUCAUCAAGCAAGACUGGCUAUCACAAGCCAACUCUCAUCAUACAAUAUCAAUCUCUAUACUCACGGCAAAAUAAGUGACAGUCUCAUCAAACAAUCGACCAAUCCUCACAUCGUAAACCAUCCAAAAAUCAUAAGCCAACCCUCGCCAUGCGAGAUCAACCCUGGGCUCAAACUCCUCACACUCUACCUAGUCGAAUCAGAGAGGAGAUGUGAAAAGCUAGAAAAUGAUGGAAAGGUCAUGUAAUGGUCUCAAGGGUGAUGCUGUGAAAAACUCAUAAUGGAUGGAUGUAGGUCAAAACAGAGUCAAGGUGCGGGAAGUGAGCAAGGUACAACUCUGAUCAUAAGAAGAUGUGUCACAGUCUCAAACUCCCUAGGUCAAAUCUCUGAUCCUAGGCUAAUAGGCUCAAUAUCCUCCAUGAUAGGUAAAACCUCAAGACCACAAUGUGCAAGUGAAAAGAUGCCUCAAGUCAAAAGUAUAGCACAUCACAAAACACAAGCAUACGUUCAUAAAGGAAAAUGCAUACAUUGGGAUAAUCCGAUGAGUACAUCAUGCAAAAGAAGGAUAACAAAGACAAUACUCAAGAAUCGAGUUAUAGUCUCUAAAAGUCAAAAGUAAAACAAGACUAAACAAACAAAAACAAAAACAGUGACUGGUCCUGUCAUCACAUCUCUGGCCACAGAAGGAACAAAAUAUGAGUGCCACCACACCAAGGUAAGCCAAUCAUGAGUCAAUCGCCCAAAUCAAUAAGAUCAGGGACUGCUGGCGAAGGGGCGUCUGCAUGCAUGGCCUGAGCUGGGGUAGAAAUAAGAGACAUAUCAGACUGAGGAUGCCCAAACGUCCCAGAAUCAACAAUGUCCUGUAUGGCAUGUCGUAGAGCAGUGCAACGAUCAGUGUGAUGUCCUACUGACUGGUGGUACGCACAAUAUAAAUCAAGACGAAACUGUGGGGGCACAGGAUCUGGAAGUGCCCUAGGAGCCAGAGGAGCCAAAAAUCCCAUGGCCUGGAACAUCUCAAAAACUCUGCUCAGGGGUGCGCUCAAAUCUGAAAAGUGUCUCCGACAUCGUCGAUGGGGAGGAAAUCGAUCCUGAGGAACUGUAACGACCGGAGGGCCCCGAAACUGGGGCGGAGGUCGUGUCGACGUAGCCAAUGAAAUGGACGAGGGAUGCUGCAGGAGCACUGAAUGUGGGCGAGGUCGUGGAUGCGAGGCACCUAAAGUAAUAGAUGUCGGUGAAGUCAAAUGUGGCAAUGAAGGCAUCGCUACUCCUGGAGCUCCUCUUGAUGACGAUGGAUGCCCUGACAAAAUGAGCUCAAUCCUCUCGACCCUCCGUGUCAAAUCCAUCAUCAUCUCAUAAAGAGUAGUAAGAGUAAUGGGUACGAUCUCGUCCGACAUGGUGAACCUCAGCUGAAGAAGUCUAGUCUCAAGGUGCUCUGUAUCAUAAUCAUCAUACCAUCAGUCUCUGCUCGGGGACCAGUCACGACACUAAAACCGUCCAAGACUCUAAAACAAACACAUGCAAGCGACAAAACAAAGCAACACAAGAUGCUACACAGGAUAACAACACAUAAAAUGUAUGAUACGAAACAAUGAUAAUAAUAAAAAGAAGAUAAAAACACAUACCCAAGAAAACAACAAUAUCACUAAGUGAAAUGAGAGUACAUCAUGCAAAAUAAUAGGACAACAAAGGUCUACUCUCGAAGCACAAGGUGCGAACUCAAAACACUAACUAUAAAACAAGACUCAAAUACAAAAUAAAAGAGAACAAAAACUCAAACGACCAACUAACAAUGUAGUCCCAAAACACACCAACAAGGUAUGCAAUAUCAAAGUGUCUGGUGAAUAUCAGUGCCCUAGGUGUCCAAAAUGUGAUGGUAUAAGCCCGAAGGAGGAGGAACUACAUGUGUGGACUAAGCUGGAAAGGAAUCAGUAGACAUAUCUGGACCAAGAUCAGUAUCUGUGGUCGAUAUGGGAAAGCUAACUGCGCCACUGUCAAUAAGAUCCUGUAUGGUGUGACGUAGAGAAGCACAAUAAUCAGUACGGUGGCCUGCCAUCUGGUGAAAUGCACAGAACUCAUGAGCAUGAAAACGCGGAGGCAAGGUACACGGGAGUGGCCUGGGGGCCAAUGGUACUAAAACACCAGUAGAUCUGAGUCGCUCAAAAGCUCUAUCCAAAGGCAUCCCCAAAUCAGAAUAAGUCCUCUGACAUCGCCGAUGGGGACGAGACUGCUCAUGCCGUGGGAUGCCAGUCUGUGGACGCUGAAACUGAAAUGAAGGUCGCACCAUGACAGCAUGAGGAUGCGUAGAAGGGUACAACUGAACUGGAUGAGGAUGACGAUGCUGUAAAUGUGGGAAAUCACUCCUGGGUAUCUGCAAUGAUCUCGCAUAGGAAUGAUAACCAGGUCGUCGAUGCUGAAAGUCCGCAGAACAUACGUCUCCAUAGCUCUCAGAUGAUCCACCAACUCCCUCCCUCUCAGUAUCUGAAGAAAGAAUAAUAUCUGACCAUAAUCCUCUAGAUAUGCCAUCCUCUACAUCAAUCAAAGCCUGAACCAAUGAUCUGAAAUCCCGGAAUGGGACUCCUGUCAGAUGCCGAGCAAACCUAGGAUGCAAACUCCUCAAAAACAUGCUCAUCUGAUCUCUCUCGGUAGGUCGCUCAAUCAUCUCCACAGCCUUCUCCCUCCAGCGGGAGAUAAAAGAAGAAACAGACUCAUCUGAUCCCUGUCUAAGAAACUCAAGCUCUCUACGUGUGACGCUCGUAUCACCACUGAAUGAAUACUGUCUCAAAAACUCCUGUGCUAAGUCCUCCCAAGUUCUCCGACGAGAUGACUCUAAUGAAGCGUACCAUCUCUGUGUCACGCCGCUCAAUGACAAUGGGAACAAAGUGAGCAACUGUGCCUCAUCUAGACCAAGAGCUCUCAUAACUGUGCUAUAAAGUUUGAGAUGAAUACGAGGACAUCCAACACCCGUAUAUCUCUCUAUAUCAGGCAUCCUAAAACUGACUGGCAAAGUGGCCACUGGCACAUCGUCAGGAUCAUCCCAUGAAAUCAUCUCAUCAAGAUCUCUCAUCCGUCUAAUCCUCCGCUCGAGUCUGUCCAUACGAGAAUGAGGAUCCUCAAUAACGGUAACUGGUGUGACCAUAGGUGGAACGACAGCAGCCCGAUCACGUGAAAUAGUAUGCAAAGUCUGUGUAGCUGGCAUCUGAACGGGUAUAACAGGUGGUGUCACUAAAUCGGAUGGCGUGUCCUCGAGCACUACAUGCCUACCCUGCUGAGUAUCCAUCCUCUAGCUCAAACUGGUCAAUGCCCCCUGAAUCGAAAUCAUAGAAGCGAUAAGCUAACCAAUCGAAAAUGAUUGUGAAUCCGUCUAUAGCAACUCAGAGAUAUGAAUCAACCUCUAUCCCACUCAACCCAGGGCACUGAACCAAGACUGGGACUACAAAUAACCCCUACAAAAGAACCUAAACACAACGACUCAAACACGACUCAUGCAACGACACGGGAUGCAAUGAACAAUGACCAAUGCAUGAUACAACACAACUCAAUACAUGACAGGGUGCGAUAUACAAUCAUAUGGUGACAAUCAAAAUUUGGAUAUACGAUAGAAUCUCUAGAGUCACAUGAGUGUCUGGUGUGAGACAACUACAAAUAUGACUAAAGAAUUUCUAUCGAUGAUCCAAAAAAUGAUCGAGGUGUGAAGAAAGUGAAUGGGGUGUGAAGAACAACACUAUCACGAGAUCGAUACUCAAUCUAUAACAAAAUAUCAUUGAUUCAACCUUCAACUCGAGCUCUAUAAGAAAAAGAAUGAUAAGGUGAUCAAGGAUAAUCUCUCGAAAAAGGUGUGAAUAUGAAAAUGUGCCUUUCACCUUUCUGUAAUGAAAAUAUGAGCAUCGAGUUGAAAAUCGAACCAAGGAUCAAACAAAUGAUGAGGUACUGAGCCCGUGAUAGGUGUACAGUAUAAAAAGACGAUCAAUGAACAUAUCCCAAAAUAUCGAGUGAGUGAUGACAAAGUGAAGGGGUGUGCCGAGCCAAGAAAUGAGAACAAAAGCCCUAGGGAGAAAACAUGCCAAACUCAUCGAGUAAAGAGCGACAAGAUGAAAGGUGAUCCAACCGAUACUCAAACUCAUACCGAUCUUCGAGCACUCUCAACUGGAGACUAAAAAGAGGGAGUGUCAAAUCCGAAGUGUAACCACAGAGGCUCUGAAGGCCCUCAGAUGCACCCACGUGUAGGGAGGGAGUCCUAAUCGAAGGAUUUACGGCUCAACCUACGAGGUCAAGGUGGCUCUAAAUGGAUAUGGGUAGACUUUAAGGGAUCCCUAGCAGAAGCGAUCAUACCCUCCGGUGGUACGCAACCCUCUGCACGCCUCCGAAGAGACGGAGCGCUUCCAUGCAAGGUGGUCAUCACCUCCACACAUGCACUACCUCGCAUCCCAGGGGGCUCCUAUAGUGAAAGCUCUCACACUCUCAACACUCAAUAGUCAACUAAAGUGCACAGUGGACGGUGUGGGUGCAUCCGAAAACCCUAGAAAGCUAAAACAGAAGAGGAAACACACUGGCCACACAAAUAUCCAUGAAACCUAGCUCCGGGCUAUAUAGGUCUUCAAUGAUCGGACUCCUCCCGACAUCAGUGUGUCGGUCACCUCCAGGAUGCUCCCGUACAUCAAUAUAGCCCGGAGCUAGACCCUACUCCUAAUCUCCGGCUCGGUCAAAGAGCAAGCACAUAGAAGGUCUCACACUUGCAAUAGUGAGAACCGAGAUGAAAGGAAUGACCGACACCAAGAGAGUUGGAGGUAGGGGGAUAGAAGUGAGACCCACAUAGACAAACAACAUGCAAUCAUGCAGAAGGAGGGCAGUCAUGCAUCAUACAGUCAAGCAGAGUACAGGAUAUAUCACUCAUGUCCACACAAAAAGCUACAACUAUUAGGAUGAAUAGCGAUAUGAACAUCAUGCUCAAAAGACGAUCAAGAUAAUAUGCAAGUCAGAGAAUCGACAUGUCAACUCAAACCAACGACGAAUCCAUACAUGCAAGGCGAUUAGAAUAGUCAUGGCAAAUAUCAAAAUCAAUAUACUGAGCGAAAUAAGAUAGGCAAUCAAUACAAUCAGCAUGCCAAUACCUCAAACGAACAUGGCAAUCAAGCACAGAGAAAAUAGCUAUCUCAGAAUCCUCUAUCAAUACGAAUCAAUCAUCGUAAUCAACAUGUCAAAUAUCUCAAACAAAAUAUAUCAAUGAAGCACAAAGAAAAUCACUGUGUCAAAAUCCCCAAUCAAGAUAAUCGACUAAUACGAUCAAUCAUGUCAAUGUCCCAAGUGAAAACUCGAGAACCCUCAAUGUGCAAUCAAGAAGUGAGUACCCACUGAUAGACUCAUCAAAUGUCAUGUUUACUUCAUCUUAAGUUCAAGCUUGACCCUCUAAACAAUCCCCAGCGGAGUCGCCAUUUUGUGGACCCCGCAUUUCGGCUCAAUGCGUUUCCCACUCGAAUGGCGAGCUCAAUUUUUAUUUGAAAAAUGAUUUUUAUUGAUUAUUUGAAAAUGACUUGGAGUCGCCACUUAUUUUUGUUUUAUUUUUAAAAGGGUAAACAAAAUAAGAAAGAAAAACCCUAAGUGCGACUCCUUAUUUGGAAAAGGUGAUCUACGAAAAACCGGAUCAGGUUCGGGGGUCAGGUUACUUAUUAGGAAGGUACGGUAAAGACUGUAGCACCCCUCUAAGUCCCUAAAGUCGGGUCUCUACUAAUAGAAUGAAGCUGGUGUGGCAAUGAUGAGGAAAUCAAUAAAUACUCAAAUCAAUCAUGCACAUAUGAGUAUCAAAACAUGCGUAUAGCAAGACCAGAAUAAGAAUAGAUGCGUACCUGGGCAACGAUCUUCAAUGCGCUAUCAAGAAGUGAGAUUAGUGCACAAUUAAGGAAUAAUAGCACGCAUGUCAGAGAGCAGGAUGAAUAAAUCAUGUAUGAUAAUCAAGUCAAUCAAUCAGAUCAAUCAAUAGAUCAUAAGAUCAUGUAUGUGGGGCCCCCACCAAAGCCCGUUUAUUUUGCAUGAAUUAAUUCCAAUAACUCCAUUACUUGGAAUUACGAAAUCAAAUCUAUGCUUAUUUUAANNNNNNNNNNNNNNNNNNNNNNNNNNNNNNNNNNNNNNNNNNNNNNNNNNNNNNNNNNNNNNNNNNNNNNNNNNNNNNNNNNNNNNNNNNNNNNNNNNNNNNNNNNNNNNNNNNNNNNNNNNNNNNNNNNNNNNNNNNNNNNNNNNNNNNNNNNNNNNNNNNNNNNNNNNNNNNNNNNNNNNNNNNNNNNNNNNNNNNNNNNNNNNNNNNNNNNNNNNNNNNNNNNNNNNNNNNNNNNNNNNNNNNNNNNNNNNNNNNNNNNNNNNNNNNNNNNNNNNNNNNNNNNNNNNNNNNNNNNNNNNNNNNNNNNNNNNNNNNNNNNNNNNNNNNNNNNNNNNNNNNNNNNNNNNNNNNNNNNNNNNNNNNNNNNNNNNNNNNNNNNNNNNNNNNNNNNNNNNNNNNNNNNNNNNNNNNNNNNNNNNNNNNNNNNNNNNNNNNNNNNNNNNNNNNNNNNNNNNNNNNNNNNNNNNNNNNNNNNNNNNNNNNNNNNNNNNNNNNNNNNNNNNNNNNNNNNNNNNNNNNNNNNNNNNNNNNNNNNNNNNNNNNNNNNNNNNNNNNNNNNNNNNNNNNNNNNNNNNNNNNNNNNNNNNNNNNNNNNNNNNNNNNNNNNNNNNNNNNNNNNNNNNNNNNNNNNNNNNNNNNNNNNNNNNNNNNNNNNNNNNNNNNNNNNNNNNNNNNNNNNNNNNNNNNNNNNNNNNNNNNNNNNNNNNNNNNNNNNNNNNNNNNNNNNNNNNNNNNNNNNNNNNNNNNNNNNNNNNNNNNNNNNNNNNNNNNNNNNNNNNNNNNNNNNNNNNNNNNNNNNNNNNNNNNNNNNNNNNNNNNNNNNNNNNNNNNNNNNNNNNNNNNNNNNNNNNNNNNNNNNNNNNNNNNNNNNNNNNNNNNNNNNNNNNNNNNNNNNNNNNNNNNNNNNNNNNNNNNNNNNNNNNNNNNNNNNNNNNNNNNNNNNNNNNNNNNNNNNNNNNNNNNNNNNNNNNNNNNNNNNNNNNNNNNNNNNNNNNNNNNNNNNNNNNNNNNNNNNNNNNNNNNNNNNNNNNNNNNNNNNNNNNNNNNNNNNNNNNNNNNNNNNNNNNNNNNNNNNNNNNNNNNNNNNNNNNNNNNNNNNNNNNNNNNNNNNNNNNNNNNNNNNNNNNNNNNNNNNNNNNNNNNNNNNNNNNNNNNNNNNNNNNNNNNNNNNNNNNNNNNNNNNNNNNNNNNNNNNNNNNNNNNNNNNNNNNNNNNNNNNNNNNNNNNNNNNNNNNNNNNNNNNNNNNNNNNNNNNNNNNNNNNNNNNNNNNNNNNNNNNNNNNNNNNNNNNNNNNNNNNNNNNNNNNNNNNNNNNNNNNNNNNNNNNNNNNNNNNNNNNNNNNNNNNNNNNNNNNNNNNNNNNNNNNNNNNNNNNNNNNNNNNNNNNNNNNNNNNNNNNNNNNNNNNNNNNNNNNNNNNNNNNNNNNNNNNNNNNNNNNNNNNNNNNNNNNNNNNNNNNNNNNNNNNNNNNNNNNNNNNNNNNNNNNNNNNNNNNNNNNNNNNNNNNNNNNNNNNNNNNNNNNNNNNNNNNNNNNNNNNNNNNNNNNNNNNNNNNNNNNNNNNNNNNNNNNNNNNNNNNNNNNNNNNNNNNNNNNNNNNNNNNNNNNNNNNNNNNNNNNNNNNNNNNNNNNNNNNNNNNNNNNNNNNNNNNNNNNNNNNNNNNNNNNNNNNNNNNNNNNNNNNNNNNNNNNNNNNNNNNNNNNNNNNNNNNNNNNNNNNNNNNNNNNNNNNNNNNNNNNNNNNNNNNNNNNNNNNNNNNNNNNNNNNNNNNNNNNNNNNNNNNNNNNNNNNNNNNNNNNNNNNNNNNNNNNNNNNNNNNNNNNNNNNNNNNNNNNNNNNNNNNNNNNNNNNNNNNNNNNNNNNNNNNNNNNNNNNNNNNNNNNNNNNNNNNNNNNNNNNNNNNNNNNNNNNNNNNNNNNNNNNNNNNNNNNNNNNNNNNNNNNNNNNNNNNNNNNNNNNNNNNNNNNNNNNNNNNNNNNNNNNNNNNNNNNNNNNNNNNNNNNNNNNNNNNNNNNNNNNNNNNNNNNUGGGUUGGAUGGACGUGAAGUAUGGCAGCCAAUAGGUUUAACAUCCCGAACUCCUCAUCUCUGGUUCAUGUUUUUCAAUUUCCUCGGGCUUUCCUGGCAUUUUCUCAUGGUGAUAGCCCUAUAGAUUUUCAUCCGUGUCAGCAUGCAAAGACUUAGGUCUAAAACCACGAGCACCAUCACAUACCACACCACCCUCAUUCAUGAUUAAUCCCAUUUUUAUACCCUUCUCCUCUUGAAAACUAACUCAUCUCGGUACAGGAAAGCACAAGGACCAAACCAACAUGAUCAUGCACCUCAUAAUACCCUUCUCUUCUUGAAAACUGACUCAUCUCGGUACAAGAAAGCACAAGGACCAAACCAACAUGAUCAUGCACCUCAUAAUACCCUUCUUCAUCAUGCGAAAGUGGAAGAUCUGAUGCAUGAUACGGAUGGGUCCCAAAAACAGAGGAAUAUAACCAGAACAAAGUACAGCAGAUGGGAACCAAAUGAGUUCAUACAAGUCUCAUUUCCCAUACCCUCAAUGAGCUCGGAUAUAAAAUCAGUUCAAGAAAAAUAAAAAUAAAAUAAAAUAUAAAAAAAUAAAAAAUUCAAAAACGAGUUUUGAAACGAAAACAAAGGUGGGAAUCUCAUGAGAGAUCUCAAAACAGGGGACAUGGAAACGGGAUAGAAAUCAAGCAAAAGGGUGAGUAGAAGCAAGCUCAAGAUCCCAAAAACCAACGAAAAUACUCAGUAAACACCUUCAAACAUCCAGAUAGAACCUCAUUUGAUAUUCAGAUAUCAUCAUGAAAGGGGCAUGAACAUGUAAAAAUAAACAUAGCUAUGGAAAUCAUACCUGAGUCUCCUUUUUCUAGCAAGUGGAGUCACCCACCUCACGGCAGCUCAAGUCCUCCUUCCUCCAGAAAAUUUCUCCCAAAACUCUCAAGCUCUCUCUGCCCUCCUCCACCCUAAAAGAUCUCUGCAGCCCUCUCUAAAAUGGAAAAGCACCACCUGAAAAGCCCUCCACCUCCAGCACCCACCUGCAGCUGGCCUGCUACCCCUCAACAACCUGCAGCUUUUUGCAGAUUCCUCCUUGCCAGGUGUCAAACUCUCACUCGCUCCUCAAUUCCACCAUCUGUUUCUAUGACCACCAACCACGAGGCGACAUGUGGCUCCUUGAGAGCCCUCCACCUGCAAAGAAUUAUAACCUGUAGAGAUGCAAAGGAAUGAGCCCCAAAUGGGGGUCUACAACGAGUAUUCGUGGGUUUGGAGAAUGUUGGCCUUAGAAUGUACAUGUACUCGACUUCCCUAGCUGCUUCAAAUUACUUCCAGGUUGCACAUUUGUUUUCUCUUUUUCCUCACAUUGGAAAUUCAGCAUUUUCCACUAUGAAGCCAGUCCGUGAGAUGCUGUCUUUCAGUGUGUUCACUCCCUAUUAUUCUAAGACUCUGCUUUAUAGUAUGGAUGAACUCCAAAAGAAAAAUGAGGAGAUGGUCAGAGCAUCGGGGAAAUUAAAGCUACUUGAUCGUUUACUCCCAAAACUCCAGAAAGCAGGGCAUAGAGUGCUGCUUUACUCACAGAUGACUCGCCUUAUGGAUAUUCUAGAAGUCUAUCUACAAACGAAUGAAUUCAAGUAUCUGAGACUGGAUGGCUCAACAAAGACCGAGGAAGGGGGACCAAGCUAAAGUAAUUUAAUGCUCCGGACUCUCCUUACUUCAUGUUUCUUUUAAGCACUCGUGCUGGAGGUCCUGAUCUGAACUUAUAAACAGCAAAUGCUAUGAUAUUUUUGGACAGUGAUUGGAACCCUCAAAUGAACCAACAAGCAGAGGAUCAGGCCCAUCGUAUAGGGCAAGAGAAAGGGGAAAAGUUUUUGUGUUGGUAAGUGUUGGAUCAAUUGAGGAGGUAAUCCUGAAGUGUAUAAUUUCGAAGUCCUAUGCACUCACUGAUUCUACAGAGAGCCCGGCUGCCACGAUAUUUUUUUGUUCCAGUCACAUUGAAGACUCAGAGAUGAUGUCUGACCAACUUCAAAAUCAGCCAGAGGACUAAACUGGCCCUUUUAUAUAGCAAUUUCAUUCGUGUCUUCCCCACUCUCAUACCAAAGAACAUAUUUAAAAUGCCAGUCAUGUACAGAACAAGAAUUGUAGCUACCCCAACUAAGCAAGCUGGAAUUAUCGUUUCCUGUUAAGUUCCAUUGUCACCCAUGAUUGAAUGAAGCUCUCAAGCUCUCUUCCAGUAAUGUCUUUGAUAUCAAAUGCCCACUAGAAUCCCUAUUCAAUGACUGCUUCAAGUCAGUAGUAAAGUGAAGAGCUGUGACUAGAUUUGCUUCAUGAACUCUCCUCAUCAGGGCAGUGGACCAUUUUCCAUACCAUAUCAGUCACGCUCUGGUGGCCUAUUAUGUGUCAGUUUGAGCUCAUGGAUCCGAGGGAGAUACGGAUAUGGAAAGCUGAUUAUGCCAGGGUCCGUAUUUCUCGAGAGCAACUCAAGUUUGCUGGAACUCUUCACUCCUCACCAGAUAUCACCAAAGCUUUGAACAGCAGGGAGUCCCGGAAAGUGCCGAAAGAAAGCAGAAUGUAUUCAAGGAUUCAACACCAGCAGAGGAGUCAGUCACGUCUCCAGGCUUCACCCAUAUAGAUGCCACCUUGGUGCCCACCAUCCCCACCGGUUUCUCUGAUGGCCUUACAAGUAUUCAGAUUCUCGCUCUGAAUGAUAAUCCGUUCAAUGCAACUACUGGUUUAUGUUAUUUGAAGGGACAAUAAGGAAGUUAUCAGUCACUAAAACAGAAAUGUCAGAAUGGGAUCUCACUGGCUAGAAUCUUGUUGGCAAGUUAGCUCAAUUUCUCUUGCGAUACCUCCAACAGGAACAACACAGACUGCUGCUAAAGAACUUCUUGAUUCAAUUUUGGACAUUGUCGUCAGGAUAUUUGAGAAUCAUGCUGUUGUUAGAGCUUUUGGAAUCAAAAGCCACCCAAGUUGAUACAAACACACCCAAGUCAGUGACUGUAGAUAUAAACUGGAACCAUGGUUUUAAAGCAUCACAAAUAAAUUGGAGGCUCUAGUAUUGGCUUUUCUUUGACAGUUUUACAGAGUGCAUGCCAACAAUGUUCAUCCCCUGUUACCUGCAUACCAAGGUUCUGAUCCUUGCUCGCCAACUCCUAUAGAUAGAUCCUGCAAAUCCGAUGAUGCUGUGAAGAUAACUAGAUUAACUUCAAAGGCUCCUUCAGUUGUUGAAACCUCAGAAGACCUGCAGCCUUUAUCAAAACACAUGAGAACAGAGUGACCUUCCAAAUCUUUCUUGCUGAAAAUGAGAGCUCUGCAGUAUUGGUUCCUGUAAUCAUUGAAUCUUAUGUUCCGCAGGAUGUACAACGCCAAGAAUAUCGACAUGGUGAUGAUUAAGUAUGUCAAUUAAAUCUGAGUUUAUGGAAGUGGGGGUGGAAGUUCUUGUGAACCAUGGGCAGAGAAGCCCUCAAGUUAGUGAACUAAAGGAGGAUAAUUUGGAUGAUAUCUGCAACCAAAGGUCUAUUAGUAAACCUAUUAUAUAUGAUGAGUUUGCUGGUCUUGCUAAGAAAGGAAAUGUGAAACUUGAGAAAGAGAAGUGUUGAAACCUUGGCAGUGAGAAUUUAAUUUGGAGUACAAAAAGCCUGUCAGUGCAGAAAAUUGGGAAUUAUGGACCUUCUGUUCAGUAUCUAACCACUAUUGGGAAAAUCCAGUUGAGUUUACAAAUCAAGUUGCCUUUCUGAUUGAAGCAUUCAACAACUGAACACCUUCAUGGUGAAUUGACUUCUCCUAUCCAUAAUUCCCAAGCUCUACUCUCUCUUGGCCACCUUGUCAUACAUCAUACUCCCAAUGAUUCUUCUUCUUCUUUUUGUGAUCUUAUACAUUUUAAAUUUGGAUUUCAAAAUCUUUUUUUUUAUUAUUAAAACAAUUUCAGUUUUCUUCAAAUUCCAUCCUUAGGGAUUUCUAGGCAUAAAAUUUAGAUUUCAAUAAUCUUUUGCUGCCACUUUCCUUCAGGCAUGCAUUUUCACUAUUUUAUUUUAUUUUCAAAUAUUUUCAUGGUUUUCUCGAUUUUCAACAAGUAUGAACAAACUUCAUGAUUCCAAAUAAUGGAAUUCGUAGAAUAAAUUCAUGCAAAAUUAAUUAGGCCAUUGGAGGGGGGCCCGACAUUCAUGAUAUUCUCUUCGAUAGUGUCUGUUUGAUAAUUGAUUGAUUGUGCUUCCUCUUUGUGUUAUAUAUGAGAUUAUUUUGAAUUAGUUAUUAAGCUAACUUUGUUUCCCAUAGAGGAGUAUUAGCUUGCUAUCCAGGUACGCUCUCCAUCUCCCCACUUUCGAAAUUCCAUGAAUAUCCAUAUCUUUGUGUACCAUGCCCUUGCUUGAUGGCAUGCUUGAUUGCCUUGAUGUAUAUUUGAUGCUUGUUUUAUUAUCUUGGAUAAAACACAUGUUGUGUGAUAUAUUUCUACACUAACUUUUAUGUUUUAUGAUGACGCUUGAGAAGCCGUUCAGGUACGCACUUCGACUCUAUCUUAUAAUCAGAUUUCCUUGUUAGACAUGCCAUUUUUUUGUAAUCACCUUAGUCAACCUAGGUAUCCUCAAUUAAUCAAUUAAUUGCCAUAUCUCCCCUAACUUAGUUAAUAGAGACCUUUGUAAGGCUUAGAGGGGUGCUACCUCCUAGAGGUACCUUCCCAAUAAGUAAUCUGAUCCCCGGACCUAGAUUCAGGUUUCCCAAAGACAUGCUUUUUCCAAAACUAUGGAGUCACUUUUUAGGGUUUUUCUUUCUUGUUUUAUUUUCCCUUUAAAAUAAAAAUAAAAUAGGUGGCGACUCCAACUUUUCUAAAAUUAAUUUUUCACAAAUAAAAAGCGAGUCUCGUCGAUCGAGUGGGGACGCACGUGAAAAAUGCGGGUCCACAAAUGCGUGCUAUAGAUUUUUAAGUAGUAGAUCCACUUUCCAAUGGUGGUUCUAUUCCUUCCAAGUGGGUUGGGAGUUCUUUUUCGCUCCUCUAUUUCUUUUUCCUUCUCUUUAAAGACAUGAAUUCUUUCUUCUUCUUUUUUCUUUUUCUUUUUUUUUUAAAAAAAAAAAAGAAAAAGAACAAGAAAAAAAAACCUUCCUCUUAUCCAAAAAUACUAGCCCCAUUUUCAUUGGCCUUUGGCAGUUGUCCCAUGCAUGGAGGACUCCUCCUUUCUCCAAAUUCUAUGUUUCCUCUAGAAAAAAUCCUUUUUGAAUUAAAAAAAAAAAAACAAUAUGUGCAUAUUACCAAUGAGUCCUACUUUUUUCGAAAACUUUUUCACCCCUAUUUUAACUCUCUAGUGAUUUUCAAUCAUGCUCAAAAGAGUUUUCUUUCUUCUCAAAGUCUUACAACAAUCAACUCUUCUUAUCUGUUGGUAGAUUUUCUAAAAAAAAAAUCAAAUUAUUAAAUCAAAUAAAUAAAUAAAUAAAUAAAUAAUUCAGAGAAUGAUAAAAUAAUAAUAAUAAUAAUCAAUAAAUGAAUAAAUAGAAAGAUAACAAAUAACUAAACAAAUAAAAGUGAUUGAUAAUAAUAAAAAUAAAAAUAAAUAAAUAAAUAUAAUAAAUGAAUAAAUAAAAGUGAUUGAUAAUAAUAAUAAUAAAAAAUAAAUAAAUAAGUAAAUAAGAAGAAUGAGUCAUGCAACCAUGCAAGUCAUACAAAUCACGCUGAGAAUGUCUAAUGGAUCAAGUGUGCCUAAGUGGGCCUAAGUGACCUAGGUGGGCCUAAGGUGGUGCCUAAUGGGCCAAGUGUACCUAAAUGGACCUAAGUGAAUCUAGGUGGCACCUAAUGGGCCAAGGGCGCUAAGUGGGCCUAAGUGAAUCUAGAUGGACCUAAGGUGGUGUCUAAUGGGUCAAGUGUGCCUAAGUAGGCCUAAGGUGGUGUCUAAUGGACCAAGUGUGCCUAAGUGAGCCUAAGUGACCUAGGUGGGCCUAAUAAGUCUUAAUAGUCCGAGAUGGUGCCUAAUGGGUCGGGUAUACCUAUAUGGGCCUAGGAUGAGUCUAGGUGGGCCUAACUGAGUUUAACCUAAAGUGCACCUAAGUAAAGCCUAAUUUAAACUUGAAAGGCAGCUAAGGUCAUAAUGAGGAGUCGGAUAAACCCCUCAACCAAAGUCUCCAAAGUGGCUUAGAAAAUAUAAGCUACAUGAGUAGUAAUGGGCUAUCAGAGAAUUGUUGUAAAGAACCGAAUGAAAACCUAAUAGGACAUAUGCUAGGAAGGCAAAAUGGAGGGUUUACAGAUACAAACAAUAUGAAAAAAAAAAUAUAUAAGAAGAAUAUGAAGAAUGAUACAAACAAUGUGAGACAUAGUAUGAAGAAUGUGAAACCUUGUAUGAACAAUGUGAGACCUUGUAUGAACAAUGUAAGAGAGGGUAAAAAGAAUGUGAGACAGGGUAAAAAUUGUAAGAAAACCUGAAUCACUUUAUUCUCUAUCCUAUAAUCAAGUUAGGUGCAUGCAAAAACUUUCCUAGGCUUUUUCUAAAUCCUAUCCAAAAUGAAAACAAACAUUUAAAAACUUUAACAAGAUUUAAAAAUCAAAAGAGAAAAACUUUACAUUGAUUUGGAUAUUCUCAAAUCGAAUCCAUGUGGUGAAGUUGAAGCCUGAAGUAUCUAGAGGUCUCAAUGACUCAAACUCAAUCUUGGCACCCUAAAGGUGGGUUUUUGGAAGGGAAGAGGCUAUUGUUAUCUCCAAAAUAGAUGAUGGAAGACAACCAUCUUAAAAACCCUAACCCCUAAUCAGGUAUUUAUAAGGUUCCCUAAUUGAGCUUAAGUGACUUAACCCUACCAUGAUCUUAGGUCACUUAAUUUAGCUCAAGAUGGGUUCGAAUUGAUUAAUUACAUGACCCUAUUAGGUUAAUUGAUUAAUUAACCUAAAAGGGUCAUGUAAUUAAUCAAGUAACCUAAUCCAAAGAUUUUGUUCACUUACCUCUGUGUAACCUUACAAAUUACCAAAAUACUUUUAUACACAAAAUUUAAUAAUGAUCUAAUCUAACUCUUAUGAACCAUGCCAUCAAGGUAUAUGAACUCGAGUGGGGACCACUAGGACCCAUAGGAUAGUAAUGACUCCUUUAUAAUCCAGUUUUGAAGUUAACUUAAUAUUCUAUUACAGAGAAUUAACUGCACUCUAAUAUCCUAUAUAUAAUAUAAUGAGACACCAAGUGCUCUGGUCCGUGACCUAUUAUCCACUGUAUAUAGUCUCCCCAUAAACUAGUCACCCGUAGUCUAACAAGGUAAAAGCUAUCAAUCUUCCAAGAAUACCUUUGUAAUCCUUGAGUUACAUGUGAUCAAAUGACAUAUUGUACCUCACUAAAAGCAUAUGUCAAAUUCCACUAAAGGAAUUACUACAAGCCCAUAGAUUUCACGAUCACACAUUCUUAGGAUCACCCAAAGGGACACACUCUCUUAAAGUCCAUGAGAUAUCAUGGUGCCUUUAAUGAGAAUACCAAUUGUUAUCAAUUUCCAUCAAUAGUGACUCAAUCUAUAGGAAAUAAAUUAUUAACUUACGAUCUCACUCUAAGUUCAAAGUCUCUGCUAACUUUAACACAAGAUUGAUAUUCUCUUAAGGUUGAGAGACAAUAUAGUAUAACAACUUAGUGAAGUCAUGACCACCUGAUAAUCUUAUGUCAUGACUCACCAUAGGUCAUAUUCAAUGUGUAAACGUACACACUAAUGCACUCACCAUAGGAACCUCAUCCAAAUGGUCAAGACCAGUUAUCCCUUCAAUUAGAAGGAGUACACUACAACUUCUAAUAUAUUACCUAGGCCUAUGAACCAACUAUGAAUAAGUCAUCUACUUGUAAGGACCCAUGACUUGGAUCUUCUAUGCAACUUCUAAUGCACCCAAGUCAAGUCACGUUUAAUGCAAAAGAUACAAGCCUAAAUGUUUACAAUGUAUAGUGCACAGAAUGAGGAUAGAUGAAAGUGAAUUGGAAAUUUAUUAAUAAAUAAUAAAAUUCAAAAUUUUAUUACAUCAUGUCAUGCUUUUAAGGACUUUAUCCUAACUCAAACAAUAUGAAACAGGGUACAAACAAUAUAAGAUAGGUUACAAAUAAUGUAAUGGAGGGUAUGAACAAUAUGAGAAAGGGUACAAACAAUGUGAGAAAAUGUAUGAAGAAUGUGAAGGAGGGUAUGAAGAAUGCUAACUCAAAAAUUUUUUGGUAACUUGGAUGAUUUGCUCGAGUCAACUUGAUAUCUCAAUCGAAUCAAUUGAGUUUAAUCGAUUCUUGGCCAAGUCUUUGCUUAAGAUGGCAUCGGGUAUCAAACUUGGCGCAAAAGGGGUCGAGGCGGAUACGACUCGACCAAGUCAUACCGGACUCGACCGAUACUUUGAAAUAUGUGAUAGAUCGGUUCAUCAACUCAACAAUCCAACCAUUAGUCUAUCUGAUUCAAGGUUGGUUCAUUGUGUACUCCGACCCAAAUGCCAAACUAUACCAAGCUCCAAUCGACGGUCCGACUUGGUUCUAGUUAGAUUUUUUAAUAUAUCCAAACUUUUAAGAAACCUCAAAUGUAAAAACUAAUGAUAAUAAUAAUAAUAAUAAUAAUAAUAAUAACAAUAAUAAAUGUUUUUCAACUUUUGAAAAGAAGAAGGAAAAUAUAUUAUUAUUAUUUUCUAAUAGUUAAAUUGCAUAUUAUAUAAUGGUAAAGCUAUAGAGGAAUCUUAAAUAUAAAAAACUAAUAUUACCAUCUCCAAUUUUUCAGAAUGAGAAAAAUGAAUUUUAUUUCCAACUACAAUAAAUUGUAUAAUUUGAUAAAUAUAUAUAUAAAAAAAAAUGGGUGUCAUAUUCAUCUUAUGAUGUGUUUGGUACAUGAGAACGAGGAAUGAAAAUAAAUAUUUUGUUUCCAUUCUUAUUUCCUCUUGAAUAUGAAUGAAUUUGGUGAUUCUAAUUCUUGUAUUUGGAUGCAUAGAGGAAUGGAAAGUUAGAAUAACAAUUUGUUUCCAUCUCAAUGUUAAGUACAAAUUGGAAUGAAAAUGGAAAAAAAAAAUUAUCAAUAAUAUUCGUGCAUAGGGUUUAAAAUAAUUUUUUUUUAAAUCUUUGAGAGUUCUUUUUUUGCUUAAUAAUAACAAUCUAUUUCAGUGUAUGAUUUGAAAGCAAAAUUGUUUUUAAAAAUUUAUACCUGGUUAUUAUUCUUUAGAAACAAUUUUUAAAAAUAAAGUAAAAUAGAAAAUUAUUAGUUUGAUUUUUUUUUCUCAUUGGAGAAAAUAAAUUUCAAGUCAAGUUAGACUUUGUAUUGAAUUUAUUAAGAAGUUUAAUAAUUUUUAAAAAUAAUUUAAAACUCAAAAACUAUAUGUAACAACUAAAAAAAUAUAAUAGACAUAAUUAAUACUCUAAAUUCUUUAAUAAAUCUUAUAAUUUUUAAGAAUAAUUUAAAUUUUUUAAAACUAAUUAAUUAAUUAUAAAUUAAAUAAAAUAAUUCAGAAUGUCAUCUUCGUAAUUGAGAAAUAAAUGUAUGCAUAUAAUGAAAAUUUUGGUUUAUUUAUACCUUAAAAAUUUAAAUUUCAUUUGUUUUUAUAUUCAUUUAAAUUAGAAUAGUGGGAUUAUUAAUUUUAAAUAAUUAUUCUUUAUUUUUAAUAAAAUAAAUUAAUUAUGCUUUUAUAAGAUGUUAAUAUCCAUAUUUUUAUAAUAUUUAUAAAAUCAUAUGAUUUUAUUGUAUUAUUAAUAUUUAUAUUUUAUUAAAAAAAUAUUUAUUUUUAAUUUGUUUGUAAUUAACAAAUUAUUUUUAUUUUUAAUAAGACAUGAAUUAAAGUUUGUUUACAUUAUAUAAAUUGAAUUUACAAUUUGUGCCUCUUAUAAAAUCAAAAUAAAAAAUUAAUUUUUCAAAACAACUUAUCUAAAAAAGUCUUUAAAUUUUUAACCUCUUAAAAAGUAUUUUUAAAAACAACUUGAAUCAAAAUACCUUUUUGUUGGGAUGAAUUAAAGGAUUUGAAUUCCAUUGAAAUCACUUUUGAUUCUAUUUCUAUCAUCAUUUAAGUUAUCCAAAUAUAAGAAUAAUGGAGAAAUGAAAUGAAAUGAAAUGACUAUUCUCACUCCUCAUUCUCAUAUACAAGACAUGCUCUUAAAGAAUAUUAGAACAUGUUUGACAAUUGUUUUCAAGAACGGAUUUCUGUUUUCCAAAACAAAAAACCAAGAAAACAUAUUUAAUAACUAAAAACCUUUCUCUUGAUAAUAGAAAACAUAGUGUUUUUAAAGAAUAUCUUUUAGUUGUUUUUUAUUGUUUUAUCUUGUUUUCUAAAGGUUGUUUGAAAAAAUAAUUAUACAAACAUGUGUAAUGAUUAAAAAUUAAAUAAUAGACAUAAAAAUUAUUUUAAAAACAUAUUUAAAAAUAUUAAAAAUAUGUUAAAACAUUUUAGAUUUUCAUGUUGGAGAAUCACAAAUCAUACAAAAUGGUUACAAAAACUAAUUAUCUAGACAAUAAAUAUGCCAAAAUCUCAUACUAAAUCUAUAGGAUAAUAAUAUCAUAAUACAUACCUGAAUCCAUUGAAAUUAUGUACUUGACUCUUGUCUUCCACGUCUAAAAUGAGUAUUGUAGUUUUAAAUCACUCAUUGAUGGGAUGUGAAUAAUAAACAAUUUUUCUAUCUCCUCGUUUAGACUAGGGACUAUAACCCUGUUUAUACCCCGUAUUAUUUUAUUUUAUUUAUUGGCUCAUCAUUAAUAAAUAAAAUAAAAUUUAUCUCUGCACAUUACAAAGCCCAUUCAAUCUAUAUAUAUGGAGAUGCUUUAAAGAUUCAUCAUUAACUUAAUUGAUCACAUUUAAUUAGGCUAAAAAACAAGAUAGCUUCAUGUACAAUAUGUUAAUAUGCAGGACCAUAAUUACCAAAAUAUCCAAAAAUCUCCCACUUGGGCCACAUAUGUCAUUAAACAAUUGAACAUUACAAAAAUGAGCUCAAUAUUUCCUAUCUUAAUUGUGAGCAUCUCAAAACAAUCUGGUCCAUUAAUUAUACCAAUAUAGAAUCAAAGUGAUCUUCAUUACAUAUUUCGCAACUAUACCCAUCAAUGAUCACCAUAUUAAUACAAUCAACGACAUAGAUCAAGUAUGGAUGUGUAGCAUGGAAAUUUCAUGUAAUAUGAUCCCAAAUCAUGCCUAUUUCCAACUGGUCCAACUUUGUAACUCAAAAGAGUUCAACACACUUUCAAACUUUAUGCAAAACUGUAAUUGAAAGAAUAUAACUUUAUUUAAGAGUUUUCAAUAAGCAAAACAAGAAUAAUACUUAAGUUUGAUCAUUAAAACAUGUCAUUAACUAAUGAACAUCAAUUAACAAACUCCCACUACACAAGCAUAUCACCAAGAUGAACCACACCCAUAUGAGCCACAAACUCUCACUAAAGAAUAUAACUUUAUUUAAGAGUUUUCAAUAAGCAAAACAAGAAUAAUACUUAAGUUUGAUCAUAAAAACAUGUCAUUAACUAAUGAACAUCAAUUAACAAACUCCCACUAGACAAGCAUAUCACCAAGAUAAACCACACCCAUAUGAGCCACAUGCUCAUGAAACACUUUAGGUGGUACAACUUUGGUAAGCUAAUCCGCAAUCAUGAAGUUUGUACUAGUAUGUUCAAUAGACGCUUGAAAACUCUAAACUUUCUCCUUAACAACCAGAAACUUCAAGCCAAUGUGCUUUGAUUUUGACAAGCUUUUGUUGUUCUUAGAAUAUAAUUAUGCAACUUUGUUAUCAUAGUUUAUCCUUAAUGGUCUCUCAAUGCCAUCAACAAUACACAAUCUAAUGAUAAAAUUCUGCAGCCAUAUUGCUUGGUUUAAUGCCUCAAAAAGCUAUAAAUUCGACUUCCAUGGUGGAAGUAGCUAUGACUGAUUGCUUAACACUCUUCCAUGAGACAGCUCCUUCAGCCAAUAUAAAAACCUAGCCAGAAGUAGAUCUUCUACUAUCAAUGUAGCCAACAAAGUCAGAGUCGGAAUACCCUAUGAUCUCUAAAUGGUCAGAUCUCCAAUAUGUAAGCAUGAAAUCUUUUGUUCUCUACAAAUACCGCAUGACCCGUUUUGCUGCCUUCUAAUGGAUCAUUCCCGGGUUACUUAAAUAUCUACCAAGCAUACCAACUACGUAUGCAAUAUUCAAACACGUACAAACUUGAGCAAACAUGAGACUUCCUACUAUUGAUGCAUAAAGGAUUUUUUUCAUCUCUUUAUUCUCAAUUUCAUUCUUUGGCAUUGAAGCAAACUAAAUUUAUCACCCUUAGCAAUGAGGGUAUCUCCUAGUGCACAAUCUUUCAUGCCAAAUCUACUAAGAACUUUAUCAAUAUAUGUCUUUUGUGAUAAGCCAAAAAUACCAUGAGAACGAUAUUGAUAAAUAUGUAUGCCCAACACAAAUGAUGCAUUACCAAGAUCUUUCACUUCAAAAUUAUUUGAAAAAAAUCUCUUAGUUUCAUGCAACAGGCCUAUAUCGCUGCUUGCUAGCAUAAUAUUGUCGACAUACAACACCAGAAGAAUAAAUUUACUCCCAUUGAUCUUAUGAUAAAUACAUUGAUCAAUAGUUUUUUCCUUAAAACCAAAAGAGGUAAUCACUUAAUCAAACUUUCAAUAUCGUUGACGAGAUACUUUCUUUAAACCAUAUAUGAAUUUUUUUAAUUUGUAUACCAGAUGUUGACUCUUUGGAUUCAAAAUUCUCUAGUUGCACCAUGUAUAUGGUUUCUUCAAUGUCACCAUUGAGAAACGUAGUCUUCACAUCCAUUUGAUGUAACUCCAAAUCAUAAUGAGUGACAAGUGUCAUAAUAAUUCUAAAAGAGUCUUCGUUGAAACUAGAGAGAAAGUCUCUUUAUAAUCAAUGUCUUCCUUUUGAGAGAAAUAUUUGGUGACUAGACACGCCUUAUAUCUUUCGACAUUGCCUUUUGAAUCCUACUUUGUUUUAUAAAUUCAUUUACAACCAAUUGGUUUUGCUCAUUCAGGCAAUUCGACAAGAUCCCAAACAUCAUUGUCUUUCAUUGAUUUCAUCUCAUCUUUCAUGGCUUCUAUCCAUUUCUAAGAGUUCACACUUUUUUUUGGCUUGACUGAAAGAUAUUGAAUCAUCUUCUAGUCCCGUAUCAAACUCAUGUUUUUGGAGAUACGCAAUAUAAUCAUCUGGAAUCGUUGUUGUCCUCUCCCUAAUGGAUCUCCUUAAUGGCACUUCCAAUUGAGGUUGUUGUUGUUUCUCUUCAUGAAUAGGAGUGAGUUCUUCACUAUGAGUAGGAGGUAACUAAGAAGUGUCUAGAUUUAUUGGAUUUGCAUCCUAAAUAAUGCUAGGCAUUGUUACCUUAUCAUUUUCAAUUUCAAUUGUAGGAAUAAAAACAUAUUCCUCUUCAAAGACAAAGCUCAUGAGUCCAGUACUCCCACCAUAUUCAAUAUCCUUAAUGAAUUUAGCAUUGCUCGACUUAAAAAUGGAUUUGCUCGAGGGAUCAUAAAACUUAAAAACCCUUAUCCUUUUUUAGUACCCAACAAAGUAGCAACUUACUGUUCUUGAGUCCAAUUUUCUUUCAUUAGGCCUAUAUGGUCUUGCCUCAGUUAGACAACCUCAAACAUGAAGAUGCCUAAUAUUAGGCCUCUUUCUAGUCUAUAGCUCAUAUGGGGUGUUGGCUAUUGCUUUGCUUGGAACUCGAUUAAGGAUAUAAACUAUAGUUUUUAUGGCUUCUCCUCAAAGUGAUUCGGGCAAAGAAGAAUGAUUUAUCAUACUUCUUACCAUAUCCUUCAGGGUCCGGUUUCGUCUCUCAACUAUACCAUUUUGACUUGGAGUCCCUAGCAUGGUGUACUAAGGAACAAUGCCACAUUCCUAUAAGUAUCUCGCAAAAGGUCCUGGACAUUGUUCAUUGAUCCAUCAUAUCUACCAUAGUACUCACUACCACGAUAAGAUUUAAUGACUUUAAUUUUCUUUCCAAGUUGAUUUUCAAUUAUAGCUUUAUAGGAUUUGAAAACGUCUAGUGAUUAAGACUUCUCAUGAAUCAAGUAUAGGUACCCAUAAUGAGAAUAAUCGUCUAUGAAAGUAAUAAAUUAACCAUUCCAAGAAGUCGUAAGGAAUAGACCACAAAUAUCAGUAUGAAUUAAUUCCAAAACACCUAAACUCUUGUUGGCACCAAUUUUUCUAACAUUUGUUUGCUUUCCCUUAAUGCAUUCAAUACAUAUUUUCAAAUCUGAAAAGUUAAGGGAAUCAAGAAUUCCUUCUGACACAAGUCUUUGAAUCAUUUGUUUAGAAAUAUGUCCUAAACUCUUGUCCCACAACAAGUAAGAAUUCUCAUCAAUUAACUUAAACUUUGUACUACAAUUACUUGCAUGCAAGGAUUCAUAAAUAUGUGAGACAUUAAUAUCCAAUUUAUAUAGAUUAUCAACCAAAGAACCUAUACCAAUCAUAUUUGAAUAUUGAAAAAUACUAAUUUUUCCAUUUCCAAAUGAACAAGAGUAGGAAAAUUUGUCCAAACUAGAAACAUAUACCAAAUUCCGUCUAAAUGAUGACACAUAAAAAGUAUCAUCCAAAUUCAAAUAACAACCAAAUUCAAAUUGCAAUCUAAAUAAACCAAUCGCCUCAACAGGAGCUUUGUUGCCAUUUCCCAUAUAGAUAAAUAUUUUAACAUCAAUUGGCACUUGACUCCUUAGAAAACCCUGCAUUGUCACACUUAUGUGAGUAGGUGCACCUGUAUCUAUCCACCAAGUGUGAUUUAGUAUUAAAGCUAAGUUAACUUUAGAACAAACGGAGUUGAGAAGUUUACCAUUUUUUAUGAGCCAUUUUGCAUACUUAGGACAAUUCUUCUUCACAUGUUCACAUUUCUUGCAAAAAAAAAAAAAAAAAAACAAGUGAUGACCUUAUCUUGUUUCUGUUGCACCUUAGGCUAUGAGGUUCCACUGUCUGCAGCUCAUUUUCCUUUAUUAUUAUUGCUCCAUUUUUUUUCUCCUGUUUGUAGCAUUGUCAUGAAAGGUAGUAGCUAAGUGAACACUUUCUAUUUUUUCUUGUUUCAAUAUAUCUUCCUCUUGCACACAUUGAGCAAUGAGCUUAUUAAGAGUUUAUUUUUCCUUUUGAGUAUUAUAACUUAUCUUAAAAGGACAAAAUUGUGCAAGGAGAGAGAUCAAGACCAAGUGCACAAGGAUGUCAUCAAACAACUCCAACUUUAGUGCCCUCAGUUGAGUAACAAGAUUAAACAUUUCCAUAAUGUACUCCCUUAUGUUCCCUUUGUCUUUGUACCACAUUGAAACGAGUGUGAACCUUUAGAACUUUUCAAAAGUAAUUCAAUAAGUAUGCACUUCAAUAGUAACAUGAAUAAAAUUCCAAGAUUACCUUUCAAUUUUUCUUCUUUCCAUAUCCAACUAUCAACUACUAUACUUUUUUUUUUUUUUUUAGAAAAUAAAUUGAUAAGAUAAGUCAAAAAGAGAACCUAUCUUUGGGGGGACAGGUUGAAAGGCCAAACGGUCCUAAUGAGAGAACUGGACCAGAAAGCUUAUCGGUCGAUGGUUGAACCGGCCGGUCCGGUUUGAUUUUCAAAACCAUGAUAAAUACUGAUAACAAAUCCUACCAACAAUAUGUCUAUCUUUGGAUCGACUUAUUGCAUGCAUGGACAUCACCAAAAUAUCACAUAUUUAUUACCACAAUUGUCUAAAAUUUGGUAAAAAAAAUAACCUUCCUUUGGGCCAAUUAUUGUAUGUAUUGAUUUAGAUACUAUUCAUUGAAUUCCUUAAUAAAAUUCACAUACUUCAAGAUAAGUAAAUUUACAUAAUAGAGGUCACUUUAGUGACAUAUAAUUUCAAUUUAAUUUAUCUUGAAAUAUUUGAUUUUAAAUAUGCAUUUGUUUUGGUCAAUAGUCAUAGUCAAUGGUCAAAAGUGGGUCAAUGAAAGCUUCAUUGGAUGGACUUUCAAACGAGUUAGUCAAAGGUUCAACUAAGUCGGUCAAAGGUCCAAUUGGAUCGGUCAAACGGGUGAGUCAAAGGUCCAACUAGGUUGGUCAAAUGAGUCAGUCAAAGGUCUGACCCUACCCAUCACUUAACCCAACUUAAAUGGACUUGGGUCCAACAAUCCAAAUGACCCAAUAUAAUGACUUAAGCCUAAUGUCUAAAUGACCUUAUAAAUUAAGUCUUAAGCUCAAUGUUCAAAUGACCUUAUAGAUUAAAAGACUUAUCAAAACGUAACAAGACAAUGACGAAAAUAUAUAUAUAUAUUAAGUUAUUAUCACCCAAUCACUUCAUCUAUAUCCCCAUAAUUCUUAAAACACUUAUAUUUUAUCUCGAAAAUUAUGCAAACAAUCCAAGAGAAAAUAUAUUUUGAUAAAAAUAUUGAUAUUUAUUGGAAAAUUAUUUAUAAAAAAUUAAUUACAACAAAAAAUCUAGGGAAUCUAAGUUAGAGAAAAUUUUCCUUACAACCAAACACACACACACACACACAAAAAAAAAGAAAAAAAAAAUAGUGGACGAAUGAAUGAAAAUCAGAUUCAAAAAACUUCAUCCACCAUGAAACAUAUUUAAUUAAAACCUAAUAGAUUUAACAAGAGUGACUCUGAUACCACUUGUUGGAGAAUCACAAAUCAUACAUAAUGAUUAUAAAAACUAAUCAUCUAGAUAAUAAAUACGCUAGAAUCUCAUGCUAAAUCUAUAAGAUAAUAAUAUUGGAAUACAUAUCUGAAUCUAUUGAGAUUAUGUACUUGAAUCUUGCUUUCCACGUCUGAAACAAGUAUUGCAACCUUAAAUCACUCACUGAACUUUUAAAAAGUAAUUGACUAAGUAUGCUCUUCAAUAGUAACAUGAAUAAAAUUUCAAGAUUACCCUUCAACUUUUAUUCUCUUCAUAUCCGGCCAUCAACUACCAUACUGUUCUCAUUUUGUUUUAAGAAAAAAAAUUGACAAGAUAAGUCAAAAAGAGUAUAAUGAUUUUUUCUUUUACUCAUACUUAUCAAUGUUUUUAAGCUUGACAUGUGGCAAACCAAUAUGCCACAAUAUUUUUUUAAUUUUUUUUUCAUUUUAGCUUUUGAUUUUUAAUUUCAUUUUAUUUCACCCUUUCAUCUUUUGAUUUUAAUUAUUUAUGAACAUUUUAAACAUAAUAUAAUGAAUAAUUAAUGAGAAAAAAUUAACAUAAAAAUAAAUACAUAAUGAAUGAAUUUAACUUUUUACUUAUGAGUAGUUAACUUGAUCGUGGUUUUAACUUUUUUUUUUAGUUAAAAUGUUUAUUAUUCUUAAUUAAAAAAUAAAAAUAAAAACUUGAUUGUGGUUGUAAAAUUUUGCUUUGUUUAAUUCUAAAAUUUUUUAUUUAUAUAAAAUAAAAAUAAAAUAUAUUCUUCAUAAAAAUGGUAUUUAAUCAUUUAUGUUAAUUUUCUCUUAAUUUUAUUAAAAAUUAAAACUUUUGUAUAUUGAAAUUGUGCAUCGAUCAACACAACCAUCGGUACCACUUUUUUUUAAUGAAAAAAGUAACACUAAAGUGUGUUAAAAGUAACACAUUUUCGUUUUCGUGGUACUUUUAACAUAGUUUAGUGUUAUUUUUUUUCAUAAAAAAGUGGUACCUCUUUUUGAAAAGUUAUAUUAAUGUGGAAUUUCAACAUACAAAAAUUUUAAUUUUUAAUAAAAUUUAAUAUAAAUGAUUAAAUAUAUAUUUUUUAAUGAAAUAUAUAUAUAUAUAUAUAUAUAUAUAUAUAUAUUUAUUUAUUUAUUUAUAUAAAUAAAAAUUUUAAAUUUUAAUAGAACAAAAUAUUAUAACCACAACCAAGUUUUUGUCUUCCUUAAUUAAAAACACUAAAUAUUUUAGCUAAGAAAAAAAAAAUUAAAGCCGCUAUCAAGUUAACUUUAUAAGCAAAAAGUUAAAACUAUAAUCAUAAAUUGUGAUUUUCACAGGAAAAUUUAAAAUUUUAAAAACAUAUAAAAAAUAAAAUAAUAUGACAAUAUAAUAAGAUUUAUAAAAUAAAUAAAUCUCUAAAUUUAUUUAGAAAUUUUAUUUAGCAUAAAUAUAGAAAUUUUUAAGUCAAAAAUCUCUAAAUUUGUUAAUAAUGUAUUUGUUUUUAUAUUAAAUUUAUUCUCAUCAAAUAUUUAUUAUAUAUUAUUAUUUUAUAUUUAAAAUAUCCAUAAAUAAUUAAAUUAAUACAUAUAAAAAAAAUGAAAUAUUAAAAAAAUUGAAAUUAAAAAUAUUUUAUCAAACUAAUAUAUAUAUCUUUUUUAAAUAAACAAAAGAAAGAUAGAGAUAUCACAAAGAAGGGGAAAAAGAAAAAAGAAAAAUCAUAUGGUAUGAUGAUUGCCACUUGUCAUAGCUUUUUAUUUAUUUUUUUAAAAAACAAUAGUGAUGAUGAACUCAUUUGCGGUUAAGGGCAUGUUUGGAAUAUUGAUUACUUUUGCUAUUUGCGUACCUGAUUUGAGGGUUAUUUUUUUCAAAAUACAUAUCUUCGAAAGACAAAAGUUAAAGUUCUAAAAAAUGUAAUUUUUUUAAGAUGUGGCAUGAUUACAUGAUUCCAAUGGUACAACAAUUUCAGGGGGCAGGUUUUUUAUUUUUUAUUAUUAAAUUUAAAAUAAAUUUGACCACACAACCACGACAACAAUAUCAGAAAUAAGAAUAAUAAGUUAAGCCAAAUUAAUUUUUUUAAUAAAAUUUUGUUGAAUAACAUCGGGAGCUUGAUUAGAAAAACUCUUUCGUAAAUAAAAUGUUUGAAAAUUUUUAAAUAAAAAAUAAAAAAUAAAAUUUAAAAUUAAAUUCAAGAAAUAUAGAUUACACUAGCAUAAAUCAUAAUUAGAAACUUCCCAUUUUCCAAAAUAUCAAAUAGGAUAAACACAUUUUCAAGUGUGGAAUUUCUAAUUUCCCUUCCAAAAUUUUUCCCCUAAAUUUAUUCCUUUUAUUUUAUUUAUUUAUUUUUUUAAUUUUUUAAUUUCUCUCUUUUUUUUGGGUCUCUGAUAAACCUCCUAUUCCCUUUCUAAAUACGAUGGCACAAGUCUAUUGCAAUUGGGAAUAUGCAAAUUGCUUUGAACUCAAACUACUGCCUUUAUAGAUGCCAAACCCAUCGGCUUCUUCAACUUCAGCCCUUUCUGCUUCCUUGUUCCACAGCCUUCGGAUUCCCAACCCUAAGCCCCCUUCAUUGCAGAGCAAUGGCUUCAUCUCCACCUUCCGUCCAAGUAAGGGACAGCAUUGAUCUGACGCCCAAGGAGACCCAGAUUUUCCAGAAACUUCUCCAAGUUGUUCGCCACUUUUCUCUCCGAACUCAGCUCCGCGUCGCCGGUGGCUGGGUCCGCGACAAGGUCUGUAAAUCGCUUCUAUUUGCCUCCGUUUGUUUCUAGAGAAAAUAGUGCGCAGAUUUUCCGGAAAAAUAGAAGUUUCUCCGGAAUUUUUACCGGCGAUUGUACUGUUUUCUUGCCUAUGUUAGUUACUAUAAUCUAUUUGGUUCUGUUUGUUUUGAAAGAAAAUAAGAAGGAAAGUUUCUUGGAAAGUAAAAAAUUAAUAAAGUCUCAACUUUUGCUGGGUUUGGGGCAAUGUAAAUUAUUCAUGAACUGGUAUUCUAUAUGGCUUUGUUGUUUCGAAGUUAACGAAAGUUUUCGGAAAUUUUCAACUUUUAUUAGUUUGGAGUCGGUUGCAGUCUUCGCUUGGUUCUGUUAGUGACUUGCUUCUAUUCGUUUCUUUGUGUUUUAAAAGAAAAUAGUAAUUCUCGAAAAUCUGGUGAAUUAUUUACCAAGUAUUCCUUUUUGGCUCACUUCGAACUUUUCCUCUUUAAAUAGGGACUUUCCUGGGAAAAUAGAAGUUUCCCAAGAUUUCAACUUUUAUUGUGUUUGUGACCUGGCGAAUUAUUCACUAACGAGUAUACUGUUCCACUUCAAUUGGCACUGUUGUAACUUGAUUCUACUUGGGUCUCUUUGUUUUAAAAGAAAAUAGUAAAUAGGCAAAUUUUCCGGGAAAAUCUAAGUUCCAAAAAUUUCAACUUUCGGUCUGUUUAUGACUAGGUGAAUUAUUCACUAACCAGCAUACCUUUUCUGAAUUGGUUCUAUUGCUUUCUUUGUUUUGAAAGAAAUUAGUACCUCAUGAAAUUUUCUGGCAAAGCAGAAGUUUCUAGGAAUUCAUGUUUCAAAACUUGUUUUAUUUGUUUAUGUUUGACAAUUUUAUUAGUCUUACACUUGUUUGUGAUUAUAUUGUGAGUGCACAUGCUACUUGGUGUUUUCUUUCUAUAGGAAUUUGGAUUUGAAGAUUGAGAAGUUGAAUGUUAAGGGAUAAAGAGGCAAAGAGAUUUUAGGCUCAAGUUAUUUUACUUUGUUGCACAUGCUAAAGCAAAAGAAAAGUCUGCUGAACAUUUGAAUUUGUUUCGGGUUUUGACUUUUGAGUAGUACCAGAAGAAUGAGGUUGUGUUUGGCUGCAUGGAAUUGGAGCUUCGUAUUGCAAUUUGUGGUCCAGUUGUGAAAUUUACAGUUGGUUCCCUUUCAUAAAAUUAAAGUUUAAUGGUUUGCUGAAAGUGAGACUCAUGGAUACUGUAGAAUUAAAAUUCGGAAUCCAAUCCAAUUAUGUGAAACCGAACACUCCCUUAGGUUAUUUUUGAAAUAGACAUUGUCUUUGUUUCGAAGUUACAAAUUUGACAUUUUUUUGGUCUCAUUUUUCAAGCCUACUUAUGUUGAACUCUGGUCCACUCUGCAGUGGUCAGAGCAAAGUAUAUGGUUGCCUGAGAAUGUGUAUCACCUGUCUGAUUGAAGUCUUACCAGAAAAGAAAGAAAAGGAUGGUCUAGAGUUCUUUCUUCUAUAAGAUUAAUGUAAAGGAUGAAGGUACAUUGUUGAAAAGGUUGGACUAAUUCAGGGGUGAGUGGAUAUGCGUGGCAUAACUGAUGGGAAUGGGGUCUCGAAACUGCAAGGAUGUUGGGAAAUGGGACUUCUGGUAUUUAGAGAUGUGACAGAGGGUUGUGAAUGCUGAUUUCAGAAAUCUUUGACUUUCCAUUAUUUGUUUCAUGAGGAAACUUAAAACUUGUCCCACCUCUGCCUGAUUAAACUAUUUGGCUAACUGAAAUGAGUCCUUCCCUUCUUUAGGAAGCCCAAACAAAUGAGAUAUUCAAAAUUUUCGUGUCAGUUUUAUCUAAACUCGAUUUUAUAUUUUUUUAUUCUUAUGUUUGGUUCCUUUUUUAUACAGUUUUAGGAGUGUUGAAAUGCAUUAGACAAGUGAUUUUAUGUUUAUAUUAUUUGUAUGUCCCUUACAUCGAUAUUUUCUUAUUGCAGCUUCUAGGGAAGGAAUGUUAUGAUAUUGAUAUUGCUCUGGAUGACAUGCUGGGCAGAGAGUUUUGUGAGAAGAUCAAUGAUUACUUGUCAUGUACAGGGGAGGAAAAGCAAGGAAUAGGUGUUAUUCAAUGGUAUGUGAUCCUACAAUUGUGUUUGGCACUUAUGCUGUGAGAACUUCUGUUUUGAAAUUUAUAUCAUGAUCACAUUUUACUCUUCAGGCUUAGCUCAAGUGGCAAGUGGUUGGGUUGGGAAUGUGGGGAGCUCUAGGUUCAAUUCCAAAAAAGGAAAAAGAGCAAAGACAAAAAUGCUGACUAUCAAAAAAAAAAAAAAAAAAUAUCUUUUAAGAUUUAUUACAGAAAAUCAAUUGACUCAGAUAGCCAAGUAUUAUGGAUUUACAUGCUCUUAAAUAUUAUAAUGAGAACUUUUAUUUUGACAUUUGUUAUAGGAAAUCAAUUAUUUGAAUAACCCUGGAUAUGAGUUUAGUCUCUUUAGUUUCUCAUUAUAGUUGGUCUUACAUGAGUUAUCCUUGUAGUUGUAUCAUUUGAAUUACCUUCAAUAUCCUUCGUGGGCUUUCAACUUGUUCUCUUCUUGUGUUAGGGGCUCUUUAUCAGCCUUGGUCUUCUUCAUAGCCUCUUUGUUUUUGGGUGUUCCUCGUAUGUGCCAUUGUGCUAAGUUCAUCCCCUUUUAGUGCUUUUCUAUACAAUUUUUCUCACCAAAGAAAAUAAAAAAAUAAAAAAUGAAAAAUAAAUAAAGAAAGAAAAGAAAUGCAGCUUGAUGGAGUGGAUUUGGUGUUCUCUCUAUAUCUGUUUUAGUGCAUCUGGAAUUCAUGUGGUCUACCGGCCUUGUGGGAGAUGGAGGUUUUUCCUAUUUAGAUUUCAUUGAUAGCUGAGAAAGAGUAAGGUUGCCUGUGCCACUUGUUUUUUUUCUUCUUUUCCUCCUUUUUGUUACUUUGCCCCAGGUGUGCCUGGUAUACUCCUAUUGUAAAUGGUUUGUUCCCCUUCUGAUGGACACUAUUUUUAAUAUCUGUCUACUUUUCCCAUAUAAAAAUCUCUUUAAAUGUUUCCAACAAUAUUCCCCUUCACUCUCUUUUUGUAUUCUUCUUGCUUUUAUAUUAAUGUGCAUUUUCCUUUUUGAAGGACUUCUCAUCAUUCCCUUCUCAUGUAAAUGUUACUUUUAUCUAAUACAAUAUAAGUUUCAGUCUUAGGAAAAAAAAAUUGUUAAAAUUGCAUGACAUAGCUUACUCUAAAAGAGCGAGAUCCACCAUUACUCAAAAGAUAAACUAAAGGCUUUGCCUACAAGAGUGAGUUCCACAUUAGCGUGCAGGAUAAAUUAAAGGAUUUACUGUUGAUACCUGAAGUUGAGCCCAGGCCCUCAGGGAAAGCUUAUCCUCAUCACUGUAUGAAGAUGAUGAAUUUAAUAGUGGACCUGGGCUUGAAAUAUUUGAUAAUCCUCUGGAAUCAUUUAAUUUGUUUCUCAUUCUUCAUACAGAAUACAUAGAUUUAUCUUCAAGAAAAAAUAAUUGUGUUGUCUUUUUUUUCUUUUUUUUUGGAAUUUGGUAUAACAUAGUACUUAGGCUUAUAUAAUUUCCUUUAAAGUGAAAAAUACUCUGCCUUUUUUUUUUUUUUGGAUUUUACUUUCAUCAUGUGUUAUAUCCUCCACAGAAAAUUUUUCAUUCUUAAAAUACUUAUCAGUAAGUUGUGCUCUUUGGUUGGUUUCAGUUUGCUUCUAGAAUAAAUGUGUGUGUAUUUUAUUUUUUUGUUUUAUUUUGUUGGCUUUUUGUUGUUUUUUAUUUUAUUUUAUAUUAUUUAUUUCAUUUUAUUUUGUUGCCUUUUUUUACCAGUUAAGUCUUUUGACCAUUUCCACCUCCAGUUUUAUUUUAUUCCAAGAACUAAGAACUAUUAUUCUGUGGUGUGUGCUUUGAGAUUAUUCUCGCUGACUAUGCCAUUGAUUCUCAAUUUUUCAGUAACCCUGACCAGUCCAAACACUUGGAAACAGCAAGGAUGCGCCUUUUUGAUGAAUGGAUUGAUUUUGUAAACUUAAGGUCUGAAGAUUAUAGCGAAAAUAGCCGGAUCCCGACAAUGGUAUGCAGUUUUCUCAGCAGUUAAUAAUCUUGUGGUAGUGUCAUGUACCUUAAUUUGUUUCUAGAGGAGGUUGUGUGUUAUUUUGAUGAUGCUUACAUGUUUUUUCUUUUUGCUAUCAUGGCUGCUUUUAUGAGGGUGUUUAUAAGAAUUAAUUACUUAUUAAGCAUGUUUUCUUCAGUAUAAAGCUUUUGUUUUUUAGAAGGAAUAUUUUUCAAGCUUUAUGAUGACGUAAAUAUGAAAAUAUGUCCUGGUUUCAUUCGGCUUGUGGAUUUUAUGACUUGGUGAAAUUAUUAUUGUUCGUGGAAAAUCCUGAGGUGUUUUCUUCCAGGUAAGGACGGUCCUGAACAGUCUUUUCUUGCUUCAAUUCCAUUUUAGGUGGUAGGCAGAUAAUGGAAAAGAUGCCAAUAUGUAAACAAGUUAUUCAUUUAAAAGUCAGAAAAAGCUUUAUUUGUGGUUUAUGUAUCAUUGUUGUCCAAGUGGGCUAGUUUGUUCUGAUGAGAAGAAAUUGGAUAGAAACUCACCCUGAUGCCGUUGUUCUAGUAACUAAUUCAUGGGUGGCCUUGAGGAGUUUGAGACAAGUGAGGCUUCUUUUUCCUCUUCUUUGUUUUGCUAUUGAAAGCAUUAUGUAGUUACCUUUAUUUGGGCAUCUAGAGGCGGUGAGUUAUGUUGAUAGGAGUGGAGGAUUCUGUGAAAUUUAUGGACUUUGCUUAAGAUUUUUCUGGAGGUAAUAUGGUACUGAUUUUCUGCCAACUAUCUGUCUUGGCCUACCCUAGUGGCUGAUGGUAGGUAUUGGGACAGUUUUAUUAAAAACAUUGAAAGAAAAGAAGUUGGAUGGAUGAUGGUAGGGAUGAUUAACUCUUGUUACAUGGACUACUGAAAAUUUUCCUCUACUUUCUUGGUAGGGCAUGUGGUAUAGAAAAUACAAAGUUCAUCAGGAAUGUUCAGUUGGGCAAUAGACUAGUGGAACAAGGUCCAAUUGCAUGUUGAACAAUACCCUCAUCUAUAUAUUUUGUCUCUCGCCCUACUUAAGUUAGAUGGAGGUGGAGAUCUUGAGGUUCUAAUCUGCUGAGAGGUAUCAAUGUUUUCUGCAUUGAAUGUUGGCUUAAACCUUCUUUGUUUUCAUUUCUUGUGUUGACAAAAAGCUGUGGCAAAAUCUUUGGAAGCUUGAGGCAAGUUUGGGUUGUGGGGUGGAGAUCUUUUGGAAUAUGCUUCUAAGGUCAACUUAUUUGGGAUCUAAUGACUGAGAUCUCUGAUAGUGGAUGUCAGGUCACAAGAAAAUUCAUUUUUGUGAGGACAUAUAGGCUAACAUUUGUUAAAAAGUGCCCUCUAUCUAACCUACCUACCGAAAGUUGAUCUCUUUUGUAAAUUUGAACUUGCUUAACUGUUAUAAAUGGAAGUAAAGGAGGUCACAGUUGGGUGGUGCUAUACUCAGGGUUUCCAUGUCAUGUUUUGGAUAGCAAUUGGCUGUUGUGCUUUGUUAAGAUAGAGAUUAGGGAUGACUAUAUUUUGCCUCCUGAGCAUUUGAAACAUCAGUUUGUUGGGAAAAUGGUUAUUUGUUAAGAAGGAGAACAAUUAGUUGUGUUUUGUUGUAGUUAUUAAAUAUGAGUAAGGAGUUAAUUUUGGAGGGGAAGGUUGGGAAGGUAGUUGUGUUUUUAGUGUACUGUAGAACAUUUGCAAGCCUGAAGAAAAUUUAUUGGUAUUUCUUUAUGGAGGUUGAAAUUGGUGUAGGGCUUGGCCUUAGGGGGGCAUGAUUUGAAAAAGUGUUCCCUUUCCUUACUAUUUUUCAAGAUCCAAACAGAGCAUUAGGGAAUCUGCAAAUUGAUGUUUGGAGGGCAUUGACAUAAUAGGUAAAUGGACAGCCAUGUACUUAAUCCUUUUUCUUUUUUUUUCCUUAUCUUUUUAAAUAUCUGAAAAAGGCUUGCCAAUGCAGAGGUGAUUAUGCACUGACCUAAGUUGGAGUGAUGGAGUGGGAUUCUUUCUUUCUUAUCUGUUUUGUUGGUAAUGGUGUUCAGGGGUAGGAUUCUUCCUUUCUCAUCUGUUUAGUUGGUAGUUGUGUUUGUUAUAUGCAUUAGUGCAUAUAUUAGGACACGCGAACCAGGCUCCUUAUGUUUAAAGAUCCUUGUAACCAUUUUAAAUUACUGAUUAGCUUUUGUUUAACUUGCAAGCUAUUUUCAUGCUUACUCAUUUAACAUCAAUUUUAUCUAAUAUGUUGGAUAUAUUAAUAUUUGAAUUUACUCAUAUCUUGUAGAGAUUUGGCACUGCCAAAGAGGAUGCAUACCGAAGGGAUUUAACCAUUAAUAGGUAUUUUUCUUCCCCUUUUCCAUUUCCAUUUUAUGCAAAUAAAAUUGUUUUGAAAGGGACAAAUUGAUAUGAAGUCAUUGAUAUGUUGGUUUUGUUAUUCUACAACAAACCCUUUUUCUAUCUACUUCUGUUUUGGGGUUGGCAAUAUUCAUUAUAUAAAAAUUUGUGUUACCUGAUGCUCUUAGACUCUAUCUAUAUUUUGUCGGUUGUUUAUAUUUAAAUCAUUGGUUGGAAUGCAUCUUGCUAAAGGAGUUAUUAUUAUUAUUAUUAUUAUUUUUUAUUUGACAGCUUGUUCUACAACAUCAACACCAGUUCUGUUGAAGAUUUUACUGGGAGAGGUUAGUAUAGGUUUCCAUUUGCUUUAGCAUGUUUGGUUUUCAAGAAUUGCUAACUAGAUAUUGGUUAACAUGUUUCUCUCUCUUCUUUUCGUUCUUUCUUUUUACCCUCCUUUUUUUUUAUUUUGAAUUUUCUCUAAUUCAGGCAUUGAGGAUCUGAAGUCUGGAAAAAUAGUUACACCAUUACCUCCAAAGGAUACAUUUUUAGAUGAUCCCCUACGAGUUCUUCGGGCUAUCCGUUUCGGUACUUUUGAUACUCUGUUAAUUUAUUUGCUUGCUCUAGUCAUAAGAUAAAGUUGAUGUUUCUCUUUCUAAAAUAAAGAGAAUUAAAUAUUAGGAAAAGGUAUUUAUGAUUCUCUUUAGAAGAAGGUAUUAUGGAAUUCCAUUUGAUGUGAAUAGGAAUGCCUCUUAUCCCCUGCAUGGCUAUGUCUACGCAUUAGUGGUCUUGAUGUCCAUCACUUUAUCCAUAAACAUAUGUUUUCUUUUACCAAAAUACAUAUAUAUAUUCAGUUCUUCUGCUUUGUCCUAAUAACUAUCCUGGUAUCCAUUCAUGUGACUCCCUGUAUCUUAAAAUUUGGAAAAUUGAAGUAUUAGACAUCUAGACACGUUCCUAGACUGUGCACCUGUAACCAAACCAAUGCACAAUAGAUGCAUAUAAAUGACUUUCUCACAAAGCUUUAAACAGUAUAAUCUGUGUUAGGCUAUUGCCAUAAUUUCUGAACAUCUCUACAUAUCUACUAGGUAUAUAUUGUGUGCUGGGAACAUUGAGGAAGUUUCUCAUUCCAACCAAAAAAAGGGAAAAAAAGACAUUAAUGAAUCCCAGAACAAUAUGACCAUGAAAUCGAUUGCUUAAUCCAGUAUGAUCCUGGAGGGGAGAGCUACUUGUUUGCUGCACCUAGAUUUGAGUUUUCCUUCAGUUAUUCACUUCCAUAUUGUUCCAUAACCUCUUUAAUGUAUUGCUUUUGAGAUCAUAUGUGGUUGCUCUUGGUUUUUGUAGGCGCCAGGUUUGGGUUCAUACUAGAUGAAGAGUUAAAGUUGGCUGCUGGUUGUGAUGAUGUGAGAGCUGCCAUUGCGGAUAAAAUUAGCAGAGAACGUAUUGGUCAUGAAGUAUGUUCAUUCUCUUGCAUGCCAUUGAUAUGAGUGGUUGCUUUUUAUAAUGUUAUGAUUUUGUAAACAUAAAGUAAGUGACAAGAACCUUAAAUUGAUUAUUUUCUGUCCUUUUUUUUUUAUAUUUAUUUAAUGCAGAUUGAUCUUAUGAUCUCUGGCAAUGAGCCGGUUAAAGCAAUGACAUACAUCUGUGAUUUGCUAUUAUUUUCGGUUGUCUUCAGUCUUCCUCCUAUUGUUAAGCCUGCCAUAUCUGAAGAAUGUGAUAGGUUUGUGAUUUUUAGAUUUAAUUUAUUUGUCAUGGAUAUCAAUUGACUCAAACCCAUUUUAUAUUGUCAUUAUGUGUCAUUUCCAAAUUCCAGCUUUCCAUGUUUGUCAUUAUUCCUUCCUCACCAAAAAAAUCUUAAAAAAAUAAAAAUAAAAAACUAAUAUAUUUAGUAAAAAGUUCUACAUAGUCAUUUGUAAUGUUAACAUUUAAACAUUCAAAUGGUAAUUCCUCAAUAUUCAUUGCAACAAUAGAUGUAUUUAACUUUCAACAUUUCAUGUAUGCUUUUGACAACAAGUGUGUAGCUUUUCAUGUAGGAUUAUUUUACCCCUAUCUCCCUUUUAUAAUCAAUUUCUAACCUUAAAAUACACUUGAAAGAAUUGAUAUAAUAAUUCUUUUAGGACAAAAUUUUUAGAAUUUGAUUUGUCUUAGAAACUACAAAAAAUGUUCAAUGGUGUAUGUAUUGUUGUAUCAUGCAAUUUCAUAUUGUAUCUUGUGUUAUAUACACAUACACACAUAUAUACCUAUUUCAUAAGAUUGAUGCAAACUAACAAUAAUUAUUGAUUUUUGUAAGAAAUGUAUUGAUUUCUUUAACUUCUCUAUUAGGCUCUGCAUUGGUUACAUCGAUGCUGGGUGGAACCUAAUACAAUUAAUUGGAUCCUCUACUUUCAAUGUGAGUGAUAUAUAUAUAUAUAUAUAUGCAUCAUUUUCUGUUUUGGUCAUUAUUAUUUUCCUGUUGAUUCGUUAGUAUAUAUAAAUAUCGUGUUGAACUUCUUGAUACUGGAUAAGGUGCUAAUCAAAUUUUAUACUUCCUGUGUACUUUGUGGCGUCUUAUUUUUUAAUGAAUUUGGUUUUUAUUUAUCAAAAAAAAAAAAAAAGGAAAGGAGAUAGAUGAAGUGGUUCUUGUUUUUUCUGUGCUAAAUUUUCAUGUUAUCAUCAUAUGUGAACUUGAGCUACCCAACUAUCGGACUAACUACAAGCUAUCAAGAACAGAGCAUCUCCUAAAAAAAAAGAAAAAAAAAAAAAGAGUCCAGUCCUCGUAAAUUCCUUAAAAUGAUUAUAAGAAUCUUUAACUGUGAUUCUUAUUUCUAAUAUUUUCAGAACCGGACCGGUCAUCGAACCAGAAAAAUUACCGGUUCACUGGUUGGACCGAUGAUCGAACCGCUGUUGAGCCGAUGGUCAAAUCGCGGUUGAGCCGAUGGUCGAACCGCGGUUGAACCGAUGGUCGAACCGCGGUUGAACCGAUGGUCGAAUCGCGGUUGAACCGGUAAUGCAAUAAAUAUAUAAUUUAUAUAUUAUAUAAAAUUAAAAAUAUACAAAAUUACAAAUUUUAAUAAUGUUUGAUUUUUAUAUUUGGUAUAUUAAAUUAAAUGAUAAAGUUUAAUAUUUUAAAUUUUAUUUAAUAGAAAUAUGUAAUAUUUAAGAAUGAAGGUGUAUUUAAGAUGAAAAAAUUUAUAAUAUUUAAUUUUAUCUUUUUGUCUUUGUAUUUUAUUGUUUUAAAAUUAUUCUAUUAAUUAAUUUAUAUUAUUUUUUUAUAAUUAUUAUUAUAUUCUUAUUAUAAAAAUAAACAAGAAUUUAAAUAUUUACAUUUCUUUGAAGAUUUAUAUGAUAAAAAUUUGAAAUAAAAACAUUAAUCUUAGAUUCUUAUUAUAUAUAUUUUUUAACAACAUCAUUUAAUAAAUAUGGUGCAAUGCUCAAUGGUUCAAGGGCUUCAAACUUUGAGAUCCGUCCAGCCCUCAAAGAAGCAAUGUUUUGCCUCUAUUUUGUCCUAGUCCCAGUCCCACAUCGGAAGCACAUGACUUCUAUGUGCUCUAAGUGCCCCAUAAAUACCUUCAACAUCCAAGCCAAACAUGCCAGCAAAUUGGGCCUGAAAACAUGGCCCAAAGUUAAGUUUUAUAAGCUUGUCAUUGGAUUGGGCCUAGUGGCUUGGACCAAAUUUAAUUAGUUUCAGUUUUGAAAGUUUUGGGCUUGGAAAUGGGCCUGAUGGAUAAUGGGCCUCUUAUUAGUUAACAAAUUUUUGUAACAAUUAUGGUCUGAUUGGUUUCUAAAAAACUAGACGGUUUGUCCAGUUUGGUGGUUCAACUGUCGGUUUGAACGGUUUAAUACCGGUUUGACCACAAAACGGUUUAUUUAGAUGGACCGAACUGGAAAGUUCACUGGUCAACGGUUUGACUGGCCGGUCCGGUCCGGUUUUUAAAACAAUGCUUAUUCCAUCUUCCUACACUGGGUUUUCAUCUAAUUCUUGGUGUUCUUGCUGGACUCAAUUUUCUUUUCCUUAAGAUAAAUUUUAAUUGAAGAAAAAAAGGUGGUUAACCCUAUGUAUACCAGGAAUAUACAAAAGACUUCAAAUAAAAAGACUUAUCUACCACCAAGGGAACCGCAACAAAUAGAAUCUAGAAAAAUCAUAACAGGGUGGAUUAAGAGGAUAAAAGCUUUACAACCAUUUGUCAAAGGAAAUAGAAAGAGCUUAAGAGUCUAAAAGAGCAUUACAUCCAGCUCUUUCCCAAAUGAAUAAAAAAUUACAAAGAUGGGCCAGGCCUACUUUUUAAGGAGUCAAUUGUGGCUUCAACUUCACUUCCACCUCCAUAAACAGACAUGACUUGUAUGAUGUUUCUACAUUUUCUGUAUGAUUCAUUUAAGCAUGACCUUCUAUUCCAUAAUUUUUUUAUGGUUCCAACUUUUUCAUCUUACUCCUGUCCUUGAUUAAGCUUUUGAGCAAAGAAAAGGAAAGACUAUUGUGUCAUUUAAUUGAUUCUUUUCACAAUCCUUGCAAUUUAAAGAGGGCAACUCACCUUCAUUAACCUUUCCUUGAAUUCUCCAUAUUUCUAUGCACUCAUGAUAAAGCAGGCCAUUCCAGAGAAAAAACAUGAAAGACCCAUCUAGUUAUUAUAUAAUUCAACAAUCACAAUCUCACAAGGUAUUUUACUUUUUGUGCCACCCAAUCUAUUCUUUAUGGAAAGUGAAUGUCAGGAUUCUGUCUUCCCCAUUCGUUAUGGGUUUCUUGAGGAUAGCUAGUAAAACCCCUACCUUGAUCGAUGAACUUGAACAUGCUUAUGGAACUUGUCAUAAUUUCCAAUAUCAUCUGAAUUUUCCUUUUUUUUUUCUUCAUUUUUACACUACUUAAGUUUAAAUAAAUUUUAUAGUGUUAUCUGUCCUCACACAUCAUAUAUUACAGCAUCUAUUCUAGUAUCUCCACUACAUGAAUUUCCCUCUUCCUCAACUUUGACACUGAUAAUUUGAGGUCCCCCAAAAGGUCCUGUGAUGGGCAGAGGUAGCUUUUUGUUAUUUUAAUUUGUAAUUGAGAACAUACAGUUUUGUCUUGAUAGGGCAGAGCCCCAAUAGCCUCUAAAUCUCUUCUGAGCUUUCUGUGCUCAAAUUAUAGAGUUGACAGGAAUGUUUUCUUUUAAUAUGGAAUAAUCAAUUUCAUUGACCUUGCCCAGUCUAUUCACAUUAGUAACCCAUGAUCAAGCGCUGCAAAUCCAAUCUGACAAAUCUUCCUUAGUUGUCCCAGGCCCAGUCUUCUUUGCACCUUGAGACACUUUUGGUCCAUUAUGGAGAGAUACUGUUUCCCUAAUUUUUACCUAGUUCUUCUUAUGUAUGUUUAUUUCUAGUCUUCAGUUUUUUGAUGAUGAUUUUUCAUUCCAUGUGAAUUUUAGGAUGAACAAAGAAGGCUCUAUUUGUAUGCGGCUUUGUUUCUUCCAUUCAGAAAGACACUGUACGAGGGUGGCAAAGCUAGAAAGGUACCAUCUAUACCAUUGCUAUUGUUGUGCACACGCCUUUUAACUGUAUACUUGAAUCACAGGCUUCUGUUUUGGGCUUAUGCUUUACUGCACCUGUCGUAAGUGAACCAGUACAAACCCCAUCAUCAAAAGGGAUUGUAAAAAUUUAGAACUAUAAGUUCAAUUAUCAUUGUUAGGCAUGAUGCUCUGGAUGCCUUUGAAAAGUAUAAAAAGUUAAGCAAUAUCUGAGAAAAGUAUAAGAGAUAAGAAAACUAAGGUACUGUUCCAACCUUGUCAUGUUGAAUUACUUUCUUGCAACUGCAGUUGCUGGAGUGAAGGGAGAUAAAGCAUGUCUUCAACUUGUUGAAGACUAUUAUGUCGGCUGCAAACUAGUAUAGAGACAAUAAAUCUCUUUAGUCACUUGUUUUUCAUGCUUAAUUAAUCAUACAUGCUUAAUUAAUCAUACAUUCUGAAAUAAGUUAUUUAACAUUUUUGGAGUGUUGAGUUACGAAUUUAUUCCUUGUUGGGACUUCAUUUUUUGGGUUUCUGGGUGAAAGAGAGGAGAAAGCUUGGAGCUGUGCUACCUUAUUGAUUGACUGUUAUAUUAGAAUGCCAAAAGGAGAAGUUGAGAAGCUUGGAAAAUUAGUGGUUGCAAAUAUUUUUAUUUACGAAAAAGUCACAUUGUCUUUGUGGCUUAUGCUACUGGGUUUUAUAAUCUCUUGUAAUUAGGAUUUGACUUUUGUUUGAUGCCUUUUGACUUCUUUGCAAACACCAUGGUUGUUGAUUUCCAAUCCCUAGGGGAACCAAUAAUUCCACUUCUGUAGGAGUCAUUGAUGGGAUCUUAGGAUUAAUGUAAUUUGAAGAACUUGCAGGAAUCAGAAGCUAAUGUCUUCUAUAUGUUGGGCAGAUGACCAACAUUAUAGUGCCCCUUGGUAGGGGCUGUCUGUUCUAGAUUCAUUACCUUGGCCAGGUUUGGUAGUUUAGAAAACUGGAAAUAUUGUUUCUUGAUGUUAGCCAAGAGGAAACAUUAUAGUGGUAUCUUUAGCGGCCAAUUUUAUAUUUCUUGAUCUCCUGCUUACUGAUUUUUGAUGUUUCAUGAGUCCCUUCCCCAUGUUAUUGUUACGUUAAAUGUCCUGUCUCUUUUGCCUUGCAUUGAAAGAGAAAGGGAGACUAUUCCUAAUUACCUGGAUGGGAUAGGGUGUGGGUUGGGAUUAUACAUGUGUUUUGGUUUAGUUUCAGGGUGGGCAAGGUUUGAGUAGGAGUGGGGAGGAGAAAGAUUCAUUACCUUUUCAAAGAGAUGGGGAGAAAGAAAGACUCCACCCACAAUUUCAUGGACGUAUGGGGGUUUAGGGAGGAAUAAAGGAAGAGAAGGCUGGGAGAGGUGGAUGAGAGUGCUUACUAAGAGAAGUAUGGGCUAGAUUAUAGUCUUUCCUAAUUUUUCUGAGAUUUAAGUCUAGGUCGGUAUAGGGGACCCAAAGUUUCUCAUAAUCUGUUGUGAUACGAUAUAAUUUUUGGAAGUUCAGACUUGAUUCAGUUCUUAACAAAUUUUGCUCAGACUAGGGAUCAGUUAGUAGAUGUUCUCAUUUAAUGGAUUAUUAUGACAUUAGGUUGAGAAAGAGUGUGGAAAUUAGGUUGAGAGAGAGCAUUACCAAUCAUAUGUAACUAAGUAACAUUUGACCUAAUUGCGUAUCUUUUUUUUAGUAGGUAAUUUUUUUUUUUUUUUAUCCAUACUGCAAUUUGAACCUGGAAACUCCUGCAUCCCCCCACCUUAAAAAAAAAAAAAAAAAAGGAAAGAAAAACCCAUUGCCACUUUAGUUAGGCCUCAAGGAUUGCCCCUCACUCCCUGCAGUUACUUGCGUGAAAGACCCCUGGAAAGGAUAUUCGCACCUGAACACGAAAUGGCCACAUCUAGCUGAUGUGUGUGGCUACAGAAGCCCACAUGUUGGCUGUGGGUGAGGGAAGUUUCACUUAAGGGACUCCCCUCAUGUGUGAUCAACAUACGCUACUUUGGUGCUGCCUAAACUUGUACCUGGGUUUGACAGAUUUGUAUGAACUAGACGCACCUUGGCUAUAUUCUUAGGCAUCAAGUUGGGAUGAUUCAAGGGUCCUGGCGUGGGACCAAAAGCUUCUUGAUGUGGGCAUAAUUGCCAUUUGUAGCAUGUGUUGAGCAUGCUCUAGUCCAAUGAGAAUACAAGGGCACCUACAUAUAACAGAAAAAAAGGAGUUUGAAGGCACAAUAGGAAUCACACUGAUUCUCUUAGCACUCUUAUGAGAUUCUAACCUGUGGGGUCUGCUACUGAUUUCCCCCCUCCAAUUUUAUCCUGUCCCCUGUCAAGUUGAGAGAACUCGCCAUCAACUUGGUUAACCUCGUCUGCCUAAGAACCACCAUGCACAUUUUGGUGACUCUACUGUGAUCGAAUCAUGUGUCCUAGUUGGAAAUGUCACAUAAACAAUGAAACAGAAUGAUGUUCAAUGUCUUGCAAUCUUGUUUGCUCUAGUGUCUUUUUGCAAACCUAGGGCCAAAUCUGGGAUACUUUCCUAAGCUUACAACAAUUUUAAUAGGGUUGUUUGACAAGUACUCCCACACCUUCCAUGGUCCUAGUCCUACUGUGAAGUAGGCAGGUCUAACCCAUUCAGGCUCCCUUCUGGCACCUGCACCACUCAAAGGCUAUCUUGCCAUUCCAAGGUAGAGUCCAAUUCAAGAAGAGCUAGACAGAUCCACACGACCAUUUCCCCUGGAGCUUGGCCUUAUAUAACCGCUUUUGUUUUCUUCAAGAAGUAAUUAAGAUUGCACGGAGUACAUAUUUAUCUUUUUUAGCACACAGGAUAUAUUUCAUAAGGUACCAACUUCCUACAGGAGUUUCUCUGAGUUCCUUGCAGACCGUGCCUAUAUAUAUGUGUGUGUGUAUGUGUGGUACUUGACUCUUGACCCUAAUCCUAGGGUUGAUUGGGUCAUAGGAUGGCAUGCUUACACUCUUCCAUAAAAAAAAAGUUCAAUAUUAUGUGCUCGUCGACUUAUAUUACUCAAAGUUAAGGAAGCUGGAGUCAAUGUUGAAAACAUGUUACGCAUAUCUACCACUUGUGUGGAUGGUUGACUGCAUGUUGCAACUGAAUUCCCAAGGAUAUUGUACUAGGCCUCUGUGUAACUGAGAGGCUAUCUUGGCAAAGUUACACCUCGAAAAUUUCCCUAUAGCUUUGUUUGAUUUUAUGAGGCUAUUGUUGAUGACCCUUGCUACAUUAAGCCUGCAGGGGCAUAGGUCCGUUCUAGUAGCUGUCACGGAGGGACCUUGGAAAUCAUGUGAAGUAUAAACAUGCUUCAAGAGACUAGGGAGUAUAAGUUAUUGUCCCUUCCCCUAGUGAAUUGGAUGAACUAUGAAAUGGCUAAUAUACUAGAUCAGAGGGACCUGGUUGUGAGCAUGAUAUUGCCAGCUGUACCCCUAGGGUCAAUCACAGAAGAAAAGAUGCCCACAAGUACUAUUGCUUCCAUCAGAUGGUUAAACAUCCAACCAAGUGUUAUUGAUCAAUGUGAACUCUCCUGAAGGAAGACCAAGAAUGGCCUGUUGAACAUGAUGAAUAGAAGUGGAUCAAUAAGGACCCUAACCAUGGUAAAAUAUUUCAGUAAUUACUUUCUGGAUGGCUUCAGAGCUUAGGCAUUGUAAAGGGACAUUUAGUGGUGACUUGUCCAUAAUUUACAAAGAUUUCUCCGCUUGGGGGUGUUAGUUGGAAGCUGACCUGUUACCUUAACUUCAUACUGUUUAGAGCACUGGUUGUUGAGACCUCUAAGGCUAAUGGACACUUGCGCAUUGAUCCCGAUGCAUGGGUGAAAAUUGAACCAAAAUGGGUAGGAGUGAGAGUUAAAAUUCUUUGGCUGGCAACCUUAAAAAGUUUGAUGGUAGGGGGACAUUCGUCAAGAUUACUGUAGCAUCACUAUGGAUUCUUAUUUGUUGCAUUAAGGGCUUAAAAAGCAGGAUGUCCUUGUCCUGUAUGCUAGGUGAUGACAAACUAGAGGGGGAGGGGGAAUGUUUUGACAAGGAUCUACUGCUAGUAGGACCUUUGCUUAAUACAUCAAAGCGCCUUUGGUGCUCUAAGGUAUUGGUGGUGUUUUUUAUUUAUUUUUUAUACUUUUUGUUGAAAGCAAUUUACUUUUAAAUUUCAGAUGGUUUUUUUUUUUUACUUUUUUUUUUAAAAAAAAACUUAUUACUUGUUUCUUAAAUUUUUUAACUAAAUAGAAAAAACCAAAAUAUUUGGUUUUUCUAAAUGCUAGAAUUAGCUUGUUGUUUUUUCUCUACUUUUUAAUACUUAAUAGAAAUGAAAUAUUAAAAAAAAAACAAAAAACUUAAUGCUUAACUCUACUAAGCACUAUUUAGUUUUAAGUUCUAUUUAGAAUUAAGUUGAAAAAACAAACACUACCCAAGUCAAAGCUCCUUUGCUUUAUACAUUAAAGCUCUAGGAAAUGAUGUGGGAAGUUCAGAAAGAGGGAAUAAUUGUCUGUAGUCUCACACAAUUAUGCACCAAAGGUGCUGUUAGGCAUAUUGCUUGACUACUUGAUGAGGUAAAUUCCCUUGAUGAUGGUCUUGAAUUUAGGGACUUAUAGAAGAAUGGGCUUUAACUUAAUGAUUGCUGGAAGAUUGGAGACACAAAAGGUGACAAUCAUGUGUGUUUCUUCAAAAGCCCCUAUUUGGAGCAAAAGCCAGGACAUUAGUGCUUUCAGAGCAGUAGGACUAGGUGUUUUACUUAGAGGAAGAGUCCAAUUUGGACCACAAAGUGCACUUGGUCUCAUUUCAAUGUACUGAAAAAGCAUCAUAGUAGGCUGCCUUUUUCCCACUAUCAUCUGCCAAAGACAAGUUGCCACAGUAGAAUCUACUGGACAUAUUAUCAACAAUUAGCAACACUGGAACAAUGUGUGGGGUAAAUUGACGUUAUCACUGAACAAGGCAUCAGAUGGAAUCGGAACUUUUGGGGUAGUAUGGAAUCUCCCCAAACAAAAAGAUUUAUGAAAAUUUGAGAAUUUUCCUAAGUGAAACUAAAUUUGGUUACGUUGGUUGUACCAUGCACUGAGGAGCAGCUGGCCAAGGCACUCCAAUCAUUUUCAUGUGUUUAGCAAGGAGGCAAGACUCAGCCAUGUUUCCUCUAAUUGGAGAGGCCUUGAGGACCCUGAAGGAUAGCUGACAUGAAAGGGAAGCUUCCAGCCAAAACUCAUAGAAGUGCCCAAUUUCCCUAUUAUUAAAUUGGUUGCAAUGAAAUUUUUUUCCUCCUUUUACUUUCUUGAGUCAACCUAACAAGAUGCCCUAUCCAGUGGCAAUAAGAAACAUCUAGCAUUUGCUUAGCCUGUGAUCUUGGUGUCUUCCAAAUUUAUGGCACUCCUGGAUUGCUGAUAUAUUUACCAAGGUGCGUCUUCGAACAAAUAUUAUUAUUCUUCACUGAGUGAAAUUGUUUCAGACAUUUGGUAUUGGGCUGUGGACCUCAAUAUUUUUUUUCCCUGGCUUUGGUUGAUGGUUUUUUUCUCAAUUAUUAUUAUUUUUUGGUAAUUUGUGGACAUUUAUUGUUAUCCUGGAUUUCUAUGUUUUGUCCUAAUGCUGAUGUCCUAAAUUACUUGAAUCAUCCCGUUUAAAAAUAAACUUGAGCUACAUGUGUUGUAACAGAUUCCCGUUGUCAACCACAUCAUUCGGAACUCUCUUAAGCUAAGAGCUAGUGAUGCUGACACGGUUAGUUUUGAUCUAUUAAUCUUUUUCAAAUUCCUAAUAUUUUAUAUGUUUGUAAAUAUUCUAGAUUUUGAAGUUAAAUGCUAAGUAUAUCUUGAAACUGCUGUAUGUUAUCAAAUUAUUGGUUAAAAUAUCUGCUGCAUUGUAGGUUGUAAGCAUACACUGUGCAGUGGAGAAAUUCAUUUCCUUGAUUCCCUUCAUUGAAUCCACUGAAAGCAUUCAAAUUUCUGAAGCUGAAUGGGGAAUUGAAAUUCUUGAUCUUCCUGUUACUUCAAAAUUGCGAAUAUUGACAGGUACAAUCAUGAACUUAAAGGGCUAAGCUUGGUGUUAUAAAAAUUGCAUUAAAUAUGAAACAGUUUCUAGAUAAAAAAAAGGGCUUCUACUAGAGAAGCAACUUCUUCUUAAGGUUUCUUCUCUUUUUCUUUUUCCUUUUUAACUAAAGGCUCUUUUACUGCAAUUAUCCAAAUACAUCUAGAAACUUUUAUUGUACUUAAAAAAAGGUUUUGGCUUCCAAGAAGCCAUUCCAAACAGCACCUAAAUAUAAUGACUCAUGAAUAAAUCUUGCUUGUUGCAUCUGACUUGCUUGUUACAAUUCUAACUUAGAAGUCUCUUACAUGGCAUAAAAAGGGAUCACAAUAUGAUUUGGAACUCAAGUUGGUGUUCAACAAGUAUUUGAGCUGUCUGUCUCUGGAAUAGCAUCAAUAAUAAUGUUCUCACAUUUAGAUUUCAAUUAUUAAGAAUUUUGUGAUGAUAUUUGUUAGGCAACAUAAGUUUAUGAAGUUAAUAUACCAUGGAAUAGCAAGAGAAGUGCGAUUCAGACAUGACUUUGAUAGUUACAGUUGAAACUCAUAAUGCCAAGAUGUCUGCACUUGAGAUGGCUUCAAUAUUUUUAUUUCCUAAAAUAUUGAACAUGGACUUGGCUGGUACUUCUUUGAACAUAGCAGACUUUAGAAUGGGAAGUUUGAAACUUUUAUUUAUGCUCCAGUGUAAUUUGUACGAGAUGUUAAUAUUGUUAUUAUCUAGCAUGUAAGAUAGCUUUUCAAGAAGAUGCUUACUAGCAAUUUUUUUUGUUUCAAGUUUUUUUAUUAAGCCUUAAAGUCAUCUUAGUAACCAUUGGUGACAAAGCAAUCUUGUGAAAAUGGAAGGGUUUAUGUGGUCCUUGGUGAACCAAUUUAGAAAAUGAAUCUUUCUUUUCUAUAGCGUUUUACAUAGUAUUCCACCAUUGGACUUUUGUAGGUACCUUAUUCUACUACUACAUUCACAUUGUUGAAUAAUUUAAUGAAGAUUUAACUUGUGUAGUUAUCCUAUUGCUAACUAUUAAUUCUUAUCUAUCCAGGGUUGCUUCUGCGGGAAAUCAAAGGUUUUUGGCGAGUUGCCUUGAUGGUGUCCACAUUAUUAUACCCAAAUGAUAUUAAUCAUACUCGGGAUAUUUCGAAGAAUAACUUUCAGUUGGAUAAGAGAAGAAAGGUUUUUGAAAUGGUUGAGAAUGCCAUUGUCGGACUAGGUAUGAGUGGUUACCCUUCUUUUCUAUUUUCAAGUUCUCUGAUGACCAAGAAUUUUAUUAUUGUACCUUUUGAUUGCAUCAUGAUGACUCACAAGUUGAAUCCUGUCUGGGUAACAUGCCAUUUCUGUGGCUUGCUUGCUUGAUGAAGUCCUGUGGCCUGACAAACAUAGCAAUGCCUUCUUGUGAUUUUAGACUCCAGAGCUCCUCUUUCUAUCUUUGAUAUUCUUAAAGUGGAAAAGUGGUUAAUUGUUUAUUUCUCAUGCUUUUUAACCUAACCAUUUCCCACUCCUUUCUAACCACUUUAAUGAAGCCACUUUUGAACUUAAAGAUGUGUUUUUAAAACUUCCUUGGCUCAAUAUACAUGAAAUGUGAGAGAAAAAAGUUUGGUGAGUCACUCUGAAAGUUUUAAAGUGGUGUUUGGUAGCAUGCAAUAAGAUGACCUAGACCGAAGUUCAUGCGGGUUUUAUCUCGUGACAAUUUGUCAUAUAGUGGUUUUGGAUAGAACCAACGAUAUUGAAAAAUCUCAAACUCUCUGUGAAGAAUGAUAACUAUUUUUAUGAUAAUGCUGGUAUCAUCCCCAGAAAAGAGACUUAGAUAAGAGGAUAAUAAGUUCUGUUUUUUGACGUGCAGGUCUAGAGGAAGUUUGGGAACUGAAACCCUUGGUUAACGGGAAGGAUAUCAUGAAUGUUUUGCAGCUUAAAUCUGGAGGGCCACUCGUGAGGGAUUGGGUAAGGAACUCUUCUUCUGUACCCUACAGAAACGAUUCAUAACUAAAACUACUAACAUAUGUUUCUCUCAACAGCAACAAAAACUGAUUCAGUGGCAGCUUGCACAUCCCUCUGGGACUGCUGAGGAAUGCCUUGAUUGGAUGAGGCAAAAGCGGCCAAAGCGCGAGUAACUUGUCAACUGCUUUCACCUUUUUGUGGAACCCUAAUCUCAUCUGAGGCAAAGGACUGUUUCUGAAGUCUCUACCUUUUCUUGGAGGGUCUUGAAGCUAGGCUACGAAUUGAAACCCCAGCAGCAUGGCAUCCCUGCCAAAGUGGAUUGUACAUAUUCACAUUUUUGCAGCAGUAUAACUUAGUCGUCAUUUCAUUAGCCAUUUUGUUAGUGUGUCAUUUCUUAAUCAUAAUCAACUUUGUAGUAACAAUUUAUUUAUUGUAUAAUUUGGAAUUCCAAGUAUAUAUAUUAAAUGAAAGCUCCUUGACGAGAUUAAUUGUAGUUGAUACUCCCUGGUAGAGAUGACUUAAUUGUUUUACUUGUUCUAAGAGCCGCCUACUUCCAAACCUUUUCAUUUCCUAAAAGGCAAAAAAGAGAAGUCUUAUAUUUAAUUUAAACAAAAUUUGUUGAAAAUAUUUGUUUUUUAUCUUUGGGGUAAAAAUAUAUUUAUCUAUGACAUUAAUUUAAGGCCUAUUGGGUAACUGUUUUUAUUUUUAUUUUUUAUUUUUUUAUUUUUUUAUUUUUUUAUUUUUUUAUUUUUUUAUUUUUUUAUUUUUUAUUUUUAAUGUUUGAUGAUAAAAAGCUGUUAGAACAAAAAUUAAGAUGUUUUUAAAAAAUAUCUUUUAGGGUACAUUUGGUAAUUGUUUUUUAGAAUAAUUUUUUAUUUUUUAGAAUAAAAAAAUAAAAAAAUACGUUUGGUAAUUACAAAUUGUUUUUUUUUUUUUCGUGUUUUUGGAGAAUAUCUUUUAGUUGAUUUAUAUUGUUUUCAUUUUAUUUAUUUAUAUAUUUAUGGCUGUUUUAGAAAAUAAUUAUAUAAGCAUGUUGAAUGAUUAAAAAUGAAGUAUGACAUAAAAAUUAUUUUUAAAAUAUAUUUAAAAAUAGAUUAAAAACAUUUUAAGUUCCUAAUCAGAUUUUUGUUCUACAAAAUAUUAUAAAACAAUUUUUAAAAACUAUUCUCAUAAAAUAAUUACUAAAUAGAGCCACAAUUAUUUUUGUUUCUAUGAUUGUUUUAAAAAAUAAUUAUACAAACAUGUAGAUUGAUUAAAAAUAAAAUACUAUACAUAAAAAUCAAAUAUUAAAAUGAGAAAAUAAAUGCUAUGCUUAAUUAAGAAAAACACCCAAAAGGAGGGGUGAAUUGAGUUUUUUUAAAAAACUUUUCCAAUACAACAAUUUCAAGCACAAUAUAAACAAAAAUAAAGAGAUAGAGAAUUCAAACUCUGGUUUUAUAGUGGUUCGACACUUCCUUGCCUACGUCUACUCUCCUCCAUCUCCUAACCGAGUGAGGGUUCCACUAACUUGUAACUUCAACCAAGCUUCCAAUCUUCUUACACUUAGAUUCCGGCUUCAAUGGGCUCUUACACAAUCCUUUCAAGAUUCAAACCUCUUGAAGACUUUAACACUUAGUUUUUACAAGAAUGAAUUCCUCAACUUAGCUCAAAGACAAAACAAAGCUAGAAUGACUCACAAGGGUGCACUAAAGGAUAUGCAAGUGAUGAUUUAAUGCACUAAGAAAAAAAUGAGAGCUUUUAGGCCAAAAACAGGUAGGUAGACAAUUGAUUGCAAGUGGUCUCUAUCUCAUAAAUGAAGUGGAGCUCUCAAUUUAUAGGUUUCUAAGCUUGGGAGCCAAAAACAGCAAAAGGUAGCCUCGACCGGUUCACUAGCCAUUGGAGCAUUUAAUGCUUUCGCAGGUUACCGUUGCCUCGAUCGGACCUCAAUCGGGAAGGGGUGAACCUUAACCAGGAAGAGGAAGCUAUUGGAUGAGAGAGAGUGUUUUUGGCGCUCCUCGACCGGACCUCGACCGGACAAGGGCAACCGGUCGACCGGUUCCCCAACCGGUUGAGCCGGUUGGCCAGAGCCUUGACCGGUUCAGCCUUUUGGCCCCGAAAACCUAUAUUUUUCAAUUCAUUUCUUUUCUGACACUUAGGCAAGGUCUUUAGGUGAAUUAAUAUGCCAAUUUAAAAACGUUUUGCCUAAAGUACAUUUGAUAAAACUCGGGUUUUAAUGAAAUCGAAGUUUUAAAGGAUAAACCGAGUUUUCUAAGAUGCAUGAAACGGUAUGACAAUCCUAAGUGCACCCAUGCAUUCAUCUUACAUUCGUUUCCUAUGAUCAAAAGUCUUCCAAAAGUCUCGAUCUUGUAUCCAUUUGGUCCUUUGAUGAAUUUCCGAAUUUAUACUUGAGAUUCUUUACCAUUCAACUCAAUUAGUCACUUAACCAUGGUUUGUUAUCAUCAAAAACCGAUUAGGAGAACCCUUGGGCUAACAAUCUCCCCCUUUUUGAUGAUGACAAACCUUGGUUAUCUAAGAGAAAAAGAAAUCUCCCCCUCAAACCAAUCAUGGAUCAAUCAAUCCGAAAUUUAUGAAUUUAAAACCGAGAUAAUCAGGACAUGUGAAUUUUCAAUAGGAAACAAAAGUAAAUCAUGAAAAUAACAUAUCAUAUAUAGUAAAGUCAAAUGUACACGAAACAAAGCUAAUCCAAACAGAUGAUAUGAUAAUGACAUGCAUGUAUAGGUCUCCUAGGUCUUAAAUAUCUCUCUCCUUUUGGCAACAUAAAAAAGAAACGAAGGGGGGUCUCGAUGAAAUCAAGGCUGAGGAAGUGGAAACACGGAGCGGAGGUAAGCCAUCAUCUCCUCAUGCUGACUCUCUUGACGACUCUCAAUGCAUUCAAUACUCUACUGAAGAUGCUCAAAUGUAGUCUGCUGUUGAUCUAUACGCUCCUCUAUACACUCAAAUCUCUGCUGGAGAUGCUCAAACUGAGAAGUGAAGCUAGUUUGAUACUGAUCUAUGAAAUCCUCCAUAGAGUAGAAUCGAGUAUCACUGACUACUGCAAGCUCCUCCAUACGAGUGCCAAGUGAACUGAUCUAACCAGAUAAAUCCAUCCAAGGCGCAUGAUCAAGAGCGUGAGGUGCCUGAGAUGGUAUCUCUAUGUGAGGACGCUCGGUGAAUGAUGGCUGAGAGGAUGGUCCUACUGUGUAAGUCGACUCAGACAUCAUAGGCUCAGAGAAUGUGGCCUCAAACUGAAUACCCUCUGACUAGGGUGGAGGAGGAAUAUCAAGCUUAGGCCCUCUCUGCUCAAAGUCUCUCUGAGGGUCUAACCCACCCUCCAUCUCUCGGACCUCGGCCUCCUCCUCUACUCCAGGAUGCAUCUAUCCCUGUCCUCGGGCCUGUGCUGGUGGUCGCUCAACUCUCCUGAUCCAGGAGCCAUCAGGGGCCUUUUCAAACUUCAUCCUCCCCAAGGACUGCUCAUCAUAAGUGUCAUAAAUGGUAGGGGCCUCAAAGUCUGUCUCUCUGCUCAAAUCAACCCCGACAUCCUUAAAUACUUUAGUAAGGAAGUGGCCAUAAGGGAGUACUCGGGUCGUGCUCUCACAACAUGCUAUCAUGUGCAUCAUCAUCAGAUACCCCACGUGAAUCUGUCUCCCCGUCAGAAUUGAGUCUAUGAGAAAUGCCUCAAGAUACGAGACCUCAUCUCGGUGUCCUCCUCGUGGCAAUAGGAUGGAGCAGAUCAUGUGAUGAAGGACUCGGCUGCUCACGGUCAGACUAUGUGCCGAUGGUUUGCCCAUCCCUUGGGCGUCUGCAAGGUCGCGCAUCCUUUGAAUAACCUCUCUAGGCUCGAAUCCCAACACAGUAGGCCACGCCUUGGAUUCAUACACCCGGAGUCCAACUGAAGAGAUAUCGAAAAUGUGGAAAAUGCUCUCUAGGCUCAGUCUGAUCUCAACACCUCUAACGGUGGAAGUGAUUGGUCACUUGAUUACUACUCAAAAAGUGUUAUUUUGUAGUUUGUAAUUAACUCUUUUAAACACUUUUGAGUAGUAGUUAUUACCUUUUAACUCAAUUGGCAUGUUAAGGACCUUUGCAAUCGUUUCUAAUCAAAUUGUGUUAAGUUUUGGUGUUUUUGAUAGCUUUUUGAUCACCAAAACAAUCCAAGAUUGAGGAGAGUUCUAUAGAAUCCAUGGCAAAGAAAUUGGAAGCUCAUUUACAUGAAGAACCCAAGCUUUGAAGCUUUAUAGUCCUUUGCCAAAAGCAAAUCAUGAAUGCAAGGAGGGAAAACAAAGAGAGAAAUCUAACAUGAAGAAUUCAAGAAAGAUAGCAACUAUUGGACACAUUUCAAGCACUUCCUGGAGUCCAUUUCAUGCAUACUAUAUGUCGUUUCGAAGCUCGAGAAGUCAGGAAUCCAACACUUCAAAUGGUAUGCGAAUUGGAGCUGAAAUAAAGAAGUUAUAGCCAUUGGAAGCCAAUCACACCAAGCUGAAAGCUGAUUUCGCAGUUGCGAAAUCACAAGGUGCUAAUUGUGAAAUCAGCCUUUGGCUGCGAAAUGGAGACUUUCAGCUUGCGAAAUUUCGCAACCCAUCUUGCAAGCAUGCAAAAUCCACCUGAGUGCUUCUAGAUAUUUGUGACUGACUCUUUUAGAUUUUUUUUUCUUCAGAUAUUUGUUGUUUAAAUCCCCAUUUUCUCCUUGUAAUCCACCAAUCAUACGAUUCCUUAGUUAAUAAGUAAGAACAAAGGGUGAAUAACCUCAUAUAUAUAGUUUGUAAUUUUCUUUACAGAGACAUCUCGGGAGCUUGUUCUCGGAGACCAACUUUUUGUAUAGUUUUGAAGGAAGUAAUACACAGAGCUUUGCUCUGCCUUACCUACUCAUUUUGAUUGUAUUUUUCUUACUAGCCAAACAAGCUCUGAGGAUGUUUUCUCAGAGAAUGAGUGGCUAGACUUUUUAUCUCUUGGAGUUAAGAAAGCUGGGUAAGGUGCCGAGUGUAAGAAUUGGAAGUUUUGUUAUUCCAGAUUUUAAUGAAGAGAAGGUGUGACCCGUUAAUGGUUUCUAUGUUUUUAGUUAACUUAAAACGCCUUUAAAUCACUUGGGCCAACACUUGGUAAGGCAAGUGAUCUCCGUCCAUAGAGAUGCACUAGUUUAUCUCUUGCGAGCCUUUGGGAGGUGGUUCAAAGGUAGGAUUUUCUAGAAUAGCCAACACUUGGUAAGCUUUUGGACUCUAAGGAGACAUCCAUUAGUUAUCUCUUGUGAGCUUGUGAAGGGAAAUCCAAGGUUAAGGAUCACUUUGAAUGGUAAAUGCUAGGUGAGAGGCACGAGCCAUUGCAAGAUGAAUCAAUGAGAGAGAUUUAGUGUUUGAAUCCAUAAAAGGAAAGCAUCUGUACCACAUCGGUUCGAGAAAUAACUAUAUGUUAAUUCUCCAAUGCGAGGAAAAGAUUCAAGUGACCGGAACUCUGGUUUUGUAUUAGGAGCCUGAUCCCAAUGAUCCAAAAACUCCAAGAAACACUUUUCUUUAUAAGUAAUUUUUGUUACUUUAUUUUUGGUUAGCUUAAAACCAAUCCUUUUUAAACCAAAGUUUAUGUUUUCUUUUAAAGCUAACCUUGAAAUGAAAAAACACCAAUUUAACUUUGAAUUAUUAUCAGUUGUAAGUUGAAAACCCUUCCUAGUGAACGAUCCUAGAGCCACUAUGCUAUGCUAGCUGAGGCUAUCCUAGAACAUGGUGAUAUAGGUUAUAAAUUUUGUUGAUUACUCCCGUCUGAGGACCGAAAUCAAGGUACACCAAUUGAUUGAGCACCAAUCAACAGGACAUACACCAGCUGGGCACGAAAUCAAAUGGUGCCAUUGCCGGGGAAGGUGCCAACUUUACAAUGAUAUUGUCUUUUUAGAGUACUUGUGAUCUUCAUCACAAGUUUGGUGAUUUUUCUUUCAUUUUACUAACUCCUUUAAUUGUUUCUUCUACUUGUUCGUGUUUUAACAUAUCUUUUAAUUUAGUCUUAGUUAAUCUUAGUCUUUUUGUAGUCUUGUUUUCUUUUGUUUUUUUUUUUUUUUUGUUAUAGUUGAUACUAGUUGUGUAUGCCAAAUUGGAUACGAGACAGUGGAGGAAAGUUUGUGAAACUAGAAACACCUCAUAACAGGGAAUUGGAAUUGAGCUUUAAUAUCAUGGAAGCUACACCUGAAGAUCAGCAUAGUCACCAUGGUUACCAGGACAAUCCCAAUGCAUUCAGAUCAAUGAGGGACCGUAUGCAUCCACCUCGUAUGAGUGCACCAUCAUGUAUAGUGCCCCCUACAGAGCAGCUAGUAAUUAGACCGCAUAUUGUUCCACUUAUACCUACUUUCCAUGGGAUGGAAAGUGAGAAUCCCUAUGCACAUAUCAAGGAAUUUGAAGAUGUUUGUAAUACAUUCCAAGAGGGAGGAGCUUCAAUCGACUUGAUGAGGCUUAAGCUAUUUCCUUUUACUUUGAAGGAUAAAGCCAAAAUUUGGCUUAAUUCUUUAAGGCCAAGGAAUAUCCGAACUUGGACUGAUUUGUAAGUUAAAUUCCUCAAGAAAUUUUUCCCUACUCACAGAACAAAUGGCUUGAAAAGGCAAAUUUCAAACUUCUCAGCUAAAGAAAAUGAGAAAUUCUAUGAGUGUUGGGAAAGAUACAUGGAAGCCAUUAAUGCUUGCCCUCACCAUGGUUUUGAUACAUGGCUAUUGGUGAGUUACUUUUAUGAUGGGAUGUCUUCCUCAAUGAAACAACUCCUCGAGACAAUGUGUGGAGGAGAUUUCAUGAGUAAGAAUCUGGAGGAAGCCAUGGAUUUCUUAAGUUAUGUGGCUGAAGUUUCAAGGGGAUGGGAUGAACCGAACAAAGAAGAAGUGGGGAAGACGAAGUCUCAAUCAAAUGCCUUCAAUGCUAAGGCUGGGAUGUACACCUUGAAUGAAGAUAUUGAUAUGAAAGCAAAUGUUGCAGCUAUGACAAGAAGAUCGGAGAAGCUAGAACUGAAAAAGAUGCAUGAAGUGCAAGUUGUUGUUGAAACACCAGUGCAAGUCAAGCCAUGUCCUAUUUGUCAAUCUUAUGAACACUUGGUGGAGGAGUGCCCUACAAUUCCAGCUGCUAGAGAAAUGUUUGGAGAACAAGAAAAUGUCAUUGGACAAUUCAAGCCCAACAACAAUGCUUCGCAUGGAAAUACUUACAACUCAAAUUGGAGGAACCAUCCAAAUUUCUCCUGGAAUCUAAGAGCACCUCAGUAUACACAACCAGCUCAACCAUCUCAACAAGCUUCAAAUCUUGAACAAGCAAUAGUGAAUCUAAGCAAGGUUGUGGGAGAUUUUUUUGGAGAUAAAAAAUCCAUCAAUGCUCAACUCAGUCAAAGAAUUGACAGUGUAGAGAAUACAUUGAUUAAAGGAUGGAUGGGAUGCAAAAUGACUUAUCUCAGAAGAUAGAUAAUCUCCAAUACUCAAUCUCAAGGCUCACUAACCUGAACACAGUGCAAGAGAAGGGUAGAUUUCCUUCUCAACCUCACCAAAACCCUAAGGGUAUCCAUGAAGUGGAAACUCAAGAAGGAAAGUCUUCACAGGUGAGAGAUGUUAAAGCCUUGAUCACUCUAAGGAGUGGUAAAAAGGUUGAGCUGCCAACAUCCAAGCCAUAAGUUGAGAAAGAAGAGGAAGAAGAAGAAGAGACAGAGAAGAGGGAGGAAAUCAAAGGAAAAAAGAAAGAUACCAGUGAAGGGAAAGAAGACUAUGAUUCAACAGUGGAUGCAAAUCCGGAGAAAGUACUUAUCAAGGGAGAUGUGAUGAAGAAACAUACACCUCCACUUUUUUCUCAAGCUUUGCAUGGGAAAAAGGGAAUCAGAAAUGCAUCAGAAAUUCUUGAAGUAUUAAGACAGGUGAAGGUCAACAUCCCAUUGCCAGAUAUGAUUAAACAAGUUCCAACUUAUGCAAAAUUCCUAAAGGACUUAUGUACUAUCAAAAGAGGGUUGAAUGUAAAUAAGAAAACCUUCUUGACUGAGCAAGUAAGUGCUAUCAUACAAUGCAAGUCUCCUUUGAAGUAUAAAGAUCCAGGUUGUCCUACCAUUUCAGUUAUGAUUGGAGGAACUGUAGUGAAAAAAGCUUUGUUAGACUUGGGAACAAGUGUGAAUUUGCUGCCAUACUCUGUCUACAAGCAAUUGGGACUUAGUGAAUUGAAGCCAACAUCAAUCACGUUAUCUCUAGCAGAUAGAUCAAUGAAAAUUCCAAGGGGAAUAAUUGAAGAUGUCUUAGUUCAAGUUGAUAAUUUCUACUAUCCAGUAGACUUUGUUGUUCUUGACACAGACCCAAUUGUCAAGGAAACUAAUUAUGUUCCUAUUAUCCUUGGAAGGUCAUUCCUUGCUACAUCAAAUGCAAUCAUAAAUUGUAGGAAUGGACUCAUGCAACUCAUGUUUGGCAAUAUGAACUUAGAGCUCAAUAUCUUCUAUAUGUCCAAAAAGUCAAUCACUCCGGAAGAAGAAGAAGGUCUAGAAGAGGUGUGCAUCAUUGACACUCUAGUGGAGGAGCAUUGUAAUCAGAAAAUGCAAGAUGAGUUGAAUGAAAGUCUUGGGGAUCUUGAAGAAGGGUUGCCUGAACCCUCAAAUGUGCUUGCUACUCUACAAGGUUGGAGAAGGAGAGAAGAAAUUCUACCUUUGUUCAAUAAAGAGGAGGCACAAGAAGCUGCUAAAGAGGAGACCCCAAAGCUCAAUCUGAAGCCUCUGCCCACGGAGUUGAAAUAUACAUACCUAGAAGAGAAUAAACAAUGCCCUGUUGUUAUAUCUUCAUCUCUUACUACUCUUCAAGAGGUGUGUCUACUUGAAGUUCUCAAGAGGUGUAAGAAAGCAAUAGGAUGGCAAAUAUCUGACUUGAAAGGCAUCAGUCCUUUGGUUCGUACACAUCAUAUAUACAUAGAAGAAGAAGCUAAACUAAUUCGUCAACCUCAAAGAAGAUUGAAUCCUCAUAUGCAAGAGGUGGUGCGAGAUGAGGUCCUGAAGCUACUUUAAGCAGGUAUUAUCUACCCCAUAUCUAAUAACCCAUGGGUGAGUCCUACUCAAGUGGUACCAAAGAAGUCAGGGAUCACGGUGGUCCAAAAUGAAAAGGGAGAAGAAGUUGCUACACGCCUCACUUCAGGUUGGAGGGUGUGUAUUGAUUAUAAAAAAUUGAAUGCUGUGACAAGGAAGGAUCAUUUUCCAUUGCCAUUUAUUGAUCAAGUGUUGGAGAGAGUCUCAGGCCAUCCUUUCUAUUGUUUCUUGGACGGCUACUCUGGGUAUUUUCAAAUAGAAAUCGAUGUUGAAGAUCAAGAGAAGACCACUUUCACAUGUCCAUUUGGAACAUAUGCCUACAGAAGAAUGCCUUUUGGUUUAUGUAAUGCACCUGCAACAUUCCAAUGAUGUAUGCUAAGUAUCUUCAGUGAUACGGUGGAGUGAAUUAUAGAGGUUUUCAUGGAUGACAUCACCAUAUAUGGAAGUACAUUUGAAGAAUGCUUAGUCAACUUGGAAGCGGUUCUAAACGAUGCAUUGAAAAGGAUUUGGUGCUCAAUUGGGAGAAAUGCCAUUUUAUGGUACAACAAGGAAUUGUCCUUGGCCAUAUCAUCUUCGAGAAAGGCAUUGAAGUUGAUAACUGUCAAAUUGUCAUCCCUAACAACUGUAAAAGGAGUAAGACAAUUCCUUGGCCAUGCAGGGUUCUAUAGGAGGUUUAUAAAAGAUUUCUCUAAGCUUUCAAAGCCUCUUUGUAAAUUAUUGGCUAAGGAUGCUAAGUUUGUAUCGGAUGAAAGAUGUCAAAGGAGUUUUGAUCAACUGAAGCAAUUCUUGACAACUGCUCCAAUAGUGAGGGCUCCUAACUGGCAACUACCCUUUGAAGUGAUGUAUGAUGCCAGUGAUUUUGCUAUAGGAGCUGUUCUUGGCCAAAGAGAAGAUGGAAAGCCCUAUGUGAUCUACUAUGCAAGCAAGACAUUGAACGAAACUCAAAAGAUCUACACAACCACAGAGAAAGAAUUGUUAGCUGUAGUGUUUGCCUUAGACAAGUUUCGUGCUUAUCUAGUAGGGUCUUUCAUCAUUGUUUUCACAGACCAUUUAGCCUUGAAGUAUUUAUUGACAAAGCAAGAUGCAAAAGCAAGGUUGAUUAGAUGGAUUCUCUUACUACAAGAGUUCAAUCUCCAAAUCAGAGAUAAGAAAGGAGUGGAGAAUGUGGUAGCUGACCACCUUUAAAGGUUGGCUAUAGCACACAAUUCCCAUGUUUUACCUAUUAAUGAUGACUUUCCAGAGGAAUCACUCAUGUUGCUAGAAAACACUCCUUGGUAUGCUCAUAUUGCUAACUAUCUAGCUACUGGUGAAGUUCCAAGUGAAUGGAAAGCACAAGAUAGGAAACACUUCUUUGCAAAGAUUCAUGCCUAUUAUUGGGAAGAACCUUUCCUUUUCAAGUAUUGUGCAGAUCAAAUAAUAAGGAAGUGUGUCCCUGAAGAAGAGCAACAAGGAAUCCUCAGUCAUUGCCAUGAGAGUGCAUGCGGAGGCCACUUUGUCUCUCAGAAAACAGUCAUGAAGGUGUUGCAAUCAGGUUUUAGUUGGCCAUCACUCUUCAAAGAUGCCCACACCAUGUGUAGGAGCUGUGAUAGAUGCCAAAGGCUCGGGAAGCUUACAUGAAGAAAUCAAAUGCCUAUGAACCCCAUCCUAAUAGUUGAUCUCUUUGAUGUUUGGGGCAUUGAAUUCAUGGGACCUUUCCCAAUGUCUUUUGGUAACUCUUACAUUUUGGUGGGGAUAGACUAUGUUUCGAAAUGGGUUGAGGCAAUCCCCUGUAAACACAAUGAUCACAAAGUGGUUCUCAAGUUUCUCAAAGAGAACAUCUUCUCAAGAUUUGGGGUGCCCAAGGCCAUAAUCAGUGAUGGGGGUACUCAUUUUUGCAACAAACCUUUUGAAACCCUAUUAGCCAAGUAUGGGGUGAAGCAUAAGGUAGCUACACCUUAUCACCCUUAGACCUUUGGGCAAGUUGAGCUAGCAAAUAGGGAAAUUAAGAAUAUAUUGAUGAAAGUGGUGAACACGAGCAGAAGAGAUUGGUCUAUUAAGCUCCAUGGUUCACUAUGGGCAUAUAGAACAACUUACAAGACUAUUCUUGGCAUGUCUCCUUAUCGCCUAGUUUAUGGCAAAGCAUGCCAUCUCCCUAUGGAAGUUGAAUAUAAGGCUUGGUGGGCAAUCAAGAAGGUAAACAUGGACUUGAUCAGAGCUGGGGCAAAGAGGUGCUUAGACCUUAAUGAGAUGGAGGAAUUAAGAAAUGAUGCCUACAUCAAUUCCAAAGUUGCAAAACAGAGGAUGAAGAGGUGGCAUGAUCAGUUAAUCUCCAACAAAGAAUUCCGGAAAGGACAAAGAGUCUUACUCUAUGACUCAAGGCUCCAUAUCUUUCCUAGGAAGCUGAAGUCAAGGUGGAUAGGCCCUUUCAUUAUUCACCAAGUGCAUCUCAAUGGAGUGGUGGAAUUACUAAAUUCCAACAGCACAUACACUUUUAAAGUCAAUGGCCAUCAUCUCAAACCAUUCAUCGAGCCAUUCAAUCAAGAUAAGGAGGAAGUCAACCUCCUUGAGCCACAUAAAUCCUAAUCAAAAAGGGGUUAGAUGGACUUGGUCUUCCCAAAGUCCAUAUUUUUGUUUAAUUUUGUCAAUUUAUGAGCUUUAUUAAUUGUUUUGAUUUUAAUCUUAGUCUUAAUUUAUGUUAUUUUGAUGUAACUUAGACUUUUUGAAUGAUCAAAUUUAGGAGGAAUUGCAAAAGAGGAGAAGGAAGGUCUUAGGGAAUCAAAGGAGCUCAAAAGCAUACAAAUUCAUUGGCUUGCGAAAUUUCAGCAACCAAAAUAGCCCCGCUACGAAAAAGGCCUUCCUCUGUGAAAUCAUUUCAUAGCCAAGACCCUUUCCGAAAUCGAGGUCUUGCUGCGAAAAAGGCCUUCCUUUGCGAAAUCAUUUCGCAGCCUAAGCCCCACCCCCUGCCAAAAUUUUUGCAGCUACGAAAUACCCCUUUGGCACACGAGUGCCAUUUCGCAACCCAAACCAUCAUUUCGCAGCUGCGAAAUCCUCCAAAGAUUCAUUUCGCAGCCCAAACACCCUUUGCGAAACCAUUUCACAGCUGCGAAACGCCCUUUUGGCACACGAGUGCGAAAUGGGCUGCGAAAUGCCAUGCGAAAAUGCCCUUUGGCUACGAAAAUGCCCCUUGGUUGCAAAAUGAGCCUUUGCCUGGGAAAAGCUCAACCGUCACUUAAAUUCCAAUUUAAACCUUUAAAUUGCUAUUUUCCAUUUCGCAUCGAUCAUUUGCCCUGCGAAAACCUCCCUUUGGUGCGAAAAAGGAGCCAAGCCAGAGCACCAUUUCCAGAGGACCUCCGUCUGAAGAAAAGUCCCACGCGCACCUCCGACCACCCUCACUCAACAUUCUUUAAGUCGGCCAUGGCCAAAACCUGAGGAGCCAAGACCCCAUCUCCCUUAAGCCGCCACAGAGCACCGAGAGUGGUUCUUGUGCAAGACUCCAUGACUGAGCCUUCACAGCCACUUGCCGUCCCACCUUCAGUAGAGGGUGCGCCCCCGAGUCCUCCUCUGAGACGAUAUGAGACAAGGAGACCACCCACUACACCAGGGGCAAGCUCCUCUCGUGCCAAGAAGUCAGUUAGCCACCCUCCUGAGAAGAAAGCAAGGAUACCAGCUUUAGUUGAGUCAUCAGAGCCUUCAUCUGAGCCUCAGCCGCCUACUACAGAGUCUCAGAUUCCUUUUGGGAUGACUUCUGAGGUGAUUAUCAGGCGGCCCAUGAUCACUCAGCCACCCAUAGAAGGCAAUUUGGAUUGCUGAGCUAGGCCAUUCCACUCCGAGCUUUGCUUUGACAGAGAGACCUUCAGGCUUCAGUCAGAGCUCAGAGAUUCAUUCCAUUUUCUACAAAGGUACCAUUUGGAGCACCUGAUGACUCCCAGGGAUUUCUUCUAUCCCUAUGUAGAAUUAGACUUUUAUCAGUCUAUGACUACACAUCGUGUCCGGGAUCCUACUGUCAUCCACUUCACCAUUGACGGACGCCAUGGUAUCUUGAGAGCCAGACACAUAGCAGAGGCCCUGCGUAUUCCCUAUGAGCCAGCACGUCCAGAGGAUUAUAGAGUGUGGGCUCAUCCUUCUCAGAGUGACAUGGUUCAUAUACUAUCCAGGGGGACAUCCACACACCCAUAUCUAUUGAGAAAGGAGCUCUCACCCAGCAUGUUCUUUAUCGAUGCACUUCUGCACCACAAUAUCUAUCCACUUCAGCAUAUGGUGCAGAGGAGAGGAGCUUUGCUAGAGGCUUUGUUCCGGAUAUCAGAGGUAUUUUUCUUUGGCCCUUAUCAUCUCAUCAUGGCCGCUCGUCUUUACUUUGAAGAGAAGGUCCACAGGAAGAAGCUGCUGAGAGCAGAUGCCAUUCCACUUCUAUUCCCGAGGUUGCUCUGUCAGAUAUUAGAGCACUUGGGAUAUCCAUUUGAGCCUCAGCUUGAGCGCAGACGCAUUUGCCGAGAGAUAUUCACUCUCGACAAAUGGACGAGUAUGACAACCUAUGAUGCAGAGCUAAGAGCCCCAGCUGAACUAGAGCAUCCAUAGAGACCACAGCCAGAGCAUCCAGAGGAGCCACAACCGGUUGAGUUACCUGCGGACAUGAGAGCACCUGCCCCUGUAGUGCCCUCUACAGGACCUAUGCCUGAGGUUGCACCUUCUGCUCUUCCUGCCACACCAGGGACUCUGCCAGUAGUACCAGCUGCAUUUGAGCCUCAUCCAUCUGAGUCUAGUAUCGCCAUAUCCAUUUCAGAGUUCAGAGGCCUAUGUCAUACUUUGCAGACAUUGGCCGCUACUCAGAGCAUCUUGACCCAGUAGAUGGCGGCCAUACGUGCACAUCAGGAUUAGCUUAUCGCCACCCAGACCCAGCAUACUGCCAUCCUUAAGCAGAUACAGCAGCAUUUGGGUAUUCUAUCGCCCCUUGAGCAUGAUAUAAUUAUCCCAUCAGAGCCUAUUGAUCCAUCCCAGGGCCCUCCUCUAGCAGAGUAGACUAUGCCCCCUGAGGAGAUGACUACAGGAGAGAUAGAGGCAUCCAUCCCGAGCAUUUAGACUUCUACAGCCGAGCCAUCAUCUCCACAUGAUCCUCCCACCACCAUCUGAUCAUUUACCUAGUUUAUUUUCUGUAUUUCUUUACUUUAGUAGAACUCAUAAUCCCAUGUUUUUGAUGUUUUAUAUAUUGGGAUUGGAUGUAUUACUUGUUUUUGCUCCAUAGUGUACUUUCUUAAAGUAAUACAUAUCUAUCAUUUUUUGAGUAUACUUGGCAUAAUCUUAUUUUAUUUCCUCUACUCAUAUCUUUUGUUAUUUUUUUUGAAAUAUGUGGUUUUUCCUAUUCUACUCAAACUUCAUGUCACUCAAAAGGUACCAAUUCCUCCCUGUAAUUUCAAUCGCUCUUGCCACAUUGAGGACAAUGUUCAUCUUGGUUGGGGGGAAGAGAAUUGAGGAAGGAAGUUUUUAUUUUAAAUGCUAAGUUAUUUUGGUAAUUUAGUUGCUUUUUGCUUAAUUUUAAUUUUUUUUUAAAGUUUUUAUUCUACUAUCCAUGGUUAUUAAGGAAAAAUUCUCAAAAUGAAAUGGGAGAAAUUGAAUUUGUCUUUUUACUUGACUUAGAAUUUGUAUUAUGCUUAUUAAAGUUGAUGAAUUGUUGAAACUUUUAUUGAAUUCAACCUUAUGUCUUCCACUUUAAGCUAUUCACACACUGUGCACAAUAGGUUCCGAUUAUAAGAUAAAAAGCUAUCACCCUCUUGACUUAGGAAAAUUAAGACUUGGUACCUUUGACCUCAUUUAAUAGUGUUGGGACACCUUAUAAAAGGCCAAUGAGCCUUUGAAAAAAAAGAAAGAAAGAAAAAUGUUUGCUUGCCUUGAAACCCGAGCAAGGUCUGAGGGGUAUAUGGUGAAAAUCUUUAAAACCUGGUGCCCUAAGCCUUAAUUGGUUGGGAGUCACCGACCUCAAUGCUCGUUACAAGGGUGAAUAGGUGGAGUUUAACAUACUAUAGGUGCUUGGGUAUUAAAAUUCAUCCUCAAAAGUUUGGGGUGAAAUCCGAGGAGUUAGUGGUUGAAAGAUCCUUAAAGCUUGAUGCCCUAAACCUUGAUUGGUUGGGAGUCAUCGAUGGAUCCCCGUUACAUGGACAAUUUAGAAAAGGAUACCUUUAAGCCUUGUACUCCUACAAUGAAAAAAAUUGUGAAACAAAAGGGUGCGUUCUUAGCUUAUUAAAUUUUGUCAGUUUGCUAAGUGUUGACCAAGAACUAGGUUGGGGGGAGAGAUUAGUUCAACAUACUAUAUUCGGAAACUAUCAAGUAACACUUAGAUUUUUGUGGAAGAGUAAGGUUUGACCCUUUGGAAGUGGAAACUAUUUUAAAGCUUCAAUUUGCAUAAUGCCUUCUCUUAAUGAAUUGUGAUUAGGCAAGGUAUUUGAUAACUCUUGUUGAAAUUUGAGUUUUAUAUCUUUAGUGUUCCAUGUGAGAGUUAGAUCAUCAUGCCACUUAAAAUUUUUUGAAGUGAUUAGCAUGAUUUUGUAAAUUAUUGAUUCGCAUGUAACUCCAAAUGGGUCAUUUAAUCAAAAACAUUUAUAAAACCUAUGACCUCAUACUAGUGUAGCAAAGCUACUAUAGUAUAGUGGUUCUAGGGUCGAACUCUGGGAUGGGUUUUCAUUCUACCAGUGAUAUACUCAUGAUUAUGAAUUGAAUUUAAUGAUUUCCUUUAAUAAAAAAAAAACUUAGAGUUUAAAAGAAAAUAAAAUUUGUUUUGAAAGUGUUUGAAACUAAAUUAACAUAAACUAAUUAAAAAUGGAAGAAGGAAAGUCUCCCGGAGCUCAGGAUUGCUAGAAUCAAGUUUAGAGUGCAAAGUGGAAAAUUCUGGAUUUUUCUCCUCGCAUUGGGGAUUUAACCUAUAGUUAUUUCCCGAACCGGUAUAGGUUUAACAAUGAAGAUUUAAUCCAUAAUAAUCAAUAUAAAUGGUAGUCAAAGUCCAUUAAUGGCUUUAGACACUAUAGGUCUUCACCUUGAACCGCUUUCCAAUGACUCGUACAUGAUAACUAAUGGACUAAUAUGGAUCUAGCAAUAAGCAUCCAUAAAGACCUGAAGCUUACCAUGUAUUGGUCAGUCAAAGUGAUUCUAAGGGAUUUAAAGCAAAACUUUGGAUUUAAAAGCCAUUUAUGAAUUCCAACUACCUGAAUUUAAUGCACGAGCGUUUUCCACCUUGCAUCUGGACUUUUCACCUAGCUUCCAUCACUCCAAGAAACCAAAAGUUUAGCCUCUCAUCCUCUGAGAAAACAUCCUCAGAGGUUGUUUGGCUUCCAAGAAAAAGAAAAUAGUAGAGAGAAAAUGGAAAAUGAGAGAGCUCUGUAAAAAUUUUAAGUGUCAAACGUAAUAUGUAUAUUUCAUAUCCAAGAGGUAAUUUCCACCCCUUAUAUAGUCUUUACAAAAGCAAAAGCUUGUGAUUGGUUAGUUACAAGGAUAAGAAAGGAAAUUACAUCAAAAAAUACAUAGGAAAAUAUCUAAAGUGGAGUCGGCAAAAACAGAGCAAAAUUUGCACCACGCAAGGGGUGUGCGAAAUUUUCGCACACCUGAAGAAGGUGUGCGAAUUUCGCACACCAUUCGCACAGCUAAGGGGGUGUGCGAAAUUUUCGCAGACCCGACUUAGGUGUCUUCCCUAAGUAAUAUCUGCUGCCUUUNNNNNNNNNNNNNNNNNNNNNNNNNNNNNNNNNNNNNNNNNNNNNNNNNNNNNNNNNNNNNNNNNNNNNNNNNNNNNNNNNNNNNNNNNNNNNNNNNNNNACAGAGCAAAAUUUGCACCACGCAAGGGGGGUGCGAAAUUUUCGCACACCUGAAGAAGGUGUGGGAAUUUCGCACACCAUUCGCACAGCUAAGGGGGUGUGCGAAAUUUUCGCACACCUGGAGCAGUUGUCUUCCGAAAGCCAUAUCUUCCUCCUUUCAGCUCCAAAUCAUACACGGUUUGAAGCGUUGGAUUCUUGACUUCCUGAGAUUUGAAAUGGUAUAUAGCAUGUAGAAAAUGGACUUCGGGAAGUGCUCCAAAAGUGCCAACGAAGACUGCAGCUGCUGUCCUCUGUUUUCCUCCUUGCUUCUCUUUGCUUUUCUCCUUUGAUUGGCUUGUCUUAAUGAUCCAAAAAGAUGUCAAAACACUAAAACUAGCCACAAAUAUGAUUAGAAGACAUUGCUAGGUCCUUAACAUGCCAAUUGGACUAAAGAUGGAGAACUACUACACAAAAGUGCUUAAAACAUAAUGCAUUAAAGGUGUAAAAUAGCACUUUUUGGGUAGUAAUCAAUUAUAUUACUGUUUAUUUUUCUUUUUCUCUCCUUCAUUGCUAAGGGACUAGCAAUAUGUUGGUUGGGGGGAGUGAUUACUACUCAAAAAGUGUUAUUUUGUAGCUUGUAAUGAACUCUUUUAAACACUUUUGAGUAGUAGUUGUUACCUUUUAACUCAAUUGGCAUGUUAAGGACCUUUGAAAUCGUUUCAAGGGUAGAAUUUUCUAGAAUAGCCAACACUUGGUAAGCUUUUGGACUCUUAGGAGACAUCCAUUAGUUAUCUCUUGCGAGCUUGUGAAGGGAAAUCCAAGGUUAAGGAUCACCUUGAAUGGUAAAUGCUAGGUGAGAGGCACGAGCCAUUGCAAGAUGAAUCAGUGAGAGGGAUUUAGUGUUUGAAUCCAUAAAAGGGAAGCAUCUGUACCACAUCGGUUCGAGAAAUAACUAUAUGUUAAUUCUCCAAUGCGAGGAAAAGAUUCAAGUGACCGGAACUUUGGUUUUGUAUUAGGAGCCUGAUCCCAGUAAUCCAAAAACUCCAAGAAACACUUUUCUUUAUAAGUAAUUUCUGUUACUUUAUUUUUGGUUAGCUUAAAACCAAUCCUUUUUAAACCAAAGUUUAUGUUUUCUUUUAAAGCUAACCUUGAAAUGAAAAAACACCAAUUUAACUUUGAAUUAUUAUCAGUUAUAAGUUGAAAACCCUUCCUAGUGAACGAUCCUAGAGCCACUAUGCUAUGCUAGCUGAGGCUAUCCUAGUACAUGGUGAUAUAGGUUAUAAAUUUUGUUGAUUACUCCCGUCUGAGGACGGAAAUCAAGGUACACCAGUUGAUUGAGCACCAAUCAACAGGACAUACACUAGCUGGGCACGAAAUCAUCACUCGUGAAUAGAAUGCAUGCACCAGAGUCGGGAAGAUCGACUUGGAAAUCAUUACUACUAGAAGCCAUCCCAUCCGUCCGAAAAGUCCCUCAAACCCGAAAUACUGAAGUUGGGAGAAAUUAAUACUUCUCCCUGGAACGACUUUCCUCUGAGCGAAUUUUUGCUUGUAUCUUUGAUACUCUUCGACGGAACUGAAGAGGGUCGUGUCAUACCUCGCCUUUCGGCGAGCCUCCGUCUGAUCAGGCUGAGAUGGCUCAGCAAGGCGCUUGUCCUGAGCCCUAGAGGCUACCAUCUCUCUCCUAGGCGCCAUCAGAAAGGUAGAAAUGAGGGAGGCGAAGCUGGUAGAGAGAGAAUCACACACACCUGAAAGCCCUAGGUGCGUGGGAAUGUCCUGAAGCUAACUGUGAUGUGCGGACUAAGGAGAAACCAUCCUAAAUCGAAAGCCUUAGGUCCCAAAUCCGAAGCCCUAGCCUCUGAUCGUCCCAAAAUCCACUCCAAGGCCUGCAUUUGGUCCAAGAUCUUGCCCAAAUUGGUCUCUGGAAGCGAAAAUGUGAAGAACCUUGAAGAAAUGGAGGAGAAUAGUGGAGAAAAUAAAGCGUGGGAGGCUCUUUAAAUUCCCAACCCCGACGAACUGGUCGACCAGUCCAUGAUCCGAUCGACCGCUUGGUCAAUGGUCAAUGCUCCAAUUUUUUGUGUUUUUUCUUGUCUUGUGAUCCUGCCAUUGCCAUUUUCAGUUGAAAUCCCCAAUUUUUGAUGUCCAAUGCUAAGGGAAUUUUGAUUUUUGGUCAAAAUUUGACCAUUUCCCUAAGUAUAUGUCUAUAUGAUGCAUAUGACAUGAAAAUCAUGCAAUUAUAAGGUAAAUUCAUCAAGAAUUCAUUCAGCAAACAUUAGAUCAAAAGGAAAUCACCCCUAGUUGUCUUCGAAUAUCAACAAAUUGUUCUUCACUUUGAGGUUUUGUAAAUAUAUCUAAGAAAAUGGUGUUUAAUCUCUAUAUGCUUAGUCCUAGAGUGUUGCAUGGGAUUUUUUGAAAUUUUUAUGGCACUAGUGUUAUCACAUUUAAUAGGAACAUGCUCAAAAGACAAAUUAAAAUCACUAAGUGUUUGUUUCAUCUAAAGAAUUUGUGCACAACACAAAUCGACUGCUAUGUAUUCGGCUUCCGUCGUUGACAAAGCUACCGAAUUUUGCUUCUUACUAUGCCAUGAAACAAGUGAGUGUCCUAGGAAAUGACAAGUGCCACUAGUGUUUUUUCUUUCAACUUUACAACUGGCAAAGUCGACAUCUAAGAAUCCAAUUAAUUCAAAGUUAUCACCCUUAAGAUACCAUAGGCCUAUGUUCAUUGUCCCUUUCAAAUAUCUAAGAAUUUGUUUUACGACACUUAAGUGAGAUUCUUUAGGACAAGAUUGAAAUCUAGCAAACAAGCAUACACUAUACAUGAUGUCGGGUCUACUAGCGGUCAAAUAUAGCAAAGAACCUAUCAUGCUUUUAUACAUAGUUGAGUCAAUGGAUUUACCUUUCUCAUCCUUAUCAAGCUUGAUGGAUGAGCUCAUUGGAGUCUUCAUUGUUUUGGCUUCUUCCAUGUUGAAUCUUUUGAGAAGAUCUCUUAUAUACUUUGCUUGAUUGAUGAAGUUUCCUUCCUUUAGUUGCUUGAUUUGAAGUCCAAAGAAGAAGUUGAGUUCUCCCAUCAUUCUCAUUUCAAACUCACUAUGCAUGCAUUUAGAAAAUUCUUCACAAAGAGAGACAUUAGUAGCUCCAAAAAUGAUAUCAUCAACAUAUAUUUGCACUAAGAGCAUGUCAUUUUCUUUGGUCUUUAUGAAAAGAGUUGUGUCAAUUUUUCCCAUUUUAAAACCCUUUUUCAAAAGAAAUUUACUCAAUCUUUCAUAACAUGCUCUAGGUGCUUGUUUCAAACCAUAAAGUGCCUUUUUAAGUUUAAAAACAUGAUUAGGAAAGUUAAAACUUUGAAAACUGGGUGGUUGUUCAACAUAUACUUCUUCAUUUAUAAAGCCAUUUAAGAAAGCACUUUUCACAUCCAUUUGAUAUAAAACAAAGUCUUUAAAACAUGCAAAGGCAAGUAGUAUCCUAAUGGCUUCCAAUCUAGCUAUGGGAGCAAAGGUUUCUUCAUAAUCUAUCCCUUCUUCUUGAUUAAAACCUUGGGCUACCAAUCUUGCUUUAUUUCUAACAAUUAUGUCAUUUUCAUCCAUUUUAUUUCUAAAGACCCAUCUAGUCCCAAUAACACUUUGAUUUGAAGGUCUUAGCACUAAUUCCCAUACUUCACUUCUUUCAAAUUGAUUUAACUCUUCUUGCAUAGCAAUCAUCCAAUUUUGAUUAGCUAGAGCAUCAUUUAUAUUUUUAGGUUCAAUUUGAGAGAUAAAAGCAAGAUUAUUGCAAAUAUUUCUAAGAGAUGAUCUAGUUCUUAACCCACUAGAUGGAUUACCUAUAAUUUGAUCUUGUGGGUGGUUGAUGAUAAACUUCCAAUCUUUAGGAAGGUAUUGGCUUGAUUCACCUUGCACUUGUUGAGGAGGGGGUAGUGCCAAUUGAUUCUUCUUUCUUGGGAUCCUCUCCAAUUUCUUCUUGUUGCCUUCUAUAUUCAAUUUGUAAUUUUCCCAUGGAGGUCUCCAAGCCUAAAUCAUCAUCAAAACUCUCUCUUUCUUGGAGAGAAUUGUUAGAUUCAUAAAAAAUAACAUGGAUGGACUCCUCUACAACCAUGGUUCUUUUGUUAAAAACUCUAAAGGCUUUACUUGAAGUUGAGUAACCAAGAAAAAUUCCAACAUCCGAUUUUGCAUCAAAUUUUCCAAGAUUGUCUUUGGUGUUUAAUAUAAAGCAUUUGCACCCAAAGACUUUGAAAUAACUAAUGUUGGGUUUCUUGUUUUUCCAAAGCUCAUAGGGAGUUUUCUUAAGAAUGGGCCUCAAUAAUAUUCUAUUUAAAACAUAACAACAAGUGUUAAUUGUUUCGGCCCAAAAAUAUUUUCGUAAAUUGUUUUCAUUUAGCAUGGUUCUAGCCAUUUCUUGAAGAAUUCUAUUUUUCCUUUCAACUACCCCAUUUUGUUGAGGAGUUCUAGGAGCCGAAAAAUUGUGGUUAAUACCAUGCUCAUUGCAAUAAUCUUCAAAAUCAAUAUUUUCAAAUUCUCUCCCAUGAUCACUUCUUAUACAAGUAAUUGUAAAACCUUUUUCAUUUUGAACUUUGUUGCAAAACUUUGAAAACUCAUAAAAGGUUUCAUUAUUUUGACUUAAAAACAAGACCCAAGUGUAUCUAGAGAAGUCAUCCACAAUAACAUAUGCAUAAGAUUUUCCUCAAAGGCUUGGUGUCCUAGAGGGACCAAAUAAAUCCAUAUGCAACAACUCAAGAGGCCUAGUUGUUGAAAUGAUUUUUUUUUUUUAAAAGAAUUUUUGAUUUGCUUUCCCAUUUGACAAGCUUCACAAACUUUGUCUUUUUGAAAAUUUAUUUUGGGAAGGCCUCUAACAAGUUCAUCUUUGUUGAGUUGGGAAAUGAGGUCUAUGUUAGCAUGUCCCAACCUCUUAUGCCACAACCAACUUUGAUCAUGCAUGCUUGAAAAGCAUCUAUUAUGGCCAUCAUAUUUUGAAAUAUUUAUAGCAUAAACAUUAUCACAUCCAUGACCCAUGAAGAUGGUUUUAUCAUUUUGAAUAUCUUUGAUGAUGCAAUGAGAUGCUUCAAAAAUUACUUAAAAACCUUUGUCACAAAGUUGACGAAUGCUUAAAAGAUUAUGUUUUAAACCAUCCACUAAUAAAACACUUUCAAUAAGAGAGGAUGUGCCAUUACCAAUGAUCCUUCCUUUUGCAUUGUCUCCAAAGGUAACGUAUCCUCCCUUUCUCUUUGUAAGGAAAGCAAACUUGGAUUCAUCCCCAAUCAUGUGUCUUGACCAUCCACUAUCCAAGAACCACUUAUCCUUCUUUGAACCCUACAAAAUAAAAUUCAAGUAGAUUUAGGUACCCAUAUCUUUUUGGGUCCUUGAGGGUUAGUGACCUUGGAUUUCUCAAUCCAAACUUUUUUAACCUUAGCAUUUGAAUUAUUUUGAGAUCCAUUUCUUAAGGGACAUGUGCUACUAAUGUGCCCUUCUCUUCCACAAAAGUUGCAAGUAGUAAAAGGACUUGCACUUGAGGAUUAUUUUACAAAAUAGUGAAUUUUAUUUUUAAGAGAAUUAUUUUUCAAACUAAGUUUUUCAAAAUCCUCAUAUAAUUCUUCAAAAACAUCAUGCAUAUCUUCAUCACUAAAGUUAGAGUUUACCUCAUCAAGAUCAUCUAUUUCCAUAAAGCACAUGUUUGCCACUUCUUUCUCCUUUUCUUCUUCGGAGGAUUCUUCACUUUCACUCCAAGUGGCCAUCAUUGCCUUUUUCAGUCUUCUCUUGGCUUCACUUUUGUAGAGAAGACAAUCAUAUUUGAUGUGUCCCAGUUUUUUGCAUUUGAAACACACCAAAUAUCUUUUCUCUUUCCAUUUCUUCUUGUCACCAUGAGAUGAGGAUUCCUUUUUAGAAAGGUCUCUUCUAGAGGUGAACUUUCUUUCUCUAAACCUUUCACUCCUCAUGUAUUUGUUAAGCUUUCUUGUGAUGAGGGCUAAAUCAUCAUCUUCCUCACUUGGUUUUUCUUCUUCAACAUCUUCUUCUUCCUUGGUUGUAGCUUUGAGAGCUAUGCUCUUCUUCUUUUUGUUUUCACUCUCUUGUAGCUUCUUUUCCAAGUUAAUCUCAUAUGUCAUCAAUGACCCUAUGAGCUCUUCCAUAGGUAGCUCAGUCAAGUCUUUUGCUUCUUGAAUUGUUGUGACCUUAGUAUGCCACUUUGAUGGGAGUGACCUCAAUAUCUUCAUCACCUUCUUGGAUUCCUCGUAGAUUUUUCCCAAAGCUUCAAGACCAUUGACAAUGUCGAUGAACCUAGUAAUCAUCUCAACAAUAGUCUUAUUUUAUUUCAUUGAAAAUAAUUCAUAGUUAUGAACAAGUAAAUUAAUUUUUUACUUUUUCACUUGAUUUGUUCCUUCAUGAGUUAUCUCAAGUAAUCUCCAAAUUUCUUUAACUGAUUUGCAUUGACAUAUUCUAUUAUAUUCAUUUCUAUCCAUAGCACAUUGCAAAGUAAAAACAACCUUAGCAUUUAAUUGAAAUUUUUUUUUUAUCAAGCUCAUUCCAUUCUUGCUUGGGUUUUGGAACCAAGACUCCAUCAACUAGUUUAGGAGGAAAAGUUGGGCCAUCUUCAAUGACGUCCCAUACGUCUAAAUUGGCUGAUUAUAAAUACCAAGUCAUUCUAGUUUUCCAAUAGGGAUAGUCGGUUCCCGUAAAAAAUGGAGCUCUAUGUUUUGUAAAAUUUUCAAUUUGAGAUGAGCUUGAUGGAAUAACCAUUUCCUUUUAGACGAUUAAGUCUUAAGUAAGAGGUCUAACUCUGAUACCAAUUGAGAAAAUAAAGGUUAUGCUUAAUUAAGAAAAACACCCAAAAGGGGGGGGGGGUGAAUUGGGUUUUUUAAAAAACUUUUCCAACACAACAAUUUCAAGCACAAUAUAAAAAAAAUAAAGAGAUAGAGUUAGAGAAUUCAAACUCGGGUUUUAUAGUGGUUCGACACUUCCUUGUCUACGUCCACUCUUCCCAAUCUCCUAACCGAGUGAGGGUUCCACUAACUUAAAGCUUCAACCAAGCUUCCAAUCUUCUUACACUUGGAUUCCGGCUCCAAUGGGCUCUUACACAAUCUCUUCAAGAUUCAAACCUCUUGAAGGCUUUAACACUCAGUUUUUACAAGAAUGAAUUCCUCAACUUAGCUCAAAGAUAGCUCAAAUACAAAACAAAGCUAGGAUGACUCACAAGGGUGCACUAAAGGAUAUGCAAGUGAUGAUUUAAUGCACUAAGAAAGAAAUGAGAGCUUUUAGGCCAUGAACAGGUUGGUAGACAAUUGAUUGCAACUGGUCUCUAUCACAUAAAUGAAGUAGAGCUCUCAAUUUAUAGGUUUCUAAGCUCAGAAGCCAAAAACAGCAAAAGGUAGCCUCGACCGGUUCACUAACCGUUGGAGCAUUUAAUGCUUUGGCAAGUUACCGUUGCCUUGACUGGACCUCGAUUGGGAAGGGGUUAACCUCAACCUGGAAGAGGAAGCUACUGGAUGAGAGAGAGUAUUUUUGGCACUCCUCGACUGGACCUCGACCGGACGAGGGCAAUCAGUCGACCGGUUCCCCAACCGGUUGAGCCGGUUGGCCAGAGCCUCGACCGGUUCAGCCUUUUGGCCCCGAAAACCUAUCUUUUUCAAUUCAUUUCUUUUCUAACACUUAGUCAAGGUCUUUAGAUGAAUUAAUAUGCCAAUUUUAAAACAUUUUGCCUAAGGUACAUUUGACAAAACUCGGGUUUUAAUGAAAUCGAAGUUUUAAAGAAUAAACCGAGUUUUCUAAGAUGCAUGAAACGGUAUGAAAAUCCUAAGUGCACCUAUGCAUUCAUCAUACAUUCGUUUUCUAUGAUCAAAAGUCUUCCAAAAGUCUCGAUCUUGUAUCCAUUUGGUCAUUUGAUGAAUUUCCGAAUUUAUACCUGAGAUUCUUUACCAUUCAACUCAAUUAGUCACUUAACCAUGGUUUGUUAUCAUCAAAACCCGAUUAGGAGAACCCUUGGGCUAACAAAAAAUAUAUUCAAAAUAUUUUAGGUUUUUAAAUAAAUUUUUAUUCUACCAAAUAUUAGAAAAUAUUUUUAAAAAACAAUUUAAAAAAAUUAUUUUUCAAAACUAUUUAAAAAAAAAACUGAAUAGGGCAUAGAUUUUUGGGUUAUAAAUUUUUGAAAUAUUUUUUUUGGAAAAUAUUUACUUAUCUUAUUAUAACGCUAAAUUCCACAAGUACUUUUGCAAUACAUUUUAGUAAGAGUUGACAUAUGAAAUGUUAUAUAUAUAAUUGUGAAUCAUAAUUUCUUGUGGGUUAUUAAAGAAAUGGUUAUGUGGAAUAAGAAAAAAUAUUGUGACUGGAUAAGUUAUGAUAAGCAUUACUGAUUUGUAAGAGCAAAUAUCUCUGAUUUGUGGUUUAAGUAAUUAUAUUUAUAAUAUUAAAAAAAAUGCAACGUGGAGUGUCAAGAUCAAUUGAUUGCAUUGGCUGUUUGAUAACAUAUGCAACAUUUGAUUGGUGCAUGUUAUAGAAUCCUUUUGGAAUCAUGAAAGUAAAACUUUUUUAAUCUGUAGCCGCUUUGUUAAUAAUAAUUUAUUUUAAUGAAGAUAUUUUAGUACUAAUGCAUAACAAAAAAAAUUAUUUUUGAAAAAACUUCUAUGUUCAUGAAUAGUUUCAAAUGAAUAUUUAAUUAUUUAAAAGUGAUUUUUUAAAGUAUAUUAAGAAUGCGUUUGGAAGUGGUUUUAAAAAAUAUUUAUAAUAUUUUUAACACUUAAAUCAUAAAAAAAUUUAAGUGUUAGAAAAAUUAAAAGCGUUUUCUAAAAUCACUGUCAAACAGACUCUAAGAAUGCAUUUGACAGUGAUUCUAAAAAGUGUUUUUAGUCUUUUUUUUUUAACACUUGAAAAUUUUUAUUUUUCAAGUAUUAGAAAUAUUAUGAAUACUUCUCAGAAUCAUUGUCAAAUGCACUUUAAGAGUCCAUUUGGUAAUGACUUUAGGAAAUACUUUUAGCUUAUUUUUUUUUAAAAAUUAGUUAUUUGGAAAAAUUUAGGAAAUACUUUUAAAAGUCAGAAAAAUCACUUGUAUUGUUUUUCAGCCCAAAAACACUUCUAGAAAAAAAAAAUACUUCUACUAAAAACACUUAGAAUAAAAGCAUUGCCAAUCAUAGUACUCUAAAUAGGUAAUUUUUUUUAAAAAUAUUUUCAAGCAUUAAUGAACGUUUUUAUCCUUAGUAGAAUCAAUCACAUUCAUAUAAGCUCUUAAAGUGUUACUAUGUACAUAAAUUAAAUAAUUAUUAGGUCUAAAAUUAUUUUAUUAGACACUUGUACUAGAAUGUAGUAGGUAUAUGAUGAUUCAGAGUGUGUUUGUCAGUAAUUUUAACAAGUAUUUCUAGUAUUUUUGCCUUUCUAAUAAAAUUUUUAAGUGUUAGAAAAUGUAAAAAAUUUUAAAAUCACUAUCAAAUGCACUUUUAAUAGAGUUGUACAAAAUAAGGAUAAAAAAUAAUUCUAUGGAUGAAUUUCACUUUAAAACAAACAUAUAGGAUAUAUUCCAAUUUAUUAAUGAAAAUAAGCUUUAGCUUGGAAGGAAAUCACUUGGAACGUAAGUUAACCUUUGUACUUGUCUUGAUAAAGGUUGAAUAUGUGAAGCAAUACAUGCGAGCUGACUUAUUAAUAAAAUUGAUUUUGAGGAUUUAGAUGUUGUUUGAAAGACAUUUUUUAAAGUUAAAGUCAACAUUUGAAGGUUAAUUAUAAUUUUUAAAAUCAACAUUUGACGUUUAAAUGUAAUUUUGGUUCCAAUUCACAAUCAUGAGCCCUACACCUCCCAACUUAAUUUAUCAGCAUCUUGGAAAAGCAAAGAGAUCUAUGUUUUUUCUUAAAUAAUAUGUUGGAGUUAUAUUUUUAUUUAAUUAAUUUUUUUUAAAAAAGUCUCAUAUUUGAUCUUAUCUUUUAAAAACUAUUUUAAUACAAAUAAGGAAUCAUUCAAGGCAAGCUUGAAAAUGGCAUGUACAAAUUUCAAGUCUUUGAAUCAACCAAUUCUCAUUCAGAUUGUCAUUCUCAUGAGCCUUUUAAUCAUCCUGCUGUAGCAGUUAAUAAUGCUACCUCUAAGACUUUUGACAUUUUACAUCCUUGUUUAGGUCACCUUUAUGUUGAGAUUGUAAAGAAGGUAAUCUCACUCUCUGUUUUCUUGGUCGUAUCCUUUACAUACAAAGGGUCAAGCUUUGUCUAUAUUUGUUCACUUCAAAAAUCUUGUAGAAAACCAAUUUAACAAUAAGAUAAAAUAUAAUCAAUUUGGUGGUAGGGGUGAAUUCAAGCCUUCUCUCAUUCUUAGCCAAUCAUUGCAUUAAACAUUGAUUGUCUUGUCCUAAAACUCCACAAUAGAAGGGUCGGGUAGUAUCAUUAUGUUGUAGGUUAGCCUUGUUCACUCAAGCAUCUCUGCAAAUCAUUAUGUUGUAGGUUAUCCUUAUUCACUCAAGCAUCUAUGCCUUUCAAAUUUUGGGUGUAUGCAUUUUGUGCAGCUAUUUUUCUUAUAAGCAGAAUGGCUUCUUAUAUGUUAAACAUUUAAUUUCCUUUUCUUUUUGGGUCAAUUCUUGAUGACUCUUCCUUUAAAUCCUUUGGGUGUCUUUGUUAUCCUUUUAUUCGUCCUUUCAAUAAAUAGAAACUACAAUAUUGGUUUACUAAAUGUCUCUUUGUUGGUUAUCACACUCGUCACAAAUUGUAUCUUUGUCUUGAUUGGAUCUCUGAUAGAGUUUACAUAACUUAUCAUGUUGUCUUUGAUGAAUCUUGUUUUCCUAUGGUUGUAGGCACUCUCCCUAAUGUUUCGACUCAUCUUCUCCCCUUACUUUUCCACUUACUUUUAUUCCUAUGCCCUUUUCUUCUCCUUCUCAUUCUUCCUCUAAUACUUUACAUUCUACUCAUCAUUCUUCUUCACUUUCCCUAUUCCCAUCGCCCAUUCAACCUGUGGUUUUGGACUCUAAGAUGCAUCUAUUAGCUCCAACUAUUAAUACUCAUCCUAUACUUACCCAUGCCAAAGCUAGUGUUUUUAAACGUAAGACUUAUCAAGCUAAUGCUUCCAUUGAGUUGUCUACUUUUCAGCAAUUUAUCAAGGAUCUUCAUUAGCAAAAAGCUAUGGAAACUGAUUAUGAUGGCUUGAUGAAGAAUGAUGCCUAGACACUAGUUCCUUUACCUUUGAAAACUAAUAUUCUUGGUUGAAAGUGGGUUUAUAAGUUCAAGUAUAAUCUUGAUGGCAAUGUUGAAUGUUUUAAGUCAUGCUUGAUUGCUAAGGGAUUUCAUCAAACACAUGACGUUGACUACUUUUAGUCUAAUGGUAGUCAAAGUGGCUACUAUUUAAAUUGUUCUCAUGAUUACUCUCUCAUUUGAUUGGAUGCAUGGUUUGCUUAGUUGGAUAUGCAUAAUACUUUUUAAAAUGGUGAUUUAAAUGAGCAAGUAUUUGUAUUCCAACCACAAGGAUUUUUUCAUCCUAAUAUUCUGACUUUGUUUGCAAGCUUAACAAGACUCUCUAUGACCACCUCACGUAGGCUCCCCAUGCUUGGUUCUCUAAAUUAAGAUUGGCAUUAGGCAAGUGGGGUUUUAGAUGCUUAAGGGAUGAUAAUUUAAUGUUUAUUUAUUAUUUAACCUCUUAUCUUAUCAUUAUCCUGGUCUAUGUUAGCGACGUAUUAGUUGUUGGUAGUAGCUCUACUCUAGUCUCUCAAUUGAUUGCUUUCCUUAAUGCUUCCUUUUCCUAUAUGAUUUUGGUGUUAUCAAUUAUUUUUUUUGGUGCUGAGGUCACUCAUACAUUUGAAGCCCUUCUUCUUAGUCAACACAAGUACAUUAUGAACUUUCUUACUUGCACAAAAAUUCUUACUUGUAAACUAGCUGCUACUCCUACUCAUGUACGUUGGUCCAACCUUGCCUCAAUUUAAUGGAGAGCCAUUUCCUAAUGCCCAUUUACAUCAUUGUCAUUGCUUUGCAAUAUGUCACCAUUACUCAACCAAACCUAUCUUUUGUUGUUAAUAAGUUUGCCAGUUCAUGUCUUAGCCUACUUUUGCCCUAUGGUUAGUUGUGAAACACAUUUUGUGUUAUUUAAUAGGAUUUUUUUACCAAUAUGCUUUUACAAAUGGUUGAUUCUCUUCAUCUUCAAGCUUAUUCAGAUGCAGUGCCUCUUGUCCAAAUGACAAGAAAAGCCCCUAUGGAUAUUGUGUCUUCCUUAGGCCGAAUUUGGUUUUUAGUUCUCUACUAGGUAAUGGGUUAUUGUAGUGAUAAAUUAGAAUAUUGUGGCAUAGUUACUGCAAUUGCUAAGCUCACUUGAAUAUAAUCUAUGCUUUAGGAAUUAUUUAUAGCAUAGGUUACCCCUCCAUUUUUGUGGUGUGAUAAUCAAAGUACUACUCAUCUUACUACAAAUCCUUUCUCUCAUGCUUGCUCUAAACAUAUUGAACUUAAUCUCCAUUUCAUUUGUGGCAAAAUGUUAUAUAAUGAUCUUGUUAUUGAAUAUAGUUCCUUUAUUGAUCAACUUGCUGAUGUGCUUACAAAGCAUUUUCCAAGCACAUUGUUGUUGACCUUUUGUAGUAAGCAUUAUGUUGUUCCCAAAUUGAUUAGCUUGCGAGGGGAUGAUAAAUAGUAGAUUGCCACCUCAACUCAACUUCUAGAAUAAUCUAUUAGUGUAGCAACUAUUUGUUAUGGAUGCAUAUUAGGUACCUUUGUUUUGUUCAUCUGGUGAAUUACACAUGAAAAACUAAUAUAAAUAUUUAACAUCACAAGCUCUCAUGAGUAGGGCAAUUUUUUAGUUUAUUCUUUAGAAUUUUCAAUUCACUUCCAAAGCAUAUAAAUAACAAAAUUGUUGAAAUAUUUUUACUAACAUAUUAUUUUUUUCCUCAAAACCUAAAAAUCACAAAAUUUUGAAAUAUUGGACUGACUUUUUUUUCCCUUCACACUUUCAUAUUUUAUUUUGGUUUAUUAAAUUACAAUUAAAUUGCUUUGGUUUAUGAAACAAUUCCAACAAAAUUCUAAAUUCAUCCCAACAUAGAAAAAAAAAAAAGAAGAAGAAAUAUUUUGACUAGAGUUAAUUAUACUGAUUUGAGAUUAUGGAUGAUUUUAUAUGAAUUUAUUGCAUUUUCAAGAUGUUUCCAUCAAGAAUUAAUAUUUAUCAAUGAGUAUUGAUACAAAAAUAUUGAGAAAAAACUUUGAAAGAAUGAUCUUUCUAUAUUUCAUAAUAUAACAAGUUUACAUCUUAGGCUAUUUAUAGUAGAACUAAAGAAAGAAGGUCACAUCAAAUGGAAGAAAAUCAAGGAAUUAGUGUACAAUUAAGGAGCUAAUGGUGGAUACAAUUAAGGAGCAAAUGGUGGCAUUAAGAGUAAAUGGUGGAGCUAAUAAUGCUAAGGAGUAAAUGGUGGAGCUAAUAAUACUAACAAGUAUGGUUUUUAAAAUUUAUGGAGGAAAGAAAGGACUGAUGCCAUUGAGGGACCCAGUUAUUCCCCUCCAUGUAAUAAAGGUUAUGCUUUUUAUAUUAUAUUAUUUGUUGAUGCAAUUUUAUUUUAUUUUUUUCAUUUUUCUUGGAUAACUUAGAGUUUAAUCUUAUUUUUGGAAUAUAAAAUUUAGUUCAGAGAAUCAGAAAAUGCAAUGAAAUUGAGAAUAAACAAUUGAAAUUAAACUAGAAUUUUAUUUUAAAUUUGGGGCCAGAAUAAUUAGCCCUAACAUUAAUUUCAUCAGGCUCUUCUGCUAGUAACUUUCUCUCCUAUAGAUUCUAACCAUUCCAAUAUCAUUUGACACCAUGUCUUGAAAGUGUUUUCCACAUUUUCAUUGAUGUAUUUGGGCUCAUUCCUGCCAACUAUAAAUCAUAAUAAAACAUAUGGUGAGUCAAAUGAGCUACAGAUUAAUGACAAGAGCAGCAUGAGGAAAGUUUUAUAAUGCUUUUUGCAGGCAAAUGGUAGUAAAUUUUAUACUCGAAGCACAUUAUCACUAUUUACUUAGGUAUCCAUGUAAAUAAAGCAAUAUCUUAGUGAGGGCUUCCAAGCUCCACACUAAGUAUUAUUGUCAUGUAAAAGAUGAUGUAAGGAUGGUAAUUCUUCAUAAAAUCAACCAAUCAACCAAUAAAUAGGAUUCCAAAAUGAUAUGAAACUAGUGAGUUUCAAUUGAUGUCAAUCAUAUUCUAGGUUGAUGAUAAACUUGCCAACCUAAAUUCAUAUGCUUAGAAGGUUAUGCCACUUUUGGGAUUUGGACUAUAGGUCGGUAUUGUUGGAAGUUAUUAACAUAUUUAGUUACUAUAUUUAAAUUAUAUAUUUAGUUACUAUAUAUCUAUUUAUUUAGUUACAAUAUCUCUUAUUUAUUUAGUAUAUUAGAAUUAUUUAGUAAUUUUUUUUAAUUAUUUAGCAAUUUAAUCAUUUUAAUUACUUCAUUUCAAUUAAACCAAACAUUUUUAUUUAACAACUAAUGCUUUUUUUUUCUUUUUUUCUCUUUUUUCUUUUUAAUUCGAUUGCCACAAAUUAUAUAAAUACUUAUUAAAAUAACUAUGAAGUUAAAUUAUAAGAACACCCUUAUGGUAGUAAUAAUUAAUUAUGCUUUGAUUAUUCUGUCUUUUGAUAUUAUGCCCGUAGCUAUUAUUAAUAGCCUUCAAUAGUCCUUAAUAAAUAGUUAUAAUGUCAAAAUCUUUAAACACAAAACAAUUCGUUUUUGUUUUGUUUCUUGUGUUUUAUUGUUUCGAUAAUCAAUCUAUAUUACCUUGUGUUUUAUUCCUAUUUUCAUCAUUUUGCAAAUUCUAUUUUUAAAAAAUUUAUAACUGACUCACCAUUAUUCAUGGGUUUGUGGUAGAUUAUCAUAUCCCCUCAAAGUAUUGAGGAAUCCAUUAAGGAGCACAAAAGUUUUAUGUCAUGGAUGUGAGGUUAAGGUGUAAGUACUAUAGUGUAAAUCUCAAGGAGUACAUAGUCCCUAUUAGAUAAAUCUGUAUAUAUAAUUCUUAAUAUCAAGUGGAUUAUAGUUCUAUAGUCUCUAGACUUGAGGUUUUUGACAUUGGAAAAAGUCUCUGAGAGACCUUGUGGGUAGUUUUUUUUCGAAUAUCUUGUGUUUCCAUGCAUGAUUAGAAUUCUUGAAGUUAAUUAAUAAUUAUCAAUCUAAUUAAAAAAUUCAUAUAAAAAAGAAAACCAAAAAUUUAUAAUUUUUAGGCUAAUAUCCAAGGAUUACCUAUUCAAUCUCCUUGAUAAUUUCAUGGUAUAAGAUUUUAAAUUUUGAUUUCAAAUUUGAUUUAACUAAUUCUCAAAAAUAUAAAACAGUCAUGAUAUUUUUUUAAUAAGUUUUAUAUAUAUAUAUAUAUAUAUUGUAUAGUACUUAAAUAUAGAGAAAUUUAUAAAUACAAAACAAUUAUCCAUAUAUUAAUGUUUUUAUAUAUGUGAAUACAUCCAAACUAGAUAAAUCAUCAUUUUAAUAAUAAAUAUGUUUUCAAGUUUUGUAAAUAUUAUCAAAUAUCACAAAUGUUAUCAAACAUAAAUUGUUUCCUUCAAACAAAUAACUUCAAUAAGUUCAUUAUUGCUUAUUUUAUCAUUUCUUGUAAUGUUUCUCAAUAUUUCUAUAAGUUUUGAUAAAUACUCAAUAUUUCUAGAAGUUUUGAUAAAAAAAAUUUUAUUCCACUGAUAUUUUUUGUUCAAAUUUCAUAAAAUUCAACUGCUGAUAUUUUUAUAAUUUUCAAUAUUUUAAUCCUUGGUCAUGACCAUUAGUGAGUGCCUUAAAAAAAACUCACCUUGGUUUUAUGACCCUUAAGAAGCUGUUGAACACAUUAGUCCUAUGGCAUAUAUCAAUUCAACCUCUCAAAUGUCUCCUAAAUACACUUGAUCUUCCAUGUAUCUUUCAUAAAAAUGAAACUUGGUGAGUAGUCCAUUCCUCACAACCAUCUUCCUGACAUUGCUGCUAGUGGGAAGUCAAGCUAGGAACUUCAUCAACUUUGAAAGAAAAGUAUGUUGAAUUCAUUUACACUCAACCUUCAAGACAAGAUUGAACUUGAGUAAGUGGGAAUGCUAGAACAUAUUUGAGAAAAUAUGAUUUGAUUAGCUAGAAAUUGGCAGCAUGGGCUUUCACUAAAGGAAACCAUCAGCAAGUAGAUUGCUUAUGAAAUUCUCUAGAAGGCGAAAUUCAACUAGGGAAAUCAAUGAAAUAUUGAAAUAUAUGAAUUAGUAUUUUUUCCCUUAGCUUAAACAAUCUCACAAAUAAUAAUUACAGCAUUGGGUACCAGGAUUUGAAUUAUUUUCUGAUUGGUAGAGGUUGAUCCCCUCAACGUGAUCAAGUCUUUCUUCUCCUAAUUUUCAGUCUUGAGGUCCUAACAUGUGACAUCAACAUCCAAGUAAGAAGUUUCAGUUCAAAGGAUUUGCUCUGCAGAAAGCAAGAAAAUUGUAUCCCUUCAUGGGAAUUCUGAUUCUGGCCUCUGCAAUGGAGAGAACAGCUUGUCACAUAGUGUAAUUCAAGAUUCUUAUCAUUUCCACCCAAAGAAAGUUUUGAAAGUUACAAUUUGCAAUGAUUAUCAAACUCAUGUCAAACAAAAUAUAGAAGAACCAGAUUUUAUGACUCAAAACAUCAUAAAUGUUAGCAAAAAUGCAGUUUUUGUCCUACUACUCAACAUCAUAAGUUUCUAAAGCUUAUAACACAACCAAAACACCGUCAAAUUCAUUGAAACCAAAAGCAAAAGGCAAAAAAUAGUAAUCAAGGAAUUAUCCUACAAGUAACUUUGAAAUUCAAGCCAUUCUUUCCUAUUCAACAUAAAAACUAUUACUAAUAAAACUUGAAGGUUAUAAUGCAUAGAAUCAUUCAUACUCAGAAAAGAAGUAUGCUGGGUGUUUCAUCAGGCAACUUGCAUUCAUCACCGAACACCAACUUUGCUUGAUUUUCACAAUGAAACUUCCUAUAUUCACCACCAAGUGCUAAAAAAGACACCUAAUCAAGAAGGCUUAGUAACAAAUUUCAGGAAAAUCAAAGGUCGUAUUCAAACAAAAAUGUCUACCUAAAAUAUUAAAGAAACAAGAAAGAACGACUCCUUAAAGAAGUUCAGUUGCUUCAAUCAAUAUAACUCAAUAAGAGAAAAGAUGAAGACUUACCUAAAAUUCGACAGAAAUAUAAUAUACAGGCAUUGAUUACUACUCAAAAAGUGCUAUUUUAUAGCUUGUAAUUAACUCUUUUAAAAAAUUUUGAGUAGUAGUUAUUACCUUUUAACUCAAUUGACAUGUUAAGGACCCUUGCAAUCGUUUCUAAUCAAAUUGUGGCAAGUUUUGGUGUUUUUGAUAGCUUUUUGAUCACCAAAGCAAUCCAAGAAUGAGGGAGAGCUCUGUAUAAUCCAUGGAAAAGAAAAUGGAAGCUCAAAUACAUGAAGAAUCCAGGAUUUUGAUCUUUGUAGUCCUUUGCCAAAGCCAAUCAAGAAUGCAAUGAGGAAAAACAAAGAGAGAAAUCUAACAUGAAGAAAUUCAAGAGGACAGAAACUCUUGGACACAUUUCAAGCACUUUAUGGAGUUCAUUUCAUGCAGACCAUAUGUCGUUUUGAAGUUCGUGAAGUCAGGAAUCCAACGCUUCAAACGGUGCAUGAAUCGGAGCUGAAAUGAAGAAGUUAUAGCCAUUGGAAGCCAAUUGCACCAAGCUGAAAGCCAAUUUCGUAGCUGCGAAAUCACAACAUGAGCUGUGAAAUCAACCUUUUUGUGCGAAAUGGAGACUUUCAGCUUGUGAAAUUUCGCAGCCCCACAACCCUAUUUCGCAGCUGCGAAAUGGCCUGCGAAAUCCACCUGAGUGCUUCCAGAUAUUUGCGAUCGACUCUUUUAGAUUUUUUCUUCAGAUAUUUGUUGUUUAAAUCCCCAUUUUCUCCUUGUAAUCCACCAAUCAUAGGAUUUCUUAGUUAGGAAGUAAGAAGGAAGGGUGAAUAACCUUUCUAUAUAAUCUAUUGUAAUUUUUCUUUUAAGAUAUCUCGGGAGUUUUUCCUAGAGACUAAUCUUUUGUAUAGUUUUGAAGGAAGUAAUACACAGAGCUUUGCUCUGCCUUACCUACUCGUUUUGUUUUCUCUUUCAUUUUUAUUUCUAGCAAAACAAGCUCUGAGGAUGUUUCCUCAGAGAAUGAGCGGCUAGACUUUUUAUCUCUUGGAGUUACGGAAGCUGGGUAAGGUGCCGAAUGCAAAAAUUGGAAGUUUUGUUGUUUCAGCUUUUAAUGAAGAGAAAGUGUGACCCGUUAAUGGUUUCUAUGUUUUUAGUUAACUUAAAACGCCUUUAAAUCACCUGGGCCAACACUUGGUAAGGCAAGUGAUCUCCGUCCAUUGAGAUGCACUAGUUUAUCUCUUGCGAGCCUUUGGGAGGUGAUUCAAAGGUAGGAUUUUCUAGAAUAGCCAACACUUGGUUAGCUUUUGGACUCUAAGGAGACAUCCAUUAGUUAUCUCUUGCGAGCUUUUGAAGGGAAAUCCAAGGUUAAGGAUCACCUUGAAUGGCAAAUGCUAGGUGAGAGGCACGAGCCAUUGCAAGAUGAAUCAAUGAGAGGGAUUUAGUGUUUGAAUCCAUAAAAGGGAAGCAUCUGUACCACACUGGUUCGAGAAAUAACUAUAUGUUAAAUCUCUAAUGCGAGGAAAAGAUUCAAGUGAUCGGAACUCUCUUUUUGUAAUAGGAACCUGAGCCUAGUGAUCCAAAAGCUCCAAGAAACACUUUUCUUUGUAUGUAAUUUCAGUUACUUUAUUUUUGGUUUCACUUAAAACCAACCUUUUCCAAACAUCUUUAUGUUUUCUUUUAAAGCUAACCUUGAAAAGAAAAAGUACCAAUUCAACUUUGAAUUAAUAUCAAUUGUGAAGUGAAAACCCAUCCCAGUGAACGAUCCUAGAGCCACUAUGCAAUGCUAGCUGAGGCUAUCCUAGUACAUGGUGAAAUAGGUUAUAAAUUUUGUUAAUUACUCCUGUCUGAGGAUCGAAAUCAAGGUACACAAGUUGAUUGAGCACCAAUCAAUAGGACAUACACCAGCUGGGCACGAAUCAAAUGGCGCCGUUGCCGGGGACCAUUGAGAGGACAAGAAUCAGCUGGUACACCAAUUGGGAACGAAUCAGGCAUAAUUGGAGGAGUUCCCAAGAAUCAUCGACAAAAAAUACCAUCACUAAUUUUGAGCAUGCAUGACCAAAUCAACAAAAAAGAGAAUUUUAUGAAUAAAGAGUAUGGACGAUGGUAGUCAUUCUUGAGGACGCUUGAGCUUGAGCUUGAGCUUGAGCGUGGGAUGGUUGGUGGGUCUGUCAUUGCUGCCACUAUAACUAGAGUCCAUUCCACUUCGAUUGAAUCCUGCUCUGUCACUGCUUCUCUCGACUACAUUACAACUCGUACUUUUAAGUUGUUUUCUAUUUCCUGGAUGGAUUCCUUCAAGAACUUCUGUAUAAAUAAGACAUACCCCACACUUUUUCACCACAUUGGAUGCACUUGAGUUGAAUCUGUGGGUUGCUUCAAAAGAAAUCUCAAUGUGAUUCCAGUCAUUGGGGUCAUUGAAUUGAAACAACCUCAACUGGGAACAUGGUUGAUAACCCAGCCAGACGUGUUCUGACCCAACAUGGUUGUGUCAUGUGCAACAAUUUUAAUUUAUUUAUUUAAGAUAUUUUGGUUUAUUGAGUUAGUUCAAAUAACUAGCAGUAGUGGGCUAGAGAGUGGGUAACGUGAGCUAUUUUUUAGUAAUUGUUGUUGUUUAAUCUCUAAGUUGUUGAGUCUGUUAAAGUAUAAAUUUCCUUAUUCUUGAGCAAUAAAACCAUUAGAUGAAAAACUUCCAAAAACUUAGUCUUUGAUUUCUGCUUUCCAAAUUCUUUCAAUUCUGCUCAUAUUUUGCCUUAGCAGCAUAGCUCGAGGGCCAGGGAGGGGACGGGAUCGUGCCAUUAACUUAGAAUGUGAUAGAGUGGUAUCAGAGCCGGUUAUGGCUGACGAUCAAUGACUCCAAAGGCUUGAAAAUUAGGUUGAGAACCUGAGUUCAGGUCAAGAAAGGAUCCUUAAGCAGAUGGAAGAAUUAGUGGGGGCAAUGAACUCCCGAUUAGACUUGCCGGAAGAAGGGUCCGUCAAUAGGAAUCGGGGACCACAUGGACAGGAUGGUGCUGGGUACGCAGGUGGACUAGUGGUUCCUAAGCUUGCAAAGCUUGAUUUUCCUCGCUAUGAUGGCUCGAAAGAUCCAACUCUAUGGAUUUGCCGCGCAGAACAAUACUUUGAAUUUCAAGGGACAUCAUUGGAAGAUCAAGCCAAAUUAGCAGCCUAUCACUUGGAAAAAGAUGCUCAAUUGUGGUACUAGCGACGCAAAAAUCAAGGUCACUUGGUUACUUGGGAUGGAAUGAAGGCGGGAUUGCUAGAGAGGUUUGUUGUAACUGGAUAUGAAGAUUUCUUUGGAGACUUAUGCAAGCUUAAGUAGAUGGGGACCGUUUUCGACUAUCAAACUUGGUUUGAAAGGCUUCUAGCACGGGCCGACACUUUGACAGAUAAACAAGAAGCUGAGUGUUUUAUUAGUGGAUUGAAGGAUGGGUUAAGGGCGGAUGUAAGAGUCCAUAACCCUCAAAAUCUGUUUGCUGCAAUUGGGUUAACACGUACCUAUGAACUCAAAGCCCAGGAAGUGAGACGCCUAACCUACCCAACAUUCUCCUUUUCAGUUCGCAACUCCAACAACCAAUGGAACACCUCAACCCCUAGUGGUGCAAAAGACACCAAUCCAAAGAGAAUUUUACCAAUCCGUAAAUUAUCUCCAACCAAACUCCAAAGGUGGCGACAGCAAGGGUUGUGUUACAAUUGUGAUGAAAAGUAUACAAUGGGUCAUAAAUGCAAGAAAUUGUUCUUCAUUGAACUAGAAAAAGAGAAUGAAGAAGCCAUAGAAGAAGAGACACCGACUAUCUCUUUACAUGCCUUGGUUGGGGUUCAAUCUCCACAAACUAUGCGGAUUCACUCACAGAUUGGUAAGACUCCACUGACUAUUUUAAUUGAUUUUGGUUCUACUCAUAAUUUUUUGCAUCACAAAUUUGCCAAAAUCAUCAGACUUAAGUAGGAAAGGAGCUGCUUUUUUAGCGUGGUGGUUGCCAAUGGGGAGAGGUUGUCAAGUCCUGAGCGUUGUAAUAGGGUAAAAUUGACCUUGCAAGGCAUCCCAAUUGAGGUAGAUUUUUUCUUCAUUUAGAAGGUUGUGAUGCUGUUCUAAGUGUAAGUGGUUGGGUCAUCUUGGUCCAAUUUUAUGGGAUUUUGGAAGGAUGCAAAUGCAAUUCACUAUAGCUGGGCGAAAGGUGUUGCUACUGUUCAAAUUGAUAAAUGAUAGUUUUUUCAUUCAUAUUUUCAUUCGUUCAUGUACAGAGUAUAUAUAGAGGGUAUCGCCAUUCUAAGAAUGGCAAAGAAUGAUACAAGGAAAGAAUGACAUAAGGAAAUAACAAUUAAUAUCCUAAUAUCUCAACUUUCCUAAUAUCUCAAUAUUCCUAAUAUCUCAAUAUUCCUAAUAUCUCAAUAUUCAUAAUAUCUCAACUUUCCUAAUAUCUAAACAUUCUUAAUAUCUCAACACUAAAUGAUAUAAGGAAAUAAUGAUAUAAGGAAAGCAUUCCUAAUAUCUUAACACUCCCCCUCAAGUUGGUGCAUAGAUGUCACACAUGCCCAACUUGUCUAAAAAUUUUGAGAACACUUGACUUGAGACAGCUUUGGUAAGGAUAUCGGCUAAUUGAUCUUUUGAUCGAAUCUUUGGCAAUUCCACAAUCUUAUCAUCCAACUUUUCCUUAAUGAAGAAUCUAUCCACCUCGACAUGCUUUGUACGAUCAUGUUGUACUGGAUUAUGAGCAAUGUCACAAGUGGCUUUAUUGUCACAAAACAAUCGGAUUGGUUGCCUAGAUAGGUAACCUAAAUCUUGUAAGAGGAGUCUUAGCCAUAAUGCCUCACAAAGUCCUAGAGCCAUACCUCUAAAUUCCGCUUCUGCACUUGAACGAGCGACGACAUUUUGCUUCUUACUUUUCCAUGUUACAAGAUUACCACCUACAAAGGUAAAGUAACCAGAUGUAGAUCGCCUAUCAUCCACUGCACCGGCCCAAUCAGCAUCAGUAUAUACUUCUAUACUUUGAUGAUCAACAUUUUUAGCGAACAAAAUUCCCUUCCUAGGAGCAUUCUUCAAAUACCUCAAAAUACGCAUGAUUGCAUUCAUAUGUUGCUCUCUAGGAUUAUGCAUGUAUUGACUCACUACUCUCAAUGCAUAAGCAAGAUCUGGUCUUGUAUGAGCUAAGUACAUUAAUCUCCCCACAAGUCUCUGGUAUAUUCCCUUAUCGGUUGAUACUUGAUUAGGCUCAACACACAAUUUCAGACCUUCUUCUAUUGGUGUAUUAACAGGUUGACAUCCCGACAUUCCAGUCUCCUGUAAAAGAUCUAAGGCAUACUUUCUUUGAGACAGAAAAAUUCCUUCACUUGAUCGAGAAACUUCAAUCCCAAGAAAGUAUUUUAGAGGACCUAGAUCUUUCAUUUCGAAUUCUCUAGAUAGAUAAUUUUGCAGAACUUUUCUUUCUUCAGGAUCAUUUCCUGUAACUACCAUGUCAUCCACAUAUACGAUGAGUGCCGUAAUCUUACCAUGUUGUUUUUUCAGGAACAAAGUGUGAUAUGAAUUACUUUGACGAUAGCCAAAAGCUCUCAUUGACUUUGUGAACCUUCCAAACCAUGCUCUCGGGGAUUGCUUCAACCCAUACAAUGACUUCUUCAAUUUGCACACCUUCUGACAUUGCUUUUCUGACACCAUGCAUCCUGGUGGAAGAUCCAUAUAUACUUCUUCAGAUAACUCGCCAUGUAGAAAGACAUUUUUCACAUCAAAUUGUUGUAAUGGCCAAUCUAGGUUUGCAGCUAAAGACAGUAAUACUCGAACUGUGUUGAUCUUAGCUAUAGGUGCAAAUGUCUCUGUGUAGUCAAUUCCAUAAGUUUGAGUGUACCCUUUUGCUACCAGUCUUGCUUUAAAUCGUUCAAUACUACCAUCUGCCUUGUACUUCACAGUAUAGAUCCAACGACACCCAAUUGGCUUCUUUCCUGGUGGACAUUCUACGAGUUCCCUUGUUUCAUUCUUCUGCAAUGAUUUCAUCUCUUCAUUCAUGGCUGCUUUCCACCUUGGAUCAGCUAAGGCUUCCUGCACACUGUUAGGAAUAGCUACAGUAGAUAAUUGAUUUACAAAUGACUUGUUUGAUUCAGACAAACGAUGGUUAGACACAUAGUUGCUCAUGAGAUAUUUGACUUUGGUAGACAAUUCAGGUUCAUAUGUGGGUUUAGGAAUACCUCUAUUAUGACGGUGUGGUAAUCGUUUCAUGAAUGGAUCAGGUUCCAAAUUAAGAACACCCUUAACAGACGACGAUUGGUUUGGUAUUUCAGUGAAGACAUCUUCGGACCCAAAUUGUUGACCACUCAUAUCCAACUCACCCNNNNNNNNNNNNNNNNNNNNNNNNNNNNNNNNNNNNNNNNNNNNNNNNNNNNNNNNNNNNNNNNNNNNNNNNNNNNNNNNNNNNNNNNNNNNNNNNNNNNACAUUGUAAUGCAUGAGAAGUUAACUUGGUGCGUUGGUGCUUGUGUAGAUGCACAAAUGCCACGCAACCAAAAACACGAGGAGGUAGAUUUGGGACGGUUGGGGCAACUAUGGCAUUAGUAAGAGCUUGGAGUGGUGUUUGAAAGUUAAUUGAGCUAGAAGGUACCCGAUUGAUCAAGUAUGCGGCAGAUGUGAUUGCUUCUCCCCAAUAAGAUAUCGGUGUUUUUGCUGCUAUCAAGGAAGCACGAACAACCUCUAACAAGUGCCGAUUUUUUCGUUCAGCGACUCCAUUUUGCUGGGGUGUAUUGGAACAAGUAGUUUGAUGAAUGAUGCCAUGUCCUUCCAAAUACUUUUGAAGAUCAGAACUUUGAUAUUCUCCACCAUUAUCACUACGCAGAACCCAAACCUUUGCAUUGUACUGAGUUUCAAUCACUUUAUGAAAUUUUUGAAACAACAAGUUCACUUCAUCUUUGGUCUUCAUCAAGCAUAACCAUGUCAUUCUGGUACAAUCAUCAAUAAAAGUAACAAACCAACGUGAGCCACUCAAAGUUGAGACUUUGGAUGGGCCCCAAACAUCAAAAUGUAUAACCAUAAAAGGAAACGGACUUUUAUUUAAAAUUAACGGAAACGAAGCACGAUGGCUUUUAGCCAAUUCACAAAUAUCACAAUGGAAACCAGAAAUAUCACUCUUUGCAAACAAACUAGGAAACAAUUUUUUUAAAUAACCAAAGGAAACAUGUCCCAAACGUCAAUGCCACAACCAAAUUUCAGAUUUUUUCUUCUCUCCCUCAGAUUCAUCUGCCAUCAAGGCUUGUUGCAACUUAUUUGAAUCCUUUGACUGCAAGUCCAAGUAAUAGAGUUUUCCCCGCUUAAUACCAAAACCAAUCGUCUGUCUUGUUUGGAUAUCCUUAAUCACACAAAAUUCAGGCCAAAAAAUGACAAUACAAGAUAAGGCUGCAGUGAUUUGAGAAACUGACAAAAGAUUGUAAUCUAAAGAUGGAACAACUAAAACAGAAUCCAAAUUCAAAGUAUCAGUAAGAGUUAAGGAUCCUUCCCCAAUGACUGGGGUUGUGUUACCAUUGGCUGUGGAAACAAUUUUUUGUGAGGAAGGUCUAAGGGUUGAAACCUGUUUAGAAUCAAAAGUCAUAUGAUCUGUAGCACCAGAAUCAAUUAUCCAUGCACUAUUAAUAACAGGUGUAAAAGUAUUUAAAAACUUACCACCAUGAUCUGUAGCGGCUACCAAUGCAGAGGCUUUCUCAGCAACAUUAGCCUCUGUUUUUAUUUUGGCCAUAAUUGCAGUCGAGGUUUUCUUGGAAUCCUUCUUCCGUUGAUCACGAUUAUUAUCAUUAAUAAUAAAGUGUUGAUAACCUAAACAUGAUUUAAAGGUCCAUGGUUCAAACCCUCGGUUCCUCAUUUUUUUCCUGAUCAUACCAAGAGUCGUUGCUUUGAAAUUGUGGGAUAUCCAGACUAGUGGGAUCAGUCUUAUUGCAGUGAGUGCAUUUGAAGGUUGACUUAUCAAUAUUACGGCUUGUCUUAGGAUGGUUGAUCGUUGUCGGACUACCAUAGCGACAAAAUAUCCAGGAUUUCAGUUUCAUGGCUCUGAUACCAUGUUCAAAUUGAUAAAUGAUAGUUUUUUCAUUCAUAUUUUCAUUCGUUCAUGUACAGAGUAUAUAUAGAGGGUAUCGCCAUUCUAAGAAUGGGAAAGAAUGAUACAAGGAAAGAAUGACAUAAGGAAAUAACAAUUAAUAUCCUAAUAUCUCAACUUUCCUAAUAUCUCAAUAUUCCUAAUAUCUCAAUAUUCAUAAUAUCUCAACUUUCCUAAUAUCUAAACAUUCCUAAUAUCUCAACACUAAAUGAUAUAAGGAAAUAAUGAUAUAAGGAAAGCAUUCCUAAUAUCUCAACAGCUACAAGGUUCAACCUCCUCAGAACUUCGGGCUCUUGAAAGUGAUAUUGUUUCUAGAACAUUGAGGCAAAGUGAUGGUAGGGGAAUUAUCUUACAGCUUUGUGCAAUCCAGCAUGAGCAUACAAAUCAUGAGGAGUUACUAUCGGAUGCAAUGGCGCCUUUGCUCAUUGAGUUCAGCGAAUUAUUUGGAGCACCUACGGGAUUACCACCUUCAUGCUCUCAUGACCACAGGAUUCCCCUCCAGCCAGGAGCAGGUCCAAUUUGUGUACUUCCUUAUCGAUACCCGCACUUCCAGAAACAAGAGAUUGAGUGCUUGGUGGAGGAGAUGUUAUCACAGGGUAUAAUUCAGCCUAACCAAAGCCCAUUUUCCUCCCCAGUACUUUUGGUGCGAAAACAUGAUGGGAGUUGGAGGUUUUGUGUGGAUUAUCGAGCGUUAAACUAGGUGACAAUCAAAGAUAAGUUUCCAAUUCCAUUUAUAGAUGAAUUGUUGGAUGAGCUACAUGGUGCCAAAUUCUUCACCAAAUUGGCUCUCAGAUCUGGGUAUUUUCAAAUGCGAAUGGAUCCUCUUGAUGUACAUAAAAUAGCCUUCCGAACUCACCAUGGGCACUUCGAAUUUCUGGUAAUGCCUUUCGGCCUCUCUAACGCGCCAUCUACAUUUCAAUCACUCAUGAAUGAGAUUUUCAAGGCUCAUCUAAGAAAAUUCAUUUUGGUAUUCUUUGAUGACAUUCUAAUUUAUAGUAGCACAUGGGUUGAACAUCUGAAACAUGUUAGAAUUGCAUUUUCCAUUUUGCCAGCUCAUCAACUUGCAGUCAAGAAAGAAAAAUGUCAUUUCGGGCAGACGCAAAUCAAAUAUUUGGGGCAUAUCAUUUGUCAAAAUGGUGUGAAGGUGGAUCCAGAAAAAAUAAAGGCAAUGAUGGAAUGGCCAAAACCAGGAGCUAUCAAAGCUUUGAGGGGUUUUUUAGGACUAACGGGUUAUUAUCGGAAGUUUAUUGCAGGUUAUGGCAAAAUUGCAGCUCCUUAGACUUACAUGUUGCGAAAAAAUGCUUUUUCUUGGUCUUAAAAGGCAGAAGAAGCAUUUAAAUUAUUGAAACAAACCAUGAUGCAGGCUCCAGUUUUAGCCUUGCCAAAUUUCUAGCUCUUAUUUGUGGUGGAAUAUGAUGCAUCGGGGAAUGGAUUAGGAGCUGUCCUAAUGCAAGAACAAAGACCUAUUGCUUAUUUCAGCACUGCCUUGAAGGGAAAGCGCCUUUUGUUGUCCACUUAUGAAAAGGAACUUAUGCCACUUGUUCUUGCGGUAAAAAAAUGGCGACCUUACUUGCGUGGGCGUCAUUUUGUGGUCCGAACUAACCAACGCAACCUCAAAUUUCUUUGGGAGCAACGAAUAAUGACAGAACCGCAACAAAAGUGGCUACUCAAAUUAAUGGGUUAUGACUUCUCCAUUGAAUUCAAAAAGGGUAAGAACAAUAUAGCAGCAGAUGCUUUAUCAAGAAAGGACACACAAGGGGAAUUCAAUGCAGUCUCUAGUCCCUUACCCCAAUGGUUGGAAUCCAUCAAGGUUGAGAAUCAAUCACACCUGGAGCUGCAACAAAUUCAUCAGUUGCAUGAGCAAGGAGAGGCUAUUGGACCAUGGGAAAAUCGAAAUGGUGUAAUAUUCUUUAAGAAGCGUAUCUAUCUUCCAUCAAACUCAGAACUCAUCCCAAUCAUUCUCCAAGAAAUUCAUGGCAUUGGGCAUGAGGGUCUUUACAAAACUCUUCAUCGAGUGAAUGAGGUAUUCUAUUGGAGGCAAAUGAGGAAGGUUGUACUCGAUUACAUCAAGCAAUGUGAUGUUUGUCAACGCCAUAAGAUAGAUCACCAAAAGCCAGCAGGUCUUCUCCAACCAUUGCCUAUUCCUACACAGGUAUGGAUAGACAUCUCUAUGGAUUUUAUUGAUGGUCUACCCCCUUCUAAGGGGAAGACAAUACUCGUUGUGGUGGUGGAUUGGCUAUCCAAAUAUGCACAUUUUAUUCCAAUGUCUCACCCUUACACUGCACCAAAGGUGGCUCAAACAUUCUUUGAAAAUGUGUUUAAACUCCAUGGCAUGCCAAGUUCAAUAGUAUGUGAUCGGGACUCCACUUUUAUAAGUGCCUUUUGGAAAGAGCUUUUCAAAUUGCAGGGCACUAGCUUCAAUUUCAACUCAUCUUACCACCCCCAAACAGAUGGCCAAACUGAAGUAGUGAAUCGGACUCUUGAGAUGUACUUGCAUUGCUUUACUAGUUCAAGACCAAAGGAGUGGGUUCAAUGGGUUCCUUGGGCUGAAUUCUGUUACAACACCAGUUUACAUGCUUCUACUCGCAAAACUCCCUUUGAAGUGGUGUAUGGAAGAGAGUCCCCCAACUUGCUUUCCUAUGUUCCUGGUACAUCAAAAGUUGAAGAUGUAGAUAACAUGCUCCAAGCAAGAGAUAAAGUUGUAAAAGACCUAAGAUGUCAGCUCCAACAAGCACAAGCUAGAAUGAAGACUGCUUAUGACCAAGGGCGAGUUGAGAGAGAAUUCGUUGUUGGUGAUUGCGUAUAUCUGCGGCUACGACCUUAUCGGCAAACUUCAUUGGCUUUGAGACGAUCACAUAAACUCUCCCCGCGAUUUUAUGGGCCAUACCGUGUGCUAGAACGAAUUGGUUCAAUGGCUUAUCGACUUGAUCUACCGCCAGGAAGUAAGAUUCAUCCAGUUUUCCAUGUAUCGAUCCUUAAAAAAUAGCUUGGUACAACUGAUAAAAUUGAUUCUCCUCUUCCAUUAGUAUCAGAAACAUCAUGUCACUUGCAACCUUAGCCUAUAGCAGUUCUAAAUUCUCGCAACAACGGGCGUAAACAUGAACUACUUAUUCAGUGGCAGGGGCUCCCAACAACAGAUGCUACUUGGGAGGAUGAGAACCAACUUCGAAACAAAUUUCCAGACUUUGUGUGUCCUUGAGGACCAGGACGAUUCCAAGGGGGAGGAAAUGUCAUGUGCAGCAAUUUUAAUUUAUUUAUUUCAGAUAUUUUGGUUUAUUGAGUUAGUUCAAAUAACUAGCAGUAGUGGGCUAGAGAGUGGGUAACGUGAGCUAUUUUUUAGUAAUUGUUGCUGUUUAAUCUCUAAGUUGUUGAGUCUGUUAAAGUAUAAAUUUCCUUAUUCUUGAGCAAUAAAAUACCAUCAGAUGAAAAACUUCCAAAAACUUGUCUUUGAUUUCUGCUUUCCAAAUUCUUUCAAUUCUGCUCAUAUUUUGCCUUAGCAACAUAGCUCGAGGGCGAGGGAGGGGAUGGGAUCGUGCCAUUAACUUAGAACGUGACAGGUUGCCUUUCCAAUGGAAAUAAAAAAUGAAGUCUUUCAAGUCUCCAUAAUAAAAAAACAUCAGAAUUCAAAUGGCAUAUAAUUUCAGGAAGAUGUUCAAGAACAGAGCAGAGAGCAAAUCCCAAGAAGUCAUCAUUAUACUAAUCUGUAGGUAGCUCUAUUUUAAUAGAAGAUCCCACAUUCUGAUGCCAGAUCCACUCAGGAAUUCCACUGCCAGGAAAAACAAUACUAAAUGCAAUAUUUUCAAACAAUAUUUGCAUCAAAACAGGUGAAGUAGUUACCGAGGAAACAGAAGCAGUGGAAGACACAUAAUUAUGUGGAAAUCUUUGUAAUUCAUUCCUCUUAUCACCACAGGAUUGGUCCUCAACUGAUUUGGAGCAAUUAUAGAAUAGGACCUGUAGCCCUUCCAAUGUGCUUACACUUGACGAGCCUGGUAAAAGUGCUGUGCAAUUGUGUGGAUGUAUGUCUCGGACGCUUGGUCGAAGCUUUGGAAUUUCUGUGAGACUCUGGUACUGCCCCAAUCGGAGGUCUUUUAGGCUUGUAAGUUCACUGAUGCCAGCAGGUAUGCUUAGAAAAUCGUUUCUGCUUAGAUCUAACUUCUUCAAUGAGAUUAAGGAGCAAAUACUAUUGAGGAUUGCUCCUUCUAUUAGUUUGCAGUCACUUAGGUCUAAAUUUGUGAAGGACAUAAAACAAGAAAAGCCAGAAGGCAAACGCAAACCAAUCCCAUUUGAACCGUUUCUAUGCAACAACCAGAAUGAAAAGAGCGAACCCAGUGAUGUAGGUGCUAAUCUUUUACAUCCAGGAUAGAUCAAUACUUUGAGGUUUCUCAAAAGAACAAUUGAAUCAGGUGGUUGUGUUAUAGCAGUUCCAUCUGCAUGGAGCUGCGCUAGAUGUUGCAAGGUCCCAAGGUUCUUUGGCAAAUUGUUUAAUUGUGAACAACCAGAGACAAUGAGUGUUUCAAGAGAUGUCAAUGUACACAUGCCUUUUGGAAGACUCACAAGAUUUUUGCAAUUCCUCAGAUUCAAUAAAACAAGGCCUUUUAGACGGUCAAUAGAAGAGGGUAGCCCUUCUAUUGAUGUUCCAUCUAAAAGAAGCUCUUUCAAAUUUUCCAUUUCCUCCAUCAUUUCUGGAAAAUUCUCUAGUUUUGAACAACCAGAGAGAAAGAGAUAUUCAAGGGAUUCCAACUUACAGACACUUGUGGGAAGACUCUUAAGAUUUUUGCACCUUUUCAGAUCCAAUAAAACAAGUCCAGUGAGAUGCUCAAUUGAGGAGGGAAGUUCCUUGAUAGCUGUUGAAGCCAAAUAAAGCUCCAAUAAAUGUUCCAUGUUACCUUGAAUAUCUGGAAACUUCUUGAGCUCUGAGCAGCCAGACAAAUUAAGAAUUUCAAGCGCUUCCAUGUCGAUGAUGCUUGGAAAACUGCUAAGCUUUUUGCAGUUUUUCAAAUUCAACAAAAUAAGCUUGCUCAGCUUUCCAAUAGAUGGGUGAACCUUAACCAAACUUGAACAACCAUCAAGAAUUAGUUUCUCCAGAUUGGGUGCACUAACUGAGAUGUCUGGAAUUUCAAUGAGGCGUUGACAGGAACUCAAUCUGAUGGUAUUUAACUUUUCAAGAAGCUGUAACAGAAAAUAAUAAUAAUGGCUUCAAUAUAUAAGCUUUCAUGGACUUUAGAGAUUAACUAAAGAAGAGACACGAAUAAAUAAUCAAUAAUCAUACCAUGUCACUUUCCCAAAGUUGUUUUAAGCUGCUAUAACACAUGUCAAGUUCUACAAGGUCCUCUGCAUAAAAACUUGAUGGCAAAGAUUCCAAAGGAUAUCCUUGCCAACAGAGAUAUCUUAGCUCAUAAGAAGGGAAUUCAAAGUCUUUAGACAACUUUACUUUACUGUGCUCUCCCAUCGAAGCAAAUUCAUGAUCUGAAUAGAUUUUGAGCAACCUAAGAUUAUUCAUCAUUACAAAGGAUUCAGUAGUAAUGUGUAUCGGCUUUGGUAUAGACAAGUUCAAGAGUAUGCCUUUAACUGCCUCUGUUCCCUGACAAACAAGAGUAGAGGACAAGUGAAGAGCAAAAUACAUACAAGUAAUAUUUGUAACCUAAACAAAAAUGAUAUUAUUGAAGCUUAUAUAUUCUAAAUAUCAUUCAAGUUUAAAAGUAGGAUCAUUUGCAGUUUGCUCUUACCAUUUUUCUUGUUAAUACACGACUUACAACCUCAGGAUAGCACAAUCUGCUCCAUUUUCCAGGUUCUUUAGGAAAUUCUUGUCCAACAAUGUCUUGCCCCAUUUGUUGUAACAAAUCAUGCAUCCAUAUCUUGUUGUCUACAAUACUUAUGAGACACUUAUCACCAAGGACUCGUAUUCCACUCUCUGCAUAGAAGUUACAAGCCUCUAGGAUUCUAGUAAUAGAAUCUUUAUCCUCUCCAUUAAAGAAGCAAGCAACAUCUAGGAAUAUCUGUUAUGUGCAAUCUAAUUCAUCAUAACUUCUCUUAAACACGCAUUGAAUUUCUUGGUUAGGUUCCCGUUCUAGUUUAUGCAAUUCACUUUCCGAUUGACGUACUAUCUUGCCAUAUAGGAAACAACCCAAAACUUUAAGACCUAAUGGCAAAGCAUUAACAUAAUGUACCACAGAAUUUGAAAGUGUUUCAUAAUCUUCCUUGGGGUGGUUCUAUUUAAACACAUUCCAACAAAAGAGUUCAAUAGCUUCCUUGUGAUCUAAUUUCUUAGCCUCAUAUAAUGUAUCCACUUCAUGCACCUCCAACAAAUGCUUAUCUCUAGUUGUUACAAUAAUUCUACUUCCUAGACCAAACCAAUUAUGAUCACCAGCUAAGGCUUCCAAUUGGUUCAAAUCAUCAACAUCAUCAAGCACAAGAAGAACCUUUUUAAAGCAGAGCCUAUCUUUUAUCAUAUGGAUCCUUUCAUCAAUAGUGCUUAUAAAGUUCUUCCCUCUUGGCAAGAUAUAAUGAAAGAGUUGCUUUUGUAAAUGAAGUAGACCUUGACUUUUGGAAUCCUCUCUAACAUUUGCAAUAAAGUUAGUAAUCAUGAAUUGAGCAACAAUUAGAUUAUAUAAAACUUUGGCAAUGGUUGUCUUACCAAUUCCUCUAAAUCCAUAGAUCCCAACCAUGCGAACAUCAUUUGAUAUUGAGUCCAUCAUCUGUGGAAAAAUUUCUUCCAUUUCUUCCAAAUGAUAAUCCAUCCCAAUGAGGUUCUUGUCAACAUGUAAGAGUUUAUGACUAAAUCUCUUCCAAAUAACAUGAGUAAUAUCCUUAAUAUAAUCCACUUCAGACCUGCCACCAGCAAGGCAUAUACAUGGAUGAGCCAACAGAGUAACAAAUAUUAGAAAACAUGAACUAAAAUUGAUUAUGCUUAGUUUCAUUUAUAAACCUCGACUUAUGGGAAAAUAGAAUGCAUUAGGGGUAAAAGAAUGAAUACAUUAUAUCGCAUACUUAAGUGUUUUCAUUAUGUUGAGUAUACAUGACAACAAAGAUCAAUAAGUUGAAAGCAUGAAAUCUAUUUAGCUAGCAUGAACUACAUGAUCGACAAUCCUUAGACAAUCAGAGAUAUUAUUCUUAGAUGAUCUUUAACCAUUUUUUCAAGCACCCCAUUAGAGCAUCAUAGAAAAAGGGCUUCUAAAUAUAGCCCUUUAAUGAUCUCUGAUAUAAUUAGCAAAUUAUACAUUUUAAAGGUACGAAUCCCUGAUCUCAUCCAAUCCAAAGGUACGAAUCCCUUUCUGAUACAAAGCUGCAUAGAGAUGAUCUGUGAAAUUGUAUCUGGUAUCUUCACCCUUAAAGCUCAAGAAAGCUUCAUAAUCCCAUGAACCAAUAGAAGUACAAGUAGAUGAUGCCCUUCGUCGAUCCAUCCCAACAAGGUUCUUCUCAACAUGUAAGAAUUCCCGAUUUAAACUCUUCCAAACAGUGGAAGUAAUCUCCUCAAUAACAUGAGCCUCAGGCCUGUAAGUGGUAAAGCAUGACACGAGUGGUGAGUCAACAGUUACAAACACCAGCAAACAUGAAGUACACUGGAUUAUAUAUGCUUUCAGCUUUAUUUAGAAAACCAGAAUUAUGGGCAAAUAGAAUGCAGUGAAGGAAUAAGGCUGAAAUACUUGGAUCACAUAUUCAGGUGUUUUCAUUUUGCCAAAGUAGGCAUAACAAUGAAGAUCAAUAGUAUGAAAACAUGUAAUGUUUUUAGCUGGCAUGAGCUACAUGUUUUUCAAUCCUUCAACAACAAGGGAUAUUAUACUUGGGCAAUCCUUUGUCAUUUGUUCAAGCUCCAUUAGAAUACCAUAAAUAAAGAGGUCUUCUAUGGAAACCGUUCUCCUUUAUUCAUCUUUUCUGACCUCCAUCCCGCACAGGAAGGGCAAUCAUCUUCACCCAUAAAGCUCAAGAAAACAUCGUAAUUCCAACCAGGAGUAGAAAUAGAAGAAAAAGACGCUCUUUGACUUUGAGGGUUUGCAAAAGCCAUCCACUCUUUACUAUGAGACGUCACUCAACUUAGCUUAAAUUGCAGGCAAUUUCUUCAUAAAAGCGGCAAGAAAUUGUAGGAAAACGCUGGUGGGUAGAAAAGACAGGGAUGAAGUCUGCCUUGGAAGGUGGGGAUGCUGUGUGCUAAAAUUCUUGUGAAGGUCUCCGGUGGAUGUAUCAUGUAUCAAAUAUAAAAAUGGAUUUCAAUAUUUUUAAUUAUUAUCUUAUUUUAAAUGUAAGAUAAUAUAAAAUUGUGAAGUUUGAUUCCAGCAACCACCCAUCCACCUUCACGAGAUGCCUACGAAAAAAAUUGGCUUUAGCAUAAUACAAGGAUCUUUGACUUUUUAUUUAUUUAUUUAUAAUUAGGAGAAGAACCUACAAAGUAGAAUACCUUUCAAUAUUUUUAAUUAUCAUUUUAUUUUAAAUGUAAGAAAGAAGUUUGAUUUGAGCUACUGUCCAUCCACCUUCAUGAGAUGCUUACGAAAAAAACAAGCUUUAGCAUAAUAUAAGGCUUUAACCUUUUUUUUUUUUUUUUUUUUAAUUAGGAGAAGAGCUUACAAAGUAAAAUACCUUUCAAUAUUUUUAAUUAUCAUUUUAUUUUAAAUGUAAAAAGGAAGUUUGAUUUAAUUUGAGCUACCACCCAUCCACCUUCAUGAGAUGCUUACAAAAAAAACUGGCUUUAUAAUAAUACAAGGCUUUGACUCUUUUUAUUUUAUUAGGAGAAGAGCCUACAAAGUAGAGUACCCUUCAAUAUUUUUAAUUAUCAUUUUCUUUUAAAUGUAAGAAAGAAGUUUUAUUCGAGCUACUGCCCAUCCACCUUCGUGAGAUGCUUAUGAAAAAAAUCUGGCUUUAGAAUAGUAUAAGGCUUUGACUUUUUGUUUUUAUUUUUAUUAGGAGAAGACCCUACAAAGUAGAAUACCUUUCAAUAUUUUUAAUUAUUAUUUUAUUUUAAAUUUAAAAGAGAAGUUUGUUUUAAUUUGAGCUACCGCCCAUCCACCUUCCCGAGAUGCUUACGAAAAAAAUUGCCUUUAGAAUGAUACAAGCCUUUGACUUUUUUUACUUUAUUAGGAGAAGAGCCUACAAAGUAGAAUACCCUUUAGUAUUUUUAAUUAUCAUUUUAUUUUAAAUGUAAGAAAUAGGUUUGAUUUGAGCUACCGCCCAUCCAAUUUCAUGAGAUGCUUACCAAAAAAACUGGCUUUAGCAUAAUACAAGGGUUUGACUUUUUUUUUUUUUAUAUUAAAAGUGCCUACAAAGUAGAAUACCCUUUAAUAUGUUUAAUUAUCAUUUUAUUUUAAAUGUAAGAAAUCAGUUUGAUUAGAGCUACCGCCCAUCCAAUUUCAUGAGAUGCUUACCAAAAAAACUGGCUUUAGCAUAAUACAAGGCUUUGACUUUUUUUAUUUAUUUUAUUUUUUUAUUAGGAGAAGUACCUACAAAGUAGAAUACCCUUUAAUGUGUUUAAUUAUCAUUUUAUUUUAAAUGUAGAAAAGAAGUUUGAUUCGAGCUACCGCCCAUCCACCUUCAUGAGAUGCUUAUGAAAAAAACUGGCUUUAGCAUAAUACAAGGCUUUGACUUUUUUUAUUUAUUUUAUUUAUUUUAUUAGGAGAAGAGCCUACAAAGUAGAAUACCCUACAAUAUUUUUAAUUAUCAUUUUAUUUUAAAUGUAAGAAAGAAUUUUGAUUCCAGCUACCGCCCAUCCACCUUCAUGGGAUGCCUACGAAAAAAGCUGGCUUUAGAAUAAUACAAGGCUUUGACUUUUUGUUUUUAUUUUUAUUUUUAUUAGGAGAAGAGCCUACAAAGUAGAAUACCCUUCAAUGUUUUUAAUUAUCAUUUUAUUUUAAAUGUAAAAGAUAAGUUUGAUUUAAUUUGAGCUACCGCCCAUCCACCUUCACGAGAUGCUUAUGAAAAAAAUUGGCUUUAGAAUGAUACAAGCCUUUGACUUUUUUAUUUUUAUUUUAUUAGGAGAAGAGCCUACAAAGUAGAAUACCCUUCAAUAUUUUUAAUUAUUAUUUUAUUUAAAAUGUAAGAAAUAAGUUUGAUUCGAGCUACUGCCCAUCCAAUUUCGUGAGAUGCUUACCAAAAAAACUGGCUUUAGCAUAAUACAAGGCUUUGACUUUUUUUUUUUUUUAUAUAUAUAUAUAUUUUUUUAUUAGGAGAAGUGCCUACAAAGUAGAAUACCCUUUAAUAUGUUUAAUUUUCAUUUUAUUUUAAAUGUAAAAAAGAAGUUUGAUUUGAGCUACCGUCCAUCCACUUUCAUGAGAUGCUUAUGAAAAAAAAUGGCUUUAGCAUAAUACAAGACUUUGACUUCUUUAAUUUUUAAUUUUUUUUAUUAGGAGAAGAGCCUACAAAGUAGAAUACCCUACAAUAUUUUUAAUUAUCAUUUUAUUUUAAAUGUAAGAAAGAAUUUUGAUUCUAGCUACCGCCCAUCCACCUUCAUGAGAUGCCUACGAAAAAAACGGGCUUUAGCAUGACAUAUGACUUUGACCAAACUGGGUUUUUUAGGAGAAGAGCUCUACAAAUUCGAUUGAAAGAUGAACCGUAAUAAUCUUUAAAACCAAACUUUGUAACAUUUUUAGAAAAAUUUGAUCACAACCUAAUCAACUUUAUAUUAUAAAUAAAUUUUUUAACUAGACAAUCUUCUAUUUUAUUUCUUUCCUAUAAAUAUGAUGACAAUAGUAAAUAUUUAAAUUUUAAGAUAACUUCCAAAUAUUCUUCAUUAAUAAUGGAAAAGAAUUAGAAAUAUUACUUUUUUUAUUAUAACAAUCUAUUACUAUUUUUGAGUCACCUUCAAACCCAUUAUUUUUAUUAGCUAAUACACUAUAUCUUAAAAUCAUACAUUCCGCAAUAAUUAUUGAAGAGUUGCUUAUAUGCCUACUUGCAAUCAUUUUUAUAGUUCUAUUAGUGUUUCUAAUAACCUAUAUAUCCUAAUGCACUUUUAUUCUUUAUCCUUGAACCAUCAAAAUUUAAUUUGAAUCUUUCAUUAAUUAGAGGAAUCCAACAAAUCCCUUUUUCAACUAUUUAAGGAACAUUGCGUCCUUUAUUUUAAAGAUAGGAAUCAACCAUUCCACCAACUGGCUUUAACAUACAAGUUCUCAUGCCCAUAUAUCUAUUAUCCCCAAGAAAGAAAGAAAGCGAUGAAAUCCUAUAAAAUUCAUUUGAAUUUUUUUUUUUUUUUUGACGUUGAGUGUAAACAGAUUAACCCACCGAUCAAAUAGUAACAUAUAUUUAUAUAAAAAAUUUAAUUUUUAAAACAUAAAAUUUAUUUUUAAAAAAUAAUUAAAUAUACUUAUCUAAAAUCUUUUUUAUCUAAACUUUUUAUUUUUAAAAAAAAAAAUUUAUAAUAUGCGAAGAUUUUAUUUUACUAGUGGACCGAUUGCAUAAGCCUGAUAGUGAAUUAUACCUUAAGGCCUAUGAAUUUUUAGCAAACAGAAAUAGGGAACCUUCUAAGAUACAUUUUCAUACUCUCGUCAUAUUCUUAGUGUCUGGGACACAUUUUCAAUAAAAUCUAUUACUAUUCUAGAACACGUGGAUGAAUAGCAUACUUAUGUAAUCAAAAUAAAAAUUUUACAAAAACAAAUAAAAAAUUUAAAUUUAAUUUAUUCAAAGGAAUGAAAAAAUAGAUUAUGAUAAAAAAUGAAUAAUAAAUAAGAAUAUUAAAUAGAUUUUAUAAAAUAUUUUAUGUGAAUUUAGAUAAUAAAAAUUUCAUUACACAUUAUUUUUUAUUUAUUUAUAAAUUUAACUUAAGAUUUAUACUUUUUUUUGGAGGCAAAUUCUCUGUUUUUUACUAGAUUUUUUUUAACAAAAAUAUUAGUAAAAUAAAUUAGUAAAUAUAGCUUUAUUUUUUUAAUUAAAAUUUGAGUGGGACCAUGGGCUUACUCAGGAGAGAGAAGAAAAAAGGAAGAUAAGAAGAGGUACAAACAGUUGUACCAUUAGUAGGUUUCUUUUACCCUAUAGGAACCAUAGAAUUUUCCUUAUUGUUAACCAUAAAAUGUAAAGUUUGUAACAUAAAAUAAUAUUUAUGGAAACAUGCUAGUUUUUACUAUAAAAUAAAAUUUGUGAUACCAUAUAGUGUUGGUACAAAACAACUUUAUAGAAAAAGUCAAUUUUUUUCUAUUAAAAAAAAAAGAGUUAUGGGAAUAGGUCCUUUUUAUCAUGAAAACCACCUUUAACCAUAAUAUGAAAAUUUUAGUGAAGUCAACGAUCUCAUUCUAAAAACAAGAAACCUAAAAUAAAAAAAAUAAAAAAAGAUUAUUACCAUUAACCUUCUCCAUGUAGUUCUUGGAAAACAUUUUAUAUACAUGCCCAUAGUAAUGAAAAAAACAUUUAGAGUACAUAUCAACAAGGGUUGUCUUUAAACCAAGAAAAAUGGAUGCACUGUGUCAAGAUUGAUAAACAAAAUGAUUCAAUAAGAGGAAAGAAACAUUAUAACAAAACAUUACGAAAAAAAAAACUCACAUUGCCACUACCCAUUAAGGAAUGAUUAUAUUGGGAAUCAAAGUAGUAAUUCUAAGAUUAUGUUUGGUUUCCAAAAAAUAAUAAGGAAAGAAAAAAAAAUGAUAAGAAAAAUUAUUUUCUCAUGUUUGGUUGUUUCAUGAAAAAUUCUAAAAAAAAAAAAAAUCAAAUAUAAUUAAAACUAGUUAGCAAAUUAUACAUUUUAAAAUUAUUUAAUCUUUAUAUCGAUAAGUUAAAAUAUAUAUAACAUGAGUUUGAAGCAAUAAAAAUAAUUUAUUGAGUUUUAAUCUAUUUUUUUAUUUUCCUUUAUUUGUUUUAUUUCCUUAUACUAUUUCUUUGUAUUUUCUUUCUAUUGCAUUUUUCCUCAAUUUUUUCAAAAACCAAACAUAGUCAAAAAGUCAAAAUAUAAUGUUGAAAGCCCAACAAAAUGGCUUUAGUUGCAUCACACCAAAACAAACUAUUGGCCAAUGUUUAGCUCAUAUUGUAGUGUAUCUUAUUACAUCUUUGAUGUUAUAAAUUGCAAUAUCAAUUUGUUAAGAUUGGAUAAUUCAAAUUUCAAUGAUGUAUCAGUGUAUUGAUUUUCAUUAGUAUUCUCAUCUAACCGUCAAGCGUGCCCCUCCAAUUUAUGAGCUUGCUCAUCCAAUUGCCUAUAUUAGUAUUCAACUUGAUUUUAUAAUUUCCCAAUCCUCUAUUUAGUUGUAAUGAUCUCUAUAUAAGUUGUGUUGAGUAAAGGUGUUAAUCACCUCACUAUGAUCAAGUCCUUGAACAUAACCAAACUUACUACCAAGAACAUCAAAACAAAUAUCAUCUAUAGUUAUUUGAACUCAUCGUGAUGAAGGACUCAAAGCCUUAAGUAUGCAAAUGUUCGAUCAUCUUUCUCUAUAAUUCAUAUGAGCAUUAUCUUUACCAAAGUUAGAAAGAGAGAUUAUUUUUACAAUUGGAUAAUUAUUUUCAUUCAUAGUCCAAAUAAGCCUUUAUCCUAAUGAUUGGAAGCUCAUUCCCCUAAAUUCUUAGGAAAGUAAGAUAAAAUCAUAAAAAUUUAUUUGACACAUAAAAUGCAAUUUAUUGUUGAAAAAAUAUCCAUGAUGUCUUAAUCAUUUAUCAACUCUAUUAUCAAUUAAAUAUUUACUAAAAAUCAUAGUUGAAAGUUAAUUAUAAGUAAGAAUUGACAUAAGUAAAUAUAAUUAAAUUAAGAAAAAUUUAUAUGAUACCGAUCAAAGGUGAAAAAAAAAAAUCAGAUCAUUAAAUUUGGAGAAGAAAAACAAAACCUUUUCUAUCUCAAUAUUUGUUCUUGACCUAUGUAGUCCACUCACUUGUGUGAAUGCUUUCAUGAAAAUUCUACUGCUGUGACAUUAAAUGCCAUUGACUGCUGAGCAUGCAAGGAAACUAAAUAGUUGGCAAGACUACAAAUAAGCAAUGAUGGGACCACGAAGACACCACGGUGCAUGGAAAACCAAGUGACAAUACCACUAUUCUACUGAUAAUAUUAACAAUGGACCAAGACUAUAAACAUUUAGAGUAGGUUUAAGCAAUGAUGGGACCACAAAGACACCACACGGCACAUGGAAAAUGAGUGACAAUACCACUCUUCUAUUGAUAAUACAAACAAUAUAUCAAGACUAUAAACAUUUAGAGUAGGUUUAGCCAUUAUUUUAGGAAAUGCUUCUAAUUUUUUUAAUACUUAAUUUUUUUAUCUUUCAAGUAUUAUAAAUUCUAAAAUCACUAUCAAAUGCAUGAGAUUGUGUGAGUCUGAAUGAGGUUGUGUGUGAGAUCUCCAUGUUUCGUUAGAUGACAAGUGAGAUGCAUGUAGCAAUUCCUUGACAAUAACAACUUUGACUCAAGUGUUCUUGGAAGAAUUGUUCACAUUCAUUGCCAUUUUCUUAUUAUGUCAUGCUUUUAGGCCAAAAGUGUACUCAAUAAGGUUUGAUUAUGUGAUGAUUCAUUUAUAACAGAAUAAAUGGAUAUUCUAUUUCAUAACGACAAAAAAUAUAUAUAUAUAUAUAUAUAUCAAUGUAUUCAAUUUUUAAUUUUUUUUUUUUUUUUGAAAAUGAAGGCAUUUGUAAUUUGAAACUUGUUAUGAUUAAUUAAGAGGAUUGUCUUUUCUUUUAAAUGAUUUGUGAAAUGUUUCCUUACUUUGUCUUUGUUGUGACAGUGGAAGCUUUCAUGCAAACAAGGUUAAUUAAAAAACACAAAGAUAAAACGAUUACACAUAUGAUACACAAGGUUUUAACGUGGUUUGACAAACCAUGCCCAGUUAUGAAAAAAUCGAAAAAUAUCACCAAAAUAUCAAUAAUAUUUCAAAUAUUAGAGGUGGUUGAAACGAAAUUGGCCAUCGAUUAUCGAUUAGGGGAUUUUCGACAAAAAAAUCGAAAAUAUCGGUGACAUAUUACCAAUAUUUUGCUAAAAACCCAAAAUUUUGUCAAAAAAUCAUAAAUGAGGAGCCAAAAAAAUUGCUACAAUAUAAAAAUUAAGGAAGUUCUAAUAUUUUAUAAAUUAAAAUUAAUUUGAUAAGAUAAAUUAUUAAUAAUUUUAAUUGUUUAAAUAAAUUAAUGUUAGUAGAAAAAGUUGUUACCACAUAUUUUUAAUAAAAUUUUAGAAAUUAAAUCUCAAAUAAAAUAUUUUAUAUAAAUUAAUUUAUUUUUUCAUUUAAAAUGUAAUAAAACAUGUUUUAAUAAAAGUAUUUUAAAAAUUUUAAAAUAAAUGAAUAUACAUAUAUUAAAGGAAUUUAAGCAAUUUUUUUUUUUAUAAAAAUUUGUCAAAUAUUAUCUUUAAUUGUACUUGUGUCAAUUACACUAAGUAAACAACUUUAAUAUGUGUAUUAUUCCUUAAUUUAUCAUUUUUUAAAAGUUUUCUAAACAUUUUCAUUCAUUUUGAAUAAUUUAUGUUCAAUCGAUAUUUGUGUAAAAAUAUCCACCGAUAUUUCCAAUAUAUCCGUGUUUAGCGAUGUUUUAAACCUUGACUAUGCCUACAUCCACAAAUGAGAGAGAAUCAUUCCACUAUACAAUAGAGAAUAUUACAGAGAAGAUAACUAGAUACAACCAUUGGGUUAGGGAAACAUCCCAUGUUUCCCCACUCCUUGUAUCCAUGCCCUACCAUGAGCCCUCUCGUUCCUCUAGGUACCUCUCAUUCUUCCUCACAUCUCUAUCCACCUUGUAUAGUCUCUAUAGGCACAUCUCUAUCUCAUGACUUUUUACCCUCAUGGCCUAGAAUAUUUAUAGAGAUAUUUCCAACAAAUUUCCUUAUUCUAUAAGGAAACUAAUAUUAUAAUAAUAUAUUAACUUACAAAAUAUUCUGUACAAUAUUCUUUAUUAAUUAGGAAUUUGGGAUAAUUUCCAACAGUCUCCACCUUGGACCAAAUUCCAUGAAGUCCAUCUUCAAUCUCUCCAUGACACAAGGUUUUUUUUUUUUUUUUGUAUCAUAUCACCAUGAGAGAACAAUCGACUUCAUCUUCAACUAAACUUCCUUUUGUCUUUGUCUUGUGUGCUCUGUAAUAUUUUGCUAUUUUAGAAAUCUUCAACCCAAGUUUUGAUACCAAUUUGUUGUGACAGCGGAAGCCGUCAUGUAAACAAAGUUAAUUCAAAAACACAAAGAUAAAAUGAUCAUACAUAGGUUUUAAUGUGGUUCGACCAACCAUGCCUACGUCCACGGAUGAGAGAAUCAUUUGACUAUACAAUAGAGAACAUUAUAAAAGAUAGAACAAGAUUCAACUAUUGGGUUCCCAAAACAUCCCAUGUUUCCCCACUCUUUAUAUCCAUACCCUACUAGAAGCCCUCUCACUCCACUGGGUGCCUCCCAUUCUUCCUUACAUCUCUAUCCACCUCAUAUAGUCUUUACAUGCCCAUUUCCAUUUCAUAACUUUUUCCCCUUAUGACCUAGAAUAUUUAUAGGGAUAUUUCCAACAACUUUCCUUAUUCUAUAAGGAAAUCUAAUAUUACAAUAAUAUAUUAACUUAGGAAAUAUUCUAUACAAUAUUAUUUACAAAAAGGAAUCUUUACUAAUUAGGAAUUUGAGACAAUUCUCAACAAUCUCCACCUUAGACCAGAUUCCAUGAAGCCAAUCUUCAAUCUCUCCAUGACACAUGCUUUUUGUAUCAUAUAACCACGAGAGAGCAAUCAACUCCACUUUCAACUAAAAUUCCUUUUAUCUUCGUCUUGUGUGCUCUUUAAUCUUUUGCACUUCCAAAAAUCUUCAAUCCGAAGCUCUGAUACCAGUUUGUUGUGACAGGGGAAGAUUUCAUGCAAACAAGGUUAAUUCAUGAACACAAAGAUAAAAUAAUCAACACAAAUAGUACAUGAGAUUUUAACGUGGUUCAGCCAACCAUGCUUACAUCCAUGGAUGAGAGCAAAUCAUUUCACUAUAUAUACAUAAAGACCAUUAUAGACGAUAGGACCAAAACAUUAUAAAAGACAUAACCAAAUACAACUAUUAGGUUCUCAAAACAUCCCAUGUUUCCCCCUCUUUGUAUCCAUACCCUACCAUGAGCCCUAUCGCUCCACUGGAUACCUCUUGUCUUUUCUCACAUCUCUAUCCACCUCAUAUAGUCUCUACAUGCCCAUCUCCAUCUCAUAACUUUUUUCUCUCAUGACCUAAAAUAUUUAUAGAGAUAGUUCCAACGACUUUCCUUAUUCUAUAAGGAAAUCUAAUAUAACAAUAAUAUAUUAACUUACAAAAUAUUCUAUACAAUAUUCUUUACAAAAAAGAAUCUUUACUAAUUAGGAAUUUGGGACAAUUCCCAACAGUCUUUAUAUGUUGAUGACAUUUUAUUGGUCGAUAAUAAUACCCAUUCUUAUGAUGAAUUGGUGGUUUUCCUCUGCCUUUGUAUGGACAUAAAGAAGCAAGUUUUGUGCUUAGAGUUAAGAUCAUAAGGGAUUGCUCAAAGGCUUUUCAAUAUGUCUUAAGAGACAUACAUUAAGAAGAUUCUAGGUGAUGAUUGCUAUGCUCUACUGUCUUAAAUACUAAACAUCAAUUAUAAAGCAACUUUGGCCAAUAAAAAACUAGAAAUGGAGUUACUACGAUUUUCGUAGUACUUCGAGUAUUGUUCUCAAUGAAAUGGCCAAUGGAAGUUGUCAAAACUAAGUGAUUUUUUUCUAAUCUAAUUCUUUAAAUUGAGAAUAUAUGAAAUUUAUUUGAAUAAAUUUGAUUUCACUAAAAUAAAUCUAAUUAAAUUUCAAGAGCAUUAUUAAUUUCCAACUCAAAUGAUUCAAGAUGGGGUUUUCGUAAUCCAACUUUGAGCAUAAGGUAUUUAGAAUGUAUUAUCAAACGUGAUCAACCCGAUUUCCAUACCUCAAAGUUGUGUUUAUAUUUUUACUUUUAAUGUUUUAUUCCAUUUUGAAUCACUUAAUGGAUGAAUGGAUAUGAAAUCUGGGUUUAGGUCUACGAUUUUUAAGCUUUUAACAAUGAAAAAACUUCAAAUAAUUAGGGAUCAAGAACUACCAAGAAUACCUAGUAUCAAGGAAUGGAUUGUACCAUCCCCUAAUCUCAACUAACAUUAGAGGGUAUUUUGAUUUCAAUGCCAAUCUCAACUUUAGAUUAUCAUUUAGCUAAGAGCCACAGUUUGAGUAUUAUCCUAGUCACUUUUCAGUCAUCGUUACCAUGGCUUACUAUCAAAGUUUAACCCAUUUUUAAGUUUCUAUUAGGGUCACACCUGACUAUUUAGCCUUUUAUGUCUCUAUUAGUACCGCACCCCAAUUGUCCAACCUUUUUAUGUUUUUCUAUUAGCAUCAUGCCCCAAUUGUCCCACAUCUUUUAUGUUUUCUUAAUACCGUGUCUUAACUAUCUAGCCUCUUUUUAUGUCUCUUAUUAAAGUUGCACCCUAACUAUUCAACCUUUUUAUAUUUUUUUUAGUAUGGUGCCUUAACUAUUUAACCUCUUUUAUGUAUUCUUAGAGUUGCAUCAUGGUUGUCUAACCUUUACGUCUCUUGUUAGUGUCAUGCUAUGACUAUUCGACCUUUUUAUGUCUUUUUUAAUUCUACACCUCAACUGUCUGGCCUUUUAUGUCUUUUUUUAGUGACGUGUCCUGACUAUUCAACCUUUCUUUGUUUUUUCAUGUCACACUUAGAUUGUUUGACAUUUUUAUGCUUCUCCUAUUGUCGAUCGUGCCCUAAUUGUCUAGCCUUACUAUAUCAUUUUUAAUGUCAAGCCUUGACUGUCCAACCUUCUUAUGCUUCUCCAAUUAUCGCACCUUGAAAAUCUGGCUUGCGUGUUUUUUUUUUUAGUAUUAUACCUUGACUGUCCGACCUCCUUUUUAUGUUCCUCUUAGUGUUGCACUCUAACUGUCCAACUUCUUUAUGUUUCUUUUUUAGUGUUGUGCUUAAACUGUCAAGCCUUCUUAUGUUUUUUCUAUUGUCGCACCCCGACUGUCCAACCUUUCUAUGCCUUUUUUUAGUGUCGCACCCUAACUAUUUAACCUUCUUAUGUUUCCUCCAUUGUUGUGCUCCGAUUGUCCGGUCUUUCAAUAUCUUUUUUUAGUGUUGCGCCCCGACUAUUCAAAAUUUUUAGGUUUAUACUAGUGUUGACCUUGUCUAAAAGGCUUCUUUGUGUUUUUGUUUAGUGUCACACUCUAACUGUUUGGCCUCCUUAUGUUUUCUUAGUGUCACACCCUAAUCGUCUAACUUUUUUAUGUCUUUGUUAGUGUCACACCCUAAUUAUCCAACUUUUUUAUGUUUUUUAUUAAUGUCAUGCCCCAACUAUCUAACCUCUUUUAUGUUUUUUUAGUGUCACACCCGGACUAUUUGUCCUCCUUUUGUCUCUAUUAGUGUCAUGCUUUGAUUGUCCAACUUUUUCAUGUUUUCCCAGAGUUAUCUUCACUAUCCAAUCUUUUCAUGUUUUCCUAAAGUCAAGCCAUGAUUGUCCAACAUCUUUUAGGUUUUCCUAGAGUCAUACCCCGAUUGUGGGGUCUUCUUUGUAUUUCCUCUAGUGUCCAUGCCCUGAUUACCUAACCUCUUUUCAUUUUUAUUUUAUUAUCCUUGAGUCUUUUCUCUAAUCAUUAGUUUCCUCUCUUUUCUUCUUCUCUCUUUUGUUCACCCAUUCAUUCCCUCCCUUGGAUAGCAAGGUCCUUAGUGUUUCACAUAGAUAUUGUCACUACCCUAUUCAAAAGAGUCUCUCUUAAGAUCCAUGUAGAUAUUGCAUGUUUCUCUACUAGUAGAUCAAUGAGCACAUUUCAUAACCUUAGAGAGUUUGUGUCUUACUAAGAUAAAUUUGGUGAUCUUUCUUGUACUUUAGUAGAGCCCACUUAGUUGGUUUAUACACUUACGUCACUUGUGAACUCUUCUAAAAAUAGACAUAUUUGUAGAUCCCAAAAUUUGGCCCAAGCCCAUUCUCACUUUUUAUUUUAUUUUAUUAUUUUAAUAUUAUUUAUUUAUUUGAUUUGAUUUGAUUUUUACUUUUUUUUUUCUUUUUUUCUUUUUCGUUUUUUGUUGAUUCCUUGUUUUUCACCUUUUUUUUUCUCUAACUACCAUGCAACUGCAGCGCCCCAUUUCCCCUUCUUAUUUUUCUCUCUUCCUUCUCUUUUCUUUGUUUCUUUCUUUUUCCUUCCUUUUUGUUUUUCUUUCUUUUUCUCUCUUCUCUCUACCUACUUUCUCUCCCAAACCUAUCUCCAGUUGUCACCUACCUUCCCCAUCUUUUCCUUUCUCAUUUAUUCUCCUCUUGUUUUUCUUCUUAGUAACUAUUUUUCUCUCUAACCUUGAAGAUCCAUAACCAUGGCUGGCCGGCCGAUACUCACAACGGCAUCAGUGAGCCAUUAUUGGACUACGAUCCCUUUUCUCUCUUUAUUAUUUUUUUUCACUUUCUCUCUCUUUCUCUUAUCUUACCCAUUUUCUUUUAUUUAUUUAUUUGUUAUUAUUAUUAUCAUCAUCUCAUUCUUUCCCCUUUAUCCCUUGUUCCACAUUGCAUUCAAGAAAUAGGUAAGAUGCUCCUUUUCAUUUUCUUAUUUCUUUAGUCAUUUUAUUUUUUAUUCCUAGAGUAAUUGUUCUUGAUUGUUGAGUUUACUUGUUUGGACUUUAGAUAAUUUCGCUUGGAAUUUGCAUAUUAUUUGUUGAUCUUUUUUUAGAUUUUAAUAAAUUAAGUUAUCCAAAAAUCUUCUUUUUAAAAAAUAAAAUACAUCCAAUAAGACAUUUUCAUUGAAUAAGAAAAAUGGACCCAAAAAUUUCUUUUAAUAAAAAUAAGUUUUAGUUUUAGACAUCUUUUUAGAUAAAAUAGUCCAAAAACUUUGUUUUAAUAAAACAAACAAUUCAUAAUUUUAAAAUAAACAAAUAAAAAAAGGUUCAGAAAACUUUUUUCAAAUAAAAUAAAAUAAAAAUAAAACAGUUUAACAAUCUAAUUUUAAUGAAAUAACAGUUCAAAAAAUAUUUUUUUAAUAAAAGAUUUUUUUUCAAAAUAGAAAGUUUAGAUAAAUGUUUUUUGAGGAAUCUAAUUUUUUUUUUUUUUUAAAAAAUUGUUUUUAAUAACAAACGGUCUAGAAAUUCAUUUGUUAAAUAAAAUUUUUCCAAAAAACAUUGAUUUUUAAAUAAAAUAGUAUAAAAAGUUAAUUUUAAUAAAAUUCUCUUUCCUUGAUAAGAAUGGAAUUAAAAGUAAUUUUUAUAAAUAAAUGUCUUAAAGAAUUUUUUUUUUUUAAUAAGAAUAGGAUAAGUAAACCUUUAAAUCAAACUGAAAGACCUUUUUUUUUUUUUUUAAUAAAUUGGUAAACUAAUAUCUUUCUAGAUGAAAUCAAAAAAUUCUUUCUUAUUAAAAUUGGAAUCCUUGGGAAUAAAUUUGUGAAAUUCUUUCUCUAAAUAAAUUAGUAAUAAAUAAUCAUUUUCUAGGUAAAAUAAUAUAUAUAUAUAUAUAUAUAUAUAAAUAUUUUAAUAAAUUGGGUUGAAAUUCCUUCUUAUAAACUUAUAAAUAUUUUCCUUUAAGUUUGUAGAAUUUUUUUUUAAAACAAAUAAAGAUUGAAUCAAAACACUUUUUAAAAUAAAUUAGUAAAAUUCACCCCUUCUUCAUAAGGUAAACAAAAAUCAUUUCUUGUAAAUCAAAUAAAAUCUUUUGUAAUAAAUUGAAGCCUUGUGAAUAAAUAAAUUCAAAUCAUUAAUUUGAAAUUGUUAUUAAUAUAAAUGAAUUCUUUAAAAAAAUUUGGAAAUUGUAUUAUGAUAUUUGAAAUAAUAAAAAUUUUCUAAUAAAUUAUUUUGUGCAUGAUAGAACCAAAAAUGACAAGUUCUGUAAAUGCAAAGUUUGAUAACACUAGAACUCUGGGAGAAUGCAACUUUUAUUGAAAAACAAUAAUCAUGGCUAUUAAAUAGCCUUACACCAAAACAGAAAUGUAAACAGCAACCCACGAUUUUACAGGACCUAGAAUCGUGGUUCAUGACUAAGUCUUGAACAAGAAACAGCAAACGUAUCCCUCAAGUAUAGGAGGGUUAUUAGCACGACUGAAACAAAUCCUAAAAACAAGGUUCCUGACCUUAACAGCUAGGAAAAAACCAACAAUUUUAUCAUCCUCCCUUAAACUGAAUACUAUUGACUUUCAGUUUAUUCCAGAAUAUUCGCAGACGCCCAUUAAACCUCGCAGCUUCUGAAAUGCUUCAAGCUUCAAUGGCUUUGUCAUGAUAUCUGCAAUCUGCUCAUGGGUAGAACACUGUAACAGCUCCACUACUUCAUCUUUGAUAAGAUCUCGAAGAAAAUGAAAGCGCACAUCUAUGUGCUUGCUCCGACCGUGCAUGACUGGAUUCUUCGAGAGCUUAAUUGCUGAUACAUUGUCGCAGUAUAUCACCGUAGGACUGGUUUGCACUUGAUUCAAACUUUUCAAAAUUCUUCUUAACCAAACAGCUUGGCAUGCACUUGACGCUGCAGCAAUGAACUCUGCUUCAGUGGUAGACAGAGUAACCACUGGUUGCUUCUUUGAAGACCAUGAUACUGCACUUGAAUUCAUAAAAACAUAACCUGAGGUGCUCUUCCUGUCGUCCUGAUCACCAGCAUAAUCGCUGUCCGUAUAGCCAAUAAACUUGUCAUCUCCUCCCUUCUUGUAGAACACUCCAAACUCAACUGUGCCCUUCACAUACCUUAGUAUUCUUUUUGCUGCCAGCAAAUGGGACUCAGUGGGAUGCUCCAUGUAUCUACUAAUUAAACUCACACUAAACAUUAGAUCAGGACGCGUUGCCGUUAAGUACAUAAGGCUUCCCACCAUUUGCUUGUAAAGAGUGCCAUCGACUUCCACUCCUUCUUUAUCCCGUGUAAGUUUAAAACCAGGAACCACUGGAUUGUGCACUGGGUUACACUGAUACAAAUUAAAUCUCUCUAACACUUCUUGCGCAUACUUCCUUUGACUGAUAAAAAUACCAUCUGUUUUUUGCAUCACUUCAAUACCAAGGAAGUACCUCAAUUUUCCGAGGUCAGUCAUAUCGAAUUCCACCAUCAUGGACUUCUUGAAUUGCUUGAACAUAGACUCAUCAUUUCCAGUAAAAAUAAGGUCAUCAACGUAAAGACAAACAAUCAAAAUUUUACCUCCUUUCGCUGUUUUAGUGAACAAAGUGUGCUCGUAGGGACAUUUGUUGAAUCCUUCCUUGAUGAAAUAUGACUCUAUACGACUAUACCAGGCUCGUGGAGCCUGUUUGAGUCCGUAUAAUGCCUUUUUGAGACGAUACACCUUUGAUUCCUUCCCUUUCUGUUCGUAACCUGGUGGCUGUUCAACAAAGACUUCUUCAUGAAUUUCUCCAUGCAAAAAUGCCGAUUUCACGUCGAGUUGAUAGAUCAUCCAAUCCUUUUGUGCAGCAAGUGAAAUAACUAUUCGAAUUGUUUCUAGGCGAGCUACUGGUGCGAACACUUCGACGUAAUCCACCCCAUAUUGUUGGCUAUAUCCCUUAGCAACUAGCCGAGCCUUGUACUUGUCCACUUCCCCAUUCUCAUUAAGCUUCGCCUUGAAAAUCCACUUCACUCCAAUGGUUUUCCCUCCUGAUGGUAGAUCCGUUAAUUCCCACGUAUUAUUCCUCUCUAUUGCUUCGAUUUCCUGAUUCAUGGCCAGCCUCCACUUUUCACUUCUCACGGCAUCAUCAUAUGUUGUGGGAUCAUUGUCAGUGAACAAGGCUAACUGAGCCAAAUUCACACUUUCUUCAUCUGAAAGUCCUGCACCAGUUUCGUAAUCUUGCAUCCAAGUUGGUGGUCUUCGUGUUCGUCCUUCAUGAGGUGUGUUAUCUUCAUAUGUGGUUUCUCCAUUUUCGAAUGAGUCACUGUCGUUUGACUCACUGUUUCCCAUAUCUUCACCAGCUUCAGGUUCUUCUUCAUUUCCGUCAUCUUCCGUAUCUGUUUCUUCAUCCGAUUCCCACUCAAGAUCAGCCAAAAUGGCUGGCUCAUGACUGUCAUCCCACUUCCAUUGUUGAUCUUCUUCAAAGACCACAUCUCGGCUUAUAAUAAUUUUCUGUGAGAUAGGAUCAAACAGUCUAUAGGCCUUAGAUUCUUCACUUACCCCCAGCAAUAUACACCUAAGACUUUUGGCAUCAAGUUUCACUCUUUUGUGGUCAGGCACGUGCACAUGGGAUAUGCAUCCAAAUAUUCUGAAGUGGUCGACAGAUGGUUUGCGCCCACUCCAUGCUUCUUCAGGUGUUUUAUUCUUCACAGCAAGAGUUGGACUUCGGUUUAGCACAUGCACUGUCCAGUUGACUGCUUCAGGCCAAAAGGUUUUAGGAAUUUGUUUCUCUGAUAGCAUACUUCGUACCAUAUUCAUAAUGGUUCGAUUCUUCCUUUCGGCGACACCGUUUUGCUGAGGAGUAUAGGCAGCCGUCAAUUGCCUUAGGAUUCCAUUCUCAUUGCAGAAACUUGUGAAUUCGUUUGAUGUGAAUUCACCCCCACGAUCUGUUCUCAGGCUCCUUAUGAAUGCUCCGGUUUCCUUCUCAACCUUGGCCUUGUACGUUUUGAAUGUGGCAUAGGCUUCUGACUUUUCAACUAGGAAGUAAACNNNNNNNNNNNNNNNNNNNNNNNNNNNNNNNNNNNNNNNNNNNNNNNNNNNNNNNNNNNNNNNNNNNNNNNNNNNNNNNNNNNNNNNNNNNNNNNNNNNNGUUUUACGACUGAAGUCAUCAAAAAAGGUGAUUAAGUACCUUUUCUUGCUAUUGGAAAUUGGAUUUAUCGGGCCACAUAUGUCAGCAUGUAUUAAUUGAAGGAUCUUGGAGGCUCUCCACAAACUUUCCUUUGGAAAAGGAUCACGGUGCUGUUUGCCCACAAGACAGUUCUCGCACACUUUCUGAGAAGCUUUGAGCUUUGGUAACCCUUCAACCAUGUUCUUCUGUUGGAUCACUUUGAGUCCAUUCCAGCUGAGGUGCCCAUAACGACAAUGCCAAAGAUCUGCUUGAUCUGUGGUCAUCAUGGAGAGACACUUUUGUUCCUUUGGUGGGCAGCGAGCAAGCACAGCAAACAUUCUAUUAUAUGUCAUCUCAGUUUCCAUAAUGAGACCUUUCUCAGGAUGAAAGAUCUUACAUUUGCCAUGUUGUAUAAGCACGGCAAGUCCCCUUUCUUGUAGUUGGCCUAUGCUGAGCAAGUUCUUCUUCAAAUCUGGCACAAAGUAAACUCCUGUAAUCACAUGUACGAUCCCGUUCACCUCCAUUCGAACCUUGCCCUUGCCUUUAACCGUGAGACUAGAAUCAUUUCCCAGUUUCACUGACUCUCUGAAGUUGCUAUCGAGUUCAAUAAAUAUUUCCCUUCGGCCACACAUAUGGUUGCUACACCCAGAGUCAAGAAACCAAAUGUAUUCCGUCCCAGCUUCUUUAAAGUCCACCUGUGCCAUCAAUAACAUCUCUUCUUUUGUUUCUGCGUAGUUCACCUUUGGAUCCCUUGCUCUCUUAGGGCACUCCCAUUGAAAAUGCCCUAAUUCAUGACAGUUAUAGCAUUCCAGGAAAGAUUUGUCGAACCCAAAUCUACCAUUUCCCCUUCCUCUUCCACGAUAAGCACCUCGACCGCCAUGUCUUCCUCCCUGCUGGACUCCUGUCGUGACUUGGAGUGCUUGUUCAUCCACAACAUGCCGGCUGAUUCGCUGUUCGUGCACCAGGAGGCUACUCUGAAGCUCAUCUAUGGACAAAGUGUCCAAGUCAUUCGACUCCUCAAUUGAGCAAACGACAUAAUCAUAUUUUGAAGUCAUAGACCUUAAAAUUUUUUCAAUAAUCACCACAUCCACCAUUCUCUCGCCGUGAGUCCUCAUCUUGUUAGCUAUGAUGAGUGUUCUUCCAAAAUAAUCGUUGACAGAUUCUCCAGUCUUCAUGUGCAACACUUCAAACUCUUUACGAAGAGCUUGCAGUUGGGCACGCUUGACCCGUGCUGUCCCCUGAUAUUUCUGCUUCAAAGAAUCCCAUAUGUCCUUUGCAGUAUCUUUCUUCAAGAUUGUCUCCAGGAUUGAACGAUCAAUGGCCUGGAAUAGGUAGUUCUUAGCCUUCAAGUCUUUCAGCUUCUGAUCUUCCAAUGCCUUCUUCUGCGCAUCACUGAGAUCAAUUCCUUCUGCUGCUGCAGUGAUCCCCGUUUCUACCAGGUUCCAGUAUUCCUUGGAACGUAGGAAAUUCUCCAUUAGCAUGCUCCAGUGAUCAUAGUGUCCAUCAAACCUUGGAAUGGCAGGUUGUACGAAACUGUUCUCAGAUGCCAUGUCUUUUGUUCCUUCACGCUAAGUUUGGUCAGGCCCGGUGAUGUUGCUCUGAUACCAAAUGAUAGAACCAAAAAUGACAAGUUCUGUAAAUGCAAAGUUUGAUAACACUAGAACUCUGGGAGAAUGCAACUUUUAUUGAAAAACAAUAAUCAUGGCUAUUAAAUAGCCUUACACCAAAACAGAAAUGUAAACAGCAACCCACGAUUUUACAGGACCUAGAAUCGUGGUUCAUGACUAAGUCUUGAACAAGAAACAGCAAACGUAUCCCUCAAGUAUAGGAGGGUUAUUAGCACGACUGAAACAAAUCCUAAAAACAAGGUUCCUGACCUUAACAGCUAGGAAAAAAACCAACAAUUUUAUCAGUGCAUUUCUUAUGUAUCAUUUUUGCAUAUCCCUAUAAUUUGCUUUUGCAUUAUUUCAUAUAUUUAUAUUAUUCUCUUUUUUGUUUCAAUAUCCAUGAUUAAUUAAUUAAUUGUCAUAAUUCCCUUUAACAAGCUUAGUAAAAACCUUUUUAAGGCUUAAAAUGGUGUUAUUAGGGCACAUUCCCAAUAGGUAACCUAACCUCUAAAUUCAAAUUCAGUUUUUGCUAACAUGUCUUUUCUUUAAAAAUGGAGUUACACUAAGGCUUUAUUUCUUAUUUUUGUUUUCUUUUUAAAAUAAACAAAUAUAAGUGACGACUCCAACUUAAAAAAAAAAAUCAGUUUUUUAAAAUAAAAACAAGUCUCAUCGUUAAGUAGGGACGCACAUGAAAAAUGCGGGUUCACAAUUGUAUUUCUUAGACUUAAAAUAUAAAACAAUUACUAAAUCAAUGAAUGUUGUAAGUUUUUAAAUCUUUGAUCAUAAAAGAUUCAAAGUACAAUGAAGCAAAUAGUUCUCAAAAGAAAAAAAAAAAGUUUAAAAUGGAAAAUCUAAUAAUAAAGACAAUGAAACAAGGUGGUAUGGUAGGAGUUAAAUAGAAAAAUCUUUUAUUCAUCAAUAUAUAGUUCAUUUUGUAGAAAAAGGUUCAAAAGAAAUAUUGCAUACAUUAAUAGAUUAAGUAGAUAAAAGGGAUUUAAGUAAUUUGAUAUUUAUGCUUUAGUUAGAUAACAUCAAAUAGAAAUUUGAUAUUAUUAGUUUCCAUACUGAAUUUAGAAAUCUAUCACAUGGAUGUUAAGAUUAUCUUUCUUGGAAUGGUUAUAUAAAUUAAGAGUAUAUGGGCAACCUAAUGGAUUUAUUGUUCUAGGACAAGAACACAAAAUUAGGGAUAAAUACAUUUAGCUAGGUUGGUUUUUAACCAAUCCAAUAAUCAAAUAGGAGUUGAUUGGUUUUAACUAAAGUACAACAAAUUUAUUUAUUUACUCAAACUAAUCCAACUUAAUAUCAGUUUGAUUCAGUUUAGUUAACUCAAUUUAGACAAAAAUAUUGAGUCUAUAUAUUUUUUUUCUCCACAUUGACCAUACAACCAAAAUGAUCAAAUUGUUUUAGAUAAAAUUUUUUUUUUUUUUACAAAUAAUACAAUUAAAAUUUUAAAAAAUAAUGUGUAGGAGUAGACUUGUGGGUUAUUUGCUUGUUGGGAGUAAGUCAAUGAGUAGUAUUAUUAACAUAUUGGGUGCUUGUGACUUGAAAUUAUCUUAUCAUCAUUAUUAACUCCCAUGAUCUUAAAUUUUAGAUCAUGUUUAUGCCAUAAGCAACUUUUAAUUUGUAAUAAAGUCAUAAGAGUUAGGCUCCAUGCCUCCAACACCAAACUGUAACCCAACUAAGUUGGCUUUGGAUGAGCGUGAUUUGACUCACAAAGUCCCAAGAUUCUCCACAACACUCCAAAAUCCAAGCAAUUAUAUUUGUCCCACUCCUCUACUACUUGGGUUUGUUUGCCAGUCCACUUUAGGUAAGUGAUCUAGGUUGAAGCUUCCAUAAGCCAAAUACUCAAACUAGUUUGAUCUCUAGUUUCUCUAUACUACCAAAAUAGAGUAAUUCAAGUAGAAAUAACCAAUGGCGCAUGCAUGACAAGUUUUGUUGUCGAUGAGGUUUACAAAUAGUCUGCGGAGAUCCUUUUCUAAUAUAAUUUGGAACAACUACUAGUGGGGUUUGCCUAUAAACUAUUAUCCAAGGCUAGUUAGGCUGUCAAACAAUGCAAAUUGAAGAUUUAGGGGCCAAAUGAAAGUAACCAAGUUUGAAGAUGAUGGAACUACUUAUUAGCGCAAUACAAAGGCAUAUCUCAAGCACCUUCUCGGUACAAUGCUUCAAGUGAAUUAACUACAUUCAUGCACUAAAGACUUCCACAACAAAGGAAAUUUUGCAAGAAUAAUCUAAAGAGCUACUACAAAAGAGAAUAGUCUUGUGAACAUAUGUAAUUGAUUAUGCAUUAAUUAAGAAGGCUUCUAAAGUUGGAUAAGUUGUUUAGAAUUUUGAAUAGAGAAUUUGUAAACAUCACAGAAUUGAUCUAAGAGAUGUUUACUAAGUUCUAUCAUGAUAAUAAAGUAUUGAGGAAAAACUAUACCACCAAAACCAAGUUGUAUUUGCUAAUAAUACUUACAACAUUUCUAUUAAGAAAGAAACUAUCUAGUGGUAGAGGACAAGUUGAUAAUUUUAGUUCAUGAAGUUUUCACUGCCCAAGCUAACAUUAAAAGCUAUAACAAGACAAAUCCCAAUAAGGUAAGAUAAAAGGCUCACAGAAGGGACAUCUUGCUCCUUGUUGAAAAUCUCAUUCAAUUGCAAAUCUACCACAUCAAGAAUGCUCCCUCUUCUAUAAUUUUCUCAUACCCAAUCCACAACACUAUUAUUAUAGUUGUUUUGCAUGCCUUUUCUUUUUCUUUUUUUGGCUUUCUAAGUUAAUUUUUAUUUGGUUAUAGCAAUAGCUUCAUUGGUGUGUUAUCUUAUAGGUAAUUCCUCAAACAUGUUGUCCUUAUUGUUGCUAUUAAGUCUUACUGUAUGAAAUGAAAAAUUAAAAUUCUUGUAUUUAAAAUCAAAUGGAAGCACAAGAAUUAAAAAAUACAAACAUAAGAGAAACACUAAAAUCCAACUCCAAAGAGUAGAAUCAAUUUUUCCAUAUCUACAAAAUUUAGGUGCUUAGAUUUCCAAAAAUGAAAAAAAAAAAAACAAAAAAAAAAAAAAAGUGGGGUUAAUUGAGAGAAGACCUACAUCUACAAAACAUCAAGGUGUGAGGUUAAAAGAGAGGAAUUUAAUCCAUACCUGAUAUGGAGACAUGUAUUCGAACACAUUGACUAGAUUUGAAGAAUGCAAUUCAUACAUGGGAACUUGUAUACAAAAAAAAAGUUGGUUUUUAGAGGCACUGGAAGGUAGUUGAAGUAAUGGUGGUAGCUGUUGAAAGGGUUGAUGCUGGUGGGAAGCCAUUGCGCGCCAUUGGUAAAAAGAAAGUUAAGUGAAUUGGAGACUCAAUGAAGAAGAUAAUGUGAGCUUGAUAAAAUUUCCUCCAACUUUUCCUUCUUUCUCUUAUUUUCCUAACUAAUUUUAAAGGAAAGUAGUAGGGAAAAUAUUACAAAAUUUUCUAUAGUAUUUUCCUUUAUAUUUUUUUCCAUGUCACCCAAACAUAGGAAAAUAACUUUCCACAAUAUUUUUUUUUCCUUGCCCUUGCAUUUUCUAAAAACUAAACACGACCUUUAUAAAUAAAAAUUAAGAAUUACAGUAAGACUGUAUAUUCUUCCUCUUUAUUCCUACAUUUCUACACCCACUACUCUAUUUUACAUCAUAUUUUUACUCCCAUCUUCAAUCAACAUUCCUCCCUUUAUAUAGAGUUAUCUUCAAACCAAUUCAUAAGAUAAGAAAGAUGAAUGAACCUUGGGGCAAGGUUGGACAGUUGGUGGCAGCUAGUCAAGGCUAGAAGUCAACUUUUGCUCGACUUUUUGGGCAUGUGCAGCAAUGUGUGGAUCUCUCUUUAGCAUGAAAAUGGCUAGAACAUGUUAAGCUCUCUUAUUAGAUGAUGUGUCAACCAUAGGGUAAUCAUAGGAUGGGGAAUAUAUGGUAAUUAUGCAGAAAUAAAAAAUAAAAAAUGGUAUCCAAUUAUAUAGAAAGACAUCUUCCAACAUUUGAUAUAACUAUGUAAAAAUUAAGAGAAAAUAUUUUUAAAAAAAAACAUAUUAAACCUAAAAUAGGGACUUAAUAAUAAAAUAAAUUUAAAAUGUAAAACUAAAACCAAAUAUUAAAUAUGAAUAUAGUUUAAGUAUUAAAAAUAUUAUUAUUAGGUUUAAUUAUUGGGUUUGCUAGAGGAGUUUAUAUAUAUUCGUUUUUUCUUUUUUUAAUCCUAUCUCUAUGGUUGAUAUUAACUAAAGUGAACUUGUUAUCAAUAGAUUCAAUUUAGCCAUGUCGGUUGAUAUCAAUAGGUUAUUUUUAAGUAAAAGAAAAAAAAAUCAAUUUUUUUCCUUUUUCUAUUCAAUCAAAAAACAAACUUCAUAUGGACCACUAUCAAAUACCAUACUCGGGGAGAAAUCUGGAUCCUCACUCUUUGAUUCUAAUGCAUUGAAUUUGAUGUUACCUAAAACAAAAUUAUAUUUCAUGUCCUCUAUUAUGAGUGGACAACCAUUCCUUAUGUUAGAUUUUAGAUAAAGAACGAAUAUUGAAGAUUGGAGAUGUAAGAAAUUAGGAGAGAAAUUAGGGCAUCCUAAUUUUAAAUAUGUAACAAAGUUCUAUAAUCACUUCAAUCCACGUUUUAAAAUUUGUAUUUCUUUCUAAUAUGGGAGCAAACUUUUUCUUUCUUUCUUAUAAAUGUCAUUUGGGAAUUAUUUAAAAAUAAAUAAAUAAAGGACCUUCUAAAUAUUUAAAAAAAAAAUAAAACACUUUCUUAUAAAAAUUAAUUAGGUGGAUGGUAAGGUCAAAUUUGGGAUAGUUUCAUAUUUUUUGCUUUAACUGAAAAUAAAAAUAAAAAUUAAAGUAAUCAUUUUUAAGGGGUAAUGUUGAUAUUGUAAAAGUUUUAUCAAACAUGAAAGAACUUCUUAUGUAAACAAAAAUAGAAUCAUAAAAUUCUUAUAAGAAAUAACAUUUUUAUGACUUCAAUAUGAAACCUUUUUUAAAAGUUAUAUGUUUAAAAAAAAUGAUUAAAUAGGUAUAAAAACUUUUAUUCAACGUAAUUUUAUUUUUUUUAACUCUUAAAAGUCAGUCCAAAUAAAAUUUAAAUAUAUUUGAAAAUCAAUUUAUUUUUUAAUUCAUGAAAUUUUAUUUAUUGUUAUUUAUUUAUUUGGGAUUUAAUUCUUUACAAUUAUUUUUGAGUGUUUAUAAAGUAUAAUUAGGUCAUGCCCAAAUUUAUUCCUUUAACUCUAUCUAUUAGGUAUAGGUAGCGUGAAAUUUUGGCCUCUCUGCACCUGCGCUUCUGACAUUGUCAUGCCACAACUACUAAUGAUCGAAGAAAAUGAGACAAUGGUCAAUGAUUAUUCAGGACUCUAGAACUUUCCUGCAAACUUAAUAUAUUGACUUGGACUUGGAGAGUUCGGUCAAUUGCAGCAACUUAGUUAAUUGUAAGUGUCUUUUCACUAAACCAUAAAUUCAAAUGAUCAACUCCUACGUUUUAAUUUGCAAAAAUCAGUGAUUUGUUUUAUUAUUUUAAUUCAAGGAAGCAGGAAAGGGUUUACUUUAAUGUAGAAAAAAAAAAAAAAAGGGAGUUGAAAAGUAAUCAAAUCACUAAAAAACAGAUUUGGAGUUUUUUGGUGUGGGGUUAAACUCAAUUUGUGAUCGGUGAUUUUUUUUUUCCUUUUCCUUUAUCUUGAUGUAGAUUUUGUGAUAUUGUUACUAAAAUAGAAAGUAAAAAUAUAAAUUAUUUACAAAUUAUUUUAACUUUAGGAAAAGCAUUUAUUUUAAUUUAAAAUAAAUAAAUAAAAAAGAAUUGACUUUAUGUCUCAACUGUAUAAGAAUUCAUAAAAAUUAUAUUAUUUGCAAAAUAUUUUCGGAUGUAAAAGUAAAAAUUAAACAAACCAUUUCAUGAUCUUUUUCACAAGUAUCCAUUUAGAUCAUAGUCUAAUUUUAAAAUAUUAGAAUAAAUCAAUUAGUCUAAACUAUAACAUUUAUAAUUUUAAACAUUAUUAAUGUGAUACCUAACCUUCUACGAAUCACAACAAAAAUUGUCAAAUCAAGAUAAUUUUAAACUAUGCCAUUUCAAACUUUUCUCAUACAACAUGAUAUUUUAUCAUGUGCAAAGAAAUUGGAAUGGCCAAAAGUUGUCAAAUUAAGAUAUAUCUAUUGUGGACAUAGCAUUGGGAAGCUUCUUAGCAUUGUACUCGUCUAUUUAAUGAGUUGUUCAUAUUGAAAUUAAGGUUGAAACAGGAACACAACAUCAAAUUCCAAUUCUCUUUUUCAUAAUCAAAGACAACAUCAUUCUACGAUUUCCAUGGCAAAUCAAAGACUUUACAAUGUUGUCAAAUCAUAUUCUAUGCCAUGUUGUCAAAUCAAAACAGGAACACAACAUCAAAUUCUCUUUUUCACAAUCAAAGACUUCGGUGGCAAAUUCCACCAUAGCAUAUGUCAAAGAUUAUUCAAAUUCCAUUAUCUUUAUAGACUUUUAACAAUCCAAGAAAUUGACGUUAAUAAUCCUAGACACAAUAUUCUACGACUUUACAUUAUUCUUCUUAUGGGCGGAAAAUAAAUCAUGAAAGCUGAAUAAUACAAAUAUUCAAUGAAAUCUUUGGCAUGUUAUUUCUUUGCAGCUUCAACAUGGCGGCAUGUCGGAUGGAGGAGGCAACAUUUGAGCUUCUAGGUGUUUACCAUUUUUCACUAUGAAUGCAGUUUCCAUGCCCCAAGUCAGAUGUUGAUCUACAUGGCAGUGCAUGAACCACACUCCUGCAAUAGAGAAAAUAUACAACAUUACACCUAACUUAAUUGUAAUAUUAAGAAAAACUAUUUCCUUGGUAUGCAGGUUGGCAGUUUCAAGGGUUUUAUUUAUUUAUUUAUUUAUUAUUUAUUUAUUUAUUUAUUUAUUAGUAGAGGACAUGAGUACUUGCAACAUACCAGGGUUAGAUGCCUCGAAUUUGAUUGCAACCCAACCUUUCCUAGGAACAGAGAUUGUAUUCUGAAGGGGAGGAUCCACCAGAUUAUAGCGCAAAGGGUCCCUAUUUUCAUCGAAAUUCCCAAAUCCUCAUCCAACAACAUAGAAACUAUGUCCAUGAAGAUGUAUGGGGUGGGUUACCCCUGUAAUCAAGUUUGUCCCUUGAAAAACAAUCUCCACUGUGGAGUUAUACUCGAGCACCCUUACUUCUGUUCCGGUGCUUGGCAACUGAUAGAGUAAUGGAAGAUAAUCAGCUGUAAAAUUGAACACCAAUGGUGGAACGCUAGGAAAUUUAUCUCCAUAUACACCACUGAUGUUAUAAUAGUAAGCUUCCAGUAUGUCAACUGUAGGGGUAUGGAAGCUUAUGUUGUUUAUACUUGCGGCGAACCGUGUCCCAUUGGCCCCUGAACAUGAAUUAUUGAUGCAUGGGUAUGAGUUUAGAGAAGCAGUGUAAAUCAGUUUAGUGCUCGUGCUCAAUGGGACAUUGCAAGGAUGUUUCGCAUCUGCUAAGUUUCGGAGGCUGGCCAUGACCUGAACCGAUGCAUUUGUGUCAUUGUAUGCAGGAAGAUGAGGCAAAGAGGGAGGUGAAGAUGGAGUGUAGUAUCCCCUAUAUUGUACAAUAGCUGUGGUGGUUGUGUUAUCAAAAUAAUUACUAGCUGCCGGGGCAACGGAAUAAGUUCUAGCCGCCAUGUAAUAGUGAUCUGGGUGUUGGUUAGCUUUUAGUAAGACAUCAAAGGUUUGGCCAGAAAAUAUUAUGAUAUAAUCUCAUGGCAAUGGUUUCGUGUAGCUACCAUCUGUUCCAACCACUGUCAUUUUAUGCUUAGCAAUGGAGAAGAAGAGAGCCUCUUGCAAGGCAGCAUUGAUUAUGCGAAGUAGAUAAGUCUUUCCAUGAUCCACUGUUAGCUUGAAUGUGCCUGCAAUUAGAAAGGGAAAGUUGUAUACUUAUGACUAGCCAAAAGAAAAAGAAAAAGUUUCCAUGAGGAUCCACCAAUUAUGAAGUAAUUGAUUGAUUAGGGGUGUAAAUUUGGCUCUAUAGUUCAAAAUUAUAUUUGGACUAGCCUUUUCUCAUGUGUUGAAUCAUGGCUCUACCAUCCUCAUAGCUAUAUUCCUCUUUCUUAGCAUUAAGCUUUAAAUAUGUUGAUGUUAAUAAGAAAAAGUAAUAUGGUCAACAUACAAGAAAAUGAAAUUGUGUACAAGUUUAAAAUGGGAAGUUAAACUUUAUUAGUACCUGAUUUUGAGCAUGGAAAUAGAUCACCGGGUUGUCCAUUUAUUAAUAAAGAAUCAGAGGCAUUGGCAUCAGCUCCGGUUGCAAGCCCUUCAUCUCGAACUGUAUUUACAUCACUCUUCCACCAUUGUCCUCCAUUUCAACAACUCCAAUAAUUUUAGAUUUUGUUUUACAAGUUAAUCCAUAAUAUGUAAAUUAACAUUUAAAAGUAACAACACUUAUACCUAAUAUGAUGAGAAAUUCUGCGUUAGGUUUGUGAAAAGGAUACUUGGUUCCAUUCUUGGGAUAGACGAUUAUAGCUCCAUGAACAGUGGCUCGGGUCCAGUCACUGUGAGCAUGCCACCAUAAAGUGCCUUCCUCAGAGGAAAGGAUGAUCUUCUGACUAAACUUUGACCCUGGCUGAAUUGGGCAUUGUGUGAUAUACUCAGGACCAUCUGUCCAUGGAUAUCUAGGCAUGUUCACCCCAUGCCUACAAAACAAUAACUAUACGUUAAAACUAGUACUUAUUUUCGAACUAACAAAAGAUGGAAUGCAACAACAUAUUAUCAUAGUAACAAGCAACAUCAACUGUAUUUCAAUGGAACUAAACCAAAUAACCCUAAAGUAUUGUUUUAAAUUUUACUUUGUUUGCAAAGAAAUAUAUUGCAGCCCCAUCUUAAAAAUAAAAGAAUGUAUGCCAUGUAGGCAUGCUGUCGUCACUCUUUCUCUGAGACACGCUCAAGACCUACCAGUGAAUGGUGACAUUUUCUUUUCCCCUGUUAUAAACGUCGACAAUGAUCGUCUCUCCUUUCAUAGCAUAUAUAGUUGGUCCCGGAAAUUGUCCAUUUACUGUUAAAAUGUCCUUGGUGCUACAAAGCCUUGUAUAUGAAGCUUCCCUCACCUGUAACUAAUUAAAAGUUAACCAUGCAACCUCAUCCCAAAAGAAAUAUUACAUGCAUGAAUAAUAGCAUAGAUCCAUUCAUGCAAGUGUAUAACCACUUAAAAAUUGAUAGCAUGCAUGAACCCUAAAUAUUAUGAUCAAAAAGUGACGUUAAGGCCAGAAUCAUAUAUAGUAUUUACCACAAAAGUAUGCCGACCGGUUGAAGCUUGGCAAUGGAUGCCACCACCAAAAAGUUGAAACACUAAAAUUUGUAAGAGGAAAACCUUCAUGAUCAGCCACAUUUCGUUGGAAUAAAAGCCUCUUCUCUUUUCCUAAACACAACUCCAAUUUUCUUACGUCUUUCAUAUAUGCUUCAUUAUAUAGUCAUGAUAAUUCUCUCGGGAUACAAUACUUCCUCUCCACGUGUCAAUAUAAGAGGAAGUGAUUCGACUAUGUAUUGGUUUUCAACGUUCAUCCUCUCCUUCAAAAUAAUUAAUUAUGAUAUUUCUUACAAUUUACCUACACAUUAUUUUAGAAUAAAUUUAAAAUAUUCUUUCACAAGUCUUUUACUGAUUAUUUCAAGAAAUGUUAAUUAAUUAAAUAUAUUUAAUUUGAUCACUUACCAAAUUAAAAUAAACCAAAUGCGUGAAGAAAGCUAACAGUUGUGAAAAUUUCUUACAGGUCACUUACACGUUAUUUUAGAAUAAAUUUAAAAUAUUCUUUCACAAGUCUUUCAUAUAAACUGCUUUUCAUAGACAACUCCUUUUAAGAAUUAUUUUUAAAUUAUUUUUUAAGAUAAUCAAUAGUGUUGAACCGAUGAUUUUGGCAAACAUGAUUAUUGUUUUCGUCUGGAUGGGACAAAGUUGUUUACCAAUUUGGUAAUUCAGAACCUUCCAUAAAAAAACACAAAAAUAUAUUUUGUAAAUAGUUGAAAAUAGAAUACCAACCCCUUUUAUGUUGUGAAUCACUUAGAACAUCUAUUAGGAGUCAUAGUAUAUUUUUUUCUCAAUGAAAAGCAAUUUAAUAAUAAUAAUUAUUAUUAUAGAUUUAAAAAUAAUGUUUUUCAAAACAAAUGCAGUAUAUAAUUUUUUUGUUUGUAUGAUAUGUAUAUCUUGAUUAAAAUGGUUUUAUUUGGCUUACAAAAACUAUCGUCUAAAAAAAAAGUAAAAUAAGAAAUAAAAUUCAAACUUCCUUGUUUGGUUUAUUGUAUCGCAUACAAAGAAAAAUCAUUAUAUAAAUAAAUUAUGGAAAGAUUUAUAUAUUUUUAAAUUAUUUAUAAACAUAAAAAAUGAUGAAUAAAUUUUAAGUUGUGUAAAAAUUUGAUUAAGUUAAUUUAAACUUUUUAUUUUUUUUUUUCACUUUUUUCUCACAUUUUCUUUUAAAAAUUUAGAAUAAAUUCCCUACUAUUUGUGGAGCUUAAUAUAAUUUUUUUCUCCCUAUGAUACAUAUUUAUGCAAUAUUUGGUUAAAUUAUUUUGAAUGUAUAUUUUUAUCUUAACAAGAAACUUUUCUUGAAAAUGAAGAUUAUUUUUGCCUUAUUUUCAAAAUUGUGUUUCUAUUUUUUAAAUAUGAAAAUUACUAUUUUGAUUUCAAAACAAUGAGUAAUUUGUAAAAAAUAUUUUAGAAAAUAGUUUUUCAAAUAUAUUAAUUGUGAUACUCGAAGAUCAAAGACACCAUGGUCAAUAUUUCACUUGUCAAACCCAAGAGUCCAACAUGUGAAUGAACUUAACUAACAAAUCCAACAAGUAAUUAGUCGACAACUUCCUUAAAUUGAUUCAUAACAAUGAUUAGAGCAUAAAUAAAUAAAUAAAUCUAACCCAAAACUAAUUAAUAAUAUGUAAAUAAUAAAUUCAAAGAUCAUCCCAAAGAAUUCAAAGAGUUUUAGAAAUCAAUACUAAUUUCAAUCUUAAUUUAAAACUUCUAAAUAAUUAAUUGUAAAGCAGAUUUCAAAAGAAACACUCUUCUUAACUCUAUUUUUCCUCAUUAAUAUCACUUGUACCUAAAAAGUGAAAUAAUAGAGAAAAGUGAACUUAAAACUCAGUUAGGAAAAAUAGUUCAAUAAGGAGGAUUAAGUAUAGUACAAAGUUAAAUCCUACUAUCACAUCUUUAUAAAAAAAAAUUGAUAAGUAGAAGUUCAUUUAAUUCAAUAAUUAAAUUCACUUUCUUCAAAAAAUUAGGCACUUUCAAUUUAAAGAUAGAACUAAAUAAUAUACUUUGCAUACUUAAAUUAUAUUUAAAAAAAAAUUAUAAACAAACAUUUUACUUUGACUUAUUAAUAACAACAUUGUGCCCAAAUAGUAGAAAUUGCUUUAGGUGGCUACAUGAUCAAACCAACUUUUAUUAUUCAGUAAAGAAACUCUCAAAUAUUUUUUUUAAAUAAAAAUAAAAAAUUAUUUGAAGUUGUGUGUAUAGUUAUUAUUAUCAAUUUUAUUUUCCAUUCUCAUUCUCAUUAUUACCAAAAAUUGAAAUGGAAACAAACAUUCAUUUCAACUUUACACUCUUUGGUGCUUUCAAACAUAAGAAUUGGAAUGGACAUAUUUAUUACUAAUCAAGGAAAAAUAGGAAUCAAAAUAAAGCUCUCAUUUGGUAAUUUCCUUUAAAAAUAAUUUUGAAAAACAAUUUUAGAGAUUUUUUUUUUAAAAAUUGUUCAAUAUCUUGUAAAAAAAAAUGUAUAUUUAGGAACUUGAAAUGUUUUUAACUCACUUUAUAUGUUUUAAAAAUAAAUUUUAUUUGUAGUGCUUUAUUUUUUAUCAUUGCCCAUAUUUGUAUAAUUAUUUUUUAAAAUAGCCCUAAAAAAAAACUUAAAAUAAUUAAAAAAAAAAUGUUAUCAAACAUCCUAUUAAUAGUUUUUAAAAGCAAAAAACUAUUUUCUAUUUUUUGAUUGUCAAACAUGGUUUCCUAUAUAUAUAUAUAUAUAUAUAUAUUGUUUUAGAGAAUAAGAAAUUGUUUUAAAAAAUGGUUACCAAAAAUAUCUAUUCAUUCUCAUUCCUCAUUUCAAUGUACCAAAUAUGACCUUAAUGACUUCUAUUUUAGUCAGUUUUAUAUUGAUAUACAAAGAAAAAUCAUGCUUUAACUAAAUGCAUAUGAACUAAUAUUAGAAAAAUCACAUUUAAUAGGGUUGAAAGAAAAUAAGUUAAUAUUAAGUAGUUGAACAUUUGCUUAGUUGAGAAGUGUUCAUAAAUUUCCAAAGUAAUAUUUGUAGGAAAAUUUCGGAUUACUUUUCGGAAUACCCAAUAUCUGGAAAAAAAAAAAAAACAAACAAACAGUUAUUUCACCAUUUAAUUAUUUACCCCAAGCCAUGAAUGGAACUAAACUAAAAUCAAGAAUCACUCUGUUCCACAACACAAAGUCUUUCACCUUCUUUUUUCGAAGAACUUUUCUUCCAAAGUUCUCUCAAUCUUUCUUUUCCAGAGAAAAGUUUAUUGGGGUGAUUUUUUUGGUAAUUUCUAGUAGUUUCAACUCCCAGAAAAUGCUCCACCCUUGAUCUCGUAUUUGGUUGGAUCGGGUUAGGUCACACCAACUUGGGCGCCCACCCAACUCCAGUAAUAUUUAAGUAUUUAAUAAAGUAAAUGAUUAAAUUACUAUGAACAAGUAUAAUGAUCAAAACAAAAAAUUUUACUCUUUUUUGUUUUAAUAUAAAAUCCAACCUUUAAUUGAACAAAUCAUUUACCAUUUAAAAAAUAUCUUCAUUUUCUUUUUGUGUUUUUGAAAGUUCAUUUUUAUUUUAACUAGAUCAAAUAAUAUUUGUAUAAUAAUGCCUUUAAUCUACAUUUUUAUGAGUAACACCAAAUAAACAUUUUAACAAAUAUUAUAUAAGAUGAUCAUUAAUUUCACUAUCUUCAUUUUAUUUAUGUUAUUCUUCUUUAUCCAAUGCAUUUAAUUAUUUGUUGUAAAAUGAACAAGGACCUCUAUAGUUAUAAUCUCAUCUAAAAAGUUGGGGAAGCUAUCUCUACAUUUGUGGUUCAUGCAUGAAAUAAAUUGUUUUUGUACUUCCAUCGUCAAAUAUGCAUGUCUGUCUAAGAAUGGCAAAAGAAUCUAUGAGGUUGGGAAAAGAAUGAAAAAAAAUUAUGUUUUGUUUAAUUCAUUUCAUUUUUUUUUUCUAUUCUAUAUAAAAAUUCAAUAUAUAUAUUAUAUAACUUUUUAACUACUUUUAAUUAUAUUUUUCUUUCAUAUUUUUUAUAAUAAAUCAAAAUUUAAAAAAAAAACAUUUUAAAAUUUUUCAACUAUAAAAGGGUGGGCAUAAUUAAUUUAUAAUCCUAGGAUAUCCUAACAACCUAACCUUAAAAUUUUCUUCAAUAAAUAAUCACUUCACUAGUCAUAUAUUUUCUCAUUCCACCAUAUUGUGAUUGGCACCAUAGUAUUUGUUAUACUUUGAAGCAUUUUGGUAUGAUUCUCAUCUCUUAAUAAGUCAUUUUUGAAGCAAACCCAACAUGCUUGAUAGAAAUCCCUCUUGCUAAAUGAACCCAAGGUUUCUUAUUUGUGAGUGUUGGUACAUUAAUUUGUAUAGUUUAAGAUUGAUAAUUUUGUUUCAAUCAUUUUGACUUGGGGAUUUUUUAGAUUACAUCUCACUCUCCUUUGAAAACUCGAAGUUGACGUGUGAUCAACUGGAAUAACAAAGGUAAGUAUAGAAAGGUCUAAGAAAGACAAAUUAGAGUUAAUUAAGGUUGGUGCGAAUGUCAAGUUCUUAAACAAAGUUAAAUGUUUUUUAAAAUAGUUUUAAAAAACUCCUAGAGAGUUCUAGUGCUACAAAGAACGCUUAAGCGCUCCCUAGAGCACUCAAGUGUGAUAGAAUUCUCUACAAUUCCGAAGCUUUGAUUUUUCAACUUUUAAAAGCUUUAUUUUGGGAAAAUUCUAAAUCCGAUCCAUUAGGAUCUUAGCCCUGUAAAUACCUUGUCUAAAGAGGAUAUUCUCUUUUUGAUGCAAAUGUUUCAAAAAAAACCUAAUUUGCCUUCUUGUUCCCAAAACUCUGAAAAAUGAUUGUCUUGGCUUUUACUAGGUUGAGAAAGAGAUUUGCAUCUCCACAAACACUAAAGUAGGAUUCAUUAGGAGCACAAGCGGUGUUGUACUUACAAAUGUGAAGUAUAGUAGAGGUGAUGGGGAGUAAGACUUAGGGAUGGUUUCCACUAGAUAAAACUGUGCACUAUACUUUUGAAUAGUGGAUUUGUAAUUAGAUGUUUAUGACCCCAUGGAUUUUACAUCCACAUGUUGUAUAAGUGGUUGUCCAUGUAAAAAGUCUUGCAUUCUUGUAUUGAAUAUUUUUAGGCUUUCCUAAAUCAAACAGAUUAAUUUUUAAAAAAAAAAUUAAUUUUUGAGUGUAAGAGGUUCAAACACCUAUUCACCCCUUCUAGAUGUUACCUAAACUAGAUCAACUAACUUUCAAUGAGGAAAACUCAAAUUACAGAAUUUGCACUUUCAGCCAACGCAGCUGGGCUUAGACAAAUUGAAGAGUAAAUAUCCUUUCAAAUCAACCAACUAGCCUUUCAUCCAUGGAGGGCUUCUCCAAUUUAAAGAUCAUGAAAACCUCUCAAAGCAUAUCUAAAGAAAAAUAAGAGCAUUGGCUCACCCUCAGGGUUCCUUGGAGAGGCUUUGAUCUUAAUUUUCUCCGAGUUGUUGAAAGGGUCUUUAACAACUUGGAUUGGAUUGGAUUGGACGGAGCACUUAUAUGAACUAAAAAUGAUAAAUAUUAUAACUACUCAAAAGACAUUUUCACAGAAUUGCCAACCUGCAAAUCAUUUUUAGUUAACCAAAUCUUAAAACAUUAGUCACAUCCAUGGCCAAAAUUAAGUGAAGACUAAGCACAGAUAGAAGAGAAUCAUCGGGACGCUCUCCUUAGCUCUACCAAGCUAGCUAACAACCUUGAACAGAAUAUUGCUCGAGCAGUCCAUGACUACUAUUAAAAGGAAAAACCUAUAAAAAAAUAUGAAGAACAAGAAGCAUAAAAAGAAAAUAUAGGCUAAAAUAAAAUGGUUCAAUUUGGGAAUCAACUGCUAUGCAAUAUAUGACUAAAUUCUCAGCUAGAUUCUUACGAGUUCUAACCCCCAAAAGCAUCAAAUGCAGAAGAAAAACCAUGCAAAAGAGAAACCAGUAAGACAAUAACAAUAUGAUAGUUUUCAUCUCUACCUUUCAAGUUUGAGCAUCUUGUGCUGAUGCAUCCUCUCAAUGUAGAAGUGGCUUGCUUCAUUAUAUCAUCUUGUUCAUAUAGUGGAUGAUAUAAUGUAGAAGUGACUGAAAUUCUGGUUGAUUGCCUUCUUUCUCAUCUUGUUCAUAUAGUGGAUGAACCCCACACUUCUUCACCUCAUAAGAUGGGCCAUAGACUUGGAAUGAAGCCUGAAUUUGACUCAGUUUAUUUAACCAAUCCCAUCAACCUAGUAUUACACCAAUUUGGAGGCAGAUGUACCGUUGCUGUGGAGCCUAUACUCUGUUGGCUGAACCACUCAGGAAUUCAGCUUCCAGGAACAGAAGUACUGGAUUCAAUAUGUGGAGUAUAUGGCACCAUCUGGUCAUGAAAAUCAUUGUCAAGUUAUAUGGAAAUAAUGUAGGAGUAAUGCUCAAAGGAGUAUAAGAAUUAUUCCAUAGGAUUUAAUUGAUUUAAUUUUACAACAUGAUCAAGAGAGAGGAGAGAAACCUGGAUUGGGCAUGAAAUCUUGGUAAUUUAUUUGCCAGACUUUGCAUUUCCCUUAAUGUAGCUGCCACAAAGUUGCUGCUUUCAUUCUCAGACAGUCUGAAGCAAUUAUAUAUAAUAUUUUCAACAAAUUUUUAUUUUAUUUUAUAAGAAAAUCUAAUAUUACAAUAAUAUAUUAACUUAGAAAAUAUUUUUUACAAAAAAAAAAAAAAAAAAAUUACUAAUUAGAAAUUUGGGACAAUUCCCAACAUUAAAUCAAAUAAUUUGGACUUUUUCUAUUUCUUUUCUUCUUCUAUUUCUUUAUAUGACAAAUGAAUGUGAAUAAUAAAUAUUUAAUUUAGAAAAUUGAUUGAAAUCUAAUAAUAAGUCAAAAACAUAUUAUCUGAUUUUUAAGGUUACCACCAAACCAACCGGAUGUGAGUCAUCAUGGAUGGGGAGUCUGACGCCUCUUAUAACAAUACUUAAAUAGCAUGGUUCUAUGAGGCCCUAACCUUCUUGUUUAACCCUUUAAUAUGGCUCUUAUAACCCGUUGAUUUCCUGUUCCUUUUUUAAUUCUUAUUUUACAGAGCGUUGGGCCCACCCAAUGCCAGGGAAAAUACAAGAGCAUGUGACGCAGGGCCCAAAAGCUGCUUGUAGUUGCGGCUACGUUUAACUUGGUGGUCUCGCUUUCAGUCUCCCGUCUCAACCAAUCUCCGCCGUCCAAACUGCAACGUGGCCUGACGUUUUGCCGCCCUUUCUGUGAUUCAUAAUUAGGCAGGCCAACUCAGUUUUUACAAAGGAAGCUUGGAAUUUAAUAUUUGUUCAAUAUAGUAAAAUAAUUUAAUAAAUAAAUUAUUUAACAAUUAUUUUAUUUUGUUUAAUGGGUUUAAAUUCUGAACUCUACAUUAUUACAAAGUGUUUUGUGUAAUUAAUUUGAUAAAUUGACAUAUUUUAUAAUAAGUCUACGUGGCAUUCAUUUGUGAUUAUUAUAAACCAAUUUAGGAGGAAUCUGAGGUCCAAAUCAUGUUAUUAAAUUGAUAUGAUUUUUGAUAGUUCAUUUAAAAGUAUUUGAAUUCUCCGGUAGUUUUUUUGUCUUCUUUUAAUAACACAAAAAGGGGAAAACAUUAAUGGUCAAUUAUCCAACAACUCCGCAUAGAUUACUUGAGAGGAAAAAGGAUUCUGUAAAGGAAAAAUAAAAGCAAGGACACGUGGAUGAGCCACCUAAGCAUUUUCUGAAAAAGAAAAAAACAAAUACGAAAUGUUGUUUUGAAUUUGUUGCUCUUGUGAAUUGAUAGUGCUUGUGGACUUGGGUGACUCUGUUUGUUUCAUGAUUUCCUUUGCAUUGCCUAUAUUCGUUUUAAGGGUAAGGCAUCGAAGAAUCAAAGGAGCCGGUUGAGUAUAUAUAUAUAUUUUUUAUCAUGUAUACAUACAUAUGGAUUGGGAAUAAUUAAUCCAUGCAAAAUCUUGGUAGUCUGGUUAUUGGUCUUCAUGUGCAUGACAAACCAUGAGGGUUGAAGAUGCAUACGAAGUUGUUGAUGGACAAAAAUAAUCUAAACAUAUUAUAACAAUCAUUAAAUAGCAUUCUAUAGGUUAAAAUGUGUUUUUUCAAUUUUCAGGUUUUAGGUGCUUCUAAACAUUUUUCAACCUCCACUUAUAUGGUCUUUUUGAAAAACUGAAAGAGAUUGCAGGCUUAGGGAACUUUAACCAUUAGUAUUCUGGUCUUUUUUAAAGACUCUCUCCAUCAUCGAGUCUGCUUAUAGCAUGCACAAAACAUGGGGUAGUGAUGCGAACAAGGUUCUGAGCAUGAAUCCUCGUUCCUAAAUUGAUGAAAUGAUGUGGACCACAUUCCGAAUCAUGUCUUCGGUUUAUUACUGAAGAUCCAGGAGAAAUAAAAUCCCAACAGUUGUUGCUUUUGAACGCCGCACUAUGAAAAGGAGAAGAUCUUGAAGUUUGAAAACGUUUAUGCUUUUGAAAGUUUUCGGACUGGUUUGGCUGAAAAGAAAAUUAUAUAUGGCUUGACAUGCAAAUAUCAAAGCACUAUGUGCCCAGAAGUUUCUUGUAUUUUCUUGUGAGCUGCCAUUGAAGUUUCGAUCUACUCUUUCAAUAAAGUGGCCAGACUUCUUUGGAAUCGAAAUGCCAGCUUUUUAUAAUUUACAAAAUAAGUUUUUUUGGGCUGCUUAGCUUUAUAUUUAGGAAAGUUCUUCACACCCAACUUUUUAUGUAGUUUUACUUUUGUUUUGCAAUUUUUGUUACCUGUCAGUUGGACAUUGGAGGGUAGUUUUCCCAGUACGAAAAAUUGACCUUGGAUACCUUAAUCCAACCCAAAGUUGAAAAUAAUGUUUUCAAAACAGAUUUUAAUGGUUGGAUAGAUGAUUGAACUAUGAUCAAAUUAAUCGAUAAUAUUGUAAAUAUAUAAUAUAUUUUAUUAAAAUUUAAAAUAAUUUUAAAAAUUAAAAAUACAUAAAAUUAAAAAUUAAUAACAUUUAUUUCUUCAAUUUUAUAUAAAUGUAUUAGUAUUUUAAAUUUUAUUAAACAAAACAUUUAUAAUAUUUAAAUAUAAAAAUAUAUUGAAAAUAAAAGAAAAAUUGUACUAUAUAAUCUUAUAUAUGUUUACUUAUAUUAUUUUUUAAAAUAACAUAUGUAAUUUAUUUAUUUUUUAUAAUUUUUAACAUUAACAAAAGAGUAACAAAGUGGUCCAACCAUUUUACCUUGAACCUAUUGUCCAAGCUUAUUUUUCUUUAAAUUAGCCACUACAAUGAUCCCAUACAGGAAAUAAAAGGAGAAGCAAACAGUGGUGAAGCCCAUGGGCAAUGUCCCAUUUUGCAAAAUAAAAAAAGAGGGUGUUGAAUGCUAGGAUGCAAAUGAUAAGCAUUCUGACCCAUUUUGCCCAAAAUGAAAAGGGUGUUAACCGUUUGAUUCUUGAAUAACCGUCCAGCUCCAUCGAUUCAAUAGUUGGUUCAAAUAGUUCGAAAUCGGUUCAAUAAAUAAAAAAAUAAAUAAAAUGAAUAAAUUAUUUUUUCAUUAAUAUAAAUUAAAUAAUUUAAAAUAUCAUAGUUUUUCAAAAAAUUUAAUCAUGGUGGUGGGCCUUUCAUCAGCCAAAGAUAGCCCAUGCAUAACCUAAAAGUGAAGCACAACAACCUUAUAAUAGUGAUGUCACAUAGCAAUACAUUAUUUAUUAUUUUGUUUUCCCUUUUCAAUGUGGAUUUCCUUUCUUAAAGCUAUUAAAACAACACACUAUCAAGAUUUGAGCGUGGCCUUGCACAAUAUCUUUUGUAUAUUAAUAAUUAUAAAUUAAUUAAAAUGAAAUUAUUAUAAAUAAGUUAAUUUUAAUUAUCUUAUUAUAUAUUUUAUAUAGUGAUUAAAUAUAAGACAAAAAUAAAUUUAUAAAUAAAAUUAUAAAUAUUUUUAAAUAAAAAAAAAUAUAUAUGUAUCAACAUUUUUUUUACAUCCUUCAAGAUAUAUAAACUUAAUGUUUUAUCAUUUUAGCAUUAAUGUUUCACAAUUUUGUAUAUUAUUGUCAAAGAUUACAAAUUUAUAAUAUACAUAUCAUUUUUUUUUCUUAAAACAAUUUCAUUAUAUACAUUGUUAUUUUUUCUAUCAUUUUUUGAAUUAUUUCCAACAUUCUAUAUAUAUAUAUAGAUUAGAAUUUUCAUUGAUGUUUCCUAAUAUAUCUAUAAGCUCCAACUAAUGAUAUAUCAGUAAAAGUUGAAUGUUUUAAAUGUGGUGAAGAUGGUCAUUUUGCAUUUGAAUGUCCCUCAAAGGAUAAAAAGGUUAUACAAACAACUUGGAGUGAAUUCGAGUCUAAUUAAACAAGUGAAAAUAAAUUAAAUGAAUGCCGUGAGUGCAUUAACUUCAUUGCCUUUGUGACAAAUGUCAAUAGAUAACCUCCCUUAAAAAACCUUUAAGUGAGUUAAGUGACUUCGAUGAUAAUGACAUGAGUUUUCACAUAGCUUCUAAGAUACUAUACAAGGAAUGUUUAAGCCUAAAAAAGGAACAUGUCAAGACAAAUUCCUACUAUGAGUGAUUAUAAAAGUCAUUUAGUAAAGUUAUCUAAUUAAUGAUCCAUGUCUAACAUAAUAUGUGUCAAUACGAAAGUUGUGAGCUCAAUCACUCCUAUGAACUCAAACCUCAUUAUAUAAUAUAGCAACCAUGCAUUGCAAUGACCAAAAGAGAUUGCACACUUUCUUCUAUGAUUAUAAUGUUUUAUUUUUUAUUUAAUUUGAAAGGGAUUAAUAACCAUAAACUCCAAUGCCUUCCUAAUCCUAUGCACUUAAUAAGGUUUGCUAAAACAGUUGCUCAUUCCUUCACAAGAUGUUUUACUAUCUCCAUGGAUUUUGCUGAAGGUCUACCACCUUUCAAAGGAAAAAAAAAAAAAAAACUAUAAUGGUUGUUCUCAUACAGUAAAAUCUCUUUUGUCCCUUAUCAUACCCUUAAAAAACCUCUACAAUAGCUUGACUUUCAUGGAAAAACAUUGUCAAGUUGCACUUAUUAUCAAUACUUGCAUAUGUUCUAGUUAAGUAAAUAUCCAUGCACACAAUUAAAUAUUAAAAUAAAACUUUGGUAAAUAAAUUAAUUUUAAUUAUCUUUUUUUUUUUUUUUUACAUUCUACAUUAGUCUAUUUAGAUUAAAUUGACUGUUUUAUUCUACUUAUCCUAGUUUAAGACUAUACAUACUUUCUUAUGACUUACCUUGCUUGUGAAGACUCAAAGUUGUAACAAAAUCAACUUGGGAAAAUACAAGUAUUGUGAGCUAUGAAGAGGAUAAUGACUUUUAGGAAGGCAUAAAGUUGAGAUUAGGAAAUUGAAAAUUGAGUGUUUAGUUUAAUUGAAAAAUAGAAUUCUAAAGUUGAGCAUUUAAGCACCCUAAUCAAUCACUCAAGUAUUUCUUAAGAGUGGACAGACGUUGACAAGGGUUGCUCAAGCUUUACUUGAAAGGUGCUUGAGCAUUCAAGCCCUAAAUUACUCAGUUUGGACAAUUGGCAAAGUUUCCAAUUUUAGUCAUUUUACAAAUUUGUGGUUUUUGGAAAAUUAUCAUUUUGAAAUCUUGUCCUAUGUGCACUAGGUUUCACCCAAGUGUGUGUGUUUAUAUAUAUAAAUUGUGAUUUGUUAUUUGAUCGUGAUGUACCUUAAGCCUACGGUCAUUACUUUUUGCUUUUAACCCAAAACUCUCAAAUUGAUUUGCCAAUGUUCAAGGCUUUGUGGUAGACUCUUGCAUCCUACUUAAGGCAUUGAGGAGUCUACUACGGAGCAUAAAAGUUUUACAUCAUCAACAUGAAGUUAGGAGUAGGUAUUAGAGUGUAAGUCUCAUAGAGUAGCAACUAUCAAAUAAAUUUAUGAACUUAAUUCUUCAUGAUUAAGGGAUAUUUUACCUCUAGAAUCUCUGAUCCCAUGAUUUUUUACAUCCAUAAAGUCUCUAGGAGACUUUGUGAGAGGUUUUCCAUGUAUAUUGCGUAUUUCCUUGUGUGAGUAGAGUUACUGAAUUAUUUAAUAAUUACCAAUCUAAUUAAAAAAUUCAUAAAAAAUAUUGGUAAUUUUUAGGCUAAAAUCUAAGAACUACCUAUACAACCCAUCAACUACCCCCACCAUAGGUAGUUUCAUGGUAUGAGAUAUUAAACUUUCAUUUUCAAAUUUGAUUUAAGUGAUUUUUAAAAAUAUAAAACCAUCAAGAUAAUUUUUUAUCCUUUGUUGUAAAUAAAAUAAGGAAAACAUGAUCAUCACUUAUAUAAAAAUAUAAAACCAUCAAGAUAAUUUUUUAUCCUUUGUUGUAAAUAAAAUAAGGAAAACAUGAUCAUCACUUAUAUUUUUUUAAUAAAAUUUAUAAUUAAAUAUGAUAAAAACAUACAUUUAUAAAUAUAUAUUUUUAAAAAAAUAAUUAUAUAUUAAUUUUUUUUAUAUCUUUGAAUAUAUCAAAAUUAGUUGGAUUAUCAUUUUAAUAUUAAAGACGUCUUCAAGUUUUGAAAAUUAUUGUCACGUAUUACAAAUGUUAUCAUAAAUAUGUUCUUUUUUUCAAUAAAAUAACUUUAACAAAUACGUUAUUACUCAUUUUAUCAUUACUUAAUGUUUUUUUUUUCUAGCAUUUCUGUGUUUUGAUCAAUUUUUAUCUCAUUAAUUUUUUUGACUAAAUUUUUGUCUAAUAAAUUUGAUACUUCUAAAAAUUCAACAAUUGAUAUUUUUAUAAUUUAUAAUAUUUUAAUCUCUACAAGGCGAAAUUUAAAUAAGGAAAUCAAUCCAACAUUGAAAUCAAUGAAUUAGUAUUUUUCCCUUGGCUUGAAUAAUCUUAUACAAAACUAUUAGUGCUUUGGGUAUCCCCUCAAAGUGAUUGUCUUUCUUCUCCCAAUUUUCAUUUUUGAGGUCCUAACAUGUGAAUCAACUUCCAAGUAAGAAGCUUCAUAUCAAAGUGAUUCCAAAGCAAUUCAAUGUGACAUCAAGCUAUGGAAAAUCAAGUUUGGAUCAUGUAGAGAUCACAAGAAAGGAGGAGAUGAGAGAUUGAAAUUAGAACUCACUUUUCAUGAGAUGGUUCACUUGUAUAUUGAUAAUUGAUUUAGUAGUUUGGUAGUCGGGAAUGCUCUAACAGCUUUUCACCUUGAGACAAGGUUUUCCACAUAAAUGAUUUGUGUUUAAUUGUGUGAUUGCUUUUCAGCUCUAUAACAUAAUCAUACAAAGAUUUCUCCACUAGGGGGUGUUAGUUGGAAAGCUGACCUGUUACCUUAACUUCGUACUUUUUAGAGCACUGGUUGUUGAGGCCUCUAAGGCUAAUGGACACUUGCGUGUUGAUCCCAAUGCAUAGGUGAAAAUUGAACCAAGAUGGGUAGGAGUGUGAGUUAAAAUUCUUUGGCUGGCAACCUUGAAAAGUUUGAUGGUAGAGGGACAAUGGUCAAGAUUACUGUAGCAUCACUAUGGAUUCUUAUUUGUUGCAUUAAGGGCUUAAAGCAGGACGACCUUGUCCUGUAUGCUGCGUGAUGACAAACUAGAGGGGGAGGGGGAAUGUUUUCACAAGGAUCCAAUAAUAGUAGGACCUUUGCUUAAUACAUCAAAGAGCCUUUGGUGCUUUGGUGCUCUAAUGUGAUGGUGAUGUUGGUUUUUAUUUUAUUUUAUGUUAUUUUUUUAUUUUUUAACUUUUUUCUGAAAGCAAUUUACUUUUAAAUUUCAUAUAAUUUGUUUUUAGAUUUUUUUGUUAACUUAUUACUUAUUUAUUAUAUUUUUUUUUAAGUAAAUAGAAAAAGUCAAAAUGUUUGGCUUUUUCUCAAUGCUAGAAUUAGCCUGUUGGUUUUUCUCUACUUUUUAAUACUUAAUAGAAAUGAAAUAUAUAUAAAAAAAAACAAAUAACUUAAUACUUAACUCUUCUAAGUGCUAUUUAGUUUUAAGUUCUAUUCAGAAUUAAAUUAAGAAACAAACACUAGCUAAGUCAAAGCUCCUUUGCUUGAUACAUCAAAGCUCUAGGAAAUGUUGUGGGAAGUUCAGAAAGAGGGAAUAAUUGUCUGUAGCCUCACACAGAUAUGCACCAAAGGUGCAAAUUGCUUGACUACAUGAUGAGGUAAAUGCCCUUGAUGAUGGUCUUGAAUUUAGGGACUUAUAGAAGAAUGGGCUUAACUUAAUGAUUGCUGGAAGAUUGGAGACACAAAAGGUAACAAUCAUGUGAGUGUUUCUCCAAAAGCCGCUAUUUGGAGCAAAAGCCAGGACAUUGGUCGUAGGACUAGGUGUUUUACUUAGAGGAAGAGUUCAAUAUGGGCCACAAAGUGCACUUGGUCUCAUUUCAAAGAUUCUUACUUGUAAACUAGCUGCUACUCCUACUCAUGUUGGUCCAACCUUGCCUCAAUCUGAUGGGGAGCCAUUUCCUGAUGCCCCUUCACAACAUUGUCAUUGCUCUGCAAUAUGUCAUCAUUAUUCAACCAAACCUAUCUUUUGUUGUUAAUAAGUUUGCUAGUCCAUGUCUCAGCCUACUUUUUCCCUUUGGUUAGUUGUGAAACACAUUUUGCAUUAUUUAAUAGGAUUUUUUUUAUCAGUAUUAUUUUACAAAUGGUUGAUUCUCUUCAUCUUCAAGCUUAUUCCGAUGCAGUGCCUCUUGUCUUGAUGAGAAGAAAAGCCCCCAUGGUUAUUGUGUCUUCCUUAGGCCAAAUUUGGUUUUUAGUUCUCUACUAGGUAAUGGGUUAUUUCAAGGAGUAGUGUUAAAUUAGAAUAUUGUGGCAUGGUUACUUCAAUUCCUGAGCUCACUUGAAUCUAAUCUAUGCUUUAGGAAUUAUUUAUAGCAUAGGUUACGCCUCCAUUUUUGUGGUGUGAUAAUCAAAGUACUACUUAUCUUACUACAAAUCCUUUCUCUCAUGCUUGCUCUAAACAUAUUGAACUUAAUCUCCAUUUCAUUUGUGGCAAAAUGUUAUAUAAUGAUCUUGUUAUUGAAUAUAUUCCCUUUAUUGAUCAACUUGCCGAUGUGCUUACAAAGCAUUUUCCAAGCACAUUGUUGUUCACCUUUUGUAGUAAGCGUUAUGUUGUUUCCAAAUUGAUUAGCUUCCAAGGGGAUGAUAAAUAGUAGAUUGCCACCUCAACUCAACUUCUAGAAUAAUCUAUUAGUCAUAGCAACUAUUUGUUACGGAUGCAUAUUAGGUACCUUUGUUUUGUUCAUCUAGUGAAUUACACAUGAAACACUGAUAUAAAUAUUUAACAUCAAAAGCUCAUGAGUAGGGCAAUUUUUUUAGUUUAUUUUUUAGAAUUUACAAUUCACUUCCAAAGCCUAUAAAUAACAAAUUGUUAAAACAUUUUUACUGACAUAUUUUUUUUCCUCAAAACCUAAAAACGACAAAUUUUUGAAAUAUUGGACAUACUUUUUUUUUUUUUCCUAUCACACUUUUGUAUUUGAUUUCAUGAUUUUAGCAAUAAAAAGGAACCGAUUGCUUAAGUUAUUGAUUUUGAAAUGUCUGUAUUUUAUUUUGGUUUAUUAAAUUACAUUUAAAUUGCUUUGGUUUAUGAAACAAUUCCAAUAAAUUCUAAAUUCAUCCCAACAUAGAAAAAAAAAUAGAAGAAAUAUUUUGACUAGAGUUAAUUAUGCUGAUUUGAGAUUAGGGAUGAUUUUAUAUGAAUUUAUUGCAUUUUCAAGAUGUUUCCAUCAAGAAUUAAUAUUUAUCAAUGAGUAUUGAUACAAAAGCAUUGAGAAAAACCUUUGAAGGAAUGAUCUUUCUCUAUUUCAUAAUAUAACAAGUUUACAUCUUAGCCUAUUUAUAGUAGAACAAGAAGGUCACAUCAAAUGAAGAAAAUCAAGGAAUUAGUCUACAAUUAAGGAGCAAAUGGUGGAGCUAAUAAUGCUAAGGAGUAAAUGGUGGAGCUAAUAAUAUUAACAAGUAUGAUUUUUAAUUUUUAUGGAGGAAAGAAAGGAUUGAUGCCAUUGAAGGACCAACUAUUCCCCUCCAUGUAAUAAAGGUUAUGCUUUUUAUAUUAUAUUAUUUCUUGAUGCAUUUUUUUUUUUCAUUUUUCUUGGAUAGCUUGGAGUUUAAUAUUAUUUUUGGAAUAUAAAAUUUAGUUCAGAGAAUCAGAAAAUGCAAUGAAAUUGAGAAUAUACAAUUGAAUUUAAACUAGAAUUUUAAUUUUAAUUUGGGGCCAGAAUAAUUAGCCCUAACAUUAAUUUCAUCAGGCUCUUCCGCUAGUAACUUUUUCUCCUAUAGAUUCUUUCCAAUAUCAUUUGACACCAUGUCUUGAAAGUGUUUUCUGUAUUUGGGUUCAUACCUGCCAACUAUAAAUCAUAAUAAAGCAUAUGGUGAGUCAAAUGAGCUACAUAUUAAUGACAAGAGCAGCAUGAGGAAAGUUUUAUAAUGCUUUUUGCAGGCAAAUGGCAGUAAAUUUUAUACUUGAAGCACAUUAUCACUAUAUACUUAGGUAUCCAUGUAAAUAAAGCAAUAUCUUAGUGAGGGCUUCCAAGCUCCACACUAAGUAUUAUUGUCAUGGAAAAGAUUAUGUAAGGAUGGUAAUUCUUUAUAAAAUCAACCAAUAAAUAGGAUUCCAAAAUGAGAUGAAACUAGUGAGUUUCAAUUGAUAUCAAUCAUAUUCUAGGUUGAUGAUAAAAUUGCCAACCUAAAUUCAUAUGCUUAGAAGGUUAUGUCACUUUUGGGAUUUGGACUAUAGGUCGGUAUUGUUGGAAGUUAUUAACAUAUUUGGUUACUAUAUUUAAAUUAUAUAUUUAGUCACUGAUAUUUUUUGUUCAAAUUUCAUAAAAUUCAAUUGCUGAUAUUUUUAUAAUUUUCAAUAUUUUAAACCUUGGUCACCAUUAGUGAGUGCCUUUUAAAAAACUCACCUUGGUUUUAUGACCCUUAAGAAGAUGUUGAACAUAUUAGUCCUAUGGCAUAUAUCAAUUCAACCUCUCAAAUGUCUCCAAAAUACACUUGAUCUUCCAUGUUUCUUUCAUAAAAAUGAAACUUGGUGAGAACUCCAUUCCUCAAAACCAUCUUCCUGACAUUGCUGAUAGUGGGAAGUCAAGCUAGGAACUUGAUCAACUUUGAAAGAAAAGUAUGCUGAAUUCAUUUACACUCAACCUUCAAGACAAGAUUGAACUUGAGUAAGUGGGAAUGCUAGAACAUAUUUGAGAAAAUAUGAUUUGAUUAGCUAGAAAUUGGCAGCAUGGGCUUUCACUAAAGGAAACCAGCAGCAAGUAGGUUGCUUAUGAAAUUCCCUAGAAGGCGAAAUUCAACUAGGGAAAUCAAUGCAACAUUGAUAUAUAUGAAUUAGUAUUUUUUUUUCCCCUCAACGUGAUCAAGUCUUUCUUCUCCUAAUUUUCAGUCUUGAGGUCCUAACAUGUGACAGCAACAUCCAAGUAAGAAGUUUCAGUUCAAAGGAUUUGCUCUGCAGAAGCAAGAAAAUUGUAUCCCUUCAUGGGAAUUCUGAUUCUGGCCUCUGCAAUGGAGAGAACAGCUUGUCACAUAGUGUAAUUCAAGAUUCUUAUCAUUUCCACCCAAAGAAAGUUUUGAAAGUUACAAUUUGCAAUGAUUAUCAAACUCAUGUCAAACAAAAUAUAGAAGAACCAGAUUUUAUGACUCAAAACAUCAUAAAUGUUAGCAAAAAUGCAGUUUUUAUCCUAGUACAAAACAUCGUAAGUUUCUAAAGCUUAUAAUAACCAGAACACCGUCAAAUUCAUUGAAACCAAAAGCAAAAGGCAAAAUUCUCCCUGACAUCAAAUCCAUGCAAACCUAAAACAGUAAUCAAGGAAUUAUCAAGUAAUUUUGAAAUUCAAGCUAUUCUUUCCUAUUCAACAUAAAAACUACUACUAAUAGAACUUGAAGGUUAUAAUGCAUAGAAUCAUUCAUACUCAGAAAAAAAGUAUGAUUGGUGUUUCAUCAGGCAACUUGCAUUCAUCACCCAACACCAACUUUGCUUGAUUUUCAUAAUCAAACUUCCUAUAUUCACCACCAACUGCUAAAAAAGACACCUAAUCAGGAAGGCUUAGUAACAAAUUUCAGCAAAAUCAAAGGUCGUAUUCAAACAAAAAUGUCUACCUAAAAUAUUGAAGAAACAAGAAAGAACGACUCCUUAAAGAAGUUCAGUUGCUUCAAUCAAUAUAACUCAAUAAGAGAAAAGAUGAAGACUCACCUAAAAGUCGAUAGAAAUAUAAUAUACAGGCAUAAUUGGAGGAGUUCCCAAGAAUCAUCGACAAAAAAUACUAUCACUAAUUUUGAGCAUGCAUGACCAAAUCAACAAAAAAAGAGAAUUUUAUUGGAAUAAAGAGUAUGGACGAUGGUAGUUAUUCUUGAGGACUGAUUCUUGCCCAGUCGGGUGUUUAUCAAAACAUUUAUAAAACUUACAACACCUUAUACUAGGGUAGCAAAGACAAAGCUAUUAUAGUAUAGUGGCUCUAGGAUCCUCCACAGGGAUGAGUUUUCUUUGUACACUUAACAUUAAUGAAAGGAGAAGUGGUGAUUUCCUUUUUGGAAGUUAGUUUUAAAUGAAAAUAAGAUUGAUUGGAAAGGUUGUUUUUAAGUUAAGCAAAUAUAAACAAUUGAAAUUAUUAUAAAGAGAAAGUCUCUUGGAGCUAUGGUUACUAGGAUAUGGUUACUAGGAUCAAGUUCCUGUUGCAAAGUGGGAAAUUCCGGAUCUUCUCCUCGCAUUAGGGACAAUAACAUAAAGGAUGGUUAUCUCCCGAACCGGAUUUAUAUUUAGCAAAUAAGUUUUGAUCCAAAGGAUUCUUGAAAAAUGGUAGUUGCUUCCCAUUAAUGGCUUCAAACACUAAAGACCCUCAUCUUGAACCACCUUCCAAUGGCUCGUACUUGAUAACUAAUGGACAUCCAUGGAUCUAGCAAUAAGCAUCCAUAGAAUCCUAACAACUUACCAAGUAUUGGCCAUUCAAGGUGAUUCUAAGGGAUUAAAGCUGAAACUUGAAAUAUAAACCAUUAAUGAUACACAACUACCUUCAUUUAAAGCAAGGAAAACUCCCACUUUUGCAUCCGGGUCCUUUACCUAGCUUCCAUCACUCCAAGAAACGUGAAACUUAGCCACUCAUCCUCUGAGAAAUCAUCCUCAGAGGGUGUUUGGCUAGAGAGAAAGUGAAGAGAAAAUGAGAAGGAAAGGCAAAGAAAACUCCCGUCUUUUCAAAAUAUCUAAAACAUAAUAUCUAACAUAUCAUAAUCUCUUUUGAGAGGUUUUCCAACCCCUAUUUAUAGUUCAUAAACAAACCCUCCUGUCAUUUAUCUAUUACAAAAUGAUUAAAAAGGAAAAAUUACAGUUCUGGAGAAAAAUCUCGAAGGUCGGUGAGCAUAAAGUGAUUUUCGCACACCCUGCAAAAAUUUGGCACACCCUGCUAAAGUUUGGCACACCUUGCCAAA